UUUGGUUUGCCAAAUUGCUUGCCAAAAACAAUAGCAGAUUCAGCCAAAAGCUGAAAUUUUCUGGGUUUUCAGAUUUUGCUUCAACUUUGAGAGAGCAUAACUUCCUAUCCACGGCUUUGUUUCAAAACUUAAGCUAUGUACUUAAAUCUUGUAAUCCUAUCUUUAUAAUAGGCUUUGGUUCAUAAACUUUUGUUUGGAUUUGAGUGAGUGGAAAGUGAAGCCAAAAACAACAGCUUACACACUGUUUGAGAAGUCAUGGCUGGCCAGAGAGAGAGAGAGAGAGGUGAGUGUUAAAUGGAAUUUCCAGUUGAAAAAUAUGUCCAGUCAGCAACUUAACCACUGAUUUGGACGGCGACUUAACGGAUGAACCUAAUUGUGUGACAUUGGAUAGUUAAUGGAGUAAUCGAUUGAAAUUGAAAGUUAAUGGAGUAAACUGUCGAGCGCAUGAAAGCUACUGGAGUGACCAAUAAUUUCUCCUAUUUGAAAUUGUUUGAAAUCAUGUUGUGGUAGUUAUCUGAUUUGGAUUCAUUAAUCUGGGAUUUGUAGAUCUGGUGAACAAUUUGGGCACGAUUGCGAGGUCUGGUACCAAGGAGUUUAUGGAGGCUUUGCAGUCUGGUGUGUCUGAUGUGAGCAUGAUUGGACAAUUUGGUGUGGGUUUCUAUUCUGCUUAUCUUGUUGCCGAGAAAGUCAUUGUGACCACAAAACACAAUGAUGAUGAACAAUACAUCUGGGAAUCGCAAGCUGGUGGUUCCUUCACUGUCACUAGAGAUGUUAAUGGAGAGCAGCUUGGUAGAGGAACCAAGAUCACUCUAUUGCUCAAGGAGGAUCAGGUAUAGAACUAAAGCGAUUUAGUCGGUUCUCUUUGAGAAUUCUAGAUGAUUGAAUGGACUAUUGACUGUUAUGCUAUGUUUAUUUUGCAGUUGGAAUAUCUAGAGGAGAGGAGGAUCAAGGACCUUGUGAAGAAGCACUCCGAAUUCAUCAGCUAUCCCAUCUAUCUUUGGACAGAGAAGACUACAGAGAAAGAGAUUAGUGAUGAUGAGGAAGCCAAGAAGGAAGAGGAAGGAGAAGUUGAGGAAGUUAACGAGGACAAGGAGAAAGAAGAAAAAAGGAGAAAAAGAAGAUUAAGGAAGUUUCUCAUGAGUGGGAGCUUAUCAACAAGCAGAAACCCAUCUGGCUUCGCAACCCCAAGGAAAUUACCAAGGAUGAAUAUGCUGCGUUCUACAAGAGCUUGACCAAUGACUGGGAGGAACACCUUGCUGUCAAGCAUUUCUCUCUUGAAGGACAGCUUGAAUUCAAAGCCAUUCUCUUUGUCCCAAAGAGAGCUCCAUUCGACCUGUUUGACACCAGGAAGAAGAUGAAUAACAUUAAGCUCAAUGUGAGGAGUGUUUAUUAUGGAUAACUGUGAAGAGCUCAUUCCAGAGUACCUUGGAUUCGUUAAGGGUGUUGUUGACUCUGAAGACUUGCCACUCAACAUCUCUCGUGAGAUGCUUCAACAGAACAAGAUUUUGAAGGUGAUCAGGAAGAACCUUGUGAAGAAGUGCAUUGAGAUGUUCAAUGAGAUUGCUGAAAAUAAAGAGGACUACACCAAGUUUUACGAGGCAUUCUCCAAGAAUUUGAAAUUGGGUAUUCAUGAAGACAGCCAGAACAGAGCCAAAUUAGCUGACCUUCUCCGGUACCACUCCACCAAGAGCGGUGAGGACCUGACAAGCCUGAAGGACUAUAUAACUAGAAUGAAGGAGGGUCAGAAGGACAUCUUCUAUAUAACUGGUGAGAGCAAGAAGGCUGUGGAGAACUCUCCAUUCUUGGAGCGCCUGAAGAAGAAGGGCUAUGAAGUGCUUUUCAUGGUGGAUGCGAUUGAUGAGUAUGCUGUAGGUCAAUUGAAGGAGUAUGGUGGCAAGAAGUUGGUGUCUGCUACGAAGGAAGGACUGAAACUUGAUGAUGAAACCGAGGAGGAGAAGCAAAAGAGAGAAGAGAAGAAGAAAUCCUUUGAGAAUCUUUGCAAGACAAUCAAGGGUAUUUUGGGAGAUAGGAUUGAGAAAGCUGUUGUAUCUGACAGAAUUGUGGACUCCCCUUGCUGUUUGGUGACUGGUGAAUACGGUUGGACUGCUAACAUGGAAAGAAUCAUGAAGGCUCAGGCUCUUAGGGACAACAGCAUGGGUGCAUACAUGUCUAGCAAGAAGACAAUGGAGAUCAAUCCUGACAAUGGAAUCAUGGAGGAGUUGAGGAAGAGGACCGAGGCUGAUAAAAAUGACAAGUCUGUCAAGGACCUUGUGCUGUUGCUGUUUGAGACUGCCCUCUUGACUUCUGGAUUCAGCUUGGAUGAUCCCAACACUUUUGCGGCGAGAAUCAACAGGAUGUUGAAGCUGGGUCUCAGUAUUGAUGAGGAUGAGACAGUUGGUGAAGAUGCAGAUAUGCCUACUUUGGAGGAGGAUGCUGCUGAAGAGAGCAAGGUGGAGGAGGUCGACUAAGGUUCCUGGAUUAGUAUAGUAGCUUGCUUGAGUUUGUGUUAUGUCUUGCGAACUAAAACCUGUUAAAGUAGUCUUGUGUCUAUUGUUAGUUCAUGUCUUUUUCAAAUUUCCUGUGUUGGGGCAUUUUCUCAGAAGUCUGAACUCUUCCAAAAUCAAAGUACGUGUUUGCCUUCUUUUAAUUGAAGCUAUUUCUUUCAUCUAAUAUUCCAAGCCAAAGGGUUUUAUCAAUCCCUAUCCCUGUUAUAUAUCCCUUGAUAUUGCUUGCAUAUGUUUCGCAUUUUUGAUAUCUGACUCUUUGUAAUUAAGUUCAUCAUAGAUGCAUUUGUUUCUGAAGAGAAUAUGUAAAUGCAAACACAGUGGAUUCAAAUGCCUAGUUUGCAAUGUGCUGGCCUAAAUAGAAACGCGAUUCAAAUUAAAUUUAGGUACAACACAUAGGAUGGGAAUCCAGAUCCUAUUGAUAGCCCCAACUACUGCUGCUCCUCAUUCUUGUACACUUUCAUUGCAAAUUUCUAAUUCAAAUCCAUGAAGCAUUUGAAUAGCCUCUCACGUUGCGGGCUUAUCCUUUCAGAUCCCUCUAUCUGUAAAAGCCUGAAGAUCCUAAUUUUUUUAGGGAAAAUGCCCCUUUACUACUAAUUUUAAGGGCUCGUGGCCCAUUCCUUCAUAAAUAUUCAACCUUAUCUCUCUUCUCUCUCAUUUACCUGAUCAUGCCUCUCCUCUCUCUCAUUUACACAACCUCCCUCCGCUCCCUCCCUUCCUCCAAAGCCGAAGAGCACGAAGCUCCGCCACAUUGCCGCCGACCUACUCUUCGUCGCAAGUGAAGUUUCCGGCGUUCCUUCCCUGGCGAUCAAGUCCGCCUCGUUCUACCACAAGACCGGCGUCAAAUGGCACGAGCUUCGGAAGUUCGACCUCGCUUCGUCGUGUUUCGAGAGAGCCACCGAUCUGCUCUCGAAGAUCGGAAUCGACAUAAUCUCCUACGCCGGCGAGAAGAAGCUGUUUCCUGGAUUUAAGCAUCGCGAGGUCAAAAACCGCCUGUGAGGUAUCGGCUCCAGCUUUGGACUCUCUCUCUCUCUCUCUCUCUCUCUCUCUCUCUCUCUCUCUCUCUCUCUCUCUCUCUCUCUCUCUCUCUCUCUCUCUCUCUCUCUCUCUCUCUCUCUCUCUCUCUCUCUCUCUCUCUCUCUCUCUCUCUCUCUCUCUCUCUCUCAAGUACCUCAAGGCUUCCCUCGCUGGCUAGAGCACCUUGCACCACGACUUGCACGCCAACGACGCCGUUUCUAAGCUGUGGUACCUGAGAGAGAAUUUGAUUCUGGUUAUCAGCUCCGGAGGGAGAUCCGAGAAGUCGCGGCGGUCUAGUGACUUAAGGAUGACGUGGAGCUGUGCUUCCAGAAGCUCUUGUGGUGGCAGCGGUGGUGGCUUCGUCCCCCGUUGGUUUUAGGUAACAGAAAGUCUAUGAAACGAGAGCCGUUGGAUCGAGGUGGGCCAUGUGGUCUGCUUGCUCAUUCUGUUUAAUCUGGAUUUUAUUUGCAACGUCGACUCUCUCUCUCCACUUUUCUCUUUUUUUUGCUUGUUCUGUUAUUGUGAAUUUUGGUUGGAUUUGUGUAUUUUACUUGUUGAAUAUAUUGUUUAUUGUGGCAUUGUUUUCUUGUAUUGCUGAGAAAAAUUAUUAUUGUGGUAGUUAUAUUAUGUUGAAUAUUGAAUGUCGGUAAUUGGAAAGAUGAAAUGGAAGUAUGAUGUUUAUCGGUGAGUUUUUAUGCAUUUGGGGGGCAGUAACUAGGUUUCUGGGUCAGAACGUUAGUUUUUAAGGGUUAGAAAACGACUUUCUAUAACAUUUGGAGCCAGUAAGUUGAUUACUAGGAGUCAGUAACUGAGUUACUAGAGAUUAUUGGGGGUUAGUAACUGAGUUACUAGGGAUUACUGGGGUCAGUAACUGAGUUUUUUGGGUCAGUAACUGAAUUUAUGGGGUCAGUAACUGAAUUUCUAAGGUAAGAAACUGAGUUUCGGUGAUCGGUUACUGGAGUGACCGAGUUACUGUGGGUCAGUAACUAAGUUUUUGGUGUCAAUAAUUGAGGUUUUUGGGUCCGUAACUGAAUUACUGGGGUCAGUAAUUAAGUUUCUAAGGCCAGAAACUGAGUUCCGGUGAUCGGUUGUUGGAGUAACUGAGUUACUAGGGGUUAGUAACUGAGUUUUUUGGGUCAGUAACUGAGUUUAUGGGGUCAGUAACUGAGUUUCUAGGGUUAGAAACUAAGUUUCGGCAAUCGGUCAUCGGAGUAACCAAGUUACUAGAGGUCAGUAACUGAGUUUAUUGGGUUAGUAACUGAAUUUCUGGGGUCAGUAACUGAGUUUCUGAGGUCAGAAACUGAGUUUCGACUAUCGGUCGCCGGAGUAACCGAGUUACUAGGGGUCAGUAACUGAGUUACCGAUGACCAAAAAAAUUCCGGUGACCGGAGUCUGACGGUCGAUGUUCGGAGAUCCGGUGAGCUGCCGGCAAAGUCUUUCCUCUCUCUCUUACACUUUCUCUCUCUAAGCAUAUAUAAGGACCAAAGGUAAAAAUGUCUCAAAAAUAUUAUUUUUUAUAAAUUUAAUAAAGAUUUGUGUAUUUGGGCACAAAUAAGUUAAUCUUUCAUUCAAUUGGGAUCAAAAGUCUUAUUAUCAUUGGAAUGGGGUUUGACUUUUAUUUUUUUUGUGCAAAUAGGCAUUUUCCCAUUUUUUACCCUGAAAAUUAAAAUUUUCAGAUUUUAUUCUAUUGAGAAACUCUAUCAACUUCAUUAUUCUUUCAGUUACAGUAUGUACCUUGCAUUUGGUUCUCAAUCAACAACUUGUGAUUAAUUUGUUUAUUAGUUCUGGACAUCCAUAAUUUCUUCAUAUAGUUGCCUAGUUGUUAAGGCGACACACUGAAUCUAAUCUGUGUUAUUUUUUCUUUGGACAAACUAAUGUAUGUUUUCAAACAUGUAAGAAAUCAAAAUAGUUUAUAUCAAACAGCCUAUCUAACAUUCCCAAAUUCGUAAUCACCUCUCGACCUAGCAACCACUCUGCUAGAGUUUAUCGAAGCCUUCGGGUUUUUGACAAUAUCUUCUUCAAAACAUGCCUAGCGCUCUGUUAGGUUUGGGAUUGCGUUGUUUACGGCCUCUCUGUGUCUUCCUCCAUCAACCAUGGAGAACCAUGCCGGCACCGUCCUCGGUGGUGCUCCCUGUGUGCAUGGUCUCUGUCGUGCCUCUUUCACGUCAAGCACGUCGACCGGCAACGAACAUCACUCUGGGUAGUGGUGGACGGAGUGAAGACUUGGUUGUGCAUAUUGGUGGAUUUGAAUCGGUUUCAAUCGUCGAUCGUAUCCGACCUAAUCGAGCACGCCUCAUAGAAGUCUGGGUGGAGAGAUCUGAGUCUGGGGUCUUGAAAUGCUUAUUGGGUCGGCUGUUGUUUGCAGGGAAGGUGGUUGGGAUGAUGAUUGAUCGGUGGCCGGCGUUUGGUUCUGGCGGCUUGGUGUGUCGAUCGGAGUCCCAUGGAAAGUUCUCAGUUCAAACCAAGUUGUUGCUGGGGUCAAAGGUUGGUGACCGGGAAUGCUUCCGAACUCCUCUGACGGCGACGGCGGCUGGACAUGAAUCAAGGGCAAGGCGGAUCUGGUUUCAGACAUGUGUCUUGGGCCGGAUCUUGAUUCAGGCUUAGGGUAGAGUUUGGGUCUAGGAUCCAGGUGGGUCUUGUGGGCCUUGGGAUCCAACUUUUCUUCUUUGGAAAUAUCGCCAGUGUCUUUGGUUUUGGCCUCUAAACUGGUUUUGGUAUUGGUUGACGAACCCGCAACUAUGGUAUUUGUUCGUCAAGGAUCGUCUGCCAUCAAGCCAUGUCUGGAAUCACCCUUGGACGGCUUCGAUACCUUAGGUGGAAGAUUGCCCUCAUCCCGGUGUCGGAAUUGUUUUUAUCAUUUUGGGCAUUGGUUUUGCAUGGGUAGUCAAAUCACUGGUGAGUAGUCGGUGAUCUGACUACUUGGUCGCUUAGUGAGUAGUCGUUUUGCACUGAUUUAAAUCUGUGUAAAUCUGUGUGAAGCUUCAUUUUACUAGUAGUGCCGGGCGUUAUUGUUUUAGCGAUGAUGCUCAUAUUGCAAUUUUACGUUUGUAUGUUUCUUAUUUCUAGAUGUGCUUUCUACAUCUGUAAUCUUUUUCUUAUAAUAAAGUUUAACCUCUUUCAUUCAAAAAAACAUUCCCAAAUUCGCAAGUUGCUUAAAAUCUAACUAUCUGCAUAUUUGCUAGCUAGUAUCUUUAGCAUGAAAACAGUAGUCAGGUAACAUAGAUUAGUUUAGUUAGUUAGUUUUCCUAAUAUAUAUAGGAACACAUAGGCGACACUUAUCCAUCAUGUCCAUUUCACCAUUUGCAUAUAGAACACCAUUGUCAAUCGCCCAUUGUACCAAUCUGGAUAUCAACGGUCAGGUCGCGCAGUCUGAUUUCCUUCUCCAACAUCAAAAUAACAAAACAUAGAUAUCGGCCUCCUUGGUCGCCUUGGUCAUCCUUACAUAUAUUCCGGUGGGAGGCAUUUCCAAUCCGUGCAAAUAUGCGAGCCCAUCCGCCACACCUUUAACUAUCUUUAGGAGGAGAAAUGUGCACACAUGAUUCUCUCACUAGUUUCCAAUGGUUUAUGGAACAUUUUCAUGAUGUGCAUAUACUCAUGUACACCAUAAUGAGCUAAAAAUAUAUCUUCCUCCAAAGACCACACACAAAUAAAUUUUGUAUUCAAGUCACGUCCUUGUUUUUGGCUCAAUAUCUUAUUUACAAGCAAUAACACAACUAAUAUUAUUCACCAUUCCACAAUAUUACUCACAAAACAAACAAAAAUGCUUUCCUAAUUCACGAUUGAAGGUCAUUUAACAGCUGAAUUACAUCUUUCAUUGGGGGCCUCUGCCUUGAAGACUCAUGAGCACAUUCACCAACAAUUUCAAAGUACCUCUUGACACUGCCUUCAUCCAAAUCCUCCCUCGAAAUACUCGAAUCCACCAUUUCCAUUUGCCGGUUAUUGGCCACCAUUUUCCUCGACCAUUCCACCAACCCCAUCUCUUUCCCGUCAAACACGCUCGGCAAAUUAGGCCGUCUCCCCGUUGCAAUCUCCAACAUCAAAAUCCCGAAACUAAACACAUCCGCUUUCACUGUCGCCCCCGUAAACCCGUCUUUGUACUCGGGUGGCAUGUACCCCAUGGUGCCCGCAAAUUGCGUCGACACGUGGGACCGUGACGUGUCGAUGCUCCUCGCGAGCCCGAAAUCCGCAAUAUGGGCCUCAUAUUCCCUGUCUAACAACACAUUGCUAGCCUUGAUGUCCCUAUGAAUUAUAGGCUUCUCCAACCCAUGCAAAUAGGCCAAGCCAUUAGCCACACCCCUAACGACCUUGUUCCUCGUCUUCCAAGAUAACGGUAAUUUACACCCAGCCGUGUCAUCAUAACCGUCCAAAUCCGUUGACGACGAGUCGUGAAGCCAACGGUCCAGAUUCCCCCUCUCCAUAAACUCAUAAAUCAAAAUCCGGUCGGCGCCGGAGACACAGUAGCCGAGAAUCUUGACGAGAUUGGGGUGGUGGAGCUCACCUAGGGUUUCCAUCUCGGCCUGAAACUCGCGGAAGCCCUGGAAGGCGUCGGGAUCGAGCUUCUUGAUGGCGACCUUGAGGCCGUCGGAGAGCUGGGCCUUGUAGACGAGGCCGAAGCCGCCGUCGCCGACGACGAGGUCCUUGUUGAAGUUCUUGGUGGCCUUGACGACUUCUUCCAUGGAGACUUUGAGGGAGGGAUCGAAGGAGGCGAUCUCGUCGACGGUGAUGCAGUUGAGCCGGAUCGGGUUGUUGCGGACGGCGGCGGCACGGGCGCGGCGGGAGCGGGUUGACUUGGACUGGGAGCCCUUGAAGAGUAUGUAGACGACGGCGAAGAUUACGGUUAUGGCGAAGAAGCUUCCGGUGGCGGCGAGGACGGCUUGGAAAGUCUUGUCCAUGGUGGAGAUGGGAAGCAAUCAAAGACUUGGUGUUGGUUUGAGAGAGAGAGAGAGAGAGAGAGAGUACAAAGAAUGGUGGUUUAGGUGAGAAAGGAGAAUAUAGAAUGAGAAAAGGAUGGAAUGAUGAAGAGGGUGAGUUUCGUGGAAGCUGGGGAGGAGUUUGACCUGGUCUGAUGAGUAUGAACUACGAAGUGACCCGGACUAGUCUAUCAGAAAGUCGUACUGAUCACUGAUCAGGAAGCAGUGAAACCCGCCAUCACGCGCCACCAAACCCGGGACCCUUUUUUCAGCAAGGACUCUUAAGUCGAAGACUUUUCGGUUUAUGGUUUAAAAGCCUCAUUUUUCAAUCACAUUUUGACAUCUCAUCCGUUCAGUUUUUAGGUUUAUAUGAGUAUAUCAUUUUUACAAAUUUUCAGCCAAAUUGAUGUUCGUUAAGAUAAUAAACUAGAUCAAAUUAAUGGACGAACUAAAUCUGUCAAAUAUAAACCGUUCAAGUUCAUAAUUGAUAAAUCACACUUAUGAAUGCCUUAACAAUUUUCAAUAUAGCUGAAAAUUUAGAGAAAUGAUCUAUUCAUAAAUACCUAUAAACUGAACGGUCAAGAUGUGGAUAUAAGAUCGAAAUGUGGGAUAAGCAGAAAAGUCCUCAACAAGUCCUCAACUUAAAGGUCCUCAUUAGAAGGGCUUCAUAUUUUACCCUUCAACUCCUUAACUCCUUCAAGAAGAUAAAAUAAGGGUCGUGAAAUCCACACUCUAAAUUGAAAUCCACACACAUUUUUUUCUUUUUUGGUAACUUGAAUUUUGUCUUUUAAUGACUUAAAUUUUGUCUUUUUGUGAAUGUGUUAACCAAAAAAAGGAAAAGGGUGUGUGGAUUUCAAUUUAUGGUGUGUAGAUUUCACAUCCCUAAAAUAAUAAGGGAUAAUAAUUGGUAUUUUUACUUCUUUUUUUUUAGAAAUUUUAUUCACACGCCCCUAUAUACUUAAUACAUGAACUUUUAAUAGAAUAUCAGCCUACACCCCUAUAUAAUGGUUUUUGGGUCGUUGAUAAGAUUUUGGCGAUCCAUGAUUAUGUGUUUAUGAUACUUGAUAGUUCUUCAAUUUCUUCUCAUGCUUUUGUCUAUCAAAUUUGAUGUGAUUUGGCUGCUAACUUAUAUUUGUUUCAUUUGUUUGUGAGAUAUAAGACUUGCUUUAGGUUGUGUUUGUCUAUCAAUACCGGUCUCUUACUCGAGUCUCUGGCACAAAAGAAGAGAACUAGUAGUAGAUCUCUUGUUAAAGGGUGGAGUAGUUUGGCGUUUGUUGUGAGUUUUACUCUGAAUAUGAGAAUAUGUAUCGCCGAUCAUUAUAAUAUUGAAGUUUUGGCAGCAUGGGUCUCCAAACUCUUAUGGUACUGUCACAAUGAUACCCAAACUUAAAAAACUAUCAACGUGAUACCCAAACUUCAUUUUCGCUACUGACAAAGGACAAGAGGCCAUUUUCCGUCACUGUGCCCGUCUGUUUGCUGACGUGUCACCCAUGUGAUACUUUAAUGAAGCGCAAAAAUGUCUUUUUCUAUUAAGUAAUUAAAAAUGUCUUUGUCUUCACAUUGUCCUCCAGCAUCUCCAGAGCUCCCAAGUCGUCUUUCCCGCCGGGCAACAUCAUAUGCGGCUGCCGAGUCGGAGCGUACGUUAGCUGUCGGAGACCGUAAACCGACUUUAACUAUACGACGACACCGAGGCCCUCCAGGCGACCGCCGCCACCAAGGAUGAGCUCCGCUUCCGGGGGUUGUGAUGAGUUCUUCUUAACUGGCAGAUCUACUAAGGCGCAUAAAUCUCUGUUUUAGUAGAAGAGGCGCAUGAGCGUGUUCGGCGAACAUGAGAUUCCAACGGUGGUGGGCGCUAAGUAGGAGGUGGACGACGUCUUCGGAGUCGGUUGGACCUUGUAUAUCCAGCUGCGCGUUGAGGAGAUGUAGUCGAGGACGAAGCAGAGGUCAUCGACAAGUAGUCAACGGUGGAUCCAGAUGUCAUUGUCGAGGUGGCGGCAUCAUAGGAGCAAGAGAUGCAAUCAAGGCCGAGCCAGAAGUCAUGUCAAGGCAGCGGCGUCGGAAUUGAAGUGGAAGAAUGGAGAGAGAAAGUAUUUUCUAACAGACUUAUGUAAAAGAGAGAAGGGUAUUUUUGGGUACAUCAUAAAGUAAAGUUACAUAUGUAUCCUUAUAAAUGGACCUUUAUGGGUAAAAGUUAGGUGGACUCAUGUGAAAGAAAAUAUUUAGAAAGUGACUUACAUGAAAUUUUCUAAAAAAAAAAUACUCGGUUAUAGCAAUUAAAGAGUAGUAUACCNNNNNNNNNNNNNNNNNNNNNNNNNNNNNNNNNNNNNNNNNNNNNNNNNNNNNNNNNNNNNNNNNNNNNNNNNNNNNNNNNNNNNNNNNNNNNNNNNNNNNNNNNNNNNNNNNNNNNNNNNNNNNNNNNNNNNNNNNNNNNNNNNNNNNNNNNNNNNNNNNNNNNNNNNNNNNNNNNNNNNNNNNNNNNNNNNNNNNNNNNNNNNNNNNNNNNNNNNNNNNNNNNNNNNNNNNNNNNNNNNNNNNNNNNNNNNNNNNNNNNNNNNNNNNNNNNNNNNNNNNNNNNNNNNNNNNNNNNNNNNNNNNNNNNNNNNNNNNNNNNNNNNNNNNNNNNNNNNNNNNNNNNNNNNNNNNNNNNNNNNNNNNNNNNNNNNNNNNNNNNNNNNNNGCUAAGAUCUAAAGGAUAAAAAAAAUGUAAAAAAUAGUGUCAAAAAUUAUAUCCACAAACAAAAGAAUCUCAUCUUGACUUUUUUUCUUUUUUCCUUUUUUGUGAUAAGAAAAUCACAUCAUGACUUGUAACAAACAAAAGAAGAAAAAUAAGUUGACGUUCGGUAAUGUUUUCAUGUUUCUAUUUUUAUUUUUGAAAAUAAAAAUGAGAUGAAAAUGUGUUCGGUGAGACAUUUUGACGUGCUCGUUACCGGGCACGUAAUUUAAAAACCCUUUUUUAUCAGAAUGUAGUAUUGGCAAAUAGGGUUCGAUCAAUCCGGGGACCUAAAGGGCGCACCUGCAGUCACGGUUACACUAAAGAAUCAGUAACUAUAAGUAUUUACAAGUAUUCAGUUACAGAUAUACACAUGGUACAAUAAAUAAAAGGGGGGUUUUGAAGGUUUGUUCUAUGUUCCUACUAAAACAGAAAAUAAAAUAUAUACAAGUGAUCGACUUCAAACACACACAAACAUAUAAAAUCAUGUGAAUAAAUUGUUUCAAUCUACACAACCUAAAAUCAUGCCAAUCAAGAAUUGUGAAACGAAUUCAGAAUUACACAUCGUAGCGGUCAUGCAACCUAUAACAAUCUGCUUAAGUAUCCUAUGUUUGCCUUAGCGGUUUAACAUAGAAAAUUCCAUGCAAUAUGUCAUGUUAAUACUUAGCGCAACCAUACAACAUAAAACAUGAAUCAAUAAGUUCACAGAAGAAUUCGAACAUGUAAACAAGUUUAUCUUAGCGCUUAAACAGUUCACAUGCAACUCAUGAUCAAAACCUGACCCAUUCCCAUGAAUCUAAGCUUUUGUCACUUAAUCAAUCUAUGUUUGCCUUAGCGGUUUAACAUAGAUAAAUGGCAGUACCAACCCUGCAGAAGUUAGUCAUUUACAUAAACCAGAUCAUAAGUUUUCAACAUCAAGAAUGACACGAAAAUAAGUCAAGUAAAUCUCAUAAACAAUUCAAAAACACAACUUUAUAAAUCUGAUAAUUAAUAUAACCAUAUUCUCAACAACAAUCUCAAUCCAAAACGCAGGAGUUCUAAAAAUCUAACAAAAGAAAAUACUACAAAAUAGAGAGAGAAAUUGAUUGAAGCAUUGUUACACUUUUUAUUCUCCGAAGUGACGUUCUGAAGGACACCAAGGUAGAGCAAGCUUCAAUGGUUGGAGAAAACAAUGGAGAGAAGGCUAUUAUGAUGUAAGGGCAGAAGUCUAUGCGUGAGAAGUGAUGCCCAAAACGUUGCUCCUUUGCUCCUUUAUAUACUGGUCUAGCCGAACCCUAGCUAUCCUCCUAGCCCUUGAUUAAUUUCUGAUCCAACGGUGCAGAAUUAUUAAAUCUUGAUUUAGAAUCUCCCCAGAAUUCUCUGGAAUGUCUUUUGCAGUAAUUCAUUGCAUGAGGCUUGAAUAGAGGCCAGGUACGUUUCUUGUUCUCCAAAAGAAAUCACAACAGUGAAAACCUUCCUUCUUCUGCCUUCAAUCAGACCUUUGACGAAAAUCCUUGAUUUUCCUUCCUUUCCUGGUGCAUAAUUAGGGUUCCUGCAAGGGGAAUAAAGUCAGAUAAAUAAGGUAGGAUGGACACAAUUUAAAUGACGAAAUUAAGGAAAGAAUCCCUUAAUUUCUUAUUUAUACUGCAGAAUUCGUCCUCCUCCUUUUAUACACAUUCACAGACUCCUAUUCCAAAUUGGAUUAGGUUUCCUGACUUCAAAUGGAUUCCCUGUCUCAUCAGAAAAGAAAGUUUCCUAAAUAUUUUAGGAAAAUCAGAAUAGGAAAGAUUCAAAAAUAGUAAGUUUCCUAAAUCAAAAUAAGAAAGUUUCUUAAAAUGAAAUAGGUAAGUUUCCCCUUUCAAAACAGGAAAGUUUCUUAAAAUGAAAUAGGUAAGUUUCCCCUUUCAAAACAGGAAAGUUUCCUAAACGACUUAUCCUCAGAUUUUGCGACUUAAUGAGACUCCUUGCUGCACCAGGAAUCCUCCUCUGAUUCGGAUUUCUCUUAAAUUGCUGGUUUUAGCUUCCUUUUCUGCUUUUCUGCUCUUUUGCCUUCACACUCACAAGACAUGUUAGAACUGGCAUUAUUACAAGAAUAACAUAGCUAAACAGGGUAGGAAACACAUUAUAAACAUAGCACUUUGUGCUCGUAUCAUAUUUCUAAAAACGUUGAAAAUAAAAAAUGAAAAUAUUUUCAACUUUUACAAAGUAAAACUGAAAUUGAAAACAUCAAUUUGAUGUUUUCACUUUUCCAUUUUCCUAAUUUAGAAAAUAUAAAAAAUACUUAUCACAAUAAAUUACCGAAUACAUUUUCAAAGUAGAAAAUAACAAUCUCAGUUUCUUAUUAUUAUUUUUAAAAAUCAUUUUCAAAAACGUUACCAGACAGGUAGUAAAUGUCUCAUGAUCAAAUAGCCCUGACUUUCCUAUUUAAGGAGGAAAAAAGACUUUUUUUUUGCGGAAUAAAAGAUUGGGUAUCUCAAGACUACAAAAGCACGCACAUCAAGGAGAGAGAAAAAACGAGGAAAAAACAACCCACCCCACACGCGAGAGAAAAGAGAAAACUGUGUUCCGGUUCCAGAGAGGAUGUUAUUCCAAGAAUAUGGUGUGAUUUUAGAACAUGGAAGUGGUCCAAAGAAGGUGGAGGGAUUCUUGAUUUCGGGUUGGGUAGAUUGAACUAGAUUGUUGUCUCUCAACGUGUUGACAAGCACAACUGAAGAGCAACGAGAUCAGGCGUCUUUGAGGUACCGAAGGUCACUAUGGCAGCGAAGUUAUAGGAGGUGUUUGGAUCUUCAAUAUACUUAGAUGUCGAAUACUUUCAUUGCCCUGAUGUAUGUUCUUCAUGUGUAUAUCGAUUUCGGUUCGGGAUUCGAUUAGGCACAUUGGCUGGUUUGUGGGAUGUCGGCUCUGUGUUUGUGGCUGUGAUCGAGUAGGUCUAGUACUAGUUCUUCUCCAUUUAUGGGAGGUUUCUGCAUCGCAGGUGGUGCGAAGCGGGAUCGAUGCGAUUGGAGGUCGGUGGUCAAGCAUGAGUCGGUGGUUCGACAACUGGUGGGAAACGACAUGAUGUAGUGGUUUGCAUGGUGGUCCCGAUUUGGUGGUGAGAGUGGCAAAAUUGUUAGUAUUCUUGUUCUUGCAUUUCUAUUUUUUUAUGUAGGGGCUUCGAUCUAUAUGAGCUGUAGUUCUCCUCUCAUUUUUUUAUAGUUUAAUUGAGUUAGAGACUUAACUUUACAGGUUGUAUAAUUGAGCUACAUUUAGAAUCUUAUGAACCGGCCGGUCCGGUCAUGUAUCUCUGUUGUGGGUCCCCUCUCUCCCAAUCUUAAAGAAAGUCCAAAAAAAGAUGUCAAAAGAAAACAAAAUAGGGAAAAUACCCUAAUGCCUAAAUAUUUGAAAACUAAAGCCCAUUCCAAUUAAAGUCUUAUCUUUCUGCCCAUUCCAAUGAUUCUUAAGAAAAAGACGAUAUUACCCUGUGUAACUAAACCACACAAAUAUUAUCUCUUUCUCCUUCUCUUUUUCCCGAUCUGGUUUUCCUCUCUCUCUCUCUNNNNNNNNNNNNNNNNNNNNNNNNNNNNNNNNNNNNNNNNNNNNNNNNNNNNNNNNNNNNNNNNNNNNNNNNNNNNNNNNNNNNNNNNNNNNNNNNNNNNNNNNNNNNNNNNNNNNNNNNNNNNNNNNNNNNNNNNNNNNNNNNNNNNNNNNNNNNNNNNNNNNNNNNNNNNNNNNNNNNNNNNNNNNNNNNNNNNNNNNNNNNNNNNNNNNNNNNNNNNNNNNNNNNNNNNNNNNNNNNNNNNNNNNNNNNNNNNNNNNNNNNNNNNNNNNNNNNNNNNNNNNNNNNNNNNNNNNNNNNNNNNNNNNNNNNNNNNNNNNNNNNNNNNNNNNNNNNNNNNNNNNNNNNNNNNNNNNNNNNNNNNNNNNNNNNNNNNNNNNNNNNNNNNNNNNNNNNNNNNNNNNNNNNNNNNNNNNNNNNNNNNNNNNNNNNNNNNNNNNNNNNNNNNNNNNNNNNNNNNNNNNNNNNNNNNNNNNNNNNNNNNNNNNNNNNNNNNNNNNNNNNNNNNNNNNNNNNNNNNNNNNNNNNNNNNNNNNNNNNNNNNNNNNNNNNNNNNNNNNNNNNNNNNNNNNAAAAGUCGAGGAUAAGUCGUUUAGGAAACUUUCCUGUUUUUAAAAGAGAAAACUUACCUUUUCCAUUUUGGGAAACUUACUAUCUUUGAAUCUUUCCUAUUCUGACUUUCCUAAUUUAUUUUGGAAACUUUCUUUCCUCUUAAGAUAGGGAUUCCUCAUGAAGCAAGGAUGUCAAAUCCUACAUGGAUUAGGCCCAAGAUGGUCGCCAUAAAUCAAGGAGAGGGACGGCAAAACCCUAGGGUUUCCUGCCGAGUCUUUCUAGGAUUUUAAGACAAGAUUUCGUUGUCUAAAUUAAGGGAUUUAUUAUGCAAUUCAAAUCUGAAAAUCUGGAAAUUAAUUCCUUAAAUUCUUUUGUCUAAAAAUCUGAUUUUACAAGACUAACUCCUUCCCUUUUCAGGAACAAUAAAUGGCGCAGCAAAUUAAAGAGGAUGAGCUGAUUUUCGGCAAUACAAGGAAGGAUACUAAAUGGCUGAUUUGUUGUGGAGAUCAAGCAACGUACCUAGUCCAUAAUUCAGCCAAAUUCAUCACCUUUGUGCGCAAGAAAUUCUAGAGAGUUCCCAACAUAUUUUAAUUAAUUUGUCAGGCAAUUGUCUUGGACCGUUGGAUCAAGAUAAAAUCAACGGUGGAGAAUAAACCCUAGGUGCGACAUGGACACUAUAAAUAGAAGACAUAUGCUGAGUUUUGGACAUCAUGUCUUCACGCACAAAUCACAAAAAAACAAUAGCAUCUUUCUUCCUGUAGCCGUGUGCAUCUAGGAGCCGAGAAGCCAACGUUGGAGAGCAGCCUUCGGACUUCUCCAAGCUGCAGCCGAGAUCUUGAAGCUGAGGAGCACUUGUGUCAUCAUCAACUGGCCCUUGAAGAUCAUCGAAAAAGUGUAACAACAUGCCUGUUCUCUUUUUUUGCGUUAACUUUAAAUUCGGAUUCAAAGUUGCAUGGUUGUAUGGUUUGAACUUGUUAUUCUUUUAAAUAAAUAAGUAUGAUGUUGAUACGUUGGAUGAUUGUGAAUGGUUUUAUUUGUUUGUCAUGCGAAUUGUUAAGCAUAUAGUUACAUGUUAUAUACUAAACCGAUUCUGCAGGAUUGGUGAUUGCUAAGAUUUGUACUAAGCUUCUUCAAGUAAGUAUAAAUCUAAAAGUAGUGAAGGCUAUGCCUAAUGGCCGAGACUAUAUGUUAUGCAUCUGGGAGUUAAGCUUCUUCAAGUAAACUCAUGGUACAUUUGAACUCAUAAUUCUUUAGUUCUUAAUGACUUGUAUAUUGUGUGGACGGGUGCCUUCGCAUCGAUCGCAACCUUUAUAUGAGAUUGUCUACGUGUUAGGACUUCUCCAAUGUAGACGAUUAUUAAGUAGAAUUCGAUGGAAUGCAAUGACUUCUUCAAGCUUGUGUUUCGGGUUCAUUGACAUAUCUUGCUUGACAACAUUUUUAUUAUUCACAUGAUAAUAUAUCGAUUCAUACUUGUUGUUUGAAGGUUGUGUGUGUGUGGAAGAUGAUCACUUGUAUAUAUUAUACUUUUAUUUACUGUUUUCGUAGGAAUGUUAGAACAAACCCCAAAAUCCCCCCUGAAAUCAUGUAAAUGUAAUUGUUGUUUAUAUUCUGUAAAUAACUCUUAAAUUAGACUCUAAUCUGUUUAGCUUUUUAAACGCAGGAGCACCCUAAAAGUCCCCGGAUUGAUCGAACCUUAUUUACCAAUACUACAAUUGUCAAAACAAGGUUCAUAAUUGUCGCACGCCCGGAAACGAGCCGCGUCAAUGAACACCACCGCCACCACUUUGCACUGGCCGUCUCUCAUUGCCGCCCUCCUCCUCACCUCGAUUUUCCUCUCUUUCACUCUCACUCUCUCUCUCUCUUAUGUGGCGUCGCCGCUGAAAAACCUCUCCGACUCGUCGGGAUCUACGUGCUGCGACUUGUUCUCUUCGGCGGAGGAGUCCGGCAGCGCCGUUUGCCUCUGCUACCUAGCUCAUCUUCCGUCUUCGUUGAGACUGGGUUGGAGUGCGUUGGGGAUGGGCUGGGUUCGUGCCGAGAUCGAUGAUGGUGCUGCUGGGGCGCUGCUUGCCAGCGUGCGCCGGGGUCGGUGGAGGAGGCCAGUGUUCUCGUCCUCUUCGGUGGAGGAGGCCGUCGGGGACUGCGACUCGUUCUCUUCGGUGAAGGUGGGUGCCCAGAGAAGAAAUAUGGGUGCCCAGUUCAAGUGAGUUAGUUGUUUUUUUUUUUUUUAAUCCUUACAUUUGAAUAUUUGGGUCAGUAAGUGAUUAUUGAGGAUUGAUAAGUGAUUAUUGGGGCCAGUAAGUUAUUAUUUGAGGUUUGUAACCUGAUUAUUGAGGGUCAAUAAGUAAUUAUUGAGUGAUUACUAGGUGUCAGUAACUGAAAACUAAGUGAUUAUUGGGGUCAGUAACUCGAUUAUUGAGGGUCAGUAAGUGAUUAUUGGGGGUCAAUAACUAAUUAUUAGAGGUUAGUAACACGAUUAUUAGGGGUCAAUAACUGGUUACUGGAUGUCAGUAACUGGUUACUAGGGGUGAGUAACUGGUUAUUAGGGGUCAUUAACUAGUUACAAGGGAAAUUCCAGUGACUGGAGUCUGGCGGCCGGUGACCAGAGUCCGACGACCGGUGACCAGAAUCCAGCGAUCGGGGAAAUUCCGGUGACCGGUGACUGGAGUCCGGCGGCCAGUGACUGGAGUCCGAGGUUCCGGCCAAGUCUUUUUAUGUUGAAGAGGUGGGGGCAAAAUAGUCUUAAAAUAAUAUGGUUUGUUAAGACUUUAGUAAUGAUUUGUGCAUUUGAACAUAAAGAUUUGUGCAUUUGGGCAUAAAAAAGGUUACCUUAUAUUAAAAUAGGCUAAUAAAAAAGAUUGUCAUUGAAAUAAAAAAUAAGAGAUUUAAAUUAAUACUAAAUAAACAUUUUCCCUUAAUAUUCUCAUCUACACCCCCACCAUCCGUUGUUGACAUGGCUGCUAAUUUUGAAACCUUAAACCCCAACUGAAAACAGAGUUUUAAAGCUUUAACACCGAUUUAGGGAGUAAUUUGCCUCAAUUUUUAAAUUUUCAUUUCCUUCUUUCUUUCGGUUACAUUUUCCGGAAUCUCAAAAACAAAAAUAAAAACUCUUUUCAAAAACAGUUCCUUUGGUUUUUACAUUUUAAUUUGCUGUUUUAUUUAUUUACUUCUUUUCCAAAUUCACCCUAUAUAUCCGAUUCUACAAGGUUUUGUCACGAAAAGAAAAUAUUCCCCAACCCAGAAAACCACACUCUCUCCCCCAAAAAUUUCAAACCGCCAUCUUCACAGACCAUCAUUUUCAAUUUCGCUUUUUCCAAUUUCCGAAAUUGCCCAGAACCCAAACGUGGAAUUCUACGCGUUUCAAUCAAAAAGAGUGUGAGGUUUGGAUUUGGGUUUUGGGGUUUUGGUAAUGCGAUGAACGCCCAGAAGUUCCAAAUCUUCGACUCUGUUCCUGCCUAGUGAAGCGCGUUGGGUUUUCUCAUGGCAAAGCGCGUCUACCAAGUCUGGAAAGGAAGUAAUGUAAGCCCUCUGUUGUUUUCUCCCUAGGGUUCAAAUUUUGGAUAUGUCAGUUAGGGCUUGCUUUGUAUUUGUUGGGUUUUUGUGGAAUUUUAGUGGGUUUUUGUGGAAUUUUACUGGGUUUGUGAAAUUGGGUGGUGGUAGAAUUUUGAAGUUUUGGGAAGUUCAUUGAGUUGGAGUUGUAUUGGUUUCUGGGUCUGUUUGGUUGUUUCUUGGCUGCUUAUACUCUUUUGGGUAUAGUUUGUUUGUUUCCUGUGGUUUCCUUUUAUUGUUCUUCAUGGUUUAUUUUAGGCUUUCGUAACUGUUGGUGUAGAAAAGGAAAUGUGGAGUCUUUGUCGAUUGAAUAGUUGGCUUAGUGUUAAUGGGGUUGAGUGCUGUGUUGUCUGGAGUGUUCUAAGUACUAAAAUUUAGAAUUUAAGUGUGACUUUGUUAUUGCAACGUGCUUGUUAGGACAAUGGAUGAACACUUGCGUGAAGGGUUGUUACGAUUGUUUCUUUCCUUUUUGUUGCUCAUAUACCGCUUUGUGUGGGGUAGAUUGUGUUGUGAUGGAGUGUUUCUGAUAUGAGGUAGGGUGGACUAAUGUGCAGUAUUUCGUUCAAGAUUCAUAUUUAAGUAGUGAGAGUGAGGUUAACGCAUGGUUUGAUGGAGUAUGCAGUUAUAGGCAAAUGGAGCCCAAAAGCAAGACAUAGACUGGUGCCUAUGGCAGAGAACAUUCGAACUGAUGUAGUUGGGGAGACAGAGCUGGGUUAAGGCUUAGGGUACAAUGAAUAAGUAGAGUGUUUAAGUUAAGUUGUAUGCAUUAUGUGUACCUGAUAGUUUGGUAAGACUUCUGCUGACCAGUUAUCCAUUUAGCUUUUUACAUCCAUGUCGAAGUCAUAAAUGAUUUUUCAUUCUCUGGAGAGGUUAAACGUCAAAUUUUCAUUUUUUUUGUUAGUUUAUGAUCCUAAUAAAUGAUCAUAUAUACCCACGUAUUGGUUGUACAAAUAACUGAGGAAGGAUUCAAGUUUCUUAUAAGAGUUCCAGUUUAUUAGUAUAGUUGGUCCAUUCUAGUAAGUUGAAGAGACUAUAAAUUAACUGUUGCAUUAUAAUGCUGGUAGUGAAUGUGCAAAAUUGCUCAUGGAUUAGUGGCUUGACUUAGGUUAGAUACUUUUGAGUAAGAAUCCAACUUUGGGUAUUGAAGCCUUGUAGUCACAGUAUACAAAUUAUUUGGCACUCCACCCGUUGCAAUUUGGUUCUGUGUUGUCUUUCAUCACCAUGUAUAUGAUUUCAGGCCCCUCCACCCUUUGCCAAGUGGUUUUGGGUUGGACUUCAACAAGUAUUGUUAUCGAUGAUGUGAUAAAGCUUUGGGGUUAAAAUCAACAAGUACUGUUAUCGAUGAUGUGAUAAAGCUUUGGGGUUAAAAUCAUACACUUCUUUGGUUCUUUUUGGGGAAGAAAGGAACUUGGCUUACAUAAACAUUCUAAUUUAGCUAGUCAUAUUUUAGAUGCCAGAAUCCCUUAUUUUAUUUUUGAAGCUUUGUUUUUAGUUGAAGCGACCUGCUAUACGAUAUUAUAUUCAUGUCUAUAUUUUAACUCUGUAUCUAAUGCAUUGGUUGGCUAACCUGAACAAAUUAUUUUUAAGUUUCAUUCGGUCUUUGUUAUAAAAAAAUUUGAAAUACAUUUUAAUGAAAAAACCACCAAGGAUGAGAUGGUUAACGAUUGGAAUAGGCAAUUCUAAUUAUCGUUGUCUUUUGUAAUCUUCUUUUUUCUUUUUUUUGGGGAUUUUCUUUUGAUAGAUAUGACAGUACAAAGGAGUUUGAAAUGUUUGAGCUUUUGCACAAUCACAUAACUUCUACUGGACUUAUUUUCUCUUGCAGUAGUUCUUGUUGUUCUUUGUUGAUGAGGGUUUGUUAUAUGCAAGUGAUUUGCCAUGAUACAUGAAAUUAUUGAGAAUUUUUGUGCCAGUUACAAGUGGGGGGCAACGUAUUUAUAUGGGCAGUGCUCUUAUGGCAUAAACCAAGUGAUUCUAUAUCCAGAGUAAAAAGAGACAAAGGAGAGACAAGUGGGAGACGACAUAAUUAAUACAAAAUAAAAAAAGAACUAUUGUGGUAAGGCGUUACAUGGGAAAUCUAAAAUAAGAAGAAAAAAAAUACUGGCUAUCCUUCCUGCCUAGAGAUGUGAUAUGGUAACAUUCCAAAAUAUAAAUGCAGACCUGAUAUGGUAGCUUGUAGAUGUAAAAAGUAUAUUUGAGAAUGUGGGUUCUUUUGAAUGGAUCUAAUGCGGUCAAAAUGUGCUGUGUUGUAAAAUUAUGGUUAUUGGACAAAGGCAGAACGAUUGUUGUUAAGCUUGAUGGGGAUGACAGUAGUUGGAAAUGAGUCAUGGUUGGGUGGAGGUGUGGUCCUUGAGGAGACCAAAUUUGCUUAUUGUCUGGCAAUGCUUGCAGUGUCAGAUUGGAUUGACUUUUGGGAGGAUGGUAAAGGGGCCAUCAUUUGUUUUUUUUUUUCCCCCUUCUGUCUUCAUUAUAAUGUCGUUCACAUUGACAUAUGCUUUAAACUGCAAACAUGCUUAAGAGCGAGUAAUUGUGUUGAUGAGAGGCCAUUUGACAAUUUGGCUGUUUGGCAAUUGUAAUAGUUGCCGUGACAAUAAACUCUCUCCCCAUUUCUUAUUUGGGCACAUUUGAUUUAUGAUUGAUCCCAAUGUGUCGGUAAUUUUUGUUAAUCUACUCGGUUUGAUGACUGAUUUUGUUUCAGUUUUAUGGUUGAAGGACCCCAUGAGUAGAAGUGCAUUGUAACCAAUAGUUUUACUUGUACCUGAAUGUGUUUGCAUAUUUAUGAUGCGGUAUAAUAGACUUCAGCAGUGCAAAAAUACAGUAUUUCUAUGGACGAAUAUAGCUUGAUAGUUUUCUUUUGAAUAUAGAAAUAUUGUAAAGAGGUCUACUUGAUAUGAUGAGCUUGGCUAUAUCCUGAUUUUUUCCACUGUAGUUGUUGAUAUCUAACUUCGUUAUAGAUAUAUGAUUAUCUUUCUCUCUUGAGAUAGUGAUUUUAUACUUACCUUUCUUCCUAUUCGUCCUUUGCAGAAGUUCAUUCUUGGUGGAAGAUUGAUAUUUGGGCCUGAUGCCAGGUCACUGCUUGUCACAUUGCUGUUGAUCAUUGCUCCAGUUAUCGUCUUUUGCGUGUUUGUCGCGUGGCACCUUCGUCAUGAAUUUCCAUCGUAUAAUGCAGGAUACACCAUUCUGGUGGUGGCGAUUGUAUUUACUAUAUAUGUAUGUCCCUUUGGCCUUAAUAAUUAUUUGGAGUCAUCUUUUUGCUGUCUUAUAAUUUCGAAAAAUAAACAAGAAAUAUUAUGUGCUUGACAAGUCCACAUGCACUUGGAAUAUAUGAUCAUGAAUGGGCAUCUGUUCUCUUUAGCACUUGCAAUAGAUUGUUACAUUGUUUGUGGAGUACCGGAGUAUCCCUGUUUUUUCUUCCAUUUGUCCGCAAAUAUUACUGUUGAUAGUUCUACAAAAUUUCUUUGGUAUCUUGUAUGAGCACAAUUAAUGAAUACGAGGUAUGUGAUACAAGGUGUUGUAGUGGUGUGUACGGUCAUGUUAGGUGAUUAUAUUUCAUUGUUAUAUCCAAACUCUAAGGAACAAAUAACUAUAUUUUUUUUAGCAAAUUAUGAACUGUAUAUGCCCUGUUUGAAUUUCUUAUAAAGGAAGCUCGGUUGAUACAACAUUAUUUAUAUCCUGCUAGCUAUGGCUAUUCUCAACAAAUUCUUCGUUCUCCAUUAAUAAUAAGGCGAUGAAUCAAAUUCAUGUGUUUUUGGAACAUGAAUUUUCGUCAGCCUCUGAAUUGUGUAUUAAAUUUUCGUCUUUUUUAUGGUUUUGUUAUUAGCUUUCUUAUUCGUAUUGUGUCUGUUUUUGAGGGUUGUUUUCACUGCGGUUCUCUAUCUACUGUUCUCCUAGGUUUUGGCAUAAAUUAAUUUUUUUAGUUAAUCUUGAUAGGUGUUGGUGCUUCUUUUUCUUACUUCAGCACGGGACCCUGGUAUUAUUCCACGAAACUCACAUCCACCUGAGGAAGAGUUCCGAUAUGAUUCUUCAGUGUCUGUUGAUGUUAGUGGAAGACCAGGGAGUGGUAAUGUUGGUGGAAGACAAACUCCAAGCCUUCAAUUCCCAAGAACAAAAGAAGUGAUGGUCAAUGGGCUUCCUGUAAGAGUGAAGUAUUGUGACACUUGUAUGCUAUAUCGCCCUCCUCGUUGUUCUCAUUGUUCCAUCUGCAACAAUUGCGUGGAGCGCUUUGAUCACCACUGCCCUUGGGUGGGGCAAUGCAUUGGCCAGGUACCUAAAUUUGCAAUACUUUGGUUGUGUGAUUUGUAUUACCCAUUACUAGUGUUUUGAAUUUCAGAGUAAUCCUUAUAUUCUAGUUUUGUAUUUACUCUAGCUUCCUUUCUCAAAUUGGCAUUUAUUUAGAAAUCUAACUAGGCAUUUGUACUAGAAACCUAAUUUCCUAUUAUGUAUGCAGUGCAACUAUCGGUACUUCUUUAUGUUCGUCUCUUCGGCAACUCUUCUCUGCAUUUACGUGUUCUCAAUAUCCGCUUUGUACAUUAAGAUUUUGAUGGAUGAUCAUCGAGGGACGGUUUGGAAGGCAAUGAAAGAAUCUCCUGUGUCAGUGAUACUAAUGGCCUAUUGUUUCAUUUCUCUUUGGUUUGUUGGUGGACUAACUGGCUUCCAUAUGUACCUUAUAGGUACCAAUCAGGUCAGACAUCAUCUUCUUGGUAUAUUUGUUGGGUAGCAUGCCAUCUAUAUUACUCUAGUUCAGGGCCAUGACCAAAGUGGUAGUAUUAAAUCCUUACGUGUCUCACAUGCUCUUGAUGAAAUUGACAAGGAUAUAACAUGUGUUAUCACCUAACCAUUGUUGAACUAACUGCAACAACACACACGUUGCAGCAGUAACCAGUAGUGAGAACAGAUAGAAGUACAUAACAUUAGAUGGAUCAGAGAUAAGACUGCCAUUAUUUGUCUUUUCCUUUUGUUUUUUGGUGUUGCUAAGUGUAAGAUGGGAGGUAUUAGAAUUUAGUCUUUGUGUUGUGGUUUCAAUGAUUGUAAGCACGCAAAAGCAUGCAUGUAAUAGUCUGGGUUGUGCAUGUGGUGGAGUUUCACCAGUACUUGCUGGAAGCAAAUAACUUCUUUGAUCUUAUUAGGUCUUUGAUCUAAAUAAGUCAAAGUUUUAUUGUAUUAUUCAGAUAGCUAAAUGCCAUUCUGCUAAAAAGUGUAAGCAUUUUGGAUAUGAUUGAAAUUAUGCAAGGCAGGCUUUGCAUGUAAUAGUCUGGGUUGUGCUUUUGGUGGAGUUGCACCAGCGCUUCUCUUACAAAAUGUACAACAUCAGGAAACAAAUAGCUUAUUUGAUCUAAAUAGGUCAAAGUUUUAUAGUAUUAUUCACAUAGCUAAAGAGUGUGCAGUUUGGAUAUGAUUAAAGUCAUGCGAAGCAGGCCUGCAGUAAAUUUAGUGUGUUUGGUGGAGGUUUUCCACUGUCUUGCAAAUUGUGUGACACCCUGAGAACAAAUCUACUCUCUUACUAUACAUUGCAAAUGUACAAUUUGCUAAUGCAACAUGUACUAAAAGUAUGGACAUUUUGCUGAUCAACAAAGAUUUGUGCUUGUUUGGUAUUUUUCUGUGGGGGCAAUGGCUGAAGAUAUAUGCUCCUGCCACCCCAAUCUUGUAAAACCUGUAGAAAUUGGAGAAAAGGAACAGGAAAGUCAAAGGAACCUGGCAAUACUAUUUACUUGUGGGGGUCUGUGGUUACUUAAGGGGCUUCAUAGAUUUAUGUGGGGGUCUAUGGUUACUUUAAGGGGCUCCAUAGAUGUUUGAUAAGUAUAAUGAGCCCUUGGUCAACAGUUUUAAUAGUUCAGUCAUUGCUUUGAGUCUUUGACCCUGUUCUUGGUAUACCAUACACAUUUCUUUCAUGUUACUGAUUUUAUUUCUAUUUUUUUGCAGACUACAUAUGAGAACUUCAGGUACAGAGCGGACAACAGGAUAAAUGUUUACAACCGUGGCUGUGUAAAUAACUUUCUAGAAGUAUUUUGCUCAGAAGUAAAACCCUCACGGAAUAACUUUCGCGCUUUUGUUGAAGAGGAAGUGCAAAGGCCUCCCCCUUUGCCCACUGCACGGGAAGCAGAACCUGAUGAUUCGGGUGGGGAUCCACGGUCAAAGGUAGAGGACGAUUUGGAUAUUGGUGAAGAUCUGUUGAAGAUCUCACAGCGUCGUAAUAUUGAAGAGAUUGACGAAGACAUACGCAGUAGAGGGAGCAAUGGACCGCAUAAUGCCUCAGAGGCAGACUCUGUUCUUGGUUCAGAUCACCGCGCUCCAAUCAUUCGAGCUGAUGCCCGACACUCGAGUUGGGGAAGGAGUGGGAGCUGGGAAAUUGCACCAGAUGUCCUUGCCAACGAAAAUGUCACUGAAAGUAGAAGUCAUGUCACUGCGCAGGAUGCAUGUCAAUGAUGAGUAGUUUGUGUAAUUGAUCUUUGAGAUGGCAUGCAUUUGGUGAUCUCUGAGUAUUGGAUGUUCAUUUCCAGGGUUGGGGUUGGGACAGAAAAAUGCCAUUGACAAGAGACUUAAAAUUAUGUCUGAGGGAGUUGAAUGUAUUCCCUGUAGGUGUAAAACGUAGAUUAUUUUUUGUUGUUGUGAGAUUGCUUGUUUUGAUUUAUUUCCUAUAGAAUAGGAAGGUGUGUUUGUAAUGGUUUUGGGAAUGAAGGAAGGGGAUAGUGUCAUGGCCAUUUUUCAUAUAAUAUUCUUUUCCGUUUUCACACUUUCGAUACGUCUACAUAACCCAAUCAAAGCUGAUUCUUUGCUUUUUCAAAGAUCCGUAAGGCAUAUAAGUUGGAUGUUAGUUUCCAGGGUUGUGUGGUUUGUCAUAUCAUCUUGCCAUCGGUUGAUCUUAAUUUAGCUAUUUUUUGUAUGAGCUUUGUUUCUUCGCACGGUUCUCAGAUUUGAACUCUAUGCCAUAGUGUAGACAGGCGAGUAUUAAGAAUUGAACUGUGGCAGAUGGGUUGUAGAAGUGAAAAGCUUAAUCCCCAUGCUAUAUAUAUACUACAGGUUGCUAUGUCUUCUUUUCCGGUCUGCAUUAUGGCUUCAUUUUGUUGUUCUGCGAGAAUCAGCUCUUUGUUUGGUUAGACGAUGCAUAGUAUAAGUUUCACCAUUUACCGGUUAUCAUUGUUUGUUCUCGGGGUAUUGGUUUCAGGUCUCUUCUGAUGAAUAGAUAUCUAGAUGGUCAGAAAAGAUUUUCUUUCCUCACUUACUUUUGGUGUCAAAUAUUUGGCUUUGCGUCAAUGGUUCACCAGCUUAACUAUUUAUCAUUAAUCUACCAUCCUUGGAAGAUAAAACCAAAUUACAGCACGACUGAUGAUCUGGGAACUGAAAGAUUGGCCUCCAAGAUGCUCCUUCUGAACUUUGUUAGCAUUUGCGAAUGAUCACCACAGAUUCAUACAUGAACUGUGCACACCGUUGGAUAGGUUAUGGGCGUUAUGCAUUUUCGAUGUACGCAUAUUGUUACAUAGGUUAUGGCUGUUAUGCGUUUCGUUUAGUUCUGUCGAGCAAUGACUGCCUUUGAUCUCUCUUCUACAUUGGAUGAAAUAUGAUAGCUUGAUCUUAGGAAAUUAUUUAGUAACUAAUCAUUUAUCAAGUGUUUAUAGUUUGAAAUUAGCUGCUGCUCUGACGAACUUCAAAAUCCAUAAUUUAAAUUCCAGUGUGUGAAAUUUUAAUGUAUUGCACUUGGAGGGACAUUCCACAAUAAACAGAUCAAAACCAGAAAUUAAUCCGUAUAGACAUGAGCAAGGGACGAGCCCCAGUAGAGCUGUUAAUGAAGUUCCUAGCCAUUCUUCAUUUGAUAACAAAAACCAAAAUACAAAGUAAUCUGAUGCUAAAUAGUUUAACAUGUAAAUCGAACUCUCUUCUACAUCUUCCAGUUGUCUGUAAUUCUGUAUGUCAAUUUUUUUUCAUAACUAAAAUGAAUCUAAGAGACUAAGAUUCACCUAUUGGGGGUUAAAACCAAGCAUAUAAGAAGGAAUCACAUGAACCAAAAAGGGAUUCUUUAAGAUGAAUCUAUAAUACCAAAUGACAAAAAUACUUGUAGUUCUUAUUCUGAUCGAUCGCCGAAGCAUAGAAACAUCAUAAAUAUCAUGAAAUAAAGCGUUUUCAAUUAACUUAAUAAAGAUUAUCGGUGAUAACACCUCCUAUGCUACUAUACAAGUAGAGGCCAUUGUUUAUUGAAGAUAUCUCAGGAACUUGAACACCACCUUGUUUCAGCCAAGUUUCGCAGAGAUGAAUAUCAUCGAUAACUGCCAUUGUAAUGUCAUAGUUGGCAGUCAUAGGGUCCUCGUUCAGCUCCAUUUUAGCACUUUGGAAGGCCAACAUGGCAAGUCUGUAUGCAUCUGCACAUUGUUUAAUGGCUUCGCUGGGAUUGGUUUUGAUCAAUCCUGUCACGAAAGCUUGGCUGUCUUUUGCAUACGCUAUUGCUAAAUCCAAAGCAAUUGGAGCAAGCUCUUUGUAGUCGGAUGCAGAUGCAGUCCGAGGAUCGGACUCGAGAGCUUUCAAGCAUUCUGAACUGCAUGUUGCGGGUUUGGUUGCAUACAGUUUCUACGAAUCGAGUCGAUGCAAGUGUUGAUGAAGGGGAUGACAAAAGGAAAAGCAAACAAGCAAAGAACAUGGUUGGCAGACAACCUAGUGGAGACUUCAUACUGUAUAUAAUAUAAAUGGUGAAAAUGUUGGUGGUAUAAAUAGGGUUUAUCAGAGGUUUGAAUUCAUAGAAUUUGGUUCGCAAUUACUAGUCAGUUCAUGUAAAUGGCGAAAAUGUUGGUGGAAUAAUAAGGUUGAUCAGAUUUGAUUGAUCAGGUUCUUUUUUUCGAUAAACUUUGAUUGGUCAGGUUUGAGUUCAUAGAACUUAGUUCGCCUACAAAUCAGGUCAUAAAUUCAUAAAAUUCAAUUAGUCCUUCAAUUAGCAAUUACGUAUUGAAUUCAUACGAUUUAGUUAGCAAUUACUGGAAAUUCUUGUAUGCACGACUUGUAUUUUCACGACGCAAUCUUAACCGUUCAUAACAAUUAAUAUGUUUGACUACCAUGUUUCUAUAUUAUUUCCUCUAAUCCUGAUCAUCUAUGUAUGUAUGUGAAGAUACACGCCGUGUACUAAAAAUGCAUUAAUGACAAUUACAUAUUGCCGCGGCUAUGAUUGCCAAUUUGCCACCAUAUAUAUUAAUUUCAGUACUAGAUAUUUCACCUAUUUAUUUAGUCAUAGAUAUCCUCAAAUUAAUGACAUAUCCAUCUAAAAAGGUUUUUUUUAAUGAAAAUAUCUCAUUUGAUUAUACUAAUUAGCCUACUACCAUUUGGUCUAAUGGCAUAAUAUCUUUUUCGUAAGUGAGAGGUUGUGACUUGUGAGUUCGACUCACGAUAGACAAGUUGUACUAUUCGAGUUGGGGGAAGGCUAAGGUGUGUUGAUGCAUGACAUGCAUCAACUUUUUUCUAAAUGCAUGACAUGCAUCAACUUUUUUUUAAAGAUGAAAAAUAAGUCAUUAGACUUGUAAUAUGAGACUUUAAAGUUGUAAAAUUUUAACGGAUCGAUUUGCUUGAGGUUUGUUGGGAUGGUGUCUUGGAGCAUCGGUCUAGGCCCUUGUCGGCAGUGUUGAGGAGGUGACCGAGAUCCAGUUUGGUUACAUCGUUCGAAGGGUAGAGACUCUGAGAAGGUGAUUAAUAUUGAGGGUUGGGCUUAGUUCAAAGGGCAGCGGCAUCUGCUGAUCGAGUCGAGCUAGCAAGUCGGGUCGCCUUCUAGGCUCUUGUACGUUAUGGCGGUGGUACGCAUACUUCCGCAUGGCUCGCCGGUCCAGCUGGAUUGAGAGAAGGACCUUGUAAAGUGAGCUUGAGCCUCUACUGGGUUGGGUCAGUUUUGCAGCCCAUCAAUUGGGCCCUUUGGGUCCAGAUCUCCUUUUUUCUUUAUUUAGCUUGGGAUGGUUUGGGCUUGGUUAGUAUGUCUCAUUUCUUGCGUUAUUUUUGUCUGAUGUAUGGUACUAGGAUGUUGUUUGAUUUGUCAAAACAUACACGAAUUGCGAUCUUAGACAUCUAGAGGAACAUUACAGUGGUACCAUAUUUGGGUCGAUGUGGGGUUUUUGGGAUGUUAUUAUUUUUUAUUUUUUCUGUUAUGUAUAUUUUCUGUAGCUCCUUUAGGCUUUAUCUUUUGUGCUAGUUAAUGAUCCAAUAGCAUUCGACAAUUAUUGGUUCGAAUAGGAUUGUAUGCAUUUGAGAUAGAGGAUGAUUUCAAUAUUAGUGAAGAUCUGUUGAAGAUCUCACAACGGCGUAAUAUUAUAGAGAAAGAUGAAGACAGACACAGUAGAGGGAGCAACAGACCGCAAAAUUCCUUAGAGACAGACUCGUUCUUCGUUCAGAUCACCACACUACAACCAUUCGAUCUGAUGCUCGAUGCUCUAGUUUGGCAUUUGUUUUAUAAUUGGUAGAUCUAGUAUUUGUAAAAAUAUUCUUUCACCUUGUCUGAUAAAAGAUAUUGGGUGCGUCUAUUGCCACCCCACAAACUACUUUGAUCACCCCACACGUUGUUGAUUUAUUGAAUGACUAAUAUACCCUAACGUAAAAUUACAACAAGGGACAAUAAGUUGUUACAAAUUAUAAUUUUUUUUUUAGAUAAACACAUACUUCAUAAAUCUUAACCCAUAAAUUAUCAUAUUCGAUCUUUCUAUAAAGUCUGAAGAAGACACUAGCAUUCAACUGAAAAUGAGAUGAACUGUUUGUAUUUUUUUUCUUUGUUGAUGUUUCGUUUAUGUCUUUACUCAUUAUUUCUCAUAUCAAUUUUGUAUGUAAAUUUUCAUGUAUAGUCGCUCACUUAUAUAUAUAUAUAUAUAUAUAUAUAUAUAUUACGUUUAAUUUUUUUUUAUUGGCAUCAGAGCUUUUUUUCAAGUAGUGGUUACAGACAUUAUGCAUCUUGCUAUCGACAUAUACCAAUGAGUUGUUAAGUUUGAGAAUUUUUUUUCUUGUUCUUUAAUUGAGAUUUAUAUUUUAAUGUGAUUUUUAUUGUUUAGUUUGUGAUUCCACUUACCAAAAUGAUAUAAAUCUUAUGGUUUUCUUCAAUUUCAUUUUGUUUUUGGAAUUCAAUGGCUAUUAGAAGAGGAUGAUAUUGUGUGUAUUGCAAAUCGGUGAAUAAAGUAAAUUAAAAAUUAAAAAUUAUAUAAGCGGGGUAAGAAGAGAUCGAAUGUAGGGUGAACAAAGUAAAUUUGAAAUUGAAAAAAAUAUGUAGGGUGAAAAAAGAAUUUAGGGUGAACAAAACAAAAAUGAGAAAAGGGUAUUUUAGGUAUUGUAAACGGAUGAAAAAAGUAGACUUACAAUUAAAAAUAUAUAAAUGGGGUGUGAAGAGAACGUGGGGUGAACAAAAUGGUUUGUGGGGUGACAAUAGACACACCCAAGAUAUUUUCAUGUCACACGAUCCAUAUUACUCAUAAUUCGAGUUCUUAUUAAAUAUUCGGUAAUGCUAUGUAAUAAAAUUACAAAAUGAAAAUUGAUAAGAAAAAUAUUAAAGAAUGAGAUCCAUUAGUUUUGAAUUGGAAACUAUCUAAGGACUAAAUAUAAUAUUUCAUUUUAAUAUAAUUAAUAGUCAUUAUGUAUGCUCUAAAAAAAUAGUCAUUACGUAAAAGAUAUCUAUUUUUUUUCAUCACUUAUUUUUGGCAUUGAUUGUUCGGCUUGGCCUCUAACGGUUCACCAGCCCAACUAUUUCAUAUUGAUCUAGCAUCCUUCAAAAAGAAAACCAAAUUACAACAGAACGAUAUGUGUAGUAUGAAACAUUUACGUCAAAUUGCAGAAGUUUUUAUAUAGAUAAAGCAUAAAUUACAUUUAUUCUUGAGCUAUUUAGUACUCUAUUAAGUCCAUUUCACACUAGAGGAGUCUUUCGGCCACAACCCAGAAGUCAUAAAUGGCCCCAAGGAUGCUCCUUAAGAACCUUCUUAGCAGCUAGCACUUGCGAAUGAAAGUGAAACAACCACAGAUUCAUAUGAAGAUGCACACCUAAAUUAAAAGAUAAAAUAAUAAUAAUAAUAAUGAGGCUAAAUAGUAAAUAGUAUUUAAAAUGUAAAUAACUAAACUAAAAGAAAAACAAAAAACAAAAAAAAAUAUCUCACCAAAUGAUAAAAUACUUGAUUAGUUUUUAUUGUUAUUGAUUCACGAAGCACAGAAACAUCAUACAUAUAAUGGAAUAGUUCUAGCUUUUUCAAGCAUAAAGCUUAUCAGUGAUAACAUCUCCAAUGUUACUGUAUAAAUAGAGGCAGGCCCGGACCUGAGAUUUUCAGGCCUGAGUCGAACUUUCAAAAUUAGGCCCUCAAAGUAUAGUAUUUAUACAAUUUUAUUUUCUCAUUUUAAGAAACACACAAAAAAUUCACGAACUAAAGUUAUAUAUAAACUCAAAAUCUAACAACAAAAAACAUUCUAUUAAAAAUCAUAUUUAUGUAACAAAUCUCUUACUUAGGCUGCUAAUUUUUCUAAAAUAGUAAUUAAUGAUUGUAAUAAUGGGUAAGAUUUUAUAUUCAUUUUUCUCUUUUGUAAUCUUUUUGUUUUUUUUUAAAGAAGGGCCAGUGCGGCUCUCUUUUGUAAUCUAACACCACCCUAAUUGGAUUUAUUAAUUAUUUUUUAUUGUUUUUAACUAAACUAAUGUAAUCACACAAAAAGAAAAGAAAAUUUUGGGUCCCUUAAGGUUAUGGCCCUGGGUCCAUCGACUCUUAAGACUCUAUUCAGGUACUGGUCUGAGUGGAGGAGAUGGUUUAUUGAAGAUAUUGCAGGAACUUGAACACCACCACGUUUCAACGCAGCUUCGCAACUAUCAAUAUCGUCAGUAGCAGCCAAUGUAACGGCAUAGUUGGCCGACAUAGGGUCAUCGUUGAGGUCCUUUUUGGCACUCUGGAAGUCCAACACCACAUAUUUGUACGCAUCUGCACAUUGUUUAACUGCUUCACUUGGAUUGGUGUUGUUUAAUCCCUUCACGAAAGCUUCACUGUUUAUUGCAUACGUUAUUGCUAAAUCCAAAGCAAUUGGAGCAAGUUCCUUGUAGUUGGAUGCAGCUACAAUCCGAGGAUCAGACUCGAGAACUUUGAAGCAUUCCGAAUUAUUAGUGGUUUGAUUGCAUACAGUUUCGACAAAUCGAGUUGUUGCAAUUGUUGAUGAAGGAGAACACACAAGAAAAAGCAGAAAAGCGAAGAACAGGGUUGGCAGAAAACCUAGUGGAGACUCCAUAUUGUAUAAUAUGAAUAGUGAAAUUUUUGGUGGUAUAAAUAAGGUUUUUCUUAGUUGACCGGUCGGGUUAGAAUUCAUAGCAUUUAGUUAGCAAUUACAUAUCGUGGUCAGUUUUGCGUUCAUACAAUUUAGUAGCAAUUACAUAUUUGUGGUUUCAUACAUUUUAGUUUGCAAUUACAUAUUUGUGGUCAGGUUUGAACUCACAAAUUUUUUUUAGGAAAUAAAUAAUUGUGGUCAGCUUUGAAUUUUUAGAAUUAAGUUUGCAAUUACUUAUGGGUUAUGCUAUUGUCACCUUGCAUUUAAUUUCAAUACUAAAUUUACUUAUUUCAGCCUCUCUUUUUUUCCAUAGAUUUUGGAGGACACUAAAAUGUAUACAUGUGAGUUUUAAAAUAUUGACAUUCUCAAAUAAAAUGUAUAAGCCCAGUACUAUUUGAACUAGUGGCAUAGUCUCCCUUUUAUAAGUGGGAGGUCGUGAGUUCAACUCAUAAAAGACUCGUUGUUUAAUUGAUCAAAAAAUUAAAAAAAUGUAUAGUGAGAUGUUGUAGGUUUCAUAUGGGGAAGGCUAGGGUGUGUUGCAUACUAUGUAUAGCUUCAAUUUUGUUUUUGGGAUGCUUAGAGAAUCUUUAACAAACUCUGUACUUUAAUUCCUUAACUAUUUUAGAGAGCGUGUUUAGCUUUUUUAGAUAUUUUAGGAGCUCCAACAGACUAAUCAAACUUAAGCUAUUAUGACUUUUAGCUAUCUCGCUAGCUAUAUUUAGCUAGCGAGAUGACUUAGAUGAGGCUAGCUAUAAUUUAAUGCAUUCCUUGUAAGAUAUCUUAUGUGAUAUAUAAAUAUAUUUAAACUAUUUAAUUUCUAUUUGAAGAAUAAUGUUGAUGUAAUGCUAGCUAAAAUAGAGAGCAUUGAUGCAGCCACAUUUCUAAAGUGACUAGCCAAAAUGACAUUUUAGCUAAUUUGAAUAAAAUUUAACUUAAAAAUGGCUAGCAUUGCUAAAGAUGCUCUUAAAGGCUUUAUUUAGUUAGCUAUCUUUAGUUCGAUUAUUUGGUUAUUCUAGAAAAAAUUGUCUCAUUCUCAGUCUUAUAAGUAUCCCAUUUUGUUUUUCUUGUUUGAAAAGGUUUAAGGUUAACUACAUUUUAGUUCUCGUAUCUCAAUUUUGAAAAUUUAGCCCUAAAUUUUCUAAUUUUCAUCAGCUUUGCUCAUUUGCUAAGAUCCCGUCAAAUUUAAACGUUAAUUUAGGCUUUACGGUUCACUUUAAAGAAAACAAUCAUUUGACGACACAAAUCACACCUUAUAGCCCAAUUUCUAAGAUCUCAUGUUAGCAUUUAACGUCCAAAUUAGACAGAAUCUUAGCAAAUAGGCACGACUUAAGAAAACUUUAUAAUUCAGGGGGUAAAUUUUUAAAAUUAAGAGAACGAGUACUCAAAUGAAGUAACCCCAAACCUCAAGUGGGUAAAUUGUGGGAACCUAAACAAACUGAAUUUAAUCCUUUUUUAAAUUUCCUAAAUCAAUUUCAAUAUUCAUCUAUGCAUGUCAAAGAUUUGUAAGUUCACAAAUGAGAGCAACAAAGAGGAGAAUGAUUUUGGCGUUUAGCGCCUACUGGCCUAGGUGUAGGGUUGAAGGGUUUGGUAAUGGGCUGGGCUUUUGGCUUCAGCUCACUUUCCCUCCGCUCCCUACCUUAGGAUUUUUUUGGGUUGGGCUCUUAGUUGGGUUCAUUGCGGGUUGGUUCAUGAUCUUUACUCAAGGUUGUUUACUGUUGUGACGCAUGGUGGGGUACGUCAUAUCAGUCUUUAGGUCCCUAGCUCUUCAUGACAGAUGCGUAGAAUUUGGGUUGUGUUUGGAAUAAAUUAGUUAUUUGUUGUCUUUUUGGUUUUAGGGUUUGAUUGUAUGUCUUUCCUUUAGGCCAAUUUUACUACAUUGGCAUUUUUCAAUGAAGUAUAGUUCAAUAUUGGAUUCAGUAUUUAUAGAGAUCUCUAUAUUCCUAAAGAAUGGAUCUUACAUUGAGACAUCUGUGAAUGAAACUAAAAAUUCAGAAAUAUUCUCAUGAGACGGAUUUUAAGUAUCACUGAUCAAUGGAUCAGGUUUUCCCCAAACUUGCAAUCUUCCUUGGGCGAGUAAUUAUCAAACCUAAGGGUCUCCCAUCUUCCUUUGCAACCACGGGCUAUGACACCAUUUUGCCACUUUAUGGCGUCACCAUGUCAUCAUCUGUGGUGGCGGCGUCAGCACCAAUUUCAUUAGGUGAUGCCAUGUUCUUUUGAUAGGACAUCAAUCCCUAGAGACAUGUUUGUCGCAUGUAUAUAUAUGAUCUCAUCAAUUGAACACAUUAGGCCUCAAGUAUUCUACGCACUUUACUUUGUGUGAAUUUUGGGGAUCAAGAUGAGAUAUAGUGAGGAUCAAUCACGACAAUUUCUAUCGAUCUACUUGAACAUUCUUGUUCUUAUCUUCCCUUAAUGACAAGAAAACUAUCUUAUCAAAGUGACAACACAAGAUCAUAUGUUAAGGUUUCUACAUAAGUAGACUAUAAUUGGAGGUUCAUACCCAGAAUAAAUACUUAUUCAUCUUAAAUGAACCCAAAUUGCGUGUUGUGGCGGUGCAAUUUAGCACAUAGAAACAUUCCGCCGGUAAGGACUGCAGAUCCGUUUACAAAUCCUUCCGGUAUCAAGGAUUGUAAAUUCGUUCACAAUCCUCAUACAUAGUCACUAGUUAUAGUGCAAAGUUGGCAAAGAGAAACUCAAUGAUGGUAAGUCAUAGAUGAAUUAGUAAAGCUGCAUGCAGUAUUGUAUAACCUCAAACAGAAGUAUAGAUGCACAUUUACCAAUAUUGAGACUUGCGAUUAUUAUCAUAGUUAUUUUCCGCGAGACCGAUUGUGUUAUAAAUAUCAAUUCUAGAUGAUAUGCAAUAGUAAUCAAUCCUUUGAUGAAAAACUUCUCUAGCACUUUCAAGUCAAAUGACAAAAAAUGGGUAGUGAGUUCGUUUUUACUCUGAGUUGGAAGCAACAUAAGUAGUGGAUGAACACGUUACUAGUGUGUCUACACAUCAACCAACACCGUAAAAACAUUUAAGGUGUUCGUAAGUUGUUGUAUUAGUUCACAUAAUCAUUUUUGGAUUUGUUGUAAGAAUGUAAUGUUUUCUUUUGUAUCUUUAGCAUAGGAGGGUCGCUCCUAGUUUUACUAACAUAACAGACAUUAUAAAACGAACAAUGAGCAUUGGAGAUAACCAAUGAAACAUCAUGGGAAGAUUGUUGCGCAACUAUUGCUUUAAAAGGAAAAUUGGAUGUCUCCAUUACGUUGGAGAUGAGCUUAAGUUGUGUUGGAACCACCUUAAGGCUGCCACGCUUCUUUGUGGCGCCUUCAUCUUGUUUAUGGUGUUGUUUCCCAAAAAUUUACAUUUUGUGCUAAAGAAAAAAUGUCCGUACGAAUUCUUCAGUAUACGGAUCAUCAUAUCACGUCUAGGAUGUUCUAGACGAUCAUGCCAAACCCUAUAUAUCAGUGUCCCAAAUUGAUUCAUUGGUGAUAACUUAAGAUUCAAUGACCCUAAUAAGUGAGAUACAGUCUACUAUAUUGACUCAUAAGUUUCUCUAAUAUGCAGUUUCUUCCACGUCCAUUAGAGGGAGAUACAUAAAAACGUUUUUUCCAUUAUUAUAAUGAGUUUCCAAAUGAAAACUGUUGGCGCAAAUGUUUUUAAAACGUAGCACGGUUCGAUUACUUCUUAGUGCAUAAAGAGCAUCGAUGACUUGGAUCAUGGUGCCAUGAGGCAAUUAAAAAUAACAAUGUCGCGCCCUUGUAUUACUUGUGAUGAUAUGAUCAUUGUAGUCAUCAAGGAAUGAUAAGGCACUAAAUCCACAAAUGGUUGCCUAUUCCUUCUAUUCCUCGGAACUAUGUGAGUAGUCCCACAGUCAGCUAAGCAUCUAAUUUAGAGAUAUGGUAUUAUAUGUAUAAGACAUAUAAGUCGAAAAAGACUCUCAAGUACUUUACAUAACUAGUAGUGUUUAGUUUGUUUAGGUGUGUCCAUAUAUAUACAUAGUCCUAUAUAUGCUGAAUUUAAUCUGGUUGCUUUCAGUUUUGUUUAUUUGUGUUUAGUAGGAGAGUCUUAGCCUAUAACCAAGACCUUGCCCAAUACCCGAUUACAAAAGCCAAACUCAUACUUGAAAUAGCUUUAAAAAAUUUGUUGUAGAAAGUCUUGAAGAACUGUCUUCUCUUCUACACUGCCUUAUUCUUCUUGUGAUGCUUCCCAAUCUGAAAACAUUUUUGUAGCUGCCUUCAGAAAAGCUUAAAUAAUAGCAACCGUCAUGGUUAAGCAGAGGUAUUAAAAUCUUUUGGAAACAAGUUCUUAGUUGAUGAUUCUUGAAGCAUAUGUUAGAACUUGAAGGAAUAGAGCCUAUAUUAGAGGCAAGUCUUUAAUUAAAAUUUCAAUAAAUAAAUUUAUUUUCCUUUUAUGUUUUCAGAUAAAAUAAAUAAUAAAAUCCAACUGUUUUAUCAACUGUUGCAAGUUGCAACUGUUCAGCUCAAAUUGAAUUGAGCUUGUCGAAAAAAUUAAAUUAAAUUGAGAGAGUAACAAGGAAGAAGAAAAACAAGAAACAUAUCUGCUAGGGAUGAGUAGUGUCUGUGUUUUCCUUCUGCUUUCUCUGCUGCCGUUUCAGGUCACCUGCUGCUUUCGCCAACCACCACCUACGGGCAGAUCCAGGAAAUGAAAUCAGGUGGGACUUAGACUUUUCAAUAUAGAAAAGAAUUGGACGGUAAGAGAGCAAUUUAUCCAUUAUAAAGAAAUGUACACCUAGACAUGGAGAACGUAGUUACGCCGCUCGAAUACAUGCUUAUACAAAACAAGAUUCAUAAAACUUUCUAUGUAACUAAAAAAAACUAAAUAGAUAUGUCACAUGCAACACAAAUAUAUAGAUGUGAAACCUAGUUCAACUAAUUAAUAUUAAAAAAAAAAUUAAGAAUAGUACAUGACAAAUAGUUUACUCCUAAUUUUGGUGUUUCAAGUUUCAAAACAAUCAUAAAGGUACAUGAACUUAUAAUCUCAACCAAAAAUAUGUACAUGCCGUUAUGUUUUCCGUUAUCUUAUGUGCUUUCCGUUCAAAUUUGAGGGACAAAUCUGUCACUCCCUAAUUUAACAGUAAUAAAUUAUUAAAAUUAAUAAUUACUAAGAAGAGAGAAAUCAAAAAGAUCCAAUUUUCAUUUCUGAACUAGUAAUAAAUUUUUUUGAGGAGCAGCAAACUCAUUUUUUAGCACAGAAGAUCUAAUUCUCAUUGUUGAACUAGUAACAAAACAACAAUUUCUGGAAGACCAAAAUUAAAACAGAAAAUGGAAUAGAGUGAUUUACUUGCAGACAAUAAAGUCAUUAAGAUUAUGGUCUGAGUUAACAAAAUUUAAAAAAUAUAUAUAUAUAAAUAGAAAAAUUGUAAAAAAAAUAUAAAGAAAAGGUAGAAUGGAGAAAACUCGAAAUCACCCUUUGAAAAUUAAGAAAUUACAUAGAGUUAACGGCGUUACGGACGUCAUGUACUAAAAAUGUGUCGUGAUUCUAAUGUCAUGUACAUUUAUGAUUGUUUUAAAACUUGAAACACCAAAAUUAGGAGUAGACCAUUUGUCAUGUACUGUUCUUAAAAUUUUCCUUAAAAAAAAAGGCCAAUUACAUAUAAGUUCACUUUGAGACAUUUUUUCCCACAUAAAUCCACCCCAACAUUUUUACCCACAUAAGUCCACCCAAGUCUAAAUAAAGUUUUGUAUUAAGUAUUAAAGUUCAACAUAAUUACAGACUGCCAUCCAACAAAAAAAAUUAGAUUUUCUCCUUUAUAUUUACAAAAAUGCCACUAGUAUAAAAAGUCAACAACCACUCUCAUUUCGGAACAGUCUCCGGCAGACCUCCGGCGAGAUUUCCAGCGGACCUCCGGCGAAGUUUCCGGCCGACCUCCGGCGAGAUUUCCGACUGGCCUCCGGCGAGGUUUACGGCCGACCUCCGACGAUGACAAAAAUUACUACUACCAGCUAAAAAAGCUACUACCACCAGCUAUAAAAGCUACUACCACCGCUUACAAAAGCUACUACUGUGAGGUUUCCGCCGAACACAAAAGCUACUGCCACCAGCCUCAAAAACUACUACCACCGCCUACAAAAGCUACUACCACAGCCUACAAAAGCUACUACUCUGAGGUUUUCGACGAACACAAAAAAUACUACCACCAGCCACAAAAGCUAUUACCACCGACUACAAAAAGCUAUUAUCGCCAUCAACAAAAACUACUAUCCCUAUAUACAAAAACUACUACAACCAGACAAAAGCUAUUGCCCCCAUCAAUAUAAGCUACUACCGUUACCAAUAAAAACUACUAUUGUAACUAACAAAAACUACUACCGGCAUUGACAAAAAUUACUACAAGAUAUUUCCAUAAAAACAAACAAACAAUUAUUAGAAGAUUAAAGCUUAAGCAUAAACACUUUCCAGAAACUCGAAAAAGUAAUCGAACAAGAACACAACAUUCGAAUUGUAGAAUAACAACCCUCUACAAAUCCAAUUCCAUAAUCAAAUAGAAGAAACCAGAGAUCCAUCCCUAAUUCCCAAAAUUUCCUUCAAGUCAUCGACCAGAUCUGGUGCUUCUUGAUCGGAAUCCAUCGACGUGAUCGCGUACUUCUCAAUUGGAGUUCGAUCUGUUUCGGCCCAGUCAUCAUCUUCCUCAACGAGAGCCUCCGGCAACGUCGAGCAUCAUGCAGUCGAGGACUAGGGGUCUUCAUCAAGCCGGCGGCAGACGAAACCAACGCCUUCGUUAGAGAUCUCACCUCCGUCAAGACUUUGACGUCGGCGGCAUUUUCAAAGCGGCGGUGUCUUUCGACGAAGAGAGAGAGAGAGAGAGAGAGAAGGACUUCCUUCUUUUUGGGGCUGGAAGGCUGUUCUAGCUAGACGAACGCGACUGUAGCUUCCUAUCAAAACCAAAGCCAUACACAGGAAGCAAAACCUCAAUCAGUUACUAAUUCCGAUGCCGGCAAAGCUAGGAGAACCAAAAUCCAGAGGGAAAAGGACUUACUCGGAGCGAUUUGACGACGGAGUCCUUGUUAGGGCGGGUUUGACGGCGGAGCUGGUUGCCGAUUUGGUGACGAGUUGUCUGUGUGUGAUUAUGGACGAGAGAGAGAGAGAGAGAGAGAGAGAGAGAGAGAGAGAGAGAGAGUGUGUGUGUGUGUGAUUAUGGACGAGGGAGCUGAUUGUGGAUGAGAGAGUAAGGAGGGUAUUUUAGGUAUACUACAAUACUGGAGUUGGUGGAUGUAGGCUUAUAAGUGGACUUAUAUGGGUAAAAAAUUUAGGGUGGACUUAUGUAGAAGAAAAUGUCUCUAGGUAGACUUAUAUGAAAUUUUCUAUAAAAAAAAUAUGUAUUUAUAUAGCAAUUAACCUCACUUCCUGUGAGUGAGACUUUGAGCUGAAUAAGUAUCAAUAAUUCAAUAUAACAUUCUUUUCAUAAGCAAAUUACUUAAUUACAUGUGGUAUUUUUUUUAUUUUUUUCUUCAAAAAUUUUGAGUGGGACUUAAGUCCCAAAUUCUAACAUACUAGAUCCGCGCCCCAGCUGACCACCUCUUUCCAUCUCAAUCUGUGCCUACCAAGGUAGGUGAACAACGAAUCGUGAUUCACGCCAAGCCUGGUCAUCUAUUAUCCAAUAAUUAUAGCACCUGUCAAAUAACUGUUGUUACCAAAUUGGAACAUUGGCUGACACGUCAGGCCAAAAAUAUGUUGACGCUUUCCUUUUUGGAGAGUGGGAAGGUUGGAUCGUUGAUCCUUCUUUUAUAUGAAUUAAUAAGCACGAUUUUGCAACGUGUCAUCUGGGCAAAGCAAAUGAGGUCGUGUUCUCGACCAACAAAGUGACCACCAAAGCUUUGGAUCAUUAAGGAGACUUCAGGUUCAAGUAAGUCUUUGUUUUUCUCGUUGUUUAAUUAAGAAUUGGCCUUACCCGAGAUGAACAAAAAGCAAUAUAAACAUGCAUCGAUCUAACACGUUUUCUCCUUUUCUGUGUUACAAACUUGUAGAGAGAAUUUGAUCAAAAAAAGGAAAUAAAAAAAAUAAAAACUUAGUAAUGAGAAAGAGGUAGAGCUUUACUUCAAAAAAAAAAAAAAAAAAAAGAAGGUAGAGCUACAUGAAAUGAAUCAUGAUUAUUUGAUCACAAUACUAUCAAGUAGUUACGGAUGAUAACGUACUCCUUGACAAUAUAACAAUGCAUGUUAAUAUUCUGAGGUAAGGGUAGGUUGUGUUAAUACAUGUCAUGCAUUAAUUUUGUCCAAUAGUUGUAAAAUGAGUCUUCAAAGUAGUAAUAUUAAUCCUUAAAGUUGUAAUAUGAGUCAUUAAAAUUGUACAAAAAUUAGUUACAACAUUAUUGCUCAUGUGUUUUUGAAGUGGUAGUUGAAUCCUCAAAGUUGUAACACGAGUCUUCAAUGCGAUAAGAAAGAAGUUUUAUCACAUUGAGGACUCAAUUACCACUUUAAACACACAUUUUACCACUUUAAUGACACAUGAUAGGAUUAAUGUUGUAACUAGAAAAUUUACAAUUUUAAAGACUCAUAUUACAACUUUGAGGACUAAUAUUACUAUUUUCAGGACUAAUUUUAUAACUUUAGAACAAAGUUGAUGCAUGACACGCGUUAACAUAUUGUAGAAUUUUAAUAUUCUGAUUCUACUAACUGGAACUAUUUGGUUUUCGUUUUGAAUUUUAUAUCUUAUUAGACUGGAAUAUGAUUAGUUUAGGACGAUAAUAAUAGAAAGUGGAGACGCUUAGAAAUGGAUACAAGGUUUUAUCUAAUUAUGUUUGACUUGGUUUAAGGUUAUUCAGAGCCGAUGCAUGUAGGGUUUGUAACUGAUUGCAAGCCGCUUUCUAUUGUAAAUUUUUUUAUUUUGUUUUCCAAUUAGCCGAGUCUUUUUUUUUUCCCCUUCUACUUAGGGAGGUAACUUUAUUGACUAAGUGAAUAAAACCCAAAGCACUAUUGAGAAUUUUCGUUCUCUCAAGCUCAAUUGCAUAAUGUGGACGCUGCUUUGGAUGCUACACGGGAGUUUGGGAGCAGUAUUCGAUAAUGAGAGAGGUCUGUUUCUAAAGGCUUCUGUGGUCAAUUUAAUGUCAAAGCUCAGCUUUAAGCCUGCAAGUGCUACACCAAUCAUCAACUACCCUUUAUUCGUGGUUAUUGCUUUUUGCUAGACAACUGAAGAUUGAUAUGUAGGAAUGCUAAUUGAAGAAAUGAAAAAAAAUGUUUCAAAUUAUUCCUUCUAUUUCAAGUACGUUUUGUUAUCGGAAAUAAAAUCAAGUAGCGCAUGUGUUACUAAAAAACGCGGUAUUGUUACAUAAAUUUCAACUUUGAGUAAAGUAAGGAUCACAUGAUUGCUCCCAAAUGCAUUGCAAACUGAUAUAUCUAUUUUGCGAUCUAUGAAAGUCACCGCUCAUUGAAACAAAGAAAAGCAUUUUGAGCAGCAAAAACUAGUCCUAAUUUCAAUAAUUUCUUGAUUAUUUUUUUUUGAUUACAUGAAAACAACAACAUAAAACCAAAACUACCAAGAGAAACCUCUAACAACGCCCCUUUUCCAACUGAUCUAAAUAGAACGUUGGGGCAAUGAAACCAUAUUAACGGAGAUACAUCAGUCAAGGUUUGCCGAUCUAUUCGCCUCAAAAUUUGUCUCACGAAACGUAUGUCUGAAAUAACAAUAUGUUGAAAUUGGGUCGCCAACCAACAAGCAUCUUGCAAGAUAAACCUGAUACGUCGAGGAGAAGUAGCCGGCCAGUGAGGCAGUCAAUCAGCAACUUGGAGUCACCAUCUACAAUAAUCUGAGGAAUGCGUUACAACCAGGUUGUAUGAAGGUUAUCUUUAAGAGCAGUAGCCUCUGCCAUCAGAACUGAAGUGUCUUUUAUAAACUAAAAGGGUUACCGUUGGAGUCAUGAAAAACAAAACCUCACAGCACGAUUAUUUUGAACAACAGCAUCAAAAUUAAGUUUCACAAAGUUUCUAUCAGGAGGAUGCCAUUUAAUCAUUAGUAGAGUUGAUGUUUUGUUUUUAAUCGGAAGUAGGGUGGAUGUUUUGGAUGGAUGAGAAUUAGUAUUAACUGUCAAAUAGUUAGAAAGAAAUAUUGUAGCAUGAAAAACAUUGAGGAGGAUCUGGGUCUGAAAACAAGUUGAUUUCUUGAUUGAUCUCAUCCUUAGGACACUGACAAUAAAUAAAUAAAACAAAAAUAUGCUUUUUGUCAUUGGAAGAAGGGAUAAUUAUUCGAACAAAUAUCCUAUACGUUGGUUCUGAGUCUUAUUCAGUUCCCUAACAUAGGAUAGGAUUCACCACCGUACCGAUAAUUGUUACACCACACACACUCAUCCUCAUCCUCAUCCACAAUUUUUAUAUUUCAUUUCUUUCUGAGAUCAUGCUCAUCCAUAUAUAUGAUCCAUAGUUUAGGUAUUAAGAUCAACACAACCAGUCAAAUCACACAGAAGCAUAAGUACUCUAAACAAAAAAGAUAAACAUCAAGAUCAUCACCACCACCGCCACCACCGAGCUGAAAAAAUAAUACGACAAAAGUCUUUCUUUCAUUGAUUUAUGAAUGUAAAGCAAAACCAAGGCAGGUUGAGAAAAGGUUUCUAAUACUCUGCGAACAAACUAACACCUACAAUCCAAAGUGCCGCUUUGUUUCUAUCUCUAUAUACUUCUACGUUUGCUUCCCUUGGUUUCUCUCCUUUACAAUAAUACUACAUAAACCAGUAAAGAACAAGAACUACGUGCAAAAUACAGUGUAUAUUCAUAUGAUUUAAUAUCUGAACCGAGGAACAAGAAAUAUUCUGAUCUGAUAGAAGAAAAGAAAAUAAAAAAUGAUGAACGUAGUAUUAGCCGGAAGAUGAAUGAUUGUGACCGGAUUGUGACCAAGAUGGUGCUGGAAAGCCCGAUGGACCGCCCGGAUUCUGAUUCUGCUGCCCGAAAAAACUUAGCUGCUGCUGAUGAUCAGAGAAAAACAGAGGAAAUGAAGCAGAGGAGGAAGUAGAGGAGGGCAAUGUGGAAGACGAAGUGGACGAUGAGGGUGGUGGCUGUUGCAAUAGCGAGGACUGAAGUGAAGCUAAUUGGGAAUUGUAGUACAUCUGCUCCAGAAGAUUCGUCGGCUGGGGUUGUUGCUGUGAGUGAACGUCGAUGGAGCUCUGAAGCAAAUGAGAGUAGUCCAUGUAGUCUCUGAGGAAGUCAGGGGAGCCCUGAAAAGAUUGAGUCUGGUAAAGCGGUUGUUGCUGUUGCAAUGGCUGUGGUGGUGGCUGCAAUGGCCGUACAGACGGGUUUGGCGCCAAACGAGCUGGUGCAGAAUUUGAGUUGAUGGACUGAGCGUAGCUCUGGAGGGGUUGCUGUGGUGGUAUGAGUCUCACAUUUUCAGGGAAGUUAAGCUUGGCUCUGUUUCCCCUGAACCUUAAGGCGGCUUCGUCGUAGGCCCUAGCGGCGGCCUCGGCAGUCUCGAAUGUGCCGAGCCAGACUCUCGCCGCCUUGUGUGGGUCACGAAUCUCGGCGGCCCAUUUUCCCCACGGCCGCUGCCGGACUCCCCUGUAUCUUCUUCUCCUCUCCCCUGUUUCUUCUGUUGAAACAGUAUCAGAAGCUGAUGGUGUUACUGUUACUGCGGUGGAAGCGGUUGCCUUGACGGUGCUGGCUGCGGUGGUGACAGAUUUUGUGUCAUCUUCAUUAACUAUAUCGAAUUACAAAGAUGUAAGUGUGGGAUUACGUAAAUAAGAUUGUAUAUGCAUGAUUUUUUGGAUAAUAUGAUCAUUUUUUCCCCCGCAUAAAAAAAAAAGAAAAAGAAUUUUAAGAAAUGAUUGAAAAUUGUGAAAACAAAUUGAAAUAUCAUCUCACCCCCAACAAAUCCGAUGAUAGGAAAAUUCUAUUCUUGUAUACUAUACAACAAUUUUCAGGGUACCAUGCAAAUCAUCAUAUAUUAGAGUUGCUUUUAUGCAAAUCUUAACGCUAUUUCUAUAUGAGGAAACAUUCCACUUUGAUUCUUGAGAAGAACAAAGAAUAUCCAGAAGUACUUGCAAAUUAUGUACAUGAAGAUCCAAUGAAUUUUGUUAAGAAUUGUUAGAAAGUAUAAAAUCAAUGAUUUGACAGUUCUUGGAUGAAAAGAAGAAUGAAGAGCAAAGGUGAUGAAAAUUAAAGAAAUGAAGCGUACUGAUGAAUUUGAUAGAAAUAAAUACUAACCGGUUGUUGUAGUUGUUGCACCGGUUGAGGAUUCCGGCAGAGUUGCUCUGAAAUCAACAUAGGCACCUCUAUAAGGCCUAGUACUUUGAUCCAUCAACAGGGCUUGAUGAAUCUGUUCUUCUUCUCUGCCUCUUUUUUGACCAACCCAGGAGCCAGAGGAGGAAGAUGUAUUAUUAUUAUUAUUAGAGGUAGAGAAAGCUGACAAAGGUGGAGAGUUAGCAUUAGCAGCAGAAUAAACUUGACCGAAGCUUGAAGCAACUCCACCGCUUGAACCCGAAACGACAUGUCUCUGUCCCGAUACGACAUGCGUCAGUGCUGACACCAUCGCCGACAUCUCCGCCGCCGGCCGACUAUACCCUAAAUACAUAGACGGCGACACAGUCGACGUCUGAUGUGGUUGCGCACGGCCUUCUUCUACUGCCAGUUGAUUACUCAUCAAUAAUUGAUCUCUCCUAGCUUCUUCCUCAUAGUCCACCGGGACAACGUCGUCGUUUUGUUCUUGAAACGGCCGGCCGUCACCUGAUGAGCUCCUCCUCUGGUUCGCCACCUUCAGAAAGCACAUGUAAAUCCCAGAACCAAUUGGAAAAGUAAGGCUGACCCAGAUCGAGCUUUGACGAUUUUAGAAGACCUUUUGGAGAUCAACGGCUAUAUAUACGACGGAUAUAUUUCCGAAUCGGAUCAAUUCAAACUUGAUCAGCCGCCAUUAAAAUAGUGAUACCUGUUCAUCUGUGUAGCUUCAACUCACCAUUUAUAUGCACCCGACUCGAUCCACCAUGCAACUUUCCGAUAAUUCAAAUUAUAUAUAUAUAUAUAUAAACACAAUAUAUAUUGGGAUUUUCUGCACGAGUUUUGUUUGCUCGAGAUCUUGGUAUAUUUUUGAUGUGAUCUAAAACCUCAAAAAUGGAUAACGGGGAAUGAAUGAGGCCGCUAAUGAGAUAGUGGGAAAUCUAUGUUCACACAAGGAGGAGGGUUUUGAUUUUGCAUAUGUUUGUGAAGCUUCAAAUGGACUACUUCUGUCGGUGUACUUCUUUUUCUUUCUCUAAGGUGAUCAUGUUUGAAUUGAGUUGUGUCUACAAGACUAUGCCGACAUAUAUGUAUGCACGAGUUCAUCUUCGUUUAGCUCAAAGAUUGCAAAGUGGUAACUAUGCUAGAUUAAUGUGGUGGAUAAAUUAACUAAGAUAAAUAUGAUUAGACCAUAAUUGGCAAGAUGGGCGUAGUUGAGGAGGUAUGAACGUGUGUGUGGCGUAAUAUCCCAAGUAACUAAAUAGAAGUGGUAACUUGUUUAAUUAGACUUGGUAGUUCAUGCAUGAUGGCUACCUAUAAUUUGUUUAUACAGAUUGUGGACAAGAGGUAUAGCAAGUCCAAUUAAGUAAUAAAAAAUGAGGAUACAUGGAGUAAUAGUUGUAUGAACUUCUCCUACCUAAUUAUAAAUUGACAGAUUUAGAAUGGUUACACUUUGCAUUCCAACGGGGAUUUUUGUAUGUUUAAAUUGAAAGAAAACAAUUGAAAUUUUCAAUUUAAUGGUUCUGAAAGAUUGCCAUGGAACUUUAUAGUCCAUAAAGGACAUGUUUUUUGGACCAUGAAAAGUCAUUGUGCGCAAACUGAUCUAAAAUUCUAUGCUCAAAUUUGACUCUCAUGAUAUAGGUCAUUAGCAGCAGGCCAGGUUGUAAUUGAAGGCUUUCUUUUGUAGCUGUUAAUUUGCGCUUGUAUUACAUUUUAAAGUUUCUAUAAUCAAUGUUGUUGAAGCAAUUCCGCUCUUCGUCUACCUAGUGGUGUCUUGGCACUGCAUCUUACUACUUGUCGUCGAAUUUCAGCAAGUCUUAACUUGGUCUCUUCCAAUAACGUGAUCUUUUUCUCUUGAGAAUGUUCAUAUAACAUGAUCUAGAUCGCCUAAUAUCAUUUGGUCUACUGACAUAUAUAGUCUCUUUUUUAAUAAAUGGGAGGUUGUAAGUUCGACUCACGCAAUUGUAAUUUACUUGAUAAAAAGAAAAAAAAGUGAUCUAGAUCAAGCCAAUAUCUCUUUGCUACAAAGUCCAUGUUUUUACUACGAUAAUUUGAACACAUAUUUGUAGAUUGAAACACAUUUUUAAUCGGCUAGCUAGCUAUAUAUCUAUUUCUUUUGAAGAAUCGGGCUAUCGUAUAUGAUCAUGGUUCACUAAUGUAACAUGCAUAAUAAUUUGCUAAAAUAGAAUGAAAUGAGCCCCUAAUUAUAUUAAUCACAAACCAUCCAUAGAGGAGACCACUCCACUGAUAUAGAUAUAAUUGGGAGGUUGAUGGAGGCAAGACCAGAAACGAAUGUUGAUUAAGUAAUGAUUAAAAUUAGGGAGGGUCUGAUACAAUGAACUGAGACCAAAUUAAGAAGAAACGGCAAAAAAAAAUCUGAUAAUAUUGGUCGCUGUUAAAUCUAAACCUACUAAUUAGGCAGAGCUAACCCAUUGUUGCAGAUCGAGACCAGACUAAAGGAAAGGGCGAGAGAACGCUUCGGUGAAGCUUGUCGUAUUCUCCGCAGAGACUUGAUGUGGAAGCAACCUUAUUUUCCCGAGAUUUGAUCUGAUGGGACUUUGGUCAGCGCUCUCUAUUUUUAUCACACACGUGGACUAAUGCUUACGAUUCUCUUUCUCUGUUUGUACGAUCUCCGAAUACUCUUACGUGGUCUCCCACUCUCCCCUCCUUGUCACAUAAAACAUCUUAUUUUAAGGAUCAUGUCAAUUUUUAUUAAUCUUUAUUUUUUGUUCAUCCAUACGUAGCACACUUUUUUAGUUGUUAGGUUUUUAUUUAUUUAUUUAUUUAUUACCAAAUAGCAGAUCCAUUUAAUAGAAGGCCGAAGGGGUUACAAAGUGAGAUAGAAGUCUAUAUCGGAAAGAAAAAAACAAACAAACAAACUCAAAGACAUAAAACAAACACAAACGGUAGAGAUAAUGCGCCGAAUCAAGUCAUAGUUGUAAUUUAGGUCUAUAAAUAACUGUUUUACUAGAACUCCUGAAUUCGGAAUAAAAAUCAGGCCAACCCACACAAAUUACAAGAGACACCAAGGCCCAACUGAACACAAGAUGGGAAGCCUAAAAGGGCUACCGCUCCACCGCUAGCGACCAAAGCAGCCUUCAGGAAAGCCACAAUUACUGAUCGAUCGAAUGACCAUCAUCGAUAUGAGCAACAAAGGGCAAUGGGUUGAGCAUGACCUAUGUUGGAAAUCUUGAAACGAUAUUGCCAACAUUGUUAGCAUUGUUCCCUAAGCAGAAACUCUCAACCUAAAGUUUUAUGUCUUUAGUAAACGUCAAUAUCUCACAUUGUGGGAGAGAGGAGGUGGAUUUAGAGGCGAGUAAGCAUUUGAAACACUACCUUGCAAUGAUUCCAUUGUCUCUAAAUCCGGAGGAUCUCGGUUUUAAUCUAUCGAUUGAAGAUAGGUAUGGAGUUACCAAGACUGGCGAAUCUCCAAAGAAGCGAGGCAAGCCCAGAAGUAGCUGGAAUUAAUAAGAAGGCAAUUUAGGGGAAGGUGUCAAACUGCAUGGCGUCGAGCUCGGUGUUGUCAGAGAAAGACCUUAGUUUAGAGGUUGGAGGCGAGUAACUUCCUACUUUGCUUAGGAAAGAUCCUUUUUAAACCCUAGCAAAAGUAGCUGCUCUCUCAUCUUGGUGGUUAGGCAUAUUAAUGGGUGUUAACCAUCGAUAUUUGAGUUCUUUGCUGUGCGUUUUGUCGUAGGUUCAUUGCUUUCUAGUUUUUAAUGCCCACUUUUUUAGAUAUUAGCUUUGAGCUUGUUUUUUCAAUUUCGUAUGAAUAAUUGAGCUUCGCUUUGUAAUUGGGAUGUUCUAGCUACUUCUCAUAUAUGUUUUGCCUAUUACAAUCGUAUGAUUUGAUCUGGUCAAUGAAAUUUCUCUGUUUUUCAGCUGUUUUGUUAUAAGGAUAUUUACUAGAUUUAUGAGGUGAAAAGAUUAGAAAAUCGUCACAAAUUAACCUUCUCUUGCAAAUGCACAUAGGGACGAAAAUUAACCCUAAUUAAUAUGUAGAGAACUGGUCUUUCUUAUGAAACCAUGACUUUCCAAGUUCACAUUCAUUCCCACACAUUGUUUAAUUUUCUGUAAAACCUUAUUAUUUUCUCUCAACAACCACACGUAAUUGCACGUGUUUCAUUUGUUUUGUAAUUCACUAGUUCGUACGUGGUGGCCGAAAGUACUUGAACUAGUCAACAGAUUUCCUUUGCAUAACAUGGAACCCAAAAAAAGAAGAAAUUAAGGAACUAAAAAGAAGAACAUAACUAACUAACAAUCAUAAAGGAAGAAUAAAAUCUGGAUUGUCGAGUGAUUCCUGAUUAACAAAUUGAAAAGAGUAAAGACAGAAUUAGCUGAUGAGAUUGUGUUCAAUGGCCUCUUCCCUUCCGUACGUGGGAAUACAGACUGAGACGUACUAGCUAGGUGCCAAGUUUAACCAUCAAAUUAAUUUCGAUCGUGUGAAGCAUGCCAGACAUAACGAAAUAAAAUAUAAAGCAGAACAAAGAUUACUUGGAUUUAGAAGGUUGAUGUGGACUGAGUAAUCCUUCAAUUCAAAAUCCGAUUCAUUUUUUAUGAGCAAUGACGUAUUGUUUUAAGAUCAGGUCCCCUAAUUAUAGUUCUUUUUUGUUCUGUGGAGUGUCCACUAAUUAUAUAGUUGAUUAGAUUUUGCCAUACGAAAGCCAAGAGAAGAGAAUUAGCCAAAUUAAUAAUCGUUAAGAUAGUUAUUUAAAUACUGAAUUAGAUUAAUUGAAUUAACAAAACAAAAUCUGUAGAAAAGUAACAAUUCGUGUAAAUCGCGAUAACGGGAGUCCAAAUGAUAUCAGAAUUGGAUGAAAUUUUGCAUGAAUAAAAUCUACAUAUUAUGUUCUAGACAUUAAACGGUAGAGAUGUGAAAAUGUGACAUAAAAGUGAACCAAAUAAGGAGUCACACACUUUAAUUUCAAAACGGUUUAGAAGUGAGAAAAACACAUCAAAGACCGUAUACGUUAAUUUGCACUGGUAUUUCUUCUUUCUAGUAGCUCAAUUGAAAUGGUAAUCCGGAAUGUGUCUCUGGGAUUACGGGGUUCAUACAUUCUAGCUUCUAUUCAAUUAGUAAUAAUUUAGGAGACAAAAAUGAAAAAAUAAAUGCAAAAUGUAUCAUACAAAGCUCGGGAUCCCUACUAUUCUGAAAGGAACAGUCAAAUGCAGAAAACCGGUGCAUACUAUUCUCCGGCCAAAACAACAUGGGGGCGGGCAGAUAUGUUGAUUGUGGGGUUGGUGAUGGAAAUGAAAGAAGAUGGUUAAGUUCAAAGUUGAUCAGAUCGAUCAAAAAUCCAAGAAAAGUAGUAAUGCAAACAGAACUCACUUUAUAAAUGGACCCAGAGAUCACAUCAUGGAGUUUGGAUCCUUCCCUAUUAUAUCCCAAAAGUCUCGUUUGAUUUUAAGUUUCUUUAGACCUAUCUAUUUUUGUAGUUUGAUUACUUCCGCUGUCAAUUUGCAAGAGUCUGGUGCCGUUGCUACUCCAAGUUCCGUACACCGUACAACAUCUUUCGUUCUUUUCUUACUUUAUCCAUUUUGAGUUCAUCGAAAAAAAGAAGCUACUUAUUUUGUAUUUAAAUUUUAAUCAAACUAACUAAAAUGCCAUUUUAGGAAUCUCUUUACACCAAUACUCUUAUUUCAAUUAAAGUUUGAUUUAUAUUAUUGAUUAAAUUAAAAAAAUAUAUAUAAAAUGAUUUUUUAGCCAAAAUGACUUUUUAAAUAUUUUAGCUAAAAUUUGACUGCAAAAUGGCUAGUAUUGCCAAAGAUGUUCUUACUAGUCUGCUGGAGCUGGUAAAAUUGAUAAAAAACAAAAAACAAAAAAACUAAACUCGCUCUCUAAAAUAUUCAAGAAGCCAAUAUAGAGAGUUUGCUAAAAAUGCUCACCUAGUAUACAUUGUCGAAAUGGCUAUUAUGUACCAUGUGAGUACUCAAUUGGUGAAAUAAGCCAUUAGGGUGUGGUAAAAUAAGCCAUUAAGGUGUGGUGAAAUGAGUUCCUAGUGGUAAAAAUAAUUAAUUAGUCGGUCUUUUUGUUCCUGCUAAGGUUUUCUCUAACGACAAAUCUGACCGAGAGUUUUGUUGAGAUGGUAACAAGCUGACGACAUCUUCAAAUAUGUCAUUGCAUGAAGGAGCACAUGCAGUGAGCCUGAUCAAGGGCAACAAAGCUAUUCAUGAUCCGUAAUUUCACUUGUGUGGACGUUUUCUAUCCCUAAAGAAACAAGUUGUGAAUUUCGAUGCUCACAGGGGCAUCCUAUGGGAUUUUAGGGCUUAAGGACAAGAUUUUGAUAUGAGAGGAUCAAGGAGGUCCGGGUUUCAUCUUUUAAUUCAAACACAAGGAGGAGAAUAAUUGGGUCCUUGGCGGCAAACCGUGGUAUUACAACAGCUCGAUACUAGGGUUGGCGAAGUACGACGGGCUCAACACUCUCGAAGCAGUGUCCCUUACCACUUGAAGGUUCGAGGCUGAGGAUGGCUAUGCAGAGAGCGAAUGUGUGGUAACCCUUCUUGGGAAUGAUCUAGGGGUAUUUGUUUGGUUUGAUCUGACGGUGGUGCAUCACAUAUAAGAUUUAGAUAAUCCGUGUGAUUCAUGACAUAUGUUGACAACUUUGGGCCAGCUGUCUGUACAAUUUCACGCCGGAGAUCUCGGUGAUUCUGGAACUCCAGUAUGACAAAUGCCAUGGAAUGUGUCUAGAGUGUGGAUUUUUUGGCCAUGGAGGUGGAGAUUGUGUCAACGGUUCGGUAUUGCAGUCAAUUUAGGACUCAUGACGGUAUAGGUUCAAUGCAAGCGGCUAUGGCGCCUCUAGGAGGUCCGGGUUCGAUGCAAAUGGCCACAACGUCGAUUAGAGUAUUGGCAACAAUUUCUAGGUCAGUUCCAGAGGUUCACUUUGAGGUGGGGUCGGAGUUGGAGGCUCGUCCGAAGUCAGCAUCGGUGUUGGAAGCUUAGCUAGAGGUUUUGGGUGCGGCUUCCACAGAGUGUUAGGGACCUCAACCUUUUCGACAGAAAAUCCUAAUAUGUUAGGUUUGAAUGUGGUGGCUUUUAUUUAUUUAUAAUGCGGUUGGGCCUAUCUUUUAAAUUUGACCACAUCUAAUGCAUUUGAGCCCAAAUUGACUGAGUCAACUGUUAUUCCAAAAUCUCUGAUGGGCUUCCCUAUAAGAACUCAUCUAGGGUUUUGGAUGUGCGCAAACUUUGUGAGAUUAUCGAGAAGUGACUUUGCAUGGAUGUUGGGAUAUAUGUCGGCGAUGUCGUUUGAGGACAGUAUAGUGGAGGCUCUUGUGAUUGCAGUUCUGAAGAAAAAGGGCCGUCCUUGUGGACAUCGAAACUAAUCCAAGCAUUCCCUUCCCAUGGAGGUUUGGGAUACACCCCUCUUGCGGUAGGGGAUCGCUUUUAGCGGUAUGUGACAAUCUGUGUUGAAUCAUUCUCGUGUACAUCAGUUGAGGUCAUAGUUGUCAAAAUAUCCAGUACAUGAGUGUCAUUUUUUCAAAUGUAAUAGGGUUGGGGAAGGUUAUUUUUUUCGCACAUUUACUUUCCUAAUAGCUCUUUUAGGCUUUCGAUCAUUUUGUUAGUUCAUCAAUAAUUUUGACUGCAUUUGGCAGUUGAUUGAUUGGAUUAGGUUGCUAGUUAAAAUACCACCAGACCACGUGCUAAGACAAUUCACCCUCAUGUUGACAACCAAACAACAUUGAAAAUAAAUCUGAUAAUCCCAAGGACUAACGACACAUAAUUAGUAGCACACCGACUAUAACAAAACACCUAAACUCUCGCCCGAAAGAUGAGAGACUUAUCAAACCUAACCAUGCAAACACCAAAAAAACUAUACCCCUAUCCUAAAAAAAAAAUUGAAAACUAAAAAAAAAUCAAGUUCCAAUUCAGGCCUAGUAGGAGCCCAACCCAAAAACCUCUGCCACCACCAACAGCCAAAUUUCCACGUGACGUGUAGGAGCUCUAGCUUAAUACUUGCACAUGUGGCACCUAGCAAUCGAAUGAACACAAUCCGAAAAGAGUAGCACCGCCACAACGUCUCUUAUUCCGGUCCACCUCAAGCCUCUCGCUACUACACCACGAUGUUGGUGCAUCACACUAGCCAAGAUAGCCGCCGCAACGCCCCACUCUACACUCAACACCAUCCACCGACCACCACCCGCCUUAAACCAAACAAGAACCCAUCCAGCCACACCCAUCAUACACUGACAAGGCUGGAAGCUACCGUCAGAUGCAAGGGCGCCGCCGGACAGGGGACAAAAUCUUUUUUUUUUUUUUUUCUAAACCCUAAUGCCUCCUAUUUUGCGGACCUCUAUGUUGUUAUUUGGUUGCUUCUGGAAGCCAUUGAAUGUAUGUCUGAUUUGUGAAGCAAUAAAAAAGUUAGAACGAGUGUACAUCAUAAUUUAUUCCUCAUAUAUAUAUUUUUUUCUGGUAAGGCUUGAUUUUGUUUUUGUCUUACUCCAUAUCACAUAAUACAACACAACCCUACUCCAUAUCGACAGGCCCUCACGAUUAUAAAUUUCUAGCUAGCUUCGCCCUGAUUUGGAUCAAUGUGAGGAGUCAUCUAAAAGCUAGUGUCGUUGUUUGAAAAAGCAAUAUAUGUGAUUUGCAGAACAAAAGAAUCUUUAAAACUUGAUGGUACGUGAAGGUUUAUGUGAAUAUCAUCAAAGAUGACAACUGUAGUAGAGCAAUUUAAGCACGUUUAAACAUCUGCAUAUUUCCAAAUCAUGUAUUGCACGUUUAAUCAUUAAUUUUGCCUCAAUAUAUCGUGCGGAUUGCACCUCCACCUAAAAUCCAAUUCACAACUCCCAUGCCAGGCUCCAUCAAUCUAUAUUUACAUUUUGAACUUCACUGUGUUAAUCUCCCAUUUCCAAAACAAGUAUGGCUGGCUUGCUGAUCCAUGCCAAUUAAUGAUGCCAUAUAUGCAUCUAUGAAGCAAGCUUCCCUUUGCUUUGAGGUCUAAUUAUUACUGAACCCUAAACUCAAAACUAGUAUAAUCUACGAAGAUAGAAUUUGAUAUGGGGUCAUGGCCGGUUUUCACAAAAGCACGAUAGAUCACCUUUUAAUGCAGCUACUGUAUUCAAGUCAAAAGAUAAGUGAUGCUUUAGGAAACGUCCAGAAAAGAAAAGGUGAUAUUGAGGGGGACUUUUCAGAUAUCGUUUUGUAUUUUCUGAGUGGCGAUCGAGAGUAUUCGUUAUUUGGAGUUUCACAAAUGACUGCAGAUUUGUCCUUAUCAGGAGCUACAGAGUACAGAUUCAUAUACUGCAGAUUUGUCUUAGGAUCAGAAUGGCCCCAACUCUGAGUAAAUAGAUUUGCGCAUGCCUUUGACAUGCACUUGUUUUAGCAUUAUAUAGAACAAAAAAACAAUUAGAAAAUCAGUCCAUCAACAUCAAACUACAUUCUCCGAAUUUACAUUCAUCAGAUGAAAAGUUUCGGCUAGAUCUUACACCAGUGACAUCUCACAAUCUAAUCAUUCUUGGAAAACUACAGCUUCAGCCUUCAGCAAAAGAGAGGAAUAAUAAUUCUACUGGAAAUGAGAUCUUGUGAUGACGACCUGAAGGAUCAAAGUGAACAUAAGGAAAUGAUACGCCUAAUAUUUAAGGGAUUGAGACUGGCAGAAAAGAUUAUUCUUCUUGUAGAACUUGGUGACCAGUCCACUGAUCGCCUGCAGGAUAAGUACGUAGGCAAACCAAAGAAACUUCAAACCCUAAAGAUUCUGAGAUACAAGUCACUCUCCAGAGCAGUUUAAUUACCUUACUGUUUCGAUCUAAUACAAAACAAAAUGGUGAUCGAGCUUUUGAAAAUUUGUCAUGAACCAGUUCAUCAAAUGUUGAACUUUUUAAGUGGACAACUCAAAAAGAGUGAAGGAUGCUCUCUUCUGAUGUUACAGUUCAGUACGUAAUAACAAGUAUAGAAAUGAGCCCACAACUUGUUGGGACACCAACUUGUAUUAUGGGCUAGAAUAUAAUCAUGGGCUAUAAUGAACUAUCAUACCCAACUUGGGCUGGAGUAACAUCUGGAACACAGACUGAAGAAUAUUGAAGAACUACAUGGAGCUGUCAAGUGUGAAAGUUUGGUUAUUGUGUGUGUGAUAGAUUUGCUAGUGUUCAACUGGUGUGAAUUUCUUACUGUGAUUUAGUUACUAGUAUUAUGUUUUCUGACGAGUGAACGUAGUUAUAUGUAGCGGAAGAUUAUGUAAUAACCAUUAUGCCUUGAGAUGAAUAUACUAUUGUCCGUUGUGGUUUGAUAAAAGAAAAAACUAAAAUAACUAAAAUGGUUGUGAUUAAAAAAGACAAUAAGAUAACCACCUAAUGUGGUAAAGUUGAUUAAGUUGUUUUGAAAAUUUAGAGUUUGAGUUUCAACUCCACCAGCUUGUGGCCAUAAAGUUUGAGGGGAAUACAAGUUCGUGCGUAUACGACGGGAUAUUAGUCUGUUUUGCUCGGAUACACUUGUAAAUUUUGGUCCAAAUACGAACUGAAUUAUCUCAGAUUUCAGUUUGAAUACUAACUAGAUGGGCGUGUUACUGAUUUACAAACCCAAUAAAAACAACAAAAAAACAAUUUGAACACACGAACAGAAUAAAAAAUUAGCAAGAUGUCAAGUUGACUACUACAUGCUCUAAAUUUAGGGAGAGAGAGAGAGAGAGGUAGAAUCAGAGUUGGAGCAAAAUCCCCGCAGAGAAACAGGGUUAAGCCAUUUCAGGAGCUUUACCUCCGUUUCUCUUUCUCUCUCGCCGUCGAUCAAACCCAAAUGGCGGAAUCUAAAGAGUCCACGUCGUCGAGUCCCCUCACUCAACCCGAUCCUGAAGAUUUUCCCAAGUCUCCGCCCAGCUCCCCCAACUCCUCCACUCGCAAGGUCUCUCUCUUUCUCUCGUACUCUUCCCAAUUUGGAAAUUUAUAUCAGGGGAUUAGAUUUUGAUGCAUUUAUUGUGAAAUUGAACUUCCUUAAAAUAUCCUAUGUUCGCGUUUUGUAUUGCUCAUCCUGAUUCCUAUGUUUUACUUCACUAUUGAGUGUUUAACUAAUCGGCUUUCGGAGUUUGAUAAAUUAGGGAUUCUGUGUGAAUAAUUUAUAGAAUUUGUUGCUUUCGUAUACUGUAUGAGGUAUUCAUAAUGUCAAUGUCUUAAGGAGGGUAGAGGAGUACAGAAAAUGUGUGUGUUGAAUAGAAACAUAGGAAACAAAGACAAUCAUAUAGGGCCCUAUAAGUAUUGAUCUCCGAAGGGAAUCAAAGUCCGUGUAACCCUGCACCCCCAGUCAAGAUUAAGGUGUCUCUGAGGGUUUGGAAAGAGAAGACCAGGGUACCAGGCUAUGAAUAUGAUCCUACCCCAAAUUAACUCCACCUGCCGCUCAUUCGCUCUGAACAUCUGUUCAUUCCUUUUCAAUCAAAUACAGCACAAAAGAGCCAGACCAUCACAUCUUCAUAGGCUAAUCGAUUUUACUGGCCCCUUUCCCAAAGCUGCCUGACAAAGGGCUGUAAUACAGUCUAUCCAUCACCAUUAUACUAAAUAAACCAGUCAGGAGACAAAAUUGAUUCUGAAUUUUUUGUGUGAAAUGGUUUCAAUAUCUAGACCAUUUUAGUAAUCUUCAGUCUCUACCAAUGACACUGUCUUCAACCUUUAUGGCUUUAUUUUUUUUUCUCUUUUAAGGAUCGCUAUAACCUGUAGUUGAUUUGUCUUAUCACUCAAACCUUAUCUUGAUCAUGUUGCUGGUGGUUGGGAUGCUCAUGAUUUAUUCUGGACUAUGAUGUAGGUUUUUGGGGCUUAGAGAUAACAUAGUGGUAAUUGGUCAUUUUUCUAACACCACCAAUUCUCGGUAGUCAGGAGCAAGUGUUCCUCAGAAUUAUAAGUGUUGAAAAAUAAAUUAAGAAAGUGUCCUUAAAGUUUGUAGUUAUCCGAACCAAGUGAUUUUGUGACCUUUCCUCGACCUAGUCCUUCAAAUGUAUAAGUCUUGGCAAUUGGCUAUGUGUGUGUGUGUCUUUGUUUGUUUCUCUCUGAAACUCAUUGGUUACUCCAUUUCUAGAAGUGUUUCCAAGAAUAGAUCUGUUUUAAUUGAAUUAUUCUGUUGGUUAUUCACAGUGUAUACAGUAAAUAAUAUAGCUAAGAAAAUUUUUGCAUACUGAACCCAAUUUACACUUGAUUCAUCAGGCUUGCUAUGCAGUGCUCCAAAGUUGGGUCUCAAAGAAGUUCAUGACUGGAUGGUAAUGUGCACAGUAUGGAUAUAUUUGAUUUGUUUUUAUUUUUAAAUUAUUUUUUUCAUUUUCUUUUGUUAAAUACAUAUAGUUUUUUUAGUAAAGUAUGUUUGAAUGACAAAUUGCAGUAUGGUUCUCUUUCCUGUUGCUGUGACAUUCUUCAUAACCUGGUGGUUUAUACAGUUCGUGGAUGGUUUCUUCAGUCCAUUAUAUGCCAGGCUUGGUAUUAAUAUAUUUGGUAAGACUCCAAAGCACCAAAGUUGAAGUUGACUUUCGGAUUGGGACAUUUAAUACUUAAGGAAGCUGAAAUUGAUGUGAAUUGUAUUGGAAUCUCUUCAAAUUAUAUUGCUGAUAUUACAUAUUUGGUCAUAGUAGAAUUACUACAAAUGGUAAUAAUGGUAAGUAUGAUAGUACUACCAAUUACAAAAACUUAGUACAGUAAUGCUACGGAGAUGUGGGUACUUGAGGUUGUUGCUUCUUAAUAGCAUAUGUGUCUACAUGUCUUGAAUAAUUUUCUGGGGAAGUCUUGCAUUUAAUAUGGAGGGAUAUUUAUAAACAGUGAUUAGUUUUGGGGAACUAGAAAUUAAAGACCAAAACACCUCUUGUUGCAACUUGCAACAUGGUUUGGGUGAUUUUAACUGUUCUACUAGUGGUGAACUUGAGGUUACGUUGGUUUAUAUGCUUUUAUGUACGAAGUUUCCUAGUACUUUAUUUCAUCCCCUCCAAAUAGGUAAAAGUUGGAGAGAACCUCAUUUUAAUUCAGGUGAUGAUAGUCUAUCUUUAAUUUUGCAUGCACAGGGGGUCCUUUGCUUAAGUUUGGAAGCUUUUACUUUGUACAUUUAAAAUGACCAGAUGAUCUUGUUGAAACAAAAGCAGUCCAGCCUACCACUGCCAAAAAAAAAAAUCGAAGAAAAUACAACUUUUCUUUAGAUAAUUCUUAGCGUGCUUCAGCUAUGGUGUAAUAAAAAGUCUGUCUCUGAGGAACUUGUCCCCUCUGUUGUAUGCUUGUACUUAUUAGUUGAGUUUCUUAUCACUUAUCAGCCAGAAAAACAAGAAUACUCCUCAGGCUGCUUCUUCAACUGAAUCAUUCAGAGUUCUUGACAGGGACUCUUUCAGUUUUUAUUGGUUUUUUUAAGAGCUUUAUCAAUACUUGAAGAAAACAGUCAUUGUUGACUAAAAGAUAGGAUUUGCCAGUUAUGCCCCUUUUAAGUUGUUUAAGUUUGUAAAUAGAAAAUCUAAUAGAACUGUAAAAAAAAGAAUAUUACUUUUCGAAUUACAUUUUACUCUCCCAGACCCAUUUCUAUACAACCACUCAAACCUAACUGCUUCAUGUAUGCUGUAUACAUUUAUUGUAGGCAGCCUCGUAUCGAAAAAGUUUAUGUGGAAAUGUGUAGAAUUUGAUUAUCAUAUUACUGAUGAAGAAAAUGCUUCAUUUAUGUUCUCAGGGAUGUGUUCAUAAACUGUUGACAUAUCUGGUGAUUUUUUCUUUUCUUGUUCUCUUACGUACAUAUGUUGGGUGAUGCAGUUCACCCUUGCCUUUUGUCUCCUGUUAAAAGCUGUCUUUACUUUUAUUAUCCUGGUGUCUUUUCAUGGUCGGAUGUGCUCCAUCAUCUGAUUAAUUGCUCCAAAUUAUUUUUUUGUUGUGUGUACUAAUUUCUUGAAUGGGUUCUCUUGUUGCAGGCCUCGGGUUUAUUACAUCCCUAAUUUUUAUGUUCUUAGUCGGAGUAUUUGCUUCGUCAUGGAUGGGUGCAACUGUUUUCUCGGUGGGAGAAUGGUUCAUCAAACGAAUGCCCUUUAUGAAGCACAUUUACUCAGCCUCCAAACAAAUUAGUGCUGCAAUUUCUCCAGGUAAUUGGUGUUAUUUCAGUCUUUGGUUCCACUAUUGCCUACUUGGACAAUACUUUACAUAGUUGCAUUGCUAUGUUUGUAAGUAUUUGGGUAGGCUUGAGUUGAUGGUAUAACAAAUUUAUCAGGCUAAGCCUAACUUCAGUCUUGUUGAAGUAACCGGCCAGUUCAGAUAUUGGUUAAUUUAUUUGGUUUAUGGGCUUACCAACCCUUUUGAUUUGACUCUUUUGUAUUGUUUUUUUUUUUGUACGCAUAGCCCCCUAGGAAGUUAUACUAUAUGGCUUAGAGAUUAUCCUUGAUUUUACUUAUUGUUUCAUAUACUCAAUAUCUGCUUGCACAUACAUUAUGCUGUUUGCCCUUGAAUUUGAAUGCUUAGGUGUGAUAAAGUUCUGUGUUGCUUGAUUGACACAAAGAAGAGAUAUAGGGCAUCUUAAUGCAAUUUACAACUAACCGCUAAUGUAUGGAAUUGUAAAGUAAACAGUUAGAUGAUGUCUUAAAUUAAUGAAUAAAUAAAUGAAAAUAAUAAGAAAAGAAAGUUUAGUGGAGAAUCAUACAUACAAUGACCUGUCUAGUUCCAAAAGAAUAGUUUACUUACAUAUUUAAUCCUUCUCAGGUUGCAUGUUUCCCAAUUUGAGAUAAACUCUGAUGUGCGAGUAUAUUUAAGGUUUAUCAACUCUCGGUAGAAAUUAUGUUUAUCUGACAUCAAAUUCAUUGAGUUAUUGUUCUCUUGUUUCCAAUUCGAUAAAGUCAAAAAACAAUUCUUUUCUUUCCCACAGACCAAAAUACCACUGCUUUUAAAGAAGUUGCAAUCAUCCGUCAUCCUAGGAUUGGUGAAUACGCGUUCGGUUUUAUCACAUCAUCUGUAAUCCUUCAGGUACAUUUGGAGUAUUCAGUUAAUCGCAGAUUUAUUAUACAUGAUAUUAUAUUAUUUUAGAACUUGUCAGGGCAACCCCAAGUAGUUCAGUAUAUUCUAGUUUAUAUUUUUCAGCAGCUUUUCUACUGUUCUGGGUUAUUUUACACUUGCUAUCUAAGCAGGUGAUGGUUGGCUGAUUUCCUCUAUAUGCAGCUUCACUGAUUUUCACUGAAUCCAGAAAAAUAAGAGAGAUUUAGAAGUUUAUAGAAAUAUGCAUUUUAAUAAUAACUAAAGCAUUGUGCAUGGGUUUUGUUUUUAUUCUUUUAUGAUGCAAUCUAAACUUUAGAAGAAAAAAAGAGAGAAUUAGCUGUUUACAGUAUUACACAGAUAUAUUAAUGCUCUGCUGUCCAAUGUCAAUUGUUUAUAUUUUGUAUUGGAUACUUUUACAUAACGACAUUCUGUUGUGCUACUUUUGUAUCUUAUUAUUGGUGGUUGGCUGCAGCGUGAUGAUGGAGAUGAGGAGUUGUGCAGUGUUUAUGUCCCAACGAACCAUCUAUACAUUGGAGAUAUCUUUUUGGUCAAUUCCAGAGAGAUCAUACGACCAAAUUUGUCAAUUCGAGAAGGCAUAGGUUUGUUUUCUGUUGCAGUCUCAGAAUACAUAGGUUACAUAUCUGUGUUUUAAUCUUGCCCUGAAGUUCUGCAUGCAAUGGUUUUUGCCUCUUAAGUUCUCUAAAGUUGAUUCAGUAAAGGUUCCUAAUAUGAUAGCCUUAUAUAUUUAGGACAACACUCAAUAUUUGCAAAGUACAAAAUUUGCAAAUGGCUUGACUAAGAAAAUUGGCUUUGCAUUUACACUGUUUAAAACCAUAUCAAUAAAUGGAAAGAAAGAUUUUAUCAAUGGAAUCUAACAGGUUUGAUAUAUUUGAACUGGUGGGGGUGCCCCCUCAAAAACAAAAUCUUCAUCAUUCAUAGAGAUUAUUACCCGUCAAAUGAGUUGUUGCAAAUUAAAGACAUUUUGUAAGUUGUAACAGGUCUCGAGGAAAGAUGGUUUAUACCAUGGUCUGACAUUGAUGGACCAGAAUUCAUAUGAAGUUUGGUCCAGAAUCCGUAUAUGGUUGAAUUUUAGUUGCUUGGUAGAAUGUUAUAAAGUAUUGCUAGUAUGUCUAAUGCAAGCCUUAAGUAUCCUAUUCUGGUUUUCAUAAAGAGCAGACUCAUUUUUGGAGUUUCCUUAAUGAUUUUCUCAAGCUGUGUUCUCCGUCAGUAAAAAUGUGUUGAGGAUUUAGAUGCUAACAUAGAGCUAAAAGUUUACAUAAGCUUUAAGUCUUUAACUAUGUUAGGAAAGAAAAACUAAAUUGCGUUGUUGGAAGUCAUAUUAUUUGCAUUUAAUGAUUUUCUCAAGCUGUGUUCUCCGUCAGUGAAAAUGUGUCGAGGAUUUAGAUGCUUACAUAGAGCUAAAAUUUUACAUAAGCUUUAACUAUGUUAGGAAAUAAAAACUAAAUUGCAUUGUUGGAAGUCAUAUUAUUUGCAUUUAAUUGAUUGAAGAAUUUUUCUUAUUUGUAAUUUUUUUUUGGAAGAAUAGAGUUUUGUAAAAUGAAAUGCACUUCGUAUGAUACCAUUACUGGGAGGAUAUUGUUGUUCUGAAGUUUGAUAAUUAUCCUCUUUAAGCAGUUAAUCUAAUUUGUAUUUACUAAAUCCGAAACUUCUUCUGGUCAAGUAAAAGAAAAUUAUCCGACUUGGAAGAUUGUUCACAGUCAACCAUGGAUCAUGGAUGUUUGCGUAUCAAUUUCCCGAGUUCUGCAGAGUCCUUAUAUAUCUUUUUGUUGAGUAGAAUUUGUGGGAAGUGUGUUACUGCACCAUUGUUUGACUAUUGUUUCUGCUCUUACUGCAGAGAUCAUAAUAUCAGUUGGUAUGACAAUGCCACAGGUGAUUUCUCCAAUUGAAAGGGUUCCUCUUAAGAGGAUGGUAUCUCUAUAAAAUUGAUAACAGGUGAACACCAUACGAUGUUUGGAUGUGUCUUAUCAUACCGACCACAGGUGCUGUAUGUGAAGAUUAGCGCUUUGCUUAUAGAAUACAAGUAGAUAUGACUCAGAUGAGAAAAUCUUAAGUUUUGCUCUUAAAAAUGUUAGCUGGGUUUUCGAGUAGAAGUUGGUUUAUUUCAUCAAAUUUAUCUUGUAGGUCACAACAAAUUAUUGGGUCUUUUUUUUUUCUUUUUCUUCUCAAGUCACUGUUGAUUUCUAGGUAUUCUCUAUUGACGCUAGAUAUGUAUGGUGUGCCCUUUUGUAUCCAAAAAAAGGGAAAUGUGUAUAUAUUUACUGAAGGUCAUCACAGUCGUACUUUAGGGAAAUGUACUGUACAUUAAGCUUAACAUAUAAAACCCAAUACGCAUACGUUCUUAAUAUUUGUUGAAAUGGAAACAGAUUUUACUCAAGAAAUACAGUUCUUUCCUUUUAGAACGUUACGGAAACUAUUUUCAUCGACAUUUAACUCAAAGCUAUGGCUAGCAAGUCUCUGCUAUUAGCCUAUUAGCCUGCCUAGGCACAAACUGAAGGAAUUUCUCGGGACCCCAAAGCCUUGAACAGCCAUUAGGCUUGAGCAACUUCCAACUAACGAAUAUCUUCGACUCCAUUCUUUAGUGCCAAGAUCUCUGUAUGAAGUAAACUCACAUGUCUCGUUCUAUGAGAACAAAGCUGCCACAAAAUUUCCAUGUGAGUUGCUAAGCACACCCCCUGAACCUCCAUAAGACAUUAGGCAUAAAGGAGCCAUCGAAAUUCAGCUUUACAGCCACCUUCCGGAGCUGUCCAUUUCUUACUCGUGUUAGUGUUAGUACCACCGGAGCUGGAAGGUUUAGAAGAAGACUGAAACUCUGAAAGGAGGUUGAGACUGAUUCUUCGACGACUUGUUGUUUUGAUUUCUCUACAACUCCAAGUAGAAUGAGUAGUCAAAAAUACUCUGUGAUAAAGAGACAACCUUCUCCAAUAGCCACUCUUUCGAGCAAUGUGACAAUCAUAGGAAAUACACUCGGCAGUUUCCGGCGCAGCUGAGCAAACACAAAACAGCUCACCUUUAUUAACAAUGUAACCCGAGUUGGAAGAAGAUUAUGUACUGCUCUCCAACCAAAAAUUGCUACCUUAUUAGGCGCUUUAGCUCUCCAAAGAGCUUUCCAAACCGGAGCAUAAAGAUCACCAUUGGAUGAAGAUACAAAUAUAAUGCUUACAACCACAUCUCUUGCAACUAUUUUGGCAGACUUAGUUGGUUCUGUCAAUGCAAUUUGUGAAAUAUCACAUUAUACAUCUCGCACUAAGGCAAUUCCCCCAUAUUUCAGUCCUUGAAGUAAACCAAUAAGGCUCCAACUCCAACUUUGUGGUUGUGAUUUGUGAAUCACAACUGCAUAUCCUGGCUGAACUAUGUUAUCAGCUACUUUGUUAUUCAUUCUAUAUGGCAUACAAGAAACAGGCUGAAAGACAUGAAACUCGUCAAGUAAAUCUCCUUCUUCACUUGAAUCUACUAAUCUGUUGUUUAUGCAUUGCCCUCUGGCCCAACACAUAUGGUGUUGUUUGUUUCAGAACAUCAUCCUCUUAAUUCAUUUCGUAUUUUUGUUCAUUGCGAGAUUAUACAACUACUUCUCAUACUGAAUACUAUCUUGACCCAAGAUCUUAUUCUGAGCAACACAAUAUUGGGACCUGAGAGGUUUUUACCACAAACUUUUUCAAGGAUUAUGACCAACAGUUGACCAGCUGGAUCAAACUAUGAGAUCAUGACUUCAGUACUGUAUAUAGAAUGAGUUAACGAUACUGUCUAUACAUUUCUACAUUGACUAUACAUUAACAUGACUUCAAGGAACAUAACCAAGGUUACUAUAGCCACAUUUAGUAUUGCACUACAGUGACAAGUUUUUUGUUUUCCUUUUUUUCUACUACACCAUUUUAUUUCCUUUUACCACCUACCAAGUUAGGUCCUCUUCGCGCUGUUGGAGGCAGCUUCUCUGAUGGACCGGAUGGCAACUUUUGUCCAGUCUCUCGUUCAAUCCUUCUCUUCAGCUCUCUGAGUAUUUUAAUUUGCCUCAGCUUCUCUGGAGACAAUUUAUCCCAGUAAAUCCCUACAUUGUUGUGGAAUUUAGGGUCUGUACUCAAUUAACUCUUUAAAGGGGUUUCUUUUCUCUCUUUUUUUGCAAGAAAAAAGAAAAAGAAAAAACCAAAACCAGAUUGCAGAAGUUAACCAACCUUGAGGCUUUGGAAUUGAUGUGUUGGUAAAAAUGACCUGGGUUGGAGUGCAUAUGAUGUCAACUGGUACAUCAUGGACUAACAGCUUCUCAAUUGGAAUGUCAUCUACUAAUUGACUGUCAUGCACUGCAAAAAGGUUUGUGUCACCUUGGAUGUAAACAGAAAUCUAGCAAAGUUGGACAAAUUUAUUUAGAAAGUAGUUCAGACUUCAGACAGAAAACGAAAUAUCCUAAAGCAGUGAUCUAAGUAGUAGAUGGGAUUGGGGUAGGAAGCUUAUAGUUUUGGUGCUCAAUAGCAUUUACCCCUACAUAAAGACCCAAGUUCAACUUCCCUCUCCUCCAAUAAUUGCUUGAAUGAACAAAAAAACACAAUCUGUGAACACAUGGAAAACCAAAAUGAAAGUUUUCCCCUUUUCUUUAAAGGAAUCAUAAGACAUUUAAAAGACAAGUGGGACAACUAAGAAUUGGAGUUAAUAUGUAUGUUGGAGAUGCAGACCUAGCUGGAAAAUCAUCACUUAUGCUGCAAGUUCAUCUUUACUAAUCAGACAGUAAAUGAAGUUGUUCAAUUACCAGAAUAAUAAGGUACAUCAUGUGCAUAGUUCGACCAUAACAAACUGCAAAACUAGAGUUGUAGGUGUGUGCUGCAUGGAAAGACAUAUAUAUUAACUUGCGUUUGCAUUACAUGAGAAGUAAAUGCAUAGUGGCAUAUGAAAUAAUUAAUGACGAUGACGAUCUUCAAGGUAUUCCUAAUGCAGAUAAUUAAACAACAUCGCUAUAGACAGUAAGCACAGUAAGCACUAAGCACACAUAUAAUGCAGCAUCUCAUUCUAACUCCUCUGUUUCUCCUCUCUCAAACCCAAAUUUCCUGUUUUAUUUCUCUAUCCAUAUUGGUAGAGAAAGUAGAGAAUAAGGAAAACAUUUAAAACAAGAACAGUUAUACUCAAAUGCAAACCUUUCACACCCCUUGCUCCAAGAAAGAAAUAGGAAUCUCAAUUUCAUCUUCAUGACACCAUGUAGAACAUAGAUGAGCUUUAAGAAAGAAAUUAAACCACACUUACCAGUGGUGACAACUGGUGUUGAAUCAUCAAUAGCUCCCAUGUAUCGCAGCAUCCCAUAUUCAAGCUCCGCAAAUCCCUGCACCCCGAUCAUUUACACUGAACAAAUUAAGUUUUACCAAAAUCAUCAUAUUGUCUAUGGUCUACUACAAUAUGUAUUCAUUUUCCAAUUUUUCCUUAACAGAAUUUUUCAAAUUGGCUAAUCUUGAACUUUAUACAUGAAGAUGACCACUGUCCAUACUCCAUAGAAACGGAAAAUGGCCUUUACAUGCAAACCUUAUCUCAAUAACGAUUCAAAGAUUAAUCCUCAUGCAUUUUAUAAUUUAUCUUUUUUGAAAGGUGCAUUUUAUUUUAUUAAUCCUCAUCCAUUUCAGAACAACAACAAAAACUAAGACAAUCCGAAAAUAAAUAAAUAUCCCUGUAGUUAUGAUCUUGGACCGUGAAGUAACUAAAGAUGCAUAUAUAAUUUGCUAGAAAUAUACAAAGGGAUUUCAAGUAGUGAAGGCCUUUGCUGCCACUGCCAACACAUCACCCUAUUACUACGUGUACCAGAGAAGGAUUGAAAACAAAACCAACUAUUUACUGCAAUGCUAAAGCCUUUUAUGUGUUUCUGCAUUAUGAUUACCUCACCCUUGCCAAGUCGAGCACCUGUCCUGGGAUCAACAGCAACGGAGCCGAUGACAAUAAGAUCAACCUUGAUCUUCUCAUCUAAUCCAAUAGGCCGCCCGUAUUUUGCCACUCCAACAGACGUGCACGCCUCCUUCAUAGUACUAGCUGUCAACAUCUGAGACUCAAGCACAGAGAAAAACCCGGUCCGUAAACGGGGUUGAGGAGUUAACAACUUCUUCCCAUCUGCAAAUUCAAAAUCCUUAACAUUAAAAAUUUACAGGACAGUAUCCAUUACUCAUACUGAUCGAUUCCUUGCAUACAUCGAAACAAGUCACAACUAACAAGUUUUCAACAAAAUGCAACUCGAAAUUCACCAAAGUUAACAUGGUAACAUAUCUCACAGGUUUGCUAUAAAUUCUAUCUCUAUCAUAAUGUACUAUGUAAAACAAUGUUGGAUACGUGCGGAGCAACUAAUAGCUUACGUAAGAAAACCUUAAAACUGACCAGACAGUGUGAGAAACCUGACUUGUUUCUGAGGAGAAUCCGGGUUAACUUUCACACAAUUCCCGACACGGAAAGCUUCCAACCGCCCCAACUAAACAGAAAAGACAUUGCAUAUAAAUUGUGGAGCCAAAGACAAGAAUUUAAAGACAAAACUGAAAGUGGGUGUUUGUUACUUUAUCGGCGGCGGCGGCGGCGCCGACGAAGUUGGGGAUGCGGUGGUGGACAGGCCUUGGGUUCUGGGCUACGUUGUGGGCCUCCAUCAUGUCCCAGAUUCUCUUCCGGAUCACCCAUUUCCAAGCUUUCGGGUCUUCCGUGACGUUGGAGGCCUCCUCGGCCAUGGUUUGGCGAGCCUUGGCGUCGAGGGUUAGGCGCUCGGCCUCGUAAGCGGCGUCGUCGAAGGGGACGGCGUCGUUUCGGGUUGUCUUGAGCAUGAACAAGAGUUUGCGGGAAUUUGUGGCGGGAAGAUAAUGGCGGGUUUUGGUGAGGGGUGGAGAGAGUCUGAGUGGGAAUGUGAAGGGGUGGGAAUUCCGGAGAAGACGAGUUGUAUCCAUUGACAUGGGAGAGUGUUUCUCUCUGCUUCAGCCUUAUACUCUGGAUCACAACAAGUAUCAACUAGCUGGCUUCUUUCAAAAAUUAUUGUAUGCACGUGCAAAAUUGCCAUUCAUACCAAUUCUACGUAGGAACCACACAUAUACACAUUAUGUGAUCUAAUUUUAGUCAUUCAUAUAGAUAUGUCGCCCAUGUCGUAUACUGAAGAUAUGUUUGUUAUGUGAGUAAUGAUUGGAUUUUGGACGGGGAGGCAGCACACGGUCGGUUAGAGGUAUAUGAACAACCGAUAGCUCGUGGAAACCCAAUUAAAAUUCAGUUCCGAUGUUAAUUAUUACCUGAGAGAAAUUAGACUUCGCUAGCUCAAGGUUCCGCAAGCAUCGGACAAUCAAGUCAUGAUGACGUAAACUAUGUGGAAACAAACAACCCUAUAUAUUCACAAGAGUCAUGGAUCCCAGUACUCGGCGUCACAUGGACCCUAGUCUCAUCAACCUACCAAUGAGAAACUCGUAAAUGGUGGCAUUCGUACUCGGGUGGGGGUUGGAAUCAAGCAUGUGUCUUACCAUCGCUGCCAACACUUACUGGCUUUCUAUAAUCUAAAGCUUUUCGAGAGUGAACAAGGACUCGGCGAGGCCUCCUUAAUUCCAGGAGCGACCUCGACAGGCGAAACUUAGGGUUUCGUGGAGUGGCGACGGUUGCCUUGUGUUACCCAGACCAGGCAAAGACGGCACAGCUACAUAGGGAAGGCAUCUUUCUGGUGUUUUCUUUUGACGGCGUCAUUGAUCAAUCCAAGUGAAGAAAGGCUCCAGUCGCGACAAUGACAAGACGGUGCCGGUUGAGGUUUUAUGUUGAGGCAGCCAUCAAAUUCGGGUUUAGACCGAGUCGAAGUUGUAGUUGUUUCUUGUUUUUCUACUAAUCAGGAUUGAUUGGGACUGAACCAGGCUUACGGUUUGAGAUCAAGAGGCGGUGGAUUCGGCCGUGAGGCAGCGAGACUUGGAUGAUCAUUUCCAAGCAAGUGUUUCGCGUCGGCGAGCCGGCUUGCUCGGUGAGCUCGAGGUUGGGAGGGAGAUUGGCAAGACAUCAGGUUUCGGCUCAUGCCAAAUUAAGCUUGGAUCCCUAUCAUUUACAUUAAUGAAUUGACGUCCCGGCUUAAAACAAAAACAUAGCUUUUUGUUUUUCUGUUUAUUUUGAAAGAGAUAUUUGUUUUCUCCAAAGCCAUAAGUUUUAUUAGGAUUUUUCAUUUUAUUGUUUUGUGAAAAUAUUGUAAUCUUUAUCAUAAUUAUACACUAACUUUUCAUUUUACUUUUUGGAUCGGCAUUGUCCGAUCUACAUAGCGUCAAGCAAUUCAACACCUUCCUAAGCUUUUCUUUUUUCUCAUCAUACAACUUCCAGAAGCACUUUAAUAUUGUUCUCCUAGAUGGUGGAACGAAUUGAGGGACAACUACCUUGCAAAAAUGCCUAAACAAUCAUUCUCCACAUGGCUGAGCGUCAGCUUAUCGAUCACUAUCAUCUAACAAACAGCUUUAAAUACAACGGUCAUUGGUCCACACUUUCUGUUGUGCUAACUCACGUUCAACUUCACCAUCACCAACCAACACAGCUUGUCAGUCGUCUAUGCUCUCCCUACCAACAUACUUCUUGUAUACCUUCUCCACAUGCCUACGCAAAGAACUUGUACCAUUAUAUGAAGAAUCAGCUUUCAAGUCAUUUCCACAAUGCACGCAUAAUGCACGCUUCUCAUGCCCCUCGUGCACUUUCUUCCCAUCACGUUAAGUGAAGAGUUCUUUGUCAUACUUCGUGAAGUUCUACCACACCGUUGACAUCAGUUUAGAAGCAGGCUUAGCCUUGGUUAUUGCAGAACCUCUUUUUCUUUCUCGGCACACCUCGCAAAACCUUAGUUGUUCUUGGUGCUUCAUCUACAACCUUUACUAGAGCUUCUGGUUCUGCUUCCUUGUUCUCAGCUCCACUGCAACCAAAUCAUUCCCGGUUUCAGCUGGUACUGCUUCAGCUUUAAUUAAUUUCUUCUCCUGAGUCGUAACACCCAAACCACGAACUUUUUGACAGGCAACCAUAUAAUGAAGAGGAUGUCGGCAUCAAAAUUGUUGCAACCGAACAAUUACCACCAGUACAAAGUCCUAAAUCAAACAACAAAGGUACAAAACUAUUCAACUAAAAUGACUAGCAGAGUAGAAGAGACUCAGUCAUGCAGAGUAGCAGUCCAUAAUUCAUAAACAAAAGUACAUAACCAGCAACGAACUAGUGAAAUCAGUAUCCAAAAGGGCAAACUCGCUCGAUUACAAACUUCAGACAACAACCAAAACCAAUACGAAAUUGAGGAAGAUAUCAAAUAGAAAUCAAAUUUCACACUACCAUAAUAAUGAAUUCGAAUUAAGGAGGGGAGAGAAAAAAACUAGAGAAGUACCCUCAAAUUCAAAAUCCUAGAGACUGAGCGAAGGUAGAUGGUAGCGAGUCAGCGUCGAUAGAUGGUAGCUAUGGCGACGGACCUUUGGUAGAUGACAGCCAACUGAGCGAAGUUCGUUUCUUUCUAAUUCGGCAGAGACUGAGACUCUUAAGAGAUCCUUUAGUCUUUAUGGUUGAGUCACUUUACCUUAAAUUUCAAUAAAAGUCUUGUGUAGUUGAGCCUAUGUUACUACCGUAGGAUCGCUGAAAUACCCAAUAGUUAUAUACCACAUAUGUAACUCGGGCUUUCAAGCAUAAAAAUUUUCUACUUUUGAAGGACCGAGAACGGAACGGCACAAAAAGGUUAAUUGUACAAGAGAAAUACCCCGCUCGAACCGGCCGAUUAGGACCAGUUUGGCCGGGUUUUUUUUUUCAAGUUUGGGCUUUAUGCCCAACCCUAGAUCCAGAACCUCUUCUCUCAAGUUUUUUCUCUUUUCUCACCUUAGCGUUGUCGCUAGGGUUGAAAUCAGGCAUUUGGUUCAGCAAAUCUAACGUACUAUUCAACAAUAUCUCUUCUCUUGGUUACAUAGAGGCUGUGGGUGAGGGUGGUUUGCUCUAGAUUGGGGUUUCAGAGGAUUGGUGGCGAUGAUCUAGAGGUCUAUGGAUGGGAGCUCGGGGAUGCUCCGGCGGUUCCGAUUGGGAUCGGGUUGGUCGAUGGUGUUUCUGGUCGGGCCUAUGGUAUUGGAUUAGGAGGUCCGAUGAUGGCGGCGUCCUUGGCUUAGGUUCUGGAUAUGGUUGUAGCAUUGGGUUCAUAUGAUGGUGGCGGCGGUUGUCUUUUAGAGGCCGGUGGUGACUGAUGGGGGAUGGUGGCGUUGUUGACGUGGGCUCUACUCUCUAGCGAGGUGCGAUGCUUCAAGUAGUUGGUUGGUUGGCAAGUGGCAAACGUGAUCUGGAGGCUUUGGCUGCUAGAUUGAGGAAGGGGUGUCAUUCUGUUGGGUGGCCUUACCAACUAGGGGUCGGUUGGGCCUCCCUUUGGGUUUGGGUCAACCUCCUUUGUUUGCUAGUUUGUGUUCUUGGUUGGGCCAGGUUUGGGUAUAAGUUUAUUUAUAGUAAUUUUUAACUUUCUUUUUUAUUUAGUCAAAAUGGAUGGGGCUGCCGGCAGCCUCGCUCUCUCCCUUUUAUAGGUAAUGAUGUCACUGAUUAGUCCCCAGUUCAUGUGUGCCUAUUGAUUUUCAUGGGAAUUCAUGGCUACAAAAGAAUGUUUGUACUUAGAUAAUGGUUCUUUUGUCAACCUCAAUCAGUGACACAGGUGAAUCGUUAUAUGUACUUUAGAGCAUCUCCAUUUUCUCGAUUUCCUCGAUUUUAGGGAAUAUUAAGCUUUUUUUAUGUUCAAUAGCUUCCCCCAUCUCAUUCUCUAAAAUAAGGAUGGAGAAGAAAGGUAAGUCUUCAUUCCCCAAAAUUAAAUUAUUCACGUGCUCCAACGAGUUCAAGACAACAAUAGAAUAUUUUAUUGGGCGGGCUGGUUCAAGAGAUAUUAGAUUUAACACUAAUUUUGACACUAUUUCUUAACCAUUGGCUUUUAAAAAAUUCAAUGGUCUAGAUCAAUUCUAAGUAUGAUGUCAGCCUACUAAAACUAAUGUGGCAAGUGACGUGGAAUGACCUAAUUAAUUUCAUAACAACUCAAAAUACAAGAAAAGAAUGAAAAAUCUAAAUCUAAAAUCUGAAAAAAAAAUUAAAAAAAUACAAUCUAUACGAGAAAAAAAAAAGGAUAGCGAAGGAUCGCAGUUUAACAAAUUCGCUGGCGACAUUUCUACUUGGAAGAGGUGCACGCCCAAUAAUUCAAGACAGAGGAGGAUCAAUUCAAGAUAGAGGAAUGGAGAUCGGACUAUGGGAGCAAUUACUGAUGAGGAAUUAUUCAUAAGACAUUAUAAAAUGAGUAAAACAAAAGCUUCUGCACAUGAUACUAAUGUUGAAAUUAUUCAUGUUUUGGUUCUUUUGCUCCUUUGUAUUCUUUUUGUUUCUUCUCUUAGGUAUGUGUUCGUCUGCGUCUUGUUCUUGUAUUAUCUUUUUUUCUUUUUCUUUUUUUCAAAUUUUAGAUUUUGAUUUUUCAUUCUUUUCUUGUAAUUUGAGUUGUUAUGAAAUUAGGUAAUUCCACGUCACUUGCUACAUCAGUUUUAAUAGAUUGACAGCAUAUUUAGAAUUGAUAUAGACCAUUGAAUUUUUUAAAAUCCAAUGGUUAAGAAAUAGUGUUAAAAUUAGUGUUAAAUCUAAUGUCCCUUGAACCGGCCCGUUUAUUGGGUAUUUUAUUUGUUACAAUAAAAUAUACAAUGUUUUUUGUUAUAAUUAAUAAUGAUAUAGUAUAUUUUAUCGUUGUAUUAAAUGUUUAAAUCUUCAAAAUGGAGAAGCUGUUGGAUUUUGAGCAUAUUUUUUUUUGGAGAUUUUAGCUUUUGCUUUCCCAUUUUAGAGAAAUUUUAGAGCAUCUCCAACAGCUUCCCAAUUUUCUUGAACUUCUCAAUUUUAGGGAAUAUAGAACUAUUUUUAGGUCCAACAGUUUCUCCAUCCCAUUCCCUAAAAUGAAGAUGUAAAAGAAAGAGAAGCCUUCAUUCCCCAAAUUUGCGAGAAAUUUUGAUAAAUAACCUCUUUUAGGCCUUUGAGUUGAUUUUUGACCAUGUUUUUAUAAACUAUUGAAAAAUAACUAUAUACAGAAAUCAAAAGUCCCAAUUACCCUCAUUUAAAUUUGUGUAAUUUAUUUUCUUUUUAACAUUUGCAAUUCUCAUUAUCUGUAAAUUGCUUGAUCUUCUUCAUUUUUGCUCGUGCUUUCCUCCCUUCAUAUCCCUGAAAAAAAAUCAUCCAAGACCAAUUUGUUGCAUAACGUGGUUAACUUGAUACAGUAAUUAAUUAAAGUGAUAUAUUAUAAAGGCUUAAGCUCAUUAAUACCAAAUAACUGAUAUAUAUAUAUAUAUAUUGACAUCAGUUAGCAAUAAGACAUUAGCAUAUGGGGUUGCAAACAAUGAGUUGUUCUGUUUCGCGUCCCUCUGGAGAAAGUUAAAUGGCUGAAGAGUUUGCAUUUGGCGAAAGUGUAGUAUAUUGGCUAGAAAUUUAUAGACAUGCCAGUGUGCCACUCCUAUGGGAGGGCUUUCUAAUGAUACAAAUGAUGAACAUGCUUAACGAAGCUUGUACAUGAAAGAUCUGAAGCUAUUUUUGUUUUUCUCCCUCAAAUAAGAGAGAAAACUGAUAUUAGCAUUGACUAAUGAGCUCUUGAGUGCUUGGUCACUCUUCUUUAUGAUCUGGUAUUACUAUGGAAUUUAGUGGUGAAGUCUUAUACCUUCUAACUGUUUGAUGACCUUCCUUUUAUUAAAAGAAUGAAGAGAAGACAUUGAUAACAUAAAUCUCAGGUUCUGUACAAUCCAUGCAUAAGGUGCCAAUAUUACUUUUUGCACUAGGAACCAAUUUAGCAAUUGGAAAUUCAUAGCAUACAUCUUGAUUUUCAGACUUUGUAUACGGACUAUUGAUUUUUUUUAACAAUUACAAGUUAAGCCAUAUAUGAGAUAAUGAAAUCAAAUAUACAUGUUACACUUUCAACUAGAUAGAGUCUUGGACAAUAAUGACUACACAAGAGAUCUGAACAAAAGCCCUUGCGGAGGAGAUGAAAGGAAUAUAUUUUGUGUGUUUCAGUUUUUGAAUUUGAUCUUAAAUAAACGAAUGAUAGAGGUUGGAUAAAACGAGAGAAAUUUAAAUAAGGGUAUUUGAGACUUUUGAUCCCCUUAUAUGGUUAUUUUUCAAUAGUUUGAAAAAACAUGGUCAAAAAUCAACUCAAUGGUCUAAAAGAGGUUAUUUAUCAAAAUUUCUCGAAAUUUGCAUCAAAGCCUUCUUUCCCCAAAAUUAAAUUAUUCACGUGUUCCAACGAAUUCAAGACAACAAUAGAAUAUUUUAUUGGGUAUUUUAUUUGUUAUAAUAAAAUAUACAAUGUUUUUUUGUUAUAACUAAUAAUGAUAUAGUAUAUUUUAUUGUUGUAUUAAAUGUUGAAAUCUCCAAAAUGGAGAAGCUGUUGGAUUUUUAGCAUAAUUUUUUUGAAGAUUUUAGCUUUUGCUUCCCCAUUUUAGAGGGAACCUGUUGAAGAUGCUCUUAUGUUUGAUCAACACAAUGGUUGACUUUCUUUUAUUUUAUUUAAAAAAAAAAUCUUUAUCAUUCAAUUUAUACUUUUUGCUAAACCGCGCUAUGGUCCACUCAACGAUAAUCAUCUUCUUUUGUUAUGACUUUCAUGGAGAAAUUAAAUUAGAAUCAAAUAGCUUCAAUUCUUAAACCGUUAAUGUUUUGUAAUUAUGGACAUGCCAAAUGAUUUGACUCCCAUUAGUUUGUAGUCAGCAUGUCUUAGGCUUUCGGGCAGGUAGUGCUUGUGGCAAGGAAUUAGUAUGGCUUUGUUUGAAUACCCACGUAAACAUCGAUCAAAUAUUGACUGAGUAGGGAUAUUUUGAACUCAUUAAAUAAACGUGACGGUUUGUUGCAUCCAAGGGCGGAUCUAGCCUUCUUAGACCAGAACUCAAGUCCCGCUCAAAUUGUUUGAGGAAAAAAAAAUUACUACAUAUAGUUAGCAUAUAAAAGAAUUUCAACAUAUAUAGGUUUCACUCACGUACGAGAGUAGAGGUGAAUUAUAUUAUUUUCUACAAGUCUUUUUCACCCAAUUUUCUCUAAUCUCAUUAGUUAUCUUAUUUUCUUACCACCUAAUUAGUCUUGAGUAUUCAAUAUUGUUCAAUUAUAGAUUUAUAGUUAAGUUAAUUAAAAUUGGGGCAAAAAUUAAGGUUGAUUGUCGGUUACAAAUUUCAUUGAAAGAACAUGUUAUUGGCUUUGUACUCGAUCCUCUAAUCUUCUUCCAAUACUCUUUACAACUAAAACCCAUGUUCUCAAAUGUUCUCCCUAACACCAAGAAAAAUGUUGCAAGUGAUAUGGGACUAUGAUGUGCAUCAUCAAAUGUUCACAAUAAAUGUGAGCUCAGAUCCAAGGAAUCACCUGCCAAGUUCUUACUGAUUUCAGAUUUUCAGAUCAUAAACACACAUCAUGGAACAUAUUUGGAGGUUGAACAGUCUUAAUAAUAACCCCUCAUACCCCUCUGUCAAUACGUACCAACAACCCGUUUCUGUAGAUGCCAACAUAAACUUCACAUACGUGUAUAGCUCCCAAACCAAAUCUAAAUAUAAAAAUCAACCCACUUACACAUGUCGACAUCAUCAGAUCAGAACCGCUUCUUUCAAUUAUCAUUUGGGAACACGGAUUUAACUGACUGCACACCAGCAAAGGCAAUGCUUUGAUAUGGUAUUCCAUUUAAUUGCCACCAUCUCCACUACCUUUAUAUAUCAAAACCUGUAGUGAAACGAAACUGCAUAGUACAGUGGUUUGCAUUUCUCUUCAUGUUUCUUUGAAGAUUUUAUGAUACUGUAAAAAAAAAUCCUCAGAUUAAUCAUCUUUGUAACAUAUGUCAAGAAUUCAACCAUUUAGUUUCCUAGUAGCUAUUACUAUGGUACUGUCUGCAGCCAUACAAGCCAUUAUCUUUUUGCAUUUACAUUCCUAUGUCAAUUUCACUUACUUUUUAAUAUGAUGUUAUACUAAAUAUCUUAUGUACUAAAUAACACAACAAUUACCGUCCGAAUUGAUAGGACUCCAAACUGUUCGAAUCAACCAUCACUAUAUCUACAUAAUAUCAUCAUCAUCAAUGUCUCACUCCACCGUCGCUAACCUAAUCAACCACGCCUGGUGCAGACGCGGGCACAAAUUCUACUAUAUUCUAAUGACAUUUGUAUUUUUGCAUUCACCAACUACAGGCUACAUCCAAUAAUUUUAAUUAAUUCAUGUAAAUUACGUCUUUAUCGAGAGUAGAGAGAUUGAUAUUGUUGUAGCCGAGAUAAGCAAACGUGAAUAGCAUCUUAGUUUUCUGGUACAAGUAGCUAAGGAGGUACGAUUUGCAUCCUUAAAUCACUUAAGGAAAUCUAUUGCUUCAUCCUCUCAUCAAAGAUUUACGUGUUUAGCAAAAUCUCAUUGAAGGUUAGUCACAAUGUGAAAUCCAACAUUUAUAUCAAAUCUAGACCUUAUCUUGUAUCCCAAAUCGAUAUUUUUGAUUUGUUUCAUCAGACAUGAUUUGUUUUUUAUUCUUCAUCUUUCAAUUCACAUGGCUAAUCAGGUUUGUUUGGAUUUAAAUUGAUCACAACAAGUGAGCAAUUAUGUUAAUUAUUUGGAUGAUACUUCUUACUAAAUUAUUAUCAACGUGGAAAAUGGAAGUCGUCAUGAGACAUGGUGUCAAACCCCCGAGAGAUUCUUAUUUAUAGCAAUCAUACCAUAUCACAACAAUGUUCGGCCAAUAAGAAAACAUGCAAGGGUACGGUAUAAUGGAUAUUGCACUUUUUUUUAUCGAAAAGAAAAAAUUUCAUUAAUAUUGUUGGAUAUUACAAAUUGAUGUAACUUUGAUAUUAACAUAAAGUUUUUUGCAUUUCUAUUUGUAUGCCCUACUACCACGUGGUAGGGAUAUAUCCCUACAUAAAAAUUUCUAUCAAAACUCUAGUGUAUAUUAAGACCAUUAUUGAUGAGUACAUCUAAAUAGUAACAGUUGCCUCAUAUAAAACAAUAAAAUAAAAAUUCAUUAAACAAUUAGUAAGUAAAUAUAACGAAAACAUAAAAAACUAAUACCAGAUUAUAGUUCCACAACACAUCCCGAAUCGCUUCAUCUCUCUCGGAGUUGAGUAUCCCCAAACCCUAGGGUUUGGGGGCGAGGCGGCGGUAAUCUAACUGUGGAAUCUCUAGGGCGCACUCACGGUAGCGUCUAGUUCGGGCUUCUCACGGAGGAGGCUUCUCAAGCUGUCGACGACGAGGGAGGCUGUGACGGGGUCAGAGUAUCAGGGAGUCGACGACGGUGGUGUAUCGUUCGAACCAAGUGUGUCAAGUUCAAUUGACGGCGGGCUAAGGAGAGGAAGGUUUUUUUUCGGGCAGAGGUUUCUGAUCAUCGACGGCUGAGGGGUCUACGGCUCAGCAGCGGUGGUAAUUUUGAGAGGCAGAGGUUGUCUGUGAUUGGUGACGUCUGAGAGCAGCGGCUAUCAGGUUUUUUCUAGACUUGCCCUAGGUUGUUGCGACCUCUUCGCGGCGACGCUAUGACACCACGGUCAGGUAAGCCAUUAGAUUGAGCCGGCGGCGGCGGAAUCUCUGGAAGACCUUUAUGGCGGUCGGGACUGCAUGGGUGAAUAAGGGAGGAAGAUGAGCCACUGGGUUGGGCCCUUCUGGGCUUCCCUUUGUGGUUUUGUUGUCUGGUCUUCUUCUCUUUUUCUCUAUGUGGGCUGGGCUUCUGUUUGAGUUUAAAGGGGAGAUAGAUCCCUUCUACCUUUUAACAACAACUCUCUUUCUUUUCAAUUCGAUGAAAGGUACACCAUGAGGUCUUAUACUUGAUUCGAUUGAAAAUGGAGUUGUUUGUUAGAAGAUAGAACGUUAUAUGCUUUUUUAGUUGAUAGAUCCACAUUUUUGGAUGUAAUUUUGAGGUUGUUUUUUUUCAUUUCUUAGAUGUAGUUCGUAUUUAGUUAUCUAGCUAUGCUGCUUGUAUGUUUUUCAGACUAUUCAUGCUUGACCUUUUGGUCGUCAUGAUCUUUGAUCAAUGAAACUAUCUCCUUUUACCUAAAAAAACCAGAUUAUAGUCUCCCCUGAUAUUCUAAUCUCAGAUAAUCAAUGUGACAUUUCUACAACACCACAUGUAGUGCUAACGCCUCCACAUGAAGUGCAGAUCAAGCACGCUUGUUGAAUGUGACAACCUAUCGCCUCAGUGCCCUUUAGCAUAGAUGCAAAGCUUAGUUAUUCUACCCAGAGGAGGGCACACCUAUUUUGAAACAUGUCUCUUGCUCUUAAGAGCAUAGAUGUAGCAUCUCUGCAUGCAUGAGAGUGGAUGAUUUGGAGAUAUUGAAAUUGUAUGAGAGCUUUUUGAGUAGAAAAACUUAAUUCCGGUUGCUUUUAUUCCUAAACUCAUCUAUUUUUUUAGGUAUCGAGUUGGGGUUUGUGAGGAAUCAAUUUUUGAAUUUUUUGAUAAGUAGGUGUGACCCAUAUCAAUCAAUUUCUUAAUAUAUCAGUUUACACAUGAACUCUCUCAUCUCGAAAUUGAUAAUGUCAUUUUCAUUCUAAUUCAAAGUUAGUAAAGAUGCUUGUCCUCCUGCUAAAUCUAAGAGACUUUGCAUCACUAUAGGCCCAAUCACAGAUCCAAUUUCAUACAAAAAAUCGAAUAAAGGGUCCAAAUCAAAAGUUUGGAUAAUUGUUCAUGGCCGAAGAAAGAGAGAAAAACAAUGAGGUUUGGAUAAUUGGUGACUAGUAAGUGGGUCCCAAAUGUGGCCUCUCGCACGUGUUAAAAAUCCAAAGCUUAGGGCAAACUAUAUGAAUUGUGUCGUGAGUUGUAUUAUGUUUGUGAGUGUGUGAAUUGCAAUCUCAAUCAAUCUCCNNNNNNNNNNNNNNNNNNNNCCCCCUUCUCUUUCUUCUUCUCUCUCUCUCUCUCUCUUUCUCUCUCUCUCUCUCAGGUAAUCACUCCUCUCUCUAACUCUUACAUUUGAAUUUCGUUAUAUAAUCUUCAUUUGAAUCAAACAAAGCGAUUUGGUUGAGAAAGAUUCAAGCUUUGUCGUUUUUGUGCCCGCAAAAAUUAUAUCUUGGAGGGAUCUGUUACUCAAUAUCUAUGAUUCUUCAGCUCUUUACCGCAAACCAAACUGGGGUCUUUUAGGGUUUUGAGUUGUAGAGAGCCUCUUUGUUCUCUUAGUCAAUUGGUCUGCUACACUUUGUUUAAACAGAAUUAAUAAAAUUCUUUUCUUUUUCGAAAAGCUUAAAGCUUUUUGCUGUUUUUUUUUCGAGGGUUGGUGAUUUCUGUUCGAGCCCAGAAUGUGUGCAUUGUUAGUGAUAAUGAAGUGUAGAGAGUAAUUGGUUUUGCUUGCAUUUUCUGGAAGAGCUAAUAUUUGUUGGGUUUUUUGUUGUUGUCGUUGCAGGACUCUCUACAAUGACAGAACCUUCCAAAGUCAUUCACGUUCGGAAUGUGGGGCAUGAAAUUUCUGAGGUAUGUUUCUAUCCUACACUCUUACUAAGAUUGAGUGGCUAUUAAGUGUUUACUAUGUGUUUUAUUGGUGCAUUGAAAGUUGUUUGAUCGAAACCUUUUUUGAAUGGGUUAAAUUUAUUGUAACCGAAAUCAUUCGAGUCACUUUAUAUGUAACGGCACGGUGCAACUCUUGCUUAGCUGCAAAAUUUAUGAGCUUUAUUUUCUUUCCUUAGUUUUCUAUUAGAACAAUUACGGUUACGGGUGAUGUCUGUCUGACCGAUGCGACUGAAUAGAUGAAGGAGAGCUUUUGGAUGCUAUGGCAUUCAACUCGGGGGGAAUAGUUGCAAAUAGAUUGGCAAAAUUUUUCAGUAGGGAUUCGAAGGGACGUCCAUGGCCUUGCUAGGGAGCUAUAUUAGGAAAAAGUUCAUGGAGGUUUAUGGUGUAGAGAGCCGGAUGUUGGAAGGAUUAAUGCAGAACCUUCCUGCAGAACCUCAUUUCCAGUGGCUCCUCUGGCAAACAGAAGUACGUUAAUCCUUCCAACAUCCGGAAGAGGAAAAAGUUCAUGGAGGUUUAUGGGAAAAAGUUCUUUCGCAAACAGAAGAGGUUCUGCAUCUCUUCUGCAGAACCUCAUUUGGGUCGUUUGCAUCUCUUUUUGUUAAAAUUGACCGGUUAGGAACCUGGGGGUCAAGUCUCAAUAUGAUGUCCGGUGUUAUGAGGAUAUUUUGUUUGAUGAAUUUGCUUUGGUGGAGUGGUGCUUUCUUGUUUGGUAUUCAUUUAGUUUGUCAUUCUCUGUUCCCUUUACUUGGAGGGCUGCCAACUGUUUACUCUUUCCAUCCAGAGUUUGUUUUGAAGAAACUUCCCAUGCAGUUUUCUUGUCUCUUUUGGAGUGGGUAAAACAGACACAUUAUUUAGGCCAAUACACUUGCAUUUUGUCGGACAAUAUUUUCAUUAUUCUUUUUGGAAAGUUCAAUGCUCGGUCUGUAAGUUAUAGAGAUAAUUUCACAGAAUUUAAUAUUUAUUACACUUUUUUAUAGCAGGGUUCUUGGGAGUUUUUGAUUUUGUAUGAUGAUAGAAUGAGUUGAUUCGAGUAGGGGAGAGAAAAUGCAAUGAGAACCUCAUUAGGAAUGACUUCUGGCUAAUCAAACUCUAACAUGACUUCAGUGGCAUACAAGUGUCCUAAACUCUAGACAGUCAGACCUUGUCGUGUAAGACAUAGCCUAACCAUGUUAUUCUACAUUAAUGGUUAAAAGAUGUUCUUUAUUGGGAAAAAAAAAAAUCAAGCCACCUUUAGACCGUCUUAUGCCAACAAAGCUACAAGCAGUAAACUUAAAUGUAUAAGCAGAUAAAGAUGAACUGAGCAAAGAGAUAGUAAGGUAAUUUAAAAGAUUGUAAUGUAUUUACUUUUAAGAUGUGGACUAACAGUUUAUGUUUCGACCAGCCUUUAUUCACAGCUAGAGCCUUACCCUUGGAAUUUUACUUGGGAGGCUGCAUCCGUUAGAGCUUGAACGGAAAUCGUGUGUAAUAAUUUACUGUUUCAGAAAGUUUAGCUGUGUGCCUGACAUCAGUAAUUGUUUCAUAAUCUAGUAGUAACAAAUAAUUAAAGUACCUUAGGGGUCCUUGCGUUCCCUCUAGUUACGUACCCUAUGGGAAGAUGAAUUAUGAUUGCUGUAGAGGAGAUGCCUUCUUAGUGCCUAUUGCCACACUAGUACGUACCUGAUGGGAAGAUGAAUUGUGAUUGCUUUAGAGGAGAUGCCUUCUUACUUCUUAGUUCCUAUUGCCACAAUGGUAUGGGCCCAGUAAAAUGACUUCUGAAAAUUCUGAAUUUUUUUUGCUUCAUUGCUUCAUUGCAAUGAUGGUACUCCAAAAAUCGUAUAGAGUGAACUUAUUGCGUGACCGGUUCAAUUCUCUUGGGUAAAGAAAGAGGGAAUUGGUGCCUGGAAGUUGUGUUGUGAUGAUAAGUUUUUUGGGUGGUUCGGUGUGAACAGAAUAGUAGGAUCUUUGAGGGAACUAGGGGCGAGGAAGAAGAUUACUUGUGGGAAAAAGUUUGGUAUUUGGCAUUUCUACCGGUUAUCUUAUAAGAUUGUGAUGCUGCUCUGGUUUAGCUUCAUGUCUCUGUUUGGUUUCCUCAAUAAUGUUUUGUUCUCUAUUUUCUCUUAAUGAAAGAUAUGGUUCUCCUCUAUGCCUUAAAAAGGAAAAGAAAAAAAAAAAAAAUGGUUCUCCUAACUGUUUGUACAUGCACCUUAAACUCCAUCAGAUAAUAAGUCUAAUGGUGUUUCAUUAUUUUUCUUCAAUUUUUUCUGCUUGGUAAACACAUAUUACCCCAUAAACUCGCAAUGUUGUUGCAAAUUAGUAUGCAAUGCCUGAAAGCUCUAGUAAUUAUUAAUUAAGGAAUCAAUAGGAUUGGACAAUGUGUACUUUUGUGCCCAGUGGACACAUACCAUAUUGGUAAACAGUCCAUCUGUAGGGUACUCAAAUGAUUCAGCAAGAGUUCCAUAUGGGUGAAUAACAGAAUUGAUACAGGUCACUAAUUGUGAAAGCUUCUAUAGUAAGGAGGAAAUUAUAUAAAUGGAGUUGAAGUUGAGUGCAAUCUCAGUGAGAAGAGGUGACCUGAAAAUGUUUUAGCAACUGCUUUUGGAGAGAUUUUCUCUCAACGUAAAUGUAUUCUUUAUAUAUUUUAUGAUCGAUUACUUUUGAAAUGAUUUGCUUUCAUUUCUAUCAAUAUAUUUUUGAUGGAACUUAUGUUUGUUCCAGAAUGAUUUGCUUCAGCUAUUUCAGCCCUUCGGAGUCAUAACUAAGCUUGUGAUGCUACGCGCAAAAAACCUUAGGUUUUUUUUUUUUAGUUUUAGUUUUUAAUUGUUUUUAUAUCAUUUGUACAUGCUAAAGACACCUAUUAUGAGUUUACAACAGACCUAUAUUUGAUCUGUUGAUCUGUCAUGUGAAAUCUGCUGCAAUUUGCAGGCUCUUAUUCAAAUGCAAGACACUGCUGCUGCAGUAAGUGCAUUGCAAUUCUAUGCUAAUGUUCAACCUGCUGUAAGGUAUUAAGAUGUUUUUUGUUUAUGAGCACUCUGGUGUACACACUCUAAAUAUCAUGUUACUAAUAUAUAUUAUACUUAUCUAGGGGAAGGAAUGUUUAUGUCCAGUUCUCAUCUCAUCAAGAACUAACAACAAUGUAUCAAAAUGCUCAAGGACGAGGAGAUGAGGUUGGUACCUUGUAGGCCUUGUAUAUAUGUUAGAAGGUGAUGUAAUGAUUGAAUUUUUAAAUUGUAGUACUUCUUGGGAUAUUAAUACAGUACCACUUUGCUGUUUGUUAUCAUAUGCUGUGGAACUAUGACAUUAGCUAUUGUAGAAGUCUAGUAUUAUAUUCUUCCGACUCAGGAUGUCCAUUGUAAUCAUGUAUUGUUUUUUUUUUUUUCUAAUAUAGACAGGAAUUAUAUUCAAAUGAAUACUUAAUAUUAGAAGGAUAGACUUUUUCAGGUAUAUGGUUACUAUUCUAAUGGAUGUACAUUUUCAUGUAUAAUAGAGAAAGCAAAUCUACUUUACUCAAAUGCUUAUCAUUGAUUGAUGACACUUUCAUCAGUGGGUUGGCUACAUUAACAUAUCUUUAAUUGGUUAGGGUUAUUCUGUAUGAUGUCCCUGAUGAGUCCUUGUUCAGUUGUCCUAAUGGUUUACCUUUUGUAUCUGUGUUCUUUUUCAAAUGCCCAUAAUCUACAUUUAGUUAUUUUUGUGGAGGCUUCUGUGUUUGUUUAGUUUCUUUAAUGUUAUGGAGGACACGUAGUGUCUUGGGCCGGAUAUUUUCAAGUGAGGUCCAGGAAAAUACAGUAUAAAUUUUAUUCUUGUUGUAUGUAAUGCCCAUGCGUCAUCUGCAUCUUGUCUUAUAAGAACCAGAUAAUAGGGUUCGUCUUCAUUAUCAUUUUAUAGGAAUAUUAAUUUCAUUAUUAUUUUCAAUUCUCUCUCUAUCUGUGCUUCUUUAUUCAUUCUCCUCUCUCCUCUGUCUCUAUGCUGGUCUGCUGUUGGGGAACUCUCCGGGGAUGCACAGCCAAACCGAAUUCUCUUAGUUACGGUCCACCACAUGCUAUAUCCUAUAACAGUGGAAGUGCUGCAUCAAGUUUUUUUCCCUCAUGGAUUUGUAGAGAAGAUUGUCACUUUCCAGAAGUCAGCUGGUCAGCAUCUACAAGUUUUCUCUCUCUUUCUAUCUCAGUCUAUACCUCUUUCAUUGUAGAUUACAACUGUCUAGUUUACUCUUGGUCCUUGGCCAGAUGCUUAUGUGCUUGUUUAGUGGUAAAGGUCUUGUGCUCAUCGAAGAUUAGUGAUACAGUACAUAUAAACAAGUUAGGCAAUACAAAAGUCUGAAAUUCUAUCUUGGAUGUAUGUGCUUUGUCUUCCAGAAAAUACAUGUUAAUACAGAAUCUUUUACUGAACUGUAAAAUCUCUUCCGUCUGUUUGUGAAACUAUGUAGGUUUUCAGGCCCUCAUCCAGUAUCAGUCCCGCCAAAGUGCUGUUGCAGCUAGAACUGCACUACAGGUAUUUAUUCAUACAUCCGUAUUUCCUGUCAGCUUGUGGGACAGGCUUUUCGUGAGGUCUGCAUCCUAAUUAUCUUUUAAUUUUAACACAUCUGCUCUUUAUAGGGACGCAAUAUUUAUGAUGGUUGUUGUCAGCUGGACAUCCAGUUCUCAAAGUAUGUUUCAAGCUUCUGUAGUUAUAUUCUCAUUUGCAUUUGUAUUUGGAUAUUGAUGAGAUUAAUUUAUGCAAUUUUCUCAUUCAUAUCAGCCUUGACGAGUUGCAAGUGAACUACAAUAAUGAGCGUUCAAGGUGGGUUAGAACCUAAUGGUCACUAGUUAUGUCUUUCUUUUCUUGCCUUGCUGUUAGUGCUGAAUAUGUUUCUUCUUCUCUUUGCCAGGGAUUUCACAAAUCCAAAUUUGCCUUCGGAACAGAAAGGAAGAUCCCCACAAGUGUGUUCAGCUGCAUUUUGGUCUUUAUCCUCUAGUUCAUGUGUUGUAUCUUCUCUAGUUGUUUGUAGCCCAUCUAGUUUUACUCUGUUCAUUUCGUGUUACAGCCUGGAUAUGGUGAUGCGGGCGGCGGCAUGUAUGGCGUUCAAGCUACUGGAGCGAGGACAGGUACUUUGUUUGUCAAAGAAAUAUAUUAUUCAUUGCAGCUUUGUGAUCUGUAUCUCUUACUGACAUGUGUAUGGUUUUGUGUUUCAGUUGGAUUCCCACAGGUGGGUAGCGUUCUCGUCAUCUUAGAUGUGCAUGAGAUAAUCCUGAGCUGGAGGAUGUAAUCUGCACUAUUUUAUGAAAUAUAUAACUCGUCGAGGCUUUAGAUUCUUUUUCUAUCCGAAAUAGUGAAAUUUACAUCCCUGUUGCCUGUUGUGUAUUGUCUGUAGCUCAUGUUUGAUUCAUUUUCAGUGCAUCUGUUGUGUUUUUUUUUUUGGGGGGUGGGGGGUGGGAGUUGCUUAUUCUGUUGGAUGGUCUUGUUCUAUAUUGAUCCUUAUAAUGCAUGUAUACUGCUUUAAGGCAAUCACAAGCUCACAAAUAGUAAGAGAUCUGUUUGAGGAUAUUGUAGGGUAUCACUUUCAUCUGAUAUAGUGAAAUUCAAGCUUCUACUUCAUCAGAUCAUUUGUAUCAUUAACAUGUGGCACAUUAAUUGGUUGUAUAUUUACAGUAUGGAUUUGCAAAAUUAUGUUGUUUACUUAUUUUUUCACCCUUGGCUCUAGAUGGCUAACGCAGCUGCAAUUGCUGCCGCCUUUGGUGGAGGUCUGCCUCCUGGAAUAAGUGGGACAAAUGACAGGUGUACGGUCCUCGUGUCAAAUUUGAAUCCCGAUGUAAGUGCUUCUCUUUCCUGGGUGUACACUCCAUCUAGCUCUUAUGAUUUUAACGUGACAUGUUUUGCGCUUUUCUCUUCAGAGGAUAGAUGAAGAUAUGCUUUUUAACCUGUUCUCCAUCUAUGGAAACAUUGUGAGAAUUAAGCUUCUCCGGAACAAACCAGAUCAUGCACUUGUCCAGAUGGGUGAUGGCUUCCAGGCUGAACUGGCAGUACACUUUUUAAAGGUAGCUCAAACUUGUCCUCUCUAUGUAGGAUAGUAUAUCUAUUUGUGAUGUUAUUGGAGCAUUUAUGAUUCUCUCUUAACUGUGAUGGCAUGCCAAUCUCAUUAGGAAUUAGAUCACUUAUGUGAGUGAUAUAUCUGUCAAUUUUUUAACUCCUACUGUAUUGAAAGCUGUUGUAGUUUUGUUUUUAUUUUUCUUGUGAGGAUACCAAUACUUUUUAAAAUAUGUGAAAUAGGGUGCAAUCCUUUUUGGGAAGCGAUUGGAGGUCAACUUCUCAAAGCAUCCGAACAUCACUCAGGGUGCCGACACUCAUGAAUACAUGAAUUCAAAUCUCAACCGCUUCAACCGUAAUGCUGCAAAGAACUACCGCUAUUGCUGCUCACCUACAAAGAUGAUUCACUUGUCAUCUCUUCCACAGGAAGUUGCUGAAGAUGAGAUUGUGACCCACCUAGAGGAAAUUGGUACCAUUGUCAACACAAAGCUCUUUGAGAUGAAUGGGAAGAAGCAGGCCUUGGUUCUGUUUGAAACUGAGGAGCAGGCCACCGAAGCCCUGGUGUGCAAGCAUGCUACCUCGCUUGGUGGGUCAAUAAUCAGGAUCUCCUUUUCACAGUUACAAGCAAUAUAAUAAUGUUAUAGUUGCAGUAAUAACAAGGAGGAGGUUUCUGCAAUAUCAGGGGUAAGGCCUCGUAAUUGGAAAAAAAAUAUUUGUGGAGCUGACGGUCUUCUGUUGCUUUCUCUUUUCUUUGUAUGGUUUCGGAUUGCAAAUGAAUUGGUGGAUCUGCAUUUUGAUCAUUUAUGGUCUUAUUUAUCUUUAGUGCUUGUAUCAGAUCAAUUAUCUAGGUUUUCAACUGUUUGGGGUAGGUUUCAUUCUGAGAAAAUGCCAAGUUUUGAAGCAUAGGAAUAGGGAAGAAUUCCUUUUUGUUUUUUAGAAGAGGGAUUUCUUAGUGUAUAUCUAUUUUAAUUCUGGUUAAUCAAGCCAUCUUAAUUAUAUUGUCAAUCUAUAGCCAAUUAUGUUCCACCUAAUUGGUUGAUCUGCUAACUCUUGUAAAUUAUCUCCACAGUCUUCUUCUUCUGCCCCUCUACCUCCUUCACCUCUUUACCUCUCUCUUCCUCUCCUUCAUUUCUCUCCCUCUCAUGGACAAAAAUAUUGGAACUUUGUAUUGUUUGGUUCUUCCUCCCUCCUCCCUCUUCUACUCUUUCUAAAUUUAUUUCUGGGACCUGAUAGUGGACAAUGGUAUGGUUUGCAUUUCGAGUCCACACAUGUACGGUUUGGUUCUAUGCGUGUAGGUGCAUCUCGUCUUUGAACCCAAAUCUUUGGUGCACAUGACACAGCAACCAUAUGUGUAGAAAGGGAAUUUGGUGUAUUCGAAACUUAAAAUUUUUGUUGGAAUUUCCUAACUAGGGAUGUGAUGUUGAUAAUUGACAUACCAAGUUUGUUUAAAAAGGGAAGUGAAAUCUAUACUCCUCAAAUUGUAGUCCACUCUUAUUUUUUAUUUUUGGUCACUUAUAUUUUGUUUUUAGUGACUUAAUUUUUGUCUUCUUUUAAAAAUGACUAAAAAUAUAAAUUGAGAGUAUAAAUUACAACUUAGGGAAUGGAUUUCACAUCCUUGAUUUGCCAAGUUUGUUCCCUCUUGUAGUGUAUUGUUUGAAGAAACACGUAUCAAACUCAGACUGCGAUCCUGAAGUGUAGACAUUUUGUAUAUACAAUCGAGGCACAAAAGUUGGCAACUGUUGUUGAUCAUCAUGUGAGCAACUUAAGAUACGAAUCAAGUUUCUAGCAAUUUAAAGCUCUUACAUUUCAUAGAUUAAGAAAGAGGUCCGACGCUCGCUCUUGUCUUGUGCUGGCUCGAGAGGUUGAGGGGCUAGCUAGGGUUCUCAGAAUGGUAUACGUUUCGAGUUAAGAGUGCAUAGCUAGUAAGAAUCAAACAUAGCUUGCUAGACAGGUGUUGCAGUGCCUUAAUUGAGAGAAACAGAGGUUCUUUUCUUCUUCUUUUUUUGGCUACAGAAGGGACCUAAAAGGCCCAAACAAAAGAAAAACAAAAAAACUACAUACUAAAUACUAGAGCAAAGUUCAGUUCUUCUUGCUCUAGUAACACCAGCAAAAUCAUCUAAAACAGCUUGAGCAGCAUGAGCAGGGACAUCAGCAAAAAUGAUCAAACCAAGAUCAUGGUUGAUACUAUCAUUGGCCAAAGCAUCAGCUACCAUAUUGUAUUCUCUGAAAAUAUGAUUAAGCAAAUUAGCCAUCAUUGCAACACAACCAUCAAGAAGAAUUACAUUUUAGAGACUACAGUGGACAAUUAAAUCUGACGGCUGUAUCUGUGUCUUAUACUUCUGAUGAAAAAAAAUGAAUAAAAAAAGGGCAGUUUUCUUUAACAAAAAUUAAAAAAAUAAAUAAAAAAGGUAAAGACUAAAGAGGGUGAGAGACAGAGAGUUUGAAAGAGUUGGUUGUGAUUUUGAGCGGGUAUUCAGGUAUCACUUGCUUGACUGAAACAACUCCGCAACUUGCAUCAACAUUAUUCUUCACCAAAUCCAAAAGCUAGCCCUAACCCUAAAACUUGGUUGUUGAAAUUUGAAGACAUGGAUCGGUAUCAGAGGAUAGAGAAGCCUCGGGAGGAAACGCCGAUCAACGAGAAUGAGAUUCGCAUCACCACUCAGGGCAGAAUCAGGAACUACAUUACCUACGCCACCACUCUCCUCCAGGUCCUCAUAUUCUAUCUCUUUGUUAUUAUUUAUAUCUAGAGUUUCAUUCUACUUGUAGCAAAUCCAUGGAUUAUAUGCUACACUCUCAUAUAUAGCCUAUGAUAUUGUAGAAUAUAAUCCAUGGAUUUGCUACAAUCAUUCAUGAAACAUCAGCAUAUAACAUAUAUGGUCAUAAAUUUGGUCUACUUUAGAAUGUUAAAGCAAUGUUGGUGGUCCUAAUUUUGUGUCUGAUUUUACAGGAGAAAGGGUCCAAUGAAAUCUCUCUCAAAGCAAUGGGCAGAGCUAUCAACAAGACUGUCAUGAUCACUGAACUUAUUAAGGUUUCUUGCAAUCCGCGGCGCGAUCAUUUCUUUUAGUGUUCUUGAACUUCUAAUCACACUCAUUACAAUUCUCUGGUUUUUUUCUUCAGAGGAGGGUUGGUGGUCUUCAUCAAAACACCUACAUUGGCUCUACUAAUAUAACUGACACAUGGGAGCCCCUGGAAGAAGGCUUGAAGACGUAAGAUCUUACGAUUUUCUCAUGAUAGAUAGUUUCUCUCGUUAUUGUUUGAACUAAUAAAGCGUCUUAUAAAUGCAGCCUGGAAACUACUCGCCAUGUUUCAGUGAUUACAGUUACUUUGUCCAAGAAGGAAUUGGACACGUCCUCUACAGGGUAUCGUAUAUAUGCUCUUAUUGUUAAAUUUUUUAGAUAUACCUCUACUCCUCUAUUAUAUCAAUCUUCUACUAUGCUUAAACAUUCAUCUCAGUUCAUAGACACAUUGAGACAUCGGAUAAGAUUUAGUAUUAUUUUGGUAUAUGCAUUAUGUAUUCCAUUGUUUUACUUUUAAUAUGAUGCAGGUAUCAAGGACCUAUCCCAGCUGAUCAAGUGAAGCAAUGGACUGAAUAUGAUUAUGAAGGACGUAAGGCCACAUAAGUUAGGAUCUUCUGUUUUUUUUUUUGGAAUGAAAGUUAGGAUCAGUUGGUCAAUACAUGCAAUACUUUUCUAAGCAUUAUUACUUAUUUUCUUUGCUGUUGUGCAUGUAGAAGGACCUCCUAGUAUGCGAGGAAGCAGACGUGGUCGAGGAAGGGGUAGAGGAAGAGGUAAUAGACAAUGGUUAAGAUCCUGAAAGUGAUUUUUGGGGUUAUCUUGCUCUUUCAGCACUGGUGUUCAUUGAUUUGCUUAUUCAUUUGUUGUUUUGUCUCAAUCACUUUUAAAACUUUAUAAUCAUGAAUGCAAAUGUUUAUUGGUCGACUCAUACAGAAUAAAAACCAAGUGAGAAUAUUGCUCAACAUAAAAAGGAAAUGUCUGUAAGUUGUGAAAGGUUAUAUAUAUAUAGUUGAAUAAAUUAGUUUUAAUCUCUUAGAUACACAUUAAUACUAGAUACUGAAACUUAUAUACUCCUAGAAAAGUCUAUGUAGCUUAUUUCUUUUUCUUUUUUAAUUUUCAACAGUCACUUGAAUUUUACUGAAUGUGAUAGUUAUAUUUUCAGAUAAUUUUUUCCCAAGUACAGUAAUACACCAAUAUCAACAAACUUGAUUUUCACUAUUUCAGUAGCCUUUUUUAAAAUAUAAAACUAUAUAUUACAUAUAUAUGAACGCUUGUGUUUGAAAUAUUUGAUGUCCGUCAAAUACAAUUUCAUACCAAUAUAAACGUAUUGUUUUUUACAUACCAAUAUGUGCUGGUGCACACUGCAUUCCUGCCAAAUCAAAUCUACUAAGGUUUUCCAACUUCUAUUGAAAUUUGUAAUAGUGUCAUUUGGCUUUUCAUACAUUUCUCAGUAUAUGAUGUUUUUCUCAGAUUCAUUAAAACAUUGUAAUCAUGCCAGAUCAUAUCUACUAAGUACCUUAGAUUUCCAAAUUGUUCUUCUUCUUCUUGUUUUUUUUAUUUUUUAUUUUUUAUUUUUUUAUUUUUUGUUUUUUACCAAAAGAGUAGGUAGCAGUUAUCAUUUUUAUUUUCUCAUGUUUUAGCUGUUUCUCACAGAGCUUUUACCAAUGCUGUAAUGUCUAUUAAUUUCAUCUCAGUAUUUGUAGUUUUGUACUGACUUGUCAUGAAUUUGCUGCAUGAUGAUUAUUUUUCUUAACAAAUAUGAACAGUAAUCUACAGAAACUAAUAGGUUUGCAUUUGGCUCAAAUGUUCUAAAAAACGCUAGGCGCUAGUCGGGUUAAUCGGGGGAUUAAUCAGUUUUCUAGCUCUCUAGACGGAAACGGUGAAGCACCGCCUAGCACCUAGGCGGGGAUUAAUCGGCUCUAGGCGGGGAUUUUUAGAACAUUAGGCUCGAUGAGCCUUUUUCUGGUGUGCGUUUACUCAUAUACAUGUUUUUGCAUUGUACUUGAGUCACUUGACUACUUACUCAGUUUUAUGAUUUGAAAAGCAGCAAUAGCUAAUAUGAUUUUGUUUUUUCUUUUCACAGGGAGUUAUAGUAAUGGAGUGAUGGAAUACAAUGCUGAUGGUGGUUUGGAUGGUGGCCAGGGCUAUGGUGUGUUUGAUGGUGGUCAUGGUUAUGGUGGGUUUGAAGGUGGGCGUGGCUAUGCUGGCAGGGGUCAGAGUCGUGGAAGAGUCCGUGGUUAUCGUGGGCGUGGGCGAGGAUAUGGCAGUGGAAGUAUGCAACCAGAAUCUGGUUAUACUGUCUAUAAUGAUUAUGGAGGUGGAGCACCUUCUGCUCAAAUUCGUGGUAAGCCUUGAAAUUGUGUUCUUAAACUCCACCAUUGCUGUAGUUACUUUACCUAAAAUCUACAAGGAAAAUGUACACUCGCCUCUGUACAACAAAGAAACUCUCUCCUUCCAUGCUUCCUCUUUUGGAAGAUUAAUUGUUGGAAUAAUUUUAUUUGCAUACUAAACUUUCGGAUCACUAGGUAUUAAGUGUUAUUGUGUUCCCAACAAAAUUGAUGUGUUGCAAAAUUCUUCAAAUAGAAAAUCUUAUGAGAAUGGUGAAAUGGAAUUAGCCUUGUUCUGUUGUUGGUGGCAUCGAGCUCUUCGGUGCAGAAGUGCAUGAUAUUUUCUUGUUCUACCUGCAACUUCUCGAAAUUACCACCUUUUCUUGGUGUCUUUCAGGUAGAGAGCGCGGACGAGGCAGGGCAAGAGGCGGGGGUCGUGGUGGAGGUGGUAGAUUAGAUGGACCUAUCCAGAGUGUUGUGUACUCAGGAUGAGGUACCAAAGCUGGUUUUGGUUUCAGAAAGUUUUGGAUGCCUGCUCUAGGGGCAAAUGGGGUUUGGGGUAGAACAUACUGGCUUCAGUGAAAUGCUGUGUGACAGUCAUGCUUUUGUAGUUUGAAGCAUAGAAAUUUCCUUGUUGACAUUUUGACUGACCAAAACUUGAACACUGUACACGUUUUCUCCUCUAGAAUAAUAGAGCGUUUCAUUCACUUGCUCUCUAUUCAACUAUUCAUCGGUCAGAGCGUUUCAUUCACUUGCAAAAGUUUUGGGUCUGACUUACCACGUUUACCCCAAGUUGACUAACUGGGAUUUCCAAACUGGUUUCGCAUUUUGCAAGUAUGAUUAGUAAACAUUUUUUUUUUUUUUUAAUAAAUACUAGUGACUGAAUUUGGCUUCUCUGCUUAAAUUGAUGUUGCUUAUAUUUGCUUAGAAUCUCUAUAACCAUUGGAUUCAGUACUCUGAGGUCGUCACAUCAUCCAAUGGUUAUAAGGAUUUCAAGCUAAACAAGCAACAUGCAUCCGGAGAAACUUAUCUUCUAAUACUUCUUGAUCAACCUACUGUUCCAUGUCCUCUCUUCUUGUACCACAAACGAAAAAUGAUGCUAAAAGCUUCACUAGCAUGAUGCCUAGGUUUCACAUCCUCGAAUCCAUUCCUAUGGACAUGGAAUGUAAAAACCCCAUAGACUCCCCUCAUUCGCUCUAGUAACUUUCAAGUUCUCAAACCAUACAUCCACUUUCAGACUAGAACUUAACCAGACCAGUAUAAAAUCAGGCAUGCAGUUAUCCACCAACACACUUCCUUUUAUGACACAAAGUGCAAAACAUGCAACAGCCAUUCACCAUUUCUAUAAUUAUCAAAACAUAAAUCUAAAUCUUAAAGUAGAAUUGUACUCGGUUUUAAUUUAAAAAUAGGAUCCUUGAAAAUAACAGCUACAAAGCAAACUUGAUAAUCAUCGUUCAAUAUCCUCGAUACUUGAAACAGCGAUAAAUAACAAAACUGUUGCAACAUAAACUCCCAUAGAAAACUAAAUGCUGCCAAAGCCAUUGAUACUUUCAAACAGUUAUAAUCCCUAUGCCUUGAGCCGUCCAUAGUACUUCUGUUUCUCCUGUGUGGUCUGGAAGCGCCCAUGCCCAAACUUUGAGGAGGUAUCGAUGAACUUGAGUUUGAUGUCCUCAAGAGCAAGGCGAGAGGUCUGCUUGAGCAGAGACUGGCGGAGAGUAACCACCCUCUUCUUGGGUCCAACACAGCAUCCCUUGAUCAGAAUGUAGUCAUCUUUCACAACACCGUAAUGAGGGAAGCCACCAAUUGGGGUGAUGUCUUUCUCAGUCCUGGAUUAUAAUCAACCAAGUCAGAUAUAACUGAAGUCAAGUAAUAGAAGUACAAAAUAGAAACAUCAACUCAAAGAGAAGUGAAGCUACUGACCUGUCAAACUCAGUCACAGCAGUGUGUGAUUCCUGUCCAGCCUUUCCAAGCUUGUAAAUUUUCUUGUUCAUUUCAGUACGGUGAUGGUAUCCAUUCUGACCAGCCCUGGCAACUGUGAAUGAAACUCUAGCAGGAUGCCAUGCACCAAUACAAGCAACCUUACGCAGACCCCUAUGGGUCUUACGUGGAAGCCUGGUGACACCCCAACGAGUAACAACACCCUCAUAACCUUUACCCUUUGUCACACCAAUAAUGUCAAUCAUCUCAUCUUUCUGGAAGACAGCAUCAAUAGGGAUUUGCUUCUCAAAGAAGCUUUUGGCAAAUUCAACCUUUUGAGCAAUUGUGCCUCCGUUCACCUGGAUCUCCAUGAGAUGUGCUUUCUUCUGCUUCAGACCCUUCAUCUUUCGAAUCUGCCCAUCAACAUUAAAACAAGUUGUCAGUAAAGUAACAAGUAGGAGCUAGACACAAGUUAAGAUAUCAAAUGAUAGUCAAUUCUAAAAAUAACAAUCAAGUCAGAGUAUCAACCAUACCUGGGUGUGAGCCAAAACUCGAAUAACAGUAGAAUAUUUAAUCAGUUUCUCAAACUGUGCUUCAAUACUCUUCUUUCCUUCAUCAGUUUCAUAGGUCUUGGAGUACUUUGCAAAAGCUUUCUUCUUGGACUUGCACCAGUUCUUGUAAAACCUCCUCUUAACCUCCUCACUGAGAUGCUGAGCCCACACUGUGUUCAAAGAACGAAGGCCACGUGGGGUUUUCACAUAACCCACAACACCAACAACAACCAUUGGAGGAGCCUCAAUGAUAGUGACAGCCUCACAUGUCUCCUUCUUGUGCAGCUCUAAGGAAGUCAUUAAAAAUGUAAUAAGAAAUUAUGCACUAGAAGUUAAUAUAAAAUAUGUAGAGCUGAUGAAAAAAGAAAUCCCUCAGGAACGCCUGAUUUCCGCCUGGACAGCAUGAACACAAUCAAGAAUGGUACUCAACCCCAACAAAAUCUUUGCAUGAGGGAGCACCAAUACUGUAAUUUCAUGCAUGUGUCUAAGAUUACUAAAUUUUUCAUCAUUGGGAUAUGCAUGAAAAAUAUCACAUUAUAGAUUAAUUCUCUAUUAAGCAAAGAAAUAUCCAAGGCUGAAUGCAAUGCAUAUCAUAUUGGCCAAGAAACAUAAAUAAUGAACUUUUAGUCUGUUCAUGAGAACUUUAAAUUACAACUCCAUUGAAAAGCACAUGAGAAAAGGUAUGCUCAAAACAUUAACAAUGAGAAAUAUUAUCAACCAGACCCAAUUGGAAGGUGGCUUACUUGAUCCAGGCUUCUCAACAUCCCUGACAAUGUGAGUCAUCCCAGCCUUGUAACCAAGGAAAGCAGUCAGCUUGCAGGGCUUGGAUGGGUCAUCCUUGGGGAAAGCCUUCACUACAUAUCCACAAGACAAACAAACAAUUAAUACAAAUACAAACUUUGAGAAACACAAGAAUAAAAAUCCAAACAUACAAACUUCGAGAAAAACAUCCAAACUUUCAGGGCUUGUACUCGGGCAUUCAUGAAAGCAUUUAAAAAUCCUUACAAACAUGAAUCCCAUUCUAUAAAUUCAUCCGGACAAAACAGCAAAACAAAAGUUGUAUAAAUUUGAUUUUGGACAAGCUACACAUGCUUCAGAAAUCAACCAGAACACAAAUCGGUUUUCAAAAACAUUCCAUAAAGAACAUAAAAUAAUAAUAUGAAUCAGACUGAUCACAAGCAAACAAGAAAAACCCGACACGAAAACAGAGAAAUAUACCUUUUCCUCUGUGACGAGCAGCUCGCUUCCUUGGAAGAAAUCCAAGGGAUCCAUGCCUGGGGUGCUCGAACUUCCUGUGAGACAUUCUCCUCCUUCAUUUGUUCAACACACAAAAUCAAAUCAGUAUAAACAAAUCACAGUAUCUAUUAAGACUGAUAAAAGAACAAGUUGUUUCACAAAUUCUGAUAAGAGUUUCAACCACGAAAUGAGGUGCUGAUGAAAAAUCAAAUGAAAUUUCGUCGGAGAUGGAACCCUAAGAACCCUAGUUUUGGUGAAAGAGAGAGAGAACCUGAGCUUGAGAGAGCAGCGGCGAGCAAAAUAGAGGGGGAGAAAAAAGACUAGGGUUUAGUUGGUUAUAUAGUGGAGUAUUCUUCAUACGAGGGCCUCAACUUUCUUUAUUUCCAGCGGAAGCCCACUUUGUUUUGACGGCCCAAACCCUAGAAAGAUCACCCUUUAACUUUUUUUUUUUGGGCCGAUUUGGUUGGUAAAAAAGAGAAAUUUUAUUAACACAUCCCUAAAUACUAGAUACACAUCUCUUUUUUUUUUUUUACGCAAAGACGGGCAUAUAACCCAUUGUAUUAAUAGUCGCAACCAGAAUGGCACCGAUACAGACCCCAACGAAUUGAGAUGAUUCACAUAUCAUAACAUUGUACAUUAUCGCUUAUCGACGAUGAGCCUAGCAAGCUAUAAUCUAGCCCUACAUAGAGAUAAUUUUGCAUGAAAACUUCUGUCGUCAAGAUGCUCAAUUGCGGUACAACAGGAAGUGAUCACUAUCUAGAUGUAAAAGAAACAUCAUAAUUUACAGGCAUCAUAACCUAUCUAGAUUCCUAGAAACUUACAUAGGAAAAUAGUUGGAAAUAAACUAGUAAAAAAACUAAUUUAAAACCCUAGUGGCCCAAAAAAAUGGGCUUAGCAAAUUAGAAAAACUAGAAAACUUAGAAAGGGCACAGAAGCCCAAAGCCCAUGAUAGGCCUAGCCUAAAAGCCCAAAGCCCAUGAUAUAACCCUUUAGAUCAAAUUAAGCAUAGAUAUGUAUCUCAUGACAAGAGUCAAGAGUGAUUAUAAGGGACCUGGAGAUUUUAUUGAUGAAAACAUUCAAAUCAAAAUUGAAAAGGGUUUUAGUUAGAAUCAAUCUAAUGCUAAGCAUCAAGAAAUGAAGGCCUAAAUUGAUUUCCCCAGAUGAUGCAUAGAACUCAGACUCCCCGUUAUCCCACUCAACUUCUUCCACUCAACUUCUUAAUCUCAAACCAUAACUUAAUGAUUAUAAAAUGGAUCUUUCUUCUUAUAUGUGAUGAGUGUUUUUGAAUUACCAAAACAGAUAUGUAAUAAGAUGCAUCGAUGUAUGGCUGAAUUUUGGUGGGGAGAUUCAGAGAGAUGGAGGAAAAUUCAUUGGGUAGCUUUGAGUAAGAUGUGUGCUCCUAAAAAUGAGGGGUGCUCGAUUAUAGAAACAUGGAGGUUUUCAAUCAAACUAUAUUGGCCAAGCAAGGGUAGUGUAUUCUUCAUCAACCGGAUUAUCUUGUCACUAAGCUAACUUGCUACCUUUCCAAGGCUAGCGAGUGUCGCACGGUCCUCUUUGCACCCUCGCAAAGUCGGCCUGUAACAGGUGGUAUCAAAGCAAGAACACGAAAGGCCAAUUAGUAAUUCCAUGCUGUUCACUUUUUGGAUAGGUAUCUACAGGUGAUUCAUAUGUGUGACGUAGCUUAAUGAAGGGUAGGGACUUGCUGUUAAAAGGUGUGAGGUACCAAGUGGGUAGUGGUACAAAUAUUUUGGUGGGGGAUGAUCACACCUUUGCAUUUCAUCACACGUCCAGGCCCAUUCACAACACGCAUCCAAUGUUCAAUAUGUAAACCUGCCCCGAAACCUCUUAAGAUUCACCAUUACUCAGGCUAUUCCGAUCCUUACACUCAUCUAGAGUAUUUCGAGUCAGUCGUCAAAGGAAAGUACCAUGAUGACGCGGUUCUUUGCCAUUUGUUCCAAGAAACCCUGUCUAAGGAUGCAAUGUCCUAUUUUUAUGAAUCUCUUCCCCGAACUCUAUCGAUUCUUUCCAAGAGCUUCAAGAUGCCUUCCUGAAACGAUUCCAACUGGUAGCUGAUUUGUUUUAAAAAUUGUCAACAUUUUCUUAACCUCGUUUUCAAUAGCCGAGUCACAUUGCCUAAAGACUUUGCCUAAUCACAAGUCAGGAAAAGAAAGAAUAUCAGAACAGGAUUUCAACUUUGAACAGUCAAAUCUCGGCUUGUUCUCUAACUUCAUACAAAACAAAUACAAGUACAAAAUCCUCGUAGGCUUCCAUAACCUAGCUACGAACAGCCACGCACGCACAAACUCGAGAUCUCGAACUGUCGAACAACUAUAAAUACCGAAGGCUAUAAACAACCUCCUGACGACGGCCUUGGGGAACUUGUGGCGUCUGUGGGUUAAAAGAUCACUCCCAAGUGCGAACGUCCUAAUCCUAGCUCAUAAUAUCAUUAUCAUCACACACACGGGGUAAAACAUGACACCUACGCAUAAAAGAUCAUGCUCAUCACAACCGGGUCAGUUGUGAUCGCUCCCUAUCACCCAUCUUGUGUCCGCACAAGUUUUCCCUUCAUCAUUCGAACAAAUUCUAAUUCAAACAAGGAAAAUUCCUUGAUCGCAGAGUUAGGACGCUCCUCAGGGGUCUACCGUCUACCAAGAGGCCAGUUCGCAAGAAUGAAGCUCAGUUGAUUAUAAAAAACGAACACACUUACGCAAAACUUAACAUACGAACACACUUAUAUGAACGCUUUUACUUGCGUCUUUUCACUUAAACUCCCCAACCAAGUCAUUCUUCUUACUUGGGGACUUGUUGUAGGAACCUAUGUCAAGCGCUCUAGCUAAGCCUUGCACAUGUGUUCUCUAUCUUCAGCCUAAUGUUGAGCACCUCAUGGCCGUACACGUGGAUGCACGGGUGCAGUCUGAUCUUGAGCAUGCUUGUGGAAGCCUCCUUCCGAGGAGCGAAUGAUAGUUGUCCUCGACAGCUGGCGCCAUCUGCCAAGACAAACCCCACCUCUCCGCGCCUAUAAAUAGAUGCUUUGCCUCACCUUCAAAUGUAACUUAACUCAUUCCCUACUUCUCCUUCUCAAUUUGUCCGCAAAUGGCUAACUUGAGCUUCGGAGGGGGUUUGUCCGGAUCCAUCCAAGCGCCCUUCUAACCUCGUUUUCAUCUUGGAGGAAUCCUUGAGACCAAUAUCUUUUGCAGACAAAUCCCUGUCGAGCGGGUCUUCAUCCGAUCGACUAGCAGAUUUUUUAUCCCAUUUUCUUAACCCCAACAUGGAGGAUGCCAUUUGAUUAGUGGCAAGACGGCUGGUGUGGAUGGAGGGGUUACCAUAUUAUUUUCUAAAUAGUUCUUGGAAAGUAGUGGUAUGAAAGUAACAUUGAGGCUCCGCUGACUUUUAUUGAAAAAUAAUUUGAUUUCUAGUAUUUUAGAUGGACCAUGCAAGCAUCAAAGCUAGUUGUAAAGAAGAUUUAUCAGACAAAGCAAACAAUGAUUUUAUCCAAGAAAGAAAAGAUAUGCCUUGAGCAAGGAAUAUCCUAUGAUUAGCAAACUCCCACACUUGUCUAGCAAAAGCACAAGUAGAAAAUAAAUUAUCGAUAGUUUUUGUAGGUGUAUUACAAAACACACACAUAAGGAAUUUUUGAGUUGUAGCGCGAAAUAAGAGAUUCGUAGCUUCAACACAUUUGAAAUUACAAGUCCCUCAAUAUUUUAGUUUGUGAUUAGUGGCAGGUUCAAGCCUAUUGAUUCUCAAUGUCGUGAUUUCGAAAGGUAUAUGUGUCGUUUAGCUAUUAAUAUUUUGUAUUUGUUUUGAAAUUUAUAACUAUUUGUAUAAGAUUAUGAAUGUUUUGGUAUUCGUUAUUCCUGUUUCAUCUUUUCAAAACUUGUUUCAGUUCAGUUAAUGACAAGGGUUGGGCCCUAACCCGGCCCAAAAUACUCAUCGGCCCAGCUCAGUUUCAAAAUCAGCUUUCGUGAUUUUGACGCGGUCGUCAAAUUGAAGCUGCUCCGGAGGGGUUUGUAUAUAAACGGCGGUUACCACGAAGAGGCGCUAAGCUUUACUUUUGAAUUCGCAGAGGUAACGAUUUCGAAGCGCGAUUUGAUUUCUGUUGAGGAACGACGUCGUUCAGUGGACAUGGCUCAGGAGAAGUACUCUCAGCACUCUUUGUUCGGCGGCGCCAUUUCUAGCCUCUUUCCUGAUCGAUUUCAGGUUGGGCUUUUUUCUUUGGAGUUUCCAUUUCUUCAGUUUAACUGAUGAACCUGUGCACAAACGCAAUUACAGGAUGUGAGCGAUGAUGUCCGUGAGGUUCCUGAUCACCAGGUUUGUUAUUGGUUUCACAAAUUCUUUCUGUUAGGGUGUUGUGGAUUUUCUGUUUAUGUUAUUUGUUGUUGUAGGAGGCGUUUGUGGACCCGGCCCGCGACGAGAGCUUGAUCUUUGAGCUGUUGGAUUUGAAGCCUGAAGUUGGGGACAAUGGAAGUGCUACCUGGUUUCUUCAGGACCUUGCUACUGAACAGGAGGCUGAGGGAAGUGUGGUGAGUGAUUUUUGACUGUUGGAUUACGAAUUUUGUGGUUCAAUUUGGUUUUUGCAGCUGAUUUAUCAAUGUGGUGAAUUGCAAUUUAAUAAUUUGUCUGCCGAAUUGUCUUCAGUUGAUUGAGCAGUCGGGAGUAGUGGAGGUCCCUGGACUAAGUUACGGAAAUAUACCUGCUGUUGUUACAACUGCAGUUGGCCAAAUGGUACGCAAAUUAUAUUGCAUUUGAUUUCCGGGUGUCUAUUGAUUUUUCCCUCCUUUGUGUGGUUUAUAUAUUGCAAACUACUUUUUUCAAUGAUAUUGGUGAUGAUUAAUUGUUACUUCUGAUUGGCCUGGUGUGUAAUCUUUGAUUAUGUAUGCCGGAUGCUUUGCUACUGUAUGGCUCAUUGCCGUUGCAUCUUACUUCCAUUGCUUGCUUAUCGGAAUCAGCCAUCUAAGUUGGUUUCAAAUAUCAUAGUAAAACAAAAAAUGAGAAACAGGACAUUGACUCUCUCUAUCUGAUGUCGAUUUAAAUUUUGGAGAUGCAUAUUCCUAAUUAGCUUUGAUUUCCUUACUUUACCUUUAUAUUGACUCUGGCAGAUUCUGUUAGUGUUUUUACUUUCAGUUUGUCUCUUGGAAUUUGGUUUCAAGUUGUUCAAUAAUCUAUACUGUAGAAAACAUUGAAUCAUAUAAUAAACUCUCUGAAGAUUGAAUGGCUGAUAGUUGAUUGCUUGCAAUUUACUGAAGAGAUGCAUUUUUCUUACUUAUUAUUGACAACUGUUUAGCAUGAACAACAGCAGCUUUUCUCAACUCUUGAACUCUACUUAUAUGCUGUCAUUCUUGUAUGUAGGCCAUCUCCAAGGAGCGACAAGGAAGGGAUGCACAAAAUACCGUGAGGGUAUGUUUCUCUCGUGUUCUCCAGCAUAGUAAGCUGUUUCAGGAUAUCCUGAUUUAUGUUAAUUGUGGCAUAUAUGCUAAUUAGAGUCUAUUGUAUUGAGUCCUGCAGGUCUAUGUGGCAAAUCUACGACUUAAGGGAGUUUCUACAGAUGUGCUAAUUACUGCAUAUGAACCCAUUCAUAUCAAGUAAGUUUCAGGAGUGAGUGGUUUGUUGGUUACUAUAUAUAUGAUAAACAGAUCACCUCAUAGAAACAAAGAUGUCUUAUUCUGUGUGCUUACUGAACACAGAUAUUCUAUGGACAGAUCUAGUAAGAUUGAUGGUAGACCUUCCUGAAUAUUAUUGGGAAGUGGGGGUGCUAUCAUCAAAGAUCUGGACCUAGAAUUAUGGUGUGCUUGCACAUCUAUAAAAGACCCACCUUGACAAUCCUUAAACACCUUAACGAAUCUAGUUCCAAGGGAGUCUUCCCCGGGCACUUUUCUAUGAAAAGGAAUAUGAUUGCUCUGACUGGGAAAAUGAAUAAGGUUGCUUUGACUAGGAUUUAGAAUCAGUGUCAUGAGUUGAUCAGUUAGGACAAAGAAUUUGGAACCUCUUAUAGUUUUGUAGAUGUAAACUCUUUUUUGAAGAUUUGUUGUCACUUGUGCAUUCUAACGUUGAAAUGCUUGUGUGAUUUUGUUGCAGUCCUUUGAGCGAAAGUGCUAGCACAGUCGGCUCCAGUAAUGCUGCUCCAGCAUUACAUUCUGGGCACGUGCCAAUGGUUGAAGUCUUCAGACUUGCCAUCUCAAGCUUCAAAGUCAGUGACUGGAAUCUCUUUGGUUCUGGGCCAUGAGAGAUGUUUCAAACAUUUACCUCCUCCAGAGUUUUAGGCUAGUUUCAAACCUCUCCUUUGCAUUCUCUUUUGCUAUAGCUGAUUCUGAUAGUAUGAUGUUCUCACCAUAUGAAGUGGUCGAUCAGUGAUUGCAAUGUAUGAAAAACAACCGUACUUGAAUGUAGUCUUGGUCAUUUCAUUUGUGUACCAAGUAAUUUCUCAAUAUAUCAGUUACUUUGGCGAAGACACACAUAAGGUAUUUUUCAGUUUUUUAAAAUUUCUCUUGAAAGUGACUGACAUUAAACUCAAAGAAAAAUGAUGUAAAUAAAAUCAUUAUUAAUCAUUUCUACCAAAUCAAAUACAAAUAAUAAUAAUACAAAAAUUAAUGAAGAAUAAUCAAGGAAGAGAGAUCAAUAAUGGAAAACAUUCAUGAGAUGUUGUAACUUGUUGAUGAUGUAAAACAAGAAAAACUGAAAUCCCCAACUCCUCAUAUCAAGGAAUCCCAUAAAAGGAAAUAGUGGUAUUGAUCCAGAAAAAAACUACUGUCAGAAUUGUCUCAAGUUUGGGUCUUAAAGUGGCAUCUCUUCCAGCUCUGUGUGAAGAGACGGUAAAUUAUACAUCGAAGUAUCGCUGUUCAACGGUCUGUCGAGAUCACCUAGCUCGAAAAUCUCAUCCAUUGUAUACAGAGAAUCAUGCUCAUUGGAUAAAUUAAAUCCAACUUCAACUCUACCCAAGUUCCCCAAGUCUGCUAAAUCUCUGUAAAUAUCACUUCUAUGAAAAUCAGCUGUAGCGUUCGCAUUUCCAGAAUGAAGAAUAUUAUCAAGUUCUUCAGUAGCAUCUACAUUUCUAGAAUUCAGAAUAUCAAGCUUCUGUGUAGUACUUGUAUUUCCAGAACGAAUAAGGUUAUCAAGCUCCUGCAAACAAUCAAGUAAUCACAUUAGCAUAAGUUGGAACUUUUAAAAAUUCUUGCAUAUACCAUGUGGUAUGUAUUUAUCAUAGUACUCGAGGAAACUUCAAACAAGAAAGAUGUAUAAUACGCAAAUUAUGUGUAUUCCACACCCACGUAUGCACACACAUUUUAAAAAGGCUGCAGAAAUCAACUAUAGGUCAUGUGAUCUAGUUUAGAAUUCUUUGCGUAGAAGAAUAGCAUUUUUAGCUUCCAGGUGAUGCAAAGAAUAUCCAUUAGCUAACAGAACAGGAUAACUACUUGUUGCCAAACGAAGAAAACAAGCACCUAGUAGCGGAGAAAGAUAUUGACUAAUUAAUCAUCUGUCUGAUACACUGGCUUGAAAAAAAGAAGACCGAAAGAAAACCUCUAUCUAUGGAAUAUAAACAAAACAGAAUAGAAGAGAAGCACCAGAAAUCCCAUAAGAAAGUAUCAAACAAGAGAAAAGGAAGAUAUUAGGCCGAAAAGAGGGGGCGGGAAGGAAGGAAAAAGAAAGAAAGAAACUAGAAAAAAUCCUGAAAAGACUAUACUGGAUACGAGUUUAGCGCUAAAACAUCAAAGCAGCAUAUAGAGAAAAACACCAAUUUGUCUCUUUUAACAACCUGGAUGAAACAUGCAAUGAACAAACAAUAUACAAUUGACGUUCACCAAUUUUCAUUAUAUUCAUUAAAUUUGACAUAACUACUCCUAAUCACAUUUGUGAAUUGGUAAGCUAUAAUGGAGCAAUGUCCCAAUAGAAAUCCAUCUCAAUCACAUAGUUGUAAAACACUGAUGAUUCCAUCAUUCAAAAAAUGAUGAGUUAAAAGGGACACAAUAGACCAAACACGUCCAACCACAUUUUGGAAUUCAGAAUAAUAACUACACAUUUUUCAUAGAGAAACUUCAAAUAAUCAUUCAACAAUUCCUAUUAUCAAUUAAUAAACCUGCAUACAUGACUUAAAGGAAACUGAGUAAGGAAAGAUUGGGGUUGCAUGUGAUAAUUUAUCAUUGUACCCAGUGUAAUUUUGAUUCAGCUUUUAUUAUAAUUUGCAUCUUAUUUGUCAUUAAUUCAGGAAAUUGAUACUCGUAUACAACAUUUAGCGAAAAGGGAAGAGCGCACGACACACCUUAUUUUUGUCAUUGCCAUUGAUAGGGAAAAUGCUUUCUUCUGCGAAGCAAUCUAACAUGGACAGAAUAUCACCAUUGGCCGAAACACAGAGCUUCUCUGUUGUAGCAGAAUUACUGGAAACUGAGUGGAGAACAUUGCAAGAAUGUGGUACAGCAUCUGAUAUGCAGGAUUCCGAUGAAGGGCCUAUGCACAUACCCUCAGGGGAAUCUGUGCUAUAAGGACCAGGACUAUUAUAUCCCCUAGGCAGAACAAGGUCUAGCUCAGGCCUAUUUGCAUGCGGGACUGUGUCCAAACAGAUUUCAACCUCAUCAUCAGUCCAAUCUUCCUCUUUAAAGGGUGCACCAUAUUGUGCACUAAGUUUUGGCCCUGCUCCUUCCUUUUGGAAAAUUACACAUAAAACAUAUGAUUCCUGCAAUAUGAAAAUAGCCAAGAAAGUUCAUCAAUAUACAUGGAAGCUAUUAACAGAAGUAACAUUGAACAGGGCUACAAGUAUGAGGUUUGAUAAUAAAAGACUGUAACAAAACUAGAUACAAAAAGAUUGAGAACCAAACAAAUUGAAAUUAAAAGCUGGUGGAGCUGUUAAUGGCAAUCCAUUAUCCCAAAUUCGACUGUCUUACAAAUGAGGAUGAUCAACAUUAUAUAUACAUAUAUAAUGUUAUAUAGGCAUAGCCAACACACAACUAACAAAUAUUUUAGUGAAAGUAAACAAAAUACCAAAAUGAGUCAGUUACCUGAGGCAUGCCCAUAUCAGCAAGGUCCUUAUCUUCAAGCCUGUACUCAUGCAGAACCCAGUCUGUCCGUUCUCCUCGUGGAGGUCGACCUAUAUGAAAAACUAAAGUCUUGAUCCAACCGACCACUUGACCAUUGUAAUUAACAGAUCUGUCCUUUCCUGACAUUUUCCAGAACCCAGCUCCAGUGGCACGAUUGACUCUAGCCCCAGUUGCAUAUUUCAUUUCUCUAGGACAGAAGAAGUACCAUUUCAGAUCUCCAUAUCGCCAACAAGAUUUGUCUGAAAAUAAAUACAACAGAGUGAGAAACAACACAAUGCCAAUCCAAUACAUGAGCAGAAUACAAAUAAUAAGAGAAGGUAAAAUGUACCUGGAAGAUCCCAAGGAGCAUACUUGUAAAUGUCAACGUCGGCAAUGACUUGAACACGAACUCUUUUCCCCAUUACUUUUCUCUUCAGAUAGUAUUUGACAAGCUCAACAUCAGUCGGAGAAAACCGAAAACCAGGCGGAAAUGCUGCUUUCCCCAUUAUAAAAUAAAAAAUCCCUAAACCCUCUUCCUAAUUCCCAAGCAACACAAAACCCUCAAGCCUAGAAAACAGAAACAAAGACAAGACACUCCCUCCCUCCUUUCAAGUCCAAUGCCGAAACAAAUUCCUCGGCGAACACCACAACCUCUGUCUAUUCAUGAAACAAAAUCCUCGAAUGAUUGACGAGUGCUUCUUGUUGUUGAGAUCAAAAGUCAUGGGUGUGCAAUCAACAACCUACUAAUCCAACAUCAUCCCACACAUUACAUUUACAACCACAACAUAUAAUGACAAUCACAAGAAACAAUUCGGAUAAUUUGAAAUAUCACAAACCUAAACACAGGUUCAAUUUGAAUCGAGAGAACCCCUUAGAUUUAAGAAAAGCUAAAUGCAAGAGAGGUUGACCGGGUACCUUAAGGGCUAAGAGCGAAGCACCAGCAAUAAUCGCUACAAAUUAAGCAGAACUGAGAGAGAGAGAUACAAGACAACAGCUCUGCUUCUGUGUUUCUCUAUGUAUAUUCAUUCGCGUUUGUGCUACGCGGUCGUUUAAAGUAUUGGACACGCUAACUUGUUGGGCCGAACGGGUACCCGGCCCAAAUGAAGAAUCGAAGCGUGUUAAAUACCCUAGGAGAUAGAGAGAGAGGGGGUCUGCCAAAUCUAAACAUGCUCUUCGUCUCUGCGCACCUGCUUCUUUGACUCUGCUCGCUCUUCUCGCCUCUCUCGAUUUCCAUCCCUCUUCCGGUUUUUAAUUCUCUCUCCUUCUUCUUCUUCGAUUUGUUUUCCCCCUUGCAAUUUAGGGUUUUAUCUAAGACCCCAGAAAAACCUAUUCAGAUUCAGUGAUCGAAUUCAUCACUCUAACAAUUUUUUAUUUUAAUUAUUAUUUUAUGUUCAUGUUUGAUCAUUGAAUUUGAUUUAGGACAUAAAGAACGUUAAUUGAUAUCCGCAGAUGUAAUUUAGGGUUUUUUAGAUGAUUCUAUUAGAUUUGUUGUUAUCUGAAAUCGUGUUGGAAUGGUGGAAUUCUUGUUUACUGUGUUUUCGAGAUUUUAUAUAUCAAUUAUAUGCGUGGUUGGAUUUGUUUUCGAUGGAUUUCUGGUACUGUUUGAUUGGUUAUAUAUAAGAUGUGUGCUUUGUAGUGCUUGUUCUCAUUGUGGUUGGUUGGAUAUUUGAAACAGGCAAUCUAUUGUGCACCCAAUGUCUUUUGAUCUGAACGAGACACAUUCAUCAGUUAUUAGAGAGUUCUCUUUCAUGAACCGAGGGAGACUCUGGUUCUCGUGGAGAGUGUUUUUCCGGCACUGGACUUGACACUCUUUGAGUCCUUUUUCUCUAGGGUUGUUGUUUAUAAACUUGUUUUCGUUCUCUCUUUUUUUCUGUACUCCGAACUUCAUAUAAUUUUUAGUGUGUGAAAAGCAGUAUUCAUUGGGAGAGGGUUGAAUUGCUAUUAUUUGCCUCACGUCUUGUGAGGAAUUUGGACUUUGGGGAGGAUCAUUCUUAUAUAUUGGGGACUUUUCAUCUGGAUUCUGUGAUGGGGAAAUCAUCUUUGCCUCCUGGGUUUCGGUUUAAUCCUACUGAUGUUGAGUUGGUACAAUACUAUUUGAAGAGGAAGAUAAUGGGAAAGAAACUCCAUGUUAAGGUUGUUGCUGAGGUGGACAUAUACAAAUGGGCUCCUUGGGAUCUUCCAGGUAAAUCUUAUGUAACUCAUUCUUAGGUGGUUUUCCUGAUAUUUCAUCUAACUUGUUGAAGCCAUUUGCUGCUAUAUUUGCUUCAGAUUAUUGACACGGCCUUCUAUGCUUUGUAAUAUGUAUAGUCUCUUACUGUGCUAUGCUUACAUUUUCAGACAAAUCUUGUUGGCGAAGUGGAGAUUUGAAAUGGUACUUCUUUUGUCCUAGAGAGAAGAAAUAUGCAAGCGGAGGUAGAGUGAAUCGUGCAACUGACUGUGGUUACUGGAAGACCACGGGGAAGGAUAGAUCUGUUCUUUACAAUAGUGAAGUUGUUGGGUGGAUAAAAACAUUAAUUUUUCACGGUGGUCGAGCUCCACGAGGAGAGCGCACAAACUGGGUUUUACAUGAGUAUAGGCUUGAAGAUAAGAACCUGGCUGAGAAGGGUGUCGCUCAGGUAAAUGAUACUAUCUGUUUACAUUAUUUUGUGUUUUUAUUAUGUUAUUUUUUUCUUUCUCAAUGGUCACUGUAAUUAGAACAAUGAUCUUGUGCAUUUGCUUAUUAAAUUGGUUACCUUUGCCUUUUUCAUGUUACAGGAUUCUCAUGUGCUCUGUUUAAUUUUCCAAAAGGAUGGGAUAGGACCAAAAAGUUCUAAACAAUAUGGUGCACCUUUCAAAGAAGAAGACUGGACUGAUGAUGAGGUUGAAACAGACAUUUCACAUGUAAACAUUUCUGAGACCAACCUUGUUCAUACAAACAUGCUUGAGCCAGAGCCAAAUCUUACUCAUUCAUAUACCCCUGAGCCAGACAUUGUUCAGGCAAACAUGCAUGAUCAAGUGCUUGUUAAUACAAACAUCACUGAGCCCCAUCUUGUUUAUGGAAACAUGCCCGACCCAUACGUUGUUUAUCCAAAUAUGCCUCAGUCAGACUUUUCUUAUGCAAACAUGUCUGAGCCAUACCUUGCCCUUCCCAGCAACCAUAAUAGUUCUAUUACUCGCACCAAUUCCCAUGAGUCAUGUGUUUCUGAUAUCUUGCCACCUUCUGGCAAUGUCCUCCAGUCUGUGUGUAGUAAUUAUGAAACAACAGAUCAUGUUUCACCUGAUGAAGAUAUCUUGUCGAUGCUUAAUUGCUUUACAGAAGACGGAACUUUCUCCAUGGAUCACAUUGACAAAAAUGAGGUUUGUGACUUGCUCUUUUCUUACUUUCAAGUGAAAAGUAUUUAGAUUCUUUUAGUUAAUCAUGUGAAGUUGGACUUGGAACUGUGAAAAUAUGAAUUGAUAUGAUGCUGAAAUGAAGAAUGGUGAGACAUAUUUGAUAUUUUGUUUCCUUUUUAAAUUAUCAUUUUAACUAGAUUGAAUCGUCACAGGUACCCAAUUGCGAUAGGUUCUGUUGAGACUAUAUCAAUUUAUAGUGGUCUUGUUAUAUACCAGCUUGUGUUUAAGUUGAUUAUAUCUAUUAAUAGACAUUUGAUUAGUAGUGCAUCCUAAACUGCAAGUUUUGUGCAUGCAGUGUCUGACUUUUUUCAUGGGUUUACAGAAGCUGGAGACUCUCAUUUAUUCUGGAGAUGCUAAUCCUAUAGCUGGUGUCGGAAAACAUGAUGAUACUAAUAAAGAUCUGGGAGGAUUGAGCAAAGAUGGAUAUAUUUUCCCCAAUGGAGCUAUUUCUGGAGCUUCAAGUGAGAAUGAGCCAUAUCUGGAGCUAUUUGAUCUCGAUAUUGAAUGGUGAUAAUUCGCUGUUUCCAAUGAUUAGUCCACCUCGGACUUUUGGUGGAGAUACACCUUAUGAAGAAGACUCAUUCUUUCCAUGGAGAAAUGACUUAUGAAGACAGGAUGUGUUAAAUAAUGUGAAUAGAAAAUAUCAUUGCUCCAACAUUAAGUUUAUGAAUUUGACUUGCUUGACAUUCUUAUUAUUUCUAUUGACAUUGAUGUUUUUGUUAUUGAGUUUAAUCUAUGAAAAAUGCUUCUGUUUAGGUGUUAGAUUUUGCUUGGAACCAUAAUGCAGAUCCCUUUGACAGUGUUGGCAAGUAAAUCAGCUACCUGUUCCCUUCCCUUUGAAUGUGCCUGAUUUGAGUGGUCAAAAUGAUUCAUUGUUUGCAAUUCCUGCAAUCUUACAGAGUUAUAGGAGUUACAGCUAAGCUGUAAACCAUGAUGCACAAUCCAAGGUCAGCAUAAACCUCACCAGCCCCAGCCAUUAGACCAUGAAUCCAGUUCCGGAAACUAUUUGGACUAACAGUCCCAGCUCCAAACCAUUGGAUCCGAAACCAUCCACAAUCAACUUGAAGAUAUCAGGAAAAUAGGGUUGGUGAGGUUUAGACCAAGGUCAGCAUAAACCUCACCAGCCCCAGCCAUUAGACUAUGAAUCCAGUUCCGGAAACUAUUUGGACCAACAGUCCCAGCUCCAAACCGUUGGAUCCGAAACCAUCCACAAUCAACUUGAAGAUAUCAGGACAAAAGGGUAGAUGAGGUUUAGACCAAGGUCAGCAUAAACCUCACCAGCCCCAGCCAUUAGACCAUGAUGAAACCAUUUCAAUUUGGUAACUCGUGUGCAGCUUUAAUGAAGGUUCUCUAAUAAAGAAAAACCACAUAACUAUAUCAAAGAAGGUGCUUACCUCAGGAAUAUCAAAAGGAGUAGUUAGUCUCAGGUGUCCCUUUCCAAAUAAACCACCAGCAGGAGAUAUUCCAGCUUAAGCUUCUCAUAAAAUACCUUUGUUCUUUGAAAUUCAACAACAGUUUUGAUAUUGGUAGGAAGGUUAAAAGAUUUGCGUACCUAAGCAACUUACUUCGAAUAAAGAACCAGAAAAACAGCUUUCUUCAUUUCACCUCCUUUUCGAUCGCAUAUUCACAUCUCGACCAUCUAACUUAUAGAUAUAUAUUAGUAGAUCAUCUUUAUAAAUUUUCAUCCAAAUUGAAUAUCGUUAAGAUAUUCAUAAAUUUGAUUUACUGAUUAUAGACUUGAACAGUUCAUGUUUGACAUAUUUGGAUCAUCUAUUGAUUUGAUUUAGUUUGAUUCCUUAACGGUCACCAAUUUGUUUGAAAAUUUGUAGAAGUGAUCUUCAUUUAUAGAUCCAAAAAUUGAACGGUUAAGAUGAAAAAAUGUGAUUGAAAAGUGAGUGUAAUAAAUUAUUAAUGAGAAAGUCCUCAACUAAUCUUUAACCAAAUGAUCCUCAUUAGAACCACUUCUUUCCAACCAUUAUCAAAACCCCGUGUUCUGCACAAAGCUUAUGAUAAGUAGAUAUUAUCGAGAAAAUGCUAGAACAAAAAACAACCUCAUAUUUAUCCUUCUCAUCCCCCCCCCUUAAAAUACAUGAGGUAGCACUAUUUAAAAGCAUCUCCAGUGGAAUGGUCAUUUCCGACACGGAGGCUCAACGGUUACAAUUUGAAUGCUCAAAUUGUCCCCAACGGAAAGGUCUUUGCUGAGGUGUAAAUGACAUCUUGACUCAGGCUGUCAAAUCUGACAGUGGCAAAGGUUACUGUCUUUCUUUCUUUAUUGUUUGUUUCUCUCUCCUUCUUUAUUAUAACAUUUUUAAUAUUAUAAUUAGGUCUAAAUAGUAUAAAAAACAGUAUAAUUAUAUUCAAAUUUGACAUUUGGGUUGGAGCACAAGUUUAACAGAAUAGCCAAAUCCAUGUCAGCAGUGAAAUUUAAAUUUGACAAAAAAAUUUGACCAUUGGGUUGGAGAUGCUCUGUGAUGUGGCCUCGUUAGGAAAAGAGUGUCAUGAAUAGUAACUAGAUUUGUAUACUGAUUUGGGCCUAAUUGGGCAGAGGUCCAUCUCGGGUCGAAGUCUCUUGAGCCCUAGUCUUAUAUAAACGAGGGGGCAACGCCAUCAGAUGAGCGGCAGGCUCCGCCUCCGCCUCCUCUUCCAUCUUUCAUGUUCUUUGUUUGUUUGGUUUUUGUUGAUGAGUUAUAUGUAGAUUAUAGAGAGAGAGGAUGAUGAUAACCGAUGUGCAAACGCAGUACCAUGAAUCAUCUUGGUUUCUAUGAGCGGCACUUCCACACGAGAUUUCUGACUCUCUCUCUCUCUGUUCCCUUCUUUCAUGUUGCUCAUGUUGUACACUUCGUUUUUGAUGUCUUUCUUGUUCAUUCCUUGCUUUACAAAUUGCAUUUCACUUCCUUCUUGUUUUCCAUACCUCUUGAACCCAAUCCCCAUAUGAAAAAUUGGAGUGCUAUCUUCCUUGUUUCUGUUGCAACCAGGAUCUGUUACUUUUUUUUUUUUUUUUGUAUUUAGAUGUCAUUGUUCUGACAUACAAAGCAAACCUGUGCUUCUCAUAAAUCCAACUACUACUUAUGGGCAAGAUAAACACCUCUACCAAUAAGACAGCUUAAAACUGAACCUGAACUCUCUCUCUGGCUCGAGGAGGCCAGGAAACUUUUCUUAGGGUUAGCUAUCCGCCUGCGCAGCUUUGGCCAAAUUAAUCUUUGACCAAAUACUGCGGCUGACUGACUGGAAGGGGAGUAAUUAAGGUUACCCAGAACUUUGAUCAUGUCAGGAAUGUGAUGGACUGCUAAAUAUCUAGGCUUUAAACCCUAAACAACAAGAUUAGAAAUUUAGAGUUCACUCUCAAAACUGCUACUUGGUUAUAGAAUCACAAUCCCAUUUCUUGUGCAAGGAAAACGAGUCAUUAACGACAUGCUUUAACCUUCUAUGGCUUAUGUGGUCACUUGACAACAUAACUUCGAAUUCCAAGCACAGAUAAAGAGAGGUGAAUUAGGUUGCGGAUGCUCUUGCAAAUUUUGGAUAUGCAUGCCUAAGGCUCAAAAUGCCCUCCGCUCAAUUUGAUUCUUGAAACUAUAAUCCAAAAGACACAUGCAAGCAUAUAGAGGCGUAUCCAGCUAGGGGCGAGAUUGAACCCUCUCACAUUUUAGAAAAGUUUAAUUAGUCAUAAUGAGUAUUGGAUAUUAAUGAAAUGUAACAUAAAUUGACCAUUCUUCUCUUUAAUUUUCUUCAACAUUAAUGAUAAAAUACGAAUUUGUACCAGUAAAAUACUCAAUCUAAUUAAUAGAAAUUAUGUCAAGGAUUUCUUACCUUACUAAUUUAAAUUCUGUGUGAUUUUUUUUUCUUUACAAAUAAGCUAAAUGGAAGCAUUGACAUUAUCUCUAAGAAAACAAAACAUUAUUUUCAAUAUUUAUCAUGUAAUGUUCAAUUUAAGAAUUGACGUAGAACAAAAAUUUAGUUUGCGUCAUUUGUUUGUGAAACAUGUUUAAAGAUGAAACAUAGUUGACAAGAGAAGUCCUAUUCUUUUUUUUGAAUAAAGGAGAAGUCCUAUUCUUUUGUGUUCACCUUACCAUGAAAAAUAAGAGGCCCUCUUUCUUUUCUAUGGAACAGAUCCAAUCGAGCAAUGAACGAAUGUGGUGCUUACUCUAAUAGCAACUUCCAUCUAAUCUGGAGACCAUAAGAGUGAUGAGACAAACCAUAUGAAUCAGGAUGAAGAUCAUUUCCAUGUUCUCCCUCAAUUAACAUGUGCAUCUUGCUGAGUUGCUGAAGCCCUAACAUGGGAAAAUUCCGAUUACUGUAACCGUCUUUGGAAGAAAGGAGAUGUUGGUUUAUAUUAUGCAUCUCCUUUAAAAAGGAGGAAUCAAACCAAGUCCAUCCAUUCAAUACUCGAGGUGUUACACCAUUUUAACUAGGAAGAAGAACCUAUGAUGCAACUUCCACAGCUAUAUCCUGUCAUGACGUAUACCAAUCAAACUCGAAGAUCCGUCGUCUGCCAACACAGAAGGAAAUUCAAACAGAUUGUGCUGUUACUUCAAAACUACAUAUAGUUGAACACAUUCUCUAAUUUCAGUCUUCCAGAGUGCUGAGAUAUAAUAGAUUUGUAUUCUUAGGUGUGCUAGCCGUAAGGCUGUCAAGUGAAUAAACCAAAUAUUAUAGCACUUAUAAUAAGCACAUUGUUGCUUACAGUAGUAAUGUAAAUGAUCUGUUCCACAGGUCAUAACAAGAUUAAGUAGCCUUGAUAGUUUAAAGCUUUAUCCCUCAUCAAUAUGCUUGUUAGUGAUUGAUGAAAGUAAAUUUUCUCUUUCUUCAAGCCAAAAAUCAAUGGUAGUUUGUUCAUGGGCAAAAGUUAAAUUGGACUUGACCACCAGAAGAAGCCUAAACUAACGUAUUUAAACAAAUGCAUUGCAAGUAAAAAAAUUACAACAGUUCCAAAGGAAUUUUCCAUACUAAAUAUACCUAUAAUGUUCUUUAGUUAAAGAUCUGGCCUUCAUUCUCUCUACAAUUGGUCUCCAAACUUCUUGAAAAGUUAUGCCCUCAGCAGGUAAUUUGCAUAUCCUAGACUGGGAUAGUAGCAAAUAACAACAAUGCCAAAGAGUUGCAUCAAAAUUGGUAAUGCCAGGUUUUACGUACUGAAUGGAAAUGCUCAUAUUAUAGCAUAAAUCGUAAAAGCUUAUAUUCAAAUGUCAUCGUUCUCACUUUAUCUCACAAACAAAAUGCUCAGGCAUCCAAACAACAAGUACCUCAUACUCUGAAUCUUAUAAACCCAACCUUCCAAACUCUACCAACUAGAAUCAACAUACACAAGGGAUACUAUCAAAUUUGCAACACAACCUCAACCAGAGUCAAACGCAAAAGCAUCACCAAUCCAGAAUUUUCCAGCAAAGCUGAAAAAGAUUUACAAUAAUAAACAAAAGAAUCAUUAGUCAACUGAAUUAUAAGCAAAUAUUGCAACAAGACAGCCAUAAUUACUUUUCUUCCAUUUUAAAUUUUCUUCCAUUUUAAAACUUCAUGUUACUUCAAUCCUAGCAUCCCUCGUUACAAGUAUUUCAAUUUUACUAUAUUUUGGAAACUGGUAUGAAUUGAACAGAGCAUUGUUAAGAAAAAAUAUAAGAAAAAAAUUUAGUAGUUGAUGACAAAUAUGGAGCAGUGUUUAAGCUUAUAAAUCAGUCAAUUACAAAAAAGCAAGAAUCAGAAGCCUUUUCAAUUACCAAAUGUAGCUAUAAAGCAGUUAAAAAGCACAAUAGAAAUCCUCAAAACGAAGUACUAAAGCUGCCAGCUUAACUUCCAUAGUACGUUUACACUUGCACAACCACUUAUAUCCAAAAAUAGAUAUCUCAAAAACAUCAUAUGUUCUUUACAGACGCAGAAGAAAAUCAGGCAGUGUGCAGGAACAAAUGAAGAUGAAAUCACAAACAAAUAUAAUGAAACCAUUCGGACCAAAUUAAAAUCCACAUAUAUCAAAAAGAUAGAGAAACCUUAUCUCUGCCUAAAUAUCUUUAUGAAUACGUCAAGAACUCUAUUGACAAAUUCAUAUAAGCAUAUAUGGUAGCUUAGUAGGACUUCAAGGAUUUGGAGUACACUUUCUGUUAAAUGAGAUCUUAUAUAUAUCUUUAUACAAGACAGAUGCAUAAUGAGACCAUUCCACAAACAGUGAAAUGAGUUUAUGAAAGGAAUUGCAAGUCAGCAGCCUUUUUAACAAGUCAGUAUCUUGAGAAUGUGCACAUGUAGACACUACAACCACUAUUUGUUUCUCUCAAUAGCAAAAAGAAAAAUGAAAUUCCCUAAUUCAUUCCUUAAUCAUCAGCCACAACUACAGCAAAUGCACAGACAUGCAAAUACUUAAGCUUGCCUAUCAGGACUGGAACUCUACUAAACCUGGAGUACAUGAUGCUACAACUUCAUAGGUUCAUCUAGUUCAAGGAUAAGCUAUUCAUCAAGUAAACUAUCUGAAACAUAAUGCAUAGUGAAGUUAGAUCUAUCACCAUCAUGGCAAGAAAUAACGGAUCAACUAAGAAAUAGAUAUACCAGAUAACAAUAGUUUAAAAGAAGAUCCCAAACCAAUAGAGUGGUUUUCUGAUUAUAACUCGGUACAAAAUUUCAAACAUUGCCAUCGCCAAGCAUAGAUAAACUCUGCAACAUUGAACCGAUCACUUAGACUUCUUCCCUUGCUUCUUCUUUAUAACCUCAUCGAUGUACAUUAUCCCCUUGCCUUUGUACACCUCAGGCGGCUUACAACCCCGAACAGCGGCCGCAAACUGGUGCACCCUCCCCUUAUCAAUCCCGGUGCAGCAAACCACAUUGUUCUUGAAGCAGAAGACCCGAACAGCAGGCGGCACAGUCAACUCAACUUCAUGACUGUAACCCAAUUUCAGAUACAGCAACCGUCCUUGAGCUUCAGCCCUGGCUUUGUAGCCCACACCCACUAUCUUAAGAAACUUGAAAAAUUGGGCUUCCAUUCCUGAAACCAAGCAAUCCUAAUCAUCAUUUUCUCAGCAUUAUCAAAACUAACCCAAUUCCUCUAACAACUAAAUCUACAAUUCCAAGCUAUACCCAGUUAUAUAUUUCUAUUACUUCAAAUACCCAAUGAAUCAGAAGUUGAAAAUUAUGAGAGAUUAGAGGCAGACGAUGAUAAGAAAUAAAACCCUAGAAGCUGAGAGAAAGGAGAAGAAUGAUAAUUUGGGGAAGAUGGUAAGAUUAAGAGUUACCUGAGUCUUGAACUGGGUCAGUGGAUUUGAAGGGUCUAUGAAAGCUUACUGGUGACAGAGCAGAAUAGGAGGAGAAAGCCAAGGGCAGCGAUGAAGAUGGUGUGUAAUUUUUUUUUUUUCGAUGAAGAAAAAACAAAACUGCAAAACUAAAGGGUGUUGUAAAUUUUGGGUGUUGUAAAAUCACUAAAAUGCAUCUAGUAAUUUUUUUAAAUACACCCUGCACUUAAUUAUUUCCAACUUUGCCCUGAUACACAAAGUGACAUACACAAACCCAACUAACCUGACUAAACAGACGCUGCACCAUCGUAGACCGGGUAAAAAAAGUAAAUCCUUUCAGAAGAAUUUUCAUCCAUCGGUGCAAGUACAAAAACCCAUCUUGAUAUGUAUCGCAAUAGAGAAAUUUGUAAGGCGUCAUAGAACACGUAAAAAUAAUGGCGGAUUCAGGAUUUUAUAACGGGGUGAGCUAGAUUUUUUUUUUAAUAAACGUGUAUCGAGGGCAAAUGGGUGAAGAAAACCGUAACGAUCCAUAAUCAUCUUUCUUCCCACCAACAGCUGCAUAGAGCCAGGUUGCAGCAACAAAGCAGACUCUAGGUCAUGUCCAAUAGAUGAGUUAUGGAUCUCUCAAUUUCAAAUUUUUUAUCUUAAAUUCCAGCAUGUCAACUAUCCUAACACAUUGAAGACUUUUGCUUAGUCCAGUUCAGACGAAUAAUUUAAUUUGAACUAGUAACGGCUACUAGUCACUAAAAACCAGCUCACAACCACACGUAAAUGUUUUAUUAGGAAAUUACCAUGUUUUACCCCCUCGCCCGCCCGCGGCAACACCACCUUCCGGAUAAAUUUGUAAUUGGGGGCAGUAAAUGUAAAGAAAUGUUUUAUCUUCAUAAAACCACGUUGUUUUUUUAAUCCAGUAAAAAUUUCAUUACCUCAAAAUAAAUAUUUUUCCUACCCCUCAAUAAAAGUUGGUUAGAGGUAAUAAAAGUCUACGACAACUUCGUUGAACUCCGACAAGGUUUCUGGUAAUUUCCGAGUGGCUGGCAUCCGCCGACUUCUAAUAUUGUCUAUUGUGACUUUUCUGUUUUUCUUUUCCAAAAAAAAAAAAAAAGGAAUGCCCAAAUGCACAAAAAUAGGCAAAUUAAAACCCACUUGAAUGAAAAUCUUAUGUCCAUGCCUAUUUCAAUGAUUCUUAAAGUAAAAGACCAUUCUAUCCUUAUCUCAUUCAACUAACCUAUNNNNNNNNNNNNNNNNNNNNNNNNNNNNNNNNNNNNNNNNNNNNNNNNNNNNNNNNNNNNNNNNNNNNNNNNNNNNNNNNNNNNNNNNNNNNNNNNNNNNNNNNNNNNNNNNNNNNNNNNNNNNNNNNNNNNNNNNNNNNNNNNNNNNNNNNNNNNNNNNNNNNNNNNNNNNNNNNNNNNNNNNNNNNNNNNNNNNNNNNNNNNNNNNNNNNNNNNNNNNNNNNNNNNNNNNNNNNNNNNNNNNNNNNNNNNNNNNNNNNNNNNNNCUCUCUCUCUCUCUCUCUCUCUCUCUCUCUCUCUCUCUCUCUCUCUCUCUCUCUCUCUCUCUCUCUCUCUCUCUCUCUCUCUCUCGCUCUCGUAAGCAAUGUCACCGAUGACGCCAUCACCGACAAAUUGUACCAGAUCGGCGCUCCUAUAUCUGUCUUUCUCAUCUCUGGUAACCGCCGCCAUCAACUCCGGUCAAGGAGAUGGAGACGUCGUCGUCUUCACCGGUUGGCGUCCUCUGCCACGACCCCCGACCUGUUUGGCCGCCGCCUCCGCUGUAACCUCCAGAUCUAGUCGUCUUCUUGGAAAAAAAACGCAGUUGUCUAAGAUCAAGCAGAUGCUGGAGAAGAAGAUUCGGUGGUUCAUCGAACGCAAGGUGAUGAAGGACUUCAACGAUUGGCUGGUCGAGAUCCGAGUGGUGUGCCGGAAUUUAAGGCGAUUGGUCAAGCUUCAUCGGCAAGGCAAAGAGAGGAGGAUCUGAGAAUCAAGCAGUGCUAAACUGAGGAGCAGCAAGAGCAGGCUGAGCCUCAAAGAGAAUCUAUGCUUUGGAGGAGGAGGAAAUUCCGAUUGGGUGCCCAGAGUAAUUUUUUUUUUUACGAGAUCAGAGCAACGUUUCUUUGCGUGUGUGCAUUUUGUGUACUUAUGCUUUGUUUAUUUGAAUGAAAUUGUUUGCAUUUAGAGCCUUAUCUAUAUGAAAAUAUCAAUUUGGGGGUGAUUACUGGGGGUCAGUAACUAUUAUUUAGGGUUAGUAGCUAUUAUUAGAGGUCAGUAAUCAAGUUAUUGGAGGUCAGUAACUUGAUUAUUAGGGUCAGUAACUUGAUUAUUUUCUAGUAUUUCUUCUGUUCUAUUACAUUAAGCUGAAAUAAGUAGAUUAUUGUGGGUCAGUAACUAAUUAUUGGGGAUCAGUAACUCAGUUACUGGGGGUCAGUAACUGGUUAUUGGGGGUCAAUAACUGGUUACUGGGAGUGAGUAACUGAUUAUUAAGGGUCAUUAACUGGUCAGUAACUGAUUAUUGGGGGUCAAUAACUAGUUACAGGGGAAAUUCUGAUGACCAGAGUCCGGCAGCCGGUGACCGGAGUCCGGCGGCCGGUGACCAGAGUUCGGUGAGAUUCCGGCCAAGUAUUCUCUCUUUCAUUUUCUCUCUCUCUCUAUGCAUGUUUAAGAGGUGAGGGUAAAAUAGUCUUAAAAUAAUAUAGUUUGUUAAGACUUUAGUAAAGAUUUGUGCAUUUGAGCAUAAAAAAGGUUACCUUAUAUUGAAAUUCGCUAAUGAAAAAGAUUAUCAUUGGAAUGAGAAAUAAAAUGUUUAAAUUAGUACUAAAUGAGCAUUUUCCCGAAAAAAAAAUGACUUUUCAUUUUUGUCUCGAUAUGAUAAAAGGAGAGGCAAACUAGUCUAGAAAAUCACAAUAUAACAAAAAGAACAUGGGUCUUAUGAUACAGUUAUGGGUAAGGGGAAAAAAAUGACUGGUGUAACAGGGAAUCAAUUUUAUGAAAUUAUGGCAAAUACACAUACUUAAAUCACCGGAGCGGAUUACACGCACCAAGGUGCAUUUACACCAAAAUGCACUUGUAUCAUUAAUAUGUAAGAGCAUCUCCAACAGCUUCCCCAUUUUCUUGAACUUCUCAAUUUUAGGGAAUAUAGAGCUCUUUUUAGGUCCAACAGCUUCCCCAUCCCAUUCCCCAAAAUGGGGAUGAAGAAAAAAAGAAGCCGUCAUUCCCCAAAUUUGCAACAAAACCUUCCUUCCCCAAAAUUAAAUUCUUCACGUACUCCAACAAAUUUAAAACAACAAUAAAAUAUUUGAUUGGGUAGUUUAUUGUUACAAUGAAAUAUAUAAUGUUUUUUUUGUUAUAAUUCAUGAUGAUAUAUUAUAGUUUAUUGUUGUAUUAAAUGCCGAAAAUCUCUAAAAAUGGAGAAGCUGCUGGAUUUUGAUUAUAAUUUUUUUUGGAGUAAUUUAGCUUUUGUUUCCCUAUUUUAGAGAAAUUUUGGGGAAGCUGUUAGAUAUGCUCUAACAGCUUCCCCAUUUUCUUGAAAUUCUCAAUUUUGGGGAAUAUAAAGCUAUUUUUAGGUCCAACAGCUUCCCCAUCUUAUUCCCCAAAAUGGGGAUGAAGAAGAAAAAGAAGCCUUCAUUCCCCAAAUUUGCAGCAAAGUCUUCCUUCCCCAAAAUUAAAUUCUUCACGUGCUCCAACGAAUUUAAGACAACAAUAAAAUAUUUUAUUGGGUAGUUUAUUGUUACAAUGAAAUAUAUAAUGUUUUUUUGUUAUAAUUAAUGAUGAUAUAUUAUAUUUUAUUGUUGUAUUAAAUGCUGAAAUCUCCAAAAUGGAGAAGCUGUUGGAUUUUGAUCAUAAUUUUUUUGGAGAUUUUAGCUUUUGCUUCCCCAUUUUAGAGAAAUAUUGGGGAAGCUGUUGGAGAUGCGCAUCUCCAACAGCUUCUCUAUUUUCUUGAAUUUCUUAAUUUUAUGGAAUAUAGAGCUGUUUUUUAGGUCCCAACAGCUUUCCCAUCAUAUUCCCCAAAAUGGGGAUGGAGAAGAAAGAGAAGCCUUUAUUCCCCAAAUUUACAGCAAAGCCUUCCUUACCCAAAAUUAAAUUCUUCAUGUGCUCCAAUGAAUUCAAGACAACAAUAGAAUAUUUUAUUGGAUAUUUUAUUGUUACAAUGAAAUAUAUAAUGUUUUUUGUUAUAAUUAAUAAUGAUAUAGUAUAUUAUAUUAUUGUAUUAAAUGUCGAAAUCUCUAAAAUGGAGAAGCUGUUGGAUUUUGAGUAUAAUUUUUUUUUUGGAGAUUUUUGUUUUUGCUUCCUAAUUUUAAAGAAAUUUUGGAGAAGCUGUUGGAGAUGCUCUAAGUCCUCAAAUCACCGUAUGCGAAAUUCGAAUGAAGAUUAGAGAUCCUAAAUUCAUUCCUUUCAAUUUCAUUUUUGAUCCAAUCAAAUUAAGCGCCCAUAAUAAGAGUACAUCUUAUUAUGCUGGAGAGGAAAGAUCCCACAUUAGAAAAGGGAUAAAGAAAAUACAAUUAUAAGUGGAUGGAUCAUAUCCAAUUGUACCGAGGCCUUUUGUGAUUAAAACCCAACACGUUUAAGGUGGCAAAGUUGGGACAGUAUCGAUACAAUAAUGAUCCACGGGCCACGCUUGUCCCUGUUCUAGUUAGUGUCAAAGCGGGUCCCUCUUCAAUUACAUCUCCGAGUGUAACGGGAGAAAAUCUUCCAGCAUAAUGAGCUCAGAUUUGGGUUCAUCGAAUUGUUAUCGGAAAAUUCCGAUUGGCCCAUACCAUACCAAGUGCCUGCAAUGAGCCUUAAAUUGAAGCAUUACCGAUUUUCGAUGUGGGAAUUGGACUGAAUGAAUUUCACGUGCAGACCUAAAAAGUUAGGUUGCACGUGAGGGAAAGUGUUGGAGAGGAAAGAUCCCACAUAAAAAAAAGAUAAAGAAAAUACAACUUAUAAGUGGAUAGAUCAUAUUCAAUUGUACCGAGACAUUUUGUGAUUAAAACCCCAAUACGUUUAAGGUGGUUAAGUUGAGACAGUAUCAGUGCAAUAAUAAUCAAUGGGCCACGCUUGUCUCUGUUCUAGUUAUUCGACUUCAGGUCCUCACCUCCUAUGUUGGAAACACUCAGGACUAUUCUUUUUUGUUUCAAUUUUGUUAACGAUAUUAAAAUACAUGCAUAAUAAUACGACAUGGAUGACCGGAUCAAAAUAUUGCAUAUUAGUUGUUCGGUUCACUUGCACCUUGAUGCGUUGAAGAAUUGUGGUUAAAUCACUCAUCUGAAGUGAGUGCAACAAGAAGCCAACACUUUCCUAGCUUCUCUAAAAUAAAAAAAAACAACCCAUGUUUUCGCCACAUCUCAUACUAGUUUUUGCUGAACCGCCUACCAUUGUCAGCAACAUAAGCCACGACGCUUCAACAUCUCUAGUAGAUUAAUCCAAUCGCAUAUACCUCUGUUAUACCUUGUUGCACCUCUCAUUGAUCAUCAACUUAGAAAGUGCACUCAUUAACACUAACCUCCACCGCUUAGACUUGAUUAGAUAUCAUGUCUGACCGUACAAGCAUCACACAAACAAGUCACAAGAUUAACAUUGAUGACGAGGAUCAAGAUCUGCAUCUCAUCGACGUUGCUCGAGGUUCACAUCACAAUGACGAACCUGUAAGCCUGCAGACAUGGAGGGCCAUUGGACGAGCCAAAAGAAGUAGAGAAGUACGUUCUAGAGGAGUGAUAUUUUAUUUUGUACACACACUUCUAAUUUUAUAAACACAUGAUUUUCACGUGUAUGUACAUACAAUUGCAUUAAUGUGUGUUUCAGCAAACAAACACUAACGAACAAACUAUAUUUUAUAAAAACUUAAUACACGUGUGCAUGCAGAAAGACUAGUAUUAUCUAUUAUUUAUGUAAACAAACAUAAACUAGUAAGCUGAUUGUAGCAUUCUUUGUUGGCAAUUAAGAUUUUAAACUAAUUUUAGUUAUUUUACAACUAAUUACAGUUUAAAAAAAAAAUAUAUGGAACAAAUGAUUAAUUGCAAGUUCAUUGUUCACGCUUUGUUAUAAACUUUUAGUAAUAGUAUGUGAUAUUAGUGGCUAUUAGUUUUAAUCAAAUUUAGAAUAUAAAAUUUGUUAUUUGUGUGCUCUGAAAAAGGUAUCCACUUUAGUUGUAACGAAUUCAUCACGAAAAGUUAACAACGUUGAACCAUCUCAAACAACAAAUAACAAAUUCAUUGUUUGACACACCUAGUUAUUUGACUGUUCAAUAUUUCGGUUAUUAACUUUAGGUGCUUUACAUAUAAGGUCUUGAAUUUAAGUUCAACAAAUGACCAUGACAAGUAUGAAACUUGAAUUCUAAUCGAUACCGGGUUAUUCUUAGUGCAGAAAUGUUGUGUUCAGAAAAAAUUAGUAAUAAUACAGGACCUCCAAGCAAAGCCAAGAUUGUGCUUUCUAUGUUUGCGUUUUUAUGGUUUACAGGUUUCUUGAUAAUGGGACUUGUGUAUAUGUCCCACAAGUAUAGUCCACGACCGAGUGAAAUCACCGUACGUUUGCAUUCUUUAACAGUAGAACACUUAUUUGAUGUUCGAGGAACUUCUCCUUCUUUGGCAAAAUGGGAAGCAAACAUAACCAUUUACAACCACAAAAAUGUGAAGGACACCAGCAGAGACAAAGACAUGAAACUCAUCAUACGAAACCUACAAAGCGUUCUUUAUUACAAAGAUCAUGGCAUUUUCUGCACCACAAAUGAGAAACUGAUGUUAGUGAUUAAAAGAGAGAGACAAGAGAUGGUGAAUCUAAAAUUCGAAACAACGCAUUGCAGACACAAAAUAGAUGAUCCUAAAAGGGAUUUUGACUAUCAAUUGGACAAAAAGAUGAGGGAGGAAAGAAGAAGGGGGCACUUGCGUAUGAGGUUAAAGAUGAACAUGGUGGUGUCAUCAGACUUUCUUCGAAUGCUGAACUCUACAGGAAGAUAUUGGAUGCAUGAUGUUCGGUGUUCAGAUAGUCUUGAUGUUGUGUAUGUGCAUGAAUUAAGAAAAGGGAGAAUGCUUGGUCAUGAUUUGAACUUGUGGUAUGAUGAAAAUAAGUGCAAUUUAGAAAAAUAGAUGAUUAAGAGGGCGGAUCCGUGACACUCCAAUUCAUAGGUUAAAUUAUACUCCGAAUCUUGUCCAUUAAACUUAACAACGAUAAAUGGAUGAGAUUAAAGACAAGUUAUUAAAUAUUCUUUUAAUAAGCACAAUAUAUAUUUUCUGCAUUAUUCUAGCUUUUUGAUCUUGUUCUUCUUCCCAAUAUGCUGAUAAUUGUUUUGGAUUAGGAAUACUUAUAAAAUAUAUAUUGUGCUUAUUAAAAAAAGAUUUAAUAUAUAACUUGUUUUAAUCUCAUCUGUCUAUCGUCGUUAAGUUUAACGGACAAGAUUCGCAGUAUAAUUUAACCUAUGAAUUUGAAUGCCAUGGAUCUGUCCAUUUUUUUGUUUAGUGCGUAAUUAUAUUCUCUAUUUAAUUUUGUAAUAUCAUCAGCAUUAUCGCUUCCUCUUUUUCUUUUUUAUUUAUUUAAAGUUAUAUGAAUCUAAGAAUAGCAUCAACUUCAGAUCUUUUAAUUCAUACAUGGAAUCAUUUUGUUAUGUAGUGCUACAAGCACUCCUGUAAUUAAUCUUUCAUCUUCAAGAUCACUUCACUUGUUUCCCAUUGUUGUUUCUCACUCAACAAUUCCGUGACUCUUGCCCCUUUUCAAAUAUAAAUGGUAUUUUUUUUUUAUCAAACGAUCAUUCGAUUUAAAUCAGAGCAAGCAGUACAAAGAUGACGUACCCUUGUGGGGUCGUCAGAAAACAUCGUCUUGCAAAAUUGCAAGUCCUAUACUAGAUAAAACAUAAGCUUUGAAAUCCUAAGUACACUCACAUUAUAGCGAUUAAGCACAAUUAUUUUACAGGUAAAACUAGGUUUUGAAAAAAACUAUCAAGACUGUGAAAAUCACUAGUUACCUAGAUCAAAACUCAUUCUAAAUGAGGGACCCAAGCCCAAAUUCAUCUGCCAGAGCCCAAUCAGAUGAAGCUCUAGCUGAUCUAGCCCAAGGCCAAACAAGCCCAACCCCUAGAGAAGCUUUGAGAGAAACCCUAGCAGCGCCUUCAUCUCUUCCCCGCCGUCGUCACCAUCAAAUAGCAGCGGCGUCGUCGGAACCAAAUCCGGAAUUAGACCCACAACACCACCAUCCUCCCCAAGAUCAGAAAUAAGGUGAAAACCUAGUGCAUGGCCUCUGGUCGAGAUCUGAGACGUUCCAUCUUGAGCCACAAUUCGAUCAGCUUGUAUUGCUUCCUCCCUUGUAUCAAACCCAAAGGCAAGAAAAAAAAAAGAGAACAACCAAGACCUUUGUUUAGGAGAUUUUGAUGAACAAAGCCGCCAUCACCACCACAUGCAUGUUGGACUCGACAUCCACUGUCGCCCAUAGAAGGCACGAUAGAGUCAUCCAUCACUGUCUUUGAUUAGAGAUCAGAAGAGACUGGAGAAAAGAUUUCCUUCCUCGUCAAAAGAGAAUCACUGUUGCCGGUCAGUUUGAGAGUUUUGUCGACAGUUGCUGCCGUCGAGUAAAACCCUAGCAGAGGUAGGGAGAGAGACAUCUAUAUUUGUAAUAAAUCAAUAAUUUCAAGUUUUUGGUAAUCUAAAUGGAUUCUUAUUUUACACCAAACACAUUGAUGGAUUUGUACCAUAUUUGUAGAUUAUCAAAAGAUUUAUGAUUAAAAAAACUUGAAAAUUUAUUCCACAGUCAUUUUUCUUUGGACCCGGAACACACGUGACACUAUCAUGUAGUGUUCCCAACCGAUUAUAACUCAAAUUCAUGCGGGGAUCAGCAUGGGAUGAAAAAAAAGAGUAAAAGUAAAUAAAUAGACUAAUCAGAAAUAAGAUAAGAACAUUUAGAUUAAUAACAUUAGAGGAGACCAAAAUGCCACAUGGUGUUUGGGUACAAAUAAUAAUAAUUUCCCCUAUUACGAAAUCUCACUAACGUGAUGGAAUGAACGAGCCUGUUGGAGAGCGGGAAUCCGUUGGAUUUGAAUUGAUCCCCCAUUUGGGACAAGACAUAUGAAAUGACUGGGUGGACUUGUAUUAGUACACCUCCUCCUCACUCCUCACUCUCCUCUCAUCAAAAGUUCAAAACCCAUAACUUGACUAUCUCCACUGUGCCGGCCCCUUCCUCUCUCUCUGCUCAUGGGUAUGUCAAACUCUGAUUUUUCUUUUCUUUUUUCCUUGAUUUCUUAGAGGCUCAUGUUCAUGUUACAUUUAUGACUUUUUUCGUCUGGGUAUUUCACUCUCUGAAAGAUGUGUAUGUGUUUUCGGCAACUUGGGUUUUCUUGAUUUGUGGUCAGAGAUGAGAGGCUAGGUGACUAUUCGGCAAUAUGGGUUUUCUUGAAAUGGGAAACGAAAGAGCUGAGCUGAGCUAUUGAUAUCAGAACCCCAGGAAAAACAGAACAAAAUUUUGGGGAUUGAAAUUUAUUUAGGUUUUUUUAUUUUUUUUUUGUUACUUUGUUGGGUUUCUUCCUCUCAGAAAUAAAUCAGAUUUCUUUAUCUUUAGUAUUUGGGCCUCUUAUCAAGUGUUGAGACUACAUUGUGGAUGAUAUUGAUUUUGUAUUGUUUUUCUUUUGUAAAUCAUUGUGGUUUUUGACAACUGAUAAGUGAAAUCUCUGGUUUUUCUUCUAUGAAAUUCAUCAUAUUGCUGGUACAUAACAUUUGAUAUGCUACAUUCCCUUGGAAAGUGAACUCAAAGGUCAGUAGAGGUCAAAAAUAGGAGUGAUUGUGAUGAUGCUCAUUAUCUAUAAACCUCUGCUAUGCCCCUUCCAUUGUUUAACAUCUAAAACAAGAGACUCAUGGUCUCAUUAUAUAUACUCAAAUAAGAUUGGUUACUCGGGGUAUCAGAGCAACAUUUUACAGUAUAAUUGUACAUUUGAUGGUAUUAAGUAUAUACUAGUAUGAGUGCCUUUUUUUACUUUGCUCUUACUUACGAGAAGUGAAUUCCGUGCUUGCAAAUCAAUGAUACUAGUUCUCCAUAUUUUUCAUUCUUCUAGUUUAAUUUUUUAUUUUUUUUAUCCUGUUUAAUUUCAUUACAGAGAUGAAUUUCGAUGCAAUGAAGAGGAAUCAACUAAAACUACUGUGUAAAAAGCAUGAAAUUCCUGCAAAUAUAACGAACAUAGAAAUGGCCAAGAGGCUUACUUUGCUUCACAAGGUAACCAACAAUAUAUAUGCCAUCAUUUCCUAUGUGUUUCUUACCUUUUAGUGGUCAAUUAUGUUUUAGGGUGCUGAUAAAAUGAAAGUGAAAUUGAUUUUAAGGUUCAGAUACAAAAGGUGAAGAAAGUAAGCUUCAAUCCUGAGACACACAUAUUUUUCUUUGAGGCUACGCCCAAAUAUACAUACUCCAGUUUAAAGAAGAAAAGGGUGCAAAAGAGGAAGUCCAGGGUGAAGCAAGCUUCAAAGAAGAAGCAGGUUCAGCUUGCUGAAAUUGGCAGAGAACUUGAACUCUCGGUGAACAUAACUGCUACCCCAGUUAGACUUACAAGAUCUAGUGCACAAAGAAUAGAACAAGGCAAUGCAGAAGCAAUGUCUUUGCCAUUUUCUGUGCGGAAGAACGUCAGAAGUGUUGUGGAAAAUGUAGGUGGUAAUAAGCCGCCUCUGGAGGUUAAGUUGAGUGAGGGAGUUGGUGGUGAUGAUGGAGAUGCAAUUUCGGGUGGAGUAUUAAUUUAUAAAAAACUGAGGAGCAGAAUUGUGGUGUGUAAAUAUGGUGGAGGUUCAAUGGUUUUGAGGAAGUAAUUAAUGAAGACUGAUGUUGAAGCAGUUGUGCCAAAGGUGGAAGACUAGCUAGUGUUUUGAGUGAAAAAUUGGAAGAAAUUGAUCUUGGUGGUACGACUCAGACGUAGGUUCAAGGGGUUGCUUAUCGCUAAUUAGAUGAGGCCAGCUUUCCAGUAGAGUUGUUUUGUAUUGGUCUAGUGUAGUGGAAUCAGGUUAGGUGAUGUAGAAGAUCAUAGUGUAGUGGAUCUAUUUCUGAAACAACUUAAGGUAACGAAUUGUCAAGCUGGUGGUUCAGAGGUGAUAGCUUUUUGUUAAAGCCGUCACCUUAAAGGUAAACUGAUCAGUACACGAAAGGUAUUUAUGCAAUGUGACGAUAAUUUGGUUGAAUGAAAGUUCAGUUAUUUCUCAGCAUCUAGUUGUCUUGUUAGAAUUCUUCAGCUGAUGUUAUAAUUUGUUUUUCUUUGAUGAAAUGUAACUUCUGUGGUUUUAAGGUUGGAAAAUAUGAGUCUACUUUGUGGUGGAACUGGAAGUGUUCUAAAUUACCUAGACAAUGCAUUUGUAUAUUUUGGAACUUUAUUACCCAAUUGGAGAUUGUCUGCGCUGUUUCUUUCAGGAUGUUUAUAACCAACGUGGAGUUUGAGUAUUGCUUGGUUGAGAAAAAAGUGCAUAUUUUUUACAUGUUGUUGUAAUGCUAUGUAUGAUUAAGAUGAGUAUAUUUUAUGGUAGUUAUAUAUCCAACAGUUGCAGUGAUAUUUGCUGAUCUUCUCGUUCUUUUCUUUACUUUUUAGUUGUGUCAAUGUCUUGAACAUAUUAAAGAGCCAUACUUUGCAUUCAGUUAGUCCUGUUGAUCUUGGAAUUGACCUUCAUCUGACUGAUCUAACUGUGCAAGGCAAGUAGUUUCCAAGUAGUUUCAUUUUAUGAUCAUAAUCUCAUUUGACAGAUUACACAUAAUUGGUUAUAUAUGAGAACAAACGGCAGCCUCUUCCCAAAUAUAUAUUUGCAUCUACUUCUAAGAUUUAUGUACUUUUCUGUUGGUUUAAGAAAACUCGCAGAUGAGCCCUUGAUGCUGCUGCAUUUUAAGGUCUUACUACUUGGUUUGCUGAAUGAAAUGUUAUUAUGCAUGGUUUUGUUUAUUAAAAGGGAUUUGUUUCCUUUUAGCAUGACCAGCAAGCCAAUCUGAUGCAAUGUUUGCAUUUCUCUUGACCAGGCUUCAUCUACAAUACCUAAACUCCCCUUUGUUGAUCUACUAGUGUCAGUUAAAUCGUACUAGUCAGAAUAUGCAAUGUUGCCAGAAACGCGGGACGUUCCGGUACGGGAACGCGGUACGUUAGUCUUUAAGAUACGCGGUACGCUAGGAUAUAUUAGCUAAUUUUAAUUAAAACAAAUUAAUAAAAAUAAGAUUAUAGAAACAAAAUAAAUUGAAACCCAUACCAUAAAUUUACCAUAAAUUUAUAUACCAAAAUAUCGAUCCCUUAUUGAUUCACUAGAUAAACCACAUAAUUCAUGAAAGACAAACAAGUAAAUUAAUAGAUAAAAUAAUAAGAAAAACUGUAUUUAUUAGUUUUUAAUUAUUUCUGGAUAAAGAUCAGUUUAUAUUGAGAUGAUCAUGUCUUGAUUUGAUUAUGUGGAUCUUCACACCAACACCGGCAUCAAAGAAUCGAAGAUCACGUUUCAAACAAGUCCAACAACCUCCACCUUCACGUUUCAAUCAAUUACCCGCAACUCCCAUCUCCUCCUGCUAAUUCUACACCUGCUCCUUGUGAAUUUUGCACACAAAUCCUCACUGAGGCAUUAAAACAAACACUUUCUGGGCGCUAGGCAAAGGCAUUUCCCUCUCAAAUCGGGAUCGCUCAACACAGCGAUCGGGAUCGCGAACGCCCCGCGAUUGGGUUCGUGCGUUCCGGAACGCGGGUCGCCGACAACAUGAGCGUUUCCGGUAACUCUGGGCAUAUGCCUGCGUGAGGCGUGAUACUGCGGAAUAAAGCCUUUUCCCAAUUGUAGAGGCAUGUUAAGUUAAAAAUCAGAUUAUGAGUUCCAGCUACUGCAAUGAAUCAACGCUCAUCAAAAAUGGACGUAUUGGCCAAUGACUAGACUAGAUUUAUGAAAUUAGAAGGUUUAGAGGUACUGUUUUUGAUUAAAUUGAUAUUCAACCUAAACCUCAUGGACGUAAACUAAAUGUAAAUAUUCAUUUUGUUUUUUUGAAAGGAGUGACUAGCAAUUUGGAAGAAAAUUUUCAGGAAUGAUCUACUAACUCUUAUAUCACAUUUAACAAUUAAUAUGCCAUGAUACUAUUAUUCCCUCGACUAGGAGAAAUUUUUCUGUCCUUUAGGAGGACCACGUCAGCAUGCCUAGUUGUCCUCCUUAGCCAAUAUGAAGCCUUCAUUUAGUAUUUUUUGACAUGUCAUAAUAGGGUAAAACAAUUAUUGUAUUUUACUUAAGUAAAUCCAACUUAAAAAAAUGAAUUAAAUAAAAUCAAACAAGAUCAAACAAAAAAAGAACUCAGAUCUAGGGUUCAUCAUCUCCUUACCAAAAAGAAGAAGAAAAAAAUCUCAGAUCUCCAUGGUAGUUGAAAGAGGAUGGAGGUCGAAGAAACGAGAGUAAAGAAAACCUUAAAUUGAUUUCUGGAGAACGAAUUUGGAUUAGCUGGGGUUUAAACCGAAGAAAUUGUGUAUUACUUUACUCUCCUUCUUUCAAUUAAUCGUGUAUUUCUUUACUCUCUGCGUCAGUUUGGAUUCCAAGAAAUUGUACCAACUUCAAAGAAAACCAUAUAUUGAAUCUUGAAUUCAACCUAUAAGAAAUUGUGAAUGUAAUAUGUUUCUGUAUAUAUAAUCUUCAAAUGAUACAACAACUUUUAUAUACAAGGAGAAUGUAGAGCUAUUCUAGGAAAGCUAUAAAAAUGCAAUCAACUAUCAACUAAUUACACAGUCACGAUCCAUAAGUUACUCCAAUAUGAUUGCUAGAAUAACUCCAUGAUCCAUCAAUUACUCUAGAAUAACCGCUGGAAUCAUUCCAUUGAUACAAGAGAUCAUGUACCUGAAUUCUUCCUUUAAUACUCCCCCUCAAGUUGGAGUGUGGAUAUCAAUGACACUCAACUUGCUAAGAUGUGCGUGGAAGGCAGGUGCACGUAACAGCUUAGUAAACAUAUCAGUUAUUUGAUUCCCAGUAGGUACAUAAGCAGUUUUGAGUUCUCCCUUUUGAAUUCUUUCUCGAACAGUAUGACAUUCCAACUCAAUAUGCUUUGUUCUCUCAUGAUAAACUGGAUUCGCUGCUAUGUGUAAAGCUGCUUGAUUAUCGCAGAAUAAUAUUGCUGGUUAAGGAUGAAGCACAUGCAAGUCAGUCAACAAGUAUCUAAGUCAAGAAAGCUCACGAGCAGAUGCAGCCAUCGAACGGUAUUCGGCUUCGGCUGAGGAUCUUGAAACAGUGACCUAUUUCUUACUUUUCCAUUAGAUGAGUGAUUGUCCAAGGAAUAUGCAAAAACCUAUCACAGAGCGACGUGUGAGUGGACAUCUAGCCCAAUCUGCAUCGCAGUACCCAAUCAAACGAAAUGAAUUUUGCGAUGAAAAGAAUAACCCUUGGCCGGGGACAGAUUUUCGAUAAUGGAGAAGACGAAGGGCUGCCUUAUAAUGAUGUAACUUUAGUUCUUGCAUAAAUUGACUGAGUGUAUUGACUGCAAAUGUGAUAUCUGGCCUAGUGAUUGUCAAAUAAAUUAGUUUCCCAAUCAGACGUCGAAAUCUGGUUGGAUCUUUGAGAGCAUCACUUCCCUUUGUCGUUAACACCAAGUCAGGCUCCAUAGGUACUGUUGCAGGCUUCACUCCCAACAAUCCGGCUUCCUUCAAAAUGUCUAAUGUGUAUUUCCGCUGACAUAUUGUAAUCCCUGCCGUAGAGCGAGCAACUUCUAUGCCCAAGAAAUAUUUCAAAGAUCCAAGGUCUUUAAUUUUGAAACGGCUAUUAAGGAAUUGCUUGAGAUUUAAAAUGGCUUCUUCAUCGUUUCCUGUUAUAAUCAUGUCAUCCACAUAAAGCAACACCACAGUAAUUGAAUUGCCACGAACCCGAGUGAACAAUGAAUAGUCAGCACGAGACUGUUGGAAGCCGAAUUCUUGAAUAGAGGAUGAGAACCUUUGAAACCAGCUGCGGGAUGCUUGUUUAAGGCCGUAUAAGGACUUGUGAAGUCGACAAACUAACUUCUCCCCCUGUCGACGAUAACCGGGUGGUGGCAACAUAUACACCUCCUCAGUGAGUUCUCCAUGUAAGAACGCAUUUUGGACGUCCAUCUGGUGUAAGGGCCAGUGCCGGACAGCAGCAACAGCCAACAAACAACGGACAGUAAUCAAUUUGGCCACUGGAGCAAAAGUGUCCUUGUAAUCGAUCCCUUCUCUAUGAUUAAAUCCUUUGGCAACAAGCCGCGCCUUAUAGCGUUCAACUGUGCCAUCAGAAUUAUACUUGAUCUUGAAGACCCAUUUACAGCCGAUUGGACGCUGACCUUGAGGCAAAGAGACCAUUGACCAUGUUCGAUUAUCUUCAAGAGCCUGAAUCUCAUUAUUCAUCGUUGUAACUCAUUGAGGAUCAUGGCUAGCCUGUUCAUAAGUAGCUGGUUCCACUAAUUGAGAGAUAUUGUUAACAAAUGCUCGAUAGCCAGAUGACAAACUAGAGUAAGAGAUAUACCUCUGCAGCGGAUAGUGAGUGCCGGCCGUGGUGGAGAGACCGACGGCUGGGCCAAGCAAAACGGUGUGAUUGGUUUGGUAGUCAUUGAGGUAUGGAGGUGGUUUGCGGGUUCGAUCAGAUCGACGUAAGACCUCAGGUGGUGGAGCUGCAGGGCCGAUGGUGCCAACAGGUGGUGGUGGUGAUGGCUGAGUGUCGGGGAUGGGAGUUUAGGUGUGCGCAACUGGCCAUUUGGGCGAAGAGGAUGGCGGCUCCGGUAAGGUGGUUGGUUUGGGAUCGGUGGAGGCCGAUAUUGGAGGUCAGCAUUGAUAUGUGUGAAGAGGUUAGGGAGGAUUGAUCGAUGGUGGUGGAGAGAGGUCAGCAGUGACAGAUGUGUGGUUGUCGAGUGGUGGAGGUCGGGAUGACGCCGGCGACCAGAGCCCAUCGAUGAGGGCUGGGAUGUCUCCGACAUGAUUUGCUGGGUGCACUGACUGCUGUGUGGCCAGCGGAGUGUGAGGCGCCGAUGAAGGCGACGCCGGCGGUGUAUGAAGUCCAAGCGACGCCGGUGGUGGCUGGAUUUCAGGUGGCGCCGGUGACGGAGUAAGUUGGGUGGACAUGGUGUCUCGAUCUGUUGUAGGUUGGAAGGAGAGAGAAGGAGGAGUGGGUGUUAUGUGGGUGGGUUGAGGUGAAUGGGCUGGAGGUAUGGAGUUGGGUUAAUUGGAAGAAUUAGGUAAUCAUCUUGGUCCUCUUUAGGAAGUGCAGAACAAGGAAAAAUGUUUUCAUGAAAGACAACAUCUCGAGAGGUGAAAAAAUUCUUUUUCUCAAGAUCAUACACUCGAUAGCCUUUUUGUCCUAGAGGAUACCCAAGAAAGAUGCAGCGAUGUGCACAUUUGUCGAAUUUGUGUUUGGGGUUGAGGUUGGUAGCAUAGCAUAAGCUACCGAAAACUCGAAGGUGAGAGUAAGUAGGUGAAGUCCCAUGUAAGAGCUCGUAUGGUGAUUUGAGGGAAAGAAGAGGUGUAGGGAGUCGGUUGAUAAGAUAACAAGCAGUAGCAAUGCUUUCUCCCUAAAACUUUAAAGGUAAAUUGGCUUGAAAACGAAGAGCUCGUCCCACAUUUAAAAGGUGACGAUGUUUGCGUUCAACAACCCCAUUUUGUUGAGGAGUGUAGACACAAGUAUGUUGAAAAAUUGUACCACGUUUGUCAAGAAAGGAACGUAGUGAUGUAAAUUCCUUUCCAUUAUCAGAACGAAGGAUUUUGAUGUCACGAUUGAAUUGAGUUUUGACCCAAGAGAAGAAAGAUUUGAUCAAUGGUUGUGUGUCAGACUUAAAACGCAUGAGAUGGACCCAAGUAAAACGAGAAAAGUCAUCAACAAUGGUGAGAAAAUAACGAGCACCAGAAUGAGUGUGAGUUUUAUGUGGACCCCAAAUGUCACAAUGAAUCAAAUCAAAAGCUGCAACAGUUUUUAUUGAACUUGAAGGGAAACUUAAACGAGAUUGCUUUGCUAGAGGACAAAUGUCACAUACAUGUUGGGGAUGAAACAUAAUUUCGGGAAUGGUUUGGGACAAAAAAUGGAGAGGUGAGGAUGAUGGGUGCCCAAGUCGUUGAUGCCAAAGGUCUGUGGUACGAGUAACAUGGUUGGCUAGGUGAGGGUUUUGUCUUGGUGUGAGGUAGUAGAGUCCGUUAAAAUGCUUGCCCAGUCCAAUCGUCCUCCUCGUAUCCACGUCCUGCACAACACAAAAAUCCGGAUAAAAAAUCACAAUGCAUGCAUUUCAAUGCCCGAGUCAAUUUACUCACAGAUAUCAAAUUUACUCAAAAUUUAGGCACAUGAAGAACACCAUCAAGGUUCAAAUCAGUUGACAACUUAAUAGUUCCAAUGCUUUCAAUGGCGGCUUUCCCACCAUUAGGUAGACCAACAAAAUCGUGAGGUGCUGUAAUUUUGUUGUGAGUAGGUGAUAGAUAAGAAACAUGGUCCGUUGCUCCACUGUCCACGAUCCAACAUAAUGUCGAAUGAGGAUCAGUAUGUGCAAUAUUGCAGGUAGGUGUGACUAUGCGCCGGAAUGAUGUAGGAUAAGUAGGUACGUCAUGUUUGUUUGUGUGGCUUUGGACAGUGUGUCCUUCUGUGUAGGCCAUAACGUUGAUUUGGUAAUGUUCUAGGUUUGAUAGUGUUUGAUGUGUUUGCGGAAGAUGGGUGAGUCACCAAGAUCGGUGCUCUGAUACCAUAAGAAAUUGUGAAUGUAAUAUGUUUUUGUAUAUAUAAUCUUCCAAUGAUACAACAACUUUUAUAUACAAGGAGAAUGUAGAGCUAUUCUAGGAAAGCUAUAAAAAUGCAAUCAACUAUCAACUAAUUACACAUAGUCACGAUCCAUGAGUUACUCCAAUAUGAUUGCUAGAAUAACUCCAUGAUCUAUCAAUUACUCUAGAAUAACCGCUGGAAUCAUUCCAUUGAUACAAGAGAUCAUGUACCUGAAUUCUUCCUUUAAUAACCUAGGGUUAACUAUUUCGUCUCAAAUAGGAGUUAAACACUUUGUUGUAGUGUUUGCUGUAGUUGAAUUUCACGUUUCCCGAGGUCACCUUGAGCUAAGAUUCUUCAAGAUUUUGGCUUUUCUUUGUUUUUUUGUGGUUGAUUCAGAUUUUCUUGGCUGCCAAAACAGUAGCAGAUUUGAAUGUGAAUGUUGUAUGGGUGUGUUUUUAUAUUGUUGGUUUCAAUUUAAAUCCCAAUUAACUAAUCCAAAUUCGAUCUCUAGAAAUCAAUUUAAGGUUUUUCUUUGCUCGUUUCUUCGACCUCCAUCCUCUUUCAAAUACCAUGGAGGUUUGAAAUUUUUUAUUCUUCUUUUUGGUAAGGAUAUGAUGAACCCUAGAUCUGAGUUUUUUUUUUGUUUGAUCUUGUUUGGUUUUACUUAAUUCUAUUUUUUAAAGUUGAAUUUACUUAAAUUAAAUACAGUAAUUGGUUUACCUUAUUAUGACAUGUCAAAAAAUACUACAUGAAGACUUCUUAUUGGCCACGGAGGACAGAAAAAUUUCUCACCUCGACUAGCCCUGAUUUUAAUGGUCCUCAAUCGAAUGACACCGUUAAUCAAAUGACAUAAAUAUGAGAUUGCAAAUUACUAGAAGUUGUUCAGAAACUAAAAGCUAAUUGAGCUCAAUAUUAAUGUUCACCUAAACUAUGCUCAUUCAAAUUUCGUCGAGAUACAUGUACACGUUUAGCAUUCCCGACUUCUUGGCUACGCUUCACAUCGGCAUUCCAAACACACGCUUCGUUCCUAGUCGCGGAAUUCACACUCGCUUUCUAAUACUCUCGCAAACGUGGAUAAAAGCUUUAGAAAGCGGGAGAGCCCGUUCCUAUUUGAAAUUUAAAAGAAGAAUUGAAGAACCAAAAAUUCCAAUCGAAAUUUCGGAAAACUCAAAAGGCAAUUAAUUUCUAGAUCGAAAACCAAGAAGAAGAUGAUGACCGUCUUGCUAAUAUGCUUGAUCGAUCUCUAUAUAUAUGCAUGACUCGCUUAUUUUCGCAUUUGUGCAAAUUCAGGUAACAAAAACAAUCUCUACUUCUCUAGCUAGUUUCGUUGAGAUAUUGAUCGACCACUCAAAUCUCAAUUUGAUUGUGUACGUCUUUGUUUGACGGUGAUUCCACAGAUAUGGAUUUCUACGCAAUGAAGAGGAGGAAAUUGCAAGGGCUGUGCAAGAAGCAUGGAAUACGUGCCAACAUGAAGAAUAUUGAAAUGGCCGAAAGGCUAAACUUGCUCUUCAAGGUAACCCCUCCAGCUUUCUAGAUAGAUUUUUUGCUACUCUUUUUGUUUUUGUUUCGUACUCGAGUAUUUUGCCAUGGUGUUAUGUAUUAGGAUCCGAUGUUUUAUGUUCUGUGAUGAUAAAUUUGGGUAGUAGGGCGAUUCAGACUUUGUGGUGUUGAUCUGAUGUUUAUAAUGUUGAUUAGGUUAUUGUGUUUCUGUAUGAAUAUUUACAAAUUUUGGUUGAUUUUUCAGAACAAACAGGAGGAUGAAAAAUCCGUAAUACAAGUUGAUGUUGAUCAGGUGGAGUCUUACAGAAGCUCAGCAGAUGAAGUUGAAAGCGCCACUACAGUCUCGUGGAUAUGUAAUGGUGAUAGUACAAAAGAAGUCGCGGUGUGCAAACAAAUAUCCCCAGAGCUGAAAAAAUGCGCUACUGCAGCUUCGAGUGGCUCCAUAUCUGGGGAUGACAAAACUGCAGAAAGGAUAACAUACACAUGGAAGAUGGGUGAAGAUUCGAGUUCUAAGGAUAUCCGAGGGGAAAGCCUUUUGUUUUCCAUCAGCUCUGAUGGCCAUAGACACAGUAAUGAUGCAGCAGACAUAACUGGUCCUGGAGGCAUGGAAGUUGGUAAGGAGAAUACUGUGGUUGACACUGAUGGUUUUGGUAACGAAUUAUGCAUAAGUAUUUCUUUCCUUUUAUUUGCACACAAAAGAGUUGUUAAAUUUAGAGAUUAAUCAUUGAAAUAUCUUUUUGUUGUUCUUUGCAGGGAUGAUGGAAAGUGUAUCUUGUGAGAAGGUUGACAAAGGUCUAGAUACUGGCAUAUACGAUUCUGAGGAAGGAAACCACUUACUACGUUCCAAAGACACUGAGGAAAUACUUAAGAUCCAUAAUAUUGGUUCUUUGGCCACCUGUUCUGCUGAUUCCAGUGAACCCUCUAUGCUAAAACGUGAAAUGGGUGUUGAUUUUCCAGUUACUGCUUCUGAUUUUGGUAAAUUUUCCUUGCACGUAGGCGAAGAGCCACCUUUUUUUUUAAUAAUAACAAUAAUGGUGAACUUUAAUUAGAGCUCAGCUUCUCCUUUAUUAGCAAUUCUUGCUUAUUUUGAAAAACAGAAACCAAAGCCUUGGAACUAGAGGCUGCCUCACCUAUAUUGAAUAAUUUUGGGUUCAAAGAUGACCAAACUUCUGGACUCAAGAAACCAGGUCUUGAGAUGUCAGAAGGUACUUCAAAGAGUGAAUAUGUGAAGAAUGUAGAAGAAUUUGUUGAGAACACACACGUUGUUGUUGAGGAACUUUCUCAUCCGGAGCAUAAUGUGAUGGGGGAAGUUUUGGAGCUAAAAUCCACUCCGGAAACAAGUAAUCAUUACCAUAUUGGUCCUUCUCUUAUUGAUACUAAUGUAUGUAUUCCUCGUUUUUGGAAUGACUCAGAAGUCAAACCGUGCACUGAUAACACUUGUGGCAAACCGGAAACGUGUUCAUCAGGUGGUGCCUUUGCCUCGGUGUUAAAUGUUUUUCCACCUCUUGGUGAGUAUCUUUAAUAUUUCAUUUUAGUGACCAUCUUUUACUUGGUGAAAUUUCUGCAUAUAGGUGAAGUUUAGUAACUAUAUUGUCUCAACUGCAGGAAAUCUUUGUGGAUUAAAAGAGUUUAGUAAAGCUGACAGUGAAAAUGUAAAAGAAAAGGUUUGGACUGAUGCUUGUUUAGAAAGUCAACCAGCAGAAAACUUGAGAGUUUCAGAAGACCUAAAAGCUCAUUCAAUGAUUGGUAAUGUAAUGUUGAUAAAGCAGGAAGCAGAUGGAAAUUUUCUGCACUCAUUUGGUUAUGUAGCUCCCAAUACAGUGUCUCCAGAAAGAGUGGUUGGGUCUCCUAAAAUUUAUAUGGCUGCUCAAUUUGCUGGUAUUGAUGUUUCAAAUCUGAGAUUAAAUGAAGCUUCAGGUUCCAAGGAUUCUACUUCAGAUGAACAGAGUAAAUGCAAUAAUGGUAUUGAUGUGCUUGUUUAUGGCAGUAGGGAGAAUAAUGUUAUAGUAGACAAAGUUAGUACUGGAAGUAGUAGUGAAGCAAUAAUUGGUAUCAAGAAUGUUAGUAAUGGGGUUAAGUCAGUAGAAAAAACCCCGCAAGGAUUGGAUGAUGAGAGCCUAUUGGAAUCAGAAGAAAGGCACUGUGCAUGUGUGAAAUCAUUUUCUGAUAUAUCUCGUAGCUGGACAGAAACUUAUUCUACUCCCUCAUUGCAAAAUGUUUCACUGUCUUGUGAGUAUCUUAGCUCUGUGCUUUUUCUCUUCUAAUUGCAGUUUAUCUUUCCAAUGAAUGAUCUAAACAAACUCUUUUUCCUGUGUGAAAAUGGUCAAUUCCCAGAAAACAAUGUUUUAUAACGUUUUUUGUCUACACGCAACACUAUAUAUGUCUGAUCUGUAUUGAAAAAUGUAUGUCUUUUCUUGUUCAUAUAUAGGUGGUGUUCUUGAAAAGAUACAUCUUUCUGUGCAAGAAGGUAAUGACUCUAUAUACUUGAAGCCAGGAAGAGUCUCAGGCUUGAAGUUCAAAGGUCUAAAUGCAGGCAUAGAUGGUUCAAGGCAUGGUAAGUGCUAAAUGCUCAAUCCAUUUAUUUAUGUUUUUUCUUUUCUUGAAUCUUCAUUUCCUAAGCCUCCUUGGCAAUGCAGUGAUGGAUACUAGUCAUAUUACCUAUAUUGAAUACAAUCUGUGAUACUCAUUUGAAAAUAGUAAUCCAUUAAAUGGAUCUCAACUUUUUCUCCUUGAAUUGAUUCUUGUCUGUUUGAGAUGAACAGAAAUUAAGGCCUCGGAGAAUAUAGCCUCACCUUUGGUUAACAAUCUUGGGAUGAAUUGGCUUUUUGGAGAUGAUGAAGUUAAAAAAUUAGAUCCAGAGUUGUCAAACGCCAUUUCAAUUAGUGAUGUCAACAAUGGGAAUGGAGGUGAAGGUAUUCGACAAGUUGGUGCUGGGGAACUCAGUGGGCAUAAGCAUCAAGUGAUAGAAGAAGUUUUUAAGGUGAAAUCCACUCAGGAAUUGGGUUUUCAUUACCGCCUAUGCUCUCCUGUUACUGAGUUUUCUAGUCAUGGUAAGUCUAGCUAUUAGAAACAGAAGUUCAAUCAAACGCUCAUCUGUAUAUUAAUCUUGGUUAUUCAAACCGUGAUUCUCCAGUUACUUCUUCUAGUCAUGGUAAUGCUCCUUACAUGAAGGCGAAUAACACAUCUGAACUCUAAUGGUAAUCCCUACUUAGAGCUCCGCUUUUACCUUUACUAAUUCUUGCUUAUUUGGAAAACAGAAAACAAAGUCGAGGGAUGGAAGGCUACCUCACCCUUAUCAAAUAGUUUUGGGCUGCAAGGACUUUUCAAACAUGACCAUGCUUCUGGACUCCUUGGGAUAUCAAAGUGCAAUUCAAACACUGAGUAUAUUGAGGAUGUCAAGAAUUUUGAAGCGAGUGUUGAUACUUCAGUAGUUGGAGAGGAACUCCAUCAUGAGGAGCAUAAAAUGAUUGGGGAAGAAGUUGUGGAGCAAAAAUCCACUGCUUCUGCUCUUAUGAAUGCUAAUGUACUUCAUAAUCCAAGUUUUUGGGAUGACUCAACAGAAGCAGAACCAUGCCUUGAUAAUGCUUGUUCCAAACGUCAAAAAUGUAAAGGUGCUACAAGAUGAGUUUAGGGUACAUGUUACUUUGUAUGAUCAACAUGGGUGUUAUUUCGUGGUAGUUGUUCAUACAGUUUCAGAUAUAUUUAUGAAUCUUCUUUAUUAUUUUCUUUACCUUUUAGUUUGUGUCAAUGUCUUGUACGCAUGUUUGCAUGGUAAUCAUGUUGAUCUGGAAUUGAAAUGUUUUACCUGCAUCAGUCUAAAUAUAUAGAGUUUUUUUCACCAACAGUUCCUCAACUCUGGUGUACCUACCAAUGUGAUACCUCAACUCUUAAUCGUACCAAUGUGAUACCCAGACUCUAGUAUUGCUAUCAUUGAAGUACUUCCGUCAGUUUUUUUCAACUUCUCCGUCAUCUUGGUGACGUGGCAAGUACGUGAGGCCCACAAAGAGGGUUAAAAGACAAAAUUAACCCCAUCUGAGAGGAGCAAUGUUUUUCCCGCCCUUUACCUUGAGAAAGACACCCAACAAUUCCAAUUUUGGCGCCAAUUUUCCCUCCCUACUCCUUAAUUUGUGUCUCUUAUCUAAACUAAAGAACUACCGCCAACCAGUCGACCACAAUCUGAUAAAACCUAGAUCAAUCUCAUUUUCUAUUUUUACCCUAGCACUUGUUAAACUAACAGAAUAAAUAUAGAAAUUUAUAUGGAACAUCUCAUUUCCACAAUCUCAUAAGAAUAUAGAAACACAUAACUUAACGAAAUUCAAAUACAUGUUUAAGUACCAUUAGUUCUUACAAGCAAAAAUCAUGGCAGAUCAACAUAAAUACUGUUCCAUGAUGCAUAAUAUGUUAUGCAGCACUUAAUACACAACCUUAACCAAAAACCAAAAUAACAGGUGAAAUCGUUAUAAGUGCUGCAAUCAAAAUAAGUCAAGCUACAAUUCAAAGUCCUGCCCACUCUGAAGAACCUUGGCUUGGUUGCAGAGGAUGGGAUGCUUCAUUCUGUGAACCUCUUGCAGCAACAUUUUGACCACUUUGAGUGGCAGCUUGCUGUCUUGUUUGUGAAGAUGAUGCAACAGCACUAAAACCAGCAUUUCGUUCCAUAGAUUCUUUGACCUUCUUCCAUGUCUUUCUUGACCUUAUGAUUUGGUUCCUCAAACUAGCAGCCCCCUGUGGAAGAGGUGGUCUUCUGGCCUACAAAGAAAUCAGCAAUAGUAUAAUAAGAGUGGUUAAUUCGAUCCUAUCAUCACUUAAUUCUCACAUUAAUUUUUUAACAAAUAAUAAAGAAAUAUUUUCUCAGAAUUUUCUCAGAAUCAGUGGUAUAGAGUUUUCAGAGUUUUUCAUAAACCACAUACCUUAGGGUUUCUUUGCUUUUUGUUAGCAGUACUUGUUCCUGUUGAGGUUCCUUCUCCCUGUUUAAUAUUUUGACAUGAGUUAGUGAUCGAAAUAAUGUUGUGAAAUGAGAUGUGACUUAAACUUUAAGUCUGAAGUACUUACAGUUGCAGUUGCCUUUGCUGCCUUGGUAAUUGGACAGCCUAAUUUGUUAUGUCCUUGCUGGCCACAUAUUCCACAUGACAUCUUGAUUCCAGUUCUUGGAAGUUUCCCAUCUUUAGGAGCAGGUGGUGCUUUCUUNNNNNNNNNNNNNNNNNNNNNNNNNNNNNNNNNNNNNNNNNNNNNNNNNNNNNNNNNNNNNNNNNNNNNNNNNNNNNNNNNNNNNNNNNNNNNNNNNNNNNNNNNNNNNNNNNNNNNNNNNNNNNNNNNNNNNNNNNNNNNNNNNNNNNNNNNNNNNNNNNNNNNNNNNNNNNNNNNNNNNNNNNNNNNNNNNNNNNNNNNNNNNNNNNNNNNNNNNNNNNNNNNNNNNNNNNNNNNNNNNNNNNNNNNNNNNNNNNNNNNNNNNNNNNNNNNNNNNNNNNNNNNNNNNNNNNNNNNNNNNNNNNNNNNNNNNNNNNNNNNNNNNNNNNNNNNNNNNNNNNNNNNNNNNNNNNNNNNNNNNNNNNNNNNNNNNNNNNNNNNNNNNNNNNNNNNNNNNNNNNNNNNNNNNNNNNNNNNNNNNNNNNNNNNNNNNNNNNNNNNNNNNNNNNNNNNNNNNNNNNNNNNNNNNNNNNNNNNNNNNNNNNNNNNNNNNNNNNNNNNNNNNNNNNNNNNNNNNNNNNNNNNNNNNNNNNNNNNNNNNNNNNNNNNNNNNNNNNNNNNNNNNNNNNNNNNNNNNNNNNNNNNNNNNNNNNNNNNNNNNNNNNNNNNNNNNNNNNNNNNNNNNNNNNNNNNNNNNNNNNNNNNNNNNNNNNNNNNNNNNNNNNNNNNNNNNNNNNNNNNNNNNNNNNNNNNNNNNNNNNNNNNNNNNNNNNNNNNNNNNNNNNNNNNNNNNNNNNNNNNNNNNNNNNNNNNNNNNNNNNNNNNNNNNNNNNNNNNNNNNNNNNNNNNNNNNNNNNNNNNNNNNNNNNNNNNNNNNNNNNNNNNNNNNNNNNNNNNNNNNNNNNNNNNNNNNNNNNNNNNNNNNNNNNNNNNNNNNNNNNNNNNNNNNNNNNNNNNNNNNNNNNNNNNNNNNNNNNNNNNNNNNNNNNNNNNNNNNNNNNNNNNNNNNNNNNNNNNNNNNNNNNNNNNNNNNNNNNNNNNNNNNNNNNNNNNNNNNNNNNNNNNNNNNNNNNNNNNNNNNNNNNNNNNNNNNNNNNNNNNNNNNNNNNNNNNNNNNNNNNNNNNNNNNNNNNNNNNNNNNNNNNNNNNNNNNNNNNNNNNNNNNNNNNNNNNNNNNNNNNNNNNNNNNNNNNNNNNNNNNNNNNNNNNNNNNNNNNNNNNNNNNNNNNNNNNNNNNNNNNNNNNNNNNNNNNNNNNNNNNNNNNNNNNNNNNNNNNNNNNNNNNNNNNNNNNNNNNNNNNNNNNNNNNNNNNNNNNNNNNNNNNNNNNNNNNNNNNNNNNNNNNNNNNNNNNNNNNNNNNNNNNNNNNNNNNNNNNNNNNNNNNNNNNNNNNNNNNNNNNNNNNNNNNNNNNNNNNNNNNNNNNNNNNNNNNNNNNNNNNNNNNNNNNNNNNNNNNNNNNNNNNNNNNNNNNNNNNNNNNNNNNNNNNNNNNNNNNNNNNNNNNNNNNNNNNNNNNNNNNNNNNNNNNNNNNNNNNNNNNNNNNNNNNNNNNNNNNNNNNNNNNNNNNNNNNNNNNNNNNNNNNNNNNNNNNNNNNNNNNNNNNNNNNNNNNNNNNNNNNNNNNNNNNNNNNNNNNNNNNNNNNNNNNNNNNNNNNNNNNNNNNNNNNNNNNNNNNNNNNNNNNNNNNNNNNNNNNNNNNNNNNNNNNNNNNNNNNNNNNNNNNNNNNNNNNNNNNNNNNNNNNNNNNNNNNNNNNNNNNNNNNNNNNNNNNNNNNNNNNNNNNNNNNNNNNNNNNNNNNNNNNNNNNNNNNNNNNNNNNNNNNNNNNNNNNNNNNNNNNNNNNNNNNNNNNNNNNNNNNNNNNNNNNNNNNNNNNNNNNNNNNNNNNNNNNNNNNNNNNNNNNNNNNNNNNNNNNNNNNNNNNNNNNNNNNNNNNNNNNNNNNNNNNNNNNNNNNNNNNNNNNNNNNNNNNNNNNNNNNNNNNNNNNNNNNNNNNNNNNNNNNNNNNNNNNNNNNNNNNNNNNNNNNNNNNNNNNNNNNNNNNNNNNNNNNNNNNNNNNNNNNNNNNNNNNNNNNNNNNNNNNNNNNNNNNNNNNNNNNNNNNNNNNNNNNNNNNNNNNNNNNNNNNNNNNNNNNNNNNNNNNNNNNNNNNNNNNNNNNNNNNNNNNNNNNNNNNNNNNNNNNNNNNNNNNNNNNNNNNNNNNNNNNNNNNNNNNNNNNNNNNNNNNNNNNNNNNNNNNNNNNNNNNNNNNNNNNNNNNNNNNNNNNNNNNNNNNNNNNNNNNNNNNNNNNNNNNNNNNNNNNNNNNNNNNNNNNNNNNNNNNNNNNNNNNNNNNNNNNNNNNNNNNNNNNNNNNNNNNNNNNNNNNNNNNNNNNNNNNNNNNNNNNNNNNNNNNNNNNNNNNNNNNNNNNNNNNNNNNNNNNNNNNNNNNNNNNNNNNNNNNNNNNNNNNNNNNNNNNNNNNNNNNNNNNNNNNNNNNNNNNNNNNNNNNNNNNNNNNNNNNNNNNNNNNNNNNNNNNNNNNNNNNNNNNNNNNNNNNNNNNNNNNNNNNNNNNNNNNNNNNNNNNNNNNNNNNNNNNNNNNNNNNNNNNNNNNNNNNNNNNNNNNNNNNNNNNNNNNNNNNNNNNNNNNNNNNNNNNNNNNNNNNNNNNNNNNNNNNNNNNNNNNNNNNNNNNNNNNNNNNNNNNNNNNNNNNNNNNNNNNNNNNNNNNNNNNNNNNNNNNNNNNNNNNNNNNNNNNNNNNNNNNNNNNNNNNNNNNNNNNNNNNNNNNNNNNNNNNNNNNNNNNNNNNNNNNNNNNNNNNNNNNNNNNNNNNNNNNNNNNNNNNNNNNNNNNNNNNNNNNNNNNNNNNNNNNNNNNNNNNNNNNNNNNNNNNNNNNNNNNNNNNNNNNNNNNNNNNNNNNNNNNNNNNNNNNNNNNNNNNNNNNNNNNNNNNNNNNNNNNNNNNNNNNNNNNNNNNNNNNNNNNNNNNNNNNNNNNNNNNNNNNNNNNNNNNNNNNNNNNNNNNNNNNNNNNNNNNNNNNNNNNNNNNNNNNNNNNNNNNNNNNNNNNNNNNNNNNNNNNNNNNNNNNNNNNNNNNNNNNNNNNNNNNNNNNNNNNNNNNNNNNNNNNNNNNNNNNNNNNNNNNNNNNNNNNNNNNNNNNNNNNNNNNNNNNNNNNNNNNNNNNNNNNNNNNNNNNNNNNNNNNNNNNNNNNNNNNNNNNNNNNNNNNNNNNNNNNNNNNNNNNNNNNNNNNNNNNNNNNNNNNNNNNNNNNNNNNNNNNNNNNNNNNNNNNNNNNNNNNNNNNNNNNNNNNNNNNNNNNNNNNNNNNNNNNNNNNNNNNNNNNNNNNNNNNNNNNNNNNNNNNNNNNNNNNNNNNNNNNNNNNNNNNNNNNNNNNNNNNNNNNNNNNNNNNNNNNNNNNNNNNNNNNNNNNNNNNNNNNNNNNNNNNNNNNNNNNNNNNNNNNNNNNNNNNNNNNNNNNNNNNNNNNNNNNNNNNNNNNNNNNNNNNNNNNNNNNNNNNNNNNNNNNNNNNNNNNNNNNNNNNNNNNNNNNNNNNNNNNNNNNNNNNNNNNNNNNNNNNNNNNNNNNNNNNNNNNNNNNNNNNNNNNNNNNNNNNNNNNNNNNNNNNNNNNNNNNNNNNNNNNNNNNNNNNNNNNNNNNNNNNNNNNNNNNNNNNNNNNNNNNNNNNNNNNNNNNNNNNNNNNNNNNNNNNNNNNNNNNNNNNNNNNNNNNNNNNNNNNNNNNNNNNNNNNNNNNNNNNNNNNNNNNNNNNNNNNNNNNNNNNNNNNNNNNNNNNNNNNNNNNNNNNNNNNNNNNNNNNNNNNNNNNNNNNNNNNNNNNNNNNNNNNNNNNNNNNNNNNNNNNNNNNNNNNNNNNNNNNNNNNNNNNNNNNNNNNNNNNNNNNNNNNNNNNNNNNNNNNNNNNNNNNNNNNNNNNNNNNNNNNNNNNNNNNNNNNNNNNNNNNNNNNNNNNNNNNNNNNNNNNNNNNNNNNNNNNNNNNNNNNNNNNNNNNNNNNNNNNNNNNNNNNNNNNNNNNNNNNNNNNNNNNNNNNNNNNNNNNNNNNNNNNNNNNNNNNNNNNNNNNNNNNNNNNNNNNNNNNNNNNNNNNNNNNNNNNNNNNNNNNNNNNNNNNNNNNNNNNNNNNNNNNNNNNNNNNNNNNNNNNNNNNNNNNNNNNNNNNNNNNNNNNNNNNNNNNNNNNNNNNNNNNNNNNNNNNNNNNNNNNNNNNNNNNNNNNNNNNNNNNNNNNNNNNNNNNNNNNNNNNNNNNNNNNNNNNNNNNNNNNNNNNNNNNNNNNNNNNNNNNNNNNNNNNNNNNNNNNNNNNNNNNNNNNNNNNNNNNNNNNNNNNNNNNNNNNNNNNNNNNNNNNNNNNNNNNNNNNNNNNNNNNNNNNNNNNNNNNNNNNNNNNNNNNNNNNNNNNNNNNNNNNNNNNNNNNNNNNNNNNNNNNNNNNNNNNNNNNNNNNNNNNNNNNNNNNNNNNNNNNNNNNNNNNNNNNNNNNNNNNNNNNNNNNNNNNNNNNNNNNNNNNNNNNNNNNNNNNNNNNNNNNNNNNNNNNNNNNNNNNNNNNNNNNNNNNNNNNNNNNNNNNNNNNNNNNNNNNNNNNNNNNNNNNNNNNNNNNNNNNNNNNNNNNNNNNNNNNNNNNNNNNNNNNNNNNNNNNNNNNNNNNNNNNNNNNNNNNNNNNNNNNNNNNNNNNNNNNNNNNNNNNNNNNNNNNNNNNNNNNNNNNNNNNNNNNNNNNNNNNNNNNNNNNNNNNNNNNNNNNNNNNNNNNNNNNNNNNNNNNNNNNNNNNNNNNNNNNNNNNNNNNNNNNNNNNNNNNNNNNNNNNNNNNNNNNNNNNNNNNNNNNNNNNNNNNNNNNNNNNNNNNNNNNNNNNNNNNNNNNNNNNNNNNNNNNNNNNNNNNNNNNNNNNNNNNNNNNNNNNNNNNNNNNNNNNNNNNNNNNNNNNNNNNNNNNNNNNNNNNNNNNNNNNNNNNNNNNNNNNNNNNNNNNNNNNNNNNNNNNNNNNNNNNNNNNNNNNNNNNNNNNNNNNNNNNNNNNNNNNNNNNNNNNNNNNNNNNNNNNNNNNNNNNNNNNNNNNNNNNNNNNNNNNNNNNNNNNNNNNNNNNNNNNNNNNNNNNNNNNNNNNNNNNNNNNNNNNNNNNNNNNNNNNNNNNNNNNNNNNNNNNNNNNNNNNNNNNNNNNNNNNNNNNNNNNNNNNNNNNNNNNNNNNNNNNNNNNNNNNNNNNNNNNNNNNNNNNNNNNNNNNNNNNNNNNNNNNNNNNNNNNNNNNNNNNNNNNNNNNNNNNNNNNNNNNNNNNNNNNNNNNNNNNNNNNNNNNNNNNNNNNNNNNNNNNNNNNNNNNNNNNNNNNNNNNNNNNNNNNNNNNNNNNNNNNNNNNNNNNNNNNNNNNNNNNNNNNNNNNNNNNNNNNNNNNNNNNNNNNNNNNNNNNNNNNNNNNNNNNNNNNNNNNNNNNNNNNNNNNNNNNNNNNNNNNNNNNNNNNNNNNNNNNNNNNNNNNNNNNNNNNNNNNNNNNNNNNNNNNNNNNNNNNNNNNNNNNNNNNNNNNNNNNNNNNNNNNNNNNNNNNNNNNNNNNNNNNNNNNNNNNNNNNNNNNNNNNNNNNNNNNNNNNNNNNNNNNNNNNNNNNNNNNNNNNNNNNNNNNNNNNNNNNNNNNNNNNNNNNNNNNNNNNNNNNNNNNNNNNNNNNNNNNNNNNNNNNNNNNNNNNNNNNNNNNNNNNNNNNNNNNNNNNNNNNNNNNNNNNNNNNNNNNNNNNNNNNNNNNNNNNNNNNNNNNNNNNNNNNNNNNNNNNNNNNNNNNNNNNNNNNNNNNNNNNNNNNNNNNNNNNNNNNNNNNNNNNNNNNNNNNNNNNNNNNNNNNNNNNNNNNNNNNNNNNNNNNNNNNNNNNNNNNNNNNNNNNNNNNNNNNNNNNNNNNNNNNNNNNNNNNNNNNNNNNNNNNNNNNNNNNNNNNNNNNNNNNNNNNNNNNNNNNNNNNNNNNNNNNNNNNNNNNNNNNNNNNNNNNNNNNNNNNNNNNNNNNNNNNNNNNNNNNNNNNNNNNNNNNNNNNNNNNNNNNNNNNNNNNNNNNNNNNNNNNNNNNNNNNNNNNNNNNNNNNNNNNNNNNNNNNNNNNNNNNNNNNNNNNNNNNNNNNNNNNNNNNNNNNNNNNNNNNNNNNNNNNNNNNNNNNNNNNNNNNNNNNNNNNNNNNNNNNNNNNNNNNNNNNNNNNNNNNNNNNNNNNNNNNNNNNNNNNNNNNNNNNNNNNNNNNNNNNNNNNNNNNNNNNNNNNNNNNNNNNNNNNNNNNNNNNNNNNNNNNNNNNNNNNNNNNNNNNNNNNNNNNNNNNNNNNNNNNNNNNNNNNNNNNNNNNNNNNNNNNNNNNNNNNNNNNNNNNNNNNNNNNNNNNNNNNNNNNNNNNNNNNNNNNNNNNNNNNNNNNNNNNNNNNNNNNNNNNNNNNNNNNNNNNNNNNNNNNNNNNNNNNNNNNNNNNNNNNNNNNNNNNNNNNNNNNNNNNNNNNNNNNNNNNNNNNNNNNNNNNNNNNNNNNNNNNNNNNNNNNNNNNNNNNNNNNNNNNNNNNNNNNNNNNNNNNNNNNNNNNNNNNNNNNNNNNNNNNNNNNNNNNNNNNNNNNNNNNNNNNNNNNNNNNNNNNNNNNNNNNNNNNNNNNNNNNNNNNNNNNNNNNNNNNNNNNNNNNNNNNNNNNNNNNNNNNNNNNNNNNNNNNNNNNNNNNNNNNNNNNNNNNNNNNNNNNNNNNNNNNNNNNNNNNNNNNNNNNNNNNNNNNNNNNNNNNNNNNNNNNNNNNNNNNNNNNNNNNNNNNNNNNNNNNNNNNNNNNNNNNNNNNNNNNNNNNNNNNNNNNNNNNNNNNNNNNNNNNNNNNNNNNNNNNNNNNNNNNNNNNNNNNNNNNNNNNNNNNNNNNNNNNNNNNNNNNNNNNNNNNNNNNNNNNNNNNNNNNNNNNNNNNNNNNNNNNNNNNNNNNNNNNNNNNNNNNNNNNNNNNNNNNNNNNNNNNNNNNNNNNNNNNNNNNNNNNNNNNNNNNNNNNNNNNNNNNNNNNNNNNNNNNNNNNNNNNNNNNNNNNNNNNNNNNNNNNNNNNNNNNNNNNNNNNNNNNNNNNNNNNNNNNNNNNNNNNNNNNNNNNNNNNNNNNNNNNNNNNNNNNNNNNNNNNNNNNNNNNNNNNNNNNNNNNNNNNNNNNNNNNNNNNNNNNNNNNNNNNNNNNNNNNNNNNNNNNNNNNNNNNNNNNNNNNNNNNNNNNNNNNNNNNNNNNNNNNNNNNNNNNNNNNNNNNNNNNNNNNNNNNNNNNNNNNNNNNNNNNNNNNNNNNNNNNNNNNNNNNNNNNNNNNNNNNNNNNNNNNNNNNNNNNNNNNNNNNNNNNNNNNNNNNNNNNNNNNNNNNNNNNNNNNNNNNNNNNNNNNNNNNNNNNNNNNNNNNNNNNNNNNNNNNNNNNNNNNNNNNNNNNNNNNNNNNNNNNNNNNNNNNNNNNNNNNNNNNNNNNNNNNNNNNNNNNNNNNNNNNNNNNNNNNNNNNNNNNNNNNNNNNNNNNNNNNNNNNNNNNNNNNNNNNNNNNNNNNNNNNNCAAGGUUGAUCAUCUCAAUGCAAUUGUCACCAGUAAUCUUCUUCUCCCAUGUUUACUAAAAAAUUAUAAAGUAUAUGCACCAAUAUACAAAUUACAUACAUCUCUUAGGAACUACUGAAAUAACCAAACAAUAGCAUCAAAACUAUAUAUCGCUAUAUCUAAAUGCUUAGGAACUGUGGCUAACAGACUAGAAUGCAGAACCAUAAUCAAUGGAAGUUCAAACAAAACAAAAGAAUUUUCACAAUAUGCCAUGUGUCCUUUGUAUGCCUUGAUAAUUCUUCCACCACCAAAACUUUCCAACGAUAGCAACAUCAUCUUCCAUUAGUGAAAUACAUAUAUGUAUAUAUUUAUGCUUCUAAAGAGCAAGUACUCUAAAGACUUGGUAUCAAUUACGUUUGUUCAGAGUGGCUUUUUCCUUUUGACUUUCAACUUCAAUAUUUACACAACCUAACCAAUUCGGCUUCAAGUUAUACAUCUAGUGAGCGUAUGGAUCAAUUAUAUUCCCAAAACAAUUAAUAUAAACCAAUUCACAUGAUUCAUUAAUUCAUUACAUAGCACACAGAACACAAUUCAAAAUUUCAUACCAUGAAAACACCAAUUCAAUGUUUCAGAGAAUACUACUGACCUAUUUGCAGAGAAAUCGCCUUUUCAAGAUGGCCCCUGCAAUCAACCUUUUGGCCUCCCUACAAUAGAAUUAUAAAUAUAUCAAUUCAUGUAUAAGUUAAUAGGGAUUAUAUACAACCAAAGAGAGAUAGAAACAGAGAGAUAACCUUGAUAAAACGAGAUUGAGAAGAACGGCAUAAAGAGGAACACCUUUGCAGAAUUUAUAUAAGAGACAAACCCUAGAAUUGAAAGAAGGCAUCGCGCCCAAAUUGAGGAGAAAUAGGCAAAAUGGCGGGCAGAUUUGACAGAAAAACAUAGCAAACUCGCGUAGAUUUGAGAGGAAAACGGAGCAAGAGCGCGAAUCAGAUUUGGAUUUGGCGCUAGGUAUUUUAGGAUUUCACAAUUGUAAGCGAGUCAUCCGCGUCUUCCCCGAGCGUUUCGGAAACCCAGAUCUGAAAAAGCAGGUCGGGACCUGCUUAUGAAUAUUGAGGUUUUGCGCCGUGUUUUUUAUAAAAACACGGGUUUGGAAAAUUUACCAAACAGGUUGAAAGCCCAAAACGUUAAAAAUAAGCUAAAAUUUUCGCGAAACCGCAAUCCCAAACGGAGCCUAUGUCCGGUCCGAAGUCUGUCGAGAAUCGAGAUACUUGAGCAUUGACACAUUUACCCUUCCAAACUUCCUGGAUACAGAAGCUCCAAUUUCACACGCCUCGUUGCGUAACCCACACUCGCUCUAUCGCAUCAGGAAAUUACUAUUCUACCACCCCAAUCCCCUAUUCCCUUAUUGCUCAUCCGGCGACUACAACUCCAACUCCUACUCUCGCAAAACGCGCAGAUAUACAAAGCGGGAGCGCCCGUUCAGUUUUGAAAUUUAAACAGAAACAAAACCGAAAAAUUCAAAUCGAAAUUUCGGAAAACACACAAAACACAAUCAAUUUCCACAUCGAGAAGAAGAAGAAUCGCCCAAUUUCGCAAUCUGGGCACAUGUUUAGGUAACGAAACCAGAAAAUUCCCCAACUUUCGUUGAGAAAUUAAACUCUGAUUUGAUUCGUUUUCUUUGUUAAAUUUACAGAAAUGGAUUUCUUCGCGAUGAAGAGGAAGCAACUGCAAGCGCUGUGCAAAGAGCAUGGGAUUCGUGCCAAUUUGAAGAACACCGAAAUGGCCGAAAGGCUUACCUUGCUUUUCAAUGUAAUCCCUCCAUCUUUCUUUCCGGUUUUUCGUUUCUUUUUACUUUCUUGGGGUUAUAUUUUCAAAUCUUUGGGGUGAUUAGGCCGAAUCGGAAUAGGUUAGGUUAUUGGGUUUGAAAAAUCGACUGAAUUUUACUAAUUUUCGUUGCGUGUAUUUCGGUUUGAUUUAUCAGAACCAAGAUUUGGGGGUGUUUGUUUUAAUUUUUAUUUAGGAUUUGGGUUUUUGUAAUAAACAGGAAGAUGAGAAAUCCAUGACUGAUGUUGAACUGGUGGAGAAGCAGUUGGAUGCAACUGAAAUGGUGACUGGUUUUGUCGAAAGUCCCAAGGUUAAGAAAGUGAAGUUCAGUCCUAACAAUGAGACCUUUUACUUUGUGGCUACUGACAAGGACUCGGACUCCGAUUGUGAUUACAGUCCGAAGAAGAAGUCUAGGGGGGAGAAGGCUUUAGGAAAGAAGGAAGUUAUUGCAGGAGAAGUCGAAGUAGUGGAGAUCAAGGACAUUCCUGUUCGUGUUUUGAGAUCUCGAAAGCAAAAGGUGGUUUCAGGAGCUGUUGAGUCGAUUGUUUCGCCUCGUCAAGUGAUGAGUGGUGUUGAAAAUGUUGAUGGGAAAGGUAUCAAACCUGUUAAAUUUCAGAAGGAAAGUAAUGCAAUUGUGCUUCGCAAGGGAAAGGUGAUUGUAAGAGAUGAUGCCAGAAAGAGAACAAGGAACGAGAAUUCAGAAGGAGCUUCCCAAGUGGUGCCGAGUGUAGAAGCAGCGGUAGAAAAUGAAGUUAUCUUACCUAAACCUCCUUUAAGGAGGUCCAAACGAAAAACCACAUUGUUUUCACCUGUGGCUGGUGCUGAGAAGGAGUUGGGAAUUUCUGAAGCUGUUGAAACUGUGAAACUAGGAAGAGAGCCGGUUACUAGAAAGGAUGCUGCUAAACCUGGAAGGAGGUCUAACAGGAUUGCUUGUAAAAAGCUAUCAGCAGAAACCAGUGAUGACAUGAUUGCAACUGCUGUGGAAAUGGAUGGGCUUAUAAAAGAAAAUCAAGAGCCAUCGCUGUUAGAGGGGAGUUCAUUAGUUGUGUAUGAGUCAUUAGAUAGAUCUACUGUGCUGCAGAUUGGCAAGGAAGUGGAAAGAGAUGUUGCUAGAAAACGACCAAGGAAUAAAGACUUUGGAGGGAAUUCCAAAGUUGAGCCAAGUCUGGAAAAUGAAGUACUUCCACCCAAGAGUCAUUCAAGGAGAUCUAACAGCAGGACUGCAUCAUUGACAGAAUUAAGUAUGCCACUUGAAGAAUCAAAGAUAGAUGUUGGAUCGGAAGUACAACCUGUAGGAAAUGGAAAUAAAACUGGUUGUUGUUUUAACAAAGAAGCUGUAGAAAAGUCAAGAAAGAAGAGGAAGGGAUCAAGGAAGAAGAUAGACUCAACCACAAAGGAUCAUCCUGAUAGUUUUGCAAUAUCUACUGUAUAUUCGGACUUUGAGAAAAGGACGGAUAUUUUGGCUCAUCUGAAUGAAAAUCAGCUUGUGGAAUCUGUGAACUUUCAGGGGACCUCUAUGUUCCAUAAGGAACAUAAUGCUAUACAACCCGUUAUUAAUCAUAUGGAAAGUGCUGCUUUAGAAGAUGCCUUCUUCAGCAAGUCCUCAAUCUACAGUAACUCUGCUGUGGGUGUUAUGGAGGAUACUGAUCAAGAAAACACAGUUGAACAAAACCCACUAGCAUCUCCGGAUAAGCUCAGCAAUGUGGUGGUUUCCUCUAAGUUUGCAUGUGUACGUCAUGUUCGAUCAAUGACCUAUGGACCAGUAUGUGAAGGUAAAUGAGCUAUUCAUUGAGUUCAAUCUCAAACGGAUGUAUUAUUCACUUUUGGUGCUUAAUAUGGUCUCAUACUUUGUAGGUCAAACUUCCAACUUUUUGGACUUGAAUGGAGAAUCUGAAACAGAAGAGUUGGUUGUUAAAUCCAUAAGUCGAAUAGGUGGUGUGCUGGAUAAUCAAUUGGCAAAUGGUGUCAAAGGUAAUGUUUCCGAGGAUCAGAAAUCAAUUGGCACAACAGUAAUGGUUCAAGUUAAGAUGGAGUCUAGAAAACCUGCUGAAGCUGCUGCAGAGACAAUUGGAGAAAUGCAUCUGGAUAUAACUGUCCCCAGUGAUACUACUCUAAGUCCAUUAGAUGCUUCAGCGGUAAAGAAAGGUAUUUGAGUAAUAUAUUCUUUUUGUUAUCUUUUUGGAGUAUCAAACCUUCUUUGCCUUAAUAACAUUUGUAUGUUCUCUUGGUUCCAGCUGAUGGUGAUGCCCAAAACUCAUCUACCUCUGGGGUCUCUUGUACCAAUGGUGAAUAUGAACAAGGUCAGUUUCAGGAACUCCCCAUACGGAUACUGAAAGUUUAAAUUACUCCUGAUUUCUAAUUUGCUAAUUCAGCUCAGUUCCAUGAACUCUCCUCACAAGAAUCUUGAUAAGUAAGUUGGUACAAGAUGUAUAUUCUUUUCAAUUCCUAGUAACAGUGUCAAAGAAUUAAUAAUCAAAUUGGUUAAUAUAUUUUAAUGAGUAUUUGUACAAAAAUUUUGGUAGUAAUUAAUUUUGCGAGUCCUGCAACGAAAUCUAACAAAAUUGAUAGAAUAUCUGUAAUGAAUGGUGAUGUACUUGAAAUUGCAUAUAAUAAGGCUUCACAGUUUAUGUUGUCUCUGAAAUUUUCACUGAUUAGAAGAUGGAAUACUUUUAGGGGUUGCUGAACUAGAUGUAGGUGAAAAUUCUGAUGGGCAUGUGGAGAUUAUGCACAGUGAGAAUGCAAUGGAUGAUGGGGAUGGCAAAGAAAUAUUUGAAAACUGUGAUCAACAUGGCGAGCAGUCUAUUUUGGAAGGUAAUGAAAGAUUAAAAGAGGAAAACAUUGUAUCUGCUAUGAUACAAGAGUAUGUAGAUAGUGAGAAAGAUAGGAAUGACCAUUUAGAGGUCAAGAGUUCUAAUAUAUCCAUCCAUAAAGAAAUGUUUUCUGAGACUGCUGAAAAUCAGAGAGCAUGUGAAGUUACAGAACUUGAAUCACAAGAUGAAAUUAAUUUUGGAAGUCCUAAGAACUGCAAACAAAUAUCCUCCGAGCUGGAAAAAUGUGCUUCUGCAGCUUCGAGUGACUCCAUAUCUAGGGAUGACAAAACUGCAAAAAGGAUGGCAUAUGCAUGGAAAUUGGGUGAAAAUUCAAGUUCCAAGGUUAUCCGAGGAGGAGAAAGCCUUUCCUUUUCCAUCUGCUCUGAUGACCAUACACACAAGAAUGAUGCAGCAGACAUAACUGGUCCAGGACGCAUGGAAAUUAGAAAGGAGAAUACUGUGGAUGACGAAAUGGUUGAGGAAAAACCAAUUAGGAGCAAAUCAGAUGGUUGGAAGGAUCCAGAAAGGAAGAAUAUGCAUAUGCUAGUUGGUGACAAUGAUGGCACGGAUAGUUUUGGUAAUGACUUGUGCAUAACUGUUUCUUUACUUUCAUUUGCACACGAAAGAGUUGGUGAAUGUAUAUUUAUCAUCGAAAUGUUUAGAACACAUUCAAGUGUACAUUAAGGGAACAAGAUUGUAAGUCUACAGCACAGAAGUACACGACACCUUUUAUCCAAAAGCUUGUAAGGUCAUUACUGAAAUAUAUUUUUUGUUUUUCUUUGCAGGAAUGCUGGAAGAAGUCUCACGGGAGAAGGUUGACGAAGGUCUAGAUACUGGCAUAUACGGAUCUGAGGAAGAAACCCACACACUACAUUCCAAAGACACUGAGGAAGUACAUGAUCUCCAUAAUAUAGGUACUUCGGCUAACUGUUCUGCUGAUUCCACUGAAUCCUCUAUGCUAAAACCUGAAAUGGGUGUUGAUUUUUCAACUGAUUCUCCAGUUACUGCUUCUGAUCUUGGUAAAUGCUCCUUGCAUGAAGGCAAAUAAGUCUUCUUUUUUUUUAUAUCAUAACAUUAAUGUUGAAUUUUACUUAGAGCUCAGCUUUCCUUUAUUUAUGAUUCUUGCUUAUUUGAAACAGAAAACAAAGUCUUGGAAUUAGAGGCUGCCUCACCCAUAUUGAAUAAUUCUGUGAUGAACGGAGUUUUCAGAGAUGACCAAACUUCUGGACUCAACAAAUCAGGCCCUGAGAUGUCGAAAGGCAAUUCAAAGAGUGAAUAUAUUGAGGAUGUGAAAUGUGAUGACACAUUUGAAGAAAACCCUAUAGCAUCUCCAUGUACACUUAGCAGUAUGAUGGUUUCUUCUAAUAUUGCAUGUGUACAUGAUGUUCGGUCAUUCACCUAUCAACCAGAAUGUGAAGGUAAAUGAGCUAUUCAGUUCGGUGUCAAAUAGAUGUACUAAUCAUUAUUUGGCGCUUAAUAUGUUCAAAUACUAUGUAGGUCAAACUUCCAACUUAGUGGACUUGAAUGAAGGAUCAAAAACAGAAGAUUCAGUGAUUGUUAAAUCCAUAAGUCGAAGAUGUGCUGUGCUGGAUGAUCAAUUGGCAAGCGGCGUCACAGCUGGUGUUUCCGAGGAUCAGAAAUUAAUUGACCAAAUAGUAAUGGUUCAAGUUGAUAUGGAGUCUAAAAAACCUACUGAAGCUGCUGCUGAGGCAGUUGGAGAAAUUCAUCUGGGUACCGUUCCCAGUGAUACUAUUCUAACUCGAUUAGAUUCUUCACCGGUAGACCAAGGUAUGUGAGACUUCUGGUUAUUAAGGAAGCUCUUUGCUCUACAAAUAUAUUUUGUUACUGUAUACACCUGGUCCACAAGAAUGUUCCAAUUCUCAGUUAUGUUUAAAUGAUCAUGUUAACCUAGAACACUUUCUGAACCGUUGUCAUCUUCUCAUUUCCUUUCUCAACUUGGUAUGCAGUUGGGAAUGAGUUUCAAGUUGAUUGUGCUCUUGCUGGAGGAAUAAAUAUGAAUAUUGGAACAAAAUUCUCUCCUACAUGUGUGUCUGAAGUUCCUGAUGAAACAACAUUUUCCUGGGACAAACAGACACUAGGUAAUCGUGAUAGUACAAAAGAAGUUAUGCGAGCAGAUAAUGAAUCCGUUAAGGCAUUAGAUAGAUCCCAAAUGAUACCUAUUGUUACUCAAGAGGUUGUUUAUCAUACUGGAAGAAACUCAGAGUUUGAUGAUAGUGUAAUGCUGGAUUCACAUAAUAUAGAUGGUCAGGUUGCUAAAGUUAAAUUUCCAGAAAUCUCAGGUGUUACUGAAGACAGUGAAGAGAAGUAUGAGAAUGAAUCCGCUUAUGAUGGGGCGACAAAAGAAGUUGUGUCAGCAGAUAAUGAACCUUUUGAGGAAUUAGAUAUUGAUCGAACAUUACCUCCUGUUUUGGAAGAGGUAAUUGAGUGUAUUGAAAAAAGCUCAAAUUUGGACGAGAGUGUCUCUCCUGAUUUACAGAAUGCAGAUGGUCAGGUUGCUGAGGACGAAUUCUUGAAUGAAAACUUUGGCAAUGCCAACAGAGAAAGUGAAGAGAAGAGUGAUGCAUUUGAUAUUGUUCAAAUGUUACAACCUGCUGUUGAGGUUGAAAAAGGCUCAAACUCGGAUGAUAGUGUCCUUCCUGAUUUACCGAACACAGAUGGCCAGGUUGCUGAGAAUAAAUUCUUGAAUGAAAUUUUUGUUAAUGCCCCUGAAGAAAUUGAAGAGAAAUAUGAGCCUAAAUCCUCAAAUAGCGAUAGAAGUCCAAUCACCAUAGCCAAAAGGAUAAUGGAUGAACUUGAGCGUGGCACAAUGCCUGUAGUUUUAAAAUGUGAGGCUUACAGAAACCAUUCUUCUUUUUUUGUUAUCUUUUUGGAGUAUCAAACUAUUGUUGCCUUUACUGUAUCUGUUUAAUAUCAUUUAUAUGUUCUUUUUGUUCCAGCUAAUGGUGAUGCCCAACACUCAUCUUCCUGCGGGGUCUCUUAUAGCAAUGAUGAAUACGAACAAGGUCAGUUCCAUGAACUCUUCUCACAAAGAUACUGUAUUAUAUGAAAGUUACACCUGAUCUCUUUUUGACUAUUCAUUGUUAUACUCUUGAUUACCAACACUGACUGCUAAGCCUUUUCUUUUGGGCCUAUAGAAUCUGGAUAAUUAAGUUGGAAAGAGAUGUAUAUUCUAUUUAAUUCCUAGUCAGAGUGUCAAACAAGUAUAAUCCAAAUUGUCAAUAGAUGUAGAUUGUACAUAAUUACUGGUAUUUCUGGAUAUUCAAGAAAAAACGUUGAUUGCAUCCUGUUAGCAAAUAUUGUCAUCGUUCAAUCUGCUGAAGGGAACAAACUUAAAGUUCAACUAAUACAUCUCUGUGAAGAAGUUGAGGGUUUGUUGAGUGGAAGCAAAUACCAGAAUGUAUUGUUGUGAAUGAUCAGACAGUGGCACCCACUGUGAAAUUCAUAUCUUGAAUUUGCAUGGAUGUUAUGAUAUGAAGGUUGAAAAUGAGAAUUUCUUUGAAACGUCUAAAAAGAGUGGAGUCUGUAGAGAGUGAAGGUGGAGUGAGGACAUCACAAUCUGCUCUCCCACUAGAUUGCUUGAACUCUGGUGAUUCUGACAUAAUAAGGCUUCAUAUAGUUAUUACUGAUUAGUAAUAACAUGAGAUGCUGAUUUAAUUAGCUUCAUACACUCAGUAAGCAUAUUGUCUCAAAUGCAGGAGAUCUAAACUGCAGCGAGGGUGACAAAAACAAUCUGAAAGAAAAGGAGAUUGUUGUUGAGGAUCUAGGUACUUUUUCAUGUUUAAGUUCGGAACUUAAUACACGUGUAGCACUAUGUUCAUAAGCCCUCUCGUUUUUCACUUUUUAUAUGUUCUAAUAACUGUAGUCUCUGUUGUAAAUUGCUCUUAUCAUUUUAUCAUUUUACUAGGCAAUGAGUGUCUUGAUGUGAAUGCAGCUUUUCAAGAAGAUGAGGAAAAUUAAGAAGGUGCCUGUAAAAUUGAUAAAAUUAUGGAUGCUAUGCUUGCCUUUUAAGUAUGGAUAAAAAUGCAACUUUAGAACAUAGUGAAGAGCUACUUGGUAUCCAGAAAGGCACACUAAGGGUUGCUGACACUAUAAAACAAUAUGUGCCUAUUAGAAUUUUUAUUUCUAAUUUCUAACUUUUUUAUCUACAAGAUAAAUUAAUAUGUGAGUCGAGGUAUGGGUCAAUAUGAUCAUGUCCUCAUCUGAAACCACAUCUCAACUUGACUGUAACUAUACAACUAAGAUAGUGUCCAGGACAGGUUUAAGGGGAAAACUUUCUAAAGAAAAAGUAGUUGUGUGGUGAUAAACUGAUAAUAGCCCGCUUGUCACAAUAGAAGUGUACUAAUUCUGCACAUUGUGUGCUUUGUGUUUUCCAUUUUACUUUACCUUACUAAAAAUGUUAUCUAAUAAAACUUUCUCAUAUUAUUGUAUAAGGAGGUCAAAGUUUUUGUAUUGUCCAGGUAGGUGUUUAGCUAUUGUAGUUCCUCCCGUCCUCACGUAUAUGAUUUUCUUUUAGCUAUUAUUAUGUAACUGUCUUCUAUAUUAUUUUCUGUACUGGUAAUGCACAAUGACUUCAUGGCCCUUAUGAAUGAAAAUUGUGCUCCUGGUCAUAGGCAAGGAUCCUGAAAGGAUGAAUCUGCAUAUGCCAGUUGGUGACAAUGCUAGAACAGAUGGUUUCGGUAAUGAGUUAUGCAUAACCAUUUCGGAGUAUGUUUAUUAUUGAAAUAUUCAGAAUUUACUCACAUGCAAGACUUACCCUAAGGGAAACUAGGUCUUCCGGUCUACAGCACACAAGUACAGGACACCUUGAAUACAAAAAGUUACAAGGUCAUCACUGAAAAAUAUUUUUUAUUGUUCUUUCCAGGAAUGCUGGAAAGUCUUUCAGGUGAGAAUGUUGAUGAAGGUCCAGAUACUGGAGUAUGUGGUUGCGAGGAAGAAAACCACAUACUAAUUUCCGAAGAGACUGAGGAAAUACUUGAUCUCCAUAAUAUUGGUAGUUUGGUCACUUGUUCUGCUGAUUCCACCAAACCCUCUAUGCUAAAACCAGAAGUGGGUGAUGAUUGUCCUACUGACUCUCCAGUUACUACUAAUCAUGUUAAAUGCUCCUUGCAUGAAGGUGAAAAAGCCACUUAUUUUUAAUGGUGGUCCUCAAUUAUAUCUCAGCUUUUCCUUUACUAAUGAUUCUUGCUAAUUUGAAAAACAGAAAACGAAUCCUUGGAAUUAGAGGCUGUCUCACCCAUAUCGAACAGUUUUGGGAUGAAAGGACUUCUCAGAGAUGACCAAACUUCUGGCUUCAAGAAAUCAGGCCUGGAGAUGUCCAAAAGCAAUUCAAAGAGUGAAUAUAUUGAGGAUUUGAAGAAUACAAAAGAACGCAUUGAUAAUUCACAAGAUGUUAUAGAGGAACUUUAUCAUCAGGAGCAUAAAGUGAUGGGGCAAGUAGUGGAGCCGAAAUUCACUCAGGAAAUGAGUAAUCAGUGCCACAUUGGUUCUGCUUUAAUGGAUACUAAUGUUUGUAUUCCAAGUAUUUGGGAUGACUCAGAAGUCAAACCAUGCACUGAUAACACUUGUGCCAAACCUCAAAAGUGUUCAGGUGGUGCCAUUGCCUCAGUGUUUAAUGUUUUUCCAUCUCUUGGUGAGUAUUUUGAAUAUUCCAGUGGCCAUCUUUUACUAUUGGAAUUUCUAGAUAUAGAUGAAUUUUAGUAACUAUAUUGUCCCAACUGCAGGAGAUCUAUGUGGAUUAAAAGCGUUUAGUAAGGCUGACAGUGAAAAUGCUAAAGAGAAGGUGUUGACUAAUGCUUGUUCAGUAGGUCAACCAGCAGAAAAUUUGAGAGUUUCAGAAGACCUAGAAGCUCAUACUACGAUUGGUAAUGUAAUGUUGAUAAAGCAGGAAGCAGAUGCAAAUUCUCUGCUAUCAUUUGGUAAUGUAGGUCCCAACAUAGUGUCUCCAGAAGUGGUUGAGUCUUCGAAAAACAAUAUGGCUGCUCAAUUUGCUGGUUUUGAGGUUUCAAAUCUGAGAUCAAAUGAAGCAUCAAGUUCCAAGGGUUCUACUUUAGAUGACCAGAUUAAAUGCAAUCUUGGUAAUGAUGUACUGGUUUAUGGCAAUAAAGACAACAAUGUAGCAGACAAAGUAAACACUGGAAGUAUUGAAGCAAUAACUGGUAUCAAGAAUGUCAGUGAUGGGGUUAAGUCGGUUGAGAUAACCGCACAAAGAUUGGAUGGUGACGGCCUGUCAGGCGAACGAAACUCUGCAUAUGUCAAAUCAUUUUUUGAUAUUUCUCGUAGCAGGACAGAAAGUGAUUCUCCUCUCUCAUUGCAAAAUGUUUCACUUUCUUGUGAGUACCUUGGCUCUGUACUUUUGCAUUUCUAAUUGCAGUAUAUCUACCAAUGAAUGAUCUGAACAAACUUUUCUUCUAGUUUGUGAAAAUAGUAAAUCCCAGAAAAUAAUGUUUAUAUAACGUUUUUCAUCUGCACACAACACUAUAUCUUUGAUAUUUAUUGGAAAAUGUACAUGUAUUUUCUUGUUCAUAUAGGUGGUGUUUUUGAAAAGAGGCAUCUGUCUGUGCAAGGAGGUUAUGACUCUAUAGGCUUGAAGCCAGGAAGAGUCUCAAGCUUGAAGUUCGAAGAUGCAGGCAAAGAUGGUAUUAUUGAUACCUCGGUUUCUGGUUUAAGGCAUGGUAAGUGCUAAAUGCAACCCAAACCCAUAUCAAGUCAAUUGCUCCAAUUGCUUAAAUCUUCAUUUCCUAAAGCCUCCUUGACAAUGCAGUGAUGGAUACUUAUACUACCUAGGUUGACUAUAAGUUCAAUCUUCUAGUUUGUUUAACUACUUAGAAAUUAAUCCAUUUUUCAAUGAAUUGAUUCUUGUACGUUUUAGAUCAAACAGAAAUUAUUGCCAUGGAGAAUAUAGGCUCGCCUUUAGUCAACAGUCUUGGGAUGAAUUGGAUUUUUGGAGAUGAAGUUCACAAUUCGGAUCCAGAGAUGUCAAACGCCACUUCAAGUAGUGAAGAUGUUAAGAUAGGGAAUGGAGGUGUAGCUAGUCCACAAGUUGGUGCAGGGGAAGAAGUUGUGAAGCUGAAAUCUACUCAGGAAUUGGGUAAGUCUAAGCUCUUAAAAGUAGGACAUCAUUUGAACGCUCCUUUGUAAAUUGAUUUUAAUUAGUGUGAUGAUGUGGGAUAAUUAUGUGUCCUCGUUGCUCAUUUUUUUUUUUUUUCAGCAGAACUGGAUUCAAUCAAAGGAAGAGCUCUAGAGGCAGAUUUGAAGAUAAGUAUUGGUGUUUCUACUACACCUAUUCGGAAGAAGAAGACGCAGAGAGAUAUUUUUAUCCCUAAAACUCCAAAGAAUCUUAUCGAUAGGUCUGAUAUGAAGGAAAAUUUCAAUGCCAGAAAGAGUGAGCAAGUAACAAACAUCACUUCAGGGAAACCUCUGAAUAACAGGCGAGCAUUGGAGGAUCUCCAAAACAAGUAAUUUUACUGCUCGUCAUUGCUCCUAUUGGCUGUGCAACCUAUUUUUGAAACAGAAGCAUAUCUCAUGCAGAUGUUUAUGCAAGUCUUUUCCCGCUUACUAUGAAUAUGUUGAUGGUACAACUUAUUGAACAUAGUUCAAUCUACCUAUGGUGUAGAACUGUAGAAAUGUCUGAACAUGCAAUGCAAUAUGUUAGUAUGAGAGUUUUCUUGUGUGGAUUUCGGAUGCAAAACUUUAACCUUGCUUGAGCAUUGAGCAAACAUGAUCUGUUUUUGACUGAUGUAAUGUUACUCUGAUCAGCAAAUGUGAAUAUAUUGAUGUUCAUAUUUCUGCUGUAUUUCCUCGAAACGAAAUUGGGUAUCAAACAAACAGAAUACUCCUUUAGCCAAACCUUUAUGAAUGUCCAAGUGACAGUUCAGAGCUUACGUUAAAUUCUCCCUAGUCCAUUACGUACCAAAGAGCAUAUGAAUUAGCACUUGGUUUCUAGUCAAGUUAACUCAAACAAAUGCACCUCAGCCUCCUUUGAGAUACAACAUUAACGACUUGCUCAAACAAAACCACGACAAUUACAUAAACCAAAAUCUCUGCACAUAAAAUAAAUCACAGGCUUUAUUUAAAGUUAAGUUGCUCUAAAUAAAUAACAAAUACAAGAAGAUUUGCCUUGUUUGAUAAACACUCGGACAUUACAGAAUUACUUGAGCUACAUUUUAGCUACUUUCUCUUAAUACUGCACAACAAGACAUGACUUGAUGACACUAUAUGAACCAACCCCAACCCACUUAUUGACAAGGGAAGAUGAAUAAUGAAUCAAACUGACCUUAUUAUGUUUUCUUGGGUUUACAGACAGACCUUGAUACAAAACAAUCCCCCUUCCAACCCAAUCCUGUAUUUAAAGAAUUAAUGAACAUUUUGCAAAACAAUUAAUGUGUCAGACCUCAAAUCCCUUUGUAUCUACAUGCAAACAAUCUUCCAGGAUUGCCCUUCAGUUCUUCUGUUUCGCCUCAAGACGAUUCAUCCUUGUGAAACUUCUCAUUCCAGGGGAUGCCUUGCUCUUCAAUUGAAAGACACUUCCUCUGCCCAAACAGCUUUCUAUAUAUAACUAAAACCAUCCUAAACCUAUUUGUGCAAGGUAUCUUCUUAGUCACAAUCCAACCCACAAACUUCUAAUACAAUACCACCUCUGGAAGCAAAUGGGUUUAUUCUGACCCACAAUAGCGAGAAUAUGGAUGCCAGAAGAAUUGACCACACGAUAAUGAUUGUGGGAAGCCUGUCAUUUCUUCCCACCAUACCUUUUAGGAAUGGGUAAAGAUGGACGAUGACCCAAAUGGCGAAGAAUAACUUACCAAACAGAGGACCCCAUGUUUCGUAACCAUUGUUAAUGGCAUCAGAAACUCCAACUACAACUCCGAUUAUGUUUAUGAUCAAUAAGGUCAUCGGAGGGAUUAAUAGCGCAGUCCACUUAAAAAGAUAUAGAUCCGAAAACUCUCCAUCAUCUGCUGCUUUGGAUGUGACAGUGAAGUUUGUGCUGACUCCACCCAAGACCUUGAGCAGACCCUGGACUAGCGCAAACAGGUGCGAUGAUGCACCACCAAUCACCCAGAACUGUUCAUUUCUCCACCAGUCAUGAAUGCCGACAUGCCCCCACUGCAUCUCGAGUACACUAGUUGCCGCAAUGGAUAGAAAGAGGGCCAUAAAAAUAAUACUUGCAUAGUUGCUAAUCUGUAAUCCAGAGAACGAAAAGGUUAGCUGAAAGAAUCAAAUCAGCAAGCAUGGCAUUCUUAAGUCGAGUUUCUACACCUUUAAGGAAUUAAGGAUUAAAUUCUGAUACAUUACAUGUACUCCAGAAUCCAGAAAAUGCAAAGAGAACUAACCUCAGGGACAAUAAACUUCCCAGUAAGGAGACAGACAGCUGGCAAGGAACAGUAAGCAAUUAAGGGUAUGGAUGUCAAAGGAUAUACAACCGAGUUGAUAUACGAAAAGCGCUCCAACGAUUUCAAACCACACCCAUAUCCAUACCAUAUGGGACAGUGCCUGCUCAAUAAAAUCUCAACAGAUCCCAAGGCCCAUCGAAGCACCUGGUGUAGCCGAUCAGACAAAUUUAUAGGAGCGGAACCCUUAAAUGCAGGCCUUUUGGGCAUGCAAUACACUGACCUCCAGCCAUGGCAAUGCAUUUUGAAACCUGUUAGGAUAUCUUCUGUAACAGAUCCGUAAAUCCACCCAACCUGAAACAUAAUAAAGAAUUAGGAAAUAGAAAAAUGGUGUGACUUGCAUAACAAAGAGCUUGAGAUUCAUUGCUCAGUCAAAGUCCAUAAAAUGGUGCAGCAUACCUCCUUUCCCCAUUCCGUUUUAUCUUCAUAGCCACAACUAAUGACAUGUAUGGCUUCUUUUAAGAGUGAUGCAGAACUUGUUCCCAUGGGAACUCCACCAUCUUCCAUAAGUGAAGAAGCUAUGAAAACUGGCGACUGUCCAAAUUUUUUCUCAAAUUUUAUUUGGGGCAUCAGGGAUGAUUUUUCAUUAUCUAUUCCUGCAACAAAGUUUCGAUAGCACCAUAAGUAUCUACAUUUAACACAUCUAUUGCGUCAAUAAUCCAAUUGAUAACACAUGUUGACAUAUUGAAGCUUGGGACCAAGAUCACUUUCUUACCUUCAACACCCUCCUGAAUAUUCUCUAGCGCAUGUAUCUGCUUUGAAGCCUCCCUGUUCUUUUUCUUUUUUUCACUUGAUUUUGCUUUUUUGUUAGUCUUUCGGGAUCCACAACAUAUGCAGCACCACUUUGGCCAACAAUUACAAGUCUUCCCUGGGGCUUUCUUCUUGACAGGAGCAUCAUAUCCGUAAAGAGCCUGCCUUCGGAAGACACACCCAGUUCCAACAUAAAUGGGCCCUUGGAUUCCAUCUAAACCUUUCAUAUUGAUCUGCACUCAAAUUGUGUAAUGGUAUUAGCUCUCCUUAGUAGGAUUCACAUUUUUGCAACUUCAUUGAAAUUUCUAUCACUAUAUACAUAUAUAUAUUUCUCCCAAAAAAUAAAAAAUUAAAGAGAAGAAAUAAAGUACUUACAUCAAAGAAAACAACAUUGCGAUUUGAGUAUCUAUCAUGAAGAUCAAUCCCAUCAAAUCUUUGAGGAAACUGUACAUAACAGAUCUUCUUUCCUGAAGUGGGGUCCAUCAUGAAGCACAUUGCCUCUCGAAGUGCUUUGCUGUUGUUUAUAUAGUGAUCACAGUCAACAUUGAGUAUGUAAGGAGCAUUUGAGACUAUUGCUGACACCCGUACCUGAUUUUAUGAACACAACCGUAACUAUUAGUUAAAUGAAAACAAGGAUGAAACUCAAGUUCAAAGUGCACACAGAGAGAACUUUACCAGAGCAUUCAUAGCGCCAGCCUUUUUGUGAUGAUCGAAGCCCGGUCUCUUCUCACGAGACACAUAAACCAAACGCGGUAACUCAUUGCCUUCAAUAUCACGAAAACCAUUUUCCCCAAGGAAAACCUGUGAAAGAAGGUAUGCUUAAAGAUAUUUGAUAGUGUGUAUAGUAUGAAACUAUGACAUUGGCUCUAAUUGUGUGAUAUGCAUUAAAUGAAGACACCUCACCUGAAUCAUUCCAGGAUGAUCCCGUACGUUGUUCCCAGGCCAUGGAGACCCGUCCUGCAUUGUCCAACCCUCCUCGGGAACCUUCUGUGCUGUGGCAACCAAGGAAUUUAUCCGAACUUUGAACUCUUCAUAAUCCCUCUACACAAACAAAAUGACAACAGCAGUUCAGUAACGUCAUCAUCCGUACCGAACCAAAAGACUUCAUGGCUCAACAGAAAUCCUCUUUUUCCACUGAGGUUGGUCUUGUUAAUGUGAUCAUUUAAACAGAUUUGAAAGAAUGCACAAACCUUCAUGGCUCGACGUUCCCUGACAAAUGUUGGAUCUACUUUAUCUCUCAAAUAGUCAACUUUCAGAGCAAAGUACCACUCUGGGGCCCGGGGUUCAAUGUUGAACUUCUUGCAGAAAGGGACCCACUUUCUUGCAAACUCAGAUGUUUCUGAAAGGGCUUCAAAAGUGAGCAUGGCAGCACCAUCAUCUGAGACGUAGCAUGAAACUUUGUCGACUGGAUAAUCUACAGCAAGGAUGGACAACACCGUGUUUGCAGUGAUAAGUGGAGGCUCCUUCAUAGGAUCAACUGUACUAACAAAGAUGUCUAGAUUGGCUAACCCAGAUGGCUUCCCUUCCUUCUCAUACCUUAAACAAACAAAUUUGAAGUACAAUAACUUAGAAUAGACAUUUCAAAUGGUGACUUUACCCAAAGAGAAAAAGAAGGUGUGGUUACCUCAGUGAUAAUCGAUCAAGGUAUGUUUCUCUCUCAAUCGGAUGCCAUUUGGGAAACUGAUCCAAUAUCCAUGACAUGGCAAACCAAAUCUCACAUAUUACAGAUGUUAACCACAAUCCAUAUGCAUCGUUGACUGGAUGACGAAUUCUAUAGUGAAAAAACAGGCCAAGAACCGCCAGACGGAGUAGGAUAAUCAUUCUAUAUGGAUUUAUCUUGCUGGAAGGAAUAGGCAACUUCCUUGACAGUGGCUGUCUUCCUUCAUCCAUCCUGUAAAGUAAUGUGAUUGUAAAAGUCAAUAAUAACAAAUUUUGACAGGCUUAUGACUGUUUACGAAUUCUGAAAUUGACAAAGCAACCUACUUAGGCAAAUCAGAAUCAUCUGGCUCAUUGUUCCCGCCAUCAUGUCCUCCUUCGUGCAUCACCAACUGAAGCUUUUCAUUUUGCUUCUUCUUCCAUUCCUCCAUUCGCUCCUUCCAUGCAACAGUUCCAUACCCAUAUACAGCUAUGUCUUUCUUAGGAUCCAUUGGCCUGGGAGGAACUGCAUGUAUCAUGAAGACCAACAAUCACAAUCAUAAGUAAGAUGGAGAAUACUAUGAACUGCUAAAAGCACUGUGACAAAUUUAAUGAACUUACAUGACAUGGAGGCAUCAGAAGAUGGAAUUGGAUGAACGCGUUUUCCACGACUCAUAAAUGGGGGAAUAAUUAGGGCAUGUUUAUCAGAUGCAAUGCCAACGUCCUAUACCAGAAGCCAACACAAUUAUCAACACACAUGAACAAUAAAAACCACCAAAAAGACAAAACAAGAAUCAGAUAAAAUUAAUUCACCUCUUUCCCAUAGGUCAGGAGAGGGAUCUCUGAAGCCACGGAUGCAGUAUCAAACUCAGCCGGUGUACUAAUCCCGGAACCGUGGACUUGGGAACCCCGGCCAAUAUUAAGGCGAGCCGCCAACACUGCUGCAGCAAUUUGGUGAGGGUCUCUCCUGUCAUUGCUUGCAAUGUCAAACUCAUUUUCCAAAUCAUCAAUAUCUUCCUCUUCUUCAUCUCCUUCCACUCUUGGACUCCCUAACAAAUUAUGCAAAUUCUUUUAAGACUUUCUUCAACUAAAAAGACAACAACUAAAGAGAACCCAAAUCAACAUUAAUAUGGAAUAGAGAGAAAAGAAUCACCUUUAACUCUCUUGUAUCUGGUUUUACAUUGUGGACAUGAUUGAUUGCCUUCUCUUCUUUCAUACUCAUAGCAAGAUCUGCAAACAGGGAAGGCACAUUCAUUGCAAGCAACAAAAGGCUCCCCAUCCACAGUAAUUUCUAUUUCAUCACCGCAGAUCUGGCAAAUCUGUCCACUCAAUUCUUUAACAGAUGUUACCUGCAAUAUCAAUCUCCAUCAGCUCAAGAAUCAACAUUUCAGAUAAAUUAGUAAAUAAAAAAAUCACAAAUUACCCAAGUGAAAAUUAAAUAACAAAAUCAAUGGUAAACAGAUAACGCGGUUUCAGAAAUAAAGCUGCAGACUUUCUGCAACAACUUUCAUUGACCAAGGACCAACAAAAAGAGGAGCCAAAUUAUGGAAGACGUUUCAGUAGAAAUCAGAGCUAAACCAUGAAUGUGAGGCUUAAAAGACUCAAAUUCAUACGUACACUCAAACACCUUCCAACUAAAUAUGUAGUUGGAACUUGAAAAUCUCAAGUAAAAUCAGGCAGAGGUGAAAAGGUAAAUAAAACUAGAAAUAAAUAGAGAAAAUUUGCUUUAAGAUAGAGAAAUGUCCAGAAAUAGAAGGCUAAAUCUUGAAGGAAGUGAUUUCAGGAUCCAACAAGUGUAAGAAUAAGUCAAUAUGAGCAACCGGGUACUCCUCAAAAUGCAGAAAUGUGUUCCAGAAAAUGACUUUUGGGGGAAAAACAAAGACUACAAGCAGCAGAUUUUGAAGGGUCUGAAGAUACGCAGAAUACUAAAAAUAGGACUUACUCUAGAAACUUCAUCAGCAUUGAUGAGAACAAACUCAUUCCUGUUAUGAGAACCAGCAACCAGUCUUCCUUUGGUGUCCAUGACUUAUUCACACAAACAGAGAACUCAGAAAGACUUCACCACUUCCUUAAUAUGUAUCUGUCUCUCAUCACACCCAAAGAAGACACCUCUACUCUUCUAAGUCUUGUUGUUGCUCUGGUGUGUGUUUGCAGGGUUUAGUCCAGAGGCUGAGCAGGCACCCAACACAAGGAAUACCAACCCCACAUUACACGAUGAAUAAAAAAACAGAGCUUUACAGAGAGGGGAAGGGAAAUAAAGAAAUGGGUAAUUAUAUAUAAAGAAAAAGAAGAAAGAAAGGGUGGGUGAAAAUAAAAUAAGGAAAGUAAAAUUCAGUUUGUGGGCAAAUGAUUCUUUUCUUGAGAGACAGAGAGAGCCAGCAAGUGUUGUUGUACUUGGGAAGGAAGACUGGGGAAGAGAGUUUGAGUCUGUGACACUGGAAUACAGCUUUUGAGAGGUAAAAAAGAAUCUAAUGCUGUACUGAUGGAGAUGGAGUUGAAAUUUCUACACAGAAGGGGACGAGAUAGGGACACAGACAAUCAGACAAGAAAAUAUAGAGUGAUGAGGUUCAUGUGUUUAACGCUGGAAAAAUAAAGGAUGUAAAUUUGAUGAUAAAAAACUGGAACUUUUAAGUCUCUAAAAAAAGAAGAGAAGAAACGAGUGAUGGGGAGGGACCCAGAACUUUAGGUGAUGGAAGCCACCGGUGGUGGUGGGGCUGAGGUGGUGCCCCCACCGGAGAGGAGAGUCGUUGGCGGAGGAGGGGUGUUUUGGUGAAAUUGAAUACAGAGAAAAUGAGAAAGUGAGGGGAUUUUAUAUUUUUUUGUGGUGGGCGUGCAAGUGUCGGUGGUGGGUGUUGUUGGGUUUGGUCCGUCUGUGUCUUUCUGUCACGGUUUCGGUGUGUUUGCGUCAAAGGAGAGAGAGAGAGAGAGAGAGAGAGAGAGAGAGAGAGAGAGAGAGUGAGAGACUAGUGUGAGAGCGAGGUUCUUCUUCAACACCACGAAGGGGCAGAGAGGGAGACCAAAUACAAUGGAAGUGCGGAAGCAAAAUCUCGCGAGACAAUGAAUGUGGUUUGUUUUUGUUUGUGUGUCUAAAACCAUGUUAAACCCUAAAACGAUGAAGCGAGAGCAAAUGAUGUGUUGCUGUCUCCAUUUCUUAUUUAUUCCUCUCUUUAAUCAACCUACUGUGCCUUGCUGUCUUACAUUCCUCCGAAAUCAAAACAAACAGUUUUUCUUAUUUGGUACCCAAAAUUAAUAUUUUCUUUCCUUUCUUAUUUGUUGUGGUAAAUAAAAAGAUAAUGUGGUUUCGUGUGAAAUCCCGGCCCAACCAAGAAGCCGUCGAUCGUAUGAUCGGAAGGCGUGUUACAAGAUUUAAACCGGCGCCUAAACAAAAUUCUUCAUACCGUACAAAGUUACUGAAAUUUUUAGAAGGCAAUGAAAUUUCUCUUGAUAUUGUGUUAUCAUUAGAUUACUUUGGUAAGGACGUGCCAAAUGACAGUCCUCAUUGUCAACCUCAAUCACAUUAUGUCAUUAUCACAACUCAAUUAAAUUCUAGAUAGUGUACAAUUCGAUAAUCAUUCCACGCAACCUUUGAAACAGAAUUUGCAGUCAUCUAUGGACGAAGAUGCUUCUCGCAAAAUUGUCGGGAAAAUAUUGUAAAUUAUAUUUUUUUUCAAUAAAGAAAAUAAAACAAACGAAACAAAAAUAAAAACAAAACAACAGCUUAAACCAUGAAAGUUGAUAUUGAGAGCAUUAACUGAGGAUAGAUAGAGUUUGUUUUGUGUCAGCCAUCAACAAGAGUAGAGUGACCAAUAUCCGCUAUUAAAUCUGUAAGAAAAUUUGUUUCACUCUAAAUGGGAAUAAAAGUGAUAGAAGUAAAACGUGUGGCAAAACAUCGAAUAUCAUAUUGUUAAUUAUAUUUUGAUAUCCUUUAAACACAAAUUCUAUUUAAAAUAUCACUAUAAACACACAUUCUUUUUAAAAUAUCACUAUAAUUCAUUCCCAAGAUUUGUUAUCAUGUACGUGUAGUCAUCAUAUGAAUGAUGUUCCAACUAACUGGAAUCUCUAAUGUUUAAUUAAUAAUUAUGCAUGAUUUCAUGUACUUGGAAAGAGAAAAAGAAUGAAGAACUAAUGUUUUGGCAAAAUCAUAUUAUUAAAUUUCGUUGACAAAAUGAGAAAAUAGUAGCUCGAACUCUCUAUAACAUGCAAUCCUUGAAACGAUUGGAUUGUGGGAGAGGGAGGGAGGAUAAUUUGGUAGGCAUGCAUGAAGGUGUCACAUGCGUAAUAGUUUUUUCUUCAACAGAUCACUAGCUAGUUCAUAUAUGAGGCCAGCUGAAAUUGAUUGAAACUCGUACGUAUGAAUUGAGAAAAUUGCAUUCUUAAUUGGUUUGGUUGCAUGCCCUUGACCAUAAACAUUCCAACAAUUUGGCCAAAUUGAAGUUGAAGUUGGGUGAUUUCGGUUGCUUCUGCAAAAUUAUGAGAGAGAGAGAGAGAGAGAGAGAGAGAGAGAGAGAUCAAGAAUUCAAGAUGCUCAUGAUAAUCGACCCUAGCUGCUAGCUACAUCAUUCAUCUUCUAUUAACUUGAUAAUGAACAGUACUAUAGUCUAACAGAUUUGCACAACCACCAGCUAGUAUAAUUUGACGUUAUCAUUUUGGUACUCUUUGUAUGUACUCGAGUGCCCUCAGAUCUGUUUUUCUACCCCAUAGUAAAUAAGUCAAACUGUACCCUUGUCCUUUGAAGUUUGAAAUUCACUUUGUUUUCGUAUAUAACAUAAAAUGUAGUUUAAAAAAAAUCAAUAAAUUUCCAAUUAAAAGGUUUCAAUUCAACGCAUUUUCAAAACCACGAAUCAAAGAAAUCCCAAAUGCUACAAACUAGUAAAAUCUAAAAGGGAUAUUUUUUCUUUUACCCUAUCGAUCAGAGAUACGAAAUGCGGCUUUACUUUUUGGUCAAGAAUCGACAAACUAACUAAGAAAUAUUGUCUUGGAGAGCAAGUCACAGGAGAGAUAUUCGAGUUCAUUUGUACAUCAUUGGACAAAUCGAGAUCGAGCCACAUAAUCCCUAGCAUAGCAAAUUGGUGUCUGUUCUUUCGGCUACCGGCCUCUUUGCAUAGUAUCGAUCAGUUCAUUUUGAUGCAGACCAAUUUGGAAGCCAAGGACAUGUCAUGAAUUUCGUUUCACAGGUGGAAGAAAAGAAAAAUGCUCCCUUCUUUUCAUGUGCAAAUAAUUUGAAUCGCAAUCAACAGUGAAUACGUAGUCUAAAAGGAAAGGGUAAAGGAAAAGGUGAAAAAGGAAUCCAAUCAAACCAAAUAAUUGUUAAGGGCCAAGAAAAUGUAAUUGUUAGUGCCUUUUUUAGCUUUUCUUUUGAGCAACUCCACCCUUACCUGUCCCUGUGUCCCAUAUACUUACUACUUGUCCAGAAGCCACGAGUCAUGAGUCAUGAGUCAUGAGUCAUGAGUCAUGAGCAUUUCACAAGCACCAGUACUCCAGUCUAGUGUAAGAUGGUUUCCACUUCAAGGGAAACAGCCCUAUUGAAGCAUGGACAAAGUUACCUUCUUAAUGGCCAAAUGACCCAAAUCCAUCUUAGUGAAAAUGCCUUUGUACCAUUCUUUGUUUUUAAGUCAUUUUUUUAGGUAUUAAAUGCUGCUUGGUUUCGUGAUUGUUAUUAAGCAAUGUAACGAUACCAUUAUAAAAAUAAACACUUGCGGAUAUGGUUGAAGUUACGACGCAAACAUGUAAAAUAACUACGUAUAAUCAUUAGAUAAUCGAGCUAAAAUGUUAAAAUAUUCAAGUCAAACAUGACCUGAAUUACCAACCCUAACGUAACCUAUAGAUUAAUCUAGUCAAAUUCAACCUCGUUAGCUGCAUAUAUAUUAGACUUUGUUUCAGAAAUUGGAAAUUAAUUCUACUAACCCUAGGUAAAUAAGCUGGACAACGUUGUGUUUUUUGUAAUGUAGUGCCUAAUUUUGACCUCUAACAACAAAUUGCAACUGGAUUAUGGAAGUUAGGAACAUCAUAAUUAGUUUUAAUCACUUUUGUCGGUGGGACUCAUUUGCUAAUUAGUUGAUCAACCACGUGUCGAGGACUCACUGACCCUAGUUGAUCAAAGCUAGGGUUAGUGAUAACACCAAUAGGCUCAGGCCACGUUUCCCAGCUCAGUAACUUGGUUCGCAGGAGAUAAACGCCCUCCACGUGGCUGGCCCUAAUGAAGGGUUUUGAUGAUUGAUCACGAGGUAAUGACGCACAAUCAAAAGGUUUGUUAUGAUAAUGACGCUACCGAUUCGCUUGUCGGAAGCCGGCCCCCCACCACACGUAUUUUAAAAGGAGGGACCAACGCAGGAGAAAAAAUGUGAUGUUUCUGAACGGAAAUAAUUUGGAUGACCGUUUAGAGCAAGAUUACCAGUUAAGUUAGAUUGAACAUAGUGAUUCAGAUUACUGUGAUUAGAUGGUAGUUUUUAUCUGUCAAAAAUAUGAGAUUGCUGUCAUGUGGUAGUGACUGUUUAUUAAAUUAAAAAAAAAUUAUUUUUAAAAGUGUGAAUAAUAGGUUUAGUUGUAAAUAAAUAAUAAUAAACAAUAUUUAACAAAAGGAAUAACAUUUAUUCAAAGGAUAAAAGUCAUAAUUUUUUUUAUCAAAAAGGUCAUAAUGUUGUUUUAGUAAUUUAAAUUUAUAUUACUUAUUUAAGAAUAAGAAUUAUUGAAAUGAAAAGCACACAAAUUUAAAUUUAUAGUAAAAUAUUUUUGUAUGCAUUCAUCCAUAAUAAUGUAAUGGUAGUCCAAACUCUAAAGCUGAAAACUGAAGGGACUAAGGACACGUUUACUUACAUGAAAUGAAAUUGAAAAGUGAGGAAAUGAUUCUGACAAAGGAGAAUUCCAACGUUUACUUACACAUAAUGGAAUUGGAAUGAGAUUGGAAUGAGUGUGGGUCCCACCUCCUAAUAAUGAAUUGAUUCUUUGACAACCCUGAAUUGUAAUACCAAAGAGGGGAGGUGGGAUUAGAAAUAAUACCAUCAAGAAUGAACUUUUAUUCCUAAAAUAUCCUCUUUAAUUUUGUAUGCUAAUAAUAUUGAGGAAUUUGUUUAAGAUGCUAAUAAUUUCAUUUUUUUUUCUUAAAGGCUUCUUUUUAUAUGCUAAUAAUAUAUUAUUUGUGGAAGUUGUUUAAUUUUUUUUUUUUGUAUUUACUAAUAUAUAUAAACGUAUGAUGCCCUAAUUUUGUUGUUCAACCCUAUUUACUAGGUCAAAAUGAUUUUGAUAAAUCAUGGUAGAAGAGAGUUUAUGUAAGGACGAGAUUGUAAUAUACACAAGCGCACACGUAGUUCUGUAUUAUAUUAUUAAUAUGUAACCACAUAAUUAUAAUUAAUACACUAAAUAAGAAUAGUCCGAUUGGUUUGUUGAUUAUACAUAACUUAUCAAUUGAGACAACGACAAACAAAACUAUAUCAACAUAUAAGGAAAAAAUUGUGUUGAGAGUGAUCGAAAUGUGUAGCUUAUAUAUUUUUUUCAUGGGUAUUUUAGUAAUUAAAAGAGUAAUAAAUUACAUUCAUGUUCUAAUUUCAUGUGGUAAGUAAACAGCUCAAUGAAAUUGAAAUCUCCAUAUACUAUUCCAUUCCAUCUCCCAUUCCUCCCGUCUUUCAUUCUUGAUGAAUUUCAUUCUAAGUAAGUAAACGUGCCGUAAGAGGAAAUGGAUUGAGAUGCACAUGGCUUCUCCUUCACGGGAUUGGUCCGUGUACGUAUUCCACCUUAAGCUGAUGCGUGUGAUGGACUAGGGGAGAGAUUGUUGUUGUCAGCCAUGUGGGUGGGCUCAACUGAUGUGUCUUAAACCAACCUGGGUUGGAUUUCACCUCCAACUUGGGUCACUUCUCUCCCCAACAAUCCAACCCAUGUUGGAAAAUGAGAUAUCUCAUUCUAUAGGUGGAAAAUAGGUUUUUUUCUUAUGGGUUGGAUUCCUAGGUGUCACCUAACCUGGUUGAAUUUUUAUCUAUGGGUGAACUUGCUCUUAUGAAUGACAAACACAAAUAAGAGAUGGACAAGUGUCAACAAUAAUUAUAAACAAACAUGCUAAAUACCCAAAAUCCUGAUGUUAUGUUUUUAAAUUGCAGUCAACCCUUUUAAAAUGGACAUGUGUUCCCAUGUUUAUUGGUUGUGGUCACCUUAAGGUGACCAGCCCUUGUCAUCGAAGUCAGGUUCUUCCUGAACUGGUGAACUGAUGGAUCCAGCUGGCGGUUUCUGUGUUUUCGUCUGAGGGCGAGAGAUUUUGUGUACUUCAUUCAUACUUCGAAGAAAAAAUCAGACCACAAAAAUACUUUGAAGAAAAAUACAAAAUUCCCUUACCAAAUUUGUCUGUUUAUUUUUUGUUUUUGUGGUUGUUAUUAACACACUCAUUUUUGCUAUUUACACAACUCCUAUAUGGAUAUGGUGAGAACCAUUAUCAAUCAAAUUUAAGUGGUAAAUUUGUAAAUAAAUUAAAAUGUGUGGAUAAGAAAAUAGACGAGAUGUGUUAAUCGCAAAAAAAUGUGUGUUAAUAACAAUACUUUUUUUUUUCCAAAAGCAUUACGGUAAUAUUAUCCGUCGCCAACUUUUUUUUUAUUUUAAAAAAACUUUUAUUAAAUAACUCACACACUCUAUAUACGUCAAUGAAGUUUGAACCCAUAACGUCAAAGUUGUUAGUUAACCACCUUAACCAACCACGUCACGGCUUAGCAUUACAGUAAUAUUAUCCGUCGCCAACUUCACGAUACCUAUGUUUCGCUUUUUCAAGAUGCUCCUUAAGUUCCAGACCAUCUUCAUAUUCUUUGAUAUUAUAUACCUCCACAUUCUCCAAUUUCUACUUGAAACUUAUAUUUUCACCAUAUGUAUCAAGAAGUAAAUUUUAUGACAGAUUCAAUUAUCACAAUUUUUUACUGAAUCUUUUCAAAGAAAAAUCGUUUACUGAAUCUCUUCUUCUUAAAUGUGGAUCAGUGAAGUUUUAUUAAAAAAAAUGCGGAUUAAUGAAGCUUUCCAAAACGUCCUUUUAUACUUUUAACCAUGAUUAGUUAGCCCAUAAGACAUCAACUUAUAGUAGAAAAAUAUCCCAUACCAUGACUCCAAAAAUAAAAAANNNNNNNNNNNNNNNNNNNNAAACUACUCUCUCUCUCUCUCUCUCUCUCUCUCUCUCUCUCUCUCAUUUAGGGUUAGGGUUUCUUUUCUCGAGUUGUGCGGCGAGUCCUCUCCUAGGGCUGCCACCGUGGCUGCUGUUGUUGCUUUCGUCACAACUAGUCUCAUCUCAAAGCUCUCAAUGACCAAGAACCUGUUGAUCUAGGAAAUCUUCAAUGCCCUAAAAAGACUUUUGUGGCUCCUCGUUUCAACCUAGUCGGAUGCCUUAACACUUCCAGGGGCCAUCCCUUUUGAUUCAUUCAGGAGCGCAAUUCACUCCAUGUGGAGACUUUCAACGCCGGUGGAAGUUUAAGCAAGAGGUAAUAGGUAUAUCUAUUUACCUUCACCAAUGAAAGAGAUGUUAAUCGUGUGAAAAGGAGAGGUUUAUGGGGCUAUCAACGUGUGAUGCUACUCCUCAAUGACUAUGAUGGCUUGUCUGAUAUUCAAGCCGUGCCCUUGGACUUUGUCUGGACCCAGGUCGAGAUCCAGGGAUUGUCGGCGGUGCUCUCCUGUCACGCCCCCAAACCGAGACCAUUAUUAUAUGAAAAUAAGGUGCCUGAAUUUGCGGCGUGAGUUAAAACAAAUAGAAUUUUCUCGAAUAAUUUAUUAGAAGAAGAAAUAUAUAUGUCUGAAUAAUACUUCUAUUAGAAAGCGAAAGCAUAAAUAUUUUAGAAUACCAAAUAUUUUACAAUACGAGAGUUUUAGCAAAAGUAUAUAAGACAUUACAUUUAUUCUCAAAAUAGCAAUAGAAAACAUUCUUUUAUUUAGUAGGUUCAUCCCAUUCCCCAAGCAUCUAUUCGUUACCUGAAAACAAGAAUGUGUAGCAUCAUGAGUAACACAGACCCAGUAAGUACAACUUACAUUCUUAUAAUAAUGUGUCUUAUAAGAAACCAGAAAUAAACACAACUAAGUAAAAAUGUACCAAGAAUCAUUUUGAUUUGUUCUUACUGAUUCUUAUUUAUGCGCACACACACACACACAUAUACAAGCGUGAAUAAAUUUAUCCAUGUGAAUAUUUAGGAAACUGGUAAUAAAUCAUAAAGAUCACGUGCUAGGUCCACUAUACCAAAGCACGGAUAAGCCGCAGCAUACCAAGGACAAUACCAGAGUAUGUAUACUCAAGGUCGACACGUUCUUCCUAUGAGUAUAAUAGUGCACUAUCUGUAGGGACUAGGGCCCAGGCUAACUCCACAAAUCACAAAACACUUUUACCAGUAAUUCACUUAAGCACGGGGUAGUACUAAUCACCCGGCUUCACAUCUCCAAAUAUAAUUACGACAAUAAAAUAUAGCAAACUUUAGUAAGUAAGACAAUUACUUCAAGACCAAUAAAGUAUAUAUAUAAGCGUUCAUCAAUACACUUUAAAAAUGGUCAGUAACUUAAGGUAUGCACAAGAUAAGCAAUUUAAUAAACUUGAAAGUAAAUGUACUUUAAAUUAAAUAAACAGAAAAUAUUAGUUAGUAGUCAAAGAAUUAGUAGUCACAUUUCCCAUAGUGAGGGAAAUCCUUGUCCAAAGAACCGUCAAUUUAUCAUUUUCAUAUCUCAUUCAAUUUAUGUCCGAAUUAGGCAAGUGAGGAGUCCAUGUCAAAGGAUUUUUCGUAAGUAAUCCAAUGAGAUAAGUCAUAUAAUCCAGUUCGAAGUCAUAGAGUCCAGAAAUGGUGAAAAACAGUAGCAGUGCAAAAAGCUGAUAUCCUUUAUAUUACCUUUGAUGUCUAAGUCUUUACGUGCUUUAUAGUUUAUCAUUGCUUCUGAAACUUUCCAGAUUUAAAGUAGAGAUCCUAAGCUUCAAUUUGAUAUAAAGUUUGUAGAAAAUGGUUAAGAAAUGAGUGAGAUAUGAAUUUUUGAAGUUGUGGUAGUUGUAAUGGAUUUUCAACAAGUUUAUUAGUUUGAAAGUUUGAUUAGCCAUAACUUGUUCAUUUCCAAACCCCUUUUUAAAUGAUUCAAAAGCCUAAACUGAAGCAUAUUUCAUGAAGAAUCUAAUACUGUGACCAAAUUUAUAAAGUGAUAUUUAAUUAUAUACGAAAAUAUAAGUUUCUAGGAAACAUAUUCUUUUCCAUUUUAUCCUUAGUUAUGCAUUUUGAUAAUCUUAAAGACAAAAAAGUAUAGGAAUGUAACCAUGUACUUACUCUUAAAUUUUCAGAAGUGAAGUGAGGAUUUGGGUAUUGACUCAAGGUUGGACUUCUUUGACAAAGAGAGAACUUCUCAAGAGAAAAAGAGUGAAUGGUAGGAUAUUUAGGUGUGGGAGCUUUUCUAUUCAACUAAGGGAGUUUGUGAUCAUCUUUACGUUUGAUCUUGGAGUGUGAAGAAAAGAUGUUGCAGCCCCCAAGUAUAAAUAGGCCAUGAAGCAUGCAUUGUAAAUUAAUUUCCAGCAAUUUUAUUUGACUUAAAAGGCCAAACAUUAAAUUUGAGUGAUAGUCUAGCUAGUUAGGGUGAUUGUUCACAAAAAAAACCAAAUAGUAAGACGGGUAAAAGAAAAAUCAGCUAGUGCAUGAAUCUAUAGAUACACAAAUAUUUAUAUAUGUAUAUAUAGAUAUAUAUCUACUCAAGCUAAUAAGUAAAGGAAUAUGAUGUUUUUCUUUCUUAAGAUCUUGUAAAUGCGUUAGUAAUAUUUAAGAUUGGAAUAGUAUGCAUAAUAAAAGCAAUACUAACACGAAUCUUAAAUUCAAUCACAAGUAUCGAUUGUAUGUAAGAAAUACGGGUUAAGGUAUCUAAGUAGUUUACUUAAAUUCUAAUACUUAAUAAAAAUACCUAUCUUGUAAGUAUGAUACUUGGAGUCAUUGGCUUCUAAAAUGAAUAUUUUAGAAGAUAUUUUGAUUACUAUCUAAGGUUAAAGAGCCUUAGUGUGCUAUAUAAUUUGUGCUAAGUUUCGGGGUACUACAUCUCCACUGAUGCAACUGCUCGCCUCGUCGAUGAGACUAUUGGAUCUAGUCUCUAGGUCGACAAUGGAGGUUUUCAAUGUGGGGUGGCUCGUGUGCGUCUCACAUUGCCCCUACAUCAGCCGGUGAGGCUAGAACGCUGGAUUAAGGUUUCCCUAAUGGAUAUCAUCUUGUGAGCGACUGCUCGGUCGUUGUAGGCACCAUGCUAUGCUCAAUCAUGGGGACGAAGAUUGUCCAAGAGAAGCCAAAGAUAUCUCUAGGUUGGCAACUGUUUCGUCUGCCACCAACACACCUCCACCAAUGGUUUUUAGCGCAAACUCAUCCCAAACCCUAACUACGCCGGCAACGCCCUCAUUGGUGUCUUUCUUUCCAAAAGAGAAGAGCCUAGUGCAGAUUAGGGAGGUACCAACCUUCCCUUCUCCAACUAAAAUCGCACGUACUCGAAAAGAACAUGAGGAGGAAGAACUGGUCUCUGGCAAACACCUAAAGAAUGCUUUGGCUUUGGUUGCUCUUCCACUGAUCUCAUAAGAGCUAGGGUUUAAGCUAAAUGCAGGAGGUGAACUCGACAUAGCCAAGACUGGCAAGUCUCCAAAGAAAAGGGUUCAAUCGCGUGGAAGCAUGCAAAAUCAAGAAAACUGUGAAGGGAGAUGUAGGAGAGGUUGUGUCAUAUGCAAAUCCAUCAUGGGAGAGCCUAGCCUAAGUUCUGAGGCAGGAGAGGAGUAGUCCCUUAAACUCCUUACAAACCCUUAUGCAUCGACAUAUCGGGUAACCCUCCUUCACUUCGGUGGAAAGGUACAUCAUGAGGGUCUUAGGCCUCAUACCAAGGUUUUGGAGCUCUUGAUUGAGUUGUGUAGGUUAUUGCUUUCAUAGAUGAAUAAGUUCUUAUGGACAGAUAGUUUUCCUUUUAGCAUUUGGUUUAGUUUCAUUUUCCAUUUUAAGUACCUUAGGAUUGCAGGCAUUUUCGUUGUGUAUCGAAUUGUAAUGAGUUUAUCCUCGGAUAUGACUCUAGAUUGAUCGAAUUGUAAUGAUUUUAGUGAACUACAUAUUAGUUACUGAUCAAAUUUCAGUUUACAAAUACAUCUUUUACACGUUAUCUUAUACAUUUAAGGACAAAAAUUAACAAAUUAGGACAAACUAAUGUCCACAUGUCAUCUGUCACUACAUAUUUUACCAAACUACCCUUCACUACAUAUUCUACUGCUACUAUGGACGUGCUACUGCCGUGUCGACGGGAGACGUGCUACUGCCGUGUCGACUAGAGACGUGCUACUGCUGUGUCAUUUUGCGUAAAUUUAUUUUAAAAAUAGGUAUUUUAGUCCUUUUGCCUAUGAAAAUCUAGAUUAGAUCUGGUACCAUUAGUUUAGGCAUGGGCUUAUGUCCUAAUUUGUACAGAAAAAUAGUGAAAGUGGAGUUUUUUUAAAGGGAAAAUGCCCUAAUACCCAAAUAUUUGAAAACUACAGCCCAUUCCAAUUAAAGUCUUAUCUUUGUGUCCAUUCCAAUGAUUCUUGAGAAAAAGACGUUAUUAUUCUGUGUAACUAAACCACACAAAUCUGAUAUCUUUCUCCUCCUCUUAUUCCUGAUCUGGUUUUCCUCUCUCUCUCUCUCCUCUCUCUCUCUCUCUCUCUCUCUCUCUCUCUCUCUCUCUCUCUCUCUCUCUCUCUCUCUCUCUCUCUCUCUCUCUCUCUCUCUCUCUCUCUCUCUCUCUCUCUCUCUCUCUUUCUGUGCGGCCAAGUUAGCCGGAGAUUCGCCGCCAUCCUCUUGCACCGAUGAGCUAGUCCGGUUCUCACCGUGCCUCUCCUACGUGGCGUCACUGCUGAAAAACCUCUUUGACUCUCCGGCAUCUAAGUGCUGCGACUCGUUCUCUUCGAUGGAGGAGUCCGGCAGCACCGUUUGCCUCUGCUACCUAGCUCAUCUUCCGUCUUCGUUGAGACUGGGCAGGAGUGCAUCGGGGAUGGGCUGGGUUCAUGCCGAGAUUGAUGAUGGUGAUGUCGGGGCGCGCUCGGCUGGAGUUCGAUCCGGGCUGGAUCGUGGCUGGGGAAGGGCGUUGCUUGUCGGCGGAGGAGGCCGAAGUCGGUGGAGGAGGCCGGUGUUCUCGUUCUCUUCGGUGGAGAAGGCCGUCGGGGACUGCAACUCGUUCUCUUUGGUGAAGGUGGGUGCCCAGAGAAGAAAUAUGGGUGCCCAGUUCAAGUCAGUUAGUUGUUUUUUAUUUUUAUUUUUUUAUCCUUACAUUUGAAUAUUGGGGUCAGUAAGUGAUUAUUGAGGAUUGAUAAGUGAUUAUUGGGGCCAGUAAGUUAUUAUUUGAGGUUUGUAACCUGAUUAUUGAUGGUCAGUAAGUGAUUAUUGGGUGAUUAUUAGGUGUCAGUAACUGAAAACUAAGUGAUUAUUGGGUGUCAGUAACUGAAAACUAAAAGUUAUUGGGGUCAGUAACUCGAUUAUUGAGGGUCAGUAAGUGAUUAUUGGGUGAUUACUGGGUGUCAGUAACUGAAAACUAAAAAUUAUUAGGGUCAGUAACUCGAUUAUUAAGGUCAGUAAUUCGAUUAUUUUCUGGUAAAUUUUUUUUUCUAUUACAUUAAGCUGAAAUAAGUUGAUUAUUGGGGGUCAAUAACUGAUUAUUAGAGGUUAGUAACACGAUUAUUAGAGGCCAGUAACUAGUUACUUGACUCCUCACUACAAUAUAUGGUUCUUGAUUGCUCUUGUUUGUUUCCCCAUAAAAUGAAAAACUAAAAACAAUUAAAAAAACAUGGAAUUAUGAGAAUGUAUAUAAUAUUUGUUAAUUUGUUAACAUAUUUGGACGGGCUGGGGUGGCACGUGUACGACUUACUGUUUUGUUGAAUUGAUUUUGUGUCUGUUUCUUUUAGUAGCUGGCAGGGUGGACCAAUAAAUAGUAUUAUUAUUAUUAUUUGUUUUUUUUAAAUUACCAAACAGAUGCAAAUUUAAUAUUAAUUGGUAAUAAAAUAUUAAUUCUCUCUUCUGUUGGUGGGAAAGCGCGCGAGAUUAUCGUGGGAAAAUGGGAGGGCGGGUACUUUCAAUAUUCAACUUUUAUUUCUCAACCAAUUCAUUUUCGUAAUUUAUUACUAUUUUGUUUUUGUUUCAGGUUUUGUUUACGUUUUCGGUUUUUCGUUUUUGUUUUGUUCAGGAUGAAGUAUAUUGUAUAUUAUGGGUUGCACAAGACUGUACGUAGUGUCUGCGACUCUGCAAAUGGCAAUGAAUAUUUGCUCUGUUCCUUAAUUAUUAGUUGUUAAUUGGUGCUUCAUUGAUUAUUAAGAGUCUGUUUUGUCUUUGGUUAUUUGAGCUCAUAAGUCAUAACAACGCACAUUGAGAUGUUAUCAUCUAGCUAGGUUUUAAUCAGGUAGGUUGGGCUUAUUCGUUUAUUUGUCGUUAAAUCUACAUUCGUUUGGGCUUCAAUCGUCUCCCCCACCAACCAGAUAGUAACAUCAGUAGUAAGCACCGCCGGUAGGUCACGAACUUCCACCCAAAUCCAGAAAAAGUCGACAGGCAUCACUAUGAUGUAUGAGAAGCCAUCAUAGUCAUUCAGCAAGAUCAUACCCCUUUGAUAACUCCAAGGACCUCAUUUCUUAACGCGAGAGAGAUCACGUUGAUUGUUGAAUGUGAAGAGAAAUCGAUCUCCACGUUGCUGCACCUCCACCGAAACUGACAACCUCCACAUCUCUCGUCCUGCAGUUCGAAAGGAAUUGAAUUACACAGCACAAGCGAUGUUCAAUUUUCCCACCAGAUAAAACCGUAGAGCAACAAAACCCGUUCCCGGACGUUUGAGGUUUCUGAGAUCCAUAGGUUCGUCCUCUUGAUGAAGAGAGAGCUUAGAGAUCAAGCAAGCAGUCAUGGAGGCCAUAGCCACACCUCCACUGGAGACCAUCACCACUGCCAUAGAGAGAUCACGGCAUCACGCUGCACAACAAUUUUUCACUCACAAACCCUAACCCUAGCCGUCUUGGGGGGAGAGAGAGAGAGAGAGAGAGAGAGAGAGAGAGAGAGAGAGUAGUUGUGUAUAUAUAUUNUUAGUUAUUAGUUAAAUUUAAAGUUUAAACUUAACUAACCAACUAUUAAGUUUAAGUUUACGGUUUACGGUUUACGGGUUUAACGGUUAACGUUUACGGUUUACCGUUAACGUUAACUUAAGUUACGUACUACGUUAACUUUAAACUUAAAAUUUAAAAUUGUUUAGUUUAUUAUUAUUNUUAUUAGUAGUAUUAANAAUAAUAAUUAUUUAUUUAUUANAUGNNNGNGNNUAUAUAUANAUAUAUACUANANNNANANANAUAUAUAUNUNANACUAUAUAAUAAUAUACAACANAUNUNUNNNNNUNUNUNNANANACAANACAACACACUACUCUACUAUAUACUAUAUACUAUAUACUUAUACUAACGUAACUAACUUAAACUUUUAACUUUUUACUUUUUUAACGUUUUUUUCCUUUUUUUACCGUUUUUACUUUUAAACGUUUUUAAACGUUACCGUUAACGGUAACCCGUUAACCUACGUAACUGUUAACCGUAACGUUAACUAAACGUUAACUUAACCUUUAAACUUAAAACUUAAACUACUACUAAACUAAACAAACAACACUAAAAACACUAGAAAUUAAUAAAUUUUAUCUUAACAACACUUUCAAAACUAAUAUUUACCAAACACAAAACUGUUUUAAUUCACAGCUGAUUAUUUUUGCAGUACAGACAACAAUACCAAACUAGCCCUUAACAUAUUCCUAAAUUCAUAGUCAUUUAUCUCAAGCAAAUUCAAUUUGUUUUUUCUUUUUUCCAUUAUUUAUGUCAAGGUCCACAUGCUGACAUGCAAAUAUUUUCUCCCAAGAGAUGCCCUCUAUCUUCUUCACAAGCAGGUCGACUAUGGUCACUAGCGAGAUGCAUGCCAGCACAGUUAGAUCGCCUUGCCUAUAUACUGACGUAUACUGUACAACAAGCACCAUCUCAGUUCAAUAAGAAAAAGAAAAAACAGAACAGCAUUUUCAUUGAUUUUCAAGCUCGUUUCAGAUAGUGUGGUUUUGGAAAUUUGCAUUUUCCUUGGCUUCAAAAUAUAAAAUAAAAAUGUGGCUGCUGGGAUUCGAGCCCAGGUCUCCACGGCCACAACGUGGAAUUCUCACCACUAAACUACAGCCACAGUUGAUAAUGUACUAACUAAAUGUACAUAUAUAUUUUAGGCUAUUCAGUCGGAGGCCAAAAGUUAUGAGAAAUUUGCUGAAAUUAGGUGGAAAAAAAAUGUACACAUCUUCAUUUGCAAAAAUCGAAAUUAGUACGAAGACACGCACUAAAGAUAAUUAAUAUUUUUGAAACCAAAUUGUGUGAUUGGUCGGAAAUUCAUGAAUGAUGGUCAAUUUAAUUAUUCAAAGUGGAGGGUUAAUGUGAACAAAAAUAGAAAAAUAGCCAUUAAAAUAAAACUAAUGGGAAUUAUACAGGUACUUUACGUAACAGAGCAGCCCAACCAGAGCAAACCAAACAUCACAAAACCAUCUCUAAUUAUUUGAACUUAUUAUUGGUGUACAAGUGAUCAUCAGUUACUUCAAGUCUUGAACUACUGAUGGAAUAUAAUGGUGAGCCUCUUAACCACCCCAUGCACGUAACGCUUUUGCAUUCUCAUCAGUCAUCACUACUUAAACCCUCGCUUCUCCUCUCUCCCUUCACACAUCGAUCAUCUCCUAACCUAGAUCACAGAAUCACAAUGGCCUUCAACACUUCCAACCUCUACCUAAUUCUCACUGCUCUCCUUGCCCUCACCAUGCCGUUCUUGGCUUCUGCUUAUCCACCCUUGGUGACCAACAACCCAACCGGGUUGAAUCCGAGCCUGGCAGCUAGGUUGAAUUUGGAUGCAGAAUCCUCCAACUGCUGGGAUUCUUUGCUUCAGCUCCAGUCAUGUAGCGGUGAGGCUAUAAUGUUCUUCUUGAAUGGCGAGACUACUUUGAGUGAUGGAUGUUGCGAGGCUAUUCGGGUCAUCGAGCACCAGUGUUGGCCUGCCUUGCUCGGUUCGCUAGGGUUUACCACCCAAGAGACUGAUAUUCUCAAAGGUUACUGCGACGAGGCUGAGCAAACUCAUCAUUCUCCUCCAUCCAUACCAUCACCGUCGUCCCUUUUUCAUCCUAAUCGAGCGGCAGUUCGUGUUCCUUAUCAGGCUGAGAUGGCUCCUUGAAGAUUCCAGUUAUAUAUGGUGAUUUAUUCGGAAUCAUUAUAAUUUUCUAGGGUUUGUUUGCUGCUGCUUGUUAUGAAAUCUGUCACAUUUAUAUGAUGAGGUGUAUAACCGAUGAAGAGUACUAUGAAAUAAACCAAAAUAAUUAAUAAUCGUCUCAUCAGUUCUACGUAGCACGACAGUUUCCUUUACCUGUAUAUUCAACUGCCAAAUCACCUUUUAGACUCGUAACAAAACAGAAUAUAUAACUCACUUUUCUCCAAUAACAUUUCCAAAGCUUAAUUAGGCUGAACGCUUCUCGAAAUCCAAUUGCUUUAUCCCAAUUAUAGAAGUAUAUAUGUAAUGACAUCACAUGGAACUCGAUCAAUGUCUAAUUCUGAAUGUAUACAACCCACGGCAAUACCCAUAUCUAAAAUAUGUAGGGCAGAUUCAGAUCGAUUGCUCUCUACAAGCAAGAUCUAGGCAUGGAUACGAUCCCUUCGUCUAUCGAUACGUAUAUAUAGUAGCUAGGUUCAUCUACAUAUGAUGUGAGCUUAACUAGGCUUCUCAAUCCAUCCCAACUGAUGAAGCUCUCAUCACAAAUUGAUAAUAGCUGGUAGGCUCGUAGACAUGUGUAUAGUUGCCUCCAGUGAAUUAAGGACAAGAGGGCAUGGUUGGCUUAGACUUGGUAAGAUUUUAUUUUGCUCUCAUGGUCCUUUAUCCUCACACGUCCUAUCAAGUUAUUGCUACCUUCGAUUAUCACAGCAGUAAAACAAGAUAAUCCAUGUUUCAUUAUGCAUAUGUCUGGGUGUAUUAGCACCUCGUAUCGGUCAGCUCUGGACGUACUAGAGUACCUCAUAUCGGUCAUUAUCGAGCCCUCUUCCAUCGAAAAUGAAGAGAAGAGAAUGGCAUGGAGAUUAAUACGUACACACAGUAAUAAUUAACUAUGUUGAUUCAGUUUUGAUCGGUUAGCUAGUUAUGACAAGUAUGAUGGGUUAGUGAGUUAUAAAGCUGUUAUAUAUAAAUGAAAUGAGCUUGGAGAAAGAUUUAUGUAACUCUCUUUUGUGAUGGAAGUAUUCAAAGGCAUACGUCUAGAUCAUCAACCACAAUAAAAAUCAUAUGGAUAUGCACUACAUUAAGGCAUUAAUUUAUAUGACUCGAUCGUGAAUGGUAUAGAAAGUUAGAAUAUGGCAGGUGUUGGAGAAUGGUAGGUUAAAACCACACACAUAGAAAAAAAGAAAAAAAAGGGAGCUCUUCCUUCUAUUAAGUGUUUAUGUAAUUAGCUGAUCAAAUUUACUAGUUAGUAGCUCGCAUCUGUUUGAGCAAAUUCCAAAAACAAUCGGAAACAAUCGGUUUCUUAAUUAUUCUUUGGUUAGGUAGGACUUGGGAGAGUACACUAAAGAUGCAGUGGCAAAGGGUCAAGGCCUAAGCUGUUUUCGAUCCAUAUCCCAUAAAGAUCAGCACCGUCCCAUGUCCUAGACACAAACCUUACUAAAGCUAUACUUCAAUAAAUAAGAGUGUAUGAUUCAUAUCGACAACUAAAUCUCACCUAUUCUUUAAUAAUCCACAAUCCAAAAAUUAAAAAACAUAUACAAUUUAUAUUUUACAAUUCUAAAUAUAAUUAAUACAACACAUACAAUAAGUAUAUUAAUACUUCCGUUGCCAAUCCCCGGCAACGACGCAAAAAAAAUUGGCCGUGCGCAAAUUGAGCAAAUAAUAAACACAGUCAUGUUAAACACACAUGGCAUAUGAUCAAUUUAAAAACGAGGAAUUUUCAUAUACACCCAAUUUUAAAGAGUGGUUUUAAAUAAAACACACAUAAUAAUAUUCUUAUAUGGUAGACAUAUAAAAUGUAUCAAUUAUGAUAAAUAUUACGUUCUAUUUUUUCUAAAUUUUACACAAUUGCCAUUAUUCAACUAUAACAUAUAAAUAUAAUAAAUAAGCUUAAUUGAUGUUGUCUUAAAUACCUUGAUUAUGAAUUUUUCUUCUAACACUAACAUUUUUCAAUUAAUUUGCAAGAAUCAUGCAGUUUUCUUUAUUUUUAUGAAAAAAUCUAGAUUAAAGAAAUUCAUUCUCUAAUCUAUGCAUAAGGUAAAAUAUAAUAUGAAUAAGAUAUUUGAUCUAAACCCUAAACCCUAAACCCUAUACCCUAUACCCUAUACCCUAUUCCCUGAAACUAUACCCUAACUUUAUACCCUAAACCCUAUACCUUAACCCUAUACCCUAAACUCGAUUUUAGGUUUCUUCUUUUUAGGUAUAUUAUCAUAUCAUGCCCUACUUAAUAGGUACAUUAGAAACGUAAGUAGUAGAGAGUAAAAUAUUAUUUCGAUUAGGAUGGGAAAUGAUAUAAUAAUAUACCUAAAAAGAAGAAAAUUAAUCAAAGAACAAGAACGUGUACCUUACAAUUAGACAUUUUUCGACUAUGUAGAGAGCGAGACACCAAAUGAAAAGUAUCAUCCUAUUACAAAUGAAAAGUAUCAUCCUAUUACAAAUGACAUACUUUUGUAUAUAGCUUAUAUAUAUAUAUAUAUACACUCAAGUUAGUAAUAACAAGGUAAGAAAUUAAAGAAUGUAAUUGAUUAUGACAAAGUUAAAUCCAACUAAAUUUUAGCUAGUAUUUGACUUUCAAAUUGAUGCUAAAAUUGAGAAAGGUACCAAAUUUAGCUUUCUACAAGGGGAAAUUAGGGAAACCGAAAAAUAAAGAAAACUAUUAAUUAUAGACAUUUGCUCUAUAUGAUAUGUUUGCUUAUGUAGAGUGGGUGUAAAAUAAAAGAAAAAUAUGUAUAGGUUUAUCUUAAAAGAGGUCUAGUAGUUUGGGUUUUUAUCUAAUUUUCUCUUUAAAAACCCUAUAGUUGUAGUAAGAAUAAGUAGGAUAUCGACAUAUCGUUCAUAACCAACGAUUGAGGGUGAUCAUAUUAAAUUACAAGCUAAAUAACAAUUCCAUAUAUACAAGAUCAGGGGAUUAAUUUUGAUGCUACUGUUCAAAACAAUAGAGCCGCUAUUAGUUUUGUAACCAUGACUUUGAAGGUAACCCUCUUACAGAAGCCGCUAAGUAUAUAGGAGAUACCUAGGUGCUCUUGGCUGAAAGUAUCGCUUCAAAGAAAGCUCUUCACACAACUUGGUUGCAACAAUUCACCCAUGUUAUUGUCAAAGCAGACGACUCCAAGGCGCUUAUAAAUUGUCUCAAUGGUCAAGUAGCUGCUCCAUGGUGUCUCUGAUCUCUACUACGUGAUAUUCAGUGAUUGGUUUCUCAUUUCAGUUCCUGUUAUUUCCGUUAUGUCCAUUGUGAGACAAAGUUUAUUGUGGACAGAGUGGCUUCCUUAGGGCAUACUGUUGUUUCUCCCCUAGUUUGGUUUUUUUGUUUACCCCUCUCUGUGUCCCCAACGUUCCAUUUGGAUCCUCGUGGUUUCUUGUUGUAGUUUUUUGUUGUUGUUGUUGUUGUUGUUUUUAUGGCAUCGAAAAAAAAGAUAAGAUGGGGUUUAGAGUUUGUAUUCUAAUUAAACCACUCCAAUGUACUAACACAUGAUCUGGUCACAUCUCUCUUACCAAUGCGCUCACUCUCAGCUACCGCUACCACAUACUGUUAGGACGCUUCGGGCAGUGUAACAUGAUCAAUCAUGGUGGAGAACGUUGCGACAUGAGGUGGAGGAGGUUAUGGCGUUCUUGCGGGUUCGGUCUCGAAGUUAUGUCCAAUUGUUCCUGCCCUAAUGUUUAGGGCAACAAACGUGUUGGCUUCCCAACCCACCCUCCUCCCAACUGUCAGGCUUCCUUCUUUGUUCUGGCAGUGUACAAUUCAGAUUCGAGAAAUACCUCCAUUGGUGAAUGAAACAAUGUCUAAUGGAACCCCAACCCCUAUGCAAAUUUUUGGUGUGUAGCGUAAACGUGAGGAACGUGUGGAAGACUUGGUGGAGAACUCUAGGGAGGAUGACAAGAGAACCAAGCAUUGCUUGGCCCUGGUUUUUAUCUCUUUGCAGCCGAAAAAUCUAGGAUUUUGUAACCCCGUGGAUGGCUCUUUAUCAAGCCUGGCUACUACACCUAGGGUUUACCCGAAACGAGGCUGCCCCCGUGAUAACAAGAGCAAGCCUAUGAAGCUAGCGUUUGACGGUGCAUCCUCAAUGGCUGAUGCGACGUCAGAAUAUUGAUCCAGGGUUGUCAUGGUGGAAAGCACGGCGUAGAUAGAGAACGUUCCUUAGGGUUUGUAACAUUAAUUUGCAUGCCUUAGUUUUGGAGCUAUAUAGCUGUUCUUUUCUUUGCGUCGUACAUCAUUUUGUCUUAGGCGGCAAAUUAAUAAUUUUAGAGUNNNNNNNNNNNNNNNNNNNNAUUUUCUCUAGUUUGAUAGAGUCGUCAGGAUUUUUAUCAAUGGAUUAUUCUUCCAUUGCCCUAAAAAAAGGGUUAUGUCUUCACUUCCUUCUUUGUUCUUUCUUGAAAAUUCAAAAUCUAUUCGCUUCUCUCAAUUAUAGGAGUAGUACUGUUAGAGGGCCUUAAUAAGACUUAAGAUUUAUGACCUUAAUCUUAUAUGUGGCAUGUCAUGUCACAUAAACACAUCAUCAAUUUAAUAAAUCAUGUCAUUUUAUUUUUAAGUAAAAAUACAAUUUUAACCUUAAUAAUUAAUGGAUGCUACAUAUAUACUAAUAUGAAAUAUUUUCUUACCCUUUUAAUAUGGAUGUGUAUAUACCAAGUUUAAUUAAUUUAUAAAUAAUCAUACCAAAUUAGGCUUUUGUACCAUAAAUCAAUUUCAUAAAUUUAUUAAAAUUUUCUUCUAUCUUUGUGAAUCGAAAUUUAGUUCUAUUUUAAUAUUUUAUUUUUGCUGUUUAAAAUUAUGAUAUCUAUAUAUAAACCAUAUUAUGUUAAUAAUUUUGAAAAUAAAAUAAAAAAAAUAGAAAAAUCUCUAUCAAAUUUCUUUUGGAUAUAUGAUUACGUGUGUGUGUGUAUAUAUAUAUAUAUUUCAUAAGAAUUCAUGCAAACUAUUGAGGAUGCAUCAAGCAUUAAUGUCAUUGAGUUUUUUCUCCUGAACGAAAUUGUUUUUUCUUGGACAAAUUAUAUAUAUAUAUAUGUGUGUGUGUGUAUUUCAUAAGAAUUCGUGUUUUUGAACAAGUAUAUUCUCAUAAAUAUAUGUAUUUUCACACUAUAUUUUACGUUCAAUCUGAGCAUGAUAGUGAUGAAAAGGAAAAGAGAAACAAAAUGCUAGAAAUAUAUAUUUUUUAAUUAUAAAAGAAAAACAAAAAUCAAUUUUUUUCUCUUAAUAAAAAGACAAUAUAAUCUAGAGCCAUUGGAUUUGUAAGACAACAAAUAUUUUUAAUUGGUGAUAUGUGUAGGUGACAUAGCAUGCCAUCUAAAAUUAAGACCACAAAUCUUAAGGAUUAUUAAAACCAAUAAUCAUUUUCCCAAUUAUAGAAGUAUGUAAUUAAUCACACAUCAACGCUAGAACGUACAACACAGUCUUCAGCAUAAUUUUGAUGCAAAUUUGCGGUAUUGGGUUCACCUUCGAUAGUAUAUAUAACAUGAUAUAUAUAAGCAUAUCGAUUGGUCCCAACUGUAUGGAUCGAGCAUGUUGUGAUAGCUAUACAAUAUAUAUCAACAAUAAUUUGAGUCUCAUUACAAAUAAAAAAGCUGGUUGGCGACGUUAUCUGUAUCUGUGAUUGCCCUUUACUGAAGGACAACUGGACACGAGGACAUGAUCGAUCAGAUAAGAGUCAUAAGACUUGGUAGUUAGGGUUUUCCUUUGCUCUCAACUAAUCACAUAAAAUUAAUUAUUACAUCCAAGAGAGGAAGGGCAAAAGUUAUGAGAAAUUUCGUGUAGAAUACUACAGGGGAAGAUGUACGUGCUGAUAGAUGAAUUAUAAAGGACACCGUGCGUUACGUAUCCAGAAUUCCAGAUGUAUAGCAUGCACAAAACCAUCACUGUGUACAAGUGAUCAUCAGUUAUUUCAAUUCUUGAUUAAUAUCCACUACUGAUCAUAUAUAAUGGUGAGCCUCUUCACCACCCCAUGCACGUAACGCUUUUGCAUCCUCAUCAGUCAUCACUACUUAAACCCUCGCUUCUCCUCUCUCCCUUCACACAUCGAUCAUCUCCUAACCUAGAUCACAGAAUCACAAUGGCCUUCAACACUUCCAACCUCUACCUAAUUCUCACUGCUCUCCUUGCCCUCACCAUGCCGUUCUUGGCUUCUGCUUAUCCACCCUUGGUGACCAACAACCCAACCGGGUUGAAUCCGAGCCUGGCAGCUAGGUUGAAUUUGGAUGCAGAAUCCUCCAACUGCUGGGAUUCUUUGCUUCAGCUCCAGUCAUGUAGCGGUGAGGCUAUAAUGUUCUUCUUGAAUGGCGAGACUACUUUGAGUGAUGGAUGUUGCGAGGCUAUUCGGGUCAUCGAGCACCAGUGUUGGCCUGCCUUGCUCGGUUCGCUAGGGUUUACCACCCAAGAGACUGAUAUUCUCAAAGGUUACUGCGACGAGACUGAGCAAACUCAUCACCAUUCUCCUCCUUCCAUACCAUCACCGUCGUCCGUUUUUCAUCCUAAUGGAGCGGCAGUUCGUGUUCCUUAUCAGGCUGAGAUGGCUCCUUGAAGAUUCCAGUUAUAUAUGGUGAUUUAUUUGGAAUCAUUAUUUUCUAGGAUUUGUUUGCUGCUUGUUAAGAAAUCUCUUACACUUAGAGUACUAUUAAAUAAAGCAAAAUGUCUAUCGUAUCAGUUCUAUGCCAAUUAGUCUUUCCGUAGCACCAAAUUUUCCUUUACCUCUAAAUUCAUGAUAAUUCAACUGCUAAAUCAAUACCUUUAAACUCAUAACAAACAAAGUCACUAAGAGCUUAACGGAAUAUAUGAUUCACUUUUCUCCAUUAACAAUAUUAAAGCUUAAUUAGGCUGAAUUGUUUGUCGAACCCUUUUAUUAAAGAUAAACUUCUGUCUUCACUUUCUUCUUUCUCGAAAUUCAAUAGCUUUAUCCCAAUAAUUAGAAGAAUGUAAUCACACAAUUCACAUGGAACUCGAUCGAUGUGAAUUCAUAACCGGCGAAUUCAUCAGAAUGUAUACAAUCCACGGCAAUACUCUGAUCUAAGAUAUGUAGGGCAGAUUCAGAUCGAUUGCUUUCUACUAGCUAGCAAAAUCAUACGAGAUGGCAUGGAUGCGAUCCUUUCGUCUAUCGAUAUAUAGUAGGUUCAUAUUCGAGAGUGUAAUACUGUAAUAUAUAUGAUUAAUGAUUUGAGCUUAAUUAGGCGCGGCUUAUCAAUACAUCCCAACUGAUAGAGCUCUCAUGCAUUACAAAUUAGUAAUAGCCGGUAGCUAGGCUAGUAGAUAUGUGUAGUGUAGUUGCCUCCAAUGAAGGAGAAGAGGGCAUGAUUGGCUUAGACUUAAUUGGUAAGCAGGUUUUAUUUUUCUCUCAACUAAUUACAAAUUAAUGCCUUAAUGUAGUUCAUAUCCAAAAGUCACUUAAUACUUAAUAGAAGGAAGGGCUCCAUUUUUUCUUGGGUGUGGUUUUAACCUACCAUUCUCCAUAUAUAACCUGCCAUUCUAACUUUCUAUAUCAUUCAUGAGUCAUACAAAUUAAUGCCUUAAUGUAGUUCAUAUCCAUAUGAUUUAUGCCUAGCUUAUUUUACUUCUCUAUCGAUUUUUCAAUUUCGCCGACGUAUAGAAUCUUGGUGCUCUGCAGUCUGCAGCACGUCGAGAUCACCGGAAUUGUAGAAUAUGUGGCGCCAGUGAACAUGGAUUUUGCCUGAAAGCAAGGACUAUUCUCUUCCAGCAGUUCUUGUCGAUGAAGUAUCUCUAUCUGCAGAUCUGCAGCUUCAUCAAAUUUAUUUUCUUAAUUGAUGAAAUUUAUAUGGACGUUUUCUUUUGAUUAAUUUCAUUGAUUUUGUUUAAAUCCAGUCAUGUUAUCUGUUUGCUUCAAAAACUAGAUAAGAAUAGAAAGUCCUUAUCCCAAAUUAACCAAUCCAAUCUGGUCGUAUUGCCAAUCCGAUCCAGUCAAUUCUGCCAAACGCGCGCGGCCCCUGGAAGCUGAGCGAAGUACCUGAAGUUUGUUCUAUCUCUCUCUUGGUUUGGACCCUUCAAACUUGAGCCUAUGUAGUUAAGUAUCUAAUCAUCAAUAUAUAGCACGUACAAGACUGUAAUCUACUGCUACAUCAUAAACCCUGAAGUCUACAAACUCAUUCAAUGAAAUAAUUCACUUUUAUCUAAUCAUAAAGCUUAGGGAGAAUUGUUUGUCGAACCCUUUUAAUAAAGAUAAUAAUUAAAGUUCUGUCUUACUUUCACUUUCUAUUCUUUCUUGAAAAUUCAAAAUCCAAUUGCUUUCUCUCAAUUAUAGGGGUUUGUCUGCUAUACCUAACCGUAUAACAUGACUAAAGGAGGUUGUCCAGCAAGAGGAUGCUUGGUUGAAUUUUUGGUCAUGGAAUUUGCAAGGUAUAUUGAACCGAACGGUAUAGCAGAAUUUUCCCAAUUAUAGAAGUAUACAUGUGAUGAAUCACAGAGAACUCAAUCAAUCACAUUAAGGCCAAAACGUACAACACAAUCUUCAGCAUUAUUAUGAUGCAAAUUUGCGGUGGUACUGGGUCUGGGUUCAUCUUAGAGAUUCUAAUAUAUGUGAUAUAUAAGCCUAUCGAUUAGUCCCAACUGUAUGGAGCUUGUGAUAGCUAUAUAGUACCAAGAAUAAUUUGAGUCUCAUUACAAAUUAAAAAAAGCUGGUAGGCUAUACGUUAUCUGUAUGACAUGAUUCGAUAAUACUUGGUAGGGUUUUCUUUUCCUCUCAACUAAUUACAAGAGAGCGGAAUUGAAGGGCUCCAUUUUUAUUUUAGUUCACUUUACCAUAUCAGGUUGCUAUCAUAUUUCUUUAUAGUUGUUAUUAUAAAUUGAAAACAUACUCCAAAUUAAUGUUACAGAAUUUUUGGAUACAUGGCAUGCUCCAAGUAAACGAUAUUAUUUAUGAUAAUCAACAAUGCAUACAUGGCAUGCUACAAGAGCAAACCCAGAUAACACCCAUAUCUCACACAUAACACAUAGACACUUAAAAACGUGAUCAACAGGCAUCAAUAAUCCCAGACUCUGAGAUAAUUUACAGAUCCUGUUGCUCACAUAAUACACUUGAAACAUCAGAUCGUAAAUAAGUAAAAACCUAAAUUAACAUGCAUGCAACAACGCAUAUAUAGAUACAUAGUUAAUUAUUGAGGAAGAUCGAUCAUCAGAAGCUCAGAUAUAUAUAUAUUUAGAAGAGAUGAUGGUGCUUCUUUUCAAGGCCAUGAGCCUCUUUUUCUUCUUCCUUGGCCUCUUUCUUAUCAUGGUGCUCGUGGAAGGCGAACCCACCAGAUCCAACUGCAGCAACUGCAGCGAUCUCCUCUUCUACCUUGUGCUUGUGUGCAUGCUCUGGGUCAUUCUUCGCCUUAUGCUUCUCAUGCUGCAAAUUAAAAGACAUCAGUUUAGAUGAGAAAUGAGUCAUCAAGCCACUAAUUAAGAAGAGAUUUACAGAAAUGGCAAAAAUGUUACAUGACUCAAAACCUACAUGAUGCAUGUGUUCAUAUAAUAUAUAGUUCCAGUAAUUAUAGUCUAUUCAAAAAUAAAAACAGGUUGAUCGAGUAUAUAUAGUCUUAAUUAGGGUUAAUUCAAAUUGUACCAAAGCAUAGGCUCCUGCAGCAACGGCACCCAUCUCCCCAAAUUCUUCGAGAUGCUUGUGGUGCUUCUCCUCCUUCUUGUAAUCGAUUCCAGACUCGGUGGUGCCAUAAGUUUCAGUGGAGGUCUCGCUGUACUUGCCACCGUGUCCCUGCUUGACGUAACCAGCAGUCUCGCUGGUGUAUCGGCCACCGCCGGGAGCAGCAGAGCCAUACGCGUCGGUGGUCUCACUCCCGUACCUGCCACCGUCUCCCUCCGCGGAAUAACCAGUGGUUUUGCUGUAGCCGCUGCCUCCGUAAGAGGUCUUAGAUUCGUAGGAGGAGGUUUCUAACGGAUUGUCGUCCUUGUCCUUGUGGUGGUGGAAGAGGCCGUGGUGGUGCUUCUCGUCAGACAUAGUGCAAAUUAAGAAUGUGGCUAAGAUUAUGAGGAAAUGUUCUACGCUUUAAUUUGGAUGUGGGAGACUUGGGAGUGCAAGGUGGUGGCUAUUUAUAAGUGUUGGUCACCAUAGAGUUCUCCGGUUUUGGAUCCUCCUUCCUCGGUAAAAUUCUACGUACCAUAUUUUGGGAUUCUUCUUCACUCGCCACGUGCAUUUCUGCUCGACUAACUUGGUAUGGAGGGUCAGGAUUUUCUGUCUCAGAGGCCGGAUGUCACUAAACCUAGGGUGGAUUCUUACAUUUACGUAUGUAGGUAGGUUGAAAAGCUAGCUAGACUUGCAUUAAUAUUCAUCGUCUUCGCCGUAGAUCGAUCAUCCUACACAUGUUCCUUGAUAACUAAGAAAACUUUAGUUCGGCUAAAACUUAACAAUGACUAGUUUUAUGAGUGCGCAGAGUUUCUCGCGGUUUUGCGUUGUAAUUUUUUUCUUAAUAAAAAAAAAAACUAGUUUUCUGAGGGUUUAUCUGUUGUGCAAAUGAGUAUCCCAUACAUAUAAUUAAGAAGAGACGAUUAUGUCAAGUGUUUGUUUUUGCCGUUUUGCUGAUCGAGUCAAUGACCCUUGUGGUUGUGGAUGCACAUGAGUGGGUGAUCAGAUCUAGAUAUGGAUAAUUGGGUCCUCCAUUCAUAAAAAAGGGUCACGCUAUCCACUUCUUAAUGGAAAGUUUGGUUAUGAAUUGAUGUGGCUAUGUCAUGACAAGCACUUAUACAAACCAGUUUCCAGUGAAAAGGGAGAAAUCUAAAUCCCCGUCCCCUCCUUUUCUUUCUUUCUUGACUAUAAUUUAUUAUGGACGGUGGUGAGAGUCAUUGGAAUGGCAGUUGGAGUCUGGGGAGGUGUCGGCAAGAGUAUAUUCAUCCCCAGAUGCUCACUCCUGCAGUUGAAACCUUGGCCUACAUGAUAUCAUCAUCAACUCACAGGUUAAGUAGUUGAAUCCGAUCCUUCCUUGGGAAAUGGGACUUGAUCGAUCAACUAUUCUACUAAUCUACCAUAAUUUCAAGUGUGAAUAACAAAAGAGUUAAAGUACAUGGUUUUUGGCCGAUAGAGUAUGAUUAGCUUUACGACUUUAGAGUGCAAGUAAGAUUACCGCAUGAGUUAACUGUUUACUUGCAAACUUGGCCUGGAGAACGAGGUUGCGAGCGUAAGGCCGUAAGUUGCUUCUAAGUUUCCGAAGCUCUCUACGUACAUAACCUAGCCGCCUGCGUUAGGGGUGGAGAAACCUAGCUAGCUAGGGUUUUCUAGGAUUUCUGAACCAAAUCUUCCAUGGAGGACGAGAUGACAAUUCCGUUUUACGAUGUCGUUAUAGAACUGAUGGAGGAGGACCUGUGUGUCUGUGAUUGUAUCCACUGAUCACCUUGAGACUCCUGCUUGUACUUGUCAUUUUCAAACCAUCACCAUGGUGGUUAACAAGCAUAUCUGGAAAUAAGGAGCCUUUUCUACUGCUAGAGACACCAAGGAACAUCAACGCCAAAAUUAAAGCCCACAACCCAGAAGCCUUCUUCAUGAUGCAGAAAAUAUAAGAUACACCAAAGAUUUUGCUUCAAUGAUUUUCAGACAUUCUCUUCUAAGAAACACAACCCAUGAAAGAGUAGUAAUAAUGGAGAAGGAAAUAGAGGAACCGCCGGUGUUCUGGACCAGUUCAGCAAAGUCAAAACCAGGAUUUCCAGGGAGAUAACAGGAAGGAAUAGCUAGCAAGUUAAGAGCUAGCUAGACUUGAACAGGGACAAGCGUAGGUGGCCUGUGAAUCAUUAUUGUACCGAUACUGUCUCAACUUAACUACUUUUAAGGUGUUGGGUUUUAAUCACAAAAAGGCUCAAUACUAUUGGGUAUGAUCCAUCCACUUAUAAGUUAUGUUUUAUUUAUCUAUUUUCUAAUGUGAGAUCUUUCCUCUCAAACACUCCCCCUCACGUGCAACGUAACUUUUUAGGCCUGCACGUGGAUUUCAUUCGGUCCAAUUCCCAUAUCGGAAAUCUGUAAUGCUUUGGUCCAAUUUCCACUUCAGAAAUUGGUGUAUGUGGUCCAAGGCCCACUGCAGACACUUGGUAUGGUAUGAAGCCAAUUGAAAUUUUUCUAAUGGCAAUUUGAUGAACCCAAAUUUGGGCAUAUUAUGCUGGGAGACGUAAUUGAAGAGGGUUCCGCUCUGAAACCAACUUGAAUAGGAACAAGUGUGGCCCGCGGAUCAUUAUUGUACCGAUAUUGUCACAACUUAAUCAUUUUUAAGGUGUCAGGUUUUAACCACAAAAGACCUCGGUAUAAUUAGGUAUGAUCAAUUCACUUAUAGGUUAUGUUUUAUUUAUCUAUUUUCUAAUGUGGGAUCUUUAAACUCCAACAGCUAGCCCAUGUCUUGCAUUUGAAGAGUGUAGGAAAAUCAUAUGCGAAAUACUUGUUUCCACACCAUUGCAACAAAUCGAGUUGCCUAUCUUCAUGUACAUAUUCCAGAAAGCAGAGUAAAAAGACUUUGAGCCGCAUCCUAGAAAACUUGUUCGUCUCCACAAAACUUGCAGAGGGCAUACAAUUGGUUGGUCCAGGUUCCCUUCAUAUUUUGUUUUUCUUUUUAUUCAUUGAGUCGAAAUUACACUACUACACAAAAAGUUUCAAUGAUGUUUGAAAAACGUCAUAGUAGGGCUUUUAUGACGUUUAUCAAACGUCAUCUACUUCGCCGUAUAUACUAGAGUCAUGAAAGGGGGUAUGAAACAAUGACAGUUCGAAAACAUCAUAAAAAAGCUCUUAACGACGUUGGUAAAAUGUCAUAAAUAAAAAAGCAUGACACUUGAAAAACGUCAUUGAAUAACCUUCCACAUCGUUUUUCAAUGUCAUAGAAAUUAAUUCAUGACAUUUAUGAAACGUCAUUGAAAAUCUGUCAUGACGUUUUUGUAGUAGAAUUGAAUGUAUUUGUAGUUGAUGCUCGCUAGGAUAUCUUUUGAAUCUAAUUUGCUCCUAGUUAGGGUUAGGUUUUGGGAAUUUUGUUUCUUCGGUUUUUGGAUGCACAUGGUUGUGAUUCUACUUUUAAUUGUGUGAUAGGUUGAUUAAGGAGUCACUCAUGAUGGGGAGAAGAAGGUCGAAAACUAUUUGUACUUGCAAUUUAAGGAUCAUCUUAAAAGGGUGAAUCUUAACAAGCUCGAGGGGAAAAAGGAAUCUCCUAGGUUGGAACUAGUGGUAGAUUUCAUGAAGCACGAAUUUCUUAAUGAAAUGUGUAUUGUCAUGAGAGAUUCGAAAAAAUGAAAUGUGUACAUGCUUGGCGGAGAAAAGGUUCUUGAGAAUGUAAAACCUGGAACACAUUGGUGGCUGGCAGAUUUUAAUCUCUCUAAUGCCCUAUGUUGUGAUGUUUUUGUGCUGGAUUUGGUUGAAGAAGAAUUCUUUGCUGCUCAUCAGUUUCCAAAACCAAAAGGACCAAAGAUCAAUGCCAGAGCUUUGGCCAAAAUUGGUGACAAGGUCUACGUAAUGAGUUUUAAGCCAUAUUACUAUUGUGGUGGUAUGAUUCCACAUCCGGCCUUCGAGUGCUUUGAUUCUGCACAACAGUCGUGGGAGGAGCUGCCUCCGCCGCUUGAAUAUUCUCUUCCCCGUGAACGUUUUCAUCAUAUAUAUGGUUUCCACAACUUAUGGUUAUUAUUUUGUGAUUGGCCCAAACAUUUAUUUGCGCACUCAACUUGGCUUCUAUUGUUACAAUGUGGAUCAAUCCCUACCAGCAUGGAAUUUCUUAAAAUCAACAUUAUGGAAGUUUGAUGCGGCGAUGAUGGUGAUGAUGAUGAUUCGGAGGAGGAAACAACAAAACCGGAAGACAAAAAACUCCAUGACUCGUCACUGCCUGUGAUACCGGCUUCGCUCUUCCAUUCUAUUUGCUUUGCAGAACCAGGAAACGGGGGCCUCCUAGCUGUUUGCUAUUCUGCUCACGACUUAGUGGAUUACUUAUUUGCCUCUAAUGGCGAUUUACUGUGUCAAGAGCUACUUGACCGUUUGAACUGUCAUCUUCCCUCCCCCAAUAAACAUCUCUUUGGUGGGAGAGUCUGCUAUGGAAGCAAGUUCUGUCUCAUUCUGUCCAGAUAUAUUAAUGAUGAUUCUUCAUGGUCUUUAGCUGUAGCAACUUUUGAUGUAAAAUGUGUAGCUGGUGCUUAGAAUGGUGAUGGAGGAGAGAAAUGCUUCCACUGUGAUCAUCAUCCUAUCUGUUAUCAUCAGUUUCAUAUCGAGGAUUUGCAGGAUGGUUAUUAUGACCUAUCUGACAUGAACUUCCAGCUUCCAAGGCUUUAUGAGUACUUGCAUUUCCAUGAUGCUUUCUUCAUAUCUUCCUAGCCUAAGAGUCAGCGUCACCACAACCACAAGCGCAAGCGGAAUGAACAGUGCUAACCCCUUAACCCUAUUAUAUAGAGUACAAUUUGUCCAUUCUCAAGGAAUAAUGUUUCAAGCUGUUAUUACAGAUGGGAACUACAAAAAUGCAAGCCCCCGGACUUUAGCAAUCGUUGAUGCAUGUACUGGAUUAAUUGAAUGGUUAGUAAAAAUUUCAAACAAUAUAUGUAACAAAUUAAUUGAGACGUACAAGAUAAGAUCGAAUUUUGCACAUACAAACGAACAUCAAUGACCUUCUUUCACUGUGAAAGAAAAAAAAAAAAAAACAACUAAUCUAACAAAAUGAACACAACGCACGCAUGAGCGCGGCCAUUUCGCACGCGCGUAUGCAGAAAGGCUAGUAUCUACUAGUAAUAGAAUCAGUGUAGAAGAUGUUCUUACAGUGUGGACGGGGAAAUGGAUCGGUCAUUUUGCAGCAAAUAUUUCAGCACUUGAUUUUUCUGUUGUACGUUAAUUCUAGACUAGUUCCAUAUGUCUCUAGCAGACUUCAAAAAACAAACUGCCAAGAUAAAGCAGAGAAACCAUCUGUGCUUUACUGUGGAUUGAUUUUACACUCGUUCUUUAAAAUCUUUCCAAUUGAUAGGCAGCCUGUGAAAUACCAACGAAGGCGAAAGCUCUUGAGCGAAAACUUGUUUGGAGAAACUUCUAUUCUUUUAUUCGAGGUAACCAACAGAAUAUAGAAAAGGAAUGACAGCUGAAGAACAAGGUGCAACAGGUAAUCUAGUGCUGCUCAAGAAAAACAAAACCAAUGGGCUAUUACAUGUGACUGCCAUAAACCGAAAACAUACGUAUGCACAGAUCUUAUUGUGUGCAAUUGCUCUUCAAGAUUCCCACCUGUAUACGUUUUCUCCUGCUAUUUGUAGCUUCCUGUAAUGAGCCAUGUCUUGUUGGGUGAGUACCAGUUCGCAAGCCUCUAUUGUUACACAAUCAACAUGUUGGGUGCUCUAUGGAAUGGGUUGGGCGAAGAAUCAGCUACAAGGGCAAGCUUAAAACUCGUAAAAAGUAGGAGAAAUUCGUCUGAAUGUUUCCCCCUCUUUAAUAUUAAAAAAAAACCCAAAUAAAGGUCAAUCCAAAUAAUCAAAUUCUAAAAACCUCUUCUAAUAUUUAUGGAAUAUGAAAACAAAUAAAAAAAAAACUAAAGAAAAAAGAAGAACUUAAAAGGUAAAUUUGUCAUCUUAACGGUUAUAUAUACCAAUCUUAGAUCGGGAUGAAAACAUGAGAUACCGUUCUCAUAUUUUUAAAACUUAAUAUACCAAAAUUUAUAACGAGUAAAAGUUUAUAUACCAUCCAGACGAAUUUCUCAAAAAGUAAAUGUAUCACGAGGGAGAGGGUAGAACCUUCAAUUGAGAAUGACAGCAUAAAAACCCUAAAUCAAAGGAGAACUGUGCCGGUGUCAUUUAGAGCCGAGACAAACCUUCCAUCAGACGGAGAGCAGCAACAGAGAUGGCAACAAAGAAAAAAUUGCGAAUGAGAGACUACUGCAGAUUAGGCACUUAUUUUGAGUUUUGGACCCAAAAUUGUGAUACUGCUGAAACUUAUGCAGUGAAAUUGUGAUUUGACCGAACCACCUAUGUAGGUUUCACAAAGCAGCCUACAUCUGCAGAAGGGGGAAUUCGUUACCAGAAGCUUCAAAUGGGAAAUUUUGUACUUUUGUAAGUACAACCGCUGCAGGCCAGAUCAAUUUAUGUACACCUCUACAACAAAACCAGAAGCUUGAAGGCAGGAAAAUAACUUCAACAUCUAUGAUCAUAUUUUAAAAUGUGACCAAACACUCGGACAUCAGACGUCAAAGAGAUAUCAGAGUCAAAAUCCCUGAACAGUAGUUGGAACACCAUUUGAAGCAGAAGGUUACGAGGAAAAGAAAAGGAUGAAACUUAAAGAAUAUAGCUCCCACAUAUGAUCCCUAAUAUAGUUCCCAUAAGAUCCCUAAAAAAAACAGCAGUAAUUAAGAAUAUAGCUCUCACAUAAGAUCCCCUAAUAUCUAUUACAAACCAUCCUCUUUCUGGUCCCAUAUGAUUGCCAAAGAGGUGGGAGAACACUGAAUAGUGUAAAUGAAAGAAAAGAAAUGUCCCAAACGAAACUACACAGAACAUAGGAAAACUUCCCCUACAUUCACUUGACCAUCCAAACACAAUUGAGUUUUAUUUUGUCCCUCACACACACCUAGUAGGAGUCCACCUAGUAUGUAGCAAAUGAGAUUCGAGCUUCAGAGCUCUUCCAACAAAGAAAGAAAUAGCACUAGACCACAAGCUUAUUUAUGUGAAUGUAAGUUUAUGUUCCGCUUGUUGACAAUUUAUGUAAUUAUUAGGUAAGAAUAAACCCUAGCCUGCACAAGGAGUAUAACAUAUUGUCUUACCUGUUCUUGCAGAAACUGGAAAACCAAAAAUAGCCAGUCCCAAGAAAACAUGAAUGUGCACAAGUUAAAUAGACCUGUUUGACUCAUUUUAACAGCUAUGGAAAACAUGGCAUGUGCAUAAAUAUCGGACAAAGCCAGACUUGGUCAUAUUUCAGACUGAGAGCUACAACACUGGUGAAACAGUACCCAGAAACUAAAAUUGCAUCACAUUAAGAAUUCUAGAUUUCUAGGUGACGGGGCAUUUUUCUAUUGGAAUCUAAAGUACAUAUGUUGGCUAUUGCCGUUCUGAUAAAUAAAUCAAUUUGUCUGUGUCAAAAUACAAGACUUAUACAAGUUGCAAGGUUGUCUUAUUCAUGGAAAACUCCAAUGAUCAGUAGAUCAAAUUGCAGCCUGGGAAUUGCAAAUCAUUGGAGGGAGUACUAAAUUUCCAAAUGCAUUAUGAUCUGCUUAUCUAAAAUCAAGUCCUAAAAUUCCAAAUUAAUUGAACAUAAAAUAUGAAUGAACCUAGGAAUAAAAAAAAAGUGAAGGAAAAUAAUGCAGAUUGGGAAGACAAAGGUGAUUAAAGGCUUGAAGCAACGAAGUCCAGCAGUUUAAAAGCCAUCACAUUUACAACUCAGUAUCUAUUCUACUUCUUGAUAUCCAACAUAACAGUACAUUGUCAUUCAUGACUUCAGAAUUUCCAAGUCACUAACAACUUGGAACCCAACAAGAACUGUUUGGACUACUGGCCAGACAGAACAAGGAGAUAGGGAAUACAAUACAUCAAGACCAAAAACAUGCAGAAGUAACCUGAUCAGAUCAAUAAGAUUCCUGUAGAGUAGACUACCGACUUUUAUUAGCCAACCUCUUUGAUUGAUCAAGUUAAGACAAGCAAGCAAACUUUAUAUGGCUUGGGGAUGGAUACGAGGGACUUCAGAAGACUACACCUAAGCAAAAGCUGGCACCUGAGAAAUUCCAACUCCAGCUGACAUAUUAACUAGGCAUCGCCUAACAGAUGCUAUAUAAUCAAGUAUUAAUGUGGAUUACAACUAUUAUCUCAGAUCCCUAAUAUUAUAUAUGCAAAAACCAUCUCUCAACUCCAAAAGCCACCAAAUCUUUACACCAAGGGACUUGUGAUGCACAGUUCAAUUUUAGAAAUUUUAGGAAAAAACAUACUGGGUUUCCUCCAGUAUACCUUGAAAUUCCUAAACAGCAACAUAGUGUACAAAUGUCCUCUGAGUCAAUUUAAUAAAAUGGAAUCCUAGAACAAAAAUUCCAGUAAUACAGAACUGAAUGCACCAGUUUUUCUUUCCAAUAUUGCUCUUUCUCUAUUAACCACUUGACAUAGUGCCUGAAAAACUAAAACCUAAACCCUAAACAUUACCACCAAGGGAAAUCAUUUCUAUAAACUCAAACCACAGUCAAUAAAUCUUGAAUAAUACAGAAUGAAUAAAAUGAUAUUACAGAAGUAGAGAAGUUGCAACAAUAAAAAGAAUUAGUAAUGAUGAUAAAAACUACAGAAAACCCUAUUCCAUUCGAACUAAAAGAAGUCAUCUAUCAACCAUUAAGUACAACUAUUAUUAUAGAAACUGCAAGCAAAGCCUAUCACAUUUGAACUCGAGCGAAGUUAUCCAUUGACCAUCAAGAAGCAGGUAGAUGCGAACUCAAAAGAAUCCAAAAGGUCAUAUGCAGAUACAAAAGAACAUGCACAAGUGCAUCGUAUUUCAAACAAUAAUUAAAGAAAAGCUUCAUCAUCCAACUAUUAACCGAUAUAAUAUUCAUAGAAAGAAGUAAAGAUUAAAUGAGUAAUACAGAGAAAAUGAGUAAUAGUAGAGUAACUUUUUCUCGCAGGAUAUGAUGUAAAACUCCACAUCGAUUUGUCAUUGCUAAAAACUCAUUAAAUAACUAAAACCUAACCUGGAAUUGACAAGCCAGACUGCCAGACCUACUGUCUAUUAUUUUCAGCUGCACUCUCUUCCUUGCCAAGGGCAACAACUACCUUCUUCAAGAUAGCCUCUGUUGGUUGGUGAGAGUUCUCCACUGCCUUUGAAAUAGGUUGCCAUUUUUCACCAUGCUUUGGUUCUGCAGCAAUGCAUCGUUUUAGUACAUCCUUCUGGUUCUCGUCAGUCCCAUUCUGAAGUUCAAAUUUGUAGUAUAAAGCCCAGAAAUCUCCAAUAUCUGGGGCAAGUGUCACUGCCCUGUUGAGCCAAGUCCUAGCUUUGUCAACCUUCCUGUCGAGCCAGAAUAACUUGGCCACAGCAGCAAUGACAUGGGGAUCGUGAUCACAUUUCUUGAGGGCAUCCAUACUUUUGGUCUUCCUUUGGGGACGCGGUACCAUCUCAAUAGAAGCUGCCCACAAGAUACCACUAUUGGGACACUCCUGCAAGGCCUUUGCCAUCAAAAUAUCAGCUUCCUUCUUAUUACCAUGCCUCAAUUCAGCUCGAACAGCAGCAAGCCACAGUUCAGGGUUCUGAGGAUUCUUCUUCCUGGCCAUCGUAAGAACUGCACGAGCUUUACUCAGCCCAUUCAUCUUCUCUUCAAGAUUUGCAAGAGAAAGCCAGAGUGGUAUAGAAUUGGAGCAGUGCUUAAGACCCGAGUCAUAAGUCUCCUUGGCUUUGUCCAAAUGGUUAAGCCGUUCCUCUAGCUGUCCAAGCAUCAACCACAAUUUAAAGAACGAAGGGAAGCGUUUCAAUCCUUCAGCAAGCAACUUCCUCUCCUCAUCGAGGUUCCCUAAUUCUCUUUCGACGAUUGCUGAUUUCAUCCAUACUCUCUCUGUUCCUCCCUUUUCUCGGGCUUUAGCAAGAAGCAACCUAGCUCUCUCAGGUUCAUGAUUCUCAAAUUCAAGCUUAAAUGCAGCAAGCCAAAUCUCUUCAGAAUUCGGAAUGGCAGCAUAAGCUUCUUCGAGGAUUUUACGGGCAUUAAAUACGUCCCCAGCAAGCCACUUCUCCUUCGCACCCAUAAGCCAUAAGACUUCCGCCUGUGGUCGGUAGGUAACUGCUUUACGAAGCAGGGCAUCAAGAGAUUCCCUAGUUCCAUGACUCUUUUCGAGCUGUGCUGCUUUAAGCCAUAUGCUCUUCUUACUUAAGAAGACAGUAAGUGCAUGAGCAUAGAUAGCUCUGGCUGUUUCAAUGGAACCACGUUUCUUGCACUCCUCUGCAUCAGCAACCCAUGUCCUCUUCCUAUCUUCUUCCUCCACGCCAAUCCCAAUAGUGUUCCGAAUAAUGGCUUGGCAAGUUGCCACAGACCCUGCACGCUCGGCAGCUUCAGCCUCCUUCAUCCAUGCUUCUCUAUCAAUCACCAAUCCCUCUCUUUGCAGAGCCCUUAUACCCCUUUCAAUAAUCUUCCCAACUGAUGUAUUCCCAUUAGCUUCUUCCAACUUUGCUGCAGUAAUCCAAAUGGCAGGCUCUUUUGAAAGCUUCUCCCGGGCCUUGUUAAGGACCUUCUUGGCAUUGUCAUAAGUCUCCAAUCUCGCUAGAGCAAGCCACAACUCUAUGUGCAAGGGACAACACUCCACAGCCCUAUGAAGCAAAAGUCUGGCAUCCUCCUCAUUCGCCAGCUCCACCACCGCCUUCCAUAGCCUAACAGAAUCAGGAAUGUGUUCCAACCCUUUCCUCAACACCCUACUCUUAUUCGAGUCAUCAUGCUCCAAUUUCGCCGCCUGCAUCCACAGCUUGACUGAAUUGGGUAUUGACUUUACUCCAGCAGCAAUCACAGCCUUGGCUCCGUCAGGACUGGCAAGCCGACAUGCCUCCAACCAAACAUCCUCACUCUUGGGACAUUCCUCACACCCUUUCUGGAUCAAUUGCCUUGCUGCCUGUAUCUUCCCCGCCACUUCCUCCAACCUCGCAGCCGCAAUCCAACCAGGUGGAUGCUUCGGAUUAGUCUGUGUCACACUCUUGAGCAACAACCUAGCCUUCUUUAUAUCCGAAAUCUCCGCAUCACUAGUAAUCUUCAUACUCUUAAGAUCAGUAAGAUACCCCUUAGGGUCCACGACUGUCAGCCCUGAAACAGAAUCCGAAAGCCUAUCUAAUUUCAAAGACAACACAGUACUCCUGCCAUCACCAACUGCGGUCAAAUCUGUAACCGGCGUUUGCGACCACGGCGUCUCUGUACCAGUGGCCGCCCUACUCUUGGGGUCCAAUGCAGUAACAUGCUCCUGUUCCUGCCUAGCCUUCUCGAAAAGAGUAUCCGGCACCGGCACAAAGCUCUCAAACUUCCUCUUCUUGUUCCUGGCCGAAUAAUCCCCAAUGUCCGGUAUCUUAUCCCAUUCCUCAGCCGAAACAGUAUACAGCUGCCUCUUCAAAUUCGCAAACUGCUCCGUGAUUUUGGGAUUUGAAGCUCUGUACUUCUCAAUCUCUUGCUUCAACCUCGCUUCCCUCCUGUCCUUCCUCCUCGAGUCCAUCCUCUGCUCAAUCGCCUCCCACACAGCGUCGGCCUCCUUGUCCUCGUCGUCGUACUCCGCCGACGCGAACAAACCGACGUCGUUUCCUUCGAACUCAUCAAACUUCUGAUUCUCAUCGUAGCCUUUCUCCUCGCCGUCGUCUUCCUCCUCCUCCUCCGGCUUCCCGCGGCCACGCCCCGCCCCAGGCGGAGCAGCCCCGGCAGCCCCGCCGAUAGUCGUGGCGGAGCGAUCGGGCAAGUCAGGAGCGGCGCGGGCAGGUCCGAUAUCGGAACGGGUGGUGAAGCCGGUGGCGCCACGGCCGAGACCGGCGACAUAGUUGGCGGGGGGCUUGGAGUUGAGGAAAUCGAGGCGGGGUUUGGGGACGGCGGGGGUUGGGUGCCGCCGAAGAGGGGGAUGUGGAGGGUUAGGGUUGAGAGGGGGGAGAUGUUGAGGUCGGAGAGGAGGGUGGAGUCGGAUUGGGUGAGGAGUUGGAGGCUUUGGGAGAUGAAGAGGCGCUGCUGGGAGAUGGGGAUGUGGGAGGUUUGUUCGAUUUGGAGCUUUAGGGUUUCGAGGGUGGUGGUUUUCGGGUUGAGAUUCAGGUUUAGGGUUUUGUGGUUCGGGGAUGUGAUGAACACCAUUUUCGUCUGUGAUCCUCAGAUCGGGAGAAUACUAGGGUAUUAUGAUGGAGCAGUUGAAUUUAAAACGGGGUCUUGUUGAGUCGGAUCUCUCCUUUUCUUUUUCAUCCCUCCUCGUUAAAUAAAAAAUUUCAACAAAUAAUCCAGUACUAUAAAUGACAAUCUAGUAAGGGAAGUAAAAUGCACACUCCCUAAAAUGUACUCCACAUUUUCAUUUUUUCAUUUUUAGUAACUUUAAUUUUCUUUUUAAUGACUUAUAUUUUAUGUUCUUAAGAAAAUAAUGAUUAAAAAUAGAAAAUGAGAGUGUGAGUUACAAUUUGGAGAGUGUGGAUUUCAUAUCCCUCUAGUAACCAUCUUGUCCUUUUCUCACCUCUCUUCAUGUUUACAAGGCUUUUACCAGUACAUUUGCACAGAAUCUCGAUCACCUAUAAAAAAAACUUUAAGUGGUUAAUUUUAUUUGGUUACAUGGAGGGGCUAAUAGCCUCAAAAACAAACAAACUACAAUGACAAACCUUGAUCAUAAAAGACCAUCUUUGUCUUCUUGUAGUCUGCUCAAAAUACAAAGAAAUGGUGUCUCAAGUUCAAAGAGUGUCCAUAAUGAGCUAAGCCAUCUGUCAACAUAUUGUAUUCCCAGUAAAUAAGAACAAUAGAGCAAUUUCAGUUCAUCAACAAAAAAGUUUUGCACACUGUAAGAAGGUCAUAUGAAUAGGAUGAGUAACAUCUCACUCCCCCUUAACCAUAUUCAGUACAAGAGCAUAAUCAAACUCAACCAAAAUAUAGGGUUGAAUUCUGUCCUGCUGCCAUUUUUCAAACCAAAACAUAGAGCCCAAAAUUCGACCACAAGAAUUUCUCCAACACCAAGAUUGGCAUAAAAACCACCAACCCAAUCUCCAUCACUAUUUCGAAUUAGCACCCCAGCUGCUAUGGAACCAUUCGGAGACAAUCUUUAACUAUCGAUAUUAAGCUUUAAAACAUCAUUAGGAGGAGGAGGAGACCAUUUUAAGAGGACCUGAUCGUAAAGAUUGAGCAGAGGAGGUCUUAUUAGCAUUAAGCUAAUCUUCCAAAAAGCGUUGAAUUACUAACUUUGGAUUGAAGGGAGGUCUGUAUCGGGGAUCAAAAAUGACACUACAUAGUACAUAUCCACUUCCAGAUAAACAAGCGAGCACCCUUUCAAAAAAAAAAAAAAAAAAAAACAAGCAAGCACACGCGAAAAUCCUUUCCAUUGAACGGAGUUGCAAAACUCAUAACAAGAUCACAGAGUUUCUAACAACCAAUCAUCAAAGCUAUAAUAAAAAAAAUAUAUGAUGUGAGAGGGAACAGAGAUAAAGUUCGAGGUAUAUUUGUCUUUAGGACAACCAAGAAAAUCAUGAUGUAAAGACUCAAAACUCAAAAGAAUGAGAGCAUAAAGCACAAGCAUCAUCGUCACAAAAUUUUCUUCGUUUCCUUUGCUCAUUGGUAAGAACCUUGCCUUGAGUGAGAAGCCAUAGAAAGGUUUUAAGCUUUGGAGGAACAUUAUAUUUCCAAAUAAAACUCCAUUUUGACUCGGAACAAUCCGCUUGACGGCAACAAAGACUGUAAGCAGACUUAACAGAGAAUGUUUUAUUACUAGAUAAGUUAAUUUUGGUUUAUUAGUAUUAUAUAGUUAUAGUUUUUUUCCAAAGCGGGACACCGCUUUAAAAUUAAAGUGUGGUGCUCCUCAUUUCGCCCACUUUUAGGUCACAUUUUCACAUCUUCACAGUUCAGUGUAUAGAAAGAACAUAGUGUGUAGAUCAUUCUUGCAAAGUUUCAUUCAAUUUGGAGAUCAUUUAAGUUUCCGUAAUUGUGAUUUACAUGAAUGGUUCCGUUUGAACAGAUUUUUGUUAAGUUAAUUUAUUUAAUCUAAUUCGGUACUCAAAUGAUCUCUAAAUUGGGUGAAACUUUACAUGAAUGAUCAACACACUAUGUUCUAGACACUGAACGGGGGAGAUGUGAAAAUGUGACAUAAAAGUGAGCGAAAUGAGGAGCACCGCACUUUAAUUUCAAAAAGCGGUGUCCCGCUCUAGAAGAGAAUUGUAUAUAGUUAUACGUCCCACUACUCAAGUAGUUUUUCAUAAUUAUCUCUAUGUUUUAUUUUAUUUAUUUAUUUGUUGUUUACUAUAAUGACCCUUAUUUUUGUUAGUUCCAGUUGGCUCAUUAAAGGUAAAUGUGGCAAUUCACAAUUUUGAUGAAUUUCUUGACUACUAACUUUAUUGUAACUAGCUUCCUGACCCGCGUGUUGUGCGUGUAAAGAACCGCAAUAUAAUUUUAGGGAUGAUUUUUUUUUUUGUAAACGGUUUUUUUUUUUUUUUUGGGUUCAGUUUCAGGAUUGGUUUAUUUCCUUUUUUUUUUUCUUUUUUUUUUUUUUUCUUGGUUGUUAUCUUGCUCCUUGAUUUUUGGUAAUUGUGGAUAAAUACAUGUUCUUUCCACAAUCCCACGUCUAUUCCACAUGUACACGCGCCAUCAACUCCUCUUUCUUUUUUUUUUUUCUCCUUUUUUGUAUUUAUCUUUUACCAUAAUGCCUUUUUUGUUUAUUUUCAGAAAUAGCUCAUAAUUUAGUGAAUUUUAUGAACGCCUUGCUUUAUAGUAGUAGUAAAGAUAGAAAUGUCUCCGGUAUUUCAUUUGGACUAACCUUUUAUCCGGGCUCACAAUUUUCUAAUAAUGCGGCAUAUUUUUAGGAUAGAUAUAUACACAUGUUUCUCUAUGCUUGAAAAGUUGUAUUAAUAAUGAGGAAACCUCAAGGUUGUUUAUAGUCCAAGUUGAGGACGUCUAAAAUGAUCUCAGGAGCUUGGUCGUGCCAGAGCAGCAGGAUCAGCCUCAUAAGCUAUACAAGCUAGGCGAUGAGCCACCCUAUUACAAGACGGAGAUGUGUGCUUGAUUCUUAUAUUGUGCAAAGAAACCAAAAUGCCCUGAUGUACGUCAUCAAUGAUACCAGCUCCGGCAAUAUGCAUAUGCUACCUGCAUAUAUAUCUGCAACAUCUGGAACUGCUUCAAGGCAAUCGGACUCAACUAUGACAGCUUUCAAGUCUUGCAGCAUUGUUAGUCCAUCUCGAACCGCAAGCAGCUCUGUGUUAGGCAUCGUUAGUCUUGCCUAUCAUCUGUGAUGAAACGCCACUUUGUUUUAGCUUGUCCAAAAAAAAAGGUGCGAAGCCUCAGAAAUAUUUGAGACAAUAAGAAAUCUCUGGUCAGACCCAGUUUUCAUGAAGCAGUUCCUGGUCCUUAUUCUAUGAUGUGAGAUUUGGAGAACUAACCAUAGUUUUACGUCUAUCCUUACAAAAGCAGUUCUUAGGGGAAAAUAUGGUUCUCAAGUAUCUAAUUACUUAAUUAAUCCCCCUUUAAAAGAACAUUAUUAAGCAGAAAUGAGAGACUAGGAGUUUGGGGAGAUGCUACUAAAUUGAAGGCAUAUGUCACUCGCUUAAAUGCUCAAUUUGUGAACUGAUAUCGGAAUGCACAACAGCGCAAGCCCUUUCCGAUAUAGGGGUGACCGGGCGAGUAUGAACUCCUGCAAGUAGUAAUAUACAAAACGAGCCUUGACAUAGAGGUCGUACCCAACCCACAGUCCUAACCCAAUGCCAGAUUCUUUGUCGAUCACAUCAUCCUUGGAUAGCUUGAACUGUAUCUAUGGAAUAUGUCAUAUACCAUGAAGAGCUCCAGUGAAUCCAAAACAUCACACAGUCACACUUCUCUAUAUGGGAUGCAUUGCAAUGCCUAGAUACACAUGUAGUGUGUACAUGCUAAUCUAAGCUGCGAUGAGCUGCUGCAACGAGCAAACAAUGCACAAAAACUUGUUCAUUCUCUUCCUCAUUUGAAAUCUUUGAAAACCCCAUUCACAAACGUAAAAGAAACUAAAUACAGUAACCAACAGCAAACCAAGGGGGUGUAUUGCAUUUGGAUUCAUACAGAGUUAUUUUAAUCAAUUGACUUUUUAAAAAGUCUACAGACUCUUUAAAAAGUUCAUAGACUUUCAUUGAUUUCUUAAAACCAUCGAUUUUUAAUCACAGACUUUCACUGAUUUCUGAAAUCUACAGAUUUCAUAUGAAUGACUUAUGUAGAUUUCUUAAUACUUACAGAGUUACAGGAAAUGAACAAAAAAUAAAGAUGCAAUGACAAACACAUAAUGACACCGAUUAUAAGUUGAGUGUUCAUCUAUCUAAUUUCGAUGCAUACAUUUAUAAUAUUUGAUUGAAANNNNNNNNNNNNNNNNNNNNAAAAGAAUAGGUAGAAUAGAACAUUGAUAGCACAAAAUAUUAUAAAAAAUAAAAAAAAGAUGAUGUAUUGUAGGAUCAACAUAUUCACAUGUAAAGAGAAAGUCUGUCAUAGACUUUUCCAAAUCUUUGCUCUAGUGGAUGGAAAAAUAUUGGAGUUUGGUGUGUGUAAUUUACACUACAAAGUCCACAAUUAUCCAUGAGUUAUUAAUUUCAUAAGUAUGAAUGAUAUUUUGAAUACAUCUAAACUUCUAUUCAUUUUAAAAAGUCUUAAUUGAAUACCCCUGAAUUUUGGUGGAAUUCAUAAUGAUUUUUUAAAAUCUAGUUGAAUACACCCAGACUUUGAUGGACUUUUAAAAAUCUGUAUUGAAUACACCUAGACUUUCAAAUUCCAUAGACUUCUUUAAAACUUCCACUAAUUCCAUAUACAAUACACCCCCCAAGUCUAAGUUAAUAUUUGAGUUACUGCAGUUAAUGACAUGGAUUUGGUAAUUUCCCUUGACGAUCUAAAAUAUUAUGAGAAUGACAAAUCAAAUGGGAAUACCUACCAUAACAUGUUCUAGCCAGAUAUUCUCCAUAUAGUAAGCAAUGGACACCGAGUUUUAAAAUAUACAUCCUUAAGAGGUUGGUGUUUUCCUCUGCUUCACUUCCAGAAAUACUUCGAUCAUUCCCACAAUUAGUGCCAGUAGAAUGAGUAAACACUUCACCUUCACUUGAACAUUCUGAAGUGUCAAGCCAGAUGAAAUCUAUAGGAUUCUUACAAAGUCCCAGAUAGCGGCAACCUUGAACCAGAAAAUACCAAACUUUUUGUGUUAAGUUAGUGACACAAUCAACAAACUCCCUCGAUGCAUGUCCAAAAUCUGAAUGUGUAACUGGAUCAUGAAGUGAAUAGGUUUCAAGUUUAUCUAUCAAUGAGCACCUUGGACAUUUGUAUUUUGCAAUAUGGUAUAGUUCCAAGUUGUCUGACACAGGCAAAUCCCAUCUGACUAUCUCACUCCAGAUUGAGCUCUUAGCAAGAUUUAGCAAAGAAUCCCCAGCGGACGUCCAGAAAUUUGCAACAUAUACAACUAGGGAAGAUUCAGAGUUAAAGAGAUGGUGAGCUGCGCCUGCAAGCAACAAUGAGUAUGCUGCACCUGUCCUGCUCAUGCCAAAAGCUCCAAGUACGUGAUUGUCUAUUUCAGAAGACAUAGUUAAUAAGUCAUCUGCAAGGAUUUUAUACGCUGAAGCCAAUGUGGUGUAUGCAUUUAGAGAGAGGUGAUGCAAUGGGUUCAACCAGUAAGUUAACUCUGAUUUUUCUUCAUUUCCCUCUGGCUGCUUAUCAGAAAGACCUUCUGUGAGUACCUGCUCAAGCCUCUCACAACAAGAUUCAGGAUUACCAAUUGACAGAUAGUCAGCUAUAGCAUCAUCAAUGUAAUCAGUCAAUCUCUCGGUUGCCUUGUCUCUAUCGAAGCUGAUAUCUGAGCUGAAUCUGGAAGAGUUAUAAUUGACUGCAGAAAUAUCCUGGAGGAUUGCAGAUAAACAUUAAUACUAAUUUUGCAAAUAAAGUUGCGAGUGGUAAAUUGGGAAAAAAAAGUUAAGAUCAUAGUUCUUGGUUCAAAGUCGAAGAGGUUAUUCUGCAAAGAUACUGGAUUAUUUGUACACAUGCACACCCUAACACAAGGAUCAAGAAAGUUCUAGAAACAAUAACACACGGCCUUUCCAAAAUGUAACAAACAAAAUUAGGCGAGAAUGCCCAAACAGACUUAAGGAAUCAGCAAGAACCAAAAAUAUGAAGAUACAAGGAAUGUAGGACAUCUCAAUAGUGUAAGUCUAAUAAUGUAAAUCUUCAUUUUCCAGAGCCACUGCCACAGAUCUGGAGCUCAUACACAAGUUUAAAUCCAUGAAAAGACCCUGGAUGGAUCAGGCUUUUUUUUUUCGGUCAAAUGGAUGGAUCAGGCUUAGAUUAGAAAAAUAACAUUUCAUCCAUGAUAAUAUAGAACCAAAAGAUUACUAGGUUUGCAGCACGCAGACCACUUUGUUGCAGAAUUGUGGAAUCAUCAAAGACUGAAACAAUAGAAAGAAACAAAGCAGGCACACUGCUGAUAGUUCAAAAAAAAAAGGUGGCCAUACAUGAAAUAAUCUGGACUAUAUAAAAUGAUACAUAAGUGUCACGAGAUUUAAUUGGGAAGUAUUACACUGAUGCAUAUAACUAAAAACAGUAACAAUAAAGAUAUAGAUCCUCCAUUGUAUUGCUAGUGCAACCUCAUCUUUUAAAUCCAGUAGUUUAAAAAGCAUAAAGACCAAUAAGAUUUCAUACCUCCGAAGCAUGGUCGACAUAAGACAGGGGUGAUGCACUAGACAUGCAUCCUCCAUAGUAUUGCAAGUACAACCUCAUUUUAAAAUCCAGUAGUUUAAUAACAUACAUAAAGACCAAUAAGAUUUCAUACCUCCAAAGCACGGUCGACAUAAGUUAGGGGCGAUGCACUACAUCUCUUACACGAGCACAUAAACCGAUACCUUGACCAUAAUUCAGACCGCCUCACAGCCUGGCGCCAAUACAAGAAAAGAUAGGAUCUUGAAUACCUCAUCAAUAAAAUGAAGAACAUAAACAUGAUGUUAGCCACUGAGAAAGUUUCCCUGUAAACCUCAUAAUGAAAAGAGGCCUCAGACAGCGUUCUCAAACAUUGAAUGUAACAGGACAAUUCUCAUGUCAUAAGAGAAAUAACAAAAAGUUGAGUUGAAGGGUGCAAGUACCUUAGGUUGCAACAAGUCAGUGUACGUAAUAGUGACUUCCUCUCCCCUAUUGAUUCUCUUGAUGCUCCUAACUAUCACUCUCGGACCAAACUUCUCGCAUUCUGCAUUCACAAUAAGCUAAAGUUCAAAUUUGAAAUUCCUAAUCUAACAAAAUCGAAACGAAAUUAAGCCCCAUAAUACCUUUCAUCAACAAAUUGUUGCUAUAUACACCACUCUCAAUCUGCAACAAACCAUAAAUGUCAAAACUCAAAACUCAUAAUUUCAUUGCAGUGUAAAAAUGAAAACUAAGUAAAUACAUUGCCACAUUACUUGGCCAGCGGGGACAAUACGCAGCGGCGUCUCGUCGCACUGCGGCGGCGUCGGCUGCGACGGCGAGGACAGUAAGAAGCGGUAGCAGGCAUUGGGAGAGCAGCUAUGGUUGAUCCAGGAGAAGCAGGAAUCGUACACCGCAAUCCCGAGCGUGCGGCCGGUGUGGUCUUGGACCUCCACGGCGUUGGUCAGGACCAGGCACAGCGCAGCCUCCUCCGAAACGGCGUCGUCGUGAGCAACAUCCAAAACGGCGUCGUUGUCGUCCGGCAUGGUCCUGGCGAGGAACAUAGCCCUGGCGCCGUCGCGAAUUCUGAGGUCGUCAUCGAGCUUGCGGCGGUUGGUGAGGAGGCCGGAGAUGCGGGGAGCGGGAGAGGAGGCGGGGAGGGAGUGGAGGAGGCGGAGGGCGGCGCGGAGGUCGGAGGAGUCGCCGUGGGGGUAGGUGGAGGGGUGGGAAUGGAGGAGGCGUAGAAGGCGAGGCUCGGCAGUGGAGACGGAGGCGGAGGAGGAGCAGAGGGAGGAGCAGAAGAGGAGGACGGGGUGGGAAUUGUUGGGAGAGGGAGGGGUAGGGAGGGGAGAGAAGCAGGAAGAGCAGUGAGAGGAGAGAAGGGAGUCGUGGAGAGCGGAAUAGAGGGGAGAGAGUGGUGGGGUUAAGUCUCGUCCUAGCUCUAUCUCCUCUCCCGCUCUCAUCUCCAUCUCCAUCUCCAUCUCCAUCAUCUAAUCAGCAACUACAGUGAACACCUCCCCGCACGUUCCACCCUUUUGGAGCUUUACAGCUCCACAACUCCAUUAGUUAAUCCAAAAAUCUAUUUAAAGCUUUCAAAAGUUUAUUAAUUGUUGAAAAUUUUCAGAAUUAUAUAGAAAAACUGAUUUUCUUUUUUUCUUACCUACUUAUACAUGAUAUAUUUCAGCUUAGGCUUUUGUUUUGAAAUCCGAAAUUACAUUUACAAAGCACAUAUAUCCAUUUUUGUGUGUGUGUGUGUUAAAUUUCACAGGAUUUGAUUAACAUUUGGUGUGUCAAAUAUCUUGCCAAAGUCAGAUACAUGCUCAUCCAAAAACUGAAAUUUUUAGAUUUUUAGAUUUUUGUUCCAACUUUGCAAAAUCGUAACUUUGUGUUCAGAACUUUGUUUUCAAAAAGAAAACUAUGUACUUAAAGCUUAUAAUCCCAUAUUAAAAUGGGGUUUGGUUCAUAAAAUUCUGUUAAACUUUAGUAGGUGAAAAAUAAAACCAAACACAACCUGCUCGCCAUUUUUUUAACAUAAGGCUGAAACAAGAACUUUGUUUUUAACUUAUCUUUUAUGUACCAACUGAGUUCUAUAUCUGGUCUAGUAGUUUUCUAAGCAUGUUUUAAGUUUUAUUUAGUAUAGUUUGGAAUAGUAGUUGUUUUAAUUCAUAGUUACUACUUGUGUAACAUAAUUUACUAAUUUUAGUUUAGUAUUGUUGUUGUAUGUACUUUACCUAUACGGUAAAUGUUUAACAUCCCGAAAAUUUGACCAGCUUAAUUUGAGGUUAUUCGGUAAAUAAAUUAUCGACUUGAUGGUUUUAAAAUAUACUUGAGAAGAUUUUCAGAAAUUUUACAUUUCAGAAAUUUUACAAGAUCGAGAUCCUUGAUUAAGGAGUUGGAUAGUAAUCUACACGAGAAAACGAGUUCGUGCGUAUUUUCUGAAGUUUUUUCGGAUGUUUGAGUUAGUAUUUUCGAAUUCCGGAAGUUACGGAGCUUUACAAAAUUAGUUUUGGAAAAAUAUGAAAAAUAGAUUUAAUCUUGGUCGUUUGAUAUUUGAGUAGGACGAUCUUGGCCGUCCGUUUUUCUUUAAAGAGACGUGGUCGUCUAUUUAAUUUGGUCAGACCUUCUUUCCUCCUCUUCUUUCUUCCUCUCGACUCUUCCCGAAACCCAGAAAGAACCGAACACCGACUAGAGCUUCUCUAGCCAGCCACUGAUCGAUGACAUACUGGAACCAAUAAAUCCCUCUUCUCAUUGCCUACACGUUGGUGGUGGUAGCUCAUCUAAUAGUCAACUGAGGAAGGUGAUUCGACGACGGGGAGCCCUGCGUUUUUGGGUGGAUUUGCUCUGCUUUCUGGGUGGAUUUGAGCUGCAUGUGGUAUGAAAGUGAUCACUCUUGUCGAGCUCUACGUGUUAGCGUAUUUAUUUUUCGAAUUUGAAUUAGACUAAUGGAUUUUGGUUUCUGGGUUUCUUGCUACUUGAACGGCGAUUAACCCUUUGAGCUUUACAAGUCUGGAGUUUGGCGAAGUGGACGAAGUGGAUGAUCAAUCUUUGCUGCUAUAGAGAUCUACUGAUUCUGUGUUAAUCAAAUUGAUUACAAGGUAAGUUGGGAAUUUACCAACAAGUUAUGGAAAUUAUGCUUAUCGCAUGCCUACUGUGCUAUCAAGAAUGAAAUUUAUAUGAACAUGUGAUUAAAUCCUUGAGUUGAUAUUGUUGUGGGUGAAGUCGGGUUUUGUUAUGAUUUGAAGGGUUUCCUAGAGAGGUUAUUGAAUCUGUAUUUCAAGGUUGGUAUUGAUAUUGAAAAUUGAAUGGCACUUUGAAUCAAAUAGGAUCUGACCCUUGUUCAAUUAAAAAUGUGAAGUUGUGUGUGGAUGAGAAGAAUAGAAACGUGGGAUUCUCUUAUGUGUGAGAAUGAUCUUGAAAGCUAAACCUUGGAAUAAUAUGUAGGAUUACACUGGGCAUUGGGCAUGACCGCAUGAGAUUUGGAUGGCUAUACAGGUUGUGAAACAUUAAGAACUAGCUUAAGUACUAUCGUGGGUGUCCAUACUAAUAUUGAGUUGGACUCCUACGCAACAAAUUUGUGGAAUAAAAUGGUGAUGUCUUGCAGGCAUGUAAAUUGAAUACGGUUUUGAUUUUGAGCAGGAAUUGGAUUUGGCUAUAAACUUGGAUGAAAGAGUAUCAAAUAAUAUUGAUUGGUCAAAUACGGGUCAAGUUGGUUCCGACGACUUGUAUUUAAUCGUUGUAAUUGUUUAUACUUGUUUGACUAGUUAUUGGCAAUUAAAAUGUCGGACGUUAGGGACUCCAGUUACCCGAGGAGCAGGAUGCUCAUGAUUCUCUGAGUUCGGGAGGAAAGCCUUGAAAUCCAGGUAGGGGACCCAGAACUCCCUUGAUUAGUGCAAUUUCAUUUUAUAUAAAUGUCUAUGCAUAUUUGAUAUUGCAUGAUUCGGUUAUCAUAAAAAUGGUAACUGGUGUUAUGAGAUUUUGAUGGCUUGAGAGUGAGUGGGGCAUAGCGACUUCCUUGGGCUUUAAUACCCUAAACCUCCGGAGGGGCUGUAUGCACCGAAGAGUGUCUGACAUCCUUUGAGGUGUGACACUGCUCCUAGGAGAUACGGCGUAAGUGGACACUCUCACUACACUUACAUGUUGUACACACAUAUAGUGAGGUAAGUUAAUAGUGGGUCUACAAAUGACCGGCCAUCAGGUACAGUUUUAUGGCGCCGCAUUUAUUUGAUCAUAGAAAUGUUUUUGAAAGUUUGUCGUUCAUUAAAUAUUUGGAUUCAAUCUUUUUGUUAUACUGGGCCCUAUGAAACUAUUAUUUAUCUGUUUUCAAACCUAGUUAAGGGUAAAGUUCCUUGAGCAGUGAGGACGAAAGCUCACCCCUACAACAGUUUGGUUGGAGGUACUAUGCAUUGGGACGGGAUAGUGACAAGGAGUUGGGUGUGCAUAUUUAUGAUCGGUAAUUUUGGGUUUCCAUGAUGUUCCCUUUAUUUUUGUACUUAGAGUUACAUUGUUAGAAAUUCUAUUUUGUUGGUCUUGUUAUGUCCUCAUUCGUAAGUCUAUUCCUUGAAGUUCGUUAAUUAUCGUUCAUUUCUUACAUUAAGUUUUAGGCGAAUGAAAGAGUCAAAUUCUUUUAUGGGUUUGCUUUAUGACAUUUUCAUUGGAGUUUGUAUUACUUUGAGUUCGUCAUUUUAUAACCAUUCCUCGUAUCAGGUUUUGGGCGAAUAAAAGUACUUUAAGAAAAAUAAAGAUUUUACACCUCAAAAUAUUUUUACGCUUCUGUUGUGUUUUUCUUAAAUGUUUUCUUAAAUCAACUGCCUUGCGUUUCUCUUUGUUUUAUUUAGAGACUUGUGACACUGAGACGUGUCUAAACUGAGGAGGUGCAGUUUGGGACGUUACAAGUUUGAUGGGGUGAUUGUGUUAUUAUUUAUGUUAUUACAUGAAUUGUUUGGGAUAUUGGAUUAUUUGGUAUUGAUUUGUUUGACAUUGAGUUCUUUGAUAUGAAUUGGAAUAAGUAUUGGAUGAUAUUGAACUUUUGAAUCGAUUAUGACAUGUUUAUAUUAGAAAACAUGUGAUUCUAUUUUGAAAUUAUAUUACAUUUGUCAUGGGAAAUGAGGUUGGAGAUUAAAAGAAGAAUCGAGUGUUUUGGGAUAUAUGGAACUUUAUUAUUAGGAAACCAUUUGUGUAGUUGAGUUUUCUCAUGGGUUAUCCUCAGGAUCUAUGAUUAGCCCACAUGUGCACAAAUUUGGAGAAUGUAUGCCCCAUCAGCGGCGGACGUCGAUAAAACGAUCUUAUCAAGUUGCGGAUCGGGAGACCAUGAGUAUAACAAGACGACUAACAAAGGGAAAAAUUAUAUUCGAGGGUGAAGUGAGGUGUGGGGUAAGAGUUAAGUUCAUAUUAUAUUUAUGUAUUCCCGAUAUGUCAUAUUUGUUUGUUUUUGUUUGAAGUUAAUGCCAUGUGUAUUUAGCAAUUUAACUAGCUCUACUGAGCGUAGCUCACCCUUAAUCAAACUCAUUGCAGGUGUGGACCUUGAAACAUCGUGUAUGUUAUAUUGUAAAUUAAGAUUUUUUAGUUUUCUUUGUAAAUAGGGCUUAAAUAAAUAAUGGAUGUUUCGAAAAAAAAUGCUAUUUUUGUUUGUUUGUUGUGUGCUUGUAAUGUUUUAAACAUUUUGUACUAUAAGUGUCUUCUUAUAAGGCUUGUAACGUAAAUAAAGGUUCAAAGGUUUUGUUUUCUAUGUCAUGUAAUGAUAUCAGUCUCAUUUUAAUUAUGAAUAUUAAAUUGUAACGUAAAUAAAGGUUCAAAGGUUUUGUUUUCUAUGUCAUGUAAUGAUAUCAGUCUCAUUUUAAUUAUGAAUAUCGUCUGUAAUUAAAGUGUGAUUCACUUCUUAACUCAAGGUUAAACCUUUACUCGAGUUGGAGUGUGACAAGUUGGUAUCAGAGCAUUAUGUUAAGACCCUAAGGAAAUUAGAAAGUUGAAAUUUUUAGGAUUUGGUUAUUCUAUUUAUGCAUAUUUAUGUAUUAGGUUUAGUUAUCCUUACAUUUUGUUAUAUAAGUAUGGAGCCAGUUCAAAGUGAGGAUACGUAUGGAGAAUUUGAGGUUGGACCCAACGGACCUUGACAUGUUGACAAUAUUGACUAUCAUUUAAGGAUUCAUCACAUUGCGACACUACGACUCCGGAAUCGUAUAAGAGAUGUUGGACAACAAUGGAUGUUUUACACGCCCUAAAUGCAACGACAGGUCGUGCGUCAUAAAAUAAUGCGUGAUCAGGAUAUCGCAUUGUGUGAAAGAAUACAAGAAGCAUUAGAUGACUUUUACCGUCACUUGGAGGAAGAUGUGGUGUUACAUGGUGAGAUCCAAUGGCCUCCACCAGGUGUGGAUUUGGAAAACAAUCAAGUAGAAGUCGACGAGGAAUACUCUAACUAUGAACCGAUGGAGGAUGAUGCAAGUCAAUCUGUUUCAGGACCUAUCAAAAUUAGGGUCAUCACUCUUCAUGGCUGAAACAGAUUCACUUGCAUCAUCCUCCAUCAGUUCAUAGUUAGGGUCUUCCUCGUCGACUUUUACUUGAUUGUUUCCCAAAUCCACACUUGACAGAGGUCAUUGGAUCCCACUAUGUAACACCACAUCUUCCUCCAAGUGACGGUAAAAGUCAUCUGAUGCUUCCUGUAUUCUUUCACACAAUGCGAUAUCCUGAUCACGCAUUAUUCUAUGACGCACGACCUGUCGUUGCAUUUAGGGCGUGUAAAACAUCCAUUGUUGUCCGACAUCUCUUAUACGAUUUUGGAGUUGCAGUGUGAUGAAUCCUUAAAUGAUAGUCAAUAUUGUCAACAGGUUAAGGUCUGUUGGGUCCAACCUCAAAUUCUCUAUACGUAUCCUCACUUUGAACUGGCUCCAUACCUAUACAACAAAAUGUAAGGAUAACUAAACCCAAUACAUAAAUAGAAUGACCAAAUCCUAAAAAUUUCGACUUUCUAAUUUCCUUAGGGUCUUAACCUAAUGCUCUGAUACCAACUUGUCACACCCCAACUCGAGUAAAGGUUUAACCUUGAGUUAAGAAGUGAAUCACACUUUAAUUACAGACGAUAUUCAUAAUUAAAAUGAGACUGAUAUCAUUACAUGACAUAGAAAACAAAACCUUUGAACCUUUAUUUACGUUACAAGCCUUAUAAGAAGACACUUAUAGUACAAAAUGUUUAAAACAUUACAAGCACACAACAAACAAACAAGAAUAUCAUUUUUUUUGAAACAUCCAUUAUUUAUUCAAGCCAUAUUUACAAAGAAAACUAGAAAAUCUUAAUUUACAAUAUAACAUACUCGAUGUUUCAAGGUCCACACUUGCAAUAAGGGGUGAACUACGCUCAGUAGGGCUAGUUAAAUUGCUAAAUACACAUGACAUUAACUUCAAACAAAUAUAGCAUAUCGGGAAUACAUAAAUGCAAUAUGAAUUUGACUCUUACCCAACACCUCACUUCACCCUCGAAUAUAAUUUUCUCAUUUGUUAGUUGUCUUGUUAUACUCAUGGUCUCCUGAUCCGCAACCUGAUAAGAUCAUUUUAUCGCUGUCCCGCGCUGAUGGGGCAUACAUUCCCCGAAUUUGUGCACGUGUGGGCUAAUCAUAGAUCCCGAAAAUAACCCCAUGAGUUCAUACAUCCCUAAACAAUUACACAAAUGGUUUCAUAAUAAUAAAGUUCAUAUAUCCCUAAACAAUCAUUCUUCUUUUAAUCUCCAACCUCACUUUUUCCCAUGACACAAGUAAUAUGAUUUCAAAAUAGAAUCACAUGCUUUCUAAUAUAAACAUGUCAUAAUCGAUUCAAAAGUUCAAUAUCAUCCAACACUUAAUUCAAUUCAUAUCAAACAAAUCAAACCCAUAAACCAGAGCAUGAUCGGCUGCCGAAUCAAACGAGACAACCUCCGACCAUUCACAAACGACACACAGCCGUGCUGAGGAGAGCGGCCAUGAGCGGUGUCCUCAGGAGAGCGUUGUCGCCUGUUGAAACCCUAGAUUUCAGACUUCUAUUUUGCUCCAAGAGAAUCGGAGUCAUUUUUGAGGAUAUAAUGAACUUGACAGACUAUGUAUGAGGAUUGAAGAAUUAUUUUUUGUGUUUUUGAAUUUGGUCAUGUGCUACUAUGUAAUUUUCUCUAUUUUUAAAUUUGGACACAAAAUAUAUGACAUAUAUAUAGAUAUCAUAAUAAAAUAUUAAAAUUGAUAAGUUAAAAGUCUAGAACUAAAUUUUGAUUCACAAAGAUAGAAAGAAAUUUCAAUAAAUUUACGAAAUUUAUGUAUGGUAUAAAAGCCUAAUUUGGUAUGAUUAUUAACUUGGUUAUUAUCUCUAUCAAUUAAGCCAAUUUAACUUAUGGAACCGUUUUUGGUUAAAUUUUCAAUAAAACCAAAAGUUGCCCUUUGCUAAAAAUAAAAGAGAUGGAACGAAACAAUAUCUAUAAGGGUUAAAAUGGUAAACCUCGAAAAGAAAAACUAAAUAAAAAUUAGAAAAAGAAAGUUAAAACAAGAGAAAUAAGUUUUUAGAGGAGUAUUAUUGCUAUUGUAAACUGAUUUGCAGUUUUCCGUCUCCCAUGUUCUUUACACCGAGCAAAACACCUCCUCGCAUAUCUACCUUUCGCCUCUAGAGAGAGAGAGAGAGAAGAGAGAGAGAGAGAGAGAGAGAGAGAGAGAGAGAGAGAGAGAGAGAGAGAGAGAGAGUAGAGAGUAGUAGUAGUAGUAGUAGUAGUAGUAGUAGUAGUAGUAGUAGUAGUAGUAGUAGUAGUAGUAGUAGUACGUACGUACGUAGUAGUACGUACGUAGUACGUACGUACGUACGUACGUAACGUACGUACGUACGUACGUACGUAGUAGUAGUACGUACGUAGUAGUACGUAGUACGUACGUACGUACGUUACGUUACGUUACGUUAGUACGUUACGUACGUUACGUUACGUUACGUUACGUUACGUUACGUUACGUUACGUUACGUUACGUACGUACGACGUACGUACGACGUACGUAGUACGUACGUUACGUACGUACGUACGUACGUACGUACGUACGUACGUACGUACGUAGUACGUACGUACGUACGUACGUACGGUACGUACGUACGUACGUACGUACGUACGUACGUACGUACGUACGUACGUACGGUACGGUACGACGAGAGUAGANAGAGAGUAGAGAGAGAGAGAGAGAGAGAGAGAGAGAGAGAGAGAGAGGAGGAGGAGAGAAGGUACCCAUUCAAUAUGAAAUUGAAGGAGAUGGUGUUAUGAUUUUAAAAUUGAUCUAUGAUUUUAAAAUUGAUCUACUCACAUGCACAACACGUGCUCGGCUCUAUAGCCCUAUAUGUACUGCUACUAGAGCUAUUGCUCAUCAUCUAUGAAAAAUUGAGUUGUUUUACUUUAUUCAUUUCCUUUCUUCGCUUUUGCUUUGAGAGUUAGGGCUCCUACCCUAACAAUUGGUAUCCAGAGCCAUGAAUCUGGGAGCUGGGCAACCGGCGUCUCUGUCUUACGGCGUUGAACCGCAGUUGUGGUACUCAAACUAGUACCCAUACCACUCAAUGUAGUUCUCGUCGCCUCCGCAACAGUGGGAUCUGCCAUUUUUCUCGCCGGGCUAUCACCCGCCACCACCACCGAGCUAUCACCUACCACGACUGCCUAACCCUUACCCCGCGUAUGCGUAUCAUCCUUACCAAUAAAGCUACCCACCUACCGUGCAUCAUUUCAUUUCCACAAACUAGUUUGUUCCACCACAUACCACUCAUGAGUCACCACCUCCAAUUGCAUAAUCAAGGCACACCGAACCUGAUCUUUAGCCUUAUUAUCAUCAUUUCAUAUACGCAUCCAUAUUAAUAAGAGGGUAAGAAAUUUUUUUAUAUAGUAUGUAGCAUAUGUUAAUGGUUAGGGUUAAGAUUGUAUUUUUGCCUAAGAAUGAAAUGAUAAAGUUCAUUAAAUUGAUGAUGUGUCUAUAAAACAUGGCAUGCCACAUAGAAUUAAGUCCAUAAAUCUUAAGCCUUAUUAAGGCCCUCUAGCAUUACCCUUUACAAUAUUCAUGGAAAUGAGGGCUUGCGCUUUUAUACAGUAUAAUAUACAUAUAUGUAUCAUAUAUACACACAGACUAAAAUACAUAUCAUGAUGACUAUAGCUAUUCUGCUUCUCAUAUUUUGUGCGCUGAUCUGUUUGUCUUCUUCAUGUUUUUCCACUAUGAUUGCCUAUAAUUGAAUCUUUACUCUGUAAAAUAUUUGAAUAGGCCAAGUUGGCAGCCCUAACUAAAUUAAGUAAAUAGCUAGGGUUUGUGGCUCCAUGACUAAAUUUAGAGACCAAUACAACGCCAACAAAAAGGUAUUAUAAAGUCAUCUCUACAUGCAUAAUCCUCUAACACUACGAUUCUAGUCUUGUCUGUUUCCAGUUUGCUGGGGUAGCUACUCAACUAUAUAUGCGAGUAGUAAGUGUUUAUCCUUAAUUGAUUCUUAACCUUGAACAAUAUUGACAUAGCUAGAUUUAAAAUGCACGAUUAAGUUAUACUACUAAUCAAGGUAGAUAUCUUGGAACACAAAUUUAAGAAUAUAAAAGAUGAAAUGAUUUUGUUCGAGAGAAAGAUGAUAUAUCUCUUGAAAAGUUUUAUGGUACGUUCAAGUAAAUUUAGUUCGAUAUAGAGGAAGAUUUAGUCAAUACAAAGAUAGACUAGUUCGAUAUAGAAUAAGAGUAAUCUUUUACUUGUUUACCAAUGAAUAUAACAAGUUUAUAAAAAUUGCAAUGUCUUUAACGGUCACGUCAGUAUUCCAACAGAGAAAAUUGACGGAAUGACCAUUGAGCAAAAAAAAAUCAUGAUUUUCAGAAUCAUUCAAAUUAAAAUAAAGAGUGAUGCUAGAGACACCAAAUUUUUAUACAAAAUUAGAAUACCAAAUUAUGUGGCAUAUGCCAUAUCAUUAUCUUUAAAUGCCAUGUCAUUAUGUAAUUAGCUAGUCAUUUCCAUUAUCUAAAAACUAAAUUAGCUUAUUCUAACACAACUAGAUUUGUCUUAAAAAAAUAAAACCUUGAACCCUUAAAACUCAUCUUAAGAAAAAAGAAUGUCGACAUUCAGAUCAACCAUAUCAUUGUCCACCAAAUUUUGUUUAGCUUUUCUGGAUCGUUAAGCACUAUUUGUAUUAGUACGCCUCACAACAUCCCAAUGAUCUUUAUCGUUAAUUUGAUUAUUAUCUUGGAAGAGAAGAGAUAGAGGAAGAGAAGAAGGUGAAAGUGAUCGAUAUCAUCACAAUUUGGCAGUAAAAUCGUAUUUAUUCAUUUUGGUUAUCAAUGGUAGUAGGAUCGAAGUUCAUUAUGCAGCAAAUCCCAGCAAUGGUAUAUCUUUCCACGAUGAAUGAAAAUCAAGAGUCGAGAGGGACUCUAUUUUCUUUCUUUUAUUUGUUACUUUUUUUUUCUUUCUAAUUAAUCGUUUUUGUUUUUGUUUUUAGAAUAGUUUUUGUCUAAUUUGUUGUGAUGACAAAGUGGAAAUUAAUGGGUAAAAAAUAAUUCCAUGUCUGAUUCCACGUCAUUUGGUAUGUGUUUUUGGUAAAGAAAUUUGGUGUCUCUAGCAUUUUUGUAAAAUAAAACCAUAUGGACAUAACUUGUACUUCAAAACUAAAGGGCUAUUUUCAAUUCAAUUAAAUAAAUCACAUAAUUGAAUCUAAGUCUUUGCGAGUCAAACUCUUGCAUGAAUGAUUUGGAUUUGGACAUUAAAAUUUAUUUAAUUACAUAUGUGUGUGUGUAUAUAACUUCUAUAUGUGUGUUGCUGCUUUCAUGGGUUUCAUAUAUCCCUCAAACGUCUUUUCUUUUUCUUUCACCUUCUCUAGUGUUUGUUUAUGUCUUGCUAUAAUCCAACAAAAACUUGCUUGACAAUCAAAAUAAUUAAUGGAGCUAUAUCUAUCCAGCUAGUAAGAAAUAUAUAAAUCUUUUUUGGACAUCAGUGCAUGCCUUAAUUAAACUUCAAGUUUACGAUAUAUGGAGUAUGGACCUGUAUGUCACUAACAUUUUCAUAUAUGUGGCAGUAGAUUAUUGAAUCUAUUGCUGAAUAUACUGAUCCUUGCGGAGAUUAUUGAGUAUGCAUAUAUUGUAAAUGAUGACCCAAAGCCAAACAAUACAAUCUGAAGUGAGCUCGUAAUCCAGCCUAGCUAUCAAUCUUGGCAUAAGUUAUACUUCCCCCCAGCAUUGAAGUUUUGCUUACGAAGGAGAGGGUAAACAGAUUCUCAAUAACAUCCACAAAUCACGUACGCAAUCAAAAUGAUUCUAGAGUAAUUUCAAUUCUAAUUAUAUUGAUGCAAGAGACUAAGAAAUUCUUAGUAAGAAUAGAGACAGAAGACAAACGUAGCAAAUUUUAUUAGUAGGAAAUAGUAGGGCUUGGGAUACGAGAUAGAGCUGGGAAGAAAGAUUGAAGAUGCAUAAUUAGGGCAAUGUAUGAUCAAAUUUUGAAGAUAUCUUGUGCCGCCGAACUGUAAGAAAAAAUGUCAAGACCUAAAACCCUAAUCGAUCAUUGUGCCCUAAGAUAUUCCAAGUCGACUCUCAUUCAUGUGAUCAUGUACAUUUUCUUUUGCUCCACUCCCAAAACACACCCACCACUUCCAUCUCGGUAAACAAAAUCACUACACCCUUCUUAAUUUCACCCUACCACAAUAACCAGCAGUAAAAAAGUUCCUCUAUAUCCACGCAACCCUUAAACCCUAAUCCUUAUAAUAACACCAAGACCACGUUUGAUGGCUCAUAGUUUAUGCAAGAAAAAAGACAUUGGUUUACUAUAAACCCUUUUUUUUACCUUUCACAAUCCUCCAUGGUGCUGCCUCAGACUAACUCCAAUAUUAUCAUCAAAGCCUUUCUCUUCCCUAGGCAGCAGGGCAGUCUCACAGUGCAACCCCCAUGCCCUAGACUCUGAAUUUUUUGAUUCUGUCUCGAUCUUAAUGUAAUUACUAUAAAUUACCAUUUCAUUAUUAUUUGUUUAGGAAGAUUGGAUGCUGUGCAGGGACGAGCCAAAAAAAUGUUUAUCUAGGGAGCUUGGUCACUUGCUAGCUUUACCAUGCUGGUAAAAGGUUAUCUAGUUUAGACUAAUUUGGAUCUGCCAUCCUGCAAUUUAGUGUACAUUAUAUGAUUUUCAACAAUUAGCAGGUUAUUAGAAUUUGUUUAAUUUUCUGUGCGGUCGAUAGUCAGGUAUUAACACGUACAAUGCUCUUGAUCAUACGUACCAGACUUGGAGUGAUGCAUAAAACAUCGAAAGAAAACAAUAAAAUAUAACGAAAUGCACAAAAAACAUCUUCAAUUAAGAAAAAACAAUAACACUUCACUAGAAGCAUAAUCGUAUCGAGAAUGAAAAUUAACCAUCAAAUUCUAUCAAGAUAAAAUUUUGAUGGUUUACAAAAUAUGAUGGUUACAUGAUUAGGGUUUGAAACUAAGUCUGAAAAAUACCUCAGUAAUAGAGUUUCAAGUAUGCAACAGAACUUAUUCACAUUUAACAUAAGGGAUCAUGACUUUUUCUUAACUUCUUCCCCCGUUAUAAUUUACAAUAAGAAUGCAAGAGGUAUAUAUAUUAUUGUCAAACACUAUUGUGAUCAUCAUGAGAAACAAAAAUCAGUAAGAGAAACAAAAGUAAGAGAAAGAAAAUGGACAAUAGGGAACGUUAAACCAAAAAACAAACGAGAAGAGCAACCCUAGUGUAGACUGUUAAAUAUUUAGAGUGAUAUUUUAAAUUCAAAUGGUGGAUAUCGAAGUCUUGGAAACAUAACACAAGCAAAGAGAAAAAGAGCUCUACCUCCCUUAAACCUCAAAGCUUAUACUAACCACCGCCACCGGCCUCCACCAUCACCAUUUGAAAAUCUUGAAAGCCAUUCAAACACAUGGGUUCCGCUUCUGUGUACACCACAAUAGCUCAUGUUUAACCUCUUCUUCUUCUUCAUCAUCAUCAUCAUUUUCUUUAUCGCCGCCGGAAUAGAGCUUUCAGAAGAAGAGAGAAGUUUCAGACAAGAGAGCAUUUUCCGGUAAGAUAAGGUUUUCUUCACACUCCAUUGCUUUGACUAAUUAAGUUGAAGUUCCACACUGUGUGAUGCAAGCUCGUUUGUUCACAUGCAUGGGUUUCAACUUGAAGUCUUGAACAAUCAACAACAAUAACAACACCUUGUUGUGAAAUCCAAGCAUUCUCUCACAGAAAACCUCCUUCACACAUGCAUGUUGUCUCCUAUACUUUCACCACCACCACUAUAAUCACCAACCUCAAGAACCCAUUUCUUAACCAUCUCCAUCAAGCCCCUUUCUCAGCGACUACCCAAAUGGAAAACCACAGACUCACCUGUACUAAUCCUUCUUCUCUCUUUUCCUUCACAUUGUUCAUCAUUUUCAUGACAAUGACCAAACUAACCUUGGUCUCCUCCCUGUCCCCUGAUGGCCAAGCUCUUCUCUCCCUUCUUCCUGCAAAGCAAUCUCCCUCUGUACUCUCCUCAUGGAACCCAUCAAGCCAGACACCAUGUUCAUGGCAAGGAAUCACAUGCUCGCCGCAAAACAGAGUUAUCUCCCUCUCUCUCCCCAACAUUUUCCUCAACCUCUCCUCUUUACCCUCAGAGCUCUCUUCUCUUUCAUCUCUCCAGCUUCUCAAUCUCUCCUCCACUAACAUUUCCGGCACAAUCCCACCUUCCUUUGGACAACUUAGUAAUCUUCGCCUCCUCGACCUCUCCUCCAACUCUCUGUUUGGCCCCAUUCCUUUAGAACUAGGCGCUCUCUCUGCUCUCCAGUUCCUCUUCUUGAACUCGAACAGAUUGUCAGAUAAAAUCCCUCAACAACUUGCCAACCUCACUUCACUUCAAGCCCUUUGUCUCCAAGACAACCUCAUCAACGGCUCGAUACCCUCCCAACUCGGUUCUUUGGUUUCUCUCCAACAGUUUCGUAUUGGUGGGAAUCCAUACAUAACCGGAGAAAUUCCUUCCCAGUUAGGACUGCUCACCAAUCUCACCACAUUCGGAGCGGCGGCUACUGGACUCUCCGGCACUAUCCCACCCACAUUUGGAAACUUGAUCAAUCUUCAGACACUAGCACUCUAUGAUACAGAAAUAGUUGGUUCAAUACCACCCGAAAUCGGCCUCUGUUUUGAGCUUAGAAACUUGUACCUGCACAUGAACAAGCUCACUGGCUCCAUUCCUCCACAAUUAGGUAAGCUGCAAAAGCUCACCAGCCUACUUGUUUGGGGAAAUGCCCUAUCAGGACCUAUCCCUGAUGAGAUUUCCAAUUGUUCAUCACUUGUUGUUCUCGAUGCUUCUGCAAAUGAUCUCUCUGGAGAGAUUCCAAGAGACUUGGGGAAGUUGGUGGUCCUUGAACAGCUUCAUCUAUCGGAUAACUCGCUUACAGGGUCGAUUCCAUCGCAGCUCAGUAACUGUAGUAGCCUAACAGCUCUUCAGCUUGACAAGAAUCAGUUAUCAGGGACAAUUCCGUGGCAGGUUGGUAAUUUGAAAUACUUGCAGAGUUUCUUCUUGUGGGGAAAUUCAGUGUCUGGAACUAUUCCUGCCUCGUUUGGGAACUGCACUGAACUCUAUGCACUUGAUCUUUCGAGAAACAAGCUCACCGGGUCAAUCCCUGAAGAGAUUUUUGGUUUGAAGAAGCUGAGCAAGCUUUUGCUUCUGGGAAACUCUUUAUCCGGUAGGUUGCCACCUAGUGUAGCAAAAUGUCAAUCACUAGUUCGACUGAGACUCGGUGAGAACCAGCUUUCAGGACAAAUUCCAAAGGAGAUAGGCCAACUGCAAAACCUUGUGUUCCUUGACUUGUACAUGAAUCAUUUCUCUGGAGGCCUUCCCAUUGAGAUUGCCAACAUCACCGUUCUAGAGCUACUGGAUGUGCACAAUAACUAUAUUGGUGGCGAAAUCCCAUCUCAGCUUGGGGAGCUUGUUAAUUUGGAGCAGCUUGAUCUAAGCCGAAACAGCUUCAAGGGUGAGAUUCCAUGGAGCUUUGGGAACUUGAGUUACUUGAACAAGCUCAUCAUCAACAACAAUCUUCUCACAGGUUCAAUACCAAAGUCCUUUCGGAAUUUACAGAAGCUGACAUUGUUGGAUUUGAGCUUCAACAGCCUCUCUGGUGCAAUCCCAUCUGAAAUUGGUCAUGUGACAAGCUUGCAAAUCAGUUUGGACUUGAGUUCCAACAGUUUUACAGGAGAACUCCCGGAGACAAUGGCGGGUUUAACACAAUUACAGUGUCUUGAUCUUUCCCAUAAUAUGCUCUUUGGGAAAAUUAAGGUUCUUGGUUCUCUAACUAGUCUGGCUUCCCUUAAUAUCUCCUGCAACAAUUUCUCAGGUGCUAUCCCGAUAACAACCCCAUUCUUCAGAGCUCUUUCAUCAAAUUCUUAUCUUCAGAAUCCACAUCUUUGUGAGUCGAGUGAUGGGUCUACUUGCUCUUCAAGUCUAAUGCGGCAAAAUGGUUUGAAAUCUACGAAAACUAUUGCUUUAAUAUCUGUGAUUCUCUCUUCAGUGACCAUAGCAGUUGUUGCUUCAUGGAUUCUCGUUAUGCGAAAUCAUAGAUAUAUGGUGGAGAAAUCUUCAAGAACAUUAGCAUCCUCAUCGGGGGCAGAAGAUUUCUCUUAUCCGUGGACUUUCAUCCCAUUCCAGAAGUUCAAUUUCACUAUUGACAACAUCUUGGAUUGUUUGAAAGAAGAAAAUGUGAUUGGAAAAGGAUGCUCUGGGGUCGUCUACAAGGCAGAAAUGCAAACUGGGGAGCUAAUUGCGGUGAAGAAGUUGUGGAAAACAAAGGGAGAGGAAGAAGCAAUAGACUCUUUCGCUGCAGAGAUUCAAAUUCUUGGACACAUUCGCCACCGGAACAUUGUAAAGCUCCUAGGGUACUGUUCAAAUAGAAGUGUCAAGCUACUUCUUUACAACUUCAUUCCCAAUGGCAAUCUACAACAACUACUGCAAGAAAAUAGGAACUUGGACUGGGAAACAAGGUACAAGAUUGCUAUUGGGUCAGCUCAGGGUUUGGCAUACCUUCAUCAUGACUGUGUCCCAGCAAUUCUUCACAGGGAUGUGAAGUGCAAUAACAUAUUACUAGAUUCCAAGUGUGAAGCUUAUCUCGCAGAUUUUGGUCUUGCGAAAUUGAUGAACUCCCCAACUUACCAUCAUGCUAUGUCCAGAGUUGCUGGCUCUUAUGGUUACAUUGCACCAGGUAAAGCUAUUUUAUUUUAGCAAUUGUUGAUGAAAUUAUGUCUUGCAAGUCAGUACAUAUGCUUAAAUGUGUUGCAUUUUGAAUUGCAGAGUAUGGAUACACAAUGAACAUAACAGAGAAGAGUGAUGUCUACAGCUAUGGUGUAGUUUUGCUAGAGAUCCUAAGCGGACGUAAUGCCGUUCAGCCCCAAAUUGGUGAUGGACUACACAUUGUAGAAUGGGUGAAGAAGAAGAUGGCAAGUUUUGAGCCAGCUUUAUCAAUACUAGAUACAAAGCUGCAAGGCCUGCCAGAUCAAAUGGUUCAAGAGAUGCUGCAAACACUCGGAAUAGCAAUGUUCUGUGUCAACUCUUCGCCGGCAGAACGACCCACCAUGAAGGAAGUGGUGGCAUUGCUAAUGGAGGUUAAGAGCCAACCUGAAGAGUGGGGAAAAACUUCCCAACCCCUAAUAAAACAGUCUUCAAAUCAAAGUUAAUUAGUUUUUUUUAUCGUUUUAUCCAUUGCUUUUCUUUUAGGUUGCAAGGACAUCAGCUAUUGAUUCUUCUAUCCCAAUAUAAGAGAAGGUUUGAGUAGUUUAAUUCGUCCAUUUAGAUGCCAAGGCUAGUCACUAGUGGUCUUUAGGUUUCUUGUACAGUUUUGAGACAUCAGUAUGUUGGAAUUGCCCCUUUGUCAAUCUAUUGUUUCCAAUUUUGACAUACUUUCGUAAUUAUUUGAUGCAGCGGAAAUAUAAACGUUGAAAUCCAUCAACGGCGACUUGAAUUCACAAGUCUAGUUUUCUCGAAUCCACGAGAGAAUCUGGAAUCCACCAGAGAAUUGAGAUAAACUCAAAGGUUUUUAUUAAUCAAAAGGCUGACGACUACAACCGAUAGAGGCUCCUUAUAUAGGAGCAAAUAAACCCUAGGGCAACUAAUAUCAAAGACUAAAAACCCAUGGAUUAAAAGAAAACCAAAUCCAAAACAAACUAUUAAAAAUAAUUGCUAAAAACAAGUAAAUCUGCAUUUUGAAGGCUUAAACGGACUCGAAAGGCCGAAAAAGCCCAUACGUCGUAGCAAAGCAACGAGUUUGUCUCGUUGGCUCGUUCCGCUUCCAGAAAGGUAUCAUAAUGGUCAAUCGGACACCGAACGCCAAAUCUGGAGCAAACCGGGUUUGGACUCGUUUCGAUCGAUCUGUUCUUCAAUCUCUAACGCCAUCUGUUCUAUAUCAGUCUCCACUUCAGAAGAACUCGACCUCGAGUUAUUAUCACCCAAAAGAGAAUCAUCCUCAUGAAAUUCAUGCAGAUCAGCAACAUUAAAAGAAUUUGAAAUUCCCAUAGAAGCAGGAAGAUCAAUAACAUAAGCAUUAUCAUUAAUCUUCUUCAAUACCUUGAAUGGUCCAUAUUUCUUGGGUUUCAGCUUGUAAUAUGUGCCAACAGGAUACCUCUCCUUCCUGAGGAAAACCAUGACCGAAUCCCCUUCCUGAAACACCUUCACACGCCUGUGCUUGUCGGCAGCAGCCUUAUACUUGGCGUUUGUCUCCUCCAACUUUGCCUUUAUCUCUUCUUGAACUAUCCGGACUCCCUCUGCCAUUUUAAUUGCAACAUCACUAACUCCCUGUCCUCUUGGAAACUUUGCCAAAUCCACUACAUGUCGUGGAUGAGAAGUAUAGACCACAGAGAAAGGUGACUGACCAAUGGCACUAUGCAUAGAACUGUUGCAAGCGAAUUCUACCUGAGGUAAGGCAAAGUCCCAUUGCUUCGGCUUAUCACCACAGACACUCCUGAUCAUAUUUCCCAAACUCCUAUUGGUAACUUCAGUUUGUCCAUCUGUUUGGGGGUGAGCGGUAGUACUCCUCUUCAAAGCUGUCCCAAAUUGCUUCCACAAUGUUAACCAAAAAUGGCUCAAAAACUUUGUAUCACGAUCAAAAGUGAUGGACUUAGGCACCCCAUGCAAACAAACAACCUCCCUGAAAAACAGUUUGGCUAUAUUUGCAGCAUCUGCAGUUUUCUUGCAAGCGAUGAAGUGACUCAUCUUAGAAAAUCUAUCCACCACCACAAACACAGAAUCCACUCCUCUUUGGGUCCGAGGUAAACCCAAGACAAAAUCCAUAGAAACAUCCUGCCAAAUAUCAUCAGGAACAGGUAAAGGCAUGUAAAGACCAGUAUUUUGAGACUGACCCUUAGAUACCUGACAAACAUAGCACUUCCUGACAAUAUUGUUGACAUCUCGCUUUAAUUGAGGCCAGUAAUAACGCUCCUCCAAGCUUGCAGUUGUCUUGUCUUUCCCAAAGUGACCGCUUAAUCCUCCUCCAUGCAAAUCACGAAUCAGUUUCUCUCGUAGAGAAGAUUUGGGCACACAUAACUGAUUGCCCCUGAACAAAUAACCUUGAUGGAUAAGGAAACCAGCAACUGGUUGUUUCUUGCUAACACACUGCUCCCAAACCUGCUUGAAAUCAUCAUCUGCUUCAUAUAAUUCUUUCAAAAAGUCAAAACCAGUUACCUCUUGGGAUAAAGUAACCAACAAACUAGCUCGCCUGCUCAACGCAUCAGCCACCUUGUUGAGUGUUCCCGACUUAUGCUUGAUCACAAAAGGAAAUUUCUGCAAAAACGUCACCCAUCUGAUAUGCAUCUUGUUUACAUGUUUCUGACUGUUCAGAAACUUCAAAGCCUGAUGAUCAGAGAACAAAAUAAACUCUCUUUGGAUCAGAUAAUGCUCCCAUUGCCUUAAAGAAAGCCACUGCCCUCUUUUCUUGGGACAAGACAGCCCCCACUCCAACACCACUAGCAUCACAUUUGACCUCGAAUAUCUUGUCAAAAUUUGGAAGAGCCAAAACUGGUGCGGUACAAAGCUUCUCUUUGAUAAGUGCAAAACUUUGCUCUUGCUCUUCACCCCAAUGAAACUUGCCUUUCUUCAUGCAUUCAGUAAUUGGUGUAGUGAUGGUAUUGAAAUCCCUCACAAACCGGCUAUAGAAAGUAGCUAAACCAUGGAAACUUCUCACCUCCGAAACUGUUCUAGGAGUUGGCCACUCUCUAAUUGCAUGUACCUUCUCUUCAUCAACCUGAAUCCCAUCCUCUCCAACCACAAAGCCUAGAAACAGCAGCUUAUUGGUGCAAAAAGUACACUUCUUCAUGUUGAUGUACAACUUAUUAUCCCGUAGCACCUCAAGAACUUGCCUCACAUGUUCUAGGUGCUCGGUUUUCUGCUUACUAUAAAUAAGGAUAUCAUCGAAAUAAACAACAACCCUGGUUCCAAUGAAAGGACGAAGAACCUUAUUCAUGAGUCUCAUAAAGGUGCUAGGAGCGUUGGACAACCCAAAAGGCAUCACCAACCACUCAUAUAACCCAUCUUUGGUCUUGAACGCAGUUUUCCACUCAUCCCCAGGUUUGACUCGAAUCUGGUGAUAUCCACUUCUCAAAUCUAUCUUCGAGAACCACUUGGAACCAUUCAACUCAUCAAGCAUGUCUUCAAGGCGUGGGAUAGGAAACCUGUACUUGAUUGUUAUCUUGUUGAUGGCUCUGUUGUCCACACACAUCCUCCAUAUUCCUCCUUUCUUAGGUACCAGCAAAACAGGAACCGCACAAGGGCUCAUACUCUCUCAAAUAAACCCUUUCUUUAGCAAUCUUCAAUAAUCUCCCUUAAGAUCUCACAUUCCUUAGGGCUCAUUCUGUAGUGUGGCAGGUUAGGUAGCCUAGCUCCUGGAAUGAAGUCUAUUUGAUGUUGAAUGUCUCUCAUGGGUGGCAGCUCAUUAGGAAUAUCAUCAGCAAUUAACUCCUUAAAUCCUUCUAACAACUCCUAGACCUCCUUUGGAAUCUCUCCGCCUUGCUUCUCUACUGCCAUCAAACCCUUAACCACUAUAGGAAAAAUGGUUUUGGAUUCUUUUAUGGCCUCAUUCAACUCACAAUCGUUGUUGCUGAUGGUGAGAAAGCUCGAAUUGCCUUUCUUGGGACCUUCAGAAUUGCUUAACGGAGCCAUAGCAAUCUUGUGCUCCUUCCAUGUAAACAACAUCACAUUAUCCCUGCCCUUAUGAGUGACAUCCAGAUCAUACUGCCAAGGCCUCCCCAACAAUAUGUGACAAACAUCCAUAUCAACAACAUCACAACUCACCUCGUCACGAUAGUGUCUCCCAAUGGAAAUAGGCACCCUGCAUGUUGUGGUCACUUCUGCUUGAGGACCUUUUUUCACCCAGCCUAGUUUAUAAGGCUUAGGAUGAGGUUCUGUAGGCAACUCAAAAACUCCACCAGUUCAUGUGACACAAAGUUCUCACAACUCCCAUUAUCCACAAUCACCUGACAUACCUUGUUAUUCACAGAGCAUGCCGAACGAAAUAUAUUGUGGCAUUGUCCCUCUUCUUUUGGCACCAACAUGACCCUCUGCAGCACUAAGGUCACCCUAUCCAAACCCUCUUCAAUUGCAAACUCAACCCCACUAUAGUCAUCGUCUUCUCUAUCUUCCUCAUCUUCAUUGACAUCUCCUUGAGUUUGCGUCUCCACCAGGUUCACCUGCUUUCAUUCUGGACAAUUAUUGGAACGAUGUCCAGGUUGCUUGCACUGAUAACAUUUGUCUCCAGCGGGUUUUGCAUAAGGGAUGGGCUUCAGGUUUUGUUUAGGGUUCUCAGUAUUUUCACUAACCCUGCUGCUUUCUGCUCUCUUGAAAGGGGUAGAAACCUUAUCAGGUAUAGGAAUCUGCCUUCCUCUCUCAACAUUGGAAUAAGUCCUUUUUGCUUUCUCCAUUAGCUCUGCCUUCAAGGCCAAAUUCUGAGCCUCGGCAAUGGUCCACACAGUUUGUAAACCAAUUUUCUCUUAAAUCGAAGGUCUCAAUCCACUCAGAUACCUUGCCACUUUUUGCACCUCUGACUCUCCCAAUUGAUUGCGUUCUGCUAACCUCAAGAACUCAUCCGUGUACUCAUCUACCGUUCUAUUGCCUUGUACACAAUCCAUGUACAUGCGAUAAAGUAGUUGUUCGUAAUUUGUUGGAAGAAAUCUGUCCCUCAACAUCUGCUGCAUCCUCCGCCAUGUUUGAAUCGGCUUCUUUCCCUGUCUUCGACGAGUUUGCUGCAAUUGAUCCCACCAUACAGCAGCACUACUCUUCAGCCUGAAAGCGACCAUCUUCACUCGCUUUGACUCCUGCACUUCCAUCAUGUCGAAGAAUCUGUCAACUUCCACCAGCCAAUCAAGGAAUUCUUCAAUUUUCAGAUGUCCUGAGAAGGUUGGAAUUUCAGCCUUCAUCUUGUAAUCAGAUUGAUUAAUCUGAUCGUCACCAGCAACUGACAACUCUUCCUCUGAAUCUGAUUCAUCAUUCUCCACAACACGUUCCACCACACGUUGUUGUGGUUGCCUUCCACGAUCCCGACGUUUGAGGUUGUUGUUCUCAUUGUUGUUGUUGUUGUUGCUCAAGCCAAGAAACAGUUGUCGGAUCUCUCCCAUCUGAGCAUUGAGACAUUCAUUCUGAGCAUUGAACUCUGCUCGGGUAAUAGGAGCUUCGUCACCCAUGAAUACAGGUUGAUAACCACCAGGAAAAAUUCCUGCUCUGAUUACCUAUUGAUGCAGCGGAAAUAUAAACGUUAGAAUCCACCAACGGCGACUUGAAUCCACAAGUCUAGUUUUCUGGAAUCCACGAGAGAAUCUGGAAUCCACCAGAGAAUUGAGAUAAACUCAAAGGUUUUUAUUAAUCAAAAGGCUGACGACUACAACCGAUAGAGUCUCCUUAUAUAGGAGCAAAUAAAUCCUAGGGCAACUAACAUCAAAGCCUAAAAACCCAUGGAUUAAAAGAAAACCAAAUCCAAAACAAACUAUUAAAAAUAAUUGCUGAAAACAAGUAAUCUGCAUUUUGAAGGCUUAAACGGACUCGAAAUGCCGAAAAAGCCCAUACGCCGUGGCGAAGCGACGAGUUUGUCUCGUUGGCCCAUUCCGCUUCCAGAAAGGUAUCAUAAUGGUCAAUCGGAGACCGAACGCCAAAUCUGGAGCAAACCGGGUUUGAACUUGUUUCAAUCGAUCUGUUCUUCAAUCUCUAACGUCAUCUGUUCUAUAUCAUUAUUGCUAUAUGGUCUAUGAACAAUGCAUAUCGUCUACGAACAAUGCAUAUCUAUAUAAAACCGACACACAUAGAGUGGAUGUUCUAAACUUGUAACUAGAUUGAAGAAAAUAUAUGUUAUCCUCAACAAAAAUGCCAAACACAAUCUGAAAUUUUGGAAGCUAGAACUUGAAGACAGAAAUAAUGCAGAGACAGAAGCAGGGCAUGCUUCCCUCUCCCUCUCCCACAUGCUUAGCAGACACAAGAUUGGUCUCCCAUGUCUCCCAAACUCUUUCACUUUGUUAGGUGACUUAGGUCCAUGCAUAUCUUUCAGAAUUGUUGGUUUUAAGUAGACUAUUCAUUCUAUCUGAUAUCACUUAACAUUUCAAUAGAGAAGAAACUAAAUUAGAAGAUGGUAUAUGUCAGCUAGAGAUUCUUGAAGAUGAAUGAUUAUUCUAAUAAACUUCACUUUUUGUUUCGUAUAUGGUCAGAGUCAAUCCAGAAAUCCUGGCAAACUUCAACCCAGAAAAUAGGUCAAGGCAGAGCCUAUUUUCAUAGUGCCUCCAUAUUUUACUAAAGAGGUUCCCAUAUUAUCAGGCAGAGCCUACAUCAUAGUGCCUCCAUAUUUUCUGUAAGGAGGUUCCCAAAUCCCAACUAGCGUUUAAAUUUCAUAUUCCCUUGUUAGCAGAAUUUCUUCAAUAUUGAUAAGAUACACAAUAUCAAGAGCUUAAGGGUAUAAAACUAAAAAACGGUUUCUAUUCAGGAAAUGACCUAAUAGAUAUCCUCAAGCUGAAUCUAGGUGAAGAAGAAAUCUCUCGAGACAAACUGGGUGAUGAGUAAUCCCCUCGAUAGGAAUCUUGGUGAGGAGAAAUCUCCUCUAGGCAAAUCCGGUUACGAAACAAUCUCCUCAAUAUGAACGCUUCAGAAAAGACCAGAUGGACGUUUCAGUUUGAAAGAUCUUAAAGAUCUGUAAGAGAACCUCAAUUUAGGCACAUAAUGCAAUGAAAUUUCAAAUAAAUCUCAUGACACUUGUGGAUGGUCAGUGUGGAAAAGUAGACACGCUCAUCACGUUGGAUUCAUCAUUACUAUCUCCUCAUAAGAGAAACAGUCGGCGCCUCAAAAAUCAUAAAGAUCUUUAUCAUGUUUAUCAUUCCAUAAACUGAUUCUUUCAAUUAUAAUUUUUGUUUUCCAAAAUAUCCCAGAUAUUACCAAUAGACCUUGGUUAUGAAAAAAAUCCAAAGUUAGGCUCUAAUGCUUCAGCUCUAAACUUAGUAUGAACCCGCUAGCCAUGGUCUCUCGAUACAAAACCAGCAAUCACUUGAUGAACAUCUGAUUUGCUUGAAUCCAAAGCAACUGUAUGUGUGUAAAUCGCCAAUAAUCCAAGAAUUUGUUGACAUAAAAUCGUCUUUUCUAGAUUCAUCGGCACAAUCCGGAAAUGGAAUGAACAAAUCAUGAUAUUUUUUGGUACAACACUUGAUACAAACAAAAAAUGGGCAAAGGAAAAUAAUGAUGGCGGAUCCUCCCAUGCAUUCUUAAUCAAAUCCAUAAUUCUUUUUUCUUACCUUCAUGCCUGAAUAGUGCAACCAGUAUUUACUCCUCUUAGGCUAUUACUCCAUGGAACUUUCUUAAUUCCUCCCUAGGUGAACUUCAGAAGCUGCACAAUAACAGAAGAAUUGAGAAAAAAUGGUAAGUAAACAGUGAAAAAAUGUUCAUAUAGUUGAGUCUCAUUAGUGUAUAAAACUCACCGGUUUAUUGCUUCACUUUCAAAGCCGUUUCAAUUCGUUCAAUAAGCUGAUCAGCAUUCAAAGCACCCUCCUGCAAGUUAGCAAACAAAGCUCAUAAUUGACUUUUAUAAUCGACAGAAAAAUGCUACAGGAACUUAUAAAUUAGUAGGGAAGUGAAAUAUAGUACAAGGAUGAACAAAGCCAUUACUAAGCUUAUAGCAGGCAGCAGUUUAGCAGUGGCUUUUAUGGCAUAAAUUGAUAAUACAUUAGCACACCCAGAUAAAAAAAAAUGCCGAGCAAAACAGACCCUGAAGAAAUUCGAUAAGCCAAUGUAUGUGUACAUGUAUCAUUAUGGGUAACUGCCAGUGCUUGACACCCAAAACAUUGCAGCAAUAUUCAGUUCACGAUUCAUACUUACAGAAAGAUGCAGCAGUUGCAGUUAACAGUGGCAAAGAACCCUUGUGCAUGUGCAUAGUAAAUCAUUAUGCAAUCCAAACGGCGUAACUAACAUAAUUUGAUAGGAACUAUAUCCAUCUAUUUCGUUUGAUUUAAUGGGUGCAAGAAUUGUAGGUGCAAACUAAACAUUUUAAGAAGUAAAUGGAACUUGACAGGAAAGAGGAACUCAAAUUUCACUUACAAAGCGGUCAUAUGGUUCUCCAUCCUUAAAUAUAAUGAAAGUAGGCAAUGCCUGUAUUCCAUACUUGUCAGCAAUGCUUGGAUACUUCUCAGUGUCAAUUUUCACCACCUGGAUCUUGUCAUUCAGAGUAAUACUGACUUCAUUGAGGAUAGGGGCCAUAAAUUGACAAGGACCGCACCUGUCAAGAACAGUUUCAGUUACUUAAGUAAUCAUGUUAGGUUUGAAAAAUGGGUUUCAACAUAAUAUACAGAUGGAGAUAAACAGUGGGGAAGUAAGAACUAUUAGGUGAAUGAGUAUCAUCUUGUUUUUCAACUAAAAGACAUAACUACCAACUAACCAAGAUCCUAACAUUACAAAGUUGCUAAGCAGUAGUAGUUGAACUAACUGAUGCUGCAUUAUUGAUCAAUUCAGGGGAUUAUACAAGCUCACAAUAUUAUAUCAACCGUACCAAGGAAAUGGAAUAACAAAGAGGAGCUUACCAAGUUGCAUAGAAGUCAACCAGGACAGGUCUAUCAGAAUUAGCCAGCAAAUCAUCAAAGUUGGAGAAUGUUUGUUUCUUUGCCUCCACCUACAAAAACUAACAUUGUAAAUACAAAUGUAAUUACUGUACUACCAGUGCAGUUAAAGUACUUUAAACUUCAGCCACAUAAACUAGAUAUCAAUAAGAAAAAAAAUCAAACAAGAAACUAAAAGAGACAUUACACUUGCUCAGAAAACUGUACCUACGGAACUGCUGAGUUAAGUUCCACCAACCCCAAAGCAGUUACAAGGAAUAUUUUGACAGAUUGAUAGAAAGGUAUGAAUUUCAGACUCGUAGCAUAUGUUAAGGUCAAGAGCGCUGAUGGAUUAUUCGUAGAACAUGAGAUAUCACAUUAUAUUGAUAGCAGGACCCGUUCUGAGUAGAAAAAACAUGCGACUCAAUGCCUAAGGUCUCAACAUGCAACUUUCAUCGCUAUCUGCUACCAGAAAAUCUGGAUAAGAUACUUCCAAUUCAACAUCCAUGAUUCAGAUAUAUACCUUCCAUCCCCUGUUGAAGUGUAAAGUUCCUACAAACUUCCUUCUCAAUUUUUAGCCAAAAUAGUCUACAGAAAAGGUAUAAUUUGGAGCCAAAAAGGUGUAUAGAAUUGUGAUGUUAUAAGUUGCAUUGACCUGACAAUGGACAGCAUGAAAACCCCCAAAUAAGGUGACAUUAUUAGGAUCCAGUGGUUGACAAGCAGAUUAGUUCAUUGAUAUAAGAAAAUUCACUAAGCGGCCAAAAGCUAAGCCCAUUAACGGUUGGAAGGGAUCCAACGGAACUAAAAGAUUUCUGAAGACAAUGAAAGAUGAUGUUUUUCUCUACUUUUAGUCACCAGAACACAUAGGGUGCCCUUAGACCUUUCUCAUCCCACCGCAAGGCAAACCAUGCCAACUUGUUGAGAUAAAAUUUGUAACUGUAAGGACCAUAAUUAUUACAUAUGGUCAUUUCUAACAAGAGUUUCCAUUUGGCCUCUUUCGCCAUUCUAUAUCUGAAUUCUGAGUAGCCUAACAGCAUAUCCGGUACGACAGGAGGGGAAAGGAUCAAGGUUUACAAUACAUAUAGCCAAUGCCAGUGGUUUGGACUACGGAAGCUACAGCACUAAGAGUUACAGUUCAUAGAAAAAACAAGGAUUUAUCUGUACAAUGCCAAGUUUCGCACAUGAUUCACACAUUUAAACACACUGAGAAUAGCCAUCGGACCAAAACAGGGGCUAUAUAAUCAUAACUCAUUUCAUAUCCUUCUACACACAAAAUAUCUAGCUAAGAAUUAUCAUCAAUUAGUCCUCUCCAACAACCUGAACCUCAAUUUGACUUUCUGAGAAACGAAAACCUAUCAUCAUGUCCUAACCAUAUUUUCACAUCAAUCAUCAAACAAAAUAUAUCAACUGUGUUCAUAAUAACAAAACAAAGCUAAGAGACUAAAACAUAGUUAUAAAAGAAUAAAGAAAAAGGUUACCGGCGCAAGAAUUCGAUGCCGAGAUGGAGCGGAGGCUCCGUUAGUUCCAAUCCGAAGGCGUCGGAGCUGUACGGGGAAUUGCAGAGAGGAAGAGGAUGAUAGAUUCGAGGAAGAAGAAGAGGAGGAGGAAGCAGCCAAGCGUGCGGCGCGGUCAGAGCAGAGAGAAGAAGGAAUUGACGAUGACGUUACGGAAACCGCCAUUUUUUCAGAGAGAGAGAGAGAGAGAGAGAGAGAGGAGGAGGAGGACGGACGGACGACGACGCGCGCGCGCGAGAGAGAGAGAGAGAGAGAGAGUACGUACGUACGUACGUACGUACGUACGUACGUACGUAGUAGUAGAGAGAGAGAGNNAGAGAGAGAGAGAGGUGCUGCGUUGGUUUUGGGUUGGAUAAAUCGUUUAAUGGGAAACGUGAAUUCUCACAGGUGAGGACUAAAAAAUAACAGGUUUGGCUACAGGUGGAUUUGAGCCGUCCGAUGGUCAGAGUGCGUUAAUCGGACGGUUAGAGAUUAUUGAGAUUUUGGGUGGUUGUUGACUCGUUGAACUGUCAUUUUGUUGGAGGGGGACCUUAUUGAAGAUUUGGUGACUCUUGCUGCGGCUGCUACCAAAAAUAAAACAAGAUUCGGGUGCCGUCUACGGCCCGAUCCCCUGGUCUAUUCAGUCCUACAUACCAUUCAAGCUGUCCAUAAUUCACAAAAACUAUACCGGCUAGUCUGUGUGCCACUGCAUUAGUGGUUCUAGGAGCAAAAGUGAUAGAAACAUUUUGCAGAUUUGUAAAUUAGUGAUGGAUGUCAUGUAGAAUAUUCUCGAACUCCGAAUUUAGGUAAUCUGAGGCUUGUAUAUCAGCUAUUGCAUGUUGACAGUCACUAUGAACUUCAACAUUUUGGUACUGCAGGUUCAAUAGCCAUUUUGAUUGCUUCAAGAUACUCACGAGUCAAAUCGCUGGUGGAACUAAUUCACUUGCACAGAUAACUUAUCAUGACGUUGCAGCUUGUUCUGCUGUGUGAUCUUCUAGGUCUAUGUGUUUUGGUCCAUGGACUCAUCCUCAGUAAAGAAGCGUGAAUAUGCUUCUGGUGAAUAUGUCUGUAUUAUAUAUGCAUCUUAAUCAAGUUUACAAGAGGUUUAUAUACAACCUAACAUCUGCUAACCCUAGCUAAUAGGGCUGACGUGUAUAGUUACAAUAGGAAGGCUAGAAGAAUAAGGAAACAACUCAAUCAGUUGUUACAGAUUGAUCUACUCGAGUUAUAAGCUGAUCCUCUCCUUUAAUACUCCCCCUCAAGUUAGAGUGUAUAUUGAUGACACCUAACUUGCUAAGAAGAAUGUCAAACUGUGCAGUACUCAAUGGUUUGGUAAAUAAGUCGGCAAUCUGCUCUUUAGUACCAAUGUGUGCAGCCUUGAUCACACCUGCAUGCAUCUUUUCUCUCACAAUAUGACAAUCAAUCUCGAUGUGUUUAGUACGUUCGUGAAANNNNNNNNNNNNNNNNNNNNNNNNNNNNNNNNNNNNNNNNNNNNNNNNNNNNNNNNNNNNNNNNNNNNNNNNNNNNNNNNNNNNNNNNNNNNNNNNNNNNNNNNNNNNNNNNNNNNNNNNNNNNNNNNNNNNNNNNNNNNNNNNNNNNNNNNNNNNNNNNNNNNNNNNNNNNNNNNNNNNNNNNNNNNNNNNNNNNNNNNNNNNNNNNNNNNNNNNNNNNNNNNNNNNNNNNNNNNNNNNNNNNNNNNNNNNNNNNNNNNNNNNNNNNNNNNNNNNNNNNNNNNNNNNNNNNNNNNNNNNNNNNNNNNNNNNNNNNNNNNNNNNNNNNNNNNNNNNNNNNNNNNNNNNNNNNNNNNNNNNNNNNNNNNNNNNNNNNNNNNNNNNNNNNNNNNNNNNNNNNNNNNNNNNNNNNNNNNNNNNNNNNNNNNNNNNNNNNNNNNNNNNNNNNNNNNNNNNNNNNNNNNNNNNNNNNNNNNNNNNNNNNNNNNNNNNNNNNNNNNNNNNNNNNNNNNNNNNNNNNNNNNNNNNNNNNNNNNNNNNNNNNNNNNNNNNNNNNNNNNNNNNNNNNNNNNNNNNNNNNNNNNNNNNNNNNNNNNNNNNNNNNNNNNNNNNNNNNNNNNNNNNNNNNNNNNNNNNNNNNNNNNNNNNNNNNNNNNNNNNNNNNNNNNNNNNNNNNNNNNNNNNNNNNNNNNNNNNNNNNNNNNNNNNNNNNNNNNNNNNNNNNNNNNNNNNNNNNNNNNNNNNNNNNNNNNNNNNNNNNNNNNNNNNNNNNNNNNNNNNNNNNNNNNNNNNNNNNNNNNNNNNNNNNNNNNNNNNNNNNNNNNNNNNNNNNNNNNNNNNNNNNNNNNNNNNNNNNNNNNNNNNNNNNNNNNNNNNNNNNNNNNNNNNNNNNNNNNNNNNNNNNNNNNNNNNNNNNNNNNNNNNNNNNNNNNNNNNNNNNNNNNNNNNNNNNNNNNNNNNNNNNNNNNNNNNNNNNNNNNNNNNNNNNNNNNNNNNNNNNNNNNNNNNNNNNNNNNNNNNNNNNNNNNNNNNNNNNNNNNNNNNNNNNNNNNNNNNNNNNNNNNNNNNNNNNNNNNNNNNNNNNNNNNNNNNNNNNNNNNNNNNNNNNNNNNNNNNNNNNNNNNNNNNNNNNNNNNNNNNNNNNNNNNNNNNNNNNNNNNNNNNNNNNNNNNNNNNNNNNNNNNNNNNNNNNNNNNNNNNNNNNNNNNNNNNNNNNNNNNNNNNNNNNNNNNNNNNNNNNNNNNNNNNNNNNNNNNNNNNNNNNNNNNNNNNNNNNNNNNNNNNNNNNNNNNNNNNNNNNNNNNNNNNNNNNNNNNNNNNNNNNNNNNNNNNNNNNNNNNNNNNNNNNNNNNNNNNNNNNNNNNNNNNNNNNNNNNNNNNNNNNNNNNNNNNNNNNNNNNNNNNNNNNNNNNNNNNNNNNNNNNNNNNNNNNNNNNNNNNNNNNNNNNNNNNNNNNNNNNNNNNNNNNNNNNNNNNNNNNNNNNNNNNNNNNNNNNNNNNNNNNNNNNNNNNNNNNNNNNNNNNNNNNNNNNNNNNNNNNNNNNNNNNNNNNNNNNNNNNNNNNNNNNNNNNNNNNNNNNNNNNNNNNNNNNNNNNNNNNNNNNNNNNNNNNNNNNNNNNNNNNNNNNNNNNNNNNNNNNNNNNNNNNNNNNNNNNNNNNNNNNNNNNNNNNNNNNNNNNNNNNNNNNNNNNNNNNNNNNNNNNNNNNNNNNNNNNNNNNNNNNNNNNNNNNNNNNNNNNNNNNNNNNNNNNNNNNNNNNNNNNNNNNNNNNNNNNNNNNNNNNNNNNNNNNNNNNNNNNNNNNNNNNNNNNNNNNNNNNNNNNNNNNNNNNNNNNNNNNNNNNNNNNNNNNNNNNNNNNNNNNNNNNNNNNNNNNNNNNNNNNNNNNNNNNNNNNNNNNNNNNNNNNNNNNNNNNNNNNNNNNNNNNNNNNNNNNNNNNNNNNNNNNNNNNNNNNNNNNNNNNNNNNNNNNNNNNNNNNNNNNNNNNNNNNNNNNNNNNNNNNNNNNNNNNNNNNNNNNNNNNNNNNNNNNNNNNNNNNNNNNNNNNNNNNNNNNNNNNNNNNNNNNNNNNNNNNNNNNNNNNNNNNNNNNNNNNNNNNNNNNNNNNNNNNNNNNNNNNNNNNNNNNNNNNNNNNNNNNNNNNNNNNNNNNNNNNNNNNNNNNNNNNNNNNNNNNNNNNNNNNNNNNNNNNNNNNNNNNNNNNNNNNNNNNNNNNNNNNNNNNNNNNNNNNNNNNNNNNNNNNNNNNNNNNNNNNNNNNNNNNNNNNNNNNNNNNNNNNNNNNNNNNNNNNNNNNNNNNNNNNNNNNNNNNNNNNNNNNNNNNNNNNNNNNNNNNNNNNNNNNNNNNNNNNNNNNNNNNNNNNNNNNNNNNNNNNNNNNNNNNNNNNNNNNNNNNNNNNNNNNNNNNNNNNNNNNNNNNNNNNNNNNNNNNNNNNNNNNNNNNNNNNNNNNNNNNNNNNNNNNNNNNNNNNNNNNNNNNNNNNNNNNNNNNNNNNNNNNNNNNNNNNNNNNNNNNNNNNNNNNNNNNNNNNNNNNNNNNNNNNNNNNNNNNNNNNNNNNNNNNNNNNNNNNNNNNNNNNNNNNNNNNNNNNNNNNNNNNNNNNNNNNNNNNNNNNNNNNNNNNNNNNNNNNNNNNNNNNNNNNNNNNNNNNNNNNNNNNNNNNNNNNNNNNNNNNNNNNNNNNNNNNNNNNNNNNNNNNNNNNNNNNNNNNNNUCGCGGGGGGGGGGGGGAUCUAUUUUUGGACUGCUUGCUGAGUUAAUAGAGUAUGACCUUCUUUCAUUACAAAAAAAAAAUUGAAAUUUGUUUAGUCUUUGUGGUUUGAAGUCGACAUUUGUUUAAUUCUUGUGAUUUUAUUUUAAUCUGAAUAGUCCUUAAAGUCAUGCUUUUUCAUCCAAAUGGUCUUUCCGUCAAUUUUUUCUGUUAGAAUACUGACGUGGCCGUUAAAGACAUUGUAAUUUUUAACUGCCACAUCAACAAUUUAACUGAAAAAAUUGACAGAAUGACCAUUUAGAUGAAAAAUCGUGACUUAAGGACUAUUCAGAUUAAAAUAAAACCACAAGUACUAUACAAUAUUUUACCCAAAAAAGAAAUGUUUAGGAAGUGAUAAGUUUUUGGUGAUUGUUAAGGAAGUGAUAAGUUUUUAUUACCCUUAAUAAUUUUAUUAUUGGUAGUCAAUAACAUGUCUACUGGAGUCAUUAAUUUUGAUCCGGAUUCUCUGCUUGGAUUUAAGUUGCUUAAAUUUGUUUGGAUGUUUUAUAAUCAUUAGAUGUAGUAGAUGGAGUAAGAAUGACAUAAGAAUGACAUGAUGGUCCCAGAUUGUACUCAAUCUAAUGGUUAGAAGUCAUCCAAGCAAAUUCAAGCAACAUAAAUCUAAGUAGAGAAACCAAAUUUCAUUAAUUUAUUUAUUGGGAGUCAAUAGCUUGUUUACUGGGGUCAGUAAUUUAUUAUUCAGGUCAGUAACUUGUAAACUAGGGUCAGAAAUAUAUUAUUAGGGGUCAACAUACACUACCAGGACAAGCACUUUUUCGUCGGCUUGUUAGCUUAAUUCGUCGGCAAAGAUCAUAGUCGACGAGCCAUCGUCGGUUAAGAUUUCGUCGGGAAAAGGUCGUUGGCGAUGACUUUAGCCGACGAAAAAAGAAGACGUUGUCGGCUAUAGUCCCAUAGUUUAGCCGACGAAAAACAUGUUGUCGGUUUUUUUCCCAGACUUUAGCCGACGAAACAAUUAAGAUAUUUGUCGGCUAAAGUGUGUAAUAAAAAAUUAAAAAAAUAACUAUAGCUGACGAAAUAUAGUCUGUUUCGUCGGCUAAACCUUAUAAAAAAAAUUUUAAAAAUAACUAUAGCCGACGAAACAUGCCAUAAUUCGUCGGCUAAACCUUAUAAAAAAAUUAAAAAAUACUAUAGCUGACGAAUAUCUUCGGCUAAAGUAUUUAAAUAUCGUCGGCUAAAGUUGCUGGUUUUUGAAAAAAAAACUGCAGAAACUUUCGGCCACCUCCAAUCACCACCAAAAUUUGACAGAAUCUUCCUCUCAACAUUUUGAACAAUUCUAGAAGAAGUCAAAGCCCAAUUCUAAGCCUAAACAGGUCAAUUGAAUCAAAAUAUAAAAAUCCCCAAUUUUAAACCCUAAAAACUUCAAAUCUUCGAUUCUCCUCACACACACCGAAUCAAGCUACCAAAUUAUAGGGGAAUGUAGUACUAAUCAAACUCAACUUAUCCAUAUAUAGAACUCACCAAAUGGUGACCUGAGGAAGGAGAAAUUCGAUCGACACUGAAUCCGAACCGGCAGAGUUUUGGAGCUCGAUUUAUCCCUCACGACAGCGCCACUCGAUGCACCACCUGUCCAGAAAUGAAGUAGAGACAACGGCGAAGCUUUUGGGACAAGUGUGGCGGUCUCCGGUUGCUUGAAGGCGAAGCUAGGCCGAGAAGAAAAUCCGGCAGGCGAAACAGACUUCUUACCAUCCACCUUUGGUAAAACUCCUAUAUAAAGAACUUUACCCGACGAAAUUCUUUAUUUUCGUCGGUUAAACUCUUUUGAAAAUUUUGGUUGACUGCCAAAAAAUUUUGGUUGAAAAUUUUAAAAAUUUUGAAAUUUUUUUGACAAUAGCCGACGAAAUCAUAUAUUUUCGUCGGCUAAAGUCUUUCGAAAAUUUUCCUCCAAAUUUGGUUUACCGCCAAAAAAAUUUUGACUUUAGCCGACGACUGUUUUAAUAUCUCGUCGGCUAAAGUCUAUAAAUUCACGAAAACGCUCAUAUCUCCCUCUAUAUUACGUAGUUUGGUCAAACAUUCCACACAAAAAACUUUCACGUAGAUGAGACACAACCGCCUAUAUAAAAAUUUUGAGACAUACCUUCCGACGAUAGGGCUCCCCAUAGGGAAUAAUAACGGUAAAUAGGGUUGACCGCUACUAUCGGCACCGAGACGUUACCCGAUUUACGUGAUUUUUGAACCAUAGCCGUAUUUCACUAUUCUGAACACAUCUUAUUUCACGAGAUUUUUGAUAAUUUUGCUUCCUAUGUAGAGUUGGUUCACAAAGUUGUAUAAUCUAUUAAACAAGUUAUACAACAUUAGGAGACAUGUUGUGAUUCUGAUGACUAAAAUUCACAAACCAAAAUUCGACCUUCAUAUAUGAUCAUUAUGAUGAAAGAUGUCUAUAGUAAAAAAUUCAACUGGAUUCGACAACGUUAAGGGCUCGAUCGAAACGGUCAACUCUAAUCGGAAAUAAGAAAACUGCAUUUUGAAGCCCUAAACAGACUCGGAUGGCCAAAAAGGUCCAUAUAUCAUAGCAAAGAAAUGAGUUUGACUGGUAGGGCCGUUACGCUUCCGGAAAGGUAUCACAAUAGUUAAUCGGACACCGAACGCCAAAUCUACAGCAUACCGGGUUUCGACUGUUCUACAUCAGAGACGUUACCCGAUUUACUUGAUUUUUGAACCAUAGUCGUAUUUCACCGUUCUGAACAGAUCUUAUUUCACGAGAUUUUUGUUAAUUUUGUUUCUAUGUAGAGUUGGUUCACAAAGUUGUGUAUUUGUUUAAAACCUACUAAGCAAGUUAUACAACAUUUAUUGUUUUUCUUUUAGCCGACGACUUUUUUCGAUAAUAGCCGACGAUAUUUUUUUCGUCUACUAAAAUACUUUAGCCGACGAGUAAUUUGGCCGACGAAGGAAAACUUUGGCUGACAAAAAAAUUUCUUCAACCGACGAAAAUUUAAAUUAGCCGACGAAGGAAAAUUUCACCGGCUAACGUGGACUUUAGCCGACGAAAAAAUAAUUCGUCGGCCUGGUUUUUUUAUUUUCGUCGGCUAAAGCCUUUCUUCUGGUAGUGAUAUACAUGUUUACUGGGUCUGUAAUUUCGGCCAUCGGAUUCCGGAUUCCGGUGACUGGCGACCAGGGCAGGUGAGGUUCUGGCCAAAUCUUCUCUCUCUAAGCAUGUUUAAGGGGUGAGGGUAAAAUAAUAUUAAAAUAAUAUAGCUUCUUAAGAGUUUGGAACUUUGGAUAAGUUUAAUGGGCACAAAUUCUCUUAUUUAAAGUUUAAAUGGUCAAUAUAUAUAUUUUUUUAAAAUGUUGGGAUAGGAAGUAAGAUGCUAAAUUUUGGAGUAAAUGGACAUUAUCUACAACUAGCUUUCUACCCGUGUAAAUUUACACGUUGUCACAAAUUCACCCAAAAUUAAUAAGCGGUUAAUCUAUAUUCUAUCCACUACCCACGUUUUUCUCUUCCAAAUUAUCUCUUAAGUUUAUUUAUUUAUUUAUUUUUUUAUAUUGCAAUUUACCAUAGUAGCCAUUUAAAAAAAAAAUGAAUCAACUUAAUAGGGGUGAUUUUGGUAAAACACAAUUUGGUAAUUUAAAGACUACUCGCUUUAUAUAUAGUAGAGAUAACAAUGUAGUAUCUAUCUUUAAAGCCAAGAACAUAGUCUUCUGAUUUCUAAAAACAAAAAAGAAAAAAAGAAAAAAAAGAGUCUUAUGAGAAGAAGACAAUUAGGGCUAAUCUAUCAGUUGGAAAGGAUAUUGUUCAAGUUGUACUAAUCCCCGUAAAUGACAGUUUAUGAAAAAAAAUUUGUAUGUGUUGCAUUAAGUAAGACGAGUAUGUUAGAGCAACUCCAAGAAGUGGUUAUUUUACUUUUGUCAAAGUCAAAUUCAAAUUUGACUUCUGACAUGGCAAUGUUAUCUUUGGCAAACUUCUCUUCUAUUGAAAAUGUCAAAUAAAUUCAUUUGUUAUUUAUCUUUUAUUAAAGUAGUACUUUUAUCUUAUCUUUCUUCUCUCCUUCUAGAACUCUUUUGGAACUUCAUCAGUUCGUCUCUUCUCCACUUCUCAGACGAAGCCACUUGACCUCUUCUUUCCCAGACGAAGUCUUUCUCCACUACUGGAACUAAUCCUUCUACAUGCCAAACAAACGCUUUAUUUCCCCCAGUGGUCCUCCAUAAUUGAAUUCUCUAUUUUCUGAUCUUUCUUUCCAUGAACUCUUCUUCUCCUUUCAAAAAAGCCAUCCCUUCGUCUAUCUUCCUUUCUUCUAUUUCCUCCAUCUCUGCCCAUAUCUUCUUAUUUUCUGCAAAAAUCUUCAUGCCCAUAUUCUAAUAUCAGGCAACCCACGAAAAUUAGAAGUCAAGAACAACAUAUUCAAGCAAAUCGGAGGGAUGUGUAAGAAGAAAGAGAGAAGACAGAAGGGAAGAGAAGAGAGUUGAUUAAACAAUCAAGAAAAACAAUUUGACAACUUCUUAAGCACGAUCAAGUUUGACAAUGCGGAAAGAGUUGUCAAAUCCACGUCAGAUUUGAAACAACCGUUGGAGUGAAUUUUCCAACCAUUUUUUUUCGUUGAGCCUCCACCCUAUCAUUUGACAGGUUCGUUGGAGUUGUUGUUACUAGCUAUUAGAACAUAUGAACAAUGAUAAAAAAAAUGUUAUUAUUUUAAAGAAGCCGGAUCAUAUUUUCCUAUCGGUAAAAAAAGAAAAGAAAAAACAAUUUAGCAUGAAAAAGUGACUUGAACAAGGAAAAAGUUACUCGGACAGAAAUAGAAAUGGCCAACGAAAAAGUAGUUACCCGAAGAGAAAUAGAAAUGGGAGUAGGCAGCUGAUGUUCAAGUUCCUAGCUCCCAGGCUUCACCUCCUCCCCGUCUCCCUCAAAUCAAAUCAGACGGCCUCCUCCACCAUGUGGCGCCCGAGGUCCGGCGGGCUAGGCAUGGCUGCCGUUUCCUACGUGGCAGUCGACUACCUUCGCCACCUGUCCCCCACGUGGCACCGUCGUCUCAUGCCUGUCCUCUGGUCCCUCCUCGCUCUCGUCGCCGUCAGCCGCGUCCCGUUCUACAAGCACUGGAGCUCCGAGUUCCGCUCCCUCAAAGCCUUCGUCGCCUCCAUGGUUUUCAUGCUCCUCACUCUUCUCCUUGAAGCCGGCUGCGUCCGAUUCGUCACCGUCGUGCUCGGCCUCGAUUGGCACACGUAUGUUGUUAUUUCUUUGGUCUGUCUAUCUCAGUUUGGAUUCGCAUUUCUUUAUUUAGGUUUUGAUUUUGCUUACUGAUGUGACUUUAGCUUUGUUUUGAACUUACCGGAUUUGAUCCAUGUCGUGUAAGAGUUAGAAUUCACUUUCCAGAUUUGAUAGAACAGUUUUGGAGGGUUGUUAGAUCAGGGAUGCCACAGAUCUAGAAUUAGAACUCUAUAAUUAGGGUUUUACUGUCUUACCCCCUGGCCUUUAUGAUUUGUAGAGUUAUAUACGUUCUUCGAGAUGAAUGCUAAAUACAUAGUGAAAGAAGAUAAAUUGAAAAAGGAAAACAAAAUUAAGAAAGAUGGUGUUGUAAAUUACGUAGCCAAAUUGAUAACAAAAGUGACAUUGUCCAGUUUGGUUGUACUUUGUCAAGAUGGUGUUGAAAAGGCACAGCACCCUUUGGCAUGCCGCCGUCUGCAUUGUAUUAUAAUCUGAGACUGACAUGGAGUGUGUUAGACUAUUUGAUGUUUUGGGUACAAUCUGAUUUGUUGUAGUUCAUAGCUAACAGGAUAUCGAUAACACUUCUGUUUCUUCAUGCUAUAUAAAACUACACAAAUUUAGCUAAUUAUUUAACUGUAGAAAAAAAAGAUUGACUGGUUAAUGUUUGACACUUGACAGUGAUACACAUCCGCUUCCUGACACUGGCCAGUGGUUUCUUUUGGCACUGAAUGAGAAACUACCUCAUGCACUAGUUGAAAUAUUAAGAGCCCGAAUUAUCGGACUGCACCACUUCCUCAUGUUGUUUAUGAUCCUGGCUUUCUCCGUAUUGUUUGACUCUGUGAAAGCUCCUGGCCUUGGACUAGGUGCACGAUAUAUGUUCACCAUGGCCAUUGGCCGUAUUCUUCGUUCCAUAACUUUUGUUUCAACAAUUGUACCAUCACCCAGGCCGUGGUGUGCUAAUGUUCGGUUUGGAGGUUAUUCAUAUCCUCAUCAUUGGGCUCAGAAAUAUUAUGUCCCUUAUGCUUCAGAUUCUAAUGCUAUUCGCCAGGUGUUACAACAGGAUAUAGCCUUUGGUAAGUGCUGCAUAAUAGGUUCAUCUUCCUCCUGUUUCCAUCCGUAGAUUUAUUUUCUUGAUGGCAAUGUUACAACCAAAAGAACACUUUAAACCUGACCUGAACUGUCUUUGUUGCUAUGAGAUUAGCACUGAAUUUCUCCUUUAUCUACCAGAAAUAGAUAUCUAAAAGUCAUGUUAUCCUAUGUCAGACUAGAUUCAUGAGAUCAUUUUACUUUUAAUCUUUUUGAGUUUGAUAUCCUAUAAUUUCGCUUCCAUUUAGAAUUACUUAAAGCCAUUUUUGGGAAUUGAUAGUCAAUGUUUCUACCCUUGGAGUUCUCAACUAGUCUUUCACCAAGUUGGACUUAUUUCGUCAACUUGUAUAGAUGCUGAUGUGUUUUUCAUGGUUUAGAAAUUACUGUGGUUUACUGGAUAUUCAUAGCAUGAUUAUACCAUAUAGAGAGGUUCUACAUACAACAUUUCAAUCUCUAUCUUCCUCCUUUUUUUGUUGUGCAAAAUCCAUUGCAUGGCUGAAUCUUAACACGUGUACCACCUACCUUAUUUAUAGCUAGGAAAAACCCCCGAAAAGAUCAAGUUUCUAAAGUACUUUCCUAUACAUUGUUCUCAAUUAGUGCUGCUCUUCUCUUUCUUCUUCUUUUUUUUUUUUUUUUUAGUUGCAAUUAUCCUAUUAGAAUAAGGUGGUAGGCUUUACAAGUUUCUUCAUCUUUUUCCACCAGCUGAUACUGGAGAAUUACUUGGUGGCUACCGUCCGGACUGGGGCCCCAUGAGCUUCUUGAUUGAUUUCUUGCGACCCACCCCAUCAUCAGGAUCGUGGUAUAAUUUGCUGAGGACUGCUGGAGGCGGCUGCAAUGACCUCGUGUACAGUGGGCAUGUUCUAGUUGCUGUAUUGACAGCUAUGGCUUGGACGGUAUAUAGCAUACUCAUUAUAUGUGUUUUAAAAUUGUGGUGCCCCAUUACCUUUCUCACCUGAUGUCUGAAGGGUAUCCUACAUGUUCUGAUGUUCCAGUAUCUGAUCCAAUAUUGCAGGAAGCAUAUGGUGGUUUUAGCUCGGGCUUCAUAUGGUUACUUGUCUUGCAUUCUGCACAGAGAGAAAUACGGGAACGACACCAUUAUACUGUAGAUGUUGUUGUAGCUACUUAUGCAGGAAUCCUCAUUUGGAAGAUGACAAGUUUUCUCUGGUCAGCCAAGGACACAUCCACAAGUAGGAGGCUUAAUGUACUAGAGAAAAUUCAUAGUCGACUGACCCAAGCCGCUAAGGACGACAAUAUAGAUGAAGUGAGAGAACUCCUUAGAGAGGUUGAGUUGGUCAGUCUUGAGGACCAGAAAUCCCCAAGCAAGAAUAUGCAUUUACUUGGAAGUGGUAUUGUAAUUUCUGCAAUCAUCAUUGUUCUUCUAGCGUUAGUAUUGACUAGUGAUGGAUAACAUUCCCGCAUGAUAGCCUUCAACAUUUUACAAAGUCAAAUCAUUUUGGUUCCAUGGAUUGUAUGUUGUAACAUUGUAUAUGCACCGCGUUCCACCGUAGCAGGUUGAGGUUUUCUCAUAAUCGGUAGAAAGAUGCAGAAACUUAAGUUCUAACUUUUUUUUUUUUGGAUAGGAGUUCUAAGUUUUUCUGGUAAGUUGAUAUAAUCAUAUAAGCUACUGAAUGAAUACAAAAGUGAGCAGACGGGUUCGGAUCUCCCUUGCGAUUUUCUCUCUUCUUAUAUCUUACUAGUGAGAGAAGCGACCAUCCUUGAAUAGCUGAUGGCCACAUUCAUCUUUGUUAAAUGGUUAAAAGUACAUCAUUUCCCCUCUUCUUAUUGAAGCCAUUUGGUGGAUGCUUCCUUUGCUAUCAGCUUUGCUACUUUUGUUGCUAAUAUCCUCAUAUUUUGCCCAAUUCGUCAUCUGAUUUAUUAGAAAAUCUGCAAAUAAGAGAGAGGAAGAUCAAUAGUAGUUUUAUAAUGACCAAGACUAGGCGACUAGCCUCAUCCUAUAACCCACAACGAUUUUGCGCGUUGGGUUUCUCAACUUUUUCAUUUUCCCACCAAAGAGUCAUAGUCAUCGGAAAGGUCUUUCAGAGUCUCAAGAAGUAAAGGCCUCUUCAGUUUCCUAUCUUUCUCCCUGAAACUGAAACCUCCCAAGAAGACCAAGGUUUCCCAUUGUUCUGGUGGAGCUCCAUUCUCAACGAGUCCAGGUAUAUGCACUCUUUUUAUCACUGAUGAUCACACAAUGAGUUUCUGUGCGGUUCUCAUUUUAAUCUGCCUGUUAUAUUCUUUGUUUAGGGUUAUUCUCUCACAUGGAAACCACGGAAAGCUGCUUUAUCUCACAUGACACUACAAAAGAUCAGAACCCAAAAAUUCUACAUUGGUAGAAAAGAGGCCAACCUUUUAACUCAAGAUCUCCACCACGCUGUGAACAGUCUCUGCUGAACUCUACGGCAAGGAUACCAUUUUGUCAUGGAACUCAUACACGUCUGUGCCUCCCCUUAUUCAUUUUUUUGAUUUUUUGUUUUGGUUCUGAUCAACUGUGGUCCGGAAACUAGUCGAGUGUUUAGCGAGAACUGAAAGCAGUGGGAGUGGUGGUUGAUAAAGCUACGGCAACUGAGAUUGUUGUUGCUGAGAUUGUUGUCUAUUGUCUUCUUCUAAUUGGCUUCCUGCGAAUGUAAUGUUACUGUUAGGUUGCAUUAGAGAAUUGAGUCAAUCUAUGUCUUUACAUCACCCUCAACUAAAGUGGUUGAAAGCACGCCAUGGCUACAAGACUCCUUGUGAAUCAAUCACCUUCAGCUCUCAGUGGGGAUCAAUCUUGUUGUUUGUUGAUCUUCCACUCAUAGGUGAUGUAUAUUAUGGUAUUGGCAUAUGUAAAUACACAGAUGAAUUGGAGAAAUUGGGUGUCAUCACAGAUAUUGAAGGAGCUGUGAUUGUAGCAAAAGGUCUUUCCAGUCCUAUUGAGGAUGAAUUAGUUUCUGCAGAUGGUAUAUGAUCAUUGCUAGAAUGACUCAAGUGUCUGAUGAUAAGGUCUCCUGAUGACUCUUCAGUCUUCACUGGGUGACACUCUGAAGAACGUUGCAAAAAGCAGGUGUUUGAAGUCCCAGAAUGGUUAUUACAAAUUGCCAGAAGAAUGUGUUCUCUUUGAUCCUGUCUGGAAGGGUAUUCUGAAGCCGUUAGAUGCACCAACCAGUGAUGAAUUUUUUUACAGGACAUUUCUGUAUACUAGAAUCAGUUAAGGUAGAUUCUUUGGAUCUUUGUUCUUUUCUUCCUGGAAUUCUUUUUUCGCUGACUGCAAUAAGUUUAAUAACAAGCAUUUAUAGAUUCCUCAAUAAGUUCCAGUGGAGUCCAGAAGAUGUAGAUAAUCUCAAGUCUCAGGUGUGGAUACCUAGUCCAAAGGGUACUGGCCGGCAAGUGCAUUAAUUCUCAGGAUUGUGUAUUCAUGAUAAGAAGCAUGUGUUUGGAUCCUGCUUGUCUUCUCUUGACACACUUUACAAGAAAGACUUAUCCCCUUUUCUCUUCGGCCUUUGAAGUUGCUGUAAACCCUACAACCAAUGAUUACUUGGAGCUAUGGAGCAGCUGAGCGAGGAGGGUUAAAUAUCAAGUUCUUUUCUAGAGUGCAGCUCAUUCUGGGACCAUGUAGUAGAUAACUGGAAUCAAGAAUUAGAAGUUACUCUAAACCAGCAGCUGAUCAAAUUACCAGCUGCAAUGUCCAUGUCUAAGGAAAUCAAUCUGAUAAACAGAGAGGAAGUAUCAGUUGCGGUUGACAUGCAGCUGAAAAUAAUUUUCACUAGCUUUGAUAAGGUUCCUUUGUUUGUGUGGCUUCCCAGGGGUGACAGCUUGCCAAUUCCUCCGAUAAGACUUCAAGAGAUUUAUGAGUCGUUGGAGUUAGAAAGCUUUCCGAACCAGUUGAGUGCAAUGUGACUCAUAUUGUAUCCUUGAAGGGUUGUAUCCUUGCAGAUUGUUCUGGGUUUUCUUGCUUGUCCUCAGAUAAAUAUGUACAUGAAUCGGACACCCAAGGCUGCAAAACCAUUACUUAAACUGUCAGUUUAUAAGAGUGACAAAAAAAUUUCAUGUCUGCUAUAGACUCAUGCCGUCUGCAAGAACAACAAUUGAAGUAGAAAAGAUUAAGCUGGUGGUUUGGGAUAAGAAUCUGCAGCGGUUGCUUGUUGAUGAAUCAGGCUAUGAAGAUGGAAUAGCUGAUCUAGAUUUUGUUACUUCUUUUCCGGACGAACUAGCGCAAGGGCUGUUGGCACAUGGAACAGCUACUGCAGCAGCAGAUAAUUCUUUGAGCAAGCAGCAGAUUCUUUGAGCAAGAUUAUCCAUAUGGGAUUCAUGUUCUGUUUUAAUGCGAGUAAAUUGGAGUUUCUGAGAGAACAUUUGGAGUUACUGGAAGAGGAUAUGAAUUCCCUUGAUGCUGCAUUCCUGAAGUCAGAGGAGCCUGCUACUAGGAGACGAAAGCUUUUAUAUAAGAAUUUAGACCAGUUUUGCAUCUCCACACCAAUCGCCUCAUGCAAGAAGCAGUGUUGGUAAUAAGGAGUUGCAGUUUGAUGCAUCUCCUUUUUGUUGUUGAAGGUUUGAAUUGUCAUGUGACGGCUCAGCAGUUCGAGGUUGAUGCAUCUUGGUACGUAUAAUCUGUUACUUUCUCUGAUUGAUGUGUUACAUGUAAACUGAUUUUAUAUUGGUACUGUAGAGAGUUUGUAUGAUUUUGGAAGAGUUAUCACUGACUUCCUUAAAUUGAAUGUCUUUAAAUUAGUGGAUAUUCCUCAUGAAGUAUGUUUCGUAUUAAAAUUUAUUUGGUAAUAGAACUUGAAAAAUUACUAUCAGACAACUCACAGUUGAUCGAUUCUCUUUAAGGACACAUGUACUGGGAUCUGUUAUCUAUAUUUCAAUCCAAGGUGACAAAUUUGUUGUUCAAUUUUCUAGUGGUGUCAGUCAAAUCUUUAUAUCAAAACAAAUGGAGUUUUUUUUAACAAUUCCUGGGAAGCUACUGAUAUUUUAGUUAUAUAUGAAAGGGUAGCCUCUUCCUAUUUGAACACAGCAUAUAUCUGAGUAAUAACUAAUUUCUUGAUAAUUUUUUAGGAAAUAAACUAAAAUAUUCCUAUAAAUAGGUAUUGUCUUACUAAUCUUGUGAUAUGAUGAUGUGGAAUUGAUUGAUUCAAAGCUUAGGAGAUAUAGUUGGAGUUGUAUGUCGGUCUGCUAAUUCAUGGCUUAACAAGAUGUCAGGUCAGCUUGUUAAGUUUGAGAACCCUAAGCUCUACCCAUUUUCUUCCUUAUUUCACUGGGAAAAUAUCUGGGUUUGCUUUUCACUCUUAACUCCAAGCUAGGUGUGUCUCUUCGAAGAAUAAAACAUUUAUCCAUGGCAGGAUGAUUGACUUUGAUUUGUAGUCACUAUAUCAAUUCAUAUAUGUUCAAUGCACGUGUGUGAUGCCGAUCAGUGUUAUUGAUUGCACGUGUGUGAUUUUCCUGAUGUCACUCUGGUGUUGUGACCUUUAUUUUAAAAUUUGGUCCUUAGAAGAGCUUAUUUUGAUAAACAUUUUUGAAAUUUCUGUGGGGUAGGUGUUAUAUCUGCUAAACCUGAGAAGUUGGGUCUUGGGGGGUUUUGGUCUGAGAAGAGCUAAAGAUAAAAUUAACGCUCUACUGCUAAAUCUGGAUGGAGGAUUUCUCAAAAUGAUUGUGGUCUAUAAUUUCAAGUAGAGACGGUCAAGAAGCUGGAAAGGCAUUCGUUCCGUUUUACAUGCUUUUAAUGUUUUGAAAAUCUUCUUCUUGGUUGUAUUAGAGCUUUCAACGGCUCUUUUCUGGGCUAAUAUUUUCUCUUCGCCAUCAUGAAUGCUUAAAAUUAAGUUGAAUUCCUCCAAUCUUUGCAUCUUUUGUUUACAUACAUUUUAUUUUAUUUUUUGAGUAAGUAAAAUUUAGCAAUAGUACUCGUCUGUAUGACUCUUUUGCAAUCUAACUAAUCCAACCUCUUAAUCUUGCCCCACUGCAGAGAACUAUAAGCGAUGAUGGCUAUGAGUAAUUGUACAGGCUGGUAUGCGCAUCAAUUGAGCUUCGUUGAGCUCUGCAAUGAUUUCCUAUACAAGUGGAUAUAGUACAUGUGAGCUUUCUUGUUAAAUUUCUAUACAAGUCUACAUAGUACAGAAGAUGGCAUUGCAAGUAUAGUAGUAUGCUCAGACCGCGUUUCCUUUAAUUUUGCUCUUUUAAUUGAGCUGGUGAGUAGUUUCCUUGGAAUUCAUAGUUUUCAAUCUUAUUAACAGCUGGCUUCACUAGUUUCUCCAAGUCUUCCAAGUCUUCCUUCAGUGCAUCCACCUAUAAUAAAUAAGAAAGGACAAGAUGAAAUUGCCUAGCUAGCCAGAGAGACGAGUUAAAUCAACUGCAUACAGAUGUCUGCAUAUAUAUGACUUUGAAAAGUUAAGACCUUGUGAAUAAAUUGUUGUGUUAGUUGAGCAUCUUGAGCAGCCAGUUCGGAUACGCGUUCAAUUAGCAAAGCAAUUUGCUUUAGUUUUGUAUGAGUUGGAAGUUUUUCUGCUACAUCGGCUGACACCUUCUCAGCCACAGUUGCCACUCUUUCUACAUCUUUUGCUACAUUGUCAACUUCUUCCAUCACCACCUCUGCCUCCCCUAUAUGCAUUCAACCAGUUUCCCAUUUGAGAUUGAUUGUUCCGUUAUAGUCAUUUCUUUUCAGUCAAGUGAUCAGUGAAUCAAUUAAUAUAAAGGAUCGACAUAUAUAUACAUACCUUCAAUCAUUUGCAGAUUUCUCCAGUACUUGUGCGUCCAAAAGGGGAUCAAAAUUGACAAAAGCGAGCCGAAAAUCCAUCUUACCCUGCAAUUGAUAAAAGCAUGUGCCAGCUGAGGUAUGUAUUCAAAGUAUGCACACUUCAUGCACACAAUGAAAACACUUCAUACACACUGCAUAAUUCAUCAGGAAAUUUGAAGAAUUGGCGUGGUGCAAUGAAAACACAAUGUAUGUCAAUGGAAAUAUACGAAAUUUUGUUUGAUACCAAGUAGAGAUGGUCUGCCUAGAAGUUGUAGCAGGCAGUGGUUGCUCAAGUUUUGUACAUGGUUUGUUGCUGGUGCUGCUAAAUAACCGCAAGCCUAAUGCAUUAUUGGUCGGAUAAGCACGAGGCCCAAUUGUAUUCGAUACUACUGUCAUAGCUGAAACCUCACGUCCUGGACGACCAUUUGACAAGUGAGUAGCGCAAGAUGAUCUAUUGCGAAGAAGACUUGCUGCAAGAAUGCUCUGCACUCUGUAAAUGCCCCAAAAGUAUUCUCUCUUUGCCAUUUAUGUAUAGUGAUUGAUGUGCUUGAGUUUCCAUGGAGGAAAUAGAUGACUGAAUAUAUAACGUAUCUAAGGAGAAGGAAGAAGGCUAAGAAUUAAGGUAGGUAGGUUGCGCCUGAUUUCAAUUCAAUUUGUUAUUGCUUUGACGUGUGGGAGUAAUNNNNNNNNNNNNNNNNNNNNNNNNNNNNNNNNNNNNNNNNNNNNNNNNNNNNNNNNNNNNNNNNNNNNNNNNNNNNNNNNNNNNNNNNNNNNNNNNNNNNNNNNNNNNNNNNNNNNNNNNNNNNNNNNNNNNNNNNNNNNNNNNNNNNNNNNNNNNNNNNNNNNNNNNNNNNNNNNNNNNNNNNNNNNNNNNNNNNNNNNNNNNNNNNNNNNNNNNNNNNNNNNNNNNNNNNNNNNNNNNNNNNNNNNNNNNNNNNNNUNUUUUUUUUUUUUUCUCUGAUAGUGUCCAGAGAGUUACUAAAUUGUGUCUCAAUGAAUAUUACAAAGAGAAAAUUACAUACAAGGAACUUACCAAAUUUAAAAACACAAAAAACUCACAUUCAAUAUUUCUUAUACAGAUUAGGACAUCAACCCAAGCCCAACAAUAAUAACAGCAGGCCUAACCCGAGUUGUAAAUUAAAAUGACUAAAAUGCCCAACUCUAAAUCAAAAAUUACAAACCUCAUCCUUUAUCUUCUUCUCUCUCCACAUUGCCACAUAUCUCUUCCUUUCUUUCUGUAUUUAUUUUUUCAGAAGCUCUCUCUCUGUUACGCUCUCUCUAAUACCAAUAGCGGCGGAAGACACUCGACGACGACGCCCAUAUAUGACGGACGACGCCUGGCUCCUCAACGUUGACUGUGGAUCUACCUUGAUGAUGACGGUGGAUCUACCUUGAUGAUGACGACGGCUCCGCCUCAACGACAACAACUCUGCCUCGACUACGAUGGCUCCCCCGAUCCUCUCACUGUACAUAUUCCUCAGUCCUCCACCGUAGUCAAAAUCCAAUCUGCUACUAAAGCCACCUGAUCCGAGGCCAACGACAUGAGCAGUUGACACAAUCGAGAAGGAAGUUGAGUUGAUUCUUGUUCAAAGCAUUUCAAUUCAAUUGUCACUGAAUUUUUGGGGUUUAGGAUUGGGUAUAUGAUUGGGUUGAGCGUUUGAGUAGCAAUGGGAGGUUGAGGUCAGACAGAGACAAUGAAUUGAAAAUGGAGCUAUAUGAUUGGGUUGAGGUAAUGCAUUGAAAAUGGAGGAGACUGGUUGAGGCAGUAGCAGUAGGUUGAGUAGCAGAAGCAGGCAGUAUCAGAGUGGGAUGUGUAGCAAACGUAGGCAGUAGCAGGCAAAUUGGUAAUAGAAGUCGUCAGUAGCAGACAGAUUGGUAGUAUGAGUCGGCAGUAGCAGAUGCAUUGGUAGUAGAAGUCGACAGUAGCAGUCGACAUUACCUUGAUCGACAGUAGCAGAUUAUUCAGCUUGUUUGUAAAUUGUUACUCCCUUUAUAGUCUAGUUUUUUACUCCAUAGUAGCAGCUUUUUAAUCGACAGUAGCAGCGCUCUGGCCGGCAGGAGCACCUUUCUAUUAGGCAGUAGCAGCGCACGAGACUGAACCCGUGUCUAUAAAUUCUGACCGAUUUAUUUUUUUGUUACAAUUGACUUUUUUAAGUUUGAAGGUUACAAUUGUAAAUGUGUUAUUGCCACAUGACAACAAUAUAACAACUUGUCCUUAUUUGUUAAUUUUUGUCUUUAAAUGUGUAAGAUAUUAUGUAAUGGAUGUAUUUGUAAACUGAAAUUUAGUUAGUAACUAAUAUGUAGUUUACUAUAUUACAAAAGCACUAUGCAGAAGGGGACAACUUGAAAUUUGGAGACUGGUGGUUUAUUUGGAGAUGGUGCUGCAAAAUGUUAUUUGGAGAUCAACUUGUGAAUAGCGGUAAUUAAGCAGAUAAGUCUGCCUUAAGUAAACUUCCAAGAACCGAUCGAGUCUUGGACAUCUUCCUCCAAGUACUCUUAACACUAUAGUUUUUCUUUCAUAUCCCUGAAAUCAAGGAUCCUAAAUUCAUAUUCCAAGAGUGACAUAAAAAAAUAGACACCCACCAUGCUCAUCAGAAUGCUUAUAUUCACAUUGUCAUCUUCUAGUAGUUAUCCCCCUGCAUAAUUAACUUGAAUUGAACAUCUCAACUGGCACACCCCUCACGGGUUUACAGUCUUUGAUAAUUCUUAAGUUAACUUUAGAACAAGGACCUUAAUCUAAUUAUUAAGUUAACAUUCAUUAUUAUGAGAGCCAACUGCCAUGCACCUUGCAAUUGAUUCCAGUUAACUACUGAUGACUUGAUGCUUAAUAGGCUUUCAUUUAAUUGAUAUCUAUAUUAGACGGAUGCUGAUAUCAGUGAUAUACUUGAAUAGUGAUCGAUAACUGAACUUGUAGAAACAAUUCUAACUUUGCUGAUUAACAAUAACCAGAAAUGGUUCAAAUGAAGAAAUAAAAGUGUUGCUGUUGUGCUAUGAUCUUCAUUACCUUAACUAAUAAACCUACUUGCAAAUUUCUUGAACACAAGAAAAUGAAUAUACCAUCUAGAGGUUAGUCGAGUGGCGUUUUACGUUGUUGGUUAUGGUCCCAAGUUUGAAUCCCCAUCUCUAAAUCAGACAAAUAAAAUACAGCCGGCCGGAUUUAUGUGCCAUUAUAAAUCUUUUCUUAUUUAAGUAAGUUAACCCCAACUGCUUUUGGAUUAUAUCAAGUAGCUUUUAGCAUACAAGAGAGUCAGCUAGCUUGAUACCAAUUAGGUGGAGAGGUUCAUGUCUAAAUGCAUAAAUUUAACAUUCAUAUAGACAACUAUGAGUUAACCUAUAUUCAAACCAAAAAUAGAUUAAAUCUAAAUCCUAUUGACUAUUGUAACCAAUAAUUCUCCUAUAUAUUGCAUCACACAAGCUAGCCUUCUUUCAUUUCAGUUUACAAAAUGAGAGGUUCUUACUGCUAUCUGCUUCUCCUUUUUCUUUUACCCAGCUCACUGAAAUAUUUCAGUCAGUUAUGUGGUGCUAAUCCUGAUCCUACCAAUGGCUUCAUCUCCAUCCCAUUAUCAGAGUACAACUUCGAAUUGCAGAAACCCUACGACAUACCACUUGAGCAACGGUACAGUUAUGUCGAUGGUGUAAGGCAUUUGUGGGUCUAUGCUGAUGACAAGCCACAUGACCCGAAUAGUCUUACUCAGCCACGCACUGAAGUUCGCAUUCGGGUACUACACUGGAUCAACUCCCAAACUAACAGAGUUUGUUAACCCUCUUCUGAAAAAGGCAUCUUCUAUAUAUUCACAUCUUCAUUCAGCACAGACAAAACAAAUAUUUCAGUAUCUAGCUAGUACAUUGAUGAACACUGAAACAAAGAAAGGAUAUGUUGUUUGUGUAGGGACUCGACUAUUCAUCUGGAGUUUGGCAAUUUGAAGGGUAUGGCUUUGUGCCAAAUGGAACCUCUGGUGCAACCGUAGCACAGAUCCAUGGAGCAGCUCACGGCGCAACCACUAUCAUACUAAGAAUCUACAAUGGCGAUAUGAGGUAUUACAGUGGAGAUCUGGUGGCUACUGAUCUUUAUGAUAGAUGGUUCAGACUUAACAUUGUCCAUGACGUCGAUGGAGGGACUGUGACUGUUUAUAUUGAUGGACUCCAGAAGUUUCAAGUGAAGGAUAAAGGGCCGGGCGACUUGUACUUCAAAUGUGGAGUUUAUGCUGCUCCCGCUAAUAUAAGCUACUACAUGGAAUCACGUUGGAAAGGCAUCAAAAUAUAUAAAAAGUGUUAAUGAAAUGAUGGAACUACUUCAUAUAAAUUAGCUAAGCUUGUGUUUUCUGUGAUCAUAUUGCGUGUUAGUGUGGCCAAUAUAAUAAGACUGUUCAUGUUUAAAGAGAGUGCUAAUCUGCAAAUGUAGUUGAUCCGCGAGUAAUUUUCAACUCAGAAUUGUUAUGUGCUACUUCAUUAUUUUAAUUUCGACCUGAGUGCCAGUUUGAAAAUGAAGUUGAUUCCUACAAAUACUCAUUGGAAUAAGAAAUUGAUGAUCAAUUAUCCGGCGUUAUGGUCAUUAAGUGAACAUUAUAUUCGGUUUGUUUAACAACAAUUGGAUGAGUCGAUGGCUACGGCCUAGAUGAUAUUAUGAUUAAUUCUCAUCGAUAGAGAAUUAGAGAUCUUACACGACUCGAUCCGGCAAUUUCUAGCUAGGUUUUGAAGACAAGCACAUUGAGGUUGUGUUUUUGUUCAAAUUAACUGGCAUAAGCUUCCUUCAGCAUACAUCAACUACGAAUAUGACAAACCAAAUUCGUCAACACAUUAAACUACAUUUCUUUUUGUAGCGAUAUGCAUGGACAUUAACAAAUAUUGUGUCUAAUUACUUUAGUGUGUUAAAAAUCGAUCGGUUGACUAUCACGGGUCUGAUUAUGAUCAGUUGCUCAUAAUCAGAAAAGAACAUGUCAUAUAAUCCAAAAUGCAAAUUAGGAUUCAGUUAGUUUGGAGCAAAGAGUAUAUUGUACGUGUAAAUCAAUAAUCCAAAAUGCAAAGAUUCGGUUUGAAGCAUUUCUGUUUGGGAUGAAGCGGCUGGAACUUCUGAAGAGGAAACUAGUCGAUCAGGAGGGGCGUGAAUGGUUCGUACCACGCACUCCUUGAGCCUUGAGGAGCUUUUCUCUCCCAUGACAAUGCAUGCCUCAUAUUCCUCGCAGUCCAUUUCAUUAGUAUAUAAGAAAGACAUGUCAAGAUGAUAGAUUUAUCUGGCUCUGUGACAAGAAGGCUGUAUAUGUUUAUAGUCAUAUUGACACGACCCACCCCGAAUUUCACCCUGAAACCCGGAGUAAGUCGUGCGGAGACCACCUCCAAGGAAAAUUUACCGAAAAAUCGGCAUAACCUCCCUUGAAAAUGGACAACCAUUCCUAAUAAUACCUGCAUGCACUUCAAAAGAAUCCAUUUAUAAUCCUCUACUCCUGGAGCCUUCGUGCUCCCCAAAUCACAACAUCACCCAAAAAUUUACUAAUCUAAACAAAUCUCACAUCCAACCAUUUAUAGGUUCAGAGCAACUCUAACAGGAAGAAAUGAAACAAAAUAAAUUAACAAGCGGAAGCUAUAGGAUGACUAUGCCUCAUCUCCAUGUACGCCCGACCUCGACUAAGUUAACCUGCAAGCUGGGCAUUUUCAAAACGAAAGGCCCAGGAGAAAACACUUAACAACGUUAGAGUGAGUGGACAAAAAUAAAUUAAUAAAAAUAUUUAUGCUUCCCCAUUUUAAAUUUCCAAAGAAAAUAUACUGCAUGCGGCAGCUCAAAAGCGCUCAACACAAAAACUGGAAAUUUCAUGACUAGCUCCGGCUAGUCUCCAUAACUCAAAGAAAUACAGCCUCUCAGGCUAAACUAUAUAUAAACAUAUAUAAGUGUAUGUAUUUACACUCGUCAGACUCCUUGUAUGAAUUCUAAGAACAAAUUAGAAAAAUAGAAAUUCAUACAAGGCUACUACGCUUGCGUCUAACGCUCACGUCACACCAUAAUGGAAUUGUACCUCAGUAUGGCGGAAAAAGCACGUGUAUAUACGUGUGGACUCCCUAUAUGAAAACCUAAAUAAACCAAAUAAGAAAAUAGUUUUCAUAUAGGGCUACUACGCUUGUGUCUAACACUCACGUCACACCAUAAUGGUAUUUUACCUCAUUAUGGCGGAUCAAACACGUAUGGCUAGCUAGCAUUUACAUAUACAUACUAUCAUCAUAAACAUCCAAUAAACAUAUCCACCGAAAAUCUCAUUUUCGGGAUCUCUCCAAAGGAGGAAAAUUACCAAAUAUCCGAGAAAUAAAUAAAUCUCAAGAAAAGAAAUAAAUGAUCAACAGAUAAUUCAUCGCAUGCUUUUUAAUUAAAAUAAAGGUCCACUCACAACUCUAGGCAUAAGCCUGACGAAAUCCAAAUCGCCACUCCAACGAGGUUUCCUCGAACCCUGGCACAAAUAUAUAAUUAAAUUCCCAACUAAAAUCUAAUAUUUAAACAAAAUAGGCAAAAUUAAAUAUGAGCUGCAACCACGUACACUCAUCCUUGCCCAACUUCGCCUUUCCUAAAACGAAACGAUCCAACUUUAAUACCAUAAACGGCAACCGUAAUUACAACCUCCCCAAAAAUAUGACUUAAAUCCUACGGCCGGAUCCUACAUUAAUUAACCGCCAAAAAUACCACACUUCGGAAAUUCAUAAACCUAUUCAAAACUCAUCCAAAAAUUCCAUAACUCACUUCAACAAACUCUCCUUAAUAUUCUAAAUUUAAAACCUUAAAAAUCUUCCAAACAGUGGCGGCGCCGGCGGCGGCCAGAGGCCGAUUCCGGCGACCUCCAAUGCCUAUGAAAUUUUGAUAGAAUAAACCUCUCAUCAUGCUCUACAACUUUUCUAACUAGCACAAACACCAAUUCCAAGCCUAACUAGGGUAAUCGACUAAAAACAUCAAAAAGGCUCUAGAAUUUCAACUUCACCUUUCUCCUUACCUAGCUCAAGAGAGGGUGAGCUGUUUGGAGGGGUUGCUGCACGGGAGGAGGGCUACAAAAUGAGCCAAGGAUCACCGGUUUUGGUGCCGGAGGAGGGAGUUCCGACGACCGGAAGUUCUAGGCAGUCGAACCUCUCGGGCGGCAACGCUCUCUCACGGCGGCGCUAGGGAUCCUCUCACCGGUCCAAGAAGAAGGCUGGAUCGACGGCCGUCCGUUUGGGACCGGCCUGGCGGUCAGAGGCGACUGGACGACGGCGAACGGCCGGGAAGAAAAUCCGGCGGAGGGAGAGGGAGAGAGAAUCGGGAGGGAGGAGAGAGAAGAGAAAGGAUUUGGGCUUUUCCCCAACCGGUCCAACACCAUCACUUAAAACCCAACUCUAAAAUUUAACACCCUAAAAUAAUACCCUAAUAAAAAUUACCUUUUACUAGCUACAAUUUUACCAUUUUUACCGUCGUCAUAAUUUUCUCCUACGAAUAAUCCUCCGCAUAUAAUCGUCCCCGAAACCCCUCUAGGGACCAAUUAAACUAUUUCCUCAAUGACGGAGACGGUAAAAUUCUUAUUAUAACCAAGCUAGUAAAUAAGGUAAAAAUUUAAGAGUCGGGAUGUGACACAUAUAGCUAGCUAGUGUGCCAAAUGUUCACACAGUAAUUUUGUUAACAUUUGCCCUAAAGAUGGAAAACUAACCUCUUGCUCAAAAUGCAGAAGGGAGACCCUCAACAUCACUCCAGGUCAUUUGACAUUGGAACUGUGCAAAGAUCACCUCCUCCUGUUCUUGUUGUGUUCACCAGCAUGAGUCUAGGAGAAUAUGAUGGUAAUCACUCACCUCAGGCUACUAAAUAUCUUAGAACCGCUAUUUACACAAAUUAAUAUGCUGCCUCAUUUUACAGAACAUGUUGUGGACUCAAACUCAAACCAUACAUGUGUUUUCUUCAACCCACCCGUUCCCGCAACAGGCAAGUACAUGAUCGAGUAAGUAAUCUGCUUGAAAAAAAAAAUCGUCAACAUAAUGUGGUUUGAAUUUUGGUUCACGAUGAUGUACUUAAUUUGGUAAUUACAUCUGAAUCUUCCUUUCUCUGUUAAAUUAUAUUUUCUGAUUAUGAACAUUUCAUUGCUGCAGAUCUUGCUUACAAAUCCUUCUUUGUGCUUUCAAUCUUGUUCUGAAGACUGCUUUUCUCUUUUUAAGUGCAAUAGGAUAUAUUAAUGACAAGUGGAAGAUAAUCUGUAUUAUGCUUUUAUAUUGUUUUAACCAUGCGCGUUUGUUUAAAUUCACAUAUAUUGACAACUAACUUCCAAAUUGCAUACAUGUGAAGGCUGCGUAUCAAACGUUCAUACCUUAUAUUCAAACUAUAAAAGGAUUGAUCUUUUAUGCAGGUUCUCUAAAACAGGAGACAAGGUGCACAUAAUCGGUGCCAUCUCCAGCCAUCAAACAACUAAAGGUGUUGAACAACCAAACCAAGUGUCUGUGUCGGAGUUGAAUGCACUCAAUCCGAUAAAUUACAUUAUAUUCAUAUGAAUAAUUAUCCAUUUCUACCCACGAUUGUUACAUUCAGAUGUUAUGUCACAAGCUUAUCCACUCAAAGCCUCAGCAUUGUUGGGAGUCGAAUUUGUCGAGCUCUGUUAGGGUAGCAGUGAAUUUUGAUUUAUUUGGUGGUGGUUAUCCGAGGAGAGGUUCUUUGUAAUUUAGUCUUUUAGCAUCAAAAACCAAAAAAAAAAAAAAAAGCCUCAGAAAUUUUCCUACAUAAUAUCUCUUACUAAUAAGUGUUUAUGUGUUACACGAGAAGCCGGUAUUUUGCAGUGUUUCGAUUCGAAGAUUCUCAUCAAAUGGAUGGUGGUAUAGGAGCUGCUCGACCACCGACUGUUACAUGAUGCUGCACAAAAAUGAGGAGAAGAACAAUAAGUAUUUUCGUCCACUGCAUGGUCUUCAGAAUCCGCAACAAUCGUAUGUAUUUAAAUUCAGUAAAAGCGCUUUUUUAAUUAGUAUCACCAUCCAAUCAUAGGCAUAUAUUGGAGUUUGAAUUACCUCAAAAUUUUUUUUUGCUGGACUUCAAGGAAAAUGGUGGAGAGAGUGGAUUACUAGAUAGAGCAUUAUUUCAUUUGUUAUGAGAUAACUAACUCUUUCCUUUUUGCUAUGCAUGCAGCUACGUGGUCAGGAUGACAAUUGAGGGCAAAGAGAGCCAGGCUGCUUUAACUAUGAUGGGGAGAUAGGCUCAACAAUUUUUCAAAAAUAGCUGUGAGGACCUGCUGGAGAAGAGGUUCUACCCAACUGAACAAUCAUUACUUGAAGAAAUUGUAGACACAGUGGGGCAGGCACACCUAUUUGAAAUCAAGCUAAAGCCUGCUCACAGUUUCACGGUCUGUGGCGUCGCUCCAAACAAAGAUGCAGCAACCACAACAGUGGAGCUCCCACAAAUUGAAAGAAAGAGAACAAAUGAGUUAGGCUUGACAACUCUUUCCAAAAAGGAACCGGAGAAGAAGUCCAGGAGGUAAACCUAAUAAAUUGAGUAAAAUCACCUCAACCCGCACUUGCUGUGUUCACAAGCUUGAACCUUGGUACAUGCGUGGCAAUCACUGACCUAAAACAAUCCGCUGUUAUUUAAUAAGCAUUAUCUAACGUAUACAUGCGUUUUCUUCAACCCAACUCUUCUCAUGACAGACGUAUACAUUAUUGAGUGAGUAACUGCCUCACGGAAUAAAUUUUUAAACAUAACGCAUACCGUAUUUCAGUUCAUCAUAUUAUGUUGCAUUCAACAAUAUACUUGACUUACAUCUUAGUCUUCCUUUCUGUGUUACAUUGUAUCUCCUGAUGGCCAUGUUUGGUAAAGCAGACAAGAUUGGAGUAGGAUUUCUAACGGAUUGGACUAGACUAGAUUGGCUAGGAAAUGUUAACCAAUCUUGUGUUUGUUUAAUAGGAUUGGAAUCUGGAUAGCUUACAGAUUUGAAAUAAAAAAAAAAAAAAAAAAAUUAACAAAUCGAGUUCGGUUGGGACUGCCAUCUUCAUCCUCUACAUCUCAACCUUCGCUCAUGGCGCCUCCCUCAUGGCCGUCUUGGCCUUCUACAUCCACAAACCCAGCAUCAAUUCCUAAUCUAAAUCCAGAUCCGCGGUAUCUCUGGCAAGCCGCCGUCUGCGUCACCACAGAAUUUGACUACGAGGACGAUCCACCGAAGAAGAUUGCAUCGAAGAAGUAGACGAUCAAGAGUUCAAGACCAAGCGCGGGUUUGCUGCGGAUCGUGAGACCCGUAGUUGAUCGAAAACGACGACAUCGCUGCGCAAUUCGGAUUGUUAAGAAACGGUAAUUGAUCGAAGAGGAAGCAAGUUUUCUUCUUCUGCGAACCAAUAUGGAGGCGUGGAAUUGGAUGGGUAGGAGUUUUUGUGUGUUUUUUGAUCAAAUCCAGUUGGAUAAAAAUAAAAACACCUUCUCAGCAAGAUUUCAAAUAAAGGUUUGACAUGAUAAAAAUUUUCUGGUUGGUAUAUAUCUGAAAGUCCAAACACCAGAUAGUAGAUGAUUAAUCUUGUGAAAGUGUCGUCAUAUCCAGGCAAACAAACGCCCCCGAUAAGUCUUAUGACUUCAGGGGAGCCAUUCUAACGAGGACUUUUAAGUUAAGGAUUUGAUGAAGACUUUUCGGCUUAUCCGACCUUUCGAUCUCAUAUUCAUAUCUUGACCGUUCAGUUUAUAGGUAUUUACGAGUAUAUCAUUUAUGCAAAUUUUCAGUUAUAUUGAAAAUCGUUAAAACAUUCAUAAGUGUGAUUUACCAAUUAUGAACUUGAACGGUUCAUGUUUGACAUAUUUGGUUCGUCUAUUAAUUUGAUCUAAUUUGUUACCUUAACGAUCACCGAUUUAGCUGAAAAUUUGUAGAGUUGAUCUACACAUAUAGGCCUAAAAACUGAACGGAUGAGAUGUCAAGAUGUGAUCGAAAAAUAGGUCUUUUAAACUAUAAACCGAAAAGUCCCCACCAAGUCCUCAACUUAAAAGUCUUUACUAAAAUGGCUCCCGUGACUUCAUAUAAACUCCGUUUAUGUCUUUCGAAUGCAAUUGUAAUAUAUCACAACUACAUAGUGGAGAUUGUUCCCCUUUUGAUGCAAUAUGAUAUGUUAACAAUAGUUAAAGCAGAUAUGUUUUUUGUGUCUUUUUAUUCCUUAGAAUUUGAUAAUAUUUUUCAGAUGAAUAACUAACCAUAAACGAGUUAUGCUUCUUGAAGGUUUCCAGACCAGGAGACAACGAUUGAUUGAACAUCAAUCUAACAAGCUCUACUUUUUUUUUUGUAACUUUUGCUGUCCUGAUGUCUUCAUCGAAGACUGUUUACUACUAACUUUUUUUUAUUUUUUUAUUUUUUUAUGACGACAACCUUUUGAUUGUAUAGAUUUUUUUGUGUAACACUGAUCCGUUCCGGAGCGCCAUUUUUGUAAACGGCUCCGGAUCCAACCCCAACAGCUAGCUUGGGUAUUUUUGGCAAAUGCAACAGACUUCUGAAGCUUUUGUGUACAAACAAAAACGUGGCUGUAAUGUAUGUAUAGACAUAAAUGCAAUAUAUGUGAUGUACAGUAGAGUGCAGCUAGGUGUUGUGAAUGUGUACUGAUCUGAUGUACAGUUAUCAAAAGGGAGCCGGCCUCUGUGGCUUCUGUUCUGGUCAUUUAUUUUUUUUAUCUAAUCAUUUUGCCUCUUUUUUUGUUAUGGUUUGCAGAUUCUCAUACUUUACAACAUGAUAUAUGAUAAUUUUGCCUCAAUGUUGUGUCUAAACAACGUACUUUUAAAUAUAAACCUCGGUGUGAAUGUGAGCUUCAGCUACGCAAUCUCAUGCAUCUGUUCAUAUGUAUCAUAUAUUCUUCUUCAAAUAUUGUUUUGCUGUUGUCUCAGAGAUAGACUCUUGAUUUGAUACCUUCUUGAUCACGUCUUUUUUCAUUCCAGAUGUUGCACCUUUCUGCAUUUAAAAAAAAAAAAAAAUUGUACAGCCAUUUGAUAUUUUCCUCCUUGCUAAAGCUACUGAUUCAAACCACCUAUUUUGGUAUCUUUAACAGGUUCGCUUCAUUCCUUCCCAUUCUAUAGGUUCGUUUGGCUAAGCGGUUCUAUAAUAACUAUUCAGAGAAAGAUCGUGUGGGAAUGCUUUAAUGGUUUUGUUGAUGUUAAAAAAUGUUGAUUUUUGAUUCCGACAAGGAAAGUGAACAUGAAAUGAUGGGAACCAUUCCAUUUUUGAUAACGUGUCCAUAUAUAUANNNNNNNNNNNNNNNNNNNNNNNNNNNNNNNNNNNNNNNNNNNNNNNNNNNNNNNNNNNNNNNNNNNNNNNNNNNNNNNNNNNNNNNNNNNNNNNNNNNNNNNNNNNNNNNNNNNNNNNNNNNNNNNNNNNNNNNNNNNNNNNNNNNNNNNNNNNNNNNNNNNNNNNNNNNNNNNNNNNNNNNNNNNNNNNNNNNNNNNNNNNNNNNNNNNNNNNNNNNNNNNNNNNNNNNNNNNNNNNNNNNNNNNNNNNNNNNNNNNNNNNNNNNNNNNNNNNNNNNNNNNNNNNNNNNNNNNNNNNNNNNNNNNNNNNNNNNNNNNNNNNNNNNNNNNNNNNNNNNNNNNNNNNNNNNNNNNNNNNNNNNNNNNNNNNNNNNNNNNNNNNNNNNNNNNNNNNNNNNNNNNNNNNNNNNNNNNNNNNNNNNNNNNNNNNNNNNNNNNNNNNNNNNNNNNNNNNNNNNNNNNNNNNNNNNNNNNNNNNNNNNNNNNNNNNNNNNNNNNNNNNNNNNNNNNNNNNNNNNNNNNNNNNNNNNNNNNNNNNNNNNNNNNNNNNNNNNNNNNNNNNNNNNNNNNNNNNNNNNNNNNNNNNNNNNNNNNNNNNNNNNNNNNNNNNNNNNNNNNNNNNNNNNNNNNNNNNNNNNNNNNNNNNNNNNNNNNNNNNNNNNNNNNNNNNNNNNNNNNNNNNNNNNNNNNNNNNNNNNNNNNNNNNNNNNNNNNNNNNNNNNNNNNNNNNNNNNNNNNNNNNNNNNNNNNNNNNNNNNNNNNNNNNNNNNNNNNNNNNNNNNNNNNNNNNNNNNNNNNNNNNNNNNNNNNNNNNNNNNNNNNNNNNNNNNNNNNNNNNNNNNNNNNNNNNNNNNNNNNNNNNNNNNNNNNNNNNNNNNNNNNNNNNNNNNNNNNNNNNNNNNNNNNNNNNNNNNNNNNNNNNNNNNNNNNNNNNNNNNNNNNNNNNNNNNNNNNNNNNNNNNNNNNNNNNNNNNNNNNNNNNNNNNNNNNNNNNNNNNNNNNNNNNNNNNNNNNNNNNNNNNNNNNNNNNNNNNNNNNNNNNNNNNNNNNNNNNNNNNNNNNNNNNNNNNNNNNNNNNNNNNNNNNNNNNNNNNNNNNNNNNNNNNNNNNNNNNNNNNNNNNNNNNNNNNNNNNNNNNNNNNNNNNNNNNNNNNNNNNNNNNNNNNNNNNNNNNNNNNNNNNNNNNNNNNNNNNNNNNNNNNNNNNNNNNNNNNNNNNNNNNNNNNNNNNNNNNNNNNNNNNNNNNNNNNNNNNNNNNNNNNNNNNNNNNNNNNNNNNNNNNNNNNNNNNNNNNNNNNNNNNNNNNNNNNNNNNNNNNNNNNNNNNNNNNNNNNNNNNNNNNNNNNNNNNNNNNNNNNNNNNNNNNNNNNNNNNNNNNNNNNNNNNNNNNNNNNNNNNNNNNNNNNNNNNNNNNNNNNNNNNNNNNNNNNNNNNNNNNNNNNNNNNNNNNNNNNNNNNNNNNNNNNNNNNNNNNNNNNNNNNNNNNNNNNNNNNNNNNNNNNNNNNNNNNNNNNNNNNNNNNNNNNNNNNNNNNNNNNNNNNNNNNNNNNNNNNNNNNNNNNNNNNNNNNNNNNNNNNNNNNNNNNNNNNNNNNNNNNNNNNNNNNNNNNNNNNNNNNNNNNNNNNNNNNNNNNNNNNNNNNNNNNNNNNNNNNNNNNNNNNNNNNNNNNNNNNNNNNNNNNNNNNNNNNNNNNNNNNNNNNNNNNNNNNNNNNNNNNNNNNNNNNNNNNNNNNNNNNNNNNNNNNNNNNNNNNNNNNNNNNNNNNNNNNNNNNNNNNNNNNNNNNNNNNNNNNNNNNNNNNNNNNNNNNNNNNNNNNNNNNNNNNNNNNNNNNNNNNNNNNNNNNNNNNNNNNNNNNNNNNNNNNNNNNNNNNNNNNNNNNNNNNNNNNNNNNNNNNNNNNNNNNNNNNNNNNNNNNNNNNNNNNNNNNNNNNNNNNNNNNNNNNNNNNNNNNNNNNNNNNNNNNNNNNNNNNNNNNNNNNNNNNNNNNNNNNNNNNNNNNNNNNNNNNNNNNNNNNNNNNNNNNNNNNNNNNNNNNNNNNNNNNNNNNNNNNNNNNNNNNNNNNNNNNNNNNNNNNNNNNNNNNNNNNNNNNNNNNNNNNNNNNNNNNNNNNNNNNNNNNNNNNNNNNNNNNNNNNNNNNNNNNNNNNNNNNNNNNNNNNNNNNNNNNNNNNNNNNNNNNNNNNNNNNNNNNNNNNNNNNNNNNNNNNNNNNNNNNNNNNNNNNNNNNNNNNNNNNNNNNNNNNNNNNNNNNNNNNNNNNNNNNNNNNNNNNNNNNNNNNNNNNNNNNNNNNNNNNNNNNNNNNNNNNNNNNNNNNNNNNNNNNNNNNNNNNNNNNNNNNNNNNNNNNNNNNNNNNNNNNNNNNNNNNNNNNNNNNNNNNNNNNNNNNNNNNNNNNNNNNNNNNNNNNNNNNNNNNNNNNNNNNNNNNNNNNNNNNNNNNNNNNNNNNNNNNNNNNNNNNNNNNNNNNNNNNNNNNNNNNNNNNNNNNNNNNNNNNNNNNNNNNNNNNNNNNNNNNNNNNNNNNNNNNNNNNNNNNNNNNNNNNNNNNNNNNNNNNNNNNNNNNNNNNNNNNNNNNNNNNNNNNNNNNNNNNNNNNNNNNNNNNNNNNNNNNNNNNNNNNNNNNNNNNNNNNNNNNNNNNNNNNNNNNNNNNNNNNNNNNNNNNNNNNNNNNNNNNNNNNNNNNNNNNNNNNNNNNNNNNNNNNNNNNNNNNNNNNNNNNNNNNNNNNNNNNNNNNNNNNNNNNNNNNNNNNNNNNNNNNNNNNNNNNNNNNNNNNNNNNNNNNNNNNNNNNNNNNNNNNNNNNNNNNNNNNNNNNNNNNNNNNNNNNNNNNNNNNNNNNNNNNNNNNNNNNNNNNNNNNNNNNNNNNNNNNNNNNNNNNNNNNNNNNNNNNNNNNNNNNNNNNNNNNNNNNNNNNNNNNNNNNNNNNNNNNNNNNNNNNNNNNNNNNNNNNNNNNNNNNNNNNNNNNNNNNNNNNNNNNNNNNNNNNNNNNNNNNNNNNNNNNNNNNNNNNNNNNNNNNNNNNNNNNNNNNNNNNNNNNNNNNNNNNNNNNNNNNNNNNNNNNNNNNNNNNNNNNNNNNNNNNNNNNNNNNNNNNNNNNNNNNNNNNNNNNNNNNNNNNNNNNNNNNNNNNNNNNNNNNNNNNNNNNNNNNNNNNNNNNNNNNNNNNNNNNNNNNNNNNNNNNNNNNNNNNNNNNNNNNNNNNNNNNNNNNNNNNNNNNNNNNNNNNNNNNNNNNNNNNNNNNNNNNNNNNNNNNNNNNNNNNNNNNNNNNNNNNNNNNNNNNNNNNNNNNNNNNNNNNNNNNNNNNNNNNNNNNNNNNNNNNNNNNNNNGACGAGGCAACAGAUCAGCACCAUCGGCAUAUCAGCGCGCGGCACAAGGGGGAGUGUUCUAGGAUAUUCUCUAUGUGUGCCUUGGCCUUAUGCCAAUAGGAUAUGUAGUUAGACUAGAUCUAUGUAUUCAUAUCCUUAUCAUAUUGGUAUUGUGUAAUUCCCUAUAUAAAGGGCUCCUAUCAAUGAAUAAGAUGACUCUCUUGCUAUCUCUUUGUCUCUACACUUUAUUCUUCAUCAAAGGUUACUUGAUUUUUGAACUAUUAAUUUUUCAGGGCAAACAAACAAAUAACGCUUCAACUUUACAGUUAUACAACUUUACAGGUAUAUCUUUUUUUUUUUGGGUUCUUUGCUCUAUCUGUGGUUCUCAGGAAUGAAAGAUAAUUUGAAACAUUUACUUAUGUAGAAAAAAUGAAUCAUUUGUUUUUCUAAUAUAAUAUAAAAUACAUCUUUUCGAAUUAAAAUUAAAGCUACCAUUUUGCUGCCUAUGAUCUAUGCAAGUUUAUGUUUGUGUAAACAAGGAAAAAACAAGACGGCGUUCGUAAUACACUUAGCAGCACUAUUCCUUAAAAUUAUCCCUUUUCAAUAUAUUUGCUUUACUACGUUUGCUCAUUUAUGUUCAUGAUUACCUAUAUAUUCUGAUUCAGGGAAAACUGAGAUUUCAGUUACAGAAGUGUUCAUUCGUUGCAGUGUGACCAGAGACAUACUUUUACCUUAUAACUUAUAAUAACAGAGCAAUUAGAUGGUUUCAUUCAUCUAUUGCCGAGAGGCAUACCUAUACCCUAAAUUAUAAGAUGGUUUCAUCUUUAUGUAUCCGGUUUCAUAGAAUUCUUGACAGAAUAUGGUUCUUCAUAUGUAUCGGAUUGUAUCCUAUUCAAUAGCAAAGGCUCCCAUUAGUGGUUUAUUAUUAGAUGUUAUUGCGUUGUUCAAUUUCAACUGUUUUAUUCCAUUUGCAUUUCCAGUUCUACAUAUAAUUAAGUUUUUACAGUUUUCACUAUUUAGAGUGUUGCCUUAAUUAUUCUUGCUCUCCACGAUGAACCCAUAUAUAUUGUCCUUCCAGCUGGUAAGAAAAAAUUUAAUGAAUGAAACUGUCAUACUCCAUUAACAGAGACAACGUUGCAAAAAAAAGUACGUGGCAAGCCGCGGGACUAUGGGAUAUGAACUAAGGGAUAAACCCUAAUCUGACCCUGUCAGUACUAUGGGAUAUGAACUAAGGGAUAAACCCUAAUCUGACCCUGUCAGUAAGGGAUAUGAACGAAUUGGAAGCUAAUUUGGAGCUCCAGAAUUCCACCCAAAGUAUAUAUAAUGAAAGAGUUUAUGUACGUAUAUGGGUGUUUAUGCGGAGAAUAUAUAAUAAAGGGAAUUUGCCAACUCAUCGAGCUUUGUUGAGUAGUAGAGUACUUCUCCUCCUUGAUGCAUAUAUGUUGAUCGAAAGAGUUCACUACUUGAAGAAGGGCGGCAUGGUUUUAGAGAGUGCGACCGACGACGUGCAUGAUUCCUUGGGAUCCAAGGCAAAGCCAUUGAUCAUGAAAGCCGUUGAUCGAUCAGGUCAAAGACAUUGCGCCUUUCUUCUGGCUUUUGUGGUGAUGAUGCAUGGUGGUGUCCGUGAUGAGGAAGGCACUUGCAUAGCAGCCUAAUUUGAACCACAUUCUCUUCGGCGCUGCUAUCAUGAUGGGUGGAGGCUGCGGCUGCGACCCGGCCAUCAAGACGUUUCUGCUUUGAUUUAUUAGUGUGUACGUGAUUGAUCUAUGGUGGUUAACGCGACGUUGAAACAAGAGGACGUUGGAAGAUAUAUCUCGAUCAAGCUAUUAUAGUAUACAUGGCAGAUUAUAAAAGAUUGCAAGUCAUAUUUAACAUUUCUUCCACUCCCGUUCACUCUAUAUAGCUGUAUCUUCACGUACAGAAGAGAUCGAAUUGUAGAUGAGUCAUGACAGUACUAUAUAUUUUACUUGGGUCAAGGUUUUAAAUCCUCCUCGAUACACAUGCUAAAUUUUAAUUGUGGAUCGGAGAAGCCUUAAUUAAUUCCUCUUUCAUAAUAUGGCACAAAUAAUAAGGUGACCUAGCUUAUCCAAUCACCCUAGCUAGCUACCAGACGAUACCACAUCCUAAUUCGUACCUUACCAAUUUGGCCAAAUUCUUAUAAUUUCACGCGCGGCGACCAGCUGGUUGCGGCGCCUAGCUAGAGGUUGUAGUAGCAUAGCUCUAGCCAUAUGGGUCGAUCUUAAUUAUGCCACUAUCCCAAGCAUAGUUAAGGAUCAGAUUCAUCAUGAAAUCAUUUGGAAAUUAGAAGCAAGGCUAAACAUGCAUAUAUGGCUGUUUCAGUGCUUUUGUGUAAACAAGCAGCGAUCGAGUAAGUAGCAAUUGGAAAGGCAGUGUAAGUUCGCAGUAAGCCAACGUAUGCAAUCUCAACUUAGAUAAGUACGUAGUACCAUACAUACAAUUACCACUAUCGAUAACUAAUUCUUCCAGGGAAAACUUUAUUUACCUUAAUGAUCGAUGAUAUAUUUUUAUUACAUGAGUUGAGUUGUUAUAUAUAUUGGUAAUGUGAGUUAUGAAAAUUGCAUCUACGAAAAACAUGCAUGUGUACUACAGAGUCCUACAUAUGUAACAGCACAUGCAACAUGAAAUAACUGGACCAGUCUCAAGUGUAGAUAGAUUUGUAUUUCUUGGAUGCAUGCAUGUAAUCGUACAGCUAGAAACGGUGAUAAUGUAAGAAAGUUAGGCCCCUGCUAGAUAUAUAGUUGCCUAAAUUGGGAUCGGAUAUACCUUACAAUUCGAUCAAUGCCCUCCUUUUGCCGUUGCUAGUGAUCGAUGAUAUUCUUGGCUCUCACUAUAAAUACAUGUACUCAACUUCUUGAAAAGGAUAUCUAUCACCAAACGAUGAUGACGAGCACUAGUACUAGUUUCUGCAAGAAUGCCCUGGUUCUGCUACUACUGAGCUCUUUGGGAUAUUUCUGUAGUACUGCUGCUGAUCCUACUGAUGGGUUCACCCGUGUGUCGCUGACCAACAACAACUUCAAGUUGCAGAAACCGUACGACAAAUCUGUGGCGGAGCGCUACAGCAAAGUCGAUGGAGUCGAAACCUUCAAGGUUUACACGAAUGACAAGCCCUUUGAACAAGGCAGUCCAACCAGGCCACGCACAGAAAUCAGAGUUACAGUAUGUAAAUAUUCUUCUCUUUACUCCUAAUUUUUGUGGCUAAUUAGUACCAAGGAUUUUAGGUUCUUCACUCGAAGUUUUAUUAGCUUGAUCUUAAUCUGUACGUAAAUUGUGUUAUAGGGAUAUGACUACACUUCCGGCGUCUGGCAAUUCGAGGGCAGUUGCUACGUGCCGUCGCCUACCACCGGCGUUAUAAUAAUGCAGGUCUUCGGGGCGGCCGAUGAAGCUACGACUCUGCAACUAAGGAACAUCAAUGGAGAUUUGAUGUACUACAACAAGAAUGUGGUCGUGAGUAAUGUCUACAAUAAGUGGGUGAGGGUGAAUGUGAUUCACAAUGUUGGUGCAAAAAAGGUUACCAUUUUUGUCGACGGUGUCCAGAAAAUGGUGAUGGAAGACCACGGUCCAGACACACAUUACUUCAAAUAUGGAGCUUAUGCAGCUUUAACUGGUUCAAGUAACUACAUGGAGUCAAGGUGGAAGGGAAUCAAAAUCUUCAAGAAAUGAUUGAUGCAAUGCAAGAAUAAAGAAUUAUAUACUAUAUAUAUAUAUGAUUUCAUAUGAUUUGGUGAUCGUUAAGACUUUCAAAAGUUUGAUUUAGUUUUAAUGAUUUUGAACGGUCCAACUUAUGUCAAACUAAAACCGUUGAAGGUCAUUAAAACUAAAUUGAACUUUUGAAAGCCUUAACGAUCACCAAAUCAUAUGAAAUUUUGUAGAGGUGAUCUACUCAUAUAGACCUAAGAUAUGAAUGGUGGAGAUGUAAAAAUUCAAUUGGGAAGUGGUGUAAUGCCCUAUCCCUAGAAAGUGGCCAAAAAUAGGGAUCCCUCAAUAGAAGGGGGGCUGUAUAUAUAUAUAUAUAUAUAUAUAUAUGUAUCGAAACCUGUAUAACUUACAAGUUACAACAAUAAGGUCGUCAAAGAAUAAUCUAAAGCUUUUUUCAGUUUGAAUCAAUAUAUUUUAAUGGAAUGAACUUUCUUGCGUUGAAUCAAUAUAAUUAGCCAUGACAUUCUGAGGUCUAAUAAUAAAAAAGUUCCUCCUCAAGUUUUACUUCCUCUUUCUUUUGACGUUAUAAACUUUGGGCGCACUACAGACACAUUUGUCUAAAUUUUCUUUUUUCUAAUAAAUCGAUUCUUUAAACUUGUGUGUACAAGGAUCUUAUUAUCAUCGAGUUUGGACGUUGAUUAAGGGGGAAAUGAUUUUAAUUCUAGGGUUGAGGAAUUAAACUUGAUCAUUCUGUUCAUAAAUUAAUUAGUACCAUUUGACGGGCUAGCUAAGAGGUUUAUUUGACCGAAAUGGAGUUGAUGAACUCCGAUUUGAAUUGAAAAUGAUCUGUCAAUUCAUAUCAAUCGGUUUGACCAUGUUUGACUAAGCUGUUCAAUAAAACGUACACUAGAAUCUCCCUCCAAAACAUGUUUCUCCCACAACUACAUCACCCAAGUAGACUUUUAGUAGCAUAAAAGAUUUAUACAUUUGGUACAGAAGUUAUGAUUUUCAUACUUAUCAAGUCAUGCACUGAUGAGAUUAAGCAUUUUCAUUAUCAGGUAUAUAUGAAGGCAUAUUCGACAUGAUCGAGUCUAUUUAGUUAGAGGUUUAAGAUAAAUAUUACAUAUAAAACAUCCAAUCAAGCAAACCUUAUAAAAGACGUCGUCCCUUCUCGAUCAUCUCUGUAGCAACAGAGAGUUAGGCAGCGGCGUCCUUGGCGUCGGCGACGGCGAAUGUCACAUUUAUUCGCAUGCCAUGGUGUCCUCCUUUUGUCGAGAAAUUAAGGGUACGUGGGAGAAUGUCUUCUUACGAUGGAGGAGGUUAUUUGGGGGUUUUGUUCUCAAGUUGGUUCACUCGGAAUCGGAGGCAGUCGAAAAUCGAAAUGGCCGUCCUCCCAUAAUUGUACAUAUCUGAUAUUAGUUAAUAACCGACGGGUAGUAAAAUAUUCUUGGACCAACGAAAAUGUGAGAAACAGAUAGAGCGAGACUGCUGUUUUGGCCACCAUAUCUGAAUUGUGUUAUCCAUCGUUCAAUAAGAAAAUAAAAAAAAAAUUGGUGGGUCGUCGACAUUAGCAUACAACUUAAGUUUCAAUUCUGAGAUAGUCAUAUUUAUGAUGUUUGAUGCGUAAAGUUUAAGAAUUCUAUCAAGAUGUCUCGUACUCUCAUGUAAGACAUGUUUAGAAGUCCAACUGUUGGAAUUUGUUCAAAGUAUAGAAGCAGCAGAAGAACAAUAACGAAAUCAUGAAAGCAACUAUCAUGUAUUCAUGUUGUUGUUAUAAAUUGGGCUCAUUCUGUUCUAUGUUGUUAUCCAUUUCCCACAUACUAAAUUCCGAGUUGCAUCAAAAUGAAUUCGUUCUGCUACAAGUUGUUGUGUUUGCUCCUUCUGAGCUACUUCUUCGAAGGCCUCUAUCUUUGCGCUGCUGAUGAUCCAACUGAUGGGUUCACCCUUGUGCCAUUAACAGAAGACAACUUCAAGCUGCAAAAGCCAUAUAAUGAACCUCUUUAUGAUCGUUAUAGUUACAAAGAUGGAGUCCGAAGAUUCUGGAUCUACAACAAUGACAAGCCCUACAGCGCAGAUAGCCCAACAAGACCACGCUCAGAACUGCGCAUAUCGGUAUCUAUAUCUCUCGGCUUCUCAAUAUAUAUGCAUUAGUAUUAGAAUUUUUUCAAUAUAUAUGCAUGGUUUAAAUGAAUACAGUUAGAAAAUAUACAUGGCACAGUUUCUCAUCAGUAUAGAACUUACCACAAACAAAAUUAUUGAUGCAACUUGGACAUAAUCCACAAGCAAUGCUAAUAACUUCCACUCCAGGUAAACAUCACAACAUUGUAACAACUCAUCUGCAUACGGUUUCGCUUGCAGGGACAUGAUUAUUCGUCUGGAAUCUGGCAAUUUGAAGGCUAUGCAUAUGUUCCAAGUGGUACUUCUGGGGUUACAAUAGUGCAGAUUCAUGGUGCAAGUGAGGGAGCUACAACUCUACAACUAAGGAUGUAUGAAGGAGACGGUGGAGAUCUCAGAUACUACAGAUACAACUUAGUUGAUACUGAUCUCUAUGAUAAGUGGUUCAGAGUAAAUAUAAUCCACAAUGUUGACAAAGGGAAGGUCAUAGUUUUCAUUGACGGUGUUAAGAAGUUUGUGGUGAAAGAUCAGGGACCAGGAGACCUCUACUUCAAAUGUGGUGUGUAUGCAGCACCAUUUAAUUCUAGUAACUACAUGGAAUCAAGGUGGAAGGGCAUCAAACUUUAUAAAAAAUGAUGGGAAGAUUACCAAAUUUCCAUUCAGUAGCUAAAAAUGGUGUUACAGAGGCUAUAUAUUUCAUCUUUGUAUUUAUGGAUGUACAAAACUAUGGUUUUCACUAUAAAUAAAGAAUCUAUUUCCCUCAUGUAGUUUUUUUUUUUUUUUUUUUAAGAAGGAUAUUUGACUUCCCUCUUAUAGUUUUUUUUUUUAAAAAAAAUUUGUGGAUAUAUCUCCAGUGACCAAAAGACCAUACGACAAACUAUUGCUAGGACAGACAGGAGCAAACUCCGAUACAAGUUUAGAGCAAACUCAUUAUUUGACUCCAACUAAAUACUGAAAGUGAAGUCCAAAAAACUACGUCAAAAUAUGUGGACAUCUACACUAGACAGCAUAAUACAUAAAAAACCCCUACUCCUGUGCGAUCAUUAGAUCAAGGCAUCUGUACUGACAAGCCUAACUCCUAAGACCCCAUAGUGUAUGUUUCCACCUAGAAGACCAUUGAACAGCUCUGAUCUAACAACCACAUAGGAUAAGAGUGUGACUCCUAUAAAAUACCCAACUCAGGCCCAACCCACUUGAGGGACAGGGAAAGUUGGAAGAGGAUUAGCUCACAGGCCCAGAACACUAGGCCACACAUGGCAGCCCAGAACACUGAGGCCCAGUAGCUCCUCCUCCCCCUCCUCGCACCCAACCAGGCUAAAUCGGUGAAGAAGCACUCUGGUGAAGCCUUCCACCACUGGAUCUGCACUCCGGUGAAGCCUUCCACCACCGGAUCUGCACUCCAUGUCGCCCCGCCGCCACAGAACCACAACCCUUCGAUUCAAGAUCAAAGAGGUUGCAAAGACUCUUGCGAUGAUAUCAUUCCUUGGCGCCACCGCUUCAAAGCUCACCGCAGCUCUUUUCGAUGCAGACUCACUCCACCGUCCCACGUGCAGAUCUAAAUCAAGUCCCUACCAAAUUAUACAAGUCCUUACAAAAUUCCCUCCUAUACAUUUCCCUCCAAAAUUAUAGUUGAUUAUAUAAGUCCCUACAAAAUUUAAUAUAAUUUUGAUAAUCCGUGAACUGAUAUUGAGAAAAUGUUUGCAAAGAAUCAAUAAAUCAAAACGAUGAAAUACUCUAAUUGGAUAGUGUAUAUGUCACCUAAUCUGACACGUAAGGUGGGCAUGGUUUCCCAAAAUAUGGACUUACCAUUAUUUGUCUUUUUGUGUGUUUUAGGCAUUCUAACUUGACGGAUUCUUGAUUAUGUUAUCUAGAUCUAAUAGAGACUGGAGAAAAGCAUAAUCAUCUUUUUAUGAAGCUAAUAGAUCAAUGGAGUCUGAGAGUUUUGCUCUUUUAUCGAUCGGUUCAAUGUCAAUAAUGUGUUCGAUCCCAUAAUGGAAGCAAACCAUUAGAAAAGCAGGCUCUAGGGGAAGUAGUUAAGAGUGUUUUCAAAAGCAAAAAACGACAAAAGAGAGGAUUCAAAGCAUUGAUAUAUACUUAAACCAACAUGAAUAGACAGUUAGAUUGUAUUUAUCACACUGUUUAUGUAUCCCAAAUUAGACCAUUUAUCCCUAACUGGAUAUGCUCUCAAUGGAAAAUCUAGAGAAUGCAUCAGUUUGGAACUUCCUGAAGUGAAUAUAUGCCAGAAUUACCUUAUAAACAAUAAGUUGGUCUGUGAUAUAUAUAAGUUUACUAAGUUAGCACUCUACAGUUUAUCAAUUAGGUUUACACAAUAGAAUUUUUGUAAGAGUUAUAGAUGCAUUGUUAAUUAAUUACAUAGAAGAGAAAAACCGUCUCUUUUUGCAAAAAUGUACAGAUGCUUUCAUCAUAGUGAUUGAUACCAAGUUCUUCAUACAAAUGAUAACUUACAUCAUUACAUGCAUUUUGUGGCUUGGUGAAAAUUUGCAGAUGACAAAAUUAGCAGGACUCAUGGAUCAGGCAAGGCAUCUGAUAAGGUCUUAACCUUGUAUUACACUUUCUUGGGGUUCGCUGUCCUGACCAUGCUUCGUGGGUUGAUGCCACCACCAGCUACUUCAAACAAUGACAAAGCAAGAAGAAAAAGAAUUGGCGCACCGAAGAAAAUGAUCCAGUACUAUGAUGAUCAGAUUUCUUUCUUUGUUUCAAUAAUUCUUUUACAUGUAUGAAUUAGAUGCAGAGGGAUAGAGUUCCAAAUCUAUAACCAUUCUUAUCAAUUAGUUUGAAAGUUUGAUGAAUGUCACAAUGUGCUCUAGCUAACCGACAGUCCCCAUGUCAUUGAUCAUCGAAAUUGAACAAGGUAACUAGCUUGUAACUCAAUUUUGAAAAGAUUGCGCAGUUCAACAGAAAGCUGGAAUAUUUUCAGAGGGCGGUUAUGUUUGUAAACACCUCCCAUCAACACCUUAAACUAAACACAGGUAAUUUGUACUGUUAUCACUAGCAUAAUCCUAGUUCUAAGGCUGGACUUGAUCUUGGAUCAUGAUUCUACACUAAUAAUCCAUACAAAUAUUACUUCACAAAACGGCAGCCAUAGUGCAAGUCAACAACACAAGUAGAAUUUGAACAAAAGAUUCCACGGAACAAAGAACCGCAAACCUGUGCUUUUGAUAGAAGUACAGGGUCGCAAGUAAAAUCUGAACCAGGUGAAUUAUUUGAUCAAAACAAAUUCCACGAUUGCCAUGUCAAACAACAGUUUAUAAUCUAAAACCCUAGGUUACACCCACAAUAUCAGUAGGUAACCACGUGUUGCCAAUCUGGCUUGCUGAAUUAAACUGCUUUGAAACACAUCAAACUGCAAAAUUGUAACUUGUUCUUCAAAAUUUGAUGUCUGUCGUCUAGGUACCUUGCACACUUGGAUGUUUGGUUACAUGUCUAGUCCUCAGUUUCACCACUUUCCUUCCCAGUGAAUUCCUUAGCCUGGUUGCACAUUGAUGAACUUCUUCUGGAUCCAUAUUCUUCACACACACCACCCUUUCAUUUUGAUUAUCUGUCCGUUUACAAGAGAACUCUCAGAAAAAGUUUAAUGCCAUAUGCAGCAACUUACAUACAUGCUAGCGAGCGUAUGUGUGAGAGAUCUAACUGUAUAAGCCCUUCAAAUGAGGAUGCUGUCCACGAAUAUGUUCAAUAACCACCUCUAGCGGAGGAUUCUUUUCCUUAAAGGUCGGUAGAUGUGACUCCAUAAAUGACCUACCACCAGAAGAGUUCAGUUAUAGGUAAUCAAACUCCAAUAAAGUUUACUGCUAGAUAUUAAAGUUAUGACACUCCAUGAAGAUUACAGAAUGGGAUAGAUUCUUUUUCCCCUCUUGAGCACCAGGAAAGAAACAGACCCCUAAUGUAGCAUAGUAGAUUAAUUUGUUUGACAGCACUUGUAAAUAAAAGGGUUGCGUGGAAUCCAGGCCAGAAUUGUUCUAUUUUACUAAAUUAAAGUAUUGCACGAGAACUAGUCUGUUGGAUAGGAUAACAGAAAUUGGAAAAAGUGGGACUCAAAUAAUGAUAAUCACUUCUACACACCAAAUUAUGAUAAUCAAUUCUACACACAAAAAAAGCUACUUAUAAUUCCAAACAUACAUAAAUAUAGUUGUAUAAAACCAGCUAUUAAACUCCAACUAAUUUGUGACCCAAAAACAAAAACAAAAAACGUAAUGCAACUAAGCAUUGCAAUUACUCCCAAGUCCCAACCCACUAUCCCAGCAUGGUAUUUUAAAAGUAUAACUACGUCAAUAGUAUAAAUUAUCAAGAAGAACAAAAGUUAAAUAAACCUGCCAAAAACAACUUCAAAACUCAGCAAACUUGUGAUACCAUUUUGCAUUUGACACACAAAAGUUGAUUUCGAUGAACAUGAGCUAUUCUGGUUAGAUCCUCUUCAUUGUUUUUUAUCUUUUGCAAUAAUUUUAAUGAUAUUCAGAAAUAAAUAUAAGAGAAUCCGUUCAUAGUACCAGAAAAAUAUUAAAACAAUAAAACAGUUGUUUUAUAAGAGUAAAUUUUCUGAUUUGUUGAUGAAAUCAAACAUCAUACUAGACGCCUAGACAGAAUGGUUGCAUUAGCCAGUUUGGGAACAAAUGGAACACUACUUGGCCAUUCUUCAGUUCAGAAAAUGCUAAUUGCGCUUCUAAAAUACUUUUUCAAUGCAUGGGUUUGCAGCUAGUGAUUUAAAGAGAACAUACCUGAUUCCCCUACUGCUUCCUCCCCUAUCAGAAUAGCUCACAACCAGUUUUUUCAGCUGCCACACACCUCUCAAAGCCAUCUGACAUGACCAACAUGGUAUGUUAGCCGAGAUUCUCCAAAAAAUCGAGUGCAAAAACUUGUUAAAGCUAUAAAACAUAGUCAGCAGUUCAUGUGGCAUAAAAACUAAAUACAACUACUUGUAUCCUUCUCCUGUGUUAACAUUGUUCCUACCUACAAAUCUUGAUUUCAGAGCAAGUGAAUUGCUAGAAUCUUGUGUAGCUGCACAUUAGUACGUUUGAAUUCGUAAACAAGUUGAAAAUCACUAAACACUAAUUGCAAAACCCCGGCCCAAACUUUAAGCUAAAAUAACAUUAAAGGCCGGUAAAGCAAGUAAAAGAAAUUUGAUGACGAAGUUACCAGCUAAACCUGAGAAGUAUUUCAAAAAAAUUACAAAACCAGAAAUAAAUAAAUAAAAUAGUUUUACGUUACAAAAGAAAAUGAUAAAGAAAUCAUGCUCUUUACUCAGCUCAAACUUUUCUCAACAGAAAAUCCAAAAACCUGCAAACAAAAAUCAAUGAGGAAGUGAGCUAAAAGCACGCUCAGUGAGUGCCAAAACAAAACAAGGUGACCAAGAGAUCAUCAAACAACAAUGCAAAGCUAAAAAAAUAAAUAAAUAAGAGGACUUGUUCAUAACAUGAAACCACUCAUAACCAAUAAAUUUCACCCACCGAUUUGAACACCAGAACCAAUCAUGAUCAACACCAUGAUCACAAUAAGCAAUGAGCUGCCACCACAAUCUCAAAAUAUAUAACACAGGCUAUCACAGCACAAAAAACACACAGACUACAAUAGCCCCAUGAUCGUGCAACGAAUUAUGGUCACGUCACAUCAGUAAUGUGCGCACACUGCCAGUACCACUCUCUUACUGGCUAGAGGAUUCUAAAUAUAUAGUUUUCAUGCUCCCAUCGCACAAAUCGGGCAAUCAAAUGAAAUUCAAAACACUACAAAGAUACCAAACUAUAGACACAAGUCAACACAUAAUUUUCACCAAGAAUAGUUUGCUGCUAACUAAAAACAGCCACAAUUGACACCCGAAACUAAUCACAAAUUGCAUAUGAAUCACGAUAUUAACAACAGCAAUAUCCUAAAUUUCCAGAAAGAUCAAUAAAAAGAGGACACAAAGUCGAGACCAAAAGAAGGUCACUCACCCGAGAAAAAAACACUGAAAACAGAUCAGGAAAUCAAACCAUUCAAAUCCAAACUUUAUAAAAACAUUGAUACGAGAAACUCACAAUCACAAGGACAAUCUCGGAAAGAACAUAUCGAACACAAUAACAAACCCAGAAAAUUCAAGAUCAAAAGAUACAUGAGACAGAGAAAGUCACUCACCAACCAAAUUCGAUACACAACCAAGAUAGCAAUAGCAACAUACCCAAUUUCCAGAAGAUUAAAUAAGAAGGGAAAACCAAAACAAAUCAGUAAAGCAGUCACUCACCGCAAGAGGAUGCCGAACCCCAACAAACUUUUGGGUCUAAACUUCGUACCAAAUUGUCUCUCUCUCUCUCUCUCUCUCUCUCUCUCUCUCUCUCUCUCUCCUUCUUUCUUUCCUUCUCCUUUCUUUCUUCCUCUCUUUCCCUGAUUAAGAUGAUGGCAAAAUUGGGCAGCAAAGACUGAAGACAACCCCACUCCUCCGCAGCUGUGUUUUCCUAUGUCAAACAAAAACCGCUACUUGUAAUCACUCUCCUCUGCGGUGAAAAAAGAAAAAUGAUCGACUGUAUAGGUUAUUUAAUGAAACAAAUUUUAAGAAUAGUUGAAGAGCGGUUCUAUUUUAAAUGUUACGUUAAAAGUGAAAUAAAACUGUUAUCAUCUUAUCAUGUCUUAUGUUUUUUUUUAUUAUAAUAAUUUCUGUUUUUGGUUUAUUUACUUUCUGUUUUCUGUAGUACCAUUUCAACAUAUUUUGUAUAUGAAUAAUUUUUUCAUAAUUAAUGGGUAAUAUAGAGAGUUUAAAAAAUUGAUGAAGCUUUUGACACCUGUAACAUCCUGGAAUUUCAAAUUUCUAUUUUUAAACGAAAAAUUAUUUUCGAGUUAUUUUUUAUUUCGAUUUCUAUUAUUCUUCAAUUUCUUUAUGGCUUUUGAAAAUUAUUAAAAUUUUUAGUUUGUCAAAAUUUAUCUUUCGAGCCCAUAGAAUUAAACUAGACGUCGUUACGAGUUUGUAGGAUUUUUUUUCGGAGCAUCGUUUAAACAUCAGAUAUAUUUUUAAUGAUUUUUAGAAGUUAAUAUUAUCCAAAAAUUUAAUUAAAAAUAGAAUUUUUACUGACAUCUUCUGGGCCGUCUGAUCUACUAAACCGUUUAAUCAUAGUCGUUGGACGGUGUAUAUACAUAGUGGAAGAGAGAAGGAGAUCAAAUCAGUUCAGACCCAGACCGGGUCUCUGCCGACCCGAAUAGCAGCGACGGGCGACCCGGUUGCCGCUCUGUCCUCCGGCGACGGCGAGGAGAAAGAAAGGUGGCGACAGCUUUGUCUCGAUGUCCUGGUCUUCUCCAAGGUAUUUAUUUUCAGAGAUGAAGUCCGGUGAAGAAGAAUCGAAGAAGAAGAAGAAAGGCUGGGUUUGCCGGCCAACUUUGGAUUCCGGCCACGGCGGCGGGCAUGGAUGGUGUUGGUAGCUUUGUCUCGGUCUCGUCGACGUCCCUGUGCCUUCAGCUUGCAGAGAUGAGGUCCGGUGAGUGAGAAUCGAUGCAGAGGAGUGGUUUGAGUUUUCCCCGGCGAGUUUCCAUGGUUUCCGGCGACGUCUGGUUUUGAUCAAGGUAUGAAACUUGGUCCAUUCGUCGAGCUUUACCUCUGUAUAUACUUUAAAUUGAGCUUGGAAGUAUUUGGAAGAAGUUGGAAUUUUGGCAGAGAGGACUGCCGUGAGUGCUGCUGUGCACGGCGGGUCGACAGCGGCGGGGUGGUGGUGAUGAUUAGAUGUUUCUGAAGUCGUUGAUCCAGAGAGCUGGGUUGCAGAGUGUUCAAGUUUGUAGUGUUGAGCUAUUUGGUUUGAUACUUUGAAGUUCAUAUAGAUGCUAUUGAAUUAUUGUUAGAGAAAGAUGAUUGGAAGAGUUUGGUGAAAUGAAGGUUAAGAUGGCUAUUGAAUUAGAGAAAGAUGGCUUUGCUGGGUUGUUUCAUUAUGUAAAGUUAUGGAAGCUGGAAGAAGUUCAUGAACUUGGGUUGUGUAGUGAUCGGUCCCUCACUGUGAAGGAAAGUGUGAAAUGGUGCAAAGGAGAAGACGGAAGGGUGAUCAAUGAGAUGUAUAAAUGGGGGUUUUGGGUGUAGAGAGUAAUUUUGGAUAUAGAGAUUAAUUUCUAUUUCAAGUUGGAUCUGUGUUGGUGCGUAUAUAGUUGGGAUACAACUUAAUGUGGUGGCAUGUGAUUUAGUAAUUGUUGGAAAAGGUGAGGAAAUGCGGAUUAAUAAUAUGGGUGUCCUUAUCAAUUUUAAGGACUUGAUUUUGUUGACUUGAAGUGAUUUGUCAACAUUCUUGGAGUGAGGAUUCGGUACGAGGAUUGGAGGCAUGUUGCAAUCCCAGGAGCAGAAGGAUAAGGAUUUCAGAAUGCGUGCCGUGAUGUUACUAAUUUUAGUUAGCGUCAUAACUGACACUCGGAUUCCAGGUAGGGUUUUUCUCGGGGAACUUUUCUUAAAUUGAUAAUUAGAUUAUUAUUGAAAUCAGUGCAUUGUGUGGCAUUGGUUGAUAUAACUCUUGAUUGUUAUCGUUUUCAAUAAAGCAUGUGUAAUCGUUGAUUUAUAUGAUUGAAAUUAUUGUUCUCCAUAAAAGCAUGAUGUCUGAUAUAUUACGAGUAUUGAUAUUCGAUUGCAUAAUGCAUCAUGCAUUAUGAGGUAUGAGGAAUUGUAACAUCUUGAAAUUUCAGUUUUCUAUUUUUAAAAGAAAAAUUAUUUUCGAGCUAUUUUUAUUUCGAUUUCUAUUAUUCUUCAAAAUUCUUUGUGGUUUUCGAAAAUUAUUCAAAAUUUUGGUUUGUCGAAUUUUGUCUUUCGAGCCAUAGGAUUAAUCUAGACGUCGUAACGAGUUCGUUAGAUUUUUCGGAACAUCGUUUGGACAUCGAAACUAUUUUUAAUGAUUUUUGGGUGUUGGUAUUAUCCAAAAAUUUUAAUUAAAAAUUGAAUAUCAAGAUCGGUGAAAUAUGGGUCGUCCAUUUGAGAUUAUAUGGGUAUGGAUUAGCUUGGACUGCAUUAGAACACAGCUCAGACCGACUCGGUCUCGAGCCAUUGCGCAGCGACGAGCUCCGAUCGCUCCUCCGUCGUCCGGCCGUCUCUCGGCGCAAGACCGGUGUCCACAGCUCCAUCUUGCCGUCCCCUACCUCACUAUGUUCUUGGAUUUUGAAGAGGAGCUCCGGCGAGAGAGAAUCGGAGGAGAGAAGGUGACUGCCUCUCCGAUCGGGUUUCUGAUUCCGGCGACGGCGACGAGCGUGAACGGUAUUGGUAGCUUCCUCUCAUCCUCAUGGUCCUCCCUAUGUCCUCAGUUUCUUCAGAAGAGGUCGGGAGAGAGAGAUUCGAAGUGGAGAAGGAGAGGCUGGGACCACCGGCGAGUUUCUGAUGCCGGCGAAGUCGAGGUCUCUCACUGGUAUGGAUAGCUUCAUCUCGAUCUCAGGAACCUUCCAUGUUCCUGUUUUUCGAAGAGAAGCUCGGAGGAGGGAGAAUCGAAGAGAAGAAGUUUUGGGAUUUUCCGGCGAGGGUUCGACGGAUUCCGGUGACUUCUGAGUUCGACUCAGGUAUCAAUCUUCAUCUUCUCGUCGAGUUCUACCUCUUUGUAUAAUUGAAAUCGUGUUUGGUUGAGAGAUGACGAAGUUGGAUUUUUGGUAGUGAGUGACCGCUGUGAGUGCCUCUGUGCACGGCGGAGGUGGUGGUGAUUUUGGGUUUUGGAGUAGCUCUUUUGAUGUUUAUAGAAGCUUCGGAACUUGAUUUCAUUGUUUGUUGUAAUUGAAUUUGAGUUUGGGUGUUUGUGGGAGAAGUUGGAAUUUAGGCAGAACUCGACUACAGUGUGUGGUGGCGUGCUGGCUUUGUCAGUUCAUCAUUGAUUUAGUUUGUUCAAGAAUAAGGGCUUGGCUGCUUGUUUCAUGAUUUGAAGACAGACGUUGAAAUAGAAGAAUGGAUUUGUUAAAGAGUUGGGCAGUAUGGCUAAUUACGUUGAUAGAAGCUAAUGUUUAAUUGUGAGUCUUGGACGUGUAUAUUAUGAUGGAAGAUGAAGUGGGAAUGCUGAUCAUGGUGAAGAUUAAGUUUCAUGUUUUGUCUUAUAUGAGUUGUGGUGAGUAAUGGAGCUAGUGGUGAUAUAUAAUCUAGAUCAAAAAGGGGGAAAUAUGAUGCUUGUGCUUAUGAGAAUGUGAGUAAGUGAAAUUACUUUGGAGAUUGAUUUCGUACUGGGAGAACAAUAACUUUAACUAUGAUGAGGAUUUGGACAAAUUGACCUUUAUGAUUUAGAGUGAUUUGCCGACUAUGGGAACAAAGAUUCAGUAUGAGGAUUGAGUACGAGUUGCAAGAUUCUAGAAGCAGAAGGAUAAGGAUUUCAGAAGUGUGUUGCAGUGUUACUAACUUUAGCGUCAGAAUCAAAGCUUGGAUUCCAGGUAGGGUCUUUCUCGGGGAACCUUUCUUUAAAUUGAUAAUUAGGUUAUUAUCGAAAUCCGUACAUUGUGUGGCAUUGGUUGAUAUAACUCUUGAAUGUUAUUGUUUUCGAUAUUAUUGAUAUCGUUGACUUAAAUGAUCGAUGUUAUCGUUUAUCAGAAAAGCAUGUAUUGAAUGUUAUGAUAUGAGUAUUGAUAUUCAUUGGCAUAUAUUAUGCAUUGUGAGGAAACGUGAAAAUAGUAAAAAUGGUGAUUCUGGAGAGGAGAAUGAGAUUGAUAGAAUAGAUACAUUUUGUGUAGUUGAGUUUCCUCAUGGGUUGUCCUUGGGAUCUAUGAUUAGCCCACACGUGCACAAAUUCAGGGGAUGUAUGCCCUAUCGAUGGCAGACAUCGAUAAAACGAUCUUUAUCGGGUUGCGGAUCGGGAGACCAUGAGUAUAACAAGACGACUAACAAAAGAGGUACAAGUGGUGAGAUAUUACUGAUUUGUUAGGUCGUAUAUUGGAGACAUCUACACGCUAUGGGACGUUUUUGCUCAUAUGUCUUUGAUGUAUGGACUAAUAAGCCAGUAAUCGAGUUGAGGAAGUUCAUUUGCAUAUAUGCAUUGAAUUGUCAUUAUUUAUAUUUAAAGAAUUGUUUGUUAUUUGAUAACUUGAUUGUGCGACGUAGUUAAGUAUAACUUAAAAAGGUUUGGCCCUACUGAGCGUAAGCUCAUCCUUAUAGAAUUUUGUUCAGGUAUGCCACGUUUUUUGAGAAGCCUAGUUUAGCUGACGUGUACAAGAGAGCCAAUAAGGAUUACGGAAGACUAGAAGUGAGAUAAAACGCCAGACCUGUUUGUUUUGUCUUUGUAAUUAUUUUUGUUAUUGUAAACGUUUUAUUUUCUUUUAUUUCUGGAAAAGUAUUUGAAAUUGUAUUAUUUUCUUUUACUUUUCUCGCUCACACCUCGGAUCCGACGUCAGGUGCUUGGAAACCACCGACACCGGGUCAGGGGUGUGACAGGAAUAGUGAGAAAUUAUGAGAAUGGAGAUUAUGGAGAGGAGAAUGAGAUUAUUAGAACAGAUACAUUUUGUGUAGUUGAGUUUCCUCAUGGUUUGUCCUCGGGAUCUAUGAUUAGCUCACACGUGCACAAAUAUAGGGAAAGUAUGCCCUGUCGAUGGCGGACAUCGAUAAAACGAUCUUAUCGGGUUGCGGAUCGGGAGACCAUGAGUAUAACAAGACGACUAACAAAAGAAGGUACAUGUGGUGAGAUAUUACUGAUUUGUUAGGUCGUAUAUUAGAGACAUCUACACGGUAUGGGACGUGUAGGCUCAUAUGUCUUUGAUGUAUGGACUAAUAAGCCAGUAAUCGAGUGGAGGAAGUUCAUUUGCAUACAUGCAUUGAAUUGUUAUUAUUUAUAUUUAAGGUAUUGUUUGAUGUGUGAUAACUUGAUUUUUGCGACUUAAUUAAGUAUAACCUAAAAAGGUUAGGCCCUACUGAGCGUAAGCUCACUCCUAUGAGUCUUAUUCAGGUUUGUACGAGGACACGUGUUUCUAGAAGACUAAUUGUGACGUUAGCUUACGUGUACAAGAGUUGAGAAGUACGGAAGAUUAGAAGUCAGAUAGAUCUCAAGACCAGUUUUACCUUUGUAAUUUGUUUUGUUAUUUGUAAACGUUUUAUUUUCUUUUAUUUCUAGAAAAGUAUUUGAAAUUGUUUUAUUUUCUUUUAUUUUUCCCGCUCACGUCUCGAGUUUGGCAUCAGGUGCUUGGAAACCACUGACACCGGGUCCGGGGUGUGACAACACCAAAAAGACAUGGCUUUCUAAUAUAGUAGAGAUUUCAAUAUCGAAAUAGACUUCGUUACAAAAAACAAAAAAACAAAAAAUAGACAUGAAACAUUGGCAAGGUAGCUAGUCUAGUGGUUCUUGUCUAAUUAGGUGUGCUUCUCAACCUAGAUUUGAACCACGACACUGUCAACAGUGGCCAAGAGAGAGACUGCAAUGCCCUGCUGGCUGUGUUUGGGCUUUGGGAUACCGAGGGUUAGUGCGGCUGCCUUUAACCUUUCAUAUGAAACUAUCGAAUAUAAGGGGAGACAUGGAACCUGAACCCCUGGUUACAAUGAAAUCCAUAACAUAUAUCGUUUAGCAUCACACUAUUUUUUUUUCCUUAAAUUAUUAAAUAACUCACCCUUAGUCGUCUAGCAUCACACUAGUUUGAAUGAAAUUUCAGUCAUACUUAUUAUGCCUAUCGCCUAACUUAUGUUAACAGACACUUUGUUGAUAUCUAAAAAAUCAAUAUUCAUGCUCAAGUGAUAUUGCAAACGCGAUAAGAAAAUACACAUGCGAAUUACAUUCCAAAAAUACAAAGUGUUACAUAUUUAUUCGAAUAGUCAUGCCACGCAUGUGGACCCAAACCACAAUCAUGCUCUUGGGGCUUACAAGUUUGGGUGUGGUGUGGAAGGUAACGGAAGUACAUGAAGCUUAUUCUCGGUUUUGGUUGUUGGCGAUUUUGGACUUGGGACCAAAAUCCAGGCCCAACAAUCUAAAAUCGCUUGAUGGGCUGUAAAGAUGAGAUAAUCCUAAUCCAUAAAUUUAAAUUAAUUACCUACUUUACCCACUUAACCAAUAGCUUUCCAGCUACACAAAUAAUAUUACUUGCUUUUACCCCGCAGUAAUUAAUCUUCCUCUACGCCAAGCACAAGUCCCAAUCCGUUUUGCUUUUACCUUGCAGCAAGUCAUCUUUUUCUACACCAAGCAUGUCCCUAUCAGCUUUUUCCUUCACUUUGUUCUAAGCUCUAGCCUCCACAAGAUAUACCAAUAUACACAUCUAUCAACACAUCAGCUUUUCCUUGAGAUUUGCUACUCCAAUUCCAACAUCACGCAACAACACAACAUACACCAUAUCAAAGUCUUGUGGUCACUGCUGUGUUUUUUAUAUUUAAAUUCAACAACAUACUUCUCUUUAAUGUCCAUCAGUUUUAUCCCAAAAACCUGUAUCUUAGCCUCACCUCCGCCAGUCUAUAAAUUAAAGCCUUUAGCUGCUGCAAAAACAACACAACCUUCAGGCAAUUUAUCUCAGAAACACAAAACAACAUAUUUCUCAAGCAAGUCUCAAGCAACAUGCUAAGCAUCCCUAGCCUCCAAUCCAAAACCAUUCUCAAGCUCUAAACAACCCUAUACCUAUCAAACACCACCAAAAUCCUCCCUUUCCUCGUUACACUAAUUACACCACAGCAAAUCUCUUACUGCAUCAAGCAUCUCAUCUCCUGCAAUUCAUGUACUUCUAGCUCCCACGCCUCAUGCCUUCUUGCAAGUCAUUUUAUAUAUUUUGUUCAUAUGCCAGAAUAUCAAAAGUACACUAAGUUUCUGCCAACAUUGUCACAAACAUGUCACUGCAGCAAACCAACAUCAUUGCACGGAGACCUGGGCAUAACACGCAGAAAGCUCCUUGCAGCUUUGGGCCCAAUUCUUGAACUCAGAGGGGUAAAUAGAGGAGAUCAAUCCAAUCUAUCAAUCCUUGCAACCUCUGUUCAAAAUGUUGAUCAAUGCAAUAUAUAUAGAGCAGCAAGUUAGUAUCAAGCAGUGAAACGCACACGACAUAAUCAAUGUAAUUAAGAUGUCAAAGAUGAAAGAAAACCUCUUUUCCAAAACUAAAGGCUUGCUUCUUGUUCAUCAUCUAGCUCCACUGAUCAAACGGUACUGGGCCAUUAUAAUGAUUAUAUAGAAUUUUUUAUAAUUUUAUAAAUGUGUUCUUUUUUCUUCCUUCUACAAUAUUCUAAUCAUAUGAAAUAUUAAUUUUUUGUGAGUGCUCCCUUAUUAUGACUUAUAUGAGGGAUUGAGCAUUACACCAACUUUUAGAUCAUAUUUUUCAAUUUUAACCGUUCAGUUUUUAGUUCCUAAUAUGUAGAUCACUUCUGCAAAAUUUCAUCCAAAAUGGUGAUCAUUAAGUUGCUCAAAACUGCGAUUUGCAUGAACGGUUCAAGUUUGGCAGAUUUGAUCCGUUCAUUGAUUUAAGCUAGUUUGAAGCCUUAACGACCACCAAUUUAGCUGAAAAUUUCUAGAAAUGAUCUACUCAUAUAUACCUAGAGGUUGAAUGGUGGAGAUGUUGAUAUGUAAUCAAAAAGUUGGGUUAAUAAUCAAUCCCUCAUAUAAGCCACAAUAAGGGAUCUUGUAAAAGAAGGGCUUAAUAAAUGAAUCCCUCAUAUAAGCCACAAAAUAUAUGUAUGUAUGUAUUUUUGUGUAAUACUAAUGUAUGUAUUUAAAAAACCAAAGCUAAAGAAGCAUGUUCUGUUCCAAAUUGUUAAAAGAUUUCAUCUCGAACUGUGAAAAAAUUCUUAGCUUUUAUCUACAACUAUAUAUAUAUAUAUAUAUAUAUAUAUAUUGCAUGUUUGAUGAUUACAUGCAAUCUGGCAUGUGAUUCAAACAACUGUCCAAAGCACACGAUCAUAGUGUAACCAAUCUAGCAUAACAUCUUGUUAUCACUACUAGAAAAACCAUGCUUCACACAGAUUUUAAUUUGUGUGGGGUGCGGCUAUUUCACACGGAUGACAGUGAAAAAAAGGUUUCAUUCACGGUACACAUAAAUUGGAUAUCCGUGCUCUCCUUAAGGGGGACUAAUACUCAAUUCACACAUAUUUAACAAUCCGUGCGAAUACUUUAUGUGGGCCCUAACACAUUCCAUAAACGUGGUUGUUUUAUAAAAUACUCAAUCAGUGAGAACAACUCUGUAUUUCACACAAAUAUCAGUGAUAGUUCGUAAACUCUAUUUACACAAAUUAAUGUGUGAAUAUAAUUAUCACAUAAAUCUGUUACAAAACUUAGACACUGUAUUCACAGAUGUACGUGUUGAUUUUCUUUACCUUAAUUCACACUAGUUCGUGUGCAAUAGUGAUUGCAUUAAAAAAUAAUAUACCUGUCAAAAUUUAAUUUUCUGCUCAUAUUUAUCUACUAUAUAUAUAUAUCAUGCUAUUUAUAAUUAAUCAAGCAAACAAAACCACAACUCCAUCCAAAAUAUAACAUUUGAUAUUCUCGUCAAAAUGUACAUGUAGUUUACAUUCCUACCAACAUAGUUUACAUACAUACCCUAGUUAAUUCUUGGAUUACAAAAACAAUAUAUACUGCUUUUCUAGAAUACAUUGUUGUUCAAGUUGGAAAACCUCUAAAAUUUUUCCCCUAAGAACAACAUAAUCCUUGUCCAAGAAUAGGUUCCAUCAAAGUAUAUUAAAACAGAACCAUCAAAAUAGAUAAUGACAUCUUUAGUUGAAACUAACCAAAUUAGCAACGCUGCAAACGAUGAACCGUUAGGGGCAAUUCAGGCCGAUACACAUCACUAAUGUCUGGGGUUAGAAUCACAUUUUUACUCCCUUGUGUAAUUUGUGUUGUUGGCUCUAUUUGUGGUGCCGUCUCAAUUUGUGAAAAACCAGCCUCUCUCAUCAUCCUACCUAUUUCAUAUACAGGUAGUUCCCUCAUAUCUUUGCCACAAGUGUCUCUUGCUGCCUUUUAAAGUCAUCCAUUUGUACAGUGACUCUUUUCUCCAUCUCAAAGGUUUCAUUCAUAAUUCUCUCUUCCCUUUCAGCAACUUUUUUCUCUCUCUUUUUCAGCCUCAGCCUUUAAUCUUUCGGUCUCUAUGUGUUGUUCAUCAAGUUUAGUCUUCAUUGCUUCCACAGUGCUAUAAAAUACUUCUUUUCUCAAUGUGAAUAUUUGGAACAUCAUGUAACACCCUGACCCAGGUGUUAGAAAAAAAAUAAAUGAAUAAAAUAAAUAAGAAAAUCCUAAAUAAAAAAUGAGAUAGGAUCUCAUACUCGAACAAAACAACAAAACAGUUUUUGGAACCUAAAUUUUAUUUUGUUAAUUUGCGGCUGCACCCAAAACUUGGUCGGGCUGCCUACGUACCCUUUUAAAGGGAUCAAGCCACUCAUAGUUCAACAUUUUAUUCUACUUCUAUAUCUUCCCUAACAACAUCUCAUUUACCACCAUAAAUCUAAAAAUCAAAACCCCACACUUAACUCGCAAAACAACCUACUCAAGAGCCAAAGAGUGUGUAUAUGUAUGCACACAUACAUGUGUGUAUAUAUAUAUAUACCCAAUCAAAAUUUCAUUAGAAUAAUAAAACUCAACUUAUGCAAAUCAUCAAACAUGCAUUCUUUCACUUUGAACCCAAAUUUACUAAACAUUCUAUCUUAGAUUUACUAUGGACACCCAAUAGAUAUACUAUGGACACCCAUUUCGACUAAACCAAAUCCCAAAUCCAUACAUAACACUUCAAUAUCCACUUCAAUCCAACAACUGUCUAACAAUAAUAUUCUUAUACCCGGUUAUUAAUUUAACCGUUAAUAUCGUUAAUCUUUGAAAAAAAUCUGAAACCUAACCAACAUCCUAAUUUACUCUCAACACCCAAGACUAUCAUUUUUUUUCUCCCUUUCAAACCCUUGUACUUCUAUAUCUCAAACUAAAAGACUCAAUGUCUCAAUCAAGUUCCAAAUGCACGUCCAACCUUCCCAAAAGAUCAUAGCAAUAAACCUGCAGUACGACAACUCUACUGCAUGAAUCAAAGCAAUACAAGUAGAAUGAUGUCUCAUACUAACAGAACACACAUAGCCAUUUCUCCAUCACCCAACUUCCUCCUUUCUGCAAUUCAAGCAACACGGUUGGAUUCUACUGCUACUGCCAAGCUCACCAGAACCCAGAAAUACUUAACCACCACUAUCGCCGUCGUCGAGCACAACAGCCGCACACACUGCCCAAAAUCUCACAAUCUCCAAAAUUCUACCAAUAUUGAAUUCAGGUAUCUCAACCUACUCUAAAAUCAGAAUACUAAUAAAACCAAAAACUACCAGAACAACCACCUACCGCCGUCGUACACAGCAUCACCCACGCGCGGCCAACACUACCCAAAUUCAAAUUCAACAAAACUCAACCAAUCUCAAUUCCAUGUAUAUACAGAGAUAAAGCUCGAAGAGAAGAUCAACUUUGAUACCUGAGUCGAACUCGGAGGUUGCCGAAAAACAUUGAGCCCUAACCGGAAAAAUCCCAGAAUUUCUUCUAUUCGAUUCUCCCUCCUCCGAGCUUUUCUUCGAACACCAGGAACAUGGAAAGGUUUCUGAGAUCGAGAUGAAGCUAUCCAUACCAGUGAGAGGCGUCGAUGCUGUUGGAAUCGGAGACUCGUCGGCAAACACAGUCUCUCUUCUCCUUCUUCGAUUCUUCUUCUCCAGAGCUCCACUCUUCAAACUGGAAUCACAGGGAGGUCGGGAAGGACGAGAUGAAGCCAUCGCCACCAAUCUUCCACCACGCCGUCGCCGGAGGACGAAGAAAAAAUCGGGUUGACCCGUUGACUCUGUUCGGGUUGAGAAUGACCCGGUCUGGGUCUGAACUCAUUUUCAUCCCCCCUGCCUCUCUCCUGAACCUUCCUUUUCUUUUCUCUCUUCCUCUUUUCCUCCAGAUUCUAGACCUUUCUCCUUUCCUCAAAAAAAAAUAUCUACAUCCCUUUCUCUUUUUUAGACCAUAAUUUUCUCAUACGAACUCUGAUUUGAGCGUGCCACGUGUCUAAGAACUCGUAUUAACGUCUUCUACGACUUCCAUGAAGGAAGUUUUCCCAAAUUAUCGACUUAACGAAAAGUCAACUUUUUGGGUCCUUUUUACGGUAAAACGGUUACAAAAACAAUAAUUGAAAAUUUAAUGUAAACUUCAUAAAUUCACAGAACAUAGCUCAUCGCUUCGGAAAAUAAUCCGAGCAUACCGGUGAGCUCGUAUAAACGUGUACCACGACUUCGGAGUUUUAAAUCCACUAUUUGCCGUUUUCAGAAAAACUCGAAAACAAACUCGAGCAAUCACUAUUUAAAUCCCCGAGCGCGAAUAAAGAAAAUCCACGGAAAUUCAUAACCCCAAACAGUAACCUUUUAGGUACGGGGUAUUACACAUCAUGCCAACAGACUUCUGCUCCAAGUCCCCUCACUCGGUUACGCUUCUCUGGCCCAAAAACUUCUGCAUAGAUAUCGUCUCUAACCUUUAGAGUAAUAUCAACAUUUAAUUUCCUUCUCUCCUCUUCAGCCUUUUCCAGAUCUUGCUACAAUCAAUCAGGAAACUAUUAGUAAACUUAAAAUUUUGUUGUAUUCAAUCAACCUUUCCUCUAUUGAUUUUUUUAAAAUUAAAUAUAUUAGUAUGAAAUUUAGAAGUCCGAACAUUGCAAUAAUGGUGAUUGAUAAGCACAUUUUAUAUCAUAUUAUUAUCCCUGAUUUAUAUGUGUAGUUAUUUGUUUUAAUUAAUUUGAGUUAUUUAGUUUGUUUUUGUGUUUUUAUAGAUGUUAUGUCUAAAUAAAUAAAAUGUUAAAGCUAUGGAAACAAUUUAUUUAUUUUUAUAGUAAAUUGAGUCCUUGAUAGGAGCAUAAAUAAGCAACGAUAUGAUGGUUAAUUCCCCUCUUUACUUUGUUAGUUUAUCGUAUUUUCCAUUUGAUUUAGUUAUUUUUAUGUUUAUUAGGUGUUUCGGAGCAAAGAAGGGAAUAUGAAGCAAAAGAGGAGAAAUCUUGAAGAAAAAAGAAUUUAUGUCGUGCAAGGAAAAAAUUAUGAAGAUCUGCCAUAAAUUAUUAUCUAACUUCGACAGAGGAUUGUGAUCAGCUCACAACAAUCCAGAUGAUGAAUUAAUAUCAAUAGAAAGCUACAAGAGUCUACUUUUUAGAACUUUUUACGGAUCGUCAAUACCUAUUUUGGAGAAGAAGUUAUGAUCAUUUUAGUGGCCGAAGGUCGAUCUGCCUGAAUUUCUGAUUUGGACCAAAACUUCAAUUUCAAGGCCCAAUCCAAAUCUUCUAGCCCAUGGACGGAAAUUGAGGGUUCUCUAACCUUAAUAUCAUCAGAUACACAAGAUGAAAAGGGGAGAAGAAGAAGUCGGGAAGAAAAAGAACGCAAGAAUCAGACGGAACAAGAUCGAUCUCUUCUCAAGGAUUCUCUAAGCUCGGUUAUUGUUGUCUUCCUCUCCCAUGAACUCUUUUGUAUUUUUAAUUUCCAUUAUGUGUAACUAAACUCAUAGUAGCUAGGGGGCUGUUGAAGCCCCUAGACAUGAUUCAUAACAUGCUUUGAUUUUCAAUUUGGUUUUGCAAUUAAUAAGAUUGAGGUUUUGUUUACCAAUUGUUCAUCGAUGAAUUCUUUGUGUGUGUGCUUUGGAGGCCUACUUAGUAUACAUGCUAGGGUUCUAAUACUUUGAUUAUUUGAUGUCUGGGUCAAUAUUGGAUCCCUCAAAUUACGUAGAGAAGUAAUCGGUAGUUUUCACUAGCGAGUAGACGAAACCCUAGGUUUAGCAAGGCGCUAAGUUUAUUGCAAUGCCUAGUGAUUGCUCAAACUCUUUUCAUGCUUAUUGAUCUCUACUUGUUUAACCUAAUAAACGUACCUUUAGGUUACAAUGUUUGAGAAUAGUUUAGGUGUAGAGCACUUCCUGCCUAAUGUAUAAAGUAAGAAAGAGUAAUAGAUUGUGCUCAAGCGUACCGAGUCAAUCUGAGCAUCUUCAGUUGAGUUAGUUGGUCACAAAUUGGACAAAUUGUGUUGUGUGUGAUUGUCGGGGGUGGAUACUUCCUCCCUAGCUAGUCUCAUUAUCUUGAUUUUCAACCAAUUUGAAAUCAGUUUUCAGUUUUCUUAUCUUAUGUCCGUCAUCUUCCGGUAUUUUAUUUUCCUAUCAAAUCAACUCCAAAUCAUCUCAAAUUUUGUGUGCUAGACUCUCUGUGAGUCUAGUACACUUUUGUAAUUGUUUGUAUUUUUCUGAGCAGUCUAGAUUAGAUUUUUAUUUUAUUUUUCAACUGCUGUUCAAUAGGAGCUGCAGUCACGUUUUGUGACAUUUGUUGAAUCUUUUAGUUUAAUUUAAUCCUCUGCGGGAGACCCUUAUUUCUCUAUAUUACAAUCGACAAAUUUAGAGGAGAAUAAGGAAAAUAAAUAGCUUUUAAUUUAGCUAUCAGUUCUUGUUUUUAACAUGAGUCAUUUUCCCUUUAAUUAGAUAACUAAGUGCAACAUAUGUUCUUAUUGUUCCAAUAACAUAUGUCCACAAUUGGUGAAAUGCUUUCUCAUUGCAUUAAGUGUAAUGUGUGGAAAUAUUUACCUUAGUCAUCAAUUUGUUAAUUCACUCUACUCAUUGAUUCAUAGGUAUGCACAUGCAAUUGAUUCCAAUGGAAGAGAUGCAUGAAGAAUUUGUCAAAGACAACAUACCAUGAAAGAAGGUGGCAAAGAAACAAGCAUGCAUGAUUCUAGAAACUAAAUCUCAUUCCUUCAGAGUUUGUGUACGUACUCUUGCACAUGAAAAAUGAGAGAAGCAAAUGUGUUGUAGAUGAAAAGGAAUUGAUGUUUGAAAGCAUUUAUGUGUGAAGAAAAAUGUUGCCAUCAAGCAUGAGAAGGUUGAAGGGAUGAAAGUCAUAUUCACAUGAAGAUGGAGUUGGAAUGGAGAUCUAUGUUGGCCUAUAAAUAAAUGUUGCUUGAAGUGAAUAAAGAGAGGGGAGAGAGAAUGGAGAUUGAGAGACAUAUUGUUGCUCUUGUUCUUCCCUUUUUUUAAUUAGCUAUAUUUCCUAUGAGGUUUGGUAUUGUUUUAAGCAUGUUUUCAAUUUUUACUAUGUCUUACUAAUUUUUUUAACUAAGGUUAAGGAAGAUACCACAUUAUGAAAUAAGUUUCUUUUAAUUAUCUAUUAAUUCUCAUAGUUAUGUUAUUCAUGCAUAUGACUCUUGCUUCAAAAUGCAUUAAUAAAAUCUUUGUUCCUUUCUCCUCUAAUAUCAUGCAUUUUUGGUAGUUUCGAAGUCACUUUUAUUGAUCCAUGCUUAGCUUUGUAAAAUAUUUAAUAUGAACUCUUUUGAUAUGUUGUCAUUCAAAUGCUUGUUUCACAUUUGAUGCUUUGCACACACUUCGAUCUUUUAUAGUUUCAACAAGUUUGUUUACAUGUGAUGUUUUGGUGUUCAUAAUUAAGAAGCGAAGAAGAGUCUAGUUUAGAUUUAUUUGGUGUGCUUAAUUGUUAAAUCUUGAGAAAACAGUAUAUUGAUUUCUAGAUUGCUACUCCUAAUUUGGGAAUUAGUAGAUAAUGUUUAGAGACUUAUCAAGUAAUGUGGUGGAAUCUGAUACCUUAGUUGCUUUGUGUUCAAGGUAAUCUUUAUCUCUUAGCAGUGUCUUAAUAUUCAGCUCUACAUCCCAAUCAACUUUCAUUCAACUAGGUUAGUGUUAAAUUAAUUUGGAUUUGAUUAAUUUUUCCUAUUUUCAUAUAUUCCUUGUGGGUUCGACCUCGCUCUUGCUUAUCUGUAUUGCAACUAAUUCGUGCGCUUGCGAGUAACAUUUCAAAAUACAUCACUGAUUUAAGCACAGUCAUUGUUGUUGGGUGUUUCUUUACAUGAACAUAACAGUUAUGUAUAUAAGCAUUACUUUCUAAUAAAACCACAUAUAUAGACAACAUAUUACAAAGUAGCCAUAUAACGUAAACCCACAUUUCUAAUUAACCACAACCAUAUAACAAAGCUGUUAAGCCAUUAAACUUAGAAAAAAGUCUGUUGCAUAAACAUCUUAGUACUUUCAUAAAUUUAAAAGCAAAAUAACUACCAACUUAGUUAUUGCAAUACUUGUUUUGGUAGAUGCAACGUAAAUGUAUUCAUUUGUUUUUUCUUUUCUUACGGUGUGUCAACUUGAAUAUUUCCAACUAUCAGGUUAUUCCUUAAGCCCAUUCUCAACUUGCUGCAAUGUAGGUUGUUCAAAGAAUUAAAUAUCGAUGAAGUAACACAUAAGCUGUAAACUAACAUGACAACUCACCCAUUCAUACAUAACUGUUGAAAAAGUCAUUGUGCUUGUACUGUCAUGCAUUACCCUUUGCGAGCGAUUACUGACAUUAAUGUCAGCCUUGGUCUGUACAGGACACAUAUACAAUAAAUUACUCAUCAUACAUAUUAUAUUAAUUACCAGUUAACUUGGAGAAAUUUAUCAUUACCUGAGUAUCUUUAUCAUCCAAGUGUUUAACGACAGCUUUCCAUUAAUCACUAUUCAUAGAAGACGAAGGGCAUUGAAAACGUUCAUCAGUCCCUUUGUUGGGCACCCAAUACAAUUUCUUCAAGUCUGACUUGUGGUGUUUCCAGCGAUCUAAAAGUCUCUCAAAGGCAUAUCUCUUGAUUUUAGAUUUUAUAGCGACAGUGUCAGCCUCAGACCAAUCAAUCGUCCUCCUACAAUUCCACAUAUUAAAAUUUGUUAUUAAUUAGAUGAACCAACCUAUCAAUAUAAUUUUAGAUCAUCAGUUUACAUACCUCAAUACGUGUGCAUGCCUUUCCAAGGUCGGCAUCCACAUCAAAAUGACGCCAAUCUGUGACGUCAAUUGGGAAAUAUCCACAGUUAACUGCCAAACUGGAAGUAGAUAUUGCAUAAUGAUAUGACAAUUAUGGCUCUUCAAGCCAAUAAACUUUCUUUCUCCAACUCGAACACAACUGCCAAUAUUGGAAGACCAGCCAUCUAGGGGUCGAAAAUCAGCCAUGACUUCACACAUCAUCGUUUUCUCAUCUUUUACCAGAUUAAACUAGCUAGAGGAUAUAUUACAUUGUCCCCAUCAGUUACAAGAUGAAGACCAUGCUUGACAUUGAGAAGAACCAUGUCGUUUCUAGCAUUUUUACUGUCUUUAUUUUUCCUUUGCAGUCAAAGUAAGGUACCAACAACACUAUCAGUGACAUUGUUCUCAAUGUGCAUGACAUCUAAAUUAUGGCGUAAUAAAAGAUGCUCCCAGUAAGGCAGUUAAAAAAAUAUACUAUUCUUCCUCCAAUUACCGAAGUCCUUCUCAUGCGGGGGUUGAUCAUUUUGCAUACGUUUUCGACACGCUUUUUAUUUUUUCUUUUUCCCGAAUUUAUUUUUCAAACCAUGUGUCGCUAUUAGACAUUCUGAACCCGUCUUAUAUUUUGGGUGAGAUCUUCGUUCAACAGUACCAUUAAAAUUAUUCUUCCAUCCGCAGUAGCGAUGAUCACCAUCCAACCAACGACGAUAUCCCAGAAAACAUAUCUUACAACCAUUCUUGAGCCUAAGAGACUAUAUCUUUAGCACACACCGAACAAGCUUUGAAACCUUUUGUGCUAUAACCAGAUAACAUGACAUAUGCAGGAAAAUCAUAAAUAGUCUAUAACACAACAGCUCGCAUUGUAAACAUUUCUUUCUUGAAUGCAUCAUAUGUCUCUACUCUUGAUUCCACAACAUCUUAAGCUCUUCAAUUAAUGGAUGUAAGUACACAUCAAUAUGAUUACCGGGUCCCUUUGGGUCUGGUAUAAGCAAUGAUAAGAACAAGUAUGGUUGUUUCAUGCAUAACCAAGGAGGUAGAUUGUAAAUAGGCAUCACAACAGGCCAUGUACUAUGUAUACGCGAUGACAAGAACAAGUAUGGUUGUUUCAUGCAUAACCGAGGUAGAUUGUAAAUAGGCAUCACAACAGGCCAUGUACUAUGUAUACUCCAACUCAUUCCAAAAGGACUAAAUCCAUCACUAGCCAAACCUAAGCGGACAUUAUGACACUCGUUACCAAAAUCUGGAAACUUUUCAUCCAACUGUGCCUAAGCUAGAGAAUCGGUAGGGUGUCGAAGUAUCUCAUCUUUUGUCCGAAGUUUAGAAUGCCAAGACAUAUCAUCUGCAGUGUGGCAAGACAUAUAUAAAUGCUGCAAUCUAGGAGCCAAUGGAAAAUAACGUAAAGUCUUAGCAGCUUUUGGUUUUCCAUCAACUUCAUUGCCAUUUUCAUUCUUAGUCCAUUGGCUAGUACCACAGUGCUCACAAACCUGAUCUUUUUCAUGGUCCUUCCCCCAAUACAACAUACAAUCAUUAGGACAUGCAUCAAUAUUUUCAUACGACAACCCAAUGUUCUUGAUCAAUUUUUUGGUCUUGUGAAAAAUCUUCGGAAGAGUCGUACUUAUAGGAAAUGUAUCCCUCAAUAGAUCUAGAGUUUCUUCAAAGGAUGUAUCACUAUUUGAGUGCGAACACUUAAUCUUAUAUAACCUCACUAAAAAUUCAAGCUUCUUUACUCGAGCUCCUUGAAAAAGAUCUGUGUUUGCAUCAUCAAGUAACUUGUAGAACUACUAGAGUCUUGACCUCCAAUUGUCUCUAAAGAAGAAGGCAUGAUCACAUGAUCAUGAAACCCAAAUGCAUCUUGCAACAUAUCGGUGAUGUCAUAGUUUGGCAUAACCUAUUGUGGGGAUGAGAGACUUGUUGCUUCUUCCUCUCUCAAGAGCAAUUGCUCACCAUAUGAUGUCCAUUGAAUGUUUACAUAUUCAUUCCACAUGCCUACACAACGUAUAUGGUCCUCCACAUCCUCCAAACUAUGUCUCCACCAAUUUUUACAAUCUUUACAAGGACAAUAGAUUUUACCAAGAACAUGGGAGAUUCUCUGUGCACGGUUGAUGAACACACGAAGUCCCGAAAUAUAUUUAUGACUUUCUCAAUCAAGAAAAACCCAAUUUUUGUCCAUGUCACUAAACUAAUCAACUGCUUCAAUAAAUAAUCACUGCAAAUCAAUGUUCCAAGCUUUCAAUAUGCAUACAAAUUUUCAUUACUCUGAUAAAAUCAGACCAUUAACAUUUUUCCAUUAUUUGCACUGUAGUAAAUUCUACUCAUAUAUGUCAUAAAUGAUCAAAUCUAUCAACCUACACCACAACCAACCAUUCAUGAUCAACAACAAACCUUCAUACACAAUCCAAAAUCUAUAUAUAUAUAUAUAUAAAAACUAAAAGAAUGAAUAUACCAUAUAUGAAAUACAUGAUGUGAUGAAAUCAAGAGAAGUAAACUGACAUACCUAAAUUUAGAUUAAGAACCACCACAGCUCCCAAUGGUGUAGCUAGGGGGGACAAGAGAAGUUAGCUGAUGCCCCUCUCAGAUAUUAGAUUAGAUCAUAGUGUUAUAUGAUUGGUUAGUUUUUUUUAUGGAUAUAUGAUGCUGACACUAAAUAUGACCUUUCUAAAAUCUAACCAAUAAGAGAAAGAGUUUGACAAAAAAUAUUAAUUACAGCAAUUAGUAGUGUUCAACUCUUAUCACGUGUUUGUCAAGAAAAAGACUCCUAUCACGUGUGGGUCUCUUUAUUUUUUACUAAAGAUUCCUAAUUCUAAUAAAUGAUUGAUUGUUUCUCCCUUUAAUAUAGCAAUUAAAACAAAUUUCUAGUUUAACUUCUUUUUUGUCUUUUAAAUUAAUAUGUUUUCCUAAUCAAUAAAUUAUUAUGAUUGAUUUCUUGUGUACCUCUAUAAACAGUUUUAAUCGUUUUAUUGCGUAUUCCUUUUUGUUGUCCUUCAGUAAUUUUUUUCAUGUCGUCGACAACCUUCAUAAUUAAAAACUUGCAACUCUAGAUGUUUUAGAAGAUUCUACUUGCAAUUAUUGUGAUUGAGAUUUGUUAUUUGUUUUUGAAAUAUUAUUGAUUUAUAAAUUUUUAUAUUAUUUUAUGUAGCAUUAUUGUUUAAACUUUUGACCCUUCUACUUGUGGUUUCUGGCUAUGCCACUGACAGCUCCAUUGCUAUAAGUUUUAGAGAGAAUACAUCAAUGACGAACUGUAAUCAAGUUCCUCUGAGAAAUUAGGUUUUAAUCAUUAUCUCACACGGACUUCUGUGAGAAAUCGAGAACAUUAUUCACACAUAUCUGUAUGCAACUCACCUUGGUAAGCCAAUUGAUGUCAUGUCAAAAUUAUUAGGUUUUUUUCUACGGAAGUUUGUGUCUAAUAUAUUUUUCACACAGAUAUCCGUGUCUAUACUUCACACAGUUGAAAGUGUAAUUCACAUUACACACGGAUAUCUGUGGCCAACAGCUUUACUUACGGAAGACUGUUUCAACCUUGUUCAUAUAUGUGAAAAUAAUAAUAAUUUUUAAUUAUACUUUGACAGUUACAAAUAUUUGUGUGCAUUACAAUACUUACAGAUAUCUGUGAAAAUAGUUAAUAUCAUGUUUCGCAUUGACACUGUUGUCCGUGUGAAUUAGUAUUUGACACAUUUUUGUUGCUGUUAUUGUUGUAUAAUGUAGUGUGGGCCCAUAAAUCAUUUUCCGCACGGUUUUCUAUAUAGCUAAUUUUUUGUCACAGAUAUCCAUGAGACUAAAAUAAUAUGUGAGAAUAGAAUCCAUGUGAGAUGGUUUUUUUUCUAGUAGUGAUAUAUCCAAAAAUAACCAAGGCCAAGGAGGAUCAUGUAGACCUCGAUCUAUAUCGCCCCCCCCCCCCUCCUUAUAUUCAACAGUUUCAUUAAUAAAUGUUUGAAGACAGUUGCACCAGCCUUGUAUUUAAUAAAAAUAAAUAAAAAUAAAAACUACCCUCAUUUUACUAACCAUUUUAAUGUAAUUUUCUUUUGAUUAAUGAAAUUGCACCUCAACGAACAAAAACACAAAAGAAGAUUAGUUUAGAUUACCAUACAUUGAACCUAGGGACUCGGAAUUCACUUGGAACAUACAAAGACAUACGGCGUUCUAGCUAGGUUUAACUCUUGGAUUCAACUAGCUGAGUUUUACAUUAAUAGUUAGAUCAGGGAGUGCCUCAUGCAGCACAAAAGGCAAAAACAAUAUCAUCAUAAUCGUGAAGAAGAUGAGACCCAGCAGGGGAGCAAGAGCAGAAAUCGCAUACCAAGUAGGAAGUGGUCGGAGAAACUCCCGCAAGAUAUCAUGCAAUCGAUUCUACAGCGAUUAUGCACAUCAGACUACCUUCGGUGUCGUGCAGUAUGUCAUUCUUGGCGAUCUGCAGCUCUUGACUUAGCAAUGUCGGCGCGCAAACUUGGUUGUCAUCUGGCUCCUCAACUACCAUGGCUUCUGUUCCCUACUCGUCGUAUAUUACCAAAGCUCAAUAUUACUGUCUAAGUGAGAAUCAGAAAAUUUACAAACCAAAUCCAACGUUUAAUAUGGAAAAGACGAUUCCUGUUGGAUCAAUCGAGGGGUGGUUGAUCAUGGCCGACGAUUCCACGUUAACUGUUGAUCAAGACCAUACCACUUAUACUAUUUGUCUAUUUCCAACUUCUUCUUGAAUCCAAUAUCAGGUGCCAGAGUCAUGCUUCCAUCAGAAACCACCAUUCCAGAUCACCGUCGUUCCUUGUUGAACAAAGUUGUAGCCUCUUCAGUAACGACAAGCCCGAAUUGCCUUGUCGCUUUUCAUUGUUACGGUUGUGGAAGGUUGGCUUUCUGUAAACCCACAGACAAAUCAUGGACCCUCAUUGAGGUCGAGGCCGAGGCCGAUCAGCUAGACGUCGAUUAUGUUCAUGAUGUAGAAUUAAUCGACAGGAAAAUAUAUGCCCUCACUAAGAACGCAUCAGAAUUUUUGUUUGUGUUUGCAUCGAGUUAGAUGGCAACGGCGGCCAGCAUACCUAGCUAUACUGUUGAAAGGUUGGUUAUCCUUCACCCUAAGCCUUUUCACUCCAUCCCUACUUCGCCUGCUGGACUCAGGACUUACAUAUAUUCAAAGAUUCUACAACCAAGGAGUUGUUUCUGUUGUGUAUGAGUUUUGUUAUCAAGACAGAUAUAAUGAUCAUUAUACGGAAGGAUUUCAGGUGUUCAAGUUAGAGCAUAGUAAUGGCCGUCGAUGGAUAAGAGUUGAUGACCUAGGUUAUCGAAUAUUAUUCUUGAGCCCGAUCAAGACAUUUAUUCAUGCCAUCUAAUAAGAGUCUUACUUAUUAUGGUCCUCAUGGUAAAGACAAAGUUGAAAGAAAUCGCAUCUAUUUUGUCUUUGAUCAUGGGCACGAUUUUGGUGUCUUCUCAACGAGUGAUCAAAGCAUGGAACGUUACACAAUUCCUUUUCUCAUGGAUCAUUAUUCAACCAAAUUGGCUGCACCUGUUUGGUUCACUCCGACUCCUUGGUAGCUUCAGUUCAACUGUUGUUGUAAUUUUAUUAUGGUACAUCUGUAACUUUAUUUCCUAAUCUUACUUACACAUCCAUGAAUUAGCUUCUAAUUCAUCUAAACAACCCAGACAGGGAAGGAUGCGUCUCCAAAAAAUUUGUAACCUGGUUAGUCCAAACCCUCGAUAGCAUGCACGGAUUACGGAUAUGCUUCUGUUUUCAGAAAUGGAAUGGAAACGAGCCGAAACUGUGAGCUAAAAAACAUGUUAGCUUAUGGCAGUAACUUUGGCUACAAGAAAAGAGAAGGAAGAAUGUGAACUGAUGGAGAUGUGGAUUUUUAAACAAAGAAAAGGAUAAUAGAAACUAAAGAGAGAGUGCUCUAUUGGCACGACUAGCUAGCUAGCUUCUCUUUUAAGCCAUUGACCACUGUUUUGUGCAGCCCAUAAAAAAAAAAUUAAAAAAAAGAAUGUUGAGAGAAAUUUGAGAUGAAUGAAAUUUGAGUCCUCAACUUAGGGAAUGCUAGGUCUGGAUUUGAUGAUCCGACAAGGUAAGUAGGUAACAGACAUGAUGAGUUGCCCCAUCCUCUAGGAUUAGUGAAAACUGAUACUAAAGUUUAAAUUCUGACUUGUUAAUAAUAUUAUCAGCAAAAGAACAACAACCAAUAUAUGAAAGCAACUAUCAUGUUGCUGCUACAAAUAGGGCUGCUCAUGUUCUAGGUUGUUAUCCAUUUCAUACAGCUUCAAUCCCCAUAUUGGUUCGAAAUGAAUUCCUUCUACAAGUUUCUAUGUUUGCUCUUGCUGAGCUUCUUCAACAGCCACCAUCUCUGUAGUGCUGAUCCUACAGAUGGGUUCACCCUUGUGCCAUUAACAGAUAAGAACUUUGACCUACAAAAACCAUAUAACGAACCCCUUGAUGAUCGGUACAGCUACAAAGAUGGAGUUCGAAGUUUCUGGAUAUACAACAACGACAAGCCCUUCAAGACAGACAGCACACAACUAGGCCACGCUCCGAACUACGCAUAAAGGUUUCUCUCUACCUUGUCUAGUUUCUCUAUGUUUAGUAUAUUUCUUGCUAUGCAAUGAAUCAUCCUCUGACCUCCAGCCAAUGGAUAAACAGAGAUGGAAUCAGACCGAUUCCCUAAUUGCCUAUCUGGAUAUUCCUCAAUGUCCUAGGUAUCCAUGAGAAGCAGAUGAAUAAGCAUUUGCUGCACUUUUCUCAUUCGGGUUUUAUGUUGCAGGGACAUGAUUAUUCGUCUGGAAUCUGGCAAUUUGAAGGCUAUGCAUAUGUUCCAAGUGGUACUUCUGGGGUUACAAUAGUGCAGAUUCAUGGGGCAACUGAAGGAGCUACAACUCUACAACUGAGGAUGUAUGAAGGAGACGGUGGAGAUCUCAGAUACUACAGAUACAACCUAGUUGAUACAGGUCUCUACGAUAAGUGGUUCAGAGUAAACAUAAUCCACAAUGUUGGCAAGGGGAAGAUCAUAGUUUUCAUUGACGGUGUUAAAAAGUUUGUGGUCAAAGAUCAGGGACCAGGAGACCUCUACUUCAAAUGUGGUGUGUAUGCUGCACCAUUUAAUUCCAGUAACUACAUGGAAUCAAGGUGGAAGGAGAUCAAACUUUAUGAAAAGUAAUCAGAAUACUACAAUAUUACCAUCUUUGUAGCUAAAUAUAAUGACAGUAUAGAGGCUAUGCCAUCUUUUAUAUAUGAAUGUACAAAAAUAUGGUUUCACUAGAACUCAUAAAACUCUAUCUCCCUCUCCUAGUUCUUUCAGUCAAGGAAAUCUACGAAAUUUACUAAUUUAGUAUCCAUAAAAAUUACUGAUAUUGGAAAAUUAAUGUUACAAGUAAAGAAUCAUUGCAAUCAGUAAAGAACUAAAGACUCAUCACAAGAAUAUGGUUUCAUUAGAACUCAAAAAACUCUAUCUCCCUCUCCUAGUUCUUUCAGAUAAGGAUGUCUGCGAAAUUAAGUAUCCAUAAAAAUUACUGAUAUUGGGAAACUAAUGAUACAAGUUAAGAAUAAUUGCAAUCAGUAAAGACCAUCAAUUAAAAAUUAAAAAUUAAAAAAAAGACCAAAGAAGCAAGAAUGUUCCGUGCCAUGUUAUUCACCCCUCGUAUGUUGGUUAAGAUGAUCACUAUCGGUGGAGUAACCAUUCAGGAUUUAGUUGCACUACACAAUCCAUAAUACCGUCUAGUCCCCAGUGCAACUAAAGAACUAAAACACAACUCAUCAAACCGUAUGCACAAACAAUAUGGUAUAAUUGCUGUAAGCAUUUGCAGAUGCAGAUUAUAACCAAUAUUUUUUUCUCAAAAUUUAACCGAACUAUCCGAAAUCGAUCCCAGCGGUGUUGUUACAAGCGAAAAUCAAAGGUACAUGUCAAAAGUACAGGAAUUUGACAAACCCAAAGGUUUGUUUCAACCCAAUAAUCAGCAAUAAGGAGACAGUGAGAAAGAAGGGACCAAAAAUUAAUUUAAUAUAAUUUGGCUAAGUUCCGCAUAGUUUCUCACUACAGAUCAGCUUUUCAAACCGAAAAUGAAGUACAAGAAACCUAAAACUCUCACACAAGCUGUCAGAAAUCUACGGUAGCUCUAAACAAUAUUAUUAAUCAAACCCACACUGGGAAGCCAAGAAUGGAACGAAUGAAAUGCAAGAUGAAUAUGAUACGACUAUAAAAAUAAUAUUGAAAAAAAAAUAUGAAUAUGAUAUGACUAAAAAUAAUAUUGAAAAAAAAAAAAAAACCUAUACACUAGUACAUGAUACAGCACAAAUCUUACGAACCACAUGGCAGGCAGCACCAUUUUUCAACUUGAAGAAAGAGCCACUGCAAGGGGUUUACAGGUUCAUCUUCUUCUGAAGAUGCAGUUGGUAAUGGUAGCUCAGGAGGUAAUUGCCGGUGAAAUGCAUCAACUGCAGCUGCAACACCGUCUUCAUUCUCUAUCAACUUUGCUAUUUCUAGUGCUCGAGAUUUAACCUAGGAUAACUCCAGCUUAGUUAGAAGUAGUACAUGUGUCGCUAUGUUUCUCAACCGUAUAACUUCUCAUACUAAAGGAAAGAUCCGGUAACAAUUGUGAAUUUGAUAGCAAUAAGGAUCCGAAAAGAACAAAAACUUAAAAGGUCAAUGCCAUAUGCUCAAUUACAAUGCCCCUGAUAAGUAGUUGCAUUCGUAAUUUCUGUUGUCACUUUAUGUUUUGGCCAGCCACAGUAAAUAUUUUCCUUUUCAAAUCAAUUUCAACAUAAUAUACGUACAAUUGGAAUCAUAUUUUCCUGCUUAUAGUUAUUUUUUGUGCAUUUGCAGCCUGUCUUUUGGUGCAUUAAGGUUUUAUCCAGAAAAGUGUAAAUAAAUAUUAUAAGACUAACAUGUUAGAUGAAAAAACAAUGCCAACAAGAAAGAGAAAUAUACUAUAAAUGCUAGUUGAGUGAAAGAUGCUAUGAGAAAACAUUAUUAUUGAGGGCGAUAGCCGCAUGAGAUCAAAUAUUAUACCUGAUGCAAGACAUAAUGUAUAUAAUUGGAACUUAUUCCUUAUGCUCAACUACGAUGCAAGACAUAAUAUAUAAAAGGUCAUUGCCAUAUGCUCAACUACGAUGCCCCUUUCAUAUUCUGAGACUUUCUAAUCCUUAUAUUUCUUGAUUUCUGGCACAGUGUAAAAAGAAACAUGCAUAUGGCCCAUACCCCUCAAAGUGCCAUUUCUCUAGCCAGUAAAUUUCUUCAUUUCUAUGUCAAUGACUGUUCAACUAAGUAUACCUUGCUUGCAUCUGCUUUGAAAGAAAUAUUUUCAUAUGAUAGCAGACGCUAUACUUAUAAAUAUGAAACUUAAACAAGUCACUCAUCUUGGUAUUACAAGAUUAAAGAUAUACAGGUAAUAAAGCAUCACCAAAUGUUCCAUCUGUGUUCUUGUUUUUGAUAGGUUAAUAUAUUUCUGGCUCAUAUAGACGAGCAUAUGUUUGAUUAUUUCAGCCAAAAAUAAAUAAAUAAAAAAAAAUAAAAAAUAAAAAACUAUCUUUGUUGUAAAACUAGAUUUUCCCUACCAAAUCUAUAAAACUAGAUUUUUUUUUUUUGUCAUCAAUUUUAAAAGUAACAUUAAGUAUAGCAUGGGAGAUGAAACUUAUUCAAGUCAAACCUAUGUCUAUAUGGCAAUGAACCCAUCAGAAAACGAUUUAUAAGAAAUAUUUUGCUGAUAAAAUACAGUAUGACAUUAGAAAUACCUCUGGCUCCAGCAUGAAUCUAAUAGCAUUUGAAAGACUCUCAACGUCGAGCUGGGAUAUAGGUAUUGGUGCAGGUCCCAGUCCUUUCGCAUGUAUCCUAUCACCCCAGAAGAACUGAUCUCCAAAGAAUGGUACUAUGGUUGUUGGACACUGUAUUUUGUAACAUUGCCAUUAGAUAGCAUCAAAUAAGAAAAGAUGAUUAACUGAUUGAUAACUGGAAAUGUCUAUAAAAGUUAAUCACAGUAUAGCUUAAUUAAAUUCAUUUUCCUUCACAUAAUAUAACGAUUUUCAAGUACUUGUCAAAACCUAGAUGACAAAAUACUUCCGUGUUUUAUUGGGGUUUACACCAUGAUUUGAAUCUAAAAACUACCCCUAUUGCACCCCAUUCUUGCCAUCUAAACCAUAGCUCAGGUGCUUGGUGCAAACGUGUGUCAGCAAAAUGUCAAAAUAAUCUUAUAAAACUAUUCUCCCAGAAAUCAAGGUUAUUAAAAAAGACAACUUUGACUGAAUGCAUUACCCCAGCUCUUAAUCCGGUAGCUGUAGUUCCAGCACCGCCAUGAUGAACCUGCAUAAUAGUGGAAGUAUGGCUUCAAGUUAGACCAUAAGUAUCAUUUCAUAGCAUACUUCUCUGUUAAUUUGAUUUUAAACCAAGUCUUUCUGAAGAAUGUUAGAAGUUGUCCAAUUGCUUUACAGGCUGCCCCUAAGAUUAAUUGGUUGAAAACAAAACACAAUAAUAAUUGAAUCAUAUGGUAGCCGAGCUAAUCUAUCUAACAGAAAAUGAAAACUCAUCAAAAGAAAUCCUGCAUGGCAAGAAGUUUCCUUAAGCUUGACAAGAUGUGCACAUACCACUGCUGAACAUUGAGGAAACAGCCAAUCAUGAGGGCAGUCCUCCAAUUGGAAAACAUUGUCGGAUGCUUCUGUUACUGUAAGAGGCAAAUCAAAUUAAAUAUAAAGUUAACAACCUAUGCUUUUUCAUCAUCUUAAGGCAAGCAACUUCUACUGAUUUCCAAUCAAUACUAUAUUACAUAAGGUGUAAGCAGAAAGCAUAAACAGAUAUUGAUUUUUAUAGUGAAUUAAAAGUCAAAACACAAAAUGUAAUGUGAGAGAAAGAGAGAGCAGUUAACAUCUGUGAAGACUGGAUACCAAACAGAUGUGUAUAAACCAAUAAUUUACUAGAAUAGUCUUAAAACAGUGAAACGUUUACAGGAAAACAAGGCCCUUGUCAUGUCAUAAUCUGUCAUUAUAAGAAUCUUUUCAGGUACUCGUAGUCAACCAUCAUAGCACUAUUUUUAAUUAAAAGAGAGUUGGUUAUUUUAACCUCUUAAGAUUUUCUAUAAAGAAAGUUCCUAUGUCAGGUCUUGUGACAACACAAUUCAAUACAUAACAAAGGGCUGCUUCCAAGAACCUACGAAAAUUAGAGUUUAAAUCUUCUACUUAAAAUUUACUGGUGACUUGUUUCAUUUCCCUACCAACAGGACUGCUAUACUAAAGAAAACUAGAGAGAGAGAGAGAGAGAGAGAGAGAGAGAGAGAGAGAGAGAUUACUCCAAGUUACAAAAUGAUUGUGCAAUUCAGCUUGUGUUUUAAGAUUAUCAGUAAUAUUCCAAGAAGUAUUCAACCAAUCAGGUGCUUUCUUAUGCAUAGAGACUAUCCUGGAUAAAUUUCUGUGAGAUCUGUAAAGUAAUAUAAAAACUAUCUUGGCCCCUUACGAAAUUAUGGUUUCCAUUUCACCUCAGAUUUUUAUAUUAUUUUAAUGAUGUACCCCUAGAUCCUGAUUGAAACAAAAAGUUUUCAGAAAAACCAUUUAUCAUUUGACAACUAUUGAAUUAUGCCUUGAUUCGGACACUCGUUAACCUUCAUUGCUACUUACCAAAAUGCUAAAGAAGGAAAAAAAAAAAAUAUUCAAACAGUUGGCAACUAGUCCAGUGAUAGAUCAUCAGAUGCAUAUAUUGACCCACCAGAGGUUAUAAUACUAUACUUUUGAAUCAGUCCAAGGAACUUUAACUAUGUAGAGAAAUUUUACAAAAUCUUCACAUACACCAAUAACAUGAAAGUUUAUUACAAAAAGAAAGAAACUUACAAUUCCCUAGGUCUCCCCAACCUCUAUCAAUUAUUCCUCUCUGUCCAGUGUCUUUCAACGCCUCCAAUAUAAUAUCAGUAGUUUUCUUGGGAUCCUCAAGGGGCUUGACAAGCAACAGGUAAAAUUUGGAAUCAUAAUCUAUUUGAAAUGCAUGAUGUAUGAUACCAACAUCUUUUAACACAUAAACGUUAAUCAGUCGAAAAAUUUCAGAAAGAAAGAUAUGUAUGAAAUUGGUGAAACAUGUGAAAAUCCAUCAGCCACAACAAAUAUCAAGUCAUUAUUUCCUCAGUUAUGACAAGAAUUUGGCAGACGGAAAUAUAUGAAUGAAAAAUAAAUGGUAUAACUCAACAUACCAUGCUUCCAAAUCCAAUAUAGAUAGGUUUUGGCCCUUUCUGAAUCCACUGAACAAACUCGUCUUGAGGUUGAUACUUGGACCCAUGGUUUAAGAAACAAUAACCGACAACAUCCACUAAAGAUCCCCAAUCUGCAAAUUUCAUAUCAUGUCAAAACCUUCCACCAUAAAUAUUGCAUGAACAUUGCAAAAAUAUGAUGGACGGAAAGUGAACAGUGUGAAGGUAUCAUAUGACAGCUAUUAUAUUCACAAUUUCAUAUAGAGAAGCAGUUUAUUAAAACAUCCAAUUCUAGAGUGCAUGUCUGGUUUAAAUAUCUUUUUCAGUUCCAAUACCAACUGCUCAAUUUCAUUUACCCCCUACUUGUUAUGAUCUUUAGAAGUAAAGUAUUACAAAUUUCCAGUUACAAAGAAAAAGAUGUUCGUGAUUAACUCAUAGUAUUUUUAACAGUUAAUUGAACAGGAAAAUAGUAUUAUAAGGUCACAUGUUUAACCAGGUACCGGGCUUGCAAAACAAAAAUCCAUUCUCACCAUCACACCAGCUUUAUAAGCACAUUUAUCGGUGGACAGGAAUUGGCAUUAAAGGAUCUCCAUAACAGAAUGAUCAAAGUAAAGUCAUUUCUUGAUACUCUUUAUAUCCAAUUGCACAAGACAACAAGGAAAUACAAAAUACAAAAUACAUUACUAACACUAGUUAAUGAUAUAUGAUAAAUACAAAAUUGUUUACCACUUGGUUUUGGUACAACAUGAGGACUCCACAUAUACCCUGUUGGCAAAUGAGAUAUUGAGCCAUGGUAUGUGCUGAAGUAUGCAAUAGGAGCAAGCUUCAACUUUUUUUUCCUGAAGUCAUUUAUAUAACUCCUAAUACCCCACCAUAUCAGUAAAUCCACAACGAUAUAUGAAAGCUGGAUAUGGCAAGGACAAAGGGGAAUGUAUUUUCCUUAAAUUAGUCAACUUGGUCAAACAUAUGAAAAUAUAUUAGUAGAAGCAGAACAACAAAACAAGAACAUACCCAAUAACCAGCACUCUGAGGCACCCGUGCCAGUGGGUGAGGGAAUUCAUAAGUAGGCCUGCCUAUAGAAGAGAUUGGUGAGAUAGCAUAACAACAGGAGUUUAACCCAAAAAUAAACCAGUAUUAAAGAACAGAACAUGUUUCCAUUUGACCGAGGAAGUCCUUUCCUACCUUUUCCCCUCUCAUGUCAAUCAUCAACUUAAACCAACAACAAUCUACGUCACCGGAAAAGUUCUUUCCUACCUUUUGCACUUCCAUUACAACAAAUAAACUUCUUACUUAUGUCUGACAUAUCUAAAAUAAGGACGUAACUGGGCCAUCACAUUCCCAUCUAUACUCAAAAUUAAAAUACUCAAACAGGUGUCUAACAUGAAACAGAUCAAAUGAUUGUGUACCAUUUUGCCAGACAGUUUGGCAUCUUAUGGUAAGAGAGUUUUGAAGUACAAUUCUCUUCUCAAGCUACUCUGCCAAUCUGAGCCACUGCUUAAAUAAACUCUAGUUUGAAUGAGUGGUCCAACUGAUGGAUUAAAUUACGUGACAACUUUUUGGUAGUUACAUGACACAUUUAAGUGAACCUUGUUAUUGUCAACAUAGUAUGACUGCUAUACUAACCAUCAUUCAAGUCAAAACUAUGCUCAUCACUGAGGAAAAAUUAGAAUUGAAGAUAUAUAAUUUAUGGUAAUCUCUUUUUGUACCACAGAAUGAAAGAAAAAUGUGGUCAACACUCACGUCCAUGGCAUUGUGAAGAAAAUGUGAAGGGGUACUCCAAGAGCUUCAGCAACAUGUGCAUGUCCUGCAACCCAUAUCAUAUAUUCAGACAAGUUUUUACCAUACUUUAUCUUUUCAUAUAAGAAGUAAAGAAGAGGAAAGCAUUAAAAUAAUUUCAUAGUUGCGUGUAUCUUUUUAUGUGACAAGGUGACAAGGUGAAGUAAAUCCCCAGUCCCCUUCUCUCUCUACUUGCACAACAUUUCUCUUCCAGCAAAAAUUUACAAAUACAGUAACUAACAUAUUCACCUAAGAUAAUUGCUUAAAGGAAAUAGCAACCAUUGCUGUAAAUCUGUUACUCCUUAAAAGGGCACAAGAAAUAAGGUUUUCGUUCUCCUAUUAAUCAUUUAUACUUCCUGAUUCUAUUACCAUAUAUACAUUAUGUGCCUGCAUCUAACCACUUCUGUUCUCACUACAACCACAGCUUCUCCACUACAAAUGAGAAAUCCAACUCUGAUUUCAAUCACAAUAGCACCCUAUAUCCAGUGCAUACAAUACGACGUAAGGUGUACAUGAUAAUUUAAUACUCUUGAUUAAUAUGAUAAAAGUCCAAUUUUUAUAUUUUUUAAAUGUAAGAAGCCUGAAAUGAAUUGUUACCAGGCACAUAAAGGAUUAAAAUUAAGAAACUACAUAGGUUCACUGAAGUCACAGCUAUCAAAUUUAUAAUAAUAAAAUAUCCUUUUAACCCUUGAGACUGUAAUUGUAUUGAAGUGACAUCAAACAUUCAACUUGUAAGAACUCACCGUAAGCAGGAGGAUUCGCAAUAAUUGCCUGUGCCUUAAAAGGUAAUCCAGUUUCUAUAUCUGGCUCUGUGCAAGCCGGCAGAAGAGAUUCAAUAAUUGCCUUUAGUUCCUUUCUUUGUAUAGAUAUUUCUCCUGGUCCAGAUGGAAUGAGACCUUUAUUUCUGGCCAUAUCUAAAAUUAAAACACACUUGAUUUCAGAUACGGAAUAAAGCCUCCAACAAAAGGGUAUGAGAAAAAAAAACAUGAACUAGUUAUAGAGCUUAAGAGAUGGUAAAACUAGAAUUUGGUGUAAGGCAAGUUAGAUAACUAUUAGUUAUUACUUAUUAGCUCAUGCAAGAAAUCAAUAGUCUAGUAUUCAAGUUGGCCUUCCACGCCUUAAGCAGUUUCACUUUUCCUAUUGAGAACUACGGGAAGGAGAGAGGGAGGUGUACAUGGUUGACACCAGUUUGUUAAGAGAGACAGAGAGACAGAGAGAGGGAAUGAAAAUGUUUUUGGACAGCCUGUGAAGUACCACAAAAAGGCUGACAGCAUGAGGCAAAAUAGACGGAGUGACAUAGAAAGUGAUCUACCAACCUAAUAUCACCACCAAAAGCAGUUAACUUGACAAGACAAAAGAAAUUUUAAUAGUAACUAUCCCUUACAUCCUGCCAAAACACGAGGAUCACCACCCAACGGAUAAAAUUCUACACCAGCUGACUUAACAAAAGUGCUGAAGUUAGCAUGAGUCGCCAACCUAACACGGUGACCAAAUUCCUGUAAGAAAACAUCAGACAAUCAAGAAUUAAAAACAUACAAAAAAACAAGGGAUGAUGCAGUAUGCUAUUUUAUUUCAUACAAGAAAUAUGAGUAAUCAGACAAUGACAUUUGAAACUUAAUAUGACUAUCUUUCUAGCAUUAAUGCAUCAUCUAUUAUAACAUGGACUAUUAAGUUGCUAACCUCCACCAUCAUGUUAGCUCAAAGAUUUAAAUGCAUGUGAUAUACAGAAGUGGUGAAACACUAAGUGACUCAAUUGAUCAACAAAACAAUAUCUAUACAGAUGUAAACAAUAUCUUCAAUUGCAUAGCUAUUAGUGCAUUAACUUUACUAACACGAAACAGACUCAAUAAUAAAAUACCUCUUGCUAAUGCACACAGGCAAUGUACUUUCAAAAUAUAUAAGAUACCAAUAUGUUCAUGGAUCAUAAAUGGAACAAUGUUUAAUGAAUUUACGAUUUUAGGAGAAAAACAAAUCCUCAUACAAAGAAAUACAUAUUAAAUAUUAAAGCAUGAGAAGAAAAUUAUUGCAAAAAUCAGCCCGUUAUGUUGUUUAACAUGCCUGAAAUCUCUUCGCCAUAGCUAGAAAAGGCUGUACAUCUCCUCUUGUUCCAACCACAAGCAUGGCAAUUUUCAAUCUUGGAAUUGAUUUUGUUAUACUGGAAGUCGUAUCAUCUAGACUGAUGGGCACAUCUUCAACAGAAUGAAGCUCUAACAAUUCAGAUGCAACAGGUGCACUUCUCUCUAAAUCAACUUCUACUGUUCCAUCAUUUUGUAUCUUGACCAUCUCAACAAUUAAUUUUUUCUGAAAACCAAAGAAAAAUAAUGAUAAGUAAAGAAAUGAAUUAAACAUGAUGAAAAAUGUACAGUAUAAUAGUGCCAUAUAGUUUUAAAAUACGGUUGUAAUGACUUGCGAGGGUGUGGAUGUUAACUAGAGGCCACAGUGAUCAGAGCUGCUAAAUAAUUCAACAGCAUAUAACUCCAGUUAUGUAAUUAUACUGAUUUCAUUAUCAGGUAUUGAAGAUUUAUAUGAUGGUGCAAGGCAGGGACCGUCUUACACUAUCAUGCUCAGAAAUUAAACAGCAUGUGGCAUCAAUCUAUUCACCACGAAGUUGCAGUUUCAUAAUGGAAACUAUCUUAGCAUGUUUUAACUUUUAAAUUACAUGUUGAGUUUGAAAUACCUGACAUUGGGAAGACUAAGGUCUACAUAGAAAGAUUAAAGACCCUAACAUUGUAUCUUAGCAAGCAAUCUACAUGUCAGACUCACUUGCAUAACAUGCUACAAGUCGCCCAUUAUAACUCGAGCACACAGUUGGUCGACUAACAUCAAGGGGGUGGCUGAGAUUGUAAAAUUAAUUACCAUAGAACUCUAAGCCUUACAUAAUAAUAUGAAGUUUUUGGACCUCUGCCCCCACUGCAAAUUGGUUUCAGGUGGAUGCUCUAACUUUAACUUAAAGCACCUCUUUCGUAACUUGAGAACUUAUGUUAAAUGAUAAGUUAGAAGUAGACAUAAGAAUCGGAACACUCAACAGCAUGCAUAUUAUGUUCAUAUCUACCUUGUCACGUUCAGACAGUCUAUCCAGCAUUAGAUCAUGCCUGCGACUUUCCCUCCUCUCCGUCAACGAUCUAGCGAAUUUAAUCUCAUGCUCAUCAAUUAACAAAUUCUUGGGAGUGCCAAUAGGUGCAGUGAUCCAGUGGUCCAAACCUUCAUGAAGAUAAGCUUAGACAUCAGUGGGUGUAUAUAACAUAAUUCCAAACAGAAGCAGCAAAAUAGCAGUAAAUGGUGAUUACUCAGAUAGAUAGGACAAAUAAACAUCCGGAUAAUACUCUGCAAUCCUAUAUAUGAAUUCUCAGCUCUCUCUCUCCAUUCAACAAAAUCUAGCUAACAUAGUUGGUCAUACAUGAUUGCAAGCUUCUUGGCCAAUUAAGAAGGAAGUUAUCCCAUUUGGUUAGUUAGAGGUAUAUAGCUUUCAGUAAACAGAAACACCCUCAUCAAUAUCUUCAUUGCAAGGGCUCAUUUCAGUCGACAAAUGUAUAAGAACCAAACAAGCAACACUAACCUGUCCGAGGUGAAGAACCAUCAUCAAACUCUUUUGACUGAAAAAUCUCCAGAACCGAAGAACGCCCUCCCGAAUUAAUCCUCUUAGUCUUUGCCUUCCGAAAAGAACCUGCAUAUAACCACUCAUUUCAGAACCAAUAAACCAUUGCUACUGACUAGUAAGCAUCAAUGGUGUAACUUAAACCCCUUACUCUGUCCUGGGCUGCUAACACUUUCAUCUUCGGAUAAUUUCAACGGAUGGUCUACGCCAUUACUUCCCAUUUCACCUUAUGCACAGCCCUCAACAACAGAAACCCACCAAAACCGCAACUCUGAAAACCUCAGUAACAAUCCCCAAUUCCCAAAUUCUUGAAUGCACAAGAAACAUGAGCUGAGUUCCCUGAAUCCCACUAAAAUUUGAAUCUGACAACUUGACAAACCACAAACAGCAAAAAAGUACCCACAACUCUCAAACCCUUCAAAAAGCAAUCCAAAUAUCCAAAACCCUCAAAAUUCAAGACCUACUAAAGCUGUAAAUAAUAGAAGAAUUGAAAUCAUCGAAACUGAGCUGGGUGCCUUAGGCAGAUCAUUAUUGCCAGCUCUACUUUGACCCAAAACAGCAGCAGCCACCAGUCAAAGCGUGGACCAGUUGGUGGCCUCAAAAGUUCAAACCACCUUUUGAGCCUCCAAAAGUAAUACUAAACUAGCAGAUACGGCUUUGGAAACUGAGAGCAAAGAAUCCACACUGCAUAGACCAAUCUGAAUUCUAUUUGGAAUAAAGACCAAUCUGAAUUCUAUGUACAGAUAGAAAGCACUCAACCCAGAUGGUGAAGAGACUUUGAGAAACUGCUAAAGGUUGGAAGAAUCAAAGAAAUAGAGUUGAGAGGUUGGUUGGUUAUAGAAGAAGCUCAACAAAAGGAAGCUUCAGUCUGUGUCGGAGUUGCAAUGAAACAUCGAGUUAGAAGAGUUUGGACUGGCUCCCUUGAUUGUUUGGUCAAAUUUUUUUUAGUCAAUACAGUUUUCCCCUUUUUUUAUCUUUUAUUUUGCCCGAAAUGAAUGUAUCCCAUGAAUAUAGAAUGACCUUGCACAUGUACGAGGCCAAUUUCAAGGAUACAAGUCAUAUAACCCUUGACGGUUCAAUCCCAUUCACCUGGUCACCUACUGACCAGGAGUCACCGUUGGAUUAAGCUAACUUAGAUUUGAUGGUUGAGAAUCAAACAUUCUUUUCACUGUGUUAAACACUUUAUUGAUAACAGACGUUAACACCCAAACGACUCCUCCUAUUUUCGAUUACCCAGACGUUGCCUUCUCUCAAUCGAUCUCAUCGUCUUCUCCACUCCUCUUCUCACUAAUUCAUAUAAUCCAUCAAAUUUGCUGCAAACCCAGUGAGGAUUCGGCGGAGACGGAGACCCAAAGCGGAAUGAGUCUACCCCUCUUAUCCUUUCUCUCAAGUUCACAAAUUUGAGGAAAAAUCCAAACUCGUUUCGCUGAAGAAUCGACGGAGCCCAAAGUUCGAUAUCUCCAUUCUUCUCCUCUCAAUUCCCAAAUUGGUCGACAGUAUCCAGUGCUCAUUGUUUUAAUUUUUAGCUCUAUGGAUUUUGGUUUGGGAUUGUUAUUAUGAGUGAUUAUUUUGUUGUGUUUCAGAAUUUCAGAGAGAUCUGCUUUGGAUUUUUCAAGAGACGCUUUCUGAGCAGCUUCCCAGUAUCGAAAUGGCACAGGUCUGGUAAGUGAUUAUGCUCCUACUUGCUCAAUUGUGACACUGUUUUAGCUUGCUGAGGUAAACUCUGUACAACAUCCUGUCAGAUUUAUGAAACAGAUAUUGCUAGUUGUAAGUUUUGUCAUGAAUUUAGAUCGACAGUUUGAUUAGAGAAGAAGUAUCACUUCUAUACAGAAACAAUAUCUCUUAAUACAAUGAUUCGUGUUGUGUAUGUGAUUUGAAUCUUGUAUAGUAGCAGAAGAACUGUGUUUUGGUAUGUGAACCAAUGUUUUUUUGAUAGCUAUAUUAUUUCUUAACCACAUGGAUGAGUUUUUUUUAUCUUGCAAGUGGCCAAUUCGGUAGUUUGUCACUGCCUGUGCUUUCCAUUUAUAUGUCUCUAUGGCAUACGUGAUCAUGCCGUGUGAUCAUGUAUGUGGUCAAUUUGAUCAGUGAAGUCUUGUACUUUCCAAAGGUGGUGCAUAAGCAUAACUGCACACACAUUAUAGUGUAUUAUAUACUUUGUUCUUAAAUGAAAUCGAUAGAGAAGUCUACAAUUUGAUUAUUCUCGCAGCAUUCAACGAUAUCGAUUGCUAGGCUGCUUGUACAAACUCAUACAUCUCAAAUUUGCAAUGAAAAUUCAAGAUUAUGGAGUCCGGUUUGCUGUCUUAAGAGGAGGCAAAUAAAGUGUGAGAAAAAGCAGAAGACCAGAACAGUUCUCCAAGUUAACUUGUAGGUUCUGGAAGGAAGACCACAACAGUCAGUACUCCAAGUAGAGGUGGAGCUUCUGUAAAGAAAACACCUUUGUUAUGAUGAUUUGUGAUAUCGGAGAGACCAAAGAAUUUGACGCAGCUUAAUCUGAUUUCUCAUUAACCAAUUGUAGUCGUUCACCUUUUGUAUGCAACUGUGUGUAUUAUGAUGUCAUGAUUUACUCAUUUAGUAUUACCCAAAGCUAUCGAUACAUCUUAUGUAGGGCUGCCACUCGGUCGGUUCGAAUCGGUAAUGGGCGUUAUCAACUUUAAAACCAAAGCUUUCGGUAAUGAAAUAUGACUUUCAAUUACCAAACCAAAAACUUCGGUAUGAGAUAAAUCUUACCAACUUCGGAUGUCGGUUUUUCCGUAUUAUCAAACUUCAUAACAAAUAUAUUUUCAAAUAUAACAAAACAAUACAAAACUAUAAAAUUUAAAUAUCACUUGAGUUUCUAGAGUCUGAUAAUACAUAUACAAAAGAUAGUCAUUUCAGUACACAUUAUCGAGUAUGGUUUAAUUUUCUACCGAAAUAGUCAGGAUGUUAAUGUUUCCAAAUUUUUAUAUGAACAAGUUAUGUGUCAUCUAUGUGAAAGUAUGUGUGUGGAAGAGUCGACCAAAAUAAGUCACAUAAGGGCAAUAAAAGCUUUUUCGUGUAAUAAGUGACGUUAAAUUAUGGUUGACCGCUUUGAUCAAGACCCGAGCAUUAUUGAGUACAAUUGAAUUUUCUAUCAUAAUUGUAUUAUACUAUAAUGAUUACAUCAGACGGUCGAAUUUUAAUUUUGUGAAUUGUAAACAUUGGAACCACAACAUGCCUGGUAAUGUGGUAUAACUUAUUUAGUAAGUUAUAUGCAUAUGUACAUCUUUGUGAACCAACUACAAAGAGGAAGCAAAAUUUUCAAAAACCUUGUGAACUAUGAUGUGAUCAAUAUAGUGAAAUAUGACUAUGGUAGAAAAAUUAGGUAUUUUUGAUAAUGUUUUGGCCUUCAUCAAAGCGGCUAACCCUAUUUACGCUUGUGCUUCCAAUGAGGCGUCCUAUCAUCAAGAGAGGUAAAAACAUUUCUAAAUUUUUACAUGGGCGGUAACAUGUCAUCUAAGUGGGUUUGUCUAUGUGUGUGUGUGAUGAAUCGACUAAGACAGGUAGGUAAGAGCGUUUUUAUAUAACAAGUAACAUUGAAUUAAAGUUGAUCGCUUUAAUUGAUACCCGAAUGCUAUCAAGUAUAGUUGAAUUUUUCUAUUCAUUGUCUUGUUUUUUACUAAAUGGUAUAUACAAUUGAAAACGUGAGAUAAGAUUAUUAGUCUGUGUGUUUUUAGAAAUAUAAGUCUUUAAAUAAUUAGAAUUUCGAUAAAUUCAGUAUUUACCAAAAACCAAACCAACUUUUUCGGUAUUUCUCGGUUUCGGUUUUUUUUAUUUCGAUUACCAAAAUUCGGUUUACCAAAUCAUAAAUUUUCGGUCGGUUUUCGAUCGGUUUGGUAUUUACCAAACCAAGUGGCAGCCCUAAUCUUAUGGUAAUGUUAUUUCAAGAAGUAUAAGGUUGUCCCCUUUCUAUUCUUGUUUUCAUUUUGAUAUGUACUGGUUAUAUAUUAACAGGUUGCAGGCAUGGCUUGCCAUGUUUAUACGUCAUAAACAAGCAACUUAUCCUUACAGUUAAGGAUCUCUUGUCUCUACACUAUACUUCUUCAAUGAAACUGUCAUCACCAAAGAAAAAAAGUAUUUGAAGAUCUGUGCUGGAACCAAUCUUAGAGGUUAUCAUUACCCAAAAAAAAAAAGCUGUAUUUCAAAAUGCAUUUUAGAAGCUAAAGAAGUUUCUGCAACUACAUACAAUCCAGUUCAGAAAGUAGAUUUCUCAUACAACUUUCCAUAUGCUAUAAAAUGUUCCUCACUUAACCAAGCUCCAAAGUGCACUGUGCACAACACACAUCAAGAAAUCCAAAUACGCUCUUCAAUGCCAAAAUCCUUUAAGCUAUCGACUAGAAAUGUCAAUAAAAUGCUAUACAAAAUGCUUCCUUCUGCUAUCUGCAUAAAAUUAAUCUAUGAAGCACUCGGACCCCAAAAAAAAAAACACACAGCAAAGUGCCAGCAACAAAAACUUUGAGAACCUCCCAAGCUCCCAAUCAUCUAAACUCUAAACAAGCCCUUCUUAUGUGACUUCAAUCGUCUUAGACGGGUCUGCUGCAAAUUUAGAGCUAAAGAGUUAGCACAUAAUUAAUGCCCAAAUCCUCCAAAAUUCUUACUUAUAAAUUAGUUAUAAGAACAGAGAGAAGAAAAAGGGAAAACAUGUACCUAUCGAUUUCCACAGAGGAUUUUGUUCUGAACAAGAAACACAAUUUUACGAAUUAGUGAGAAGAGGAGAGGAGAAGACGAUGAGAUCGAUUGAGAGAACGCAGCGUCUGGGUAAUUGCAAAAAGAAGAAGUCGUCUGGGUGUUAACGUCUGUUAUCAAUAAAGUGAUUAACACAGCGAAAAGAAUGUUUGAUUCUCAACCAUCAGAUCUAAAUUAGCUUGAUCCAACGGUCACUGACCAUAUGUUCCCUGGUCAGUAGGUGAACGGGACUGAUGUUGACGGUAUCAUUGGUGUGGCUUGGUGAAUGCUUGAGUGUAUAAUCGGUCCGAUACUGGGAUAUUAUUUUCGGACGUAUUUUAGAUGUUUAUUGUAAUUAUGGUUUAGGCAAUUAGGUUUAAUACUCAUUCUUUUUUAUAUUCAAGAGUUUCAUUAAUAAAGAAGAGUUUCAUUAAUAAAGAUUUAAGAGUAUAUCCGAUUAGUCCUCUCUUUAUUUUUUUGAAAGAAGGUGCUACUGAAUUUAUUGCAAAUAGAAAGAUACGCUCAAAAGAACGUGAUUACAAGAUAUAGCUUGGUGAGAAGCUUUCCUAGACACAUCCAAAAAAUCAGUAUGGUGUGUCAUCAAAGUUUUAGAUUGUACUAGACUAAGGCUAGAGCGGUCAUUACAUACCCUUCCGCUGUCAUUUACAGAUAGAACAAAAAGUUGUUGUACAUAGAAGUACGUUCGCUAUUUAAUCGUAUCAUGCCCCGCUAUCAAUGAAGAACUUGAAUCACCUUUCGGUAGUACUUCACGCAAUCCAAAAAUAAUUCUAGUAUCAAGGUAAACGUACUUUGUGGGAGCAACACCUCCAGGAUCUCAUACACAAAACCCUAGUAGACCAGAGAUUCUCAAUUUGGUCCAUAAAAGGGUCCAAAACCAAAUCAGAGCUUUAAGAUGAGCCUAUUUCCAAGUCUUUUCCAAAUCAGGUCCCAGAUUUUUAUUGGGCCCCAAAUUAGGUUUACCUUUGAGCGCCCAACUUGGGCACCUAGGCCUCAAAUCGAGUCUGGGCUUCGAAAUUGUUGUGGACACCCAAUCCAAAUAGGGUCGUCGUCUAGGCCUAUCGCUGGCAUCUCUCCUUGUCCCAAACGGAGUCCUUGCCACCAUUUGCCUUCCAACAUUGAGGUAAAGGGUUGUAAAGUACCAAAACUCCUUGAUCGCCUGAUGUGUUUUCAGGUUCAUUCCGAAUUCAUCGACUCUGAACAAAUCCGACAUCAAACCUUGCCGCUUCAAGAAUGAUUCCAGAUGCAACUUCGGCCAUGGGUACGUGAACAUGUUUAAGCCUCGCUUUACUAGGUCGGAUCUGACCCGAUCCAUCAUUGCUUACAAGUAACUGACAAACAGCCUCGCUGCUCCACAACCUAAGGCCAGAUUUGCGUCAAAAGCUUUCAAGAGAAUUCUUUGUUGCAAGGAUGAGUUAUGCAGAUUGCGAUUGGGUUGACAAGAGAUCCCAAAAUGUGGACAGGAAGGAUAGUCGGGAGGCCGGAGAUGGUCUCCUUGAUAGAGGGAAGGCCGAGGAAGGCCACCAUGGUAGAGAGGAGGCUAGAGAUGGUUUCCUUGACAGCUUCCCUUCGCCAAGAAGGCUAGGGUUUAGAGAGGAGGCAUGCAUGCUGAGAUCUCUAAGCGAUGUGUUCAAUCAGUCCUUUAUUUAGAAAGAAAAAAUUCAUUGUAAUAUUCAAAUUUAGAAAAUUAAAUUUUUUCAAGCAAAAGUAAUAUUCAAAUUUCUUUUUUUGAGUAAAAUAUGAACAAUUUCAUUGAUUUGUCAUUGGUCAGAAGGGGCUUAUAUCAAAUAUUGUUUUGCCACCAAGUGAACCUAAAGUACGUAACAUGCUAUGUACAAAUCGAAUUAUUUAAUUUAUUCUUUUUGAAGAUAAGUGUAAUAACUCUAAGGGUCAAGGCUCUACUGAUAUCUCAAUUGAGGCAACCGGAUAGCUCAGGGUCUCAAGUUCUAUAAAAAAAAAUGUAACAUGCUAAAUACAAAUGACAAGUAGCCCUUAUUACAAGUGCGAACAAAUCGAACCUACUACAAAUGAAGGCUUAAACCAACACACAAUGAAAAAGACUCAAAGAUCGUAACUCUGCAAUCCUUAAUUAGAAAAAAAAAUAUAAUAAGUCUCUCGCACCCCAAAAAGCCCACAACAAGGUCCAAUCCAAAGGAAGAGAGGGAGAUAUAGGUGUUUAGUAGAGUAUGAAAACUAGAAACAAAGAGAUACUACAGAAGCAUAUUGCAAGAGCCAAAACGCCCAAUUACGGUACUCAAGCUAUCAUAACCAUCUAGAUGUACCUAACUAUUAUAGUCUGGCAUCUCAAAUACAAAGACACGACUUAAGCCAUUUUAUGUUUAAAAUCAGGCCCAACAGCAUAAUUCCAACUCAGACCUUGUUUAGGCUUGAGUUCAGAUCCAAACCCGAACCCAUUUCCAAACCUAUCCACUUUUGUUACCCUCUUAUGCCAACAACGCCAAUGCCAACUUCAAACCUUGUUCGGUGAGAGCACGACGUGCUCCUGUUUUGUUAGAAACCGGGUUGUAAGUCGUCUAACCUUAAAAAAAAAAAAAAAAAAAAACCAUAGGCCAUAAAGCUACUAAUCCAACCUUAGUCAGAAUCCUUGCCUCCACUAGCGCUACCCAAUCUUUUGUCAAAAAUGAUAGAUACCAAGUUUUCACAUCCUCAAUUGUCGUAGCCAUGACUUGAGAAAUGGAAACCCACGACUCUCAGAGCCACUUCUUGGUCGGAAGAGAAGGGAGCCCUUCGCCAUUGGUACGGAACCUUGGUUUCGCGUUUGAAAAACUAGCAUCCUAGAACUCUGCGAAACUCGGUCCAUCCUUAUUCCAUGGAUGUACCUUAAAUGAGUCUUGGUCCGAAUAUACCCUGCUGUAAUAGAGAUGACUAAGUUUAAAGUGAUUUAAAAGUUAGUUAAGAGAAAAAAAAAACCAGUUGUUUAGCUCAUAGGUCAACUUUUCUCUCUCUUAGUGGGAGUUCCUUGUUCUUCUGAAUAUCUUGCACUGUAGCUAGUGCCUUCCUUAAACUAUCUUUCAGCACAUUGUCCUUUUGUUCUUCAUUUUUCUCACCUGGAACUAUCAGUUUUUUCGAUUAAGACCUAAAACUAUCAGUUCUUCUUUAAUCUUAUCUUUUUUCCUUUGUCCUUUUCUAUGUGGUAAUGAUUACUGGGCUUACUUGUCUGCUCUCUAGCACCUCAUGUAACACAUGUUCUUCAUGCAACUCAUCUAUACUUCAUGUAUCCAUUUUGUUUAACACCUGUUCUUCCAUCUAAUCCAAUCUGUUAAACCUACCCUAUUCAUCCUAGGCUCCCUACUAGCCCGCGUGUCACUCACUCUAAUAGUGCAUGGUUUGCAUGGCUUCUCUUCAUACUCUAUAAAUCUUUCCCUCCGUUUUCCUUUCAAUUCAUCUCAGUCAUGGCACAAUCACCUACAAAACAUACUUCCCCUCCCCAUCACCAUCACCCUUCCCCUCAAAAAUCUCACCCAUCUCCCUAUAAAUCUCCUCAUAUGUCCUCUCCUAUGUCCCUUCCAUCUGAUGAGGAAGAAAUCAAAGGAGAACUUUAUCUCCACCUUCCUCCCCCAGAAUCGGAACCUCUUAUUGAUCAAAGAGUCCAGCUUGUUGGAGCAAUUCUUUCUGAUCGCUCCCUUCAUGUUCCGUCUGUGAUCCGGAUUCUCACCAACGCCUGGCUUUAAUUUGGUCGAUUUCAAAUGGAACUUCUCAGUGGGUCAUCUGUGUUUUCUAUCACAGCCCCUUCAGCAGCUGCGACUCUCAACCUUCUUGAGAAAGGACCUUGGUUUUUCAUGGGCAACAGUUUCACUGUCCAUCCAUGGCCCCUCAAUAGCCGCCUUGCAGAUCUUCCUCUCCACUUGAUAACCUUUUGGGUACAAGUGCAUGGUCUUCAACGAGGUCAUACGACUAGAAAAAAUGCUCGCUGGAUUGGAGAUCAAAUAGGUCAAGUUGUGGAUAUUGAUGCGGAUGGUGUUCCUACAGGUAACAAAGGUUUUCUUCGUAUUCGUAUUCAGAUGAAUUCCAGAUCACCUCUUUCUCCAGGUUUUUGGUUUCCACACACGGAACGCGAAACUACCUGGGCUGAUUUCAGAUAUGAGAAGCUUUCUGAUUUUUGCUUCCGUUGUGGCCGACUAGGGCAUAUUGUCAACACUUGUACCUAUGCUUUUCACCCCUCUGCUGAUAAGCUCGGCCCCUGGAUGGCUGUACAGGCGUUUCGGCGUGUAUUAGCACCUGGACCAAACAACUGGGAUCGUUUCCACAAUCAAGAGUUUGCGGGACGACAUGAAACUGCUGGCCGUCGUGACCGCUUUGGAGAUCGCAUUCCUUCCUCGGUAGCCCGUUCUCAUGCUCGUACCUGGAACCCGGUAUCUCAAACUGGUGCCCUAGUUUUGGCCCAUUCACAACAAGGCAGAUGGCAAGAUAUUGAAGUUCCUCAAUGUCCUAUCCAUGGCCCACCUGCCACGUCCAUCACCACAUCAACUAAAGCAGGUCCUUCAGAUAAGGGCAAAGCUGAUAAGGGCAAAGCUAUUAUGGAGGAUUGGCUUGAACCUCUCACACCUCAAUCGCCAGCUCAUCCUAUGUCUCCUGACGUGGAAGAUAUUCAACUAGCAAUUUCUCUCUCUCUCUCCUAGAUGCAGGGGUUCCAGCUGGAGAGUUGGAUCUAAACCUAGUAGCACAACAAAAUGACCCACUUUAUCUGGGCCCUUCCAUUGAUCCGGAGCUGUUACACACCCUUUUGGUCCAUCAAGAAAUGCUUUUGGACCCAAACUCUCUUUACCCAUAUCCACCUUCUACGAUAUCUGCACCCAACUUAUCACCAUCCAUCCCCAAUAUCCCAAACACUACUCCCACGCCCUCUCUCCCAACCACCACCAACCUUUUACUCUAUGAAGUAUUUGAUGAACCAGCCCUCUCUAUUCCUCCCCUUGGAUCAAUGGCAACUCUGGCUACCCAAUUCCAACACUUGCGGGUUCGCAAACGCCUUGAAGAAGCUCUAGCGGAGACUGACCGCCAACUGAAAAAGUACAAGAUAAUGGAUCUGGAGCCUGAGCCAAAUCCUUCAAAACCUCUCAAGAAGACAGUAGCCAAAUCUCUAAGGGGUAAGGGUCAGAAACCUCUCUCUGGUUGGGGCUCUGGUCGACGAGGUCGACCACGAAAAAUUAUGACUGAUCUGGCUUCUUUGGUUUCUAAUACUGGAGUCCAGGUGUGUGAUCCCAUCACUACAUCUUUCACUGCUGUGUCUAAAACUUCUGAUAUACAUGGAUUGGUGUCUAAUCCUUCUGAGGCAGCUUCGAUUCUAUCUACCAAUUCUGUGAAUUUUGGUUCGACACAUUCGGCAAUUCUGAUUACUGGGUCUCCAUUGUCUCCAAGUUCUUCUGAUAAAGGCAUAGGUAGCUGGCCUAGUGCAGCUACGAGUACCGAAUGAGGAUAAUCUCAUGGAACUGUCAAGGCCUAGGGUCAUCCUUAACAGCGAAGGCUCUACGAAGAUUAUGGAGAAAAUAUGACCCGGAAAUCAUCUUCCUCAUGGAGACUCAUCAACCGGAAAAGGUGGUUUCUUCUUGGCAAUCUCAACUUAUGUUUGAUAGCCAUGUAGUAGUCAAUCCUGUAAAUACUAGUUCGGGGGGUUUAGCCAUUUUGUGGAAGUCCUCAGUCAGGGUGUCAGUUUUGCAUAAAACCCUUAACGUAAUUGACACUUUGGUGUAUUUUGUAAAUCAGGAUUUCCAGUGUAAAAUAUCAUGGGUGUAUGGCAACCCAAAUGAAAAUAAGAAGUUAUUUUGGUGUUACAUGUGUCGUUAUUGCUCAGUUCUUUCUAUUCCAUGGAUUUGCUUGGGUGAUUUUAAUGACAUUCUCUGGCCAGAUGAAAAAUGGGGAGGCUACCCUCCUUCAAAAUGGCCUAUGGCACUAUUCCACAAUUUUCUUAAUCAUAUGGGAUGACAUGAUUUGCACUUCCAAGGCCCCUGUUUUACUUGGUUUCGUUUCCAGAACUCACAGUUAAUCAUGAAAGAGCGUUUGGAUCGGUGUUUGGGCAACAAUGAAUUGACAGUAGCUUUGCCUCAUGCUCAGGUUUUUAACCUACCUAUUGUUGGAUCGGAUCAUCGGCCUUUACUUUUUGAUUCUCACCCAACGGAAACUCAUUCUCCUAAGAUAUUUCGUUUUGAGCACAUCUGGACUUCAGCAGCAUCUUGUGAACAAAUCAUUACAUCAGCAUGGGUUUCGGCUUCAUCAACCUUAGCUAUGCCUAUCUGGAUUGCUAAUCUUAAGGCGUGCCAGAAGUCGCUCUCUAGUUGGUCUCUCCAUCAUUUUCCUAAUUCUCAUAAGCAGGUUGACAUUUUGCUCUCUCAACUCAAUCAUCUACAUAGCAAUCCUAUUCCUGAUGCUGGUACUCAAAUUUGUAGCAUUACAAAAUGUAUUGAGGAGUUAUGGGUUUUGGAAGAACAGUUUUGGCAUCAGAGAUCACGAGUUUCAUGGCUCAAACUUGGUGAUCAAAAUACCAAUUUUUUUCAUCAGUCUGCAACGAAAAAUAGACAACGGAAUAGGAUUCUGCGUCUUCGCAAUUCUCAUGGUCAAUGGAUGGACUCUGAUGCGUCUAUAGCUGCAACUUUUCUCUCUUACUAUCAACAAUUAUACACUUCAGUUGGGCCCCGUGAUUUGGAUGACAUUCUUUUGUUGAUUGAUCCUGUAGUAACCACCUAUAUGAAUGAUUGUCUGUCAACUCCAGUCACUUUGGUGGAGGUUAAACAAGCUAUUUUAGGUUUAGGAUCACUAAAAGCUCCUGGACCAGAUGGGUUUCCUGGUCUAUUCCAUCAAACCUACUGACACAUUGUAAACAAGGUGAUCCAUGAAGCUACAGUUUCUUUCUUUCAAACUGGGCAACUAUUACAAGAGAUUAACAAGACCCAUCUUGUUUUGCUUCCUAAAGUAGCCCAUCCUGAGCAUGCUUUUCAGUUUCGGCCAAUUGGAUUAUGCAACUUCUCUUAUAAGAUAUUGUCUAAGAUCAUGGCUAAUCGUCUAAAGCCUUUCAUGCCAGAUUUGAUUUCAGAAAACCAGGCAGCCUUUGUGGUAGGUAGACAAAUCCAAGAUAAUGUCGUGAUAGCACAUGGGAUGUUCCAUCAUUUGAAAUUACUUAAGCAGUCUAGUAUGGGGGCUUUUGGUUUGAAACUAGACAUUUCGAAAGCCUAUGACUCUGUUGAAUGGGAUUUUCUCCAAGCUGUGCUCUUUGCAUUAGAAUUUCAACCCCAUUGGAUCAUGCUUAUAAUUAAUUGUGUUCGAUCAGUUACUCUUUCGAUCUUAGUAAAUGGAAAACCAUCUCCUUAUUUCACUCCUACGCGAGGAAUACGACAAGGUGACCCUUUGUCACCUUAUCUCUUUCUCUUUGUUAGCGAUGUCCUAUCAACACUGGUACGUAAAGCUUGUAUGCUACAUUGGCUUUCUCCUCUUCAAAUCACACCUUCAGCCCCAAAGAUCAGCCACCUUUUAUUUGCAGAUGACUCUUUAUUUUUCUUUGAAGCAUCACUGUCCAAUGCUACAUAUCUCAUGUUUUUACUUCGGUCAUAUGGAAUUAAUUCGGGGCAGCAAAUCAAUUACUCCAAGCCUACAUUGUUCUCCAGCCCCAACACUGAUUCAGCACUGGUUCAAACCCUUUCAACCUUAUUUGGGAUCUCAUCUGUUACAAAUCCGGGAAAGUAUCUUGGUUUACCUACAGUAUGGGGUCGUUCUAAAGUCUUGGCUCUGGUUUAUGUUCGAGAAUCUAUCAAUCGUAAGCUUACUGGUUGGAAUUCUGGCUCUUUAACUCAAGCUGGCAAGGAGAUCCUAAUCAAGUCAAUUGCUAUGGCAGUUCCAGCAUACCCAAUGAUGUGUUCCCGAUUCCCAAAAACUAUUUGCAGAAAGAUUAACUCUCUUAUUGCUCAGUUCUGGUUGGGAAACAAAGGAGAAUCUGGAAUUCAUUGGUUGAGAUGGUCUGCUUUGGGAUGUCCAAAAUCUCAAGGAGGCAUGGGAUUUCGAUCUCUAGAAGACUUUAACCAAGCCCUUCUCGCUAAACAAGGAUGGAGAUUACUUACAAACCCUACGGCUCUUUGGGUUUGAGUUCUUAAAGCUCGGUAUUUUUCUACCACUAAUUUUUUUGAUGCUCGAAAAGGUUCAUCCCCAUCUUGGUUGUGGUCUAGUCUUUUGCAUGGCAGGGAGCUUCUUCAUCGUCAUGUUGCUUGGCAAAUUGGUAAUGGGACUGAUAUUCCAGUGUGGAACACUAAUUGGAUUCCCCACCUACCUGGGAUGCGCUUAACUCCUCAUUCUUCAGUAGAUCUCAAGAUGACUGUGGACUCAUUGAUCAAUUGGAAUACACAUUCGUGGGAUAUUUCUGCUAUUGGAGGCUCUAUUACUCCUUCUCAAUGUCAGGCAAUCCAAGCUAUCCCACUAAUUUCACCUCACAAAAUAAACAAGAUGAUAUGGCCUUUGACAAAGACAGGUGAAUACACAGUUCGAACUGGAUAUCAUGUUGUCCAUGCUCUUACAACUACACCUCUUCUAGUGCACCCACACUCUUCUGUUUCUAUAAAUCCCUUGCUUUGGAAAAUGGUUUGGUCCUUAAAAACCCUUCCCAAAAUCAAAAAUUUUCUCUGGAGGGCUUCUUCCAAUUUUAUCGCUACUACAGCAAAUUUAUGUCAUCGUAAAUUGGCUCAGGAUCCCUUAUGCCCUUUAUGUCAUCAAUACCCUGAAACAAUUGAACAUGCUUUACUAGCAUGUCCUUGGUCUCUUAGGACUUGGUUUCUUCAUCCUCUUGGAUAUCGUCCUCCUCUCCAGCAGCUUACAACUUUUGGGGAUUGGUUCUCUCAGCUGCAAUUCCCUUCUUCUAACCUUUUAUCCUGUAGUAUUGUAUUUACUCAUAUCUCUUUUCUUCUUUGGAACAUUUGGAAACACAGAUGUCAUUGCAUCUUUAAUGAUGUUGUUCCUAAUCCGGUCCUUAUAGCCUCACAAUCCUUUCUAGCUUCUUCUGAAUUUUUGAACCAGCAGACUGCUUUUUCCUCUCUUCUUUUUUACGCCCUCCACCAAAACCAAAAUGGUCUCCCCCUUUGCCUUCCCAAAUCAAAAUAAAUACCGAUGCUUCUUGGACUAUGGAAUGCACUGGUAUAGCAGUGAUAGCCAGAGACCAUUCUGGUUUUCUGAUUGUAGGGAAGGUUCUAUGUACUCAAGCUCCCACUUCUCUGGAGGCAGAGGCUUUGGCUCUUCGUGUGGGAGUUCUUUUGGCAAGAACAAUGACAGCUUCACAUUUUAUCUUAGAAACGGAUUCUCUCCAACUGGUUAACAUGCUUUCUCAUUCAAAUCCCUCUACAAACUGGGCCGUGCAGCCCCUUGUAGAGCACAUUCAGGCUUUAACCAUUGAUAUGGGUUCUCAUAGCUGGGAGUGGACCAGCAGACUUGCUAACCAGGCAGCUGACCAUAUGGCCUCGUUAGUUCGACAAAGGAAGUGUCCAACUGAUUGGUUUUAGUUUCCACCUUCCUCUUUUCUCGGAUCCUUUUGUUAGAUACAGGAGAUGUCACAUCCCGACCCUUAUAUUUUUACCUUAUUUACUAGCGUGAUUAUAAUAAGAAUUUUACCGUCUCGAUCAUUGAGUUAAUAGUUUAAUUGGUCCCUAGAGGAGUUUCGGGGACGAUUAUGUGCGGAGGAUGAUUCGUACGAGGAAAAUAUGACGACGGUAAAAAUAGUAAAUUUUAGCUAGUAAAAGGUAAUUUUUAUUCGGGUAUUAUAUUUUUUCGGGAUGUUUUAUUUUGGAGUGGGUUGAUAUAUGAGUAUUGGACCGGUUUGGAGAGGCCCAAACCCAUCUCCCUCUUUUUCUCUUCUCCCUCUCUCCCGUUUUCUCCUUCCCCCCGAGUCUUCUCCCCUGUCGGAUCGCCCAGCCCAUGUCUGUCGUCGUCCGACCAGCCACCGGCCGCCGCUCCACCUCAGUUCGGACCUCCAUCUCCUCCUCUCCCUCCCCGGCCUAGACCCCGAGUCUCUAACCUACCGGAAGAGGAGAAAUCCCGCCGGAGACGCUGAGAAGCAUUUCGCCUGAACUCCCUCCUCCGGCCACCAAUCCGGGCAAGGUUGGUAUGGUUUUGUAGCCCUCCAACCCAGCAGCCUUGCCCUAAAAGGACUCACUCUCUCUUGAGCUAGGUAAGAAGAAAUGUGGAGUUGAAAUUUCUAGGGCUUUUAGGUGUUUGUGUUCGAUUGCCCUAGUUAGGCUAGGAAUUGAUGUUUGUGCUAGUUAGGAAAGUUGUAGAGCAUGAUGAGAGGAUUAUUCUGUCAAAAUUUCUUAGGUUUUGGAGGUCGCCGGAAUUGGCCUCCGGCCGCCGCUGGCGCCGCCGCUGGUUGGGAGAUUUUAAUGUUGUUAAAUUUGGAAUAUUAAGGGGAGUUUAUUGAAGUGAUUUAUGGAAUUUUUGGAUGAGAUUUGGAUAGGUUUGUGAAUUUCCGAAGUUUGGUAUUUUUGGCGGUUAAUUAAUGUAGAAUCCGGCCGUAGGAUUUAAGUCGUAUUUUGGGGAGGUUGUAUUUACGACUGUUGAGUAUGAUAUUUAAGUUCGGAUCGUUCCGAUUUAAGAAUAUCGAAGUUAGGCAAUGAUGAGCGUAUUUAUGGCUCUCGGGUAAUUUUGCCUAUUUUGAUUAAAUAUUGGAUUAUUGGUUGGGAAAUUAAUAUUAUAUUUGGAACAGGACGUGAGGAGGCUCGAGCAGACGAGGCCCCAGAUCGACAUCAGGCUUAGGCCUAAUUUGUGAGUGGACGUUUAUUUUAAAUAAAUGCAUGCUAUAGUCUAUGGUUGAACAAUUAAUGUUGCGGAAUAUUUUAACGUCAUUUUAAUUUGACGAUUUUUAUUUCUCUUGGAGAGUUACCGAAAAUGGGAUUUUCGGUGGAUAUAAAUAUGUAUUUAUGAGAGAGUAUGUAUAUAAAUGCUAGCUAGCCAUAUGUGUCUGUCCACCUUAAUGGCGUAGCAUAUAGCCGCAUUAUGGUGUGACGUGAGCGUUGGACGUGAGCGUAGUAGCCCUAUUUGAGUGUUUAAUUCAUAUAGGGGGUAUGCACACAUAUUUAUACACCCCUCUGUCCACCUUGAUGGCGUAUUGUAGCACCGUAUUAAGACGUGACGUGAGCGUUGGACGCGAGCGUAGUAGCCCUAUAUAGACCCAUGAAUUUAUAUAGGGAGUAUGGACGAGUGUAAAUACAUACAUAUAUUAUAGAGUCUGAGAGGCUCGAUAUUUUAUGAGAUAAAAGUUUUAUCGCUUGCGGCAUGCAUUCGAUUUUUCCUUAGAAAUUAAUUUGGGGAAACAUAAAUAUUUUAUUUAUUAUUUUAUUUUUGUCCACUAACUCUAACGUUAUUAAAUGUUUUUCCCCUGGGCCCUUCGUUUUAAAUUGCCCAGUCUGCAGAGUUCGGGUUGGAUCUAGUAGGAGGCGAGGCAUAGUCACCCGCAUUUCUGCCAGUUUUCGUCAGUAGGUUACAUGUUCAACCUACUCGUGUUUUCUUGCUUCCGCUAGUGUUUAGUAGCUCUGAAUACUUUGGGAUUAUUGUAUAUUAUGUGUAGAAUUUCUGAAUGAUAAUUAUGUGAUGUUUGGACGUGUUGAAUUAAGAGUGUAAUUUGGAAUUUUCGAGUUAGGGUUGUCCAUCUGCAAGGGAGAUUUUCUUAAUCUUUCAGUAAAUUUUCCUUGGAGGUGGUCCCCGCACGACUUACUCCGGGUUUCAGGGUGAAAUUCGGGGUGGGUCGUGUCAGGAGAUGCACCUACUUAGUUUUAUUUCUUGCUCAGCUUCCUUUGCCUCCUUGUUUUGGGAAAGGUUUAAGCUCUCUGUUGUUUUAUGUUUGUUCUGUUCUCUUUUAAUAAACUUUCUUCAGUUCAAAAAAAAAAAGAAGUUUAAAGUGAUUUAAUUGGCAAAUAUUGUAGGUGAGAAACCCCAUCAUGUCUUAUUAACUAGAUUUAACUUGUUUAUGUUGUUAGAUAAUUUAAGUCGUUUAGAUGUAGCCUUGGUAUAUAUAUUUGUUUUCUUAUUGACCACCAUAGCUCUAUUUUCUUUUUUAGCCCUACACCCCUUCCCAUUCAUGAUGGAGCACGAACAUAUGACCUUACCAAUGAGAAGUUUUCUAAAAGAAAAUAAAAAGUGAAUGAGAUUAUAUGAUCGAUUGCACACGAUGGCAUGCAAAAUACAUAUCAGAACUUUGGAUUUUGGUUUUUUUUUUUUUUUUAUCAAAUAAACAACUAAAAUACUAUACUUAUGUUUUGUGAGUCGAAUUCACAACCUUCCACUCGUUUGUUCUUUGAUUAUUCAAACUUUUAUAUAAUGUACUUUGACAAAAAUCGCUUCAAAUAUGAAAUUAACAUUACCUUUUAAAAAAAAUCUUGUCAUAUAUAACUGAACUAAAGCCUAUAUUUCUGGUAUAAGCUCACAAUUUGGUUUGAACAAAUAAUCUAGUUUAACAAGUAAUGAGUGAGAAUCGGACUACACUACAUCUCAAACCAAACUACGUCAAGUCAACCUUGCAUUGCUAUAUUUCAGAAGUUCAUAAUUACUAACGUACUUGAUUCACAUUACUCUCUCUUUCUGUCUCAUGGUGAUGAUGGACAUGAAAACAUUCACAGUAGUAAAUUUUUUUAUUAUGGUGGCCUUGACAAUGACAAUGAUAGCUGAUUCGUCAUCAACCCCACAUCAUUUCUCAACUCAAAUGUGGAAAGCUGGAGAGGUGCCUACACCACCACCUCGAGAUAAUAAUAAGAAUUAAAUUCAGUUUACCCCUUUGUGGUUUAGGAGUGACUUUAUGUUAGUCCCUACAUUUUUAUUUUCAUCAAUUUACCCCUUGAACUCUUCAAUUUCUGUUUGCCGUGCCCAAAUUCUCAUAUUCCGUUUGAAUUGACCUUUAAUUAUCAGCAGUUAAGGUUCGAUUUGGACAUAUAAGAUCCGAUUUUCCCAAAUUCUAGAUACUGGCCUCACAGUUAAGGUUAAAAUUAUCAGCAGUUAACGUCCAAUUUGGACAGAAUAUAGAACAUUUGGUCACGCUUGAGGAAAAUUUAAAAGUUUGAGGGGUAAACUGAUGAAAUUGAAAGUAUAAAGAUUAACAUGAAGUUACUCUCAAACCCUAAACUGAAUUUAAUUCUAAUAACAAUCUCUCAUCAUGUAAUGGUUUCUUUGAUGACUGCAAUAACUAUUCUGACGAGGAAAUAGUAUCGAGCCAGAGAAGAAGAAGAAGAAGACAACUUUUUGAGGCCAAAAGGUAUAUCAGCUAUGGUGCCCUACUGAAAAAUCGUGUUCCUUGUGGGCAACGAGGCAGUUCAUAUUACUAUUGUGGUAUUCCUGGGCAGGUUAAUCCUUAUAGGCGUGGUUGUAGUGUCAUCACACGUUGUGCUAUAUUUAAUUAAUGAUCAAUUAGAACUAUGUACUUCAAUCAUAAAUAAUUAGUGUUUUCCGUCAUAUGUAUCAAUGGACAAUUUCAAAGUAGAAUUUUAGAGUGUGGCGUCUCAUAUAUAUUCAUCUAGUUCUUUGAAAAUAUAAUUCGACAUCUUCAUUCUCUGUUGUAAUCCAGACAAUUCCUUGUCUAGACCAGAUUCGGCCAUGAGAGGUGAUGGUGAGGACAAGAUUUGGACUCGUCGACGGACGUCGACGUAUAGAGAGAGCUGCCGUAAACGGACGACACCGGAGUUCUAGCCCAAGGAGGCUAGGGUUUCGUGAGCGCUGGAGCAUAUUUUAGGGUUUAGGUUCUAAAAUGAUAAGGUGGUGUUUGGGAAGUUUUUCAUGCUUGUAUUUUCACUUUUGAAAAUGAAAAUGAGAUGAAAAUGUCUUAAAACGUAGAAUGUAAAUAUUUUCAACUUUUACAAAGAAAAAUUGUAAAACUUCAAUUUAAAGUUUUCACUUAUUCAUUCUCCUAGUUUAGACAAUAUUCAUAAUACCAAAUACAUUUUUAAAAUUCAAAUUACAAUCUCUUUUUUCAUUUUUGUUUUAAAAUUUAUUUUUAAAAAUCGUUUUGAAAAGGGUGCAGCUAGCUGUUUCCACCCUGUCAUCUUCUUUGUUCACCCUACAUGCUCAUUUCACCAUACAUUUUAAUUUUCAAUACUAAAUUUACUUUACCCACCCAUUUUCUUUUCCAAUAAUAUCCAUAUAUGACAUAUCCAAUUAAAAAGUAAAUUUUAACAAAAAUAUCUCAUAAUCUUUAGCAAUAAUUUUUUUUCUCUAAUUAACAUAAUUUAUUUUCAUUUUAUUUCUAGAUCAGUUUUUAUAUUCGUCUAUUUCGAUUCAUGUCAAAAGAUUCAUACCAGUGUGACUUAAUUUGUGAGCAACCAAUUGUGAAAAAAAAAAAUGAUUAAAACAGUAUUGUAAAGAUUUUGAUCAAAUUCACACUAAUGAAUUUACGAAUUAAAUAACGUAUUAACGAUGGUGAGGAAGAAAAAAAAUGUAAUCGAUUCAAAUAUGGGUGGGGAAGUGUGAGGAUUAGUGUUAUUUUAUGAAAAUUUUAAUUUGUUUGUUAUGUAAUUAGUCUCUAUUUAGACUUGGAUAUUACAAAAUCAGUGUACUUAUUAGCCAUUUUAUAUUUGAGUAAUAUUGUAUUUCAAUAAUUCAAAUGUUCAUAUGGUGAACAAAAAACAUAGUAGGGUGGCAAUAGCUGCGUCCUUUGAAAAUUGUUUUAUUUUUCCUAGAGAAAUGGAAUGUUCUAAAAGGGAGGAAAGUAAUUAAAAAAUCUUGUGCUGGCCUUUUCUUUUCCAAAUACCUUCUUCCCAUGAGAAAUGAAUGCCCUAGCCUAACUAAAACUGAGGACAAUGCAAAGCUUGUGUACUAGCUCUAGUUGAGCCUCCCAAGAUCAUGUACUACUAUAUAUCCUAACUAACAAUCAAUAUUCAUGCAUUCUAAGUUUCUCACUAUUCAUCCUGCUAUAAAUAUAUAUAUAUAUAUAUAUAUAUAUCUCUCUCUUUGACAUAGUUUCAUUAUCUCUCUUUAUACAUGAAGAUGGAGAUCAAUACAUUUACACUAGUAAAAUUUCUCUGCGUGAUAUCUUUGGCAGUUACAGUAAUGGUCGUAGACUCAUUAUCAACCCCACAACAUUACUCAGUUAGAACCAGCAAUCAUGGAGGCGCAAUGUCAAGUACUACUGCACCAGAACUUCUAGAUAUUAAAAAUAUCGCAUCUUGCAGCAAAGGCUUCUCCGGUGACUGCCAGAAUUAUUCUGUUGAAAAUGAAGAAGAUGGUGUUAAUGGUUUCUUUGAUGACUUCAGUGACUAUUCUGAUGAGGAUAUUGUGACUAGCCAAAGAAGAAGAACCAAAAGGUAUAUAAGCUAUGAUGCCCUCCUGAAAAAUCGUGUUCCUUGUGGUCAACGAGGCAGUUCGUAUUACUAUUGUGGUAUUCCUGGGCAGGCUAAUCCUUAUAGGCGUGGUUGUAGUGUCAUCACACGUUGUGCUAGAUUUAAUUAAUGAUUAAUUAGAAUUGUGUACUUCAAUCUUAAAUAAUUAGUUUUUUCCAUCAUAUGUAUCAAUAGACAAUUUCGAAAUAGAAUCUAAGUGUCUCGUCUCAUAUCCAUCUAGUUUUCUGAAAAUAUAAUUCGACAUCUUCAUUCUGUGUUGUAAACCAAGUAACCCUGUUGCCACAAUAUUAAUGCAUGCAUCAUUUUAACAAAUGGUGAUGCGAAUGGUGUAUAUACAUCGGCUAUCCAAAUGGUUCAGAACUUAAGAUAUUGAACUGAGUGCCUUUAUUCAGAAAAAAUAAAACUAGACUAGCAAUUAUUCCACAGAUUUAAGGCUCUGGUUAUACCAUAAGCCAUUCCGUGGUUACUAGAAUCAAUCGAUUUGACCAUAGCAGAUUAACUAGAGUAAGGCCAAUGUCAUUCAAAGCUCUGGUUAUACCAACCUGGUGGAUAUCACUGAAGGAUUUCAGAGAGAGAGAGAGAGCCUUUAUUUAUUUUUAUUUUUUCUAUCAAUUACAUUCAGAACUACUCUUUGGAAAUUGACCGCCAUAUACCAAAUUAACUUGUCAGGCCACUAUUCGUAACAAUCACCAUUCUGCACGCCAUCACCUGCACGCUCCACUCUUGUAAUCACAAGAACCGCUGCAGGGAGCAUAUGGCAUCUGUUUUGUGUAUGAUACUUGCACAUAAUUGAGUCAAGUGAAAAUGUUCAUUCUAAAUUCUGCAACUAUAUGAUCCAAACAAAAUUACCAAAUGCGACUCAGAUACCAUUCUAAACACAAUUAUACAAAACUAAAAGAAUUCCAUGCUUUAUUGGAUGUUUCAUGCAAUAGAAACACAAAAAACUCAAUGACUUCAUGGUGUGACUGCAAACCUUUGAAGAAGCAUAUACCUUCUAUAGCAAAGAAUUGAUCCCUUAUUCCUUGUGUUGAAUAUUUGAUCUUUUAAUAACCCUGACUUUGGAAGUCCUCCGUCCUCAUUUGAUAAAAAAGAGCCUAGCUAACUACUUCCAAGGUAGACUACAGCAUUCAUCUGUUAAUUGCAGUAUUCUUGAUAAUAUGCAUCCCAGUAAUAUGCAACGAAACGGUAGAGGAAAAUAAACAAAGGUGAAAAGAUAGAAAGUUUGAUCAGGCAAGGGAACUGGCUGCAGGUGGUUUGUAGAAAAUUCUUCUGCAAGACCAUAGGGCACUAGAGAAGCACCAAAGUGUUCUAUUUAAUUGUCUCCCUAUGACCAAACAGGUACAGAAUAUAUCAGGGUCCCCAAACAGAAUGAGGUGAGAAUGGUGACUAAGGCGUAUAUGUAUGCUCUCCAGGGGUAUUUACUUUCUCUCAUUGCAUUAAACUCAGCAAUGAAAGUAGAUACAGUACUAAGGCAACCCAAAAAUCCAAAUUGUAUGCCUGUUGCAACAAUAUCGCAAGUAUUGGAAUUUACCUAGUAAGAACAAAGAGAAUAAUCUCAGUCGUUAGCUUUGCGAAGAUUAUGUCAUGCAGUUCAAAAUGUCAAAGCAGAUGGACCAGGUUAAUCCAGCUAGCAUGGUAUAUCAAUGCAGGCAGCUAUGAAAUUCGCAUGGUUUUGGCACCAUGGAUGCUCAACUAUAGGCACCAUAAACUAUAUUUUAUUGGAUAUUCUUGGAAGAGAACUAACUAGCUUCAAGAAUGGCCCUAAACAUCUAAGAACAAAAAAAUAUAAAAACUAAAACAAAAAUAAGAUAAAACUACAAUUGCAAAUGACUGCAGCUUAACAGUUCCUAUCGAAUAUGAGAGGAUGACAUAUAAAACAUAAAAAGUCUUGGAUCCUGAUGUAGUCAUGGUAUGGGGUCCGAAUAGAAUAUCAGAUGAAUAAAUCUUACCCCUUUCUUCACAGUAGCAAGUGCCGCCAUGAUACAAGCUGCAGAAACAUUAGCAAUUAGAGUACCGAAUGGAAUCCAUUUCAAAAACCCUGUCUUUCCUAAUCCACGUCCAUUGAGUCGAGCUAAGAACCACCUGAUCCAGACACCUAGAGGUCCAACGAUGCAAGCCAACCAUAGUUGUGUCUCACUGCUUUUUCUGUUAAACUCCUGCCUCAUCAAUAUUCCACUCAUACUCCAUAAUCCAGCUAGCAAGAGCAGAAACAAUGCCAAAACUGUCAAGUGACGCUUGGUGUUGUCAACCCUCCAGCUCUUUUCAGAGCUAGCACUGCCAGACCCUGAACUCCUUACAAGAAGCUGCCUACAAAGCUUGGAUGUCUCUACCCCAAAAAUGAUGGAGUAGGCAGCUAGAAACAGUCCUGAGCACCAAUCACAUCCAAGAGUAGCUGAUAUUAGCCGAGUCAGUUAAUAAGCUACAUUUUGAUUUGGUUUAGGGUUUAGUUCUAUAAAUGCCCAAAGCAGGAACCCCACCAGAUACCUGUGAAGUUCAAAUACAAUACUUGCAGCAACUAUCAACAUGUCUACUGUGGCAUAAUAGUUAAAGUUUUCCAUCUUACCUAUCAAAAAACCGAGACCAGCAAAAACCCAAUGGCCUUCAACACUCAGUUCAAGCAUUUUCUGGUUCCAACCACUAAAAGUUGUAACACUUCCCAGGUAACCAGUUGUCAAUCCAAUUGCCAAAAAUUCUGACCUAUGUGAUAUAUCUGCUUUGAAAACAACACCAAACCAUCCCAUCAAGAAGGAGCCAACCUACAAAUGCAUUGGAACAAAAUUAUUAUGCACAUCAAUGCCCUGCAAGUAUGAUCUCAAAAUGAUACGAAGAAGAGCAAGGAAUACGGAACCAAAGAUCAUAGAAACCUAUAGACCAUGUUCAAUAAAAGUUCCUCUUGAUGUAAUUAAACUAUCUUAUGGGAAAACAUGUUUGUCAAUAAGUUACUACAAACAAUGAGGCUUACUACCAUAUUAGAAGGAAGGUCAAGGUAGAGAACUGUUUGGUCACUUGUCACACCUGCAACUCCAGGGCCGAACAAUUUUUGCAGUAGAUAUCUCGUUAAGACCUGCAUACUGUAACAUGUCAAAUAAUAUAUCUGGCAAGUAGGGCUUGCUGAGUUGCUGCUAUGAAAAGAGAUGGUUCUCUCAGAAAGUAUAUUACAACAGCAUAAUUCGUUUUCUUUUUAUACAAAAUUUUCUACCAGAAGUACUUUUCUCCAUGAUAUAUGAUAAGAGAUGGUUCUCUCAAGUACAUCAGAACGAAUAAGAGCUAUGAAAAGUGUAGAUUGUUUCACUAAUGCAACUAUCCAAUUUUUUUGAAAUGAAUGCUCCUAAGUCCUAACAGCUAUAAAACUUAAAUGGUAUUAGCAAUGCAAUAAGAUGCACUGAAUAGUAUAUACACUGAGCAAUAUUAAAGUGUGUUACCCCUAAAAUGCCAAAGACGGCUAGAUGAGUCAUACAUGAACCAUACUCCAACAAUUUUGGUAUUCUUGCUGUACUUGCCUGCACAUGUAAAGAACCGUGAGUGUUUCUUACAAGCAUGAUCUGACAGAGAAAAAGAUAAAAUGUAAACAUCUUUACUUUUGUUGGUUUCCUGUUCAAUAGAGACAUGAAGAACAUAGACCAUAUCCAAGUUCUCGACCUAACAAAGAUUUUAUGCAGUAAAAGUAUCACCAAUAUCUCACUUGGUUUUUCUCCUCGUUGCAUACUAUUGCAUUAGCUGACAGGGGAGAAAUGAUUUGCUCUGGCAAAGGCGAUACCGUGGAGAUUGCAUGAGAUGCAGCAGGAUCACGACCCCAGAAUCCAUAGGAUUGCAAUUUCAUAUCCUCUGCAGACAAGAAGUUGAAACUGCCACUUGCACUGUACCUGUUGCUGUGAAGAGCUCGAUCCCCAAUAUCUCCCACCUCUGACACACUCUCACUUUCAGUUUCAUCAUCUACUUGAGAUGAAUGAGCACCUAAUGAACUUAAAGAGAGAAACCUUAAUGAAGAACUGGCACUUCUUGUUAUAUCGAUCGAUACUCUUGCUCUGAGUUCAGAGUCAUUAGUCCCACGGUUCCCUCCACCCUCCAUGAUCACAGGGCUUGAUUCUUAUUUCAGUAACUUAAAGAGCACAAUGUGAUUCAGAAAAAAACAGAUAUGACAAAGAAGAACAAACGUUGUAGUCAAAUCGACCAAACUACUACUGCUUCUCAUACUGAAAUGUCAUAAUGCGUUCCUUGUAAGAAAAUGCCAAGUUUCCCACCUGCUCUACUGUUUAAACACAAACAAACAUCUGUACAUGAACAAAUGCUGACAAUUAUUUCAGCUAUGUGAAGAAGAAGUCAGAUCUAAGGAAUUAAAAAAUGAUAAUUGAAAGCUGUGACAUGGGAGAAAGAGAGCCGAACCGACUCUUCAAGAUGUGCACAGAUCAUAGAACAAUAAUACAAGCUAGAACCCUGAACAAAUCCAUUUAGAUAAUCUAAACUAUUACUUUGUAGAUUAGGAUAAUAGAUAUAUUGAAUGAUGUCAUUGAUAUGUUUAACAACAUGGAGAAGUCUACACACAGAUUUCCAUCAACAGGGACUGCCAUCAAAGUUACAAGUUCUAGCUGUAACAGAUAAAUAGGUAUCAUAUAACUUCUGAACAAGCUAAUAAAGUUGAAGAAAAUUAAAACCAACUACAAAGCCUCAAGCAGUACAGUUACCCAUUAACUUGGUCAAACUUGGGAUACAAAUUGAAAUAAUGGAAUAGUAUGAUACCAAAGUUGUGGAGAAGAAAACUAUCAGCGGCCAAAAGCCAUGGUCUUCUCUAGAAAGAAAGCUUAUGUCGAGUCAAUACUUCUCCAAUUCCUCAGGGCGAACGUUUGGGAGAGGCAGAGCUACCACUCGUGGUAACUCGGCCUCAAUGAUCAGUACCCUAAUCUUGGGAUGUGCCAAACUUUGAUAGCUUCGAAAAAUGGCUUCAUGAAUGUGGAAUUGAGAGGUUAGUUUUGCCUUCUAAAAAAAGGGGGUCUUUGAAUACAUGGACCAGGUUUAACUGGGUUUUCAAAUUUGACUGAUCACUGAUGCUACAUAUAUCACAACUUGGUUUAAUUUCUUGGAGGCAGUGUUAUGUGCCAUAUCAUGACAAAGCUCAUGUAGUCAUGUUAUUUUUGACAUUUUGUUUUUUAUCAAUGUGGGGUGACGGUCCUGAGGAAGAUCCCCAAUGCGCAGGGUGGUUCUGAAAGUAUUGCGGAGGGAGCUCGAAUCCCUCCCUCUUAGUGUCAUGGCUCAUGGGUUUGGUUAAAGAGGUGAAAAUGCCUGGUUGGCUAUUACAGGUGUAGGUAAUGGCAUGCUUGCUUGCUUCGUUUUCAAGAUUUAUUGCGUGACAAUUUGAUGUUGCCGUAGAUGACAUAGUAUUACAAUGUUUCAGAAGAGUGGUGGAGCUAGCAAGCCUAGGCUGAUUUGUUCGUCCACUGAUCGUUCUACACUUGCAUCUACUAAAAGAUUCUGCACAGCAAAAAUAUAACAUUACGAAGUUAAGAAACUCAAUCAGAAAAUCAACUACUGAUUACUGCGUCGUGUACAAAUAUAUUGAUAACGUCCUCUUCAUUCUUGAUAGCACUGAAAAAAUGUCUGUUCUCAGCCCUUGGCCGUGGCCCUCCGGAUUCGUCUUUCAAUGCUACCAUAUAUGCAGAUGUUCUAUACAAUCUGCAGAUGGUUCCUAAAUAGACCCGUGGUAUUUUUAAUCAAUUUUGGGUUGAUAUGUUAGCUAUCUUUAACACUUGAAACAUUGACAAAUAUUAAAUCGUUGUAUCUUUUCACAGAUGAUGAAGGAAUUACAAACCAAGCUAGCUACAACUGAUAUGAGAAUGAAUUCACAAACUUGAGAAUCCAUAUCGAAAACUAAUUGUUCAGACUUCAGAUCAUGUGGUCAACCUAAGAUCCCUCAAAGCUAAAGAAAGUAAAACUUACAAUCACUGAAAAACUUACAAUCAAAACCAUGAAAUAAUAAACCAAAUGAAAGCAGGUUCACUGAUUUCUCUUCUCCUUUCCAUGUUUCUUCCUCUUUGGAAACUGUAGCAUGAUACUUUUUGAAGGUGUAAAAAUUUGGUUCUGGAAGGAGGCGCUUGAAGUGGGUGAUAGGGUGUUUCAAAAUCAAAGCCAACACUAUGAGCCAUCGUCGAAAUUCAUGUCUCUCACUCCAUUGCAUGUCCUCCCAAAAUCAAGCAAAAGUAUGGUGGUGAGACAAGAGAAAUUAGAGUUGUGCGUGAUGUGAUGACUUUGGGAGAGAUUUCACAAACUGCUUGAAAGUGAUUUAUGUUGUUAUCUUUUCACUCUUUCACCCUGCACUCCAUAUUCUUGUGGUCAAGAUUUGAUUAUUAAGUUCUUAAUUUUCUUCCAGAAUGUUACAUGUCACUCCUUUGUUUUGUUUUCAAUGAAAAAUGAGAGACAAUGAUACAAGGUAUAUGUGCAAAAUGCUAGAUGUCAACACUAUAUAUAACAUCUUGACAACUGCUGAAGUGGAACUGCACAAGGCACAUAGGUCUUCACUUCUGUUGUCCUUUAACUCAUAUCAGAUUCAUCUGCCUGGCCUGAAUUUUCCUAGCACUAAGUUAACGUUUGUUCAUGCUUUACGUUUCUGUUUACAGAUUACUUGCAUCUGUUAUUUUAGGCUGCAUUCGCUUUCUUGCCUCUGGCAUGGAGGGCUUUCUUUUUUAAGGGGACUGCUGGUUGCCCUUUGUUUCCUAUGGCUGUCCAAUUUAUCCUUAGAAAUAAAAAUGCCUUGAAUUGUAAAGUUAAGCUGUUUUACUAAGAUAUUUUAACUUGUACAGGGAGUCGGGGACAAAAUUCUUGGUCGUCAGUAACCCAGGACAGGGUCACACAGCACAUGGAAAGUCUAGCUCUUGAAACACAUCUAUGAGUUCUACACUGAUUAGGUCGUCUUCAAGAACCCUUUCCAUGAGAUGGAGAUGCCUCUCCUAUACUGCUCUUUUAUAUCAAUAUAACACAGGCAAUACAGAAGGAUCGUGUUGCCUUCAUUCACCCUCAAUGUCUGAAACAUGUAUAUAUAUCGCCAACUUCUUGUUUGAUCCAGGUUCUAGUCUUCUGACUGUCUUCUAUUGACAUGAGAUGUGUGUGGUUUGAGUACAUGAGGCCACCAUAGGUUCAUUCUACGAGUUUUGGACAAUUACUAUAUGGUUGGCUUUAACCAAAAUAAAGUGUUUACUUAAUCUAAUCAAGAUCCAACUGAAUCUUGAAGGAUCAGAUUGGUUAUUCCAAACUAGGAGCAAGCUAAAUCAUUGAACAGUUACUGAAGCAACGAAAGAAGAUUCAUGAAGGAAAACAAUUGUAUAUAUAUGUGCAUGGGGCUGAUUCACCUGUCUACGUAUUUCUUUCAACAGGUUCACUGGACUUUAUGGUAUUGAGGUACUUAAUUUUAUGGUAUUGAGGUACUUAGCAUUUACAAUUUUAUAGGAAAAUUGUAAAUGCUACAAUUUUACAACUUGAAUUGCUAUGAAGUGAUAUGAAAUCACCAACUUACAAUACUAACCUUUACAGUUUGCUGAUGCUACUCUUGGAGAGACUUCCCAUGGCCUUAGCUUUCUCUCUCAGUACAAACUUUUGCACCUUCCCAGUAGAAGUCUUUGGUAAAUCUUCGAAUAUGACAGUUCGAGGAGCCAUGUAGCGGGGUAACCGACCCCUACAGAACUUAAUGAUAUCUUCUGCACUAGCGUUACAACCAUCCUUCAAUUUCACAAAAGCACAGGGUGUCUCCCCCCAAUAUUCAUCAGGCCUUCCUACGAUAGCUGCCUCAAGAAUCUCUGGAUGCUUGAAAAGCACUGAUUCCACCUCUAUUGUGCUAAUAUUUUCUCCCCCGGAAAUUAUAAUAUCCUUGGAACGAUCCUUUAGCUCUAUAUAACCAUCUGGGUGUCUGACUGCCAAGUCUCCACUGCGAAACCAUCCACCUUUAAAUGCAUCCUGUGUUGAUUUAUUAUCUUUGAAAUAUCCAUUCAUAACAGGGUUUCCCCUAAACAUAACCUCCCCCAUGGUUUUUGCAUCAAAAGGGGCACUCUUCAUCGUGACCGGAUCUUUAACAUCAAGUUCCUCCAUUCCGAUAUGUUGCAACCCUUGCCGUGACUUUAUUUUUGCUUGUUCAUCUCGAGGUAGAGAAUUCCAUUCAGGUUUCCAAGAGCAAACUGUCCCAGGGCCAUAAGUCUCUGUCAAACCAUAUGAAUGUGUAACACUGAACCCUAGCUCUUCCAUCUUGAACAGUACCUGGGAUGGUGGUGGUGCACCCCCAGUCAUGACCACUACCUUUCCUGGAAGUGGCCUCCGAUCAUUUUCCGGUGCAUUUACAAUCAUGUUCAAGACAGUAGGUGCACCACCCAUGUGGGUCACCUGAUGCUGAGAGAUACAGGCGAAAAUUCCCUUUGCAGUAACAUUUCUUUGGCAGACAUUAGUGCCACCCUGAGCCGCAACAGCCCAAGUGAGGCACCAUCCGUUGCAAUGAAACAUUGGAACACACCAUAGAUACACAGGCAUUGAUAGCAUCUCAUUGAGAAUAACUGCAGACAGGGAAUUGAUAUAUGCACCUCUAUGGCUAUAAAUGACACCUUUUGGGCUUGAAGUAGUGCCUGAUGUGUAGUUAAGCGAAAUUGCAUCCCAUUCGUCUUUCGGCCGUAGGAUCUGAAAAUCGAGAUUUCCCUUUCCUAACAGGCUCUCAUAUUCUAAGUUUGCUGAAGGGGAUUUGGAGAAGUCAGGGGAUGACUGAUCACUCUCUGGAAUCAAGACUAGGAGGGGCACCUUGGUUCCGGUCUUGGAUAAGAUAUCAAUUGCUCCCUUUGCAACUUGGAGAAAUUGGUGGUCUACAAAAAUGAUUUUGGUUUCUGAAUGCUUCAUUAAUACUGACACCAUUUCUGAAUCAUGACGUAUGUUAAGUGUGCACAAAAUUGCACCAGCCAUUGGAACACCAAAAUGGAGCUCAUACAUUGCUGGAAUAUUUGGAGCCAAUGCAGCAACCUGUGAAAAUCAACAAAAGCUCUUUCUGAGCACAGAUGAAGAGAGAUAUCACUAUUUAAGUACAAUUAUGUGCAUUGGUGCUUCAAGAAUAUGGAAAAGAGGACUCUAAGUGUAGGAAAGAAAAGGUGAAUGGGAUUCUUAUCUCAAGCCCUUGAGGAGAAAUAGUAAUCAGAAAAGGAAAUCAGGACAAAGGAAUUUUACACUAUGGCCAUGUAUUGGUAAGGCAUACUUGACAACAUGCAUAUAGGUUCAUUUAGCUGUAGUCAUGUUAUAAGACACAGAAAGAUAACCAUUCGAAGAUGGGAUAUCAUUAGCAAACAAACAACUUGGCACCAAAAGUUCGAUUUAGGGCUCAACUAUUUAUCUGUAAGAUUUUGGGGUUGUGAAUUAGUCAGACAUUCCUUACAGAGAUAAUUUAAAAGACAAAAGUCUCAGCUGCAUUUAUUCGAAGUAGGCUGAACAUGGUGAUACAGAUGCAAGUCAUCAUCAUGGUCUUCAAAGCUCAAUCGUAUUGAAGAACAAGACCAGGAAUCUACCAAUCACUGUGAUAAUCUAUGAAUGGGAUGUACACAACUUUGUAUCACUCCCAAACAAAAUAUGAACAGAAAAGAGAUAGACAAGGGAUAAACCCUAUCUAAUCCAAGCUCACAAGCUUCAGCAUGCGUGUUCGUUAUCCUAUCCAAAGUACGAGGCAAACUGUGAGAUUGAACCUUUGAUCUAAGUAUGCUUUACAUCUUACAAGCUUCAUGAUUAUUACUUUGUAUUUGUCCUGUGGCUUUUUUCUCAUUUGAUUAGCCUCUUUUUUCGUUUCUGAUCAUGUUAUUCAAAGUCCAAUCACAUGCGAAUGAGUUUAGCCAAAAAAUAAAGAUCAUAUACGGAGGACACACAACCAGCUUUCAUUCAGUCACAGUGGCAAUAAACAAAUGGGAUGUUACAAAAUUUCAAAUCUUUUCCAGAAGUAGGAUAGAAAAAAGAGAAAGAAAAAACCCCAUCUUAGCAAUCUAUUAGGAGUACAACUACAUAGUAUUCAGAGAUAGCCAACACUUCCAAACUCAAAAAAAACAGUUACAUCCAAUUGCAAAGAAGUCAAUAAUAGCAACAAACAGAGAAAAAAAAUUAGAAGUUAUGUUUCUUACCACAUCGCCUCGGGAAAUUCCAAGUUGGGCAAGAGCAGAAGCAAGUCUGGUGCAUCGUUCAAGUGUCUCUCUCCAAGUGUGGAUGAUGUCUCCAUACACAACAGAUGGUCUGUCUCUGUAGACUAUGGCUGAGCGCUCCAAGAAGCUGAUAGGCGAAAGAGGAACAUAGUUGGCGGAGCACCUAAUUGCACCCUCCAUCAAUGUCACAAUCAGGCAGAACCACAAACCAAAUAUAACGUCUUUAUCUGAGAUUUUGGUCCUUCAGGAAUCUGGACUCAUAUAAGGAUCAAUUACGCAAACUAUCCAACUCUUCACUGUGAGAUUAGCUAGAAUAGCUGCACAAAGACCAAUAUCAGGAAAGUAACUAACACAACAAACAAUAAAGUUAGUAUUGGACUAGUAUACCAAACGGUCCAAAAUUUUGGAGGUAGGUGCAAUGGCAAAAACAACAAAGAAUGUUGACUAUAAUAUGCUGGAGGUUAAAGUCAUUGCCCAAAAAAUCUGUAGAUUUUCCGAUUCGUAUACUGCUUCGGACAUUGGAAACAUCAUUUGUAAAUGGCAACUGUGUCCAUCACCAAGAGUAAGCUCCACAUAUACCAAUUAACCAUUCAACAGCAGCAAAACAUAAAACUGAAGACAUGAAAUUAUACAACAAAAUGGAAGGUUUAGCUACAGUUCAUUUUUUUUAUAACGUAAUCCAUGUAGUGUUUCCACUGAUACAUUACCCACAUCUUCAAUUGAGGACCCAAAUCAAUGAAAACAAAGGUCACCUACAUCUUUCAUCAUAGAACAGAAUGGAGAUCAGGCCUUGGGUCUCUUAAUGAAGUUUAUUUGACCAAAAAAAAACAGAAUGGAGAUGAAGGUGAUCAGAAAUGAAGAACUAGAAGGAGAUAAGCUACCUGGGUUGGUUCUGGGUCAGAGUCGGAUGCUGCAUGUAGAGUUUGGAUGAGCUGAGCUGAGAGUCCAGAAAUCCAGAUUCAAUAUUUAAAUCUGAUCAACAUCUGUUGAUAUUGAAGAAGUGGGAGUCUAGAUGAGCGGUGGAGGCCUUACCGAGGAGAGGGCCAAAUUUUAGCACUUUCAAAUAUCGUAUAUGAUUUCACAUUAUAUUUUCAAAUAUAUGAUUUAUUUUAUUAUAAUAUUAUUUGAAUUUGGAAAAAGAUAAAUUUUGAGGGCAAAAGCUGAAGAACGCCCCAAAUUCUAACGCCGAAGGCACCGUCAAAACGGAAGGGUAUACCGGUAAACUCAAUUGCAGAGGAAACAACAGUUUUCACCAUGAUCAACUAGUGACAGUAACAAAGUAAUUUCAAACCCACUAAAGAGCACACCAUAACUUAUACGUGGCCAAGACGUGAUCCUCUAUAUCAUCGAUAAACGAGUUUACGAUCACUGUUACACGCCUGCACAAGUUGUAAACUCAAUGGCUCAAUCUCCUCAAGCCAAUAAUCUGAUUCAACCACUUCAAAGUUUCAACUUUCAAACACAACCAUUACUCCACCGGUUGCCAAGAAUCCUACACCAUCAGUCCAUCACUCGUUUAUCUCAGAAUGCAUCCCUCCUCCAAAUUUUGAACAACCCAUCCUUAUAGCUAUAUAUAGCUAGCGACGAAAACAAGGAGCUCAUCGUUGCUUCGUCGGGAGGCAGGGUCCAACCUCCCCGUCGCGUGUCGAAUCUCGAUCGGGAUCGAAAUCGACCGAGUUCCUCCGCUGCGUGUCGACCCGAUCGUCAUCUUCUUCGACGAGCCAAUCUUUGACCCCGACUCCACCUGCUCCUUCAUGGUCGGCAAGAACCUCCCAACUCCAGCCUUGACGUGACGUGAGAGAGAGAGAGAGGGAUGAGGAGUAGUUUGCUUAGGUUUAUCUUAAACGAGGGGAUUUUACAGUUAACGGAGGUUAAAUACGAAAUUUACUUGUUUGACCUUCAAAUUUGAAUUAUAUGGACUAAAUUCUGCCACGUGGUCGAGCCCACUCCUGGCAUACUGCACUCAGGCGUAGUCCAGCGCUUUCCAAUUUUGAGACAAAAAAUAAUAAUUAUUUAUCUUACCUAUGUGGUUUCGUUGAUAACAUUUUUUUUUUUUGGACGAUUAACAAAGAUUGCAUUAAGUAAGAAAUUUUACAUCAAAAAGCCUAGUAAAAAAAAAGGUUGUGACUGGUCUAUGUACUUCCGAGGCAUUCCUAAAGAAGUACACAGCCCAAUUUCAAUCCAUCUUGGUUUAAAAGACUUUUAAAAUUAAAAUAUACAAAACUUAAUGAGAUUGAACCCAAACAAACAGUAGGAGACCCAACUAAAACUAGGAAACAAAAGAAAACCCUAAUGCUACACUUCUCAUCCACUUCAGCCGCCACAAGUCUAGCGCCACCAACUACGACUUCGGCCAUGACAGUUGAAACUGAAUCGCAGCUUGGGAGAAGACCCCUACGGCAAAACCCGAUCAAAACAACCCUGAAAACGAAAAAAGAAAAGAGAAAAGAGGAUCUGGACACAAGUUUAUCAUCCCCACAUGAUAAAUUUGCAUCAUAACAAGUGAUUUGCACCCACAACUCAAGGAACAAAUCUGGGUACAAGAAACCCAAAACAUAUGGAGCCAAAUGACUCCGAAAAUAGAACAAAGAAGGAGGUGGUGCAUGCACCCGAGCAUAAGCUCUACCUAUCUUUCGAUUGAGAUGCGAGAAAUCGCGUUUGAGAGAAGUCACUGCAACACCCAAGCCAUGGUACAGAUUUGAGAGGGAAAAGAUAAACUCUGGGUAGAUGAAGAUGAUGGGUGGGAGAGAUUUUGGGGGCUAAGCUUUUGAAAGAAAAUUGGGGCAAGAUGGAAGGAGGGGGGAAGGAAACCGAAGGAGAAGAAAAGAGAAGGAACAAAAGGCAAAACUGAGACAUAGCUCAGGGAAAUAUCUGAGACAGUGUUCAGGGAUGCACCCAUAAAGGGUGAGGAAUGCCACCGACUCUCAAGGGGCAUGGAUGCUGGAGAGAGAGAGAGAGAGAGAGAGAGAGAGAGAGAGAGAGAGAGAGAGAGAAGAAGNNNNNNNNNNNNNNNNNNNNGAGAUAACAUGUUUGGAUUGGGGUUUUAAGUGUCACAUGUCCGUUUGCAAGUAAAUUUCUUGAUUCAUGAUUAGAUAUAGUGUUUGAGAAGUUUAUGUGGAAACUAAUUAUUAUAGAGCUUAUCAAAUUUUCGGAUAGGGUUGUUGAAUGUCGCGUGUCGUGUUGUGAUCAACCCUAGAUUUUCAGUUAAAAUUUGAUAACACCUAAAAAAAAGGAGCGGUUAGGGUUUCGUAAGUCUCUGCUAGGGUUUUGAAUUCUCUAGCUUCUCAGCACUCUCAGCCUUCAUUCUCUCAUCUCACCAUGUUUGAGAAGGUCUCCAAACACUUCGCAAAUGUCUUGGCUAUCUGUGAUGGUGACAAGUCCUCCCGUAAGGCUGCAGCGAACCCUAGGGGAUGUGGUGGAGAUAUAGUCCAUCUCCGGGUCAAAUUUUAACACUUUCAAAUAUUUUAUGAUUUCAUAUUAUAUUUUCAAACUUAUGAUUUUAUUUUGUUACAACACUAUUUGAAUUUGGAAAAAGAUAAAUUUUUGAGACAAAAAAAAUAUUAUUUAUCGUACCAAUGUGGUUUCCUUGAUAACAUGUUCGGCUCGGUUGAUUAAUGUAUUAGCUAACAACUUUAAGGUCAUGUGUUUAAACCUUAUUGAUCUAUGUAAUUUGUGUGAAUUAUUUAAUUAAAAAAUUUAAAAAUAUUUGGAUUUUUAAGUGUCACAUGUCCGUUUGCAAGUAAAUUUUUGGAUUCUUAAUUGGGUAUAAUGUUGACGUGGCAAAACUAAUCAUUAUAAAACUUAUUUAAUUUUCGGAUAGGAUUUUUGAAAGUCGUGUGUCAUGUUGUGAUCAACUCUCUAGAUUUUUGAUUAGAUUUUAUUCUUGUGGGAGUUCUAUCUAUAUCUUUAGACCUCAAUAAAGAUGGUUGUUUCGAUAGCAUAUCUCACUAUCUCUAAUAUCCCCUCUCUAAUCUUUUGUUCAAUUUAUAAAAGGAGCUGAAAUUUAUACUCCUAAAAUUACAAACCACACUCCUUUUACAAUAUUUUAAUAAUUUCUCACUCUGAUUUUCCGGAUUUCCAUACUUACCCUUAUGAGAAUUCAUACGUUUCCAUUUUUUUUUCUUUGAAAGUGUACGUUUCCAGUUUUCCUACUCUAUAAAAUCAAAGAAAAUCAAACCCAUAUAUUCUUGCUUCUACACAUUUCACUCUUUGAUUCCACUCACCACAAUCCCAUGUGAACAACUCCCAGUUUAGCUUUUGCUUCUGAGUUUUUGGAAAUUAUAAUUUUAGAAAAAUCCAAUCUUUCGGCUCUGUUUUUCUUUGGUUCUGUUCACGUUGCGUUUGGUUUCAAUGAGAGUUCAUAUCUGGGUUUGAAUAAAUUUUCUUCUUUCUCUUUGUGCCUCUUCAUAGUCUUAAAAGCUUAAAGCAGUCAAGACCUUAAAAAAGAACCCAUCUCAGAUCCCUACAAUCGGUUUGCCAUAAAUCAAUUUCCACUUCUCCACCCAAAUGAUCCAAAACCGUUGCUUCUAGAGUUUGCAUCUUUUGAUUCCUAGUACUAUGAUCAAACAAGCAUUGCAGACUUUUACCGACAAACCAUGCGUCUCCACCAUAGAUCAAAUUUAAUCAAAUGAAAAUAACAAAACGUCUUGAGAAUUGACUUUGAGCUUAAGAAGCCUUUCUUUUUGUUUUGUUUCUGGGUUUUGAAAAAGAGAAGACAUAUUUAGGAUCAGACAACAAAAUGAUCUUUCUUGGAAAAUCUUAUGUGGAAUUGAGAUCUUAUAUUGUUUAAUUUACUUGAUCGAUCAUUCCAAUAAUCAAUUCUCUUCCAAAUUCCUUCAAACUCAAUACCCAAACACCCGGUCCAACUGGAAGCAUCUCUUCAAACUUCGUAACCAAAAUUUCAUCUGCAAAUCUGUCGUUUCGAUGGCUUGAAAAUCUUGGGGGAGUCUUGUCUAGUGAGGAGAGCUUCGCAGCCUUGAGGCAACUGGUGAUGUUAUCGACGAUGAUAGUCGAUAUUGAUGUCGAUGGCGACAAAGAGCCGAACUUCAAAAGUCAAGGAGAUAGAGACAUAUAAACCAGAUCGAGACCGAGCCCAAUCAACCAACUUUAUUCUUUUCUCUUCAGUUUUCAAGGUACUGGAAAAUUUGACUGUAUGUAGAGGGUAUUUUAGAGGAUUUUGAAAUUGAAGCCUUUAGAAAUAUUAUAAAAUAUAAAGGGAGUGUGGUUUGUAAUUCUGAGAGUGUAAAUUUUAGCUCCCUUUACAAAUUCUCAUUACAUUUUGCAAUGAAUUCCAACUUGUUUUCUCGGUGGAAUGAGAGGCUAGGUGGGGAUAAGGAAGAUGAAGAAGAUGAUGCACAAAGGCGAAGAAAUACAACACAAGUUAUGGCAGAAGCAACUAGCUGGUUGGCUAUUAACUCACUCCAAAAACAACCUCAAUGGGGUGAUUUUGUUUAAGGUUGCGUCACCGAACAUGCGAGAUAGGUAAUGAAAAAUUAUUGAAUGAUUACUUUGUAGCUGACCUAGUAUACCAUGCGAAAAUAUUUAGACGAUGUUACAAGAUGAGGCGUGAAGGUGGUAUCUGUGCUUUCUUGUCUUAUCUAGUUAAAAACAUAGACACCAAAAUCAUCAUAAACACAACUGUCGUCCUCAUGUCAGAUGUCAACUGAUGACGAGGUUUGUCAAAUGGGCGUGGACCCUACUUACUCAAUUCAUUUAUAUCUUAAUUUCAAUGCUUAAAUUACUUAUUGCACCUAUUUCUUUUUUAGAAAACCAAAUAUACCCAUUUCAAAUUUCAAAAAGAUUUGAAACACAAAAACAUCCGAAACACAAAAACAUCCAUUUGCAUUGUUUUUAAACAAAUAAGGACAAUUUUUAACAAAUAAAGACAUUUUUCUCUGCAUGUCAAGUGUCAUGAGAUAAAUUUACUAAACUAGCCUUAAAUAACUUAAAGUUCAUUUUCUCUAAUAAAACUCAUAUUUAUUAUUCCAUAAUCAGAUACAGUUUAUAACACGCUGCUACUGUCAAUUGUUAAACUUGCUAUUGUUAAUUGUUUACAAACACAUUGCUACUACCGAUUGUUUAUCAAUGCACUGCUACUGCCGAUUAUUGCUACUCAUCUCGCUGCUACUAUGUCAUUUUCGUCUCUGCUACUACACUCAUUGUACUCGUCUAGUUAUGUUAUUACACUCACUGUGGUCGUCUAGUUCUUUUGCUACUGCACUCACUAUACUUGUCUAAUUUUGCUACUACACUCAUUGUGUUCAUCUGAUUCUACAACUACAUUUCCUUGCAUUUAUUGAGCUCUGCUACUGUUUUAACAUUGAGACAAUAUUGAAGGUUAUUUAUGUUACUACACUUCAUUGCAUUUGUUUAACUCUUCUACUGCUUCAAGCCUUAUUUUUGCGAUUUUAAAUAAACUAUGAGAAAUAAAUCCGUGUGACUUUAAAUAAAUUAUAUGUUUUCUUUAUCAUGUGAGAAGCAUAUGCUCUGUUUAUUAUUUAUUUAAGCCCACUUGUGGCAAUAACUAUCUAUAUAUGUUGUGGUAAAUAAGCUAAAAACCAUAAAUAAAAAACAACAUUUAACAUAGAAAUGUGAAACAUAAUGUUAUAGGAAGCCCAACUUACGUAUGAACUAGCACCAACAACCAUCCCGCGUCACAACACCGCUGCAACGCAAUACCACGCCACUGCAUAGCAACACUACACCAUAGACGUCAUGUAAUCCGAGCUGUUAUCAUUGCCUAAAACCCAAUGCGAAGAAAUUCCAUUCAAAAUCGUGUCUGCCAAGAUCUCGACGCCAUAACCGUAACCUAAAUCUCAACUGCAUCGAUGUCAGAUCUAGUUGCUGGAAAAACCUCUACAUCGCUGCUCCUCACCUCUUUCUCGUCCUAAUCUGAUAAUUUCAAAUCAAAAUUGAUCUGUCAUCAUCGAACGCAAGAACUCAUCCACCUUUCCUUAACCGCGACUAAACCAAGGACUCCCGUUGAUGGGUCUUGAACCCUCAAAGGCUCGUCCGAAGAUGACGCCCCAAUAGCGUGCCGCUGGAUGGAGCAUCACACUAAUAAGAAAAAGACCACGCUUGUGAGGCGUAGUCUAGGGACAGUUUUUUUUUCUUCAUUUUAUUUUUAAAUUAUUGGUCUAUUCUAAUUCAUGUUAUACAAUUUGUAUGUUAACCAUAAUGAGCAAUAAAUUGAGAAUAUAUAUAUAUAUAUAUAUAUAAAUGUAUGUGUGUGUGUGUUUCAAUUUUUACUUUUAAGGGGUGUUUGUUUUCCUUCAUAUAAGGCCUGGAUAGGCAAAAUUAUAUCAUGUCUGAUUGAUUGGUGUGUUUGGAGCCUUGGAUAUAUUGCUGUCAGAAAAUAUAAAUCUUGUCAGACCUUCGUAACAAAUCUGGCUAGAAAGGUGGAAUAUAACUUAUCCAUCAAUGAUUCAACNNNNNNNNNNNNNNNNNNNNAACUACUCUCUCUCUCUCUCUCUCUCUCUCUCUCUCUCUCUCUUAGAUCCAAAACCCGGCUUCGGCGACGAAAGCACCCCCAUCGCCCCGUCAACUUCCUCCUCAGUCUUCACGAAAGCAGUUGUCGCCCCCAUCCCCGACGACAAUGUGGACGACGUGGAGGCUAUCAUCAGCUGCCGCUUCUUGUCCCCCUUCGCGACUCUCCGAUCCUUUUCCAACAUCAUACGUGGCAGAAUCUCCGGGGUCCUCCGCAUCAUAAUCCGAUCGCCGAAUCUAUUGGCUAUGCUCCGUCGUCAGGUUUCUUCAAGAAUUUGCUGAUCGGUCUUUUCUUCGAUGUGAAUUCGAUGUUGAAAAGAAAUUGAUCUUUUUUCCUCUAUGGCAGUAUUGAUCGAGCUUCUGUUUCUUUUCAAAUUAUUAGCUAAUCUAAUUUCCAAUCCAACUUGCAUUCCAAUGCUCCAAACACACAGUAGGAUCAAGAUAUUCGUCAAUCCAAUCUGCUUAAAGUCCAAUCCAUAUCAGACAUGGAUACUUAUCUAAUCUAGUCAGGUCUGCCAAACACCCCCUUAAUGUUUAAGAAGGUAUUGUAAAGAUCUUGAUCAAGUUAACAGUAAUGAUUGAUUUUGUGAAUUGAAUAACGAGUUAACGAUGAUAAGCGAAAAAAAGAAAAAGUAAUAGAUUCAGAGAAGUGUGACAUUUGUUUUAAGCUGGGUGUCAACCCUUUCAUUGAUUCAACGGAACUACGUAACAACCUGCCCCAGUGGGGUUGACAACAGAAGUCAUUACAUGCAUGCAUAGUUCAACCUAUUAGUCACUCAUUGUCGGUGAGCUGUGGCUUGGUUGGUUAGGUUGGCUAACCAACAACGUUGAAGUCAUGUGAUCGAACUUCAUCGACGUAUGUAGGGUGCAUGAGUUUAUAACAAAAAAAAGAUAAUGAAGCUCAGCUAAAAUCUAAUCUACACUAAGAGAAAAAUAUGCCCAUAUAGCGUGAUUAGCCUUGACGACACCUAGCCUAAAAAAGCUUUAGGGUCUCAAAUACCACAUUCAUCUGAAAACAUAUAUACAUAUAAUGAUUUCUUAUGAAAUCCUCUUAGCUACACGAAUGUGUUUGUUAGUAACCAGAUGAUACUUAGCUCCAUGUAACAUUUUCAUUCCUACCAAGCAUUGUAAGUUGAGAUUUGCUUUUAUAUACUAAAGAAACAAAAAUAAUAAUAAAAAUCAAAAGAAGAUAUGUUUAAUUCACACAUGACAAUUAAAAUUUUUAACCUAAAUUUUGAAUAUAUAAUACGGUAAAUACCUGCUUAUAUAUGAUCAAAGUUCUCUCUUUUAAAAAAAAAAGUUGCAUAAUCAAGUUCAUAAUAAUUCUUAACCGAAGUGCAAUAUCAAUUGCAGUAGCUAUUUUUGCCCUUGCUGCCUCCAUGCAUAUCAAUCUUCCGGCCAGUCCAAAAACUUACUUUCUCAUACAAUGAUAAAUUAUAUUCUAAUGUUAUUAUACAGCUGUUCUCUACAUUGUAUGCUCAACUUUUCUUUUUUCAAACCUGCUACUAUAGAUUUUUUAUUAGAUUUUGCAUAUCCCUAAUUGUAAAAUUUAUCAAGUUUUGUAUCUUCUAACUAGCUUCAGCAAUUGCCACGGCAUGAUGCAACUACAUAAUAGUUCUGUUAUCUGCGUCUUAAGAAGUCUCAGAUCUUCAUUAAGUUUUGUAUUGGUCUCUGAUAAUAAUGUGUAUUUGGCUUCUGCAUUAUAAGCCCUAGCUGUAGCUUUUAAUUAUGUCUCUCAAGUUUGUCAGAAUAUUUCCCAUUUCAUUGAUUUCAUCUUUGAGUGAAGUCACCUUUUUACUUAGAAUAAAGAACUCUUGUUCUGAAGAGAGUAGCCUCACUUUUAAAUCAUCUUCAAUUUGUUUUGCUUCAGUCAAUUUCUUUUCAAGAUCCAUUUCUCUAGCCAAAGAUUUCUCUAGCAUCCUCUAAAUGCCUUUGUUGUGCAAUAAUUUGCAUUUCCAUUGGUUCAUUCUUGCUUGAAAAUAUAUCAUCUUUUAAAUUUUCUAAUACUCUGUUAUUAUUCACUCUCAAUAUGCAUGCAUUAGAGAUUAGAAUCAAUAGUAAAUCCUUACUAUAUCAACUUAUGCACUUAAGGUGCUUAUGCACUUAAGGUGGUUAGGACAACAUGCGCUACCUAGUUCACCGCCCUGGCAAAUGACCAGGGCCAAUCCUAAGUGAUAGGAGUAAGUGAUAGGAGGACUCAUGCGAAAAUCAAAAUAUGACCCUAUUUACACAAUUUUGACCCGAAAUGUAUAAAAAUAUAGAUCAAUAUUUAAACCCCUAAUCUCUCAUUCAAAAACAUGAAGUUUCAUAUGAUAUAUGUCAAGAGCUUCUAUUUAACUUUGAACAAGAAGCUCAUCUUUUCUUUUUCUUUGACGUAUGGCAUGACCUGAUUCAAAUUUCUAGUAAGAUGCAUUCUACCUACUCAUGAAGACUAAUAGUUCAUCACAAAUAAAACUAAAACAAAAAACAAAAAAUGACUGAUCAAUGAUUCAAUGUAUAACAUAAUGAUAACAAUAUCAAAUUAUGUCAUUGUUUCAAUAAGAUCGAUCAUAAGAAGAAAUCAAGAAUGAUUUCGAUAGGGACAUCGAUCAAAGGUUGAGAUGAUGAAAAAAAAUGAAGAAAAAAGACCUUUUGAUCAGACAUAUACAAAUAUAUAGUAAUGAUAAAGAGCUAUCACCAGAUGAAAAAAGAUGCAAAACGACUCAAGAAAAUAGAUCAAUAAUAAUUUCAAUAAGAUCAUCGAUUAAAUGAAGAAAAGAAAUAAGAAUGAAGAACACCGUUGAAAUAAAAAAAUAAAAAAAAAUUGAUCGUGUGAUCAAUUCUUUCAACGCUGUCUAAAACACUCUUACCGCCGAAGAGAAGACUCAGUUGGAGAAUCUGAUUCUGGGGAACAUCAAUGACAUUUGCAGACGGCUCAAUUUCUCUACACUAGAGUGUUUCUGACAGCUUUAGGAGUAUGCUAUUAUGGCUUUACAAGAACGGUAGACAAAUAUUGAUGUUUUGAAUAAGAAGUUGGUGGAAAAAGAAAGGGAGUUGGAGGAAAAACAAGUCGUAUUGGAUAGCCAAUCGGAGUAUUUGGUGGAGCUGGCAGCCGAUAUCGAAACACAACUUCGAGGUAACAAGUAUAGCAAUCAAUGAUGUCAAACUAUUGGCUAGGUCUGAUACAGACACCUUAACCGAGUCCGUCGUUGUCUGCACCAAACUAGCUUUGGAGAUCGGUAUAUCGGUUUUGGAGCCGUUUACAGCCUAUGUUGUACAAGAGGUUAGGGUGGAGGAGAAGAAAAAAGGGGAAGAGACAUCUCUUUUGGAGAUAGGUUGAUGAAAAAGAAUUUACUGGUUGAGAUUGAGGUUGGUGUGGCUUCGAUUAUUCUGGUGUUAAGCUUAAUUGAGAUUGUGAUGAGUUGCAGGAAGCAACCUUGGUGGGUUAAUGAUAGAUUUAGAUGGAGGAGGGUUAGUUGGGUUCUUGGUGUUUAUGAGGUGCUUAUUGCUAUCAUGGAAAUUGUUCUAUAUGCACUGGCUUUCCAAACUCACUGGAGUCUGCACAUUGCACUGUUUGCAUGGGUCUAUGGAUUCUAUUCAAUUUGUGAGAAGCUUGUGAAGAAAUUGACAAGGAAAGAGAGGCUUUAUGAGACUGUUUUGUUCGAAGAAUUAAGAAUCCGUGCAAGAGGAGGAUUCGAGUAGGUGCUAGAGGAGCUGGUUGUAUUUCUUUUCAAAUUUCUUGGUUUGUUCAUCUGGAUUUUUAAGUUUGUUUUUAAGGAUUGUUGUUUGUAUUUGGAUUUUCUCAAUUUCAGAGUGAAGUUUAGUUUUAUAUUAAAAAAAUAAUAAUAACAACAGAGAAAGAAAUCUAAGAUUAAAUUAUGUAUCAGUGAUUCAAUGUUUUUAACAGAAUUUGAUCUUUUGAGAAAUAGGAAUUAAGAAUUCGGGUUUUACUUAGAUAAUAGAAUACAAAAGAGCAAGUCCACCCAUAUGAUUUUUCAUGACCUAGGUCAUGAGCCACAUAAGUAUGAUGACCCAAGCCCAAAAGUGACAUUCCACCCAUAUAAAAAAGGACUAAUUUCAGUUUACCCCCAUCAACUUUAAGUUGAUCAUCAUGUUAGUCAUUCUUCUUUCAAUUUCAUCAAAAACACCCCUCGACUCCCAAUUUUCAUUAGUUGCGCAUGUCCAAACCUCUAAUCUCCAUCCAAUUCAUCUGUCAAGUGAUGACUUGAUAUCAAGAAGAAAGUCAAAUUCUGAAAGUUACCUUUCGGACCAUUUUUCCCCCAUAUCGAUACACAUCUUCGUUCCAAUCACAACCCCUUAACCUUAGUGAUUUUGGUGGGAUUGAAUGCAAUUUGUCUAUUUUCCUUUUUCUUUCUUCUUGAUAUCAAGUCAUCACUUGACAGAGGAAUUGGAUGGAGAUUGGAGAAUUUGGACACGCGCGGCUGAUGAAAAUUGGGAGUUGAGGGGUGUUUUUGAUGAAAUGGAAAGAAGAAAGACUAACAUGAUAAUCGACCUAAAGUUGAUGGGGAUAAACUGAAAUUAAUCCUAAAAAAAAUCACACCCCAUCUAUCAUUGGGUCUUCCCUUGGGUCAUCACCAUGACCUAGAAUAAUGACCCAAAGACUUGGGUCUUCCCAGCACUAUGUCAACCCCACACACCCACAUGGCCGACAUCAACGACGCGGAGAGAGAAAGUUGACGCCCUAUUAUUACGCGUCUUACGCACAGACCACUCACUUUGCUCCAUUAUUUAUGCGUGUGUUGCAGUCAUUUGUCAUGACUUGCCCCCCAUCCCGACCUAUGUCAACCUACAUGUGGUGUAUUUAAAAAGUUGAACACAAAAAUAAUGCAAUCAUGACCCUUUGUUUGAAUACAAAUGUCAAUCUAAUAGCUCACAAUUUCUUUAAGCCCAUAUAAUGAAAAAAUAUAAAAAAAUAGAAAAAUCAUAUAAAAAAUUAGAAAAUGAUAUAAACCUAAGACAAACACAAUAAUCUAAUUAAUAUUUAUAUUAUGUUUUAAUAUUUACUUAAGCUAAAUUCACUUAUCUUUUAUAUUCUAUUUAUAUGCAAUAGAAACCCUUAUUAACAAUAAGAAAAAGUAAUAUCAAAUUCAAUAAACUGUAAAUGUCACGUGUUGACCCAGAAACAUAAAUCAACUGGUGGAAACUACUAUACAGUGGCAAUUACCCAUAGUGACCCAGGUUAACCCCCAACGAUGAUCCAACGGGUGAACUUGGUGUUAAUAUGGAUGAAUACAUAUCACUAUAUUAGAAGUGGCGAGAAAGACAUUGCAGAAUGAGAAAAUUGCACAUAAAAAAGAAGAAGGUAGGAUUCGAACUGAGGUGGAGGGGUUUUGAGUUUUAAAAACUUAACCAAUUUAGCUGUAACAUAUCAGCUUUUGCUACUAUUAAUCCAUUACUGUAUGAUAAAAAUUUUCAGAGAUCCUCGAAAAUCAGAGUCUCUAUGCGACCGCACACAUGGUACGGCCCAAAGGCCGCUCCUGGAAGUGACAAUCCCAUGAUAUGCAUGUAUUAAGCAAAAUGAAAUGUAACAGUAACAUGCACUCCCUAACAAUUUGACUUAUAAACCAUAUAUGGUCUUCUCAUUAUAAAACCCUAGCAAUCUCAUCCCCAUAUACAAAAUAAAUGAGAAAUUAAUGAUAUUGAAAUAACAUUACCAAAAUCAUUUUGAAUGAGACUAGUGGCUUACAGUUUUCUUCUCCAUCGAAGCAUGAAUUUUUUUCUGGAACUUCAAAGAUUGCAUCUUGAUUUCAGAUACAUGUUCUUGUAACUGCUUCAAAGACUGCUCAGCAUUGUGCAAUUUUUCUUCCAUUAAUGUAAAUAUUUCUCCCAAGUAUGUGUAUGGAGACAACAACUCUUGGGAAACCGUGAUCUCUAUUUGAAGUAGAGCCAUGAGCUUAUCUAAUUCACCCGCCUCAGAGUCUAAAAUUCUAGAUAGGAGAGUGAACUCCAGUUUCAUGUUGACAUAAUCAAUUGUUUCAUGCUCUUCAUUGAAAAUAAAGGCCUCAAAAUCACUCUUCUUGGUUGCCACUUGCAUCAUAAAACCACUUAAAUUAAGCAACUUCUCAGAAGCACAUGCUAUGUCCAACUCAACUCUAGGUAUAACCUCACUUAUUUUUUGUAUUUCUGCUAUAACCAUGCCAUCAAAUGAGACAAUUUCAAAACUGUCAACUUUACUCAUCUCUACUAUUGCGAUGUCAAUAUUAACUUUAUUGUCAAAAACACCUGCUUCAUAAGUAGCAUCAUUGUCCAUUUUAAGGGUGCAAUUAUUCAAAUGUUUCUGAAACCUGAACAUCAAUAAAAAAAACAAAUAAGCUCAUCUUAAACAAAUAUUAAAAAUUUAUUACUCAAUUAUUUAAAAAUUUCCUUGAACAGUUGGAUCCAUAAUUUAUGCUGACUCUCAACCCAAAGUUUGGAAUUCUUUCAUAAAUUCAAGUAUCUCAGAUGCACAUACAUAUUUGAUUAUGAAACAAUAUCUCAUACUUAGGCUUUAGAAUUUAGCUAUUAGGAUUCGAAGAUUUUGCAUUGUUCUUGGAUAAUCAUAAGCCAAUGUUGACCUACUACUGUAAUUGUAUGAGAAUUCAACCGAUCCAAUAAGAAACAAAAAUAUCAAGCAGAUUGAAUGCAUAUACAUAUCCAUACUAAUGAUAAAUCACCAAUAAUUGGAUCAACAACGAAUUCACUUACAACUCAAGAAUUUAGAUUCAUGACACAACCUUUUUGGUUACUAUGUCUAUCCUCAUUUUUUGAAAAAUCAAACUUUUAUUGUACUUCUAAAGACAAACAAUGGCACCAAACAUCCUAUAAUCAAAGAAUCAUUUGUUUCUUAUAUAUAGCAUACUGAAAUUCCCAGCAACUUCAAUCAAAAGUAAAUAAAACAAAGACACAAAAUUAAUUCGAAACAUGAGGAGAAAUAAUGACCUGAAACUUGCAGAACUAAAUCUCUUCGCUACUUGAUCAAAAUCUUUAAGAGAAAUGAGGAAUUAACCCCAAAGUUAAGUCUCUUGGUUGCUUGAUCUCUGACGAUCAAACUGUCUUUAUUAUAAAAUUAUUUAAAGCUAAUGAGAAGAAUGCAAAAUAUAUCAUUCUCUUUCUAUCUACCUAUUUCAGUUUUUGUAGAUCAAAUCGGGGAUCAAAAUCUGACCCUUGUCUCUCUCCCCAACUCUUGAUUUCCACCUCUGUGGAUCAAGCUGCUUUGUAGUACAUUUGCUGUAAUGAUAUUUAAAUAACAUAAUGAGACAAUUACCUACGAAAAAAAAUAUCAAAAUGGUUAUGGAAUUUUUAGAAAUUUUUUUAUUAACUUAAACUAUAGAUGAGAAUAAUCAUGGUGGUCUCAAGCCUACCCGCCUUUAUUCACACUGAUAAAUUUAUGAUCCAGGGUAAAUGAAGAUUAGACACGUCAGACUCAAAGAUGGACAAGCAAUCUAAAAACUGAUCUUAGAUUUUGAUCAAAUGUAAGUUUGUCAUAGUUUAUCACUAAUUAACAACAAAGGUUAGUUUUGAUUUAUUGAUUGAUCAAUCACUUCUAAGUAUAUAUGGGUCCAAUUCAAGAGACACUUUAUUUAACACAAAUUUUUACACCGUUUUUUAACCGUUAGAUUUAAUUGCUUUCAAUGGUCUUGAUCCAUUAUAAGCAUGAUGUGGCAGAUGAUGUGGAAAUAAUUAUAUAUGUAUUUUCAUACCAAAAACAAUAGAUAAACUUUAAUAUAAUAAAUUUAUAAUUAAGGAAAAUUAGAGAUAGAAGAUGAAGGUAUUCUUCUUUCUAGGAAAUAUGAGAAACAAAAGCUCUUCCUUUUCUUUGUUGAUUCUUCUUGGGAAAAUUCCCAUUAGUCUUAAAUAUAGAGAUUUUUUUAUCACUAACAAAAAGAGAUUAUAAAAUUCUCAUCAGCCUAAUAGACUCUUUGAGACUAUUCCUAGUAACAAAAUUUUUAACUUUUUGUGUUUUUUUCGUGACCAAAUUACCUUUGUUUAGAUCCCUUUUCUCUCUUUUGUUUCUCUCGUUUAGAUCUUUGCUUCUCUUCGCUCUCUCUCUCAUAACCAGAUCUGGACUCGGCAAUCACAUUCAAUGUCGUCGGAGCUCCAGCGUGCCUCUCCCGCCGAAUCUCUCACCCAAGCCAGCAUCCUUAUUCACCACUAACUCUCCUCGACGUCGCCGCCUCGAUGAUGGCCUCUCGAUGACGACGAAGGACGAUGCCUCGACGUCAAUUGAUGAAGAUCAUCGACAUUAAGGUUUCCUCUACCGCAUCGACGAGGACUAGGUUUACGCCAGAGACGCUCGACGUUUGCUGUGACCAGAGACGCUCGUCGAGGAAGUUGAUGACUAGGCCAAAACGGAUCAAACUCUAAUUGAGAAGUACAAGAUCACAUCAACAUAUUUUGAUCGAGAAUCACCAGAUCUGGUCGACGACUUGAAGAUCCAGACCUCCCUUAGUACAAUGUGUAAAUUAUAUCCUGCGGUUUAAAAUCUUCAUUCAUAGUUUUUGGUUAUUAAGGCUGAUGUGGAUUUCUAAGGAAGAAUACGACGAGUCUGGUCAAUCCAUUGUUCACAGGAAGUGCUUCUAAGUUCUACAAAUGUUUUGGCAAUUUAGUUGUAUUUUUGUCUCAAGUGUCAUGUGAAGGACGAAGUUUGUAGUGGAGACUGAUUGGGAUGUUUUUUCUGCCUUUUUUUCUUCUUUGUUCUAUAUUUGAAGGUCUUUUUUCAUGGAAACAUUAAUAUUACUAGUUUUAUUGUAUCUGAAUGGUAGUGUCAGUUUGUGGUCCUAAACUGCUAUGAGAAUUAUAUUUAAAUAUUGGCUUGGAAGCUUGAGAGGAAUUUCGCUCCCGCUUGCCUGCUUGUUGUAUCUGUAUGUUGUUGCUCUUCCUCACAAGUUGAGAACUGAAGAUGAGUUCGAGUAUCCUUUUCUGCUCUCAAACUUAUAUCUAUUGAUACAACUUCAACCAAUUGGGGCAUUGUAAGACAUUUUUGUUUUAUUUUCUGUGUGCAUUAUUAGACUAUUGAUUAAGGUGACUAUUGAUCAUAAAUACACCCAAACCAGCAUAGAAAACUACAUCAUAGAUUAGAACUAUGCUUCCCCGUACCAGUCCCUUCAUACCACACUACCAUCCAUCAGCAACCUUCUACUGCGCCCAGUAGAACCCCUGACGUCAUACCUCCUAUUACCCCCAAUAGACCCCAUACUGCCCCUAAUAGACCACUCGACAAACCUCCUAUUGCCCCCAAUCAAUGACUAAAAUAUCAGCUUUUGGGGAAAUAUCGAAGAUCCGGAAAAUGGAAAUUUCAAUGGAAGUUUCAGGAAAUAUAGAUUUAGAUAAAAAUUCGACUGGAAUUCAUGGAAACUUAGAGGAUAUAUAGAAACAUAUAAACCUACUAAACAUAUUCCUCUCCGGCAUGAAUGGUUGGGAGCUUAUGAUAUAAGCUACCAAACAAAGGUUCGAGUCUCCUUGACUCCAUCUUUGCGCCAUUUUUCCUAAAUUUUGAAUAUAAAUUAGUUCAUUGGGGCCAAGUUGGCCAUGGGACAACACGAAAUUCGAGAAUUUCUCCCAAUGUCCAAUAAUUUUGAAAGUUUCCAACGAAAUUGUUCGAUAUGUAAUAAUUAUAUCGGGAGGACGAGAAAACGAAAAUUUUGCCGAAAUCAAUUUUGUAGUCCUUGCUCUCAAUAAACCUCAUACUACCCCUAAUAGACCCCUCGACAGACCUCAUAUUGCCUCUAAUAGACCCCCUAUUGCGCCAAUAGAAUCUUGACAUACCUCCUAUUGCCCGGCCCCUGAUAGACUGCCCUACUGCCCCCAAUAGACCCCUUGACAGACCUCAUACUGCCCUCAAUAGACCUCAUAUUGCGCCCAAUAGAACCCCUACUGUCUUUACUAGACACCAUAUCACCGGAGUCCCGUCAACGGUCGCGGAGCCCGGUAAAAAGUCGUCGAAGCCUAGUCUAAUCGUUGUGAAAUUCGGAUAACGGUCGCCGAAGUUCGGUCAAUGUCAUCGGUCGUCGGAAUACGGUCAUAGAAUCUUUAUUUCAUAAUAGACCAUUAUAAUUGUAUAUUGUAGUUAAUUUAAUUCAUUAAGGAUAUAAUUGUCUUUUUGCUGUCUAAGUUGACUCUUAGAAAUUUAAAAAUGUGAUUUUGUUGAUAGGAAUAAAAUUCUCAAAAUUAGGGCUAGUGGGAAUUAACCCUUCUUCUUUUUGCUUGAAUAAUUCAUCUAAAACCUAUUGUUGAUUCUUCUUUUUGCUUGAAUAAUUCAUAUAAAACCUAACAGCCUCAAAUAAAUUCACUUAAAAGUUCAAGUAAAUGGACUGGAUUAUGUUCCUCCCGCCUCUUGUCUAUUAUAUAGUAAUCGAAAGUCAUUACCAUACAUCAGUCCUACAAUCCUGCUAUUUAUUAGAUUACUGGUUAGAUGAUUGGAUCAUCGUAUAGACACCAUUGGGUCCAUUGUUAUUGCCAAAUGCCAAACUUGGUGUCCUUAUCAAAUUAGUAUGAGCAAUGGUACAGUUUUUAUAUCUCUCUUCUUCUUGAGUUUUCAAUGGUCUUCAGAUUCCCUCUUCUUUCUUUUACAUUGGAUUUAGGUAAGAUUUUUAUUUUUUAUUUCAAUGAGAUCUAGAUGAAGAAGAUUGAUGGUCUUUGUUUUUUUUAUUUUUUCUCAAUUACAUUUAUCGUUUGCAAUCAACUUGGAGAAUAUACACUUCGAAGGAGAGAGUUAGCCGUUGUUUUCUUUCUGCACAAAGAAGAAGAAGAAGAAGAAGUUCAUCUUCUAAUUUUGAUUUGAUUUUCUAUACAAAAUCAUCCUCAUUUUGAGUUUAAAAUUUUUCUUUUUAGAAAAUAUCAUCUGCCACAUCAUGCUUAUAAUGAAUCAAGGCCAUUGAAAACAAUUAAAUUUAACGGCUAAAAAAGGGUGUAAAAAUUUGUGUUAAAUAAAGUGUUUCUUGAACCGGACCCAGUAUAUAUAUAGCUAGCAACUUGAAAGUCAUGUAAUUACCUUAGGUUACAAUCGUUACAUAAGACAUAUUCAUGACAACAAUGAAAAAAAAUAAUUAAUAUAUUCAGAGAAAAAUAAAACGAAUCGCACGCGCAUACAUACCGCAUGCAGGAAUGCUAGUUAAUUGAAAAAUUGAUAUUAGAGAUGACAGCUCUCAGUCUCUCUCUAUGGCGACGUCUAAACUUAGGUUUCUCCCACUCAAAUCCCAUUAGUUCUCGACUAUAUUAUGCCUAAUUUCCGGCUGACUUCGGGUUGCUACAUUCUUGUCAUUCCUUUUUGGCGUCAUUUUAAUGAACCCUAUUUUUCAAUGGAGAUUCAAACCGGAUCUAGGAUCUUAGGGUGCCAAGGUAAUUUGAUGGAACAAUUUCUAUGUUAUUAUGUAUUAGGCGUAGGCAGCAGUAAUAUUCUUUAUUAUACUGUGUAAAAGACUUAACCCAUAGUAUUGUAGUAGGAUAAUCAAGGCCCAUCCGGCCCAGCAGUAAGAAGUUGUUGUAGGCAGUUAUUUCCCUUGAUUGUAGGAGAUUAACUCGGAUACAAAUUUGCUCCCCACCUUGUUUCUCCACUUUCAUCCUCACCCACCCAGAUAUAUGACAUAUGUCUAUUUUUAUUUAACUUAUCUAACCAUGGUUAACAAUUAAUAUGAAUAUAGAAUUAAUUAAUUUAAUUUAAAUUUAUCAAAUUGGGCAUUUCAGGUUUAGGGUUUUAAGCAUUAGGGUUUUAAGGUUUAGGGGUUAGGGGUUAGGGCAUAUUUUUAAUCAUGAUUAGACAGUUAAGUAAAACCCUAAAACUCCAAAACCCUAAACCUUAAAUCCUAAACUCAAACUCUAUCCCUAAUCCCUAAAAAACCCUAAAACCCUAAACCUUAAAAUCCUAAAUACCCAACCUCAUAAAUCUAAAAUAAAUAAAUUAAUUCUAGAUUCAUAUUAAUUGUUAACCAUGGUUAGAUUAGUUAAAUAAAAAUGGACACAUGUUAUGCAUCUGGGUGGGUGGGGAUGAAAGUGGGGAAAUAAGGUGGGGAGCAAAUUUGUAUCCGAUUAACUCCAUAUAAGUCAGUAAACUGAUAUAGUUUGAUUAUGGAUGAAUGAUAUGAAUAUUGUUUAGUUUAUUUCCUUAGAUUUCCCUUGAUUUCCUAGUUUUCCUUUUAUAAAUGGAUUCUGAUCUUAACAAUUGGUAUCAAAGCCCAAAUAUGGGUCUGUUUUCGGCGAAGUAUGGUGGCGUUAUUUUUCACGACUAUGGUCUUAGUUCUUCCAAUGGAGUUCCUUUUCAUCUUCAAUACCCAUUUCAAACGAUAACCAAGUUUUCACAGCCAUAUCAUUACCCACCACCACAACCCAACCAUUAUGCAACCAUGAUCAAUGGUUACCCAUUCCUUACUGUAACUCCUCAAGUCUCUUACAAUAAUGCACAGAUGUUCCAAUAGCCACCACAUAUUGCUCCGCUGCCCUUUAACAGUAACACUCCUCAAAGCCUUUCUAUUCCUCUUUACUCACAAUCGAGUUUUCCAUUUGUUCAGUACAAUUCAUCAUACCCUAACUUUGAUCACAAAUAUCCUUCUCCUCGGCGCGAGCCAUUAAGAAAUUUUAGACAGAAGGUCGUCAUGGCAACAAAAACAAGAACUCACAAGAGAACCCGAAAACCACAUAUGCUCUGUGAUGUGGGUAAGUACUGGUAAUUUGAAGAGACAAGGUCUGAUCGAUGAACACUCAGAUUCUUAAUCGUCCUCGCCGAAUGUUAACGACAUUGUUGUGGCAACCAAUUUUCAGAACAAAAACUUGGCAUCUGAUUAUAUUGAAGUUACCAAGAAUGAUUUUCUUUUCCAGAAAGACUUCAUCCUGGGUUGUCGUGGUUCUGAAAAUGUUGACAUACAGGAUUUUAUGAUUGGUGAUUUAUUGCAAGACUGUUCUGAUUCGAUUCCAAUAAUCAAGAUAACUGGUGGUCUUUUGCAUAGCCAUGCGGAUUGCCUAAAGGAGACUGCCAUACAUACAGAGUAUCAAUUUUUUAGUUUUCCUUUUUAUAAAUGGAUUCUGAACGUAACAUAAUUUGAUGGUGUUGGAGGCGUCGUUGCGGGGCUUCUUUAGGGAUUCUGAACGUAACAUAAUUUGAUUGGUAUCAACUAAUUAAAAUGACCAGCAAAAUUUUUAUCUCCAAAAACCCUCGUGUAAGAAACAAAGCCGCUAAACCCUACGGGAGACGAAUAAAAACGAGAGGCUAGACCGGACAACAUAAAACCGAAGGCACUGAAUUAACGAGUGUUGGCGCCAAAUUAGUCCGGUGCCGCCAUGUACGGCCGUCCUUCUCGCUCCUCCGGCGCCGCAUGGGGUCAGGCCUCGUCGGUUCCUCAGCCUCUGAAUCCUAAUUUCUCACUCCAAAACCCCAACACUCCGUAUCUCUACCCUAUAAACCCUGCCUUUCAAGCUUACCGGAACUUCUCCCCCAACAAUCUCCCGCCGCCGCAAAACCCUAGCUUCGUUCCCCGGCAGUUCUCCAAUUCGCCGUUCCGGCCUCCUCCGCCUCAGAUCUCCAAUGAACUGCUGGAGAAAGUCGACCGCGCCGUGGCGAAGGCUCGGUCGGACCUUAUUGCCGCCGGCGACGGCGUCUCGGCGUGGAAGGUUUCGCAGUCGGCGCUUAUGAUGCUCCAGAUUGAUGGCUGGGGCUCUUUAGGGUUUCAGAUGCAGCAGGUGCCGUCUCUACAGCGUCUGAUGUUCACUGAAGGCAAGGUAAUAUUGAAAAUGGAUUUCAGAGUUGAUUGUUACUGUUAAUCUGUUUAGGUCAAUGGUUUGUGUUGUUGCAACAAUUAAUUUGGUGAAAAAGAUAAGAGAAAACGUUUUGAUUGCAUGGAAUGUACUGAAUUCAUCACUAUAAUAGAUACUGAUGUGGUUUUAUAUUCUCGAUUUGAAUGAGAGCUAGACUUUGGGUGAUUAUGUACAGUGUUGUUUGUCUUCUGUAUUCACCUACUUUUAGUUGCUUAGGGAGCUGGAGGCCUGGAGUAAUAGGCCCUUUGGCAUAAUAGAAGCAAUCAUGAGGAGCUAGCAACUAUAUGAUAUCUCUUGUUUACUUGUCAACUGUGAAGAAUAAUGUACAUUGUUAAAUUUUCUGUCUCUCGAUUAAAUCCUGCCUCUAAUUACUUAUUCUCUGUUGGGAUAUAGAUAAAUGCAUUUAUCCAGUGUUUUGUUGCGGUUCGAAGAAUUUCUUCAUUAUAUGAUAUGGAAGUAGCAAUCUGCAAGAAUGAGGGCAUCGAGAAGUUUGAAGAGCUAGGAUUGGGACCGUUGGUGCGACAUCCACUUGUUUUGCAUUAUUACUCAGUGAAGUCUAAUACUAAUAAAGUUUAUAAGAUUACUAGCGAUGAGAUAAUAUCUUUACUCUCUGCCUACAUGGAUACCUGCAAGAACAAAGAAAUUAAGAUUGAAGAAUUUUUAGAUUUUAUUGUAAAGAAGCGAUCAGUUGCAAGCAAGGAAGAGCUUGGAAUACGAAUUCAGAGCAUCGGGUAUGUCACAAUUUUUUUGUUUCUACAUCUUGACAAAAAUUAAAUGAUUACUAUAAGCUGGUUUGGUAAAUAGUGUUGCACCAUAUUUCUUUAUAGAUCCACCGAAAGCUAUAGCAGUUAGUAUUCUGUCAAUGUUAUGGAUGUUGGGUUAUAAGGGUAGCUUCCCUUCCCUUAAUGAGCCAAGAUUACUUCACAAUAAUUUGUAAUCAAGUAAUUUGAACUGUCCUUUUCAGGACACACACAAAAUAUGUUCCUUGAAAUUAUGCAAACAUACAAUGGUCUUCAUUGAAGCAAUUUUUUUAUGAUCACAGGAUGCAUAUAUCUGCUAUCCGCGCUGUGAAGAAAACUGAACCGUCUUUCAAGCAAACAUCUAAGAAAGAUAAGAAGAAGCGUUACUUCUCAUUGAAAAGGCAAUUAGAUGAACGUUUCAGCGACAUUUCUCAGCGUGUUGAAUCAUUUUCCUCUGUACAGAAGUUUUGUGGCGAGCACAUUAGGUUUGAUUCUUCAAAAGACUCGGAGGCUGAUAGUAGUGAUGAUGAUGUAUCUGAAGAUGGUGAUGAAGUUAAUGACCAUUCGACAGGUAAUCAAGUUAAAUUGUCAUCUAAAUCUGUUACAAGCUCUGACCGAGCUAGCAGAUGUCCUUACCCUUCUGAACUAGAAGAGAAGAAACGGCUAGGAUUGAGCCAGCUUUCACCAGCUAGUUGCUCCCAAAAGCAGAGUGAGAGUAAUCAGUCAGCUAAAAAGAAAAGAAACUAUGAAGAUGUAAACAGUGCAAUUUCAGUGCCUGCCAAAUUGCGUAAGAGAGAUAAGGUAGGAGAAGAUGCUCCUCGAACAAAGAAUGGCCGGAAAACCAAUGAGGUUAGCAAUUCGGAUGAAAAUGAUCUCUCAAUUACCAAUACAUGUUUGAAGAUCUUCAUUACAACUUGGAAGGAAGCAUGUCGGGAGAACACUGUGGCUGAGGUAUGUUCAUCCUGUUGUUAUGAUGUGUACAGCUGACCAAUGCAUUUUACAGUGUAGUAAACACCUGUGUUUAUCCAUUUUACAAUUUUUUUCCUGUUAACUAUGAAAGACAGAAUAAUGCUGAAGUGCUUUUCAAAAAAAGAAAAGAAAGAAUAAUGCUUAAGAGAGCAAUUUUUUUUAAUUUAUUUUUUUUUAGUUCUAUGUUCAAACCACAUGAAUGGAGCACUUACCCAUUGGACAGUGCUAAAAAGACCACAUGACAAUGGUUGAACGCUACAUCAUGUAGUCAAAACUGUGGUAGAAGAAUAAACAAAUUUAACAUUUCUGCAUAGCGUGACUGGCAUUUAGAAUUUUCAAUGCAAUAUUUAUUGACGUAAAAUUAAUGUUGAAUUUGAUCAAUCUCUAACUCUUUGAUGAUAACAUUAUGGUAGAAAGUUUGCCUCAUUCUCUGACUAGAAGUUCUAAUAUUUAUAGUAAAAUGGAAUUGCUUGUUAAUGUAACCGGUUUCUGGGAAGGCUACUUGUGAAGUGAUAAGAGAGAAAUCUUGGGAAAAAUAAGUACAUGUCAAAGUUAAAAUUUUUGGCUGCUGUUUAAUUUUAUUUUUGUUUCUAAAACUAAAUGCGUUCUUAGAAUAUGCCUUCUGUUUCUUGUAGGUACUUGAUAGAUUACUGCAGCUUAAUAACACAGACGCUGAGAAGAAAACAGAAAUCAAGUCAAUGUUUUCCUUGGAUCCAUUAAUUGGAUUGUUAAAUGUUGCUGUAAGUCAUUGCGUUCCAUCAUCGGUUUAAUGCCACAAGUGAUAUAUCAUUAUUUUGUGGAUAUUUAACUAUUAUAUCAAGAAGUUUUUAAAGUGUGAAUAAUAAUAUGGCUUAUGUCAUGCAUGUAUGUAUUGUUCUGUACAAAAGUGUAGUUUAUCUACAUACUUUAAUUUUAAUUUUGCCUAUGAUGGACUGAUUGAAUACAUCUCAGUCUCCUGUACUUUACAACUUCAAGAACCGUACGUUUGUAUAAAUAACUCCCUUGAUGUCUCCAUCUAUGCCAAACAGGUUCAAAUAAAUAUGAUCUUUAAUGAAAUUGAUGAAAUUCUUUGGUGGCUUUUAGCAUAAAUCCUUGAUUAGUAAUCGGUUCAAAUGCUUAUUUAGUUAUGUGGAAAACAUACAUACAAUUGUACAGCUUCUUAGCUACAUUUCCUUAUAGUUUGAUUUCCCAUCUAGUUAUUGAAAAGACUGCUGAUUAAUUUUAUCGUUACAGAUGGUUGAAAGUUGUAUUAGGUACAAUUUAUUUAACUUAUUACUUUUGCAAUACAUUUGUCUCUAAGAUAUAUAGAUUGACUACACAGGUGCAGUGCAAUGCUUCAAAACUGUGAUGGAAUAUAUGGUCACUUGGCUGACAUUGUUGCUUCCUUGUUGUAGGUCUCAUCUAUCAAAUCCGGAUUGUGGGAUAGCAUGUAUGAUACGUUCCAAACUGUUGGUCAGUUAACUGACAAUCGUCCAGAUAACUGUCCUGAAUAUGUGAACAUAGAUGUUGAACCAAGUAUUAAAGAUGAGAAGAGUACCAAGGAUGCACCAGUCAUUCCUGAACAUGCUGUUGAGCACAGGCACAGUGAGUGACAUUGGCUUCUCGUACCAUUUGACUAGAACUAGAGUUUAUUAAAUUUAAGAAAAUUUUGUAUACUUAACAUUCCUGCUUUCCACAAAUUACACUAAUGAGAAAAGGCAUGCGUAAGAUCCACUUUGGAUUACCUUGCACAUAUAAACUUUCCCAUGUCAAAACUUGCACUCCAUGUGGAGCCUUGUGCUCCCUGGAUCUGCCUGUUAUUCUCCCGAUGUUGGAGCAUAACAUACAAAUCACUUGAUAAUUCUCCUUAAAAGUCCAAUGUAUCUCUUGCAUUUGAUCUAGCUGGUGAAAAUAGCACAGUUUCUAGAAACAUUAGUGUUACAGAGAUGUUCCUGUGAAAUGUUCACCACAACUUCCUAGAGAUUAGUGUUCAGUCCUGAUAUCUGAAGAGCAUAUAAUCUAAGUGAUGCUGCUUUGAAAAGUCAGGGUUUGUGUAUUUUAGUUAAAGGGUGGUGCUGCAUUGUCUUCGUUGCAUUUUUGGUCCAUCUUUUUUUUUUUUUUUGAUAAAAUAUCAUUGUAUUUUUUUUUUUUGUCCUUUCUUUUCUUUUCAUUAUUCUUGAUUUGUUAUACUUUUUUUUUGUUUUCUACUAACUCUGAGUAGAUAACAGAAUGUUGAAUAAGUGAGUACCUGAAAGUAUAUCUUUGGAUGGUAUUUGAAAUGUCAGUUAUCCUAUCAAUAUUUGUCAUUGCUUAGUGUUUGGAAGCAAGAGCCGGUGCUUGAUCUCGGUUAUUGUCUUGUUUUGCAAAACUUACCUUCCUAUAUAAAAGUUCAUGGGUCAGGACUGCCAGUAUGUGCAAGGAAAACGAUAUGUCUUCUAUUUUGUAGAUCCACAAUUGAGCGGAAUUGAAUUUAGAAAUCAAAUAAUAUUUGAACAGCUAACUAAGCAUUCUGUACACCAUCAGUUUAGUGCUUUGAAAAAUUGUACAACAUGAACCCUUCAAGUAGAAAGAAGAAUAAAUACAACUAGGUUCAUCUUGGACUUUACAUUAUCUUCUGUAUUUUGACUAUUUGCUGGAGUUGAAUCUUAGCUUAAGGAUUUUAAUUUUUAAAAAAUUGUUUUUAGCAAUAACCAGAUGUGUUCUCUAGUUCAGCCGAUUCUGAUAUAGUUCAAUGGAAGAAUACUGUACUAUAUUGGAAGUAGCCCUUUCCCUACCCAGAACCUACACCAUUUCGCUGGCGAGUCUAGUUACUAUGAGUACAAACCUCUUCAUUCGUAUACAUUGACACCCUUUUUUAUGUGUUCUCUCAGUAGACUUGUAAACCUUAUGGUAUUUUGUUAUUGAAUUUCACAGGUGUUUCUGUUGAGGACAUAAUCAGGAAACUUACGAUGUAUUUUGAGAUUGAUCAAGGUGUACAUGGCAAUGGUAGAUCACUCCAGGAGAAAAUAUGUACCUUCUUGACAAAGCUUUGCAGUUGUGAACUAUGGUUAGUGGAAGAAUUUUCUGUCAAGGAGUUUAGAUCUCUUGGUCAUGGAGAGUUUUUACAGUUCUUAGAAAAUUAUGCAGGGCUACUUCCACAAGAGCUGUGCAAGUACCUGACUGAUGAUGUAAUUGGGAAGUGCCCUUUGGAAGUCUGCAUGCUUCAGCCCCAUUUGGUUGUUUUACUAUCUCAAGCGUUUAAUAGUUUAUGGGAGGAUGAAAAUAUCACAAAACAGGAAAUUAUGUUGCUGCUUAGGAAGCAAUUCCCAUCGGUCAGUUUCAAAAUUAUUGAAAAUGGUUCAGUAGAAGACUUUUUAAGCAUAGUGGGAAAACAUAAAGAUGAUGUGAUUUCCAAAUGUGUUCUAUUCUCAAUGGCAUUAAAUGGCACUAGCUAUGCUAUUGACUCAUCAGUACAUUACGAGAACGUCCUAUUGAAAAGCAUGACAGUGAGUUCUGACAGUUGCCAGAAAGAUGUAUCUGUUACAUCCAAGGAUGCAAUUAAAGUCUUAGCUAGGGCACCAAUGAUGUCCGACUUAAACUUAUGGUCACACUGGGACCUUUUGUUUGCUCCUUCACUCGGUCCUCUUAUACCAUGGUUAUUAAAUGAAGUUAACACAGAUGAGUUGUUGUGUUUGGUGACCAAAGAUGGAAAAGUCAUUCGGUUAGACCAAUCAGUUACUGUAGAUUCAUUUGUGGAAGCUGCCCUUCAAGGAUCAUCUUUUGAAACAGCACUGAAAAUGUUAUCUCUAUUUUCAAUAGUUGGAGGAGAAAAACAUGUUCCUGUGCCCCUUUUGAAAAUCCACAUACAACGUGCAUUUGAAGUCAUUUUGAAAAAUUUUGUAGAUAACAUGGAAGUACAUCACGAUAAGUAUGGAAAAGCAUUGUUUGGACAGCAAAUGGUUGGUGAAGAUGCUGCUGGUAAAUUAUCACACAGAGACUUACAGAAGACAGAUAUUGGAAAACCCAUUAUAUCAAGAUUUUUUCUUGAAUGUCUUGGGUAUCUUCCUGCAGAGUUUCGUGCGUUUGCUGCAGAUUUAUUGCUUUCGGGAAUGCAAUCUGUUGUCAAACAUGCGCCUUCAGGUAUAUUGAGUGAGUGCAGUCAAUUGGAGCAACGUAUAAUGCUUCAUGAAGUUGGCUUGUCUCUUGGUAUAGCUGAGUGGAUUAAUGAUUACUACGCAUGUCUUACCAAUGAUACCACUCAGUCAUUCAUGUCUGCGGAUUCAUGUACCAACGCCGUUGGACAUGAAAUGGGGUUAGGUUCAAAGCCCUUGCAAGAUGUUUCAGAUGCGUUUGACACUUCUGGAGGAAGCAUGGUUGGAUCUGUUAGGGAAGAUGUGCAGGAAGUUGGAUGUACUGAUGUCUCUCUGAAGAUUGGUGGUGCAGAAACCGGCAAUGAGAGAGCUGGUAGUGGUUACACUCAACAAUCUGCCAAAAUUAGUGAACAUGAAGAUGCAUCCGAGGUGAUUGAGUCAAUCAGAAGAGAUGAGUUUGGUCUUGAUUCAAGCCAAACAACUUCUGAAAGUAUCAUGUUGAAGAAGCAUCAUGCUCGUCUAGGGAGAGCUCUUCAUUGUCUUUCACAGGAAUUGUAUUCUCAGGAUUCACACUUUCUUCUUGAGCUGGUAAGGCUGCCUUUUCAUUUUAUAUAUGUAUUUUGAAUCUGGAUUCUUUAUUGUGGUUUGUGCAGUCAUCUACCAUAACGAACGGAACCAUAUAUGAGAGUUUUGUUUCAUUGUUUGUUUUGCUCUUCCUGAAUAUAUCUUAGGCUAUAACUGAGAUUCCCAAUGUUAUUUUGUGGUUAAAAUCUUUUUGUAAACACUCUUGGGUGACUGUUAGAAAAUUUGAUUAGACCCUGAUUCCUUCCUAGUUUUAUCAAAAUGCCCAGGACCGGGAAUAAAGUUGAUCUUAUUGUAGCACUAACACCAGUGGGCAUGAAUCUUCCAAAUAUUCAUUUAUAGUAUGUAUUUACUCUUGUUUAGUGAUCUUUUAAUACUCUAAAGUCUAGAUUAUUUAUACAAUGUUUAUAUGUUUGAGACUAUAUUUUUUUUUUGAGGACGAAUAUGUUUGACACUAUUGUUGAGUCUGCAGAUGAAAUUAAGCCUCUGACUUAUAACCUUUGAAUGAUUCAAUUCCAUACAUUUUUAUUCUUCUUUAUUGUUCAGGUUCAAAAUGCAGAUGAUAAUACAUACCCAACAUGUGUAGAACCAACUUUAACGUUCAUUCUUCAAGACUCAGGUAUCGUUGUUUUAAAUAAUGAGCAAGGGUUCUCUGCUGAGAACAUUAGAGCACUUUGUGAUGUUGGCAGUUCUACCAAGAAAGGAUCUAAUGCUGGCUAUAUUGGGCGGAAGGGCAUCGGUUUCAAAUCUGUGUUUCGGGUAGGUCACAAAAAUUACUCUAGUUUCUCUGAUUGUAUAAUUUAAUCCUCAAUGAAUUUCCCCUUUUUUCGUUUUGAAAAUGAAGAAAAUCUUAUCAAUACCCAAACUGUAUCUUACAUAGGAUGGACAAGGAGAUCACUUCUAUAAUACAUGAUUUAUCCAAACACAACCACAGUCCCAAUCGGCAGAAAGGAAAAAUAAAUUAACUGACAGUGGUCCUCCAUUCUCACAAACUGGGUUAGAACAAAGGGAUGACCCAAAAAUUACUCUAUCCCAGCAUGCAGGUUGUUGUAGGAUAUAUUUUGGGUUUUUAAGAUCUGCUCUACUGGAUACAUGGUUAUUUUGGGGUCCUAAAAAACAUCAGAAGGGAUAAAUGGAAUAGAAUCUGUCAUACAGAGUAUUUUGUUUGCUGUCAUGGUCCAUCAGCUAGUCAGUUUUAUUUUAAUUUUUUAUUUUUUUUCAUUUUUCAUUUUCCCGAUCACCUGCACUAUGUAGCAAUUGAUGAAAAUGUUGCUGGGGAAAAGCUCAAUCAGUUCUUAGUGUUAUGUUUCUUACUCAGAUUACUGAUUGGAGUAGGUGUCUUACCCUAAUCUAAUGAGUAAUCAGAUUACUCAGAUUACUUGGUGAUAUUCUUGUCAUACUUUUAUCAUAUUCAUUGGGUGUGGUGACAAACUAGGGUGCAGAUAGAAUACCCCAAGUAAUACAUUGAUCCUUAAAAAUGAUAUUUGGUUCAGAACUUUUUAUAUAAGUUAAGAGGGGUAUCUGUAAUCAACUGUUCAAACUAAGAAAGUCAAUUUCCUGUUCGUAGUACACUUUCCUUAAUACAUGUACAUUUUGUGCAGGUCACAGAUGCUCCAGAGAUUCAUUCCAAUGGAUUCCAUAUCAAGUUCGAUAUAAGUCAGGGUCAGAUUGGAUUUCUUUUGCCAACAGUUGUACCUCCUUGCAAUGUUGAAAUGUUCAGUAGGCUGACUUCUAGUGACAGUGAUCAACUGGAUAAUAAUUUCUGGAACACCUGUAUUGUUCUUCCUUUCAGAUCGAAGUUUUCAGAUGGAUCUGUCAUGAAAGGCAUUAUAAAUAUGUUUUCAGAUCUCCAUCCAUCUAUAUUACUCUUCCUUCACCGCCUCCAGUGUAUAAAGUUUAGAAACUUGCUCGAUAAUUCACUUACUGUCAUGAGAAAAGAAACGGUGGGAGAUGGUAUCGUAAAGGUUUCACAUGGGAAAGAGAUAAUGACAUGGUUCUUAAUAUCUCAGAAAUUGCAAGCAGAUUUUAUGCGUAGCGAUGUACAAACAACAGAAAUCUCCAUAGCAUUUACAUUGAAAGAAUUGGAGAAUGGUGUUUAUGGACCAGAUUUAGGGCAACAGCCUGCUUUUGCAUUUCUUCCUUUAAGAACCUAUGGCCUGAAGUUUAUUCUUCAGGGUGAUUUUGUUCUUCCCUCAUCUAGAGAGGAAGUGGAUGGAGACAGUCCGUGGAACCAGUGGCUUCUGUCAGAAUUUCCUGGUUUAUUUGUCAAUGCUGAGAGGUCUUUUUGUUCUCUUCCUUGCUUUAAAGAGAACCCCGGGAGAGCAGUGGCGGCUUAUAUGUCCUUUGUUCCACUUGUUGGGGAAGUGCAUGGUUUUUUUUCUUCUCUUCCUCGAUUAAUCAUUUCUAAAUUACGUAUGUCGAAUUGCUUACUCCUGGAAGGAGGAAAUAACGAGUGGGUUCCUCCUUGCAAGGUCCUAAGAGGUUGGAAUGAGCAGGCCCGUUUGCUUCUACCGGAUUGUUUACUAAGGCAGCAUCUUGGCCUUGGGUUGUUGGAAAAAAGUAUAGUUCUGCCUGAUCCACUUGCAAGAGCACUUGGUAUUGCAGAAUAUGGACCCAAAAUUCUGGUUCAAGUUAUGGACUCCUUGUGUCGUUUGCAAAAUGGCCUCUUAUCAAUGGGACCUGGUUGGUUAACUUCUUGGCUAAGUGAACUGUAUGCAAUGUCAUUCAAUGCUUCUGUGGAAACAUCAUUUGACUCUGGACAUGGAAUGGAUUUGAUAGAAGAGCUCCGAAAAAUUCCAUUCAUUCCUCUUUCAGAUGGUACAUAUGGUGCAGUAGACAAAGACCCAAUUUGGUUACAUUUUGAUGCCUUGAGCACUGGGUUUGAGGAUCAGCAUGGACUUGAGUCUUUUCCUAAAUUAUAUGCUAAUCUUCGUAUCGUAAGUCCUGCCUUCCUUUCUACAUCAUGUGCAGAUAUGCCAUCCAUGGAUGUGACUACAGUUGACAAACAAAUACGCAUGCUUCGUAGAAUUGGUGUCCAGCAGUUGUCUGCACAUGAGAUUGUCAAGCUACACAUCUUGCCAGCUAUAUCUGAUGACAGAAUUGCAGGUAGGGAUAAGAAUAUGAUGACAGAAUAUCUCUGUUUUGCAAUGGUCCACCUUCAGUCGACCUGCUCCGAUUGUCAUGGUGAAAUGGAAUACAUAAUCUCAGAAUUACGAAAUAAAGCCUAUAUACUAACAAAUCAUGGCUUUAAACGACCUGCGGAUAUAUCCAUUCAUUUCAGUAAGGACUUUGGAAAUCCUAUAGACAUAAAUAAGUUGAUAAAUAUGGUGGAUAUGAUGUGGCAUGAGGUUGACAUCUCCUAUUUGAAGCAUCCAGUAACAAAGUCACUCCAAUGUGGACUAAUGAAGUGGAGGCAGUUUUUCCAGCAAAUUGGCAUUGUGGAUUUCGUUAAAGUAGUUCAUGUUGAGAAGGGAUUUAACGAUACGUGUAAAGACUUGAUUUCUCUUGGAUCAAAUGUCACAGAUUGGGAGUCCCCUGAAUUGGUCGAUUUAUUGUCCCUGUUGACCAGAAAUGGUGACAAAAAAGGCUGUCAAUAUCUUUUGCAGGUGCUUGAUAGUUUAUGGGAUGAAUGCUAUCUUGAAAAGGCUACAGGCUACUGUGCUUCUAAAGAUGUAGCAGAUAAAAAGGCCUUUAGAUCUUCAUUUAUAAGCUGCAUCUGUGAUGCACAAUGGGUAGCUUCAACAAUGGAUGAUGCGCUCCACUAUCCUAGAGAUUUAUACUACGACUGUGAUGCAGUGCGCUCGGUUCUUGGUCCGUAUGCUCCAUUUUCUGUUCCAAAGGUUCGUUUGAAAUAUUUUUACAUUGAGUUAGUUCCCACUUUAGGAUUUCUGAAGUUGUUCAGCCAUACUUCGUAAGUCUUAACACAGAUUCGUUGGAUUAGGACUUUAUAAUAAUCAGCAUAUGUGAAUUUUACAUCAAUUCAGUCUCCUGUCCUGUUUUAAAUUCUCUACUUUUCUCUUUGCAAGAGAUCUCAUGUGAUCCUUAUUUACCCCAUUAAAGUUUGAAUUAUACCAAAAUGAAGAAUGAGAAGAAAAAAAAUGUGGCUUGUGGAGCUGAAGUAUGUGCUAUGCUAUAGCAGUUCAUGUAUGUUACUCGUGUGUUUAUCCAUUUCUAGGUAUACAUGACACAUAAGGAUCCCUAAAAUUGUACAAUUUGAAAGAUUGCAUGAGGGUCUCACAAUGCAGUCUUGUUUCAAUGAUAAUAACUGUCCAAGUUCUAGGCGUCUACAUAGAGUCUGCAAAACAUCAGCUAAAUUGAGAUUCAGUUUGCCAAUCGCUUUCAUUAUGAUAAUUAACUAGAUACCUUAUUUCGGAUUUGGCUGAUGUUGGUUCAGAGAGCAGGUCCCAAAACAUAGUACGGGCCGGACUUAGACAAAAAUAAGUGAUCCCUUUCUGAGGGUUUGUUGUUUUUAAUUUUGUUGAACACAAAUCCUUAAAUUUCACAGCCAAAGAUUUGGGUAUGCUCCCUUUUGAUAAUCCCACCCAGAAGUCUUUAUGGCCAACCUUUACGAGUGUGGUAGUUAUUAGUCCCAUUUGGAUUCCUCUAGUACUUCUCUUUUUGUGGUAAUUUAUCUUCCUUGGAAUAACGAUAUACAUUUAGUAGAAUCAGGAGAUAGCUCUCUUUCUUAUAUUGAAUUCUGUUUAAUUGAUUUCACAUGUAGAAGUUUUGUAUCUUUUAAAAUAGUUGAAGUGUUUAUAUUUAGUCUCCUACUCUGAGUCUCCGACAAUAAUUUACUUUUGAUUGUGCUUAUCCAUUUCAUGAAAUACAACUUUUUAGGUGUAUGAUAGUAUCAUGUCUCCUCUUCAAGCAUUGUUUCAUGCUAUUAAUUUUUUUUUUUCCUUGAAACAGAUAGGGAGCACAAAGUUUGCCAGUGCUAUUGGGUUUAAGACAGUAGUUUCUCUUGAUGAUGGUCUAGAGGUAUUGAAACUAUGGAGAUGUGAGAACCCAUUCAGGGCCAGGUAUUCUUUUACCCAUAGCGAUCUUCAUCGUUUAUUUCUAAGUCCUCUCAUUACCUUCUUUUUUUUAAGAUUGGAUUUAUCCUGAUUUAUUGGGGUUCAGCAAUAUAUUUACUGCUUGUAGAAGAAAGAAAUUCCUGGUGCUUAAAACCAUUGCUUUUCAUUUGCUUAUCAAGGCAUUAGACCAUGUUAGGGAUUACGUCUUUCAUUUAAUUUUUUUUAAUCCGUACAUAUUAUGAAUCUUUGCACACAAUAAGAACCUUUGAAAGUCUGAUGAGACCCCUAUAAUCAGGCCUAUAUUUAUCUUAUAUGAGGUGUGGGGUCCAAGAUCCAAAUUCCAAUAUAUGUUAUAUAGUAUACCUUGCUAACUACUAGAGUUUCCCAUCUCCUAAAUGUUGUAGGGUUUGUCAAAAGGCAUCAGUUUUGAGCCUGAGUCCGCAAGUGACCAGCAUAUCUAGUUCUGGGUAUUAAAAACAAUUAUCCUGAACUAUUUGAUCUCCAGAGAAAGUACUUUACCUUUUUGUUUUCUUGCAUAUCGGAUAUUUGGGUUAAGUUACCCACUCGUUCGUCGUGGUUUGGGUCUGGCCAUGAUAUUUUUAUUCGUUGCUGGUUGAAACUUAAGAGUGUUGGGCUGGUUUGAAAGCUUUGGUGAUCUAUAAUUUUGUAUAGAGAGAUGAAGGAUCUUUGAUGAUUUAGUUUUUGUUUUAAUUAUGUAUGCCAUUUCCUAUUGUUGACCAUACCAUCAAGCCCAAGAAUCACAUAAAAUAAACCUCAAUUUAAGUGCAUAGUCUGUUGUUGACAGUGGCAUUAUCCAUCUGAUACCAAGUGAAACUUGAAUUGACCCCAAAAAAAAAAGAAGUGAAACUUGAAUCUUUAUUCAGAGCUUAUCUUUUAUUUGUUUUGUCUGCACGAUGCUGCUCAUUUUGACACUGAAUUUUAUAUCUUGCAGCAUAGCGCAAAUGUCAAAAUUUUACACAUUAAUCUGGAAUGAAAUGGCUUCUUCGAAGCUAAGAAUUGUGGAAGAGUUCCAUUCCAAACCUUCUAUUUUUGUUCCGUAUGCAUCUAGCUCAAGGCAUGAGGAUGUGGUGUCUGGUAUAUUUUUGUCCCCUCAGGAGGUAUAUUGGCAUGAUUCGACUUCUUUGGUGGACCAAAUCAAGCAUAUACAUCCUCAGUGCAGCUCAACAGGUGUUACUCAUGGCCCCUUGAUCAAGACACUGUGCAACUUUUAUCCUGGCCUUCAUGACUUCUUUGUUGAUGGAUGUGGAGUACCUGAGACCCCUCCUCUCCGUAGCUACCUACAGAUUUUACUGCACUUAUCAAAGGUUGCUCUGCCCUCGCAAGCAGCUAAUGCCGUAAGUAAUCAUAUAUAGAAGAACGUUAAAACUAAUGCUAGUUGCACAAUAACUCAUAUGUUCCUUAUCUCAGGUUUUUCAAGUCUUUCUGAAGUGGACUGAUGGGCUGAAAUCAGGAUUGAGCCCUGAGGAUAUUGUUUACAUUAGAGAUUAUCUUAAGAAGAUCGAUUGCAUGGUGCUUCCUACUGUACAUGAUAAGUGGGUUUCUUUACAUCCAUCAUUUGGUCUUGUGUGCUGGUGUGAUGAUAAGAAAUUAAGCAAGCAGUUUAAGCAUUUGGAUGGUAUUGAUUUUUUGUACUUUGGUCAAUUGACCAAGGACAAUGAAGAGAUUCUGUGUACAAAAAUGUCAAACCUCAUGCAAACUUUAGGGAUUCCUGCUCUUUCACAGGUAAUAUAUGUGCUAUACCCAGGUGUGUGUACUUCAUGCAUGUGUACAUGAUCUAAGAAAACAAUUGAACUUCAAUAACUCAUAAUAAUCUUUCAAUUCCUAUGCUUUGUUUGCCAUAUGACAUUGUGUAAUAUAUAGUUAUGUAAUCUAAAUUAAAGAUCCUUUAACACUUUAGUCACCUUUCUUCUUUGUCCUUUUAUAUGCAGGUUGUGACUCGCGAGGCAAUAUAUUAUGGUCUGCAAGACAGUAGCUACGAAGCUGGAUUGGUAAAUUCAGCUCUCCCAUAUGUACAGCGCUACUUGCAUACUCUACACCCAGAUAAAUAUUCUGAACUCAAGAAGUCUGGAUUUGAUAUACUAAAUUGUUUGCAAGUAGUAGUUGUUGAUGAGCUGUACUAUCAAAAUGUCAUAGAAGUUGCUGGCAGUGAAUCCAAGAAGCGGGUUGCAUGUAGUUGUCUUCUAAAGGUAUGUUGAAUGUCUAUUAUAUAUGUUACUGCUUUUAGUGUACUGCAAACUAACUGAUUACAGGUUUAUCAAAACCAAAUAUGUUAUUACAGCAUGCUUGUCUACUGGGCACUCUAAAUCAUAACAUGUCAUUUGUACAUAACAUGCAUUGUCCAAAUUUUGUUUGUUAAAAAGAAACAGAAAAAUGUAGAAUGAAAUGUAUCCUCCAUAUGUGCAGACUCUUCUUCUUUUAAUCAAAUCUAUCAAAUGUGGUUUGCAACUGGUUUAUGAUUUUGAUAGAUUUCUAUCAUCAGCUUUUUCCUUUUUUUCAUGUUAAUACAGGGUAGCAUGUUGUAUACAACCCGAGCUACAGAUUCUCACACAUUAUUUAUGGAGCUUUCUCGUUUGUUUUUUAAUGGUAAGCCUGAACUGCAUUUGGCGAAUUUCCUUCAUAUCAUCACAACCAUGGAAAAAUCGGGUUCGAACGAGGAGCAGAUAGAGUUAUUUAUCCUCAAUAGCCAAAAGGUGCCAAAGCUUCCUGAUGGGGAAUGUGUGUGGUCCCUUUCAUCGUUGCACUCAUUGACUGAGGAUAAUAAAUCACUCCAGACAAGUAAUACUUCAGCAGAAGUAAAUGAACAAAACAGUUCGAAACCCAAAAGGAAAGCAGAAAACUGGCCGCCUGUUGAUUGGAAAACUGCACCAGGGUUUGCUUACGCUCGUGCACAUGGUUUUAAGACACAGCCACCAGCGUUACAGCCCUGCGGCGCCUUACCAAAUAAGAUGGAUGGUGAUUCUGAAGGAAUUGUUGGACAAAUAGAUAAUUCAGCUCACAUUUCUGUGGAUACUAGUUGGUCCUUGGAAGAUUAUUCAGCAGCUGGGUCUUUAGCUUUGGCAGACAAUAAUGAUUUGCUAGAACAUCGCGGUGAACAUUUUAAUGACACUUGCUUUCCUACUCAUGUUGAAUUUGAUCCCAUUAAUCUAGGUCUUGUUUCUCACCCUCCAGACUUGGGUUCAUCCAGUGUUGGCAAAAGAGAACAGCUUAGAUAUGGCACGCCCAAUGCUUCACAAGCAAUUAUGACUGGGAGACUUGGAGAGCAUGUUGCUUUUAAAUAUUUUGUUGAGAAAGCCGGCGAGUCAGCAGUUAAGUGGGUUAAUGAGCACAAUGAAACAGGGCUACCAUAUGACAUAGUUCUGGGAGAGAACAAGGAGUACGUUGAAGUGAAAGCAACAAAAUCUGCAAGAAAAGACUGGUUUGAAAUAUCAAUGAAUGAACUGCAAUUUGCAGUUGAGAAAGGUGAAGCGUUCAGCAUAGCUCAUGUCAUGCUAUUAGAUAAUAAUGUUGCAAAGGUCAGAGUGUACAACAAUCUGGCAAAGUUAUGCCAACUUCGCCGAUUGAAGUUAGCUGUAUUGAUUCCUGUUCAGCCGAAGGAGUUCACCAUUGUUUCUUAAACUUGACUCGUGACAGAUUUUUGUGGUAGACAUUAAACCUAUAUUAGGAGAUGGACAGAAUUUUUUUUUUUUUUUUUUUUUUUUUGGGCGAGGGAGAUGGACAGAAUUAGGGGAGGUCAUUGUACAGAUCAUUAAUCGAUACGAGUUCUGAGAGUUCGCUUAUCUUCCUCAAUUUUGUGUAGUUCUUAAUUUAUGCAUCAUUGAUGCAUGGCGCUUCAAGCUUGGAGGUGAGAUUAUUAACAUCAUGUUAAACUUAGGUUCUUAUUAGACCAUGUUUUAAAGCGAUUUUGUACGUGUGGAAAUCAUGAGUGGACGUGAUAAAAAUAGUGUCUCUGUCAUCAUCGCCUAGAGACUAAUCUGGAUGAGAAGUUCCCAUUAUUAUGAGUUACCUGUGCUGUGGAACAUCAUGACUCGCUGCUCUCAGUGCUGCAUAAAGUUAACAAUCACAUUGAAAUCGAAAAAAAAAAUAUCACAUAAUAUAAAUCAAAAAUUUAUCUACCGUUUAUCUGAUCAAAUUAAGCUGACCUAAGGAAUACUUUCGGGAAUUUCUUCAAGGUGAGCAACGUGUUUAGCUUCCUUGAUGAACUUAGCUUCCUUGAUGAACAUGGUGACGACUAACGAGGAUCAUGACCUUUUUUUCGAUUACUAAAAGAAAACAUACAAACUAAAGAACAUGACCUUUGCUUUCUUUUACAUGAUUCAAUUUGGGAUUAUGGAUUAUUAUCCCGUGCUUAUUUUAAAUGCACAAUUUAAUUGUGUAGCAUUGGCCUUGUAGCAGAGAGAGAGAGAGAGAGUGUUUGUUUAAGGUCUAUGAUUUUGUUUAUACAUUUAUAAGCUAUAUGUUUGUCUUUGGGUCCAAUGAGAGGAGCAAAGCUUAUAAUAAUGGAGAGACUUUAAAUUUAAGAACAUUCUCAGGGCACAUCAAACAUUAGGUAAUUUCCAAAAUUCAAAAAACUACAGUGUAACAGGAAAAUAUCCAAAAUUGUGACUUUUCGUAAUGUGAGCAUAGUCCACUUGAAUAGACACCUCAAUAAUCGCUAGUGUAUGAAGUAAACUUCUUGGUGUAACCUUUUCAAUGAGAUGUUUUUUUUUUAUAAAACUUUCCAAUGAGAUGUUACUAGAAAUAUGAAACGUCAUAUUACAUCUUGUGUGAAACAAAAAAUUAUGGAGUCUUAACCUAGUCGUGUCUCAUAAUGAUGAUGACUCUCUUAUCACAAGGUCUACUAGUUUUGAUCAUAAUAAGUUUCGCAAACUAUUGGUGACAACUAUUUUAUGCAUGAUUUGCCUUUUCAUUUGUUAAGUAUAUAUGUUGGGAUAAGAAAACUUGUUUACUUAUAUAUGUGCUAAUGUCAAGUUGAUAUCUAAGAACACUGUUAAGGAAGAUGUAAUGUGUCACACCCCGAAUUUUGGAUAAAUAAAGAUUCCAAAUUCAAGGCGUGAUAACUAAAAGAAAAACAAACUUUACAACACUUUAGUUUUACAACUUGUGAAAGAAUAAUUUGAAACAGGUAAACCUCUCUCAAUACUCACAAAAAUCUAGAAGUAAACCAAAAGGAACAAAGCCUAUCUGCCGCAGCCUCAACUCUGCUAAACCUGACCUGCAAAAACAACCUCUACACCAUGGAUUGGUGCACCGGGUUGUAAACAACAAACCCGGUAAGCUUUAAAAGCUCGUAUGAGUAAAUCUACAACAACAGACUCAACCCAUAAGAUAAAAACAAGAGUUCAUGCAUUAAAAAAAAUAAAUUCAAGAGAACACUUACAAGCAAGAGAAAUCAAGAAGAAAUUAAGAAAACACAACAAUUCAAAAUCACUCAAAAUCAUAAAUGAAAUCCUGCAAAAAGGGUAGUUCAGGAUUCCAAAAAAUCACACAAUUAAAAUUAAAGAAUCUCCUGCUGAUAAGCAUAGUUCAGGAGAUACUCAAAGCAAAGAAUUUAAAUAACAUCACAUAAGAAUAUCACCCAAUCAUUUCUCUACUCUUACUUAUGGGUUCGUCAACGCAUAGUCAUCCCCCAUAAGUAACUAGACAAAACACGUACUCAUGGGUUCGUCAACACAUAGUCAUCCCCCAUGAAGUACCGACAGACUAGAGCUCUAUACUGACCUUAACCAAUCACCCGGUCAAGGCUUGGUUCCCGGUCCACCACGAAGGCUCCUAAUCUAAUGCACACCAUCACCACUAAGGCACACACAUUCACAACUAAUGCACACAAUCAUCACAAAGGCACCAUUCCGCAAUAAAUGCACUCACUCACCACUAAGGCACACACAUUAGUUGCAACUAAUGCACACAAUCACCACAAAUGCACCAUUCCGCAACAAAUGCACUCACUCACCACUAAGGCACACACAUUCACAACUAAUGCACACAAUCACCACAAAGGCACCAUUUCGCAACAAAUGCUCUCACUCACCACUAAGGCACACAUUUUAUUACUCUCACGUCAUAACACUUAUCAAAUCACAAAAUAGUAAUAUCAUCAUAACCGUAACCAAUCACCCGAUUAAAGGCUUGGAAUCCGGUUUGACUAAUUAAACAACAAUUCUACAUCACGCUAUCACAUUAUCAUAACGUGUCUUUCACACAUAAACACAUGGAUAUAAAUAUUUAAAACAAGAAUAAUUCUACCAACUCUAAUUAUUACUCAUGAUCGGAAGUCCUUUUAAAAGAUUAUACUAAUAACAGAAAACUUGUUUUCACUUACCAUGAGCCGUUGACGAUCAAGCUCAUUUAUAUUUAAAAACAAAAUCAUUUUCUUUCAAGGACAACUUCACAAUUAGCAACAAUUAUCAUCAUCAUCAAAAUCACCAUCACAUUCAUCAUCAUAAUAAUCACAUAAUAAUUAUCAUCAUAUCAUCAACAUUUCCAUCAACAUCAUCAUUAAUCUCAUCAUCAUAAUCGUCAUCAUAACAAUUAUCAUCAUCAAAAUCAACAUCACAAUCAUCAUCAAAUCAUGAUCAAAAUCAACAUCACAAUCAUCAUCAAAAUAAAUAGGCCACAAAGUGGACCUUAGUGAGAUUUUACUCACCUUAACUCCCGCUGUGUCUUCAUAAGCACAAACGCAAGCGUCUAGCUCAAAGGCAAACUCCACAAGUCACCCUAAUUAACACAAAUAUUAACCUUAGUAACCAAACAAACUAAGAGUAACAUUUGCCCUCUUAACCCAAAACUAAAAUCCGAAGGUUUGCCCAAAGGAGGGCAACUCUCCUUCAAGACCUCCCAAGGUUCUCGAUCACCCAAAACUAAACCUCCUACAACUGCCAAAACGGCUCCUACUUUUGAAAACACAAAAUCAUGACACCUCAUCGAAAACAACUCCAACAUUAAGCAUCACAAGAUCUCAACCUAGUCUUAUAAUAUAUCAACGUGCUCACAACAACAAGAACUAGCUAACCCUUGCAACUAAACCUACACAUCCUGCCAGACGCGCCACCACAGGCGGCGGCGAGUGGGCCCCACGCGCCACCACAAAACUUCUGAAUUAGGGCAAACUCCCAACACAAAACUUGUAGAAUACUACAAGGGGGACACUUUUCAUACCUGAAGGUCCAACCAGUUCGGCCGGAAUCGGCCGGAAAUCACCGAAACUGGUCGGAAAAUUUUGGAAUCCACCACCGCCACUCUCUGCCGUGAGUCGCGCUCCAAGGCCACUAGAAGUCGAACCAGGAUGCCAAGGGCCUUUUAUCCCGACCGGUCUCCCGCCUUGUCGCCGCCGCCGGAUGUCUGAAACCCGACCGGGUCUCUAACCCGAACUUCCGAGCUUCGGGUCACCACCUCGGGACUGAAACGACGCACAUCACCACCACAGGUCAGCUCGGACGGAGGAGAGGAAGAGAACCCGACCGGUGCCGGCGUCUAGGUCGGUCGGAGGUGGCCGGAAAAGCCGGUUCGGGUCACCGGGUCCGGGUCGGGUCGGUUGGAGGACUUGGGUUCUCUCGAGGUCGGGGAAAGAGAAGGAGAGGGAGGAAAAUCUGGUUUCUGAAAAACUGAGGACCCAAACUGAAAAUUUCCUAUUUAACCUAAAUAUUCCCGAAAAACCACAACUUCCGCUGACCAUAACUUUCUCAUACGAAGUCCGUUUUACGCGUGCCAUGUGUCUACGAACUCGUAUCGUCGUGCUCUACAACUUUCGUGAAGGAAGUUUCUCGAGAAACCCAAUAGAUUUGAAAGUCAACUUUUGACCCUUUAGAACCAUAAGACCGCUUCGGGACAAUUAUGCGUCCAAACGCUUCCGCUCUUCCUUCGUACCUCAAAACACACUAACUUCUAACUCAAAAAUUCUCAAUUAAUAUUAGAAACUAAUAUCAAAUUUAUGGGGUAUUACAUAAUGAGUAUGCAUGCUAGAGAAAUGAAGAAGCUUAAGAAAAUUAAAAUUUUAAUUUUAAUUUGCUUGACUUCUAAUUUGUGGACUUCUAUUGCAAUUGAUGGUUAUCUUGUUCUCACUGCUUAUUUUGUUGAUGAUGAUUGGAAAUUGCAAUAGAUAGUAUUGAAAUUUAGUUUUAUGUCUCCUCCGCAUACUGAUAUAGCUAUGUCUGACAAAAUCUAUAAGCUGUUGGUGGGUUGGUUAUUAAAAACAUUAUUUUCUAUGACUUUAGCCAAUGCAUGUGCCAAUGAUUGUUUCGUUGAGUUGUUAAAGGAACGACUUAGACUACGAGAUAAAAUUGUAUGGAUCCGGAUUCUCUGCUUUGAUUUACUUGAAUGUCUUACAACCAUUAGAUGAGUAAGGAUGACAUAAUGAUACCAUGGUGGUCUUAGAUUGUACUCAAUUCAAUGGUUAGAAGUCAUCCAAACAAAUCCAAGCAACAUAAAUCCAAGUAGAAAAGCCAAAUUCAAAUUGAAUAACCAAAAUUAGUCUCUAAUCUGCUCUGUAUCUCUUGGAGCGAUUAAGAGAGGUGAGGCUAUAGGGCAUGUAGGCAGUGACGACCUUCCCCCAGGGAGGUCGUUUGAUACUGCUUGGGAGGCGGGAUAAAUAGAUUUGCGUUCGGCAAGCGGCGGAAGUCUGCUUCGUUCUUUGUUGGGGUCACCGCUGGCUUGUGUGGCCGAAGGUUUUUGGGGCUUAGGGCGACGACGACUUCUGUGGAGUCAGCGACAUUUAGGUGAACGAUUGGCAUCGAGUUCGUUGAGAGCUCGGUAUUGCGGCUGAUUGGUGCUCUGGAGUGGUUUAGGAUCAGAUCUGAAUGGUGUCGGUUGUGUGUUGACUGUCAGCUAUAAAGGCAGCGAUCUAAGUGCAGCGGCGUGCUUGAUCUCUCCCUUUCGGAUCGAUCUGGUGUGGUGGCGUUGACUGUAGCAGAAGAGUUUGCACAACUUCUUCCGAGCAGAGUUGAUGACAAUUUGCGGCAGGCCCGACCGGCUGUGAAGGCACCGUUGAGGAUGGUUCUGGUUUGGUGGGGGCAAGACCGCCUGUCGACAGCGGCAGACGACGGCUUGGUGUCCAUGGCUUGAUGUUGGGUGCGCAUAUAUAUUGGGCCUAGGCUAUACUUUGGGCUUAGGUCCAUGGCUUUAGGAUGUGUUAGCUUAUUUCCCUUUAUUUCCUUUUGUUGCUAGAAUAAUUGCCUAUAAUCUCCUAUUUGAUUAUAGGCUAAAUUGUGGUGUUAAGUGAGUCCUCUCACUUUGUGAUGUUUCAGUGAGUAAGACAUGUGUAACGAGGGUGUUACCCUACAUGAAUCAAAUGAUCUUAUUUGCUCUCUGUACGCAAAGCAAUGGAUCGAUUUAUGAUGUAUAUUCAUUUUUCGAUGGAAUGAAACAACCUUUUAGUCUAAAAUAAAAAUAAAAAAUAAAAAAUUAAAAAAAAUAAAAACCUUAGACUAUGGGAUGUACUUCUAAUGGAUGACAAAUUUUUUCAUGUUCGUUGUUAUGCUCACAUUCUUAAUCUGAUUACGCAAGAGGGGUUGAAAGAAAUUGAUGGUUCUAUUGUGAAAAAUAGGAAAAGCAUUUAGUAUGUUAGGGGUUCACAAGGAAGAAAGCAAAAAGAUUUGGACUGUGCUUCACAAGUUUCUUUAGAGUGUAGAAAUGGCUUGUGUCAAGAUGGAAUUUGACAUUCUUUAUGAUUGAUAGUUUUAUUAUCAACGUGCAUUUCUUCAUUUGCAAUUAAAUGACUCUAACUACAUCCAUCAACUUUCUCAUAAUGAGUGACAAAGAUUGGAAAAGAUAUGUAAGUUUCUUAAGGUAUUCUAUGAUGUUACUUGCUUGUUAUCUGAUACUCAUUAGCCCACAUCUAAUUUGUACUUCCUCAAGUCUUUGUGGUUGAGUACUUGAGAAAGACCAAGAAUGAUUGUGACAUGUUUAUACGCUGUAUGACAUCCCAAAUGAUCACCCAAUUUAAAUAGUAUUUGUUAGAGUAUAGCUUGAUUCGUGCAAAUGCCAUUAUAUUUUAUUCUCGAUAAAAGUUUCAGUUUAUGGGAUUUUCAUACAAAAUAACUAUAUGGCAGUGAUUCUAUUGAAAUGAAAAGGGUAGGUGACAAAUUUUGAUCUCAUUUUGACUAUUUGAUGUGUACAAGAACAUUCAUUUGUUUUUGGUCAAUGAAUUAUGUAUAUCCAUCAUGAUCAAAAAAUCAAGAUCAUAAUCGUACUCUUACUGUUGAUGCAAUGAUUUCUGAAGAAUGCAUGGAUGUUAUGAAGGUAUGUUGUCUGUUUUUACGAAUUUAUUCUCUACCCAUUUAAAAUGGAGAAAUAAGAAAUUGCAUAUUGAAAGUAUAAUGUGGAUGCAGAUAAGCAUAGAGAACUUAAUAUGGAGUAUCCCAAUUUUUCCUUAUGUAUGGAAGAUUUAUGUAAUGUUGAUACAAUGCAUGAUAAGUUCAUUCUACAACCUUUGACAUGGUGGGCAGUUCAAGGAGCUUCGACACCAAGGCUUCAAGCCUUAGUACUCAAGUUGCUUGGGCAACCUUCGUUAUCCUCAUGUUCUGAAAUGAAUUGAAGUAUUUACAAGUUUUUAUAUCCCGCAACAAGAAACAAGAGUACUCUAAAAGAGCAAAAAAUUUAGUGUUUGUACAUACCAAUCUUCGUCUUUUAUCUAGAAAUAAUCAACCCUACAAAGAAGGCCAGACUCAAAUGUGGGAUGUUGGAGGUGAUCAAUUUGAUUCAUUGGAUGAUACCAAUCUAGGAGGCUUGAGUUUGAGGAACUUAAUGAAUCAUCGGUGGAGAGGUUGUUUUGUUUGAUAAUUUCAAGAGAAUGAGAAUAAUGAUGAUGUCCUUGAUGUUUAAGUAGAAUAGUCUUUAUUUUUAUUUGAGUUAUUUGAUUGUAGAACAUAAGAGUCUAAGACAAUGAUUAUGAAUCUUCUAUGAUAUUUAUUUGUUUUUUUAUUUUUUAUAAUUUAUAUAUAAUAAUUUAUUCUAACCUUUCUAAAACAUACAUGCUUCUAGAGAUUUUUUUUUUUGAAAAAAUACUUCAGCGUUUCCAAACGCUUCGUUUUCACGUUUCUAAUUGGUGUCAAUUAGCUCGGUGAUUCGAGCAGCAACCAGGUCAUGUUUUAUGCACCGAAUUUAGUUCAUGUGAAUGAUCUAGAACAAGAGAGAGAUGAAAAGAACAAAAGACGACAAUGUGCUGGUAUUAUGAAAGUUAUAUUAAUCUACAGUAGAUCCCGCUACAGUAGGCGUGUUGCUUUUGUUUCCAAAACGAGGGGCUCCCCGACAUCUGCUUUUCUAGCUUAGAAGCCAUGGCUUCUAGAAACAGCAAGAUGUAAGCUGAUUUACCAAAAACAUAUGUUGAUGUUGUGUAUAAGCAGGUGAGCUAACCCCCCCUCCCCCUCGUAGCUUAUGAGCAUCUCUAACAACUUUCUUUAAAAUGGGAAAGCAAAAGCCAAAAUCUUUAGAAAAAUUGUGCUCCAACUCUAACAGGUUUCCUAUUUUGAAGAUUUCAGUACUUAUUACAACAAUAAUUACAUCCUUAUUAACUAUAAAAAAAAAUUAGAUAUUUCAUUUUAACAAUAAAAUAACUCAAUAAAUAUUCUAUAUAUAUAUAUAUAUUCUUCUCUUUGGAGCACGUAAAGAAUUUAUGACGACGAUAAUUUGAGGAAUUUGACAUUUGCUGUAGACUUGGGAAAUGACUCAUAUUCUCUUUCUUCUUCAUUCUUAUGUUAGGCUUACACUCAUAGUGAGUGUGGCUUAUCCAUACUCAUAAUAUGAGCUUUCUUGGGAAUGAGAUAGGAAUGUUGUUGCACCUUAAAAAAUUAUAAUGUUCCUUAAAAUUAAAAAAAAGAAAUAUAGAAAAUAUGGAAGCGAUGCUCUAAGUUAGGCUAAGUAACCAUCCAACAUAGCUCUUCUAUAAAUGUGAUUGCGAGUAUAGCCACUAUUAGACAUUUGCUCUUCUCAAUUUGGUGCAGAGGGGAAUUUUCUAAUAUUUGAAAAUUGAGAAAAGUGUAAAUCCAAAAAUUGAAAAGGUCGUUCCUCUUAAACCCAUAACGUGGGUCCGGGAAGCAACACACUGUCGCAACUCGUUGAUGUAAAACUCUGUUCAAACCAAGACUUUGGGUCCAAAUAAACACACGGCACACUUCCUGCUCCCUCAUUCAAAACACAGCCUGCGGAUACCUCAAAAGUCAAAGACCCAAACCCUAGAGAGCCAAGGUUGACUAGGAUCUUGGCUUCGCCGGAAACACACAUGGCGUCGUCGAAGCUGAUCUCGUCGUCGGCGUCGUCGUCAAGGUCCCGCAACUCGGAUCUCUCCCGACGCCCAAAACCCAAACCCUCGCCGCCUUCUUCUCCCUCCGCCGCCGCCGCCAACCAAGCCCUACAGACCACCACCAACGGUGGAAGUUACAUUCACACGGCGAAUCCCGCGCCGAUGACCGUCGACGGCCUCUUCCGCGACGUCUACAGCAACACCCUUCCCCCGGCCGACGCCCAGAUAACUCUGAUGGACUCUGCCGGCAUGGAAAUCAACUCCUUAGGGGCGGCGCCGUCGAGGCCGAAGACGGUGGACGAGGUAUGGGAGGAAAUUGUGUCCGGGGAGAGCCGGAGGGAGUGUAAAGAAGAGUUGCCGGAUGAAAUGAUGACUCUUGAGGACUUCCUGGCCCGGGCUGGCGCCGUGGAGGAGAACGACGUCAAGGAUUUACAUCUGGCGCCGCCGCCGGAGACGGAGAGACUGUGCGGAGGACUGAGCGGAGGGAUGUUUGGAUUCGAUCAGAUCGCACUGAGCCCGUUUCCGUCGAUUGAGAAGAUGGAGGGGUCCAUUGCUGGCUUCGGAAAUGGUGCUGCUGCUGCUGCUGCUGAGGUGGCGGCGAGUGGAGGAAGGGGGAGAGGGAAGAGAGCCCGGGCGGUCUUGGAGCCGCUGGAUAAAGCUGCACAGCAGAGGCAGAAGAGGAUGAUCAAGAAUAGGGAGUCAGCUGCGAGGUCCAGGGAGAGGAAGCAGGUGGGAAAUGGAUGCUUGAUAGUGUUUUGUGAUUUUUGAUUUCGAAUAUUUCUGUGGACUGAUUUUAUGAUUUUCUGAAAUUUUAGGCCUACCAAGUUGAAUUGGAGUCGAUGGCAGUUAAAUUAGAGGUGGAGAAUGAGCAGCUUUUGAGAGAGGAGGUAAUGAAAAUGUUGCUGCUCUUCAAUUGUGUUAUUUUGAUUUUUGUCUUUUCGUCUCAGUACUUGUGAAAUGUGCUUAUAUUAUUCUUAAGGCCAUAACUUUAUGCUCUAUACACUUACCUUUUUCCCUACAUGAUAGGAUUAGGCUUCAACAACACAAUUAGUAGUGUUUUAGUCCGGAGAAUUAGAAUAGUUGAAUGCCAAAUUCUAAUGUUAGUGUUACCGAGUGGCGAGGGAGGUUGGGGAAUUGUGUUAAGAUUUAGGAUCGGUCAGAGGUUUGAUCCCCCGUCUGUCAGUUAAAAAUAAUCCACUACUAUUUUUCUUCCGUUGUCUCAUUCUCUAAGAUUCUGUCAGUUCAAAAUAGUUUACUGCUAGAAAUGUAGGUUCGAUACAGGAAAUUUUUAAUCAGUGUUGCUUGGAUUUUGGUAUUCCAUACAAUGUUGAUGAUAGUAAUAUCUAGAUCACAUCUGCUUAUUUUCUCUUUCUUCCCAAUACUAGUUUUUCUGAAUCCUGUAGUUUACUUAUUUCAACCUCAGACAACAAUUGAUCAUCACUACUGUGAGCUGAAACAGUAGGACCAUAAUAAAAAUCAUUUGUGAAGGACUAGUGAGGUCUGACCCUGAAUGAACUAGGACACAAUAGACCAAAUGGUGAUGAAAGGAAAAAGGAGGUCAUACUUGAAGCAAAUAUCAUAAUCCUGCCUCAUUUCAUUCCAUUACGUACUUACAUGGUCAGUAUGGCUGCGCAUGUACCAAGCCCUAACUUGUUCAUAGUUAAUUUUUGAAUCUUCAGUGAACUCUCCCAGUAAAGUUAUUCUCAGGUCAUCAAGAGUCGUAUGGGAGCAAAAUCAUGUCAGCUCACUCGGUUGCCUGUAUUCUUUAUAUCACAAUCAGUCUUUCACACAUCUCGACUUAACCAUCCGAUUUCUUGUUUUAAUUUUCCUUUCUUUUUUUGCUUGGUCAUUUUAGCACACUCCCCUCAGUUACUACUUCUGUGACAGUAUCCAUUAAAAUGAAUGAUGUAGCGCAUCACUAAGACCACCUGCCCAUACUUUUCUGGGCAUUUUGUUAUUUUCGGCGGGUGACCUAUGUGAUUAAAGGCUUCAGAAGGAAAAGAAGUUUGGACUUUGGUUAGAUGUCAAAGCUAAGGAAAGUAAGGGUUUGAAUUGAAAGAGGGUUUGCCAAAAGAAAAGAAAAUUGGAAGGGGAAAUGAAAUUCACGUAUCUAUGGAUAAAACGGUGGAUUUAAAAGUAAACAGGGAGUAUUCUUGAAGUCAUGUUAAUUUGAUUGGUAUUACUUUCUUUACCCAUUUCAAAUUAGAGAGAAGGAAAGAACCAGAUGCACAUUUCAAUAAGUAAGAUUCAGAAAGAGGGAUUUGUAAUUUCAAGAAUUGAAAAAAAACAAACAUGUUGAAACCAUAUGAAAUAUUUAACGAACAAAAGAGUGGAAAGUAAAUCCUCCUAUAUAGAAACAAGAAGAUGCUUGAAAUAGAUAAUAGAGAAUCAAAGUAGCUGAGAUGGAGAGAGUUGAUAAACAAUGAAUGGAAAAAUUAUGCUAUUCUCAUGACUGCAAGUUAUUGUGAAGCAUGGAUAUUCGGUAAGUUGCAGUGUUGCUGAAAAAUUUCAAAAGCAGAGGGUUGGAGAUUUGACAUGAUGUGUAUGGUUUUCAUGUUGAUAUUAGGAGGUUUACCUUCUUGUCUGUCUUACCUCUUUCAUUUUUUCCUUUGAAAGAAGGAAAUUAAUUUAGAAUGACAAACUGCCUUGCUACAGAGCCAAGAGCCCAUGCAGAAGCUCAGCAUAAAUUAACUAUCCACGUAAAAUAUAACAACAUAUGCUGCCAAACUAAGACUGAAAAGAUUGGCUUCAUAGUUGCCUCUGGUUUACACAUACUCUCUUUUGUUUCCUUAACAGUUACUGUUUCUUUCAUUGUCUAACAAUAGUACCCUUUUUUUUUUUUUUUUUUUUUGGCAGGCUGAGAGGACUGAGGAAAGACUUAAGCAGGUACUCAUUUUACUUGUGCCAGCAAUUAUUGAUUUGGAAAGGGGCUGCAUUUCAUAGGGAAAAAUCUGGAAAAUGGUCUUUAGGCUGAUGGUGAUUUAUUUGGGUAUAGUAUGUGAAAGAUAUUUAUUAUGCAAGCAUGCAACAGACAACCUGUUAUGCUGAAAAUGAUAAUGAAACGUUAUGAUUAUUUGAUAAUGGAAAUGUGAAGGAAAAGAAAUAACCAAUAUUAAUCCACUGUGAGCCUGAAACUAUGUUUUGUGAGCAUAGAUUAAUAUUUAGAAUAUAGUAUAAUCAUGUAUACUUUUGUUGGUGGAGGCUUUGGUUUUCUUCAAUACCAAAUCAUUCAUUUUGUAGUUCUAUAAGGGCAUCCUGAUUUUUAUACCAAUUUUGAGUCGGUAGAUUUUGUUUUGUCAGCACAGUUGACCCAAUCGUUUGACUCCCAAACAAAAAGUUUGGCCUGCCAAGUUACGUGUUUUGUGAAAACUAUUCAUGUUAUUUUUAACUCCACAAAAGUCCACCAAGUCAUCUGACUUAGAAAUAAAGUGAAAUCAGUAGUCCAAUUCUCAAGUUGCCACUCAAAUGGUAGUCCUGCAUAUAUGAUUAGAGACCGCAAAACAUGUUAUGGCUGCUGGCGAUUUCUUUUGAUAUUAGACUGAUACUCUUGAGGGGCAUUUUUUCAUAAAACAUUGCAUUUGUGUGUCAUUCUUCACUUAUAUUAGCUACAGAGCCUUUUCAUAUUAAAUUUAGGUGUAUCUAGUGAAGUUGCCAUAUUGGUUUUAGCUCAAGUAUCCUCUAACAGACUUUAAGGAAACAUAACUCGCUUUAUAUGUAUGUUUUUUUAUGGUGGGGAUGCAAUUUUUGUUUUCGGGGUACAGUUUUUAUAAAUACAAUAGAUAGAACUAGGACUCUUUUCAUGAUUAAAUGGACGCAAUGUGUGGGUAGUUCCAAUAGUUGGCAGGUAGAUUUUGCCUUGAUAAAAUACGACUGUACAAUAAACAGAUUCUCAUUCAGUGAUGUUUGUUAGGUUAUGUGAGCUUUGGAUUUGUGGCUGCUGGCCAUUUCUUUCGAUAUUAGACUGAUAUUCUUGAGGGGCUUGUUUUUCAUAAAACAUUGCAUGUUUGUGUCAUUAUUCACUUAUAUUAGCUAGAGCCUUUUCAUAUUAAAAGUAGGCCUAUCUAGUGAAGUUUCCACAUUGGUUUUAGCUCAAGUAUCAUUUAACGGACUUUUGGGAAACACAAUUUGCAUUAUAUAUUUGUUUUUUUUAUGGUGGGGAUGCAAUUUUUGUUUUAGGGGUACAAUUUUUAUAAAUUUAAUAGACAGAUUUAGGACUCUUUUCAUGAUUAAAUGAACGCAAUGUGUGGGUAGUUCCAAUAGUUGGCAGGUAGAUGUUGCCAUGAUAAAUACGUCCGCACAAUAAACAGAUUCUCAUUCUUCAGUCAUGUUUGUUAGGUUAUGUAAGCUUUGGAUUUAUACUCUAGAGCAGUCAGAAUGCUUAACAUGUUGAAUCUUUUCAAUGAUGAAAAAUGGCUUGCAUAGGUUUAUAUUAAGCUUUUUUUCAUGUUUUUUGUAUGAAGUAUGAACUAUGAUUGCACAAGAAAAUCAGUUACACCAUGCCUUGAGAUUACUGCUUUUUUCUAUGUACUCUGAGAAACUUGUGUGUGUGUGUGUUGUUUUUUUUUUCCCUAUGAAAAUGUAGAAGUGGAAAAGAUUGAGAUUAAAUGGAUCAGCAAUGGAUCAUAAUCAAGUGGGUUUAAUGAAUUUUAUUUUUAUGGAUUUCUUCUACUAAUGUGCCCUUGGACUUUCCACUUUAUUAUGAAGUGAAGACAAGAAUAGUUUCAUUUUGAUCAAGUUCUAGGAAAAAUCAUGAAUCGACAUGUGACUUUUACCAAUGAUUUGUUGAUUAAUUUCUAUCUUCAUUGCAUAUGAGGGAGAUUAGAUGAAUACUUGGUGAAAGAUGAAGGGAGUUUUAUAGUUUGGAAAAGUUUUAGUCAUUUAUUAUGAAGUUUAUUUUAUUAUGUUUUGAUUAUUAUGUUUUGAUGCUGCAGCUAAUGGAAAAUAUUAUUCCGGUUGUGGAGAAGAGAAGACCAUCACGUGUCCUUCGCAGAGUUUGCUCACUGCAAUGGUAGAAAUAUGAUUGAGGUGUUAUGCAGAAAACAGACUUCGGUUUAAGACUUAGGACAAGGUCGAAACAUUUAAUCUGAUUUCUAAGUAGAAAUAUGCCACCUGAUGAUAAUCAUUUUAGUAAGAGCCGCGUGUGUGAUGACGGGAAAUUCCUUUUGUUUGAACAAAGAGAUGGCGUCGAUUGAGGGAGAUAAGAGGUAACAGAGCCUUCUGUUGUAUGUAGCCGGUUUGCAGGGAAUUGAAACCUCUUUUUCCUCGUUAAUGAUGUGAAGGUGAAGCACAGUAUCCGGAGUUAAUUAUCUAUGUUUAUAGGUUUAUUACAUCUUUUGAGCUAAAUAUAUCAUGGUCGCUGCUCUUCUCAUUCCUUUAUUUGUAAGGAGAUUGCAUUGCAGCCCCUAGAGAAGAGAAUUCCUAUUUCAUCAAAUUUGCCGAUCUAUCAAUAAUAUUACUAGUUUAAUCUCGUUUCGUAAAAUAUGGUAUACAGCUUUUCUAGCUUCCAUUGACAUCAGGUACAAGGUGUUUGGGCAGACGCUCAGAGUAGUUUCGAAAGCGUAGUUUGCUCUAAGAGUAUCGGACAGUAUGGGGGUUUCAUGCAUGAAGGAUAUGUAGGCCAAGAAAGUAUGGCGAAGAUGGUUUUGAUGGCAUGCAUUUUCUGUUGAUAUGAACCAUGGAAAUAGUUCAUACUCGGAGCCCUACAUGUGCAUGUGUUAUGUGCUGGUGAAUCAAAGCAAUUCUGUGUUGUGUCUCGUGAGUGGGAGUCAUAUGGCUCCAUGUCACGCAAAUGAGCCGAGAGGAAAUAAUAGCACUUCUGAGCAGAGUUGGUGGUUGACUGGUUGUAGUGACUCAUCGUCGUCUCUCUUUUUAACCUUCCCAGGUCCUCAUGGUUGUUUUGUUUGUCCUUUAGUCCAUGUCUCAGUGCUUUGUAGUAUUAGUUUUCUAUGUUUUUAUGUCCUCUAGAUAAAAUGAAUAGGAAUAGGACCACUGCUCCUCCUCGACAAAACACACAUCAAAUUUGAGGUUACUCUCUAGCUUCGCGCUAUUUUCCUUGUUUCCUAUGCAUUGGUGCGAGGCUAUAGUAUUAUUCAGUGUGCUUGAAGCAAUAACCUAAUUUAUUUAUAACUUGAGGAUAAUAUUUGCAGACCCAUGAGUUUUAGUAAAGACACUACCCAUGACCCCUUUCUAUUGAGGGAUCCAUAUUGGCAAGAACCCUAUGUUAAGACUUGAGUUAUGAUGGACUUGUUCUUCGAUUACAUCAAUUUAGGCGAGGGAUUAAAAGAGUAAAUCAUUGAUAUUUGGUUAAGAAUCAUUACACUCGAGAGUUACAACAAAGUGUGCAACAGCAUUAGUCCCACAACCUCCAAAAUGACCCUCCCACUGCAUCUCUUAAUAAAGUCCUCAAAUUAGCUUAGAGAAAACUCAACUCUGAAUAGUCUGAGAAAUGGAUCCGGCUCUCAGUUUGAAUUCAUGAUGCUUGGAUAACAAUUUGAAGGCCGACAUGUCAUCCUUAUAAAUCCAAUUGUUAUAAGAAUGCAAUAAUUACUGAUAAGAUAAAAAUCAUAGAAGACUAGGACUCCAUAGCAAUAUUGUUGUCAUUUAUACAACCAUUUAACUGAAUAAAAAUGACUUGACGACAUCAGAUUGUUAUCUAAGCAAAUUAAAAAAAUAUAAAUCCGAGCAAAGAAAUCAAAUCCUUGACCUCAUGGUCGCCGAAAACCGAAUGAUCCUCACAAUCGGUUUGAAUGAGACAGAGAAUUUUGUUAUAAACUUAACAGUUAUAGUCUCAAUAUAAAGAAAAACAAUUUCAGAAAGACUCAGAGAUUUCCUAGGAGAAAGGGAUAUAUGUUUUGGUCGGACCAAAACAAAGUGAUACUAUAUUAUUUGGUUAAAAACAGAGCCUGCAGAUUGAUAAUCAAAAGAGUAAUCAUUUUAGAAUUAUAAACCCCAUCAUCAACAAUCACAGAUUCACAGCCACUCAUCAUUUUGUUUUUUAUUUUAAUCACCCCUUUUCCUUAAAUAUAUUUGUUCUUAAGGAGUAAAUUUUAUCAACAAAAUGAUUCCAACUUUUUACUGUGUAAAAUAAUAAGAACCCACAAUCUCCAAUAUUAAUGUCUGUCAUCCAUUCAAACUCCUCCCAUGAAAAAGCUAAGCACUCCUGACAUUUUACCAGUCUCCUCUCUUUACCACACACUCUCUCUCUUCCCCCUUUCUCUCACAUUUUUCAAACCCUCUUUGCUUUCCCAGUGACCCAGAGAGCAAAAGAAAAGCUACAAAAGGACUUAAAGCCUGUCUGUAAUCUAAACCAUCUUUAUCUUUUGCAUUCACCCAAACAAGAGAGGAGCUCUUCAUGAAGUUCUCCAUGUUCUUCUUCCUGGGUUUGCUCUCUUUACUCUUCCAGCAUUCUCACUCCACCACAAUGCUGGUAGAUGGAAUUUCAGAGUGGAAAAACCCUACUGUUCAUGUAGGAGACUCCAUCAGUAAGUACUUGUAACUUCAUUGCAAAUUUGCUCCAACAAUUUGCUUAUUUUUUUAAUGAUAUAUUUCAAAGUUGGUACUUGGGUUGCAUAUAGACUUGAACCGACUCUUUCUCUUGUACUUUUCAGUUUUCCAGCAUAAGUAUCACUACAACCUCUACAUUUUCCAGAACCAAGGAGCCUUCAAUGUCUGCAAUUUCACUCAAGCCACACUUCUUAACAAACCCGAUUCCACAUCCUAUACGGUAUGGCAUCUAUUUCCCUGAGACAGUCACAGACUAACAUUAACAUGUUUUUCUGACUUUUAUGUAGUAGACAGUAAAUUGGCCCUGCUUUCAUUUGAGUUCUUGAGAAAUAGCUCGACUAGUUUUAAUCUGUAUUUGACACUCUGAACUCUGGUUUUCAAGGGAUAGUCCAUAAAAUAAGUAGGAUUUGAUUAUUGCCUCAUUGAUUUGACCUGCCUAACUUAGUCCUUCAUGCAUUACCAAUUAAGUGGUGUUUUUAAACUUGGGUUGUGCUUCAAACAAGUAUUUUCCAUCUGGGUAUGUCAUAAUUGUCUACUAGAUUUGAGCUUUUAAACUAAGUUUGUAUUAAUAGAUAAGUGCUGCUUUCAAAAGAAAUUGUGCUCAACAUAAUUAGCUCCCAUUUUGGAUGUGAUAAUUGGUUCAAAGAGAUGUUACAAAGUACUGUUUUUAAACUUGGGUAGUGCUUCAAAUAAUGUCAUAUAUGUCUAAAAGAUUCGAGAUCUCAGACAUGCUGUUGAACUUGGGUUUACAAAAUAUUGUGCAUGAAUCAAGUAGUCCCAUCUGGGUAUGCCAUAAGUUUGUCAAAGAUUUUAAGUUUCCUGACCAAACAUUUCUUAACUUUGCAAGUGGCACCCAUCACGGCCUGGCUUCUUCUACUUCUCCUUCAGCAAUGGUUCUCUGCUCAAUACAUGCCAAGACACUCAAAAGCUUGCUAUAAGAGUUUCUUUAACAACAAUGGCUCCAGUGGCUGCCCCAGAACCCAGUUCCAAGACAGGUUCUGGUGGCCGGGGAGGCAGUGGUGGUGGUGUAGUGUCAUCUUCUCCAACAUAUCCAUGGCCUUUCCAGCCUCACCAAGCUUCCUUAUCGCCAAGUCCAGAGCCAAGUGUCGGCUCUUUACUUCCAAAUAAAGGUGGUGGCAUGCCAUUUAUCAACAGCAACCCUGCUGUUCCUCUGCCUACUGGUGAAGUCGAUUCUGCUACAAUCCGCCCUAUACCUACCUCUGGCCACCAAGGACAGGUAUCCCAAUUCGCUCUCUUGAUUUACAUUGCAUUGCUAUGUCUGCUUAUGCAUGCAAUUCAAUAUCUGAUUAAUAGUUUUUGUUCAUAGACUUGAGUAUGAUGAAUUGUGCUUUUCUUCAAAUCUUUGAAAUGAAAGGUGAGUACAUUUUCUGAUCAUUGAUCAGAUGACCUGUGAGUUGAUGUUUUAAUCAACAGUUAGUCAUAAUAAUUGAUGUAAAUACUAAGAUGUGGUCACACAAUGUGCUCCAUUUAGCACCAGAAUGAAGUAUGCCUACACAUAUGCUUCAAUCCUAUACUAAGCAGCAGUUUGGUAACAGAAGUCUGUUAAACAUCGCCUUCUUUUUAUUUUCACUUCUGGUUGUGAUGGUUUGUUGAUCGGGUUUCCUUUGUAUAUUGACAGCAGGUGUUGGUGGGGUUAUUUGCUGCUCAAAUGGCUCUAUUUAGUGUGGUUCUCUUGAUGCUAUAAAAAUGUUGAGAGAUUAAGAGAGAGAGAGAGAGAGAGAGAGAGAGAGAGAGAGAGAGAUGGUCUGUAAUAUGUGUAGGUAAAUCCGAUUAGGUUAAUGUGCACCAGACAGUGGUUUUGAGUCUAAAGUAACUUUAAGAGUGAUGAUUAUACCAUGUAUUGGAGAUGCUCUUAGUCCCUACUUUGGAAAUCAUUAGCACUUUUCAUCCUUUGUUAAGCAAUCAGUAGCCAUCUUUUAUUUUCUGCUUGCUUGAUCCUGCUCUUUUCCUCUUCCUCUUGUGUUUUUGGAUGAAUUUAAAAUUUGAAAGUCACAAGACCAAAUACUUGUUGGCUUAGGAAGUAAUCCUUGCAUAGUGGUACUCAAGGAAAAUUUUAAAAUUAAUGAUGCUUUAUUCCAUUUAAUCUAAAAAUAAAUUUCAAGCAAAAGAUUAAAUCUGAACCACACAAUGUGGGUCUGUGGCUGAAUGAUUAGUGGGCAUAGUGUCUAUAGUGCUGUCCAACUUCUAUCACAGCUUGUUAUGAGCAACUCCAUAAACUGUGGAUAUGCCAGUUUGAUUAAGAUCAUGCCAGUAUGAUGAAAUGAUCAUGCUAUGACAAAAAGUAGAGUUUAUGUGCAGGUUGUUGUGGCCCAAAUAAUUUGUCAACUAAUGAUUUUCCAAACUCGGUAAGUUCUAGCAGGGGCUUCUGAUUUUCAUAUUCUUUUGUUCUACAUAAUAAACCAUAUUAUAAAUUUAUAAUUAUAUUCCCAUGGACCAACACUCUUAAGUUGGAUUUGUGUUUUGGAAUCAAAGAAAGCAGUUGGCUUCGCGCCAAGGCAAACUAUAUUAUUAUGAAAAGGAAGCAACGGACUUAACUAUUCUUACAGACUUCACAGAAUAUCAUAUCAUGAAGCAAUGAAUUUGUGCCUUGUUGAUAUGCUAGAAGGCAAAAAAGACCAUCAAUAUGGACUUUAUAAACUUAAUACUCACACAUUUGCGCAUUCUCCUACUCAUUUAGAGAGUAAAAAUUUGGAGUUUGCAAGGUGAUUCCAGAAAUGGACCUUGAAUUAGGACUCAAGAUCAGCCAUACUACGGAUGAUCUUACUUCCUCUUCUGAUUUUCGGAUUGCGAAGAACAAAUCUGCCCCUGUUUUCAUAUCCAAUGAAACGGAAACCUCGUUCAUCCUCACUGCCCACCUUAAAGGUCAAUACCAUUUUCAUUCAUCUUUGUGAGUAUUUGUUUGUUUUGGUAUUUAUGAAAGUUUUUCAGGUAACUUCAGGUUAUAAAAAAGAGCAUGUUGAUAUUGACAUUAAUGAAGAAGGAACUCAGCUAGGCAUUACUGUUGAGAAACCAGUUCAUGAGAAGGUGAUGUCAGGAUGGUCAAUGAAAAGCAAAGAAGGGGAGACAAGGGGAUUUAGAAAAGUCUUUCGGAUCCCAGAUGGAGUGGUUUUGAGUCGAAUCAAGGCCAAGUUUAAUGAUCAAGACUCAACUCUCAAAAUCUUCAUGCCAAAAGUGGUGAAAGGAGUCGUUGGCGUUGGGGUUAAGGAACUGCAAGAAGAAGGGGUGAUCAUAGGGAGACCACAGAUGACAGAAGCUGCGACUGAUGAGGUUCCUGAAACUGAGAAAAUGAGAAUGAAAAAGAACUCUCAGGCUAAGGGAAAAGAGGUAGAAAAAGAAACCUACACGAAAGAAAUUGUAUUGGAUGAUCAAGAGUUGCAGACCAAGGAUCCAAGAGAAACUAAAGGUGGAGGGAUGGAAUCAGAAGAAAGUAAAGAACAAAAGAUUGCAGAGAAUAAAGAAGCUGAUAGGAUUGAGAGAGAGGAUGCUGAACGAAGAAGCAAGGAAGAAACACAUGGAGGUGUCAAGAAUGAUAAAAGCACUGAAGCAACUCAUAGAGUUGCUAAACCUUCACAAGAAAUUGAAGAAACUGAAACUCGCAUCGAAGAACCUGCUAACUCAAACGAAAUGCCAGAAGCAAUGCCAGAGAAGAAGAAAUUACUUGACAAGUGUGAAUGUUCUGAAAUGGGGAAAGGAAAGGAUGUGGGUGAGAAAUCAACUGCAGAGAAGAAGCUUGCUGCAUCAGAAAAGUCCAAGUUGCUCUCCACUCCUUUGAUCAUUGCAGGUUCAGCCCUUCUCGUCUCUAUUGUACUGCUAGCAAUUUACAGGAUUAGGAAUAGAAAGAAAUAGUUUUCAUUUGUGUACUAAAGCUAUACAUAUAUCACUUUUACUUUCUCUGUUCUAGCAGAUAUGAUUGAUGUCAAUGUAGUACAACACUACUACACUUGAUAAAUACAUGGGACUAAAACCAUGGUGGCAUGGUGCAUAUUCAGAUUGAAAUACGAUUAGAAACACCAUAUGCAAUUACGCACUGUACACACCAAAAGAAAACACAUAAAUCUUUUGACACAAAUACAUAUAUCAAGCUCUAAGCACAGCCGAAGAAAACCCCAGGUUACUGUCCGCACAAACCCUUCUCUUUCAAAGGCAAAAAUACAUAUAUAAGUUCUAAUACAAGGCCAAACCCAGCUUACCAGGUCCAGGUUACAUCCACUGCUCCAGGAGGAUACAAAUUGGUGCACAAUACAUCUUUCGUCUGUCUUUUAUACACGUCACUAAAAACUGGAAUUUACACAGGAAAAGCGACUAAUGUUUCCUAUUACUACAACAGUAUUAUGUUAUAGACUUAUAGUAAUAAACUGGCUAGACGUCAUUGAAAGCUAAUUAUACGACCAACACUCACAGCUAGUUACUCUUACACCAUUUGAAACUUUUUACAUUACAGUUGAUAAUAAUAAGGAUAGCUUGGCCAACAAGAUAACACCCAACGACAAAGAGAAGAUAUAUCUUUGACGCACGAUCCUUCCCAGAGUUUUGAUAGCUUCUACCUUGCAUUGAUGGUGACAAAAACAAAAAGCCAUCAGUAUUAAUAAUUUCUCCAUCACCUCCAUUCACACAUGGUAAGAUGGGUUAAAAUAGUACUACUCAUCAGAAUGAAGAACAGCAACAAAGAUGGGGGACGACGAUGAGAGUACUUAGAGGCAUGCAGCCAUAUAUAUAUAUAUAUAUAUAUAUAUAUAUAUAUAUAGAAGAAGUACAUGGUGGAUGACCUGAAUGAAGGAUGGCUUUAAUAUCUAUUGUUGGAGAUUGAUAUACCAAUGCAGCUAUAGGUUGCCUUUCCUUGGUGACAUGAUCAUCAUUGUGAUUCUUAAAAUUAAUUUGGUUGUAUAAUUUUAUCUACGCGGGAUUGUUUUGGUACCACCAAAGAUUUGCCAUUAAUGACACAUUUAUUAACUUAAAAUUGAACAUAUCAUAAAUCGGUAUAAACUACAAUGAGAGACGAAAUAUUUCAUUUCCAUUCAGCUAUUUGGUUACUAUAAGGAAUCAUAAUAGGAAACCACAUGAAAUCAAAAUUAAAACUAUUUUGAUUAUUAAAAUAUCCCUACAAGAAUCGAAGCUACAGGUAUUAACAAUUUUUUUUAAUUUUAUUUUAAGAUUGAUGAAAUUCCCAGCAAUAUUAGCAAUUUGCAUAAAAUGAUAAUCACAUAUAUUUGAUGUUGUUGUUGCUAUCUGAUUGAUAAUACAAUAUAUAUUUCUAGGGUUGGGUACUUUAGAGAUAUUAAAUUAAGCAAGUGUAUUUUAGGGAUAAAAAGUUGAUUCCAUAGGCUUUGAUUCCUAAACUCAUCGAUUGAAUUAGGGGAUCGUAUGAAAUCAAUUAUUGAUAAGGAAGUGGGACCCACAUCCAUUCAAAUUUCUUGAUGUGUUAGUAAAUGCUAGAGUUCUCUCAUCCUGGAAUCAAUUCUGUCAUUCUCAAUUAGGUAAAAGUUAUAAAUGGUUCUCGUGGUUUGGGGUCAUGGUUAUGUUCGUCACCGUGGUUUAAAAAUGAUUAAUUUUGGUCCUCGUGUUUUAUAUAUCGACUAAUCAUAGUCUAAUGAUAACAUUUUGUCUAACACCGUCAGUAAGGUUCUCACGGCGACAUCAUAUAUGAUGAGAUAAUUAUGUCUUAUACAUUCCUUAUCAAACAAAAAAAAUAAAAGUUAGAUAGAAUUAUAAGGAAAAUGAAAAAGCAAAUUACUAAGAAUAAGGAAGAACUCCCAUAACCUAGGAAUAAUUGUCAUGGCGUAUUAAAAGAAUUCUUUCUUCAUCUUAUCCUUGUUUCUUUGUCUUGUUGAUCAAAUUAAUCUUCCUAAUUCUCACUUCUUUUCCCCGUAAUAGUUUUGACCCUUUUACAAAUUGCCAAAGUUUUGUAUGAAAUUGAUGGAUAAGAAGAAUAUUGAAUACUAGAAUCAAACCAAGCCAUAUAAAAUUUUUAAAUCUAAUACCAUUUUUGCAUUUGAUAGAUGAAUAUUGAUUUUAAAUUUUACAUCUUAAUCGCACCAAGGGUUGAGUUCCAAUGCAAAUAUCUGAGAUAAAUCAUGUCGCCGAUUAACUUUAUUCUGAUUGUGGGUGUUAGAAUUUAUGGUUAUUUUCAUUCAUUAUAUUCUAGACAAAUUGCCUCAACAUGUGACGCGCACAUACGUGUCUCACUAACGGUGAUAGAUAAAAUGUUAUCAUUGGACUAUGAUUAGUCGAUAUAUAAAACACAAGGACCAAAAUUAAUCAUUUUUAUACCACAGUGGCAAACGUAAUCAUGACCCCAAAUCACGAGGACCAUUUAUAAAUUUUACCAUUCUCAAUUUCAUUCUAGGUUGUAAACGUGUCAUAAUUGUCUUAUGUUCGUGAAAAUGAAUUCCAUAUGUUGCUAGCUAGCCGCCACUUAAACAUCAUCUCUGUUAUCCACUUUACUUCGUGCUUAUGUUAGAGAAUUUGGCUAAUUGCAAUUUUCUACUCUACAUUCGAAACUUUUAACUCAUAGAAUGAAACAUGAUGUUCCAAAGUAGUAACAAAUUUAUAUCUCCUGUUGGUUUGAUUAUCCAUUUUAGCUUUUUUAUCUGGUAACAUUAGACCUUGAAAUCAAUGAAAAAGAUCAAUGGAUUUGCAGCAAAAUUUUUCCCACUGUAAUCCAAGUACCAAAAAGAGGAGAAUCAAAGCAAUAAAUAUCAUCAGGGAUGACUUCUUGAAAUAAAGGUAAAGAAAGGAAAACUAGUGCCAUGACUUAGAUGAUCCUAGAAAAAUGGUAGUAUCUUAGAUUAUUUUCGUGAGAAGGGUUUCAGGUAAGGCCAUUAAAGUAAUUCAAUAUAUUUCUGGAGUUACUAAUUUUCUCCAUGAAGUCAUAAAGUUCCUUUCUUUACCUUUGUUAGAACUUUAAUAGCUAUGUUAGUUAAUGUUGUUAAAUUGUUAUAAUAAGGCUUGCAUAAAUCUUAAGUCAUGAGCUUGUCCAAACCAUAGGCAUUUUGAGGCUAUUCUAGAAGCAAUCAUUUUCAAAAUGGGUUAAUAGAUUUAAAAUAGGAGAGUGAGAUUGCACACCCUCAAUUACAAUCUACAUACACUAACUCACUUUUAGGUAUAAAAUUGUCAAAAAUGAUAUUGCCCUGGACAACUUGAAGAGAAAAAAAUUGGGACAUUUUUGAUCUUUUCAUAUUUUGCAACAAAAUUAUUCCCACAAAGGUCUAAGAAUUCAAAAAAUUGCUACCUCACUUGGGAAACUCUUACAUUCUUAGAAGCUUUGUCUCUCUCCUUCACCGUCCUCUUCUUCAUCACUUUAUGUCUCCUAAUCUAAAACCUUCAUCAGUCCUAAUAUGAAACCUUGCUUAGCCGCUUUAAAUCUAAUAGCUGUCUCAGAAAAUCUUAAAGAAUAGAUACCGACAUGGUUAAGCAGGAGGUGUCAAAUUCCUGGGGAUUGGUUGAUGAUUCUUUGAAGCUAUUAAGCAGGAGGUGGCGGGUCUAGUACCUAAACGGUCCCCCACAGGAGAGGCAAUAAUGUAGCAUGUUGGUUAGCAAAAAGGGGCGUCUACAACUUCUACAACUUUUUUUUUUCCGGUCAGCAAGUGAGGCUUUGAGUGUAUAUAAGUAUAUGGAAAGAAUUACAAAUGGUCCUCGUCCUCUGCAAAACAUUCCUUUCAACCAUGGAAUGUUCUUAGACCCUACCACACCGGUUUAUGUAGAAAGAAGCUCCAUGGCACUGUUGGAACGUAUAGAGUACUGUUACAUAACAGAUUGCGUCAAGUAGCAACACCUAUGGAAUAUCGUUACAUCUUGAAGAAACCAUUUAACUGAAUACUGAUGCCAAUGAUCUAGCUCUAUCUAACCAGCUGCUACUUUUGUUAGGAUCAAAAUGAGUACUGAUAUUGGCAUUGUAUUGGUCUUGGGCUUCUAUUUGGGCCUGAUAGUAUUAUCGAUUGAAUAUGAAUAUUGUGUUCGGUUAUUUCUUGCUUUUCCAGCAUUGCAUUCCUGCAACAAUGCAAUCACAUUUUUUUUUCAGCAAAAAAAAAAACUCUUAUAUUCUUAAUGGUUUUGCAAUCAAUUAGUUCCAAAAUUCUAAGCUUUGAUAGAUUGUUUUGUUAAUAUUGUGAAAUCCUUAUUAUAAGGCUUGCAUAAAUCUUCAGUCCUGAGCUUCUCCAAACAAUAGGCAUUUUGAGGCUAUUCCAGAAGCAAUUUCCAAAAUAGGUUAAUAGAUAGAAAUUAGAAGAGCGUAAUUUGCACACUCUCAAUGACAAUUCAGAAACCCUGACUCACUUAGAACUGUAAAAUUAUCGAAAAUUUCCCUAUGUUGGAUAACUUAAAAGGGAAAAAAAAUCAGGACAUUUUUUACGUUUUCAUAGUUUGCAACAAAAUCAUCUUAUUAUGAUUCAAGCACAAAAUAGAGGAGAAUUGAAGCAACCGAUAUCAUCAGAGAUGACUCCAUCAGAGACAAGCACAAUCGUCAAGAAGCACCUAGGUGGAGAAAGAGUGGGCAAUGACAAAGGUUUUAUGAUGAAAUGCAAGUCUAGAUUUUUUUUUUUUAAGAUGAAAUGAUAAAUUUUUAAUUAUAUUAUGAAAUAGGCAAAUUUUCUAAUUAUAAUCUAAAAUCUGUCAUACACCUAAUCUAACAAACAUUAUCUUGUUUUCAAAACAACGACUCAAAACUAACAAUCUAACAAAAACUUAACUGUCUGUCACAUUUUUCCAUCAAGAUAGCACUUCUCACAAGGCUCAUCACUACACAAAAAAGUUCAUCAAUUUACUUCCAUCCGAAUUUUAUUUUAUAUACCUAAAAUAUGAUGUAUUUUUUUUACUGAGCAGCAUACUCUUCAUGUCUAUCUUCGUUAGCAUGUAAUAAUUGUAUAUGAACAAAGACAGCUCCAUAACUGAACAACUAAUUGCUUGCUCAAUUUCCUCGGGUGUUAGUUUGUUCUUAAUCCUGCACUUAUUACAAUGCGUUAUGAGAUUCUUUGAUACUUCUAGCAUCUCAAGUCCAUUGUCUUUUUUUUUCCUCACUUUCUUUCGUUACUAUGGUGAAUAGUCUUUGCAUUUUCACUAGCAAUUUUGUUGUACGGUCUUUUAUAUUAUGAUUUCUUGGUGUCUUUUUUUUUUUGUUACAGAAGGUGCCUAAAAGUCACAAACAAAACAAAGACUAGAACAAGGACAAACGUGGCCCGUGGAUCACAUUGUACCGAUACUGUCCCAACUUAACCACCUUUAAGGUGUUGGAUUUUAAUCACAAAAUGCCUUGGUACAAUUAAAUGUGAUCCAUCCACUUAUAAGUUGUAUUUUAUUUAUCCUUUUUCCGAUGUGGGAUCUUUCCUCUCCAACACAAAGGAAGAAACUAAACAUUACAGCAGUAGCCAAAUCUUCUGGCUCUAGUAACAGCACGUAAGUCAUCAAUAAAAACUUAGACAACAUGAAUAGGAGGCUCUUCAAAAACGAUCAAACCAAAUUUCUUUGUGUUUUUUCACACAUUGGCUUGAAUUUAUCUUGCCAUUUCUGUUUUUUUAUUCAACAUCAACCAUCAAUGGUAUAUGGUUAACAAUCUUUCCAUCAUGUAUAAAUGGAUGAUUCGGUAUUUGGUCAUGAUAUUCCUUGCAUAAAACAUUAAAAAGUUUGAUGAUAUUAUUCAGUAUGCAUUAUAUGGUCUUUUAUUAUCUGUUGUUGCUAUAUUUGUUCAGACCUAGGCCUCAUUCUCAAUGCUAUGAAGCAAGGAAAAAUCUCAUCUAAGAGUAACAUAAUAUGGGGCAUCUUACCUGAAAUUUUUGGAUUAGCUCUUGCCUGUAUUCAGUGCAGUAGCUUAGCGCUGCAAUUUUCAUUUCUUUACAGGCAUGUUGCUAAUCCUUUGAAAUUACCUUUAGUGCCUAGGUAGAAGUCUGUGUCUCGAGUAGAGAAUGACUAGUAUUUUAUUGUAAAAAAGUUUGAUGUGUAGACCUAAUAUAGUUUGUUCUUUUACAAGCCACACAAUGAAGUCUUAUACUAAACUGAGAGAGAGACAGAGAGAGACAGAGAGAUCGAGUCAUCGCUAAUCUUGUAUAGCCUUAAGCCAUUGUUAAUCCAGUGGAGCCUCAAGUAGAUAAUCUAGUGGAGGCUCAGGUUCAAAUCCGCCAAUCUAUUCAAGAGUUUUUGGAGCUUGAACCACUUACUACUGGCCAAGCUGGCUACUGUGAGGACUGCAGACAAAUUGUGGAUAAUUUCCAGAAGUAUUACCACAGAAGUCAUAAGAAAAAUGUAUGUUUUGUAUGCAAACGGAUCUUUAAGUAUGACAAAAAAGUCGGUGGACAAUUUCAAAGGAAGACAUCAGCAAAAUUGCAGGUUUUGUGAGAAGGACAAGUGCACCUCUGCUAUCACCCCAAAGGCAUAGGUGCACUCUUAUCCUUAGCUCUAGGCUGUACAGAUACAGAGCUAGCUGCCCAACUGUAUUCAGAGGUUUGUUAAAGGGGAAAUUCUAUGGUACCUACCCGUAUGUGAUACCUACAUUUACAAAUGUGACAACAUAUUUGUAGUCAAAGUGGUAAUGCUGAGUCGUAUUGUUUGUAAUCUUGUUCUAAUAAUUGUAAUUACAAAAUGUACAACCAUUUUACAACUUUUUGAACAAAUUGUUCUCAUAGUUGCAAUUUUGUUUAACUUCAUGUAAAUAAUGUGAAUAAAUUUGGUAAAUUUGUUCUCGAUGUUGUAAUUUGAUUCAUAACAUUGUAAUUUUUGUUCAAAUACAUGUACAAUAAAGGUAAGAUAUACAUCCCAGUACCAUAGCUUGUCUCUUGUUAUAGAAGUGUUGAAGUAUGGAAGUUGAAUGUGACACUAGAUAAAUAUUUAAAUAUUAGUAACACAAGUUGAAGGAGAUACUUGUAAAUUUAUACUAUAUACUAAUUGCGAGUUUGCUUGUGAACAGUAUAUGUGAGUAGGAAAUGACAGUUUUAUCCCUUUUCGUAUUAAUUUCAUGUAUGCCCUUAUCUUAAAUUCUGACAUACGAAUUUACCUUUUUGUCCAUCCUGUGAAAUCAUACUUGGAAAAAGUACAUUUCAUAAUUUCGAUUAAGUGAUCCAAUUCCAUGUAUCGGUAUGUACCUAGUUUAUCUUCCUUUUUUUUUUAAAACAUUACUCCUCUCGUUAAACCCAAAUAGAAAAAAGAGCUAUAACAAAGAAAAAUAAUAAUAUCUAUGUAUCUAUCUCUAUAAUUCUUCAACUACUAGAACGAAGUUGAAUAUUUUGCUAAAUAUCGAAAAUGGCCUUGAGAAAUUCAUUGAUCACACAUCCUAUUUUCGCCAAAUCAUUUAAGUUCUACUGUCAAUAACUUAAAGUACAAGUUAUCCACAGUUUGAACUUGAUUGUGUGCCAGCAGAUCCAUUACAUAAACAUUACCCAACAUCUCAUCAAAAAGGUUACGCCAAGAAGUUUGCUUUGUACAUGAGCGGUUAUGGUGGUGUAUCCGUGGAGCUAUGCUCAAAAUACUGAAAAACAUAAUUUUAGAUAUUUUUGUGUUACACUACAGUUUUUUGAAUUUUAGAAAUUACUUAUCUGAUGUGUCAAAAGUAUGUGGCUUUUUCGGAAGAAUGUGUUAGUCUCUCCCAUUAUUAUAAGCUUUGCUCCUCUUUCGAACCAAAAAUAAACAUAUAGCUUGUAACCAAAAUGAAAACUUUCUCUCUCUCUCUCUCUGAUGAGAGAUGGGUUGAGGGUGUAUACGACACGCUGCCUAUUUGUGAUCCUUUCAAAGAGCCCGCGUUUCGGUCCCCAACACAUGCUCUCUUGUUCUGGAAAGUGAAUGUUGGUGAUGAAUGUCGGAUUCUAGUGUACGACCUUGAAGAUGAUAACCUCUGCGUUAUUGUCAGCCAUACUGAAAAACACAAUUUUAGAAUACUGAAAAACACAAUUUUAGAUAUUUUUGUGUUACACUACAGUUUUUUGAAUUUUGGAAAUUACUUAUCUGAUGUGUCAAAAGUAUGUAACUUUUUCGGAAGAAUGUGUUAGUCUCUCUCAUCAUUAUAAGCUUUGCUCCUCUUUCGAACCAAAAACAAACAUAUAGCUCAUAACCAAAAUGAAAACUCUCUCUCUCUCNNNNNNNNNNNNNNNNNNNNCUACUACUACUACUACUACUACUACUACUACUCUACUCUACUCUACUCUACUCUCUCUCUCUCUCUCUCUCUCUCUCUCUCUCUCUCUCUCUCUCUCUCUCUCUCUCUCUCUCUCUCUCUCUCUCUCUGAUGAGAGAUGAAUUGAGGGUGUAUACGACACGCUGCCUAUUUGUGAUCCUUUUAAUGAGCCCGCAUUUCGGUCCCCAACACAUGCUCUCUUGUUCUGGAAAGUGAAUGUUGGUGAUGAAUGUCGGAUUCUAGCGUACGACCUUGAAAAUGAUAGCCUCUGCGUUAUUGUCAGCCAUUGGAGUUUUGUUAGAAUGUAUGAUGCCGAUGAUAAUCUAUUAAGGAGCAUCAGCUUUGGCUUGGGAUGUGAUGGCGAUAUAAUCAGCUCUCGGGUGAGGAGGUGAGUGGACAAGGCUAAAGUGCAAUUGUUUCAUCUGCGAUUCGAUUGCGACAAGAGACAUUCCGAGUUCAAUCUCACCCUACCUCCAAAUACUACCAUGCCAACCUUUUAGCUGGGCCAAAUCCUUCCCAAACUGAACAAAUAUGAAAAGUUCUUGUCUAAUAUAUGAAGCCUUCAUAAAAGAUGCAUAACUUUAUGUCCACAAAAUUAAGGAUAUGGCAUACCAAAGAAAAAAUAUAAGUGGGAAUGUGAUUAGUAGUAUGUAAAGAAAACCUAAAAGAAAACAAAUAGCCUAUUGACUAAUCAACAAGCAAACGCAACGUAUCCUAACAAGUAAGUGUGAGGGUUCUCUUUUAAUUAAAUAGCAACUAGACCAAGAUCAACUCAAUAAUUCUAUUAAUGAGAAAUUUUGUAUGUGAUUCAAACAACAAAUGAGUUUGGUAGUGGUCAACGAUGUUGCAGCAAAGGUAGCAACCAAUUUAAAUUAUAAAUAACCACCAUCUCUUUGUAUUGCUGAAGAUCCAGGUAUAUAAUAAUUUAUAUUAGGGGUGUUAUCUUUGUUUUGUCUUUCGAGAACUGUGUUAAUAGUAUUGCAUAUUCCUUCAUAAAGACAGGAGUUAUAUCUUUUUCUUUUUUUCAUUCUUUCAUAUUGUUCCUGACAUAAUAUACAUAAAAGAAUUAAAAUCAAUUCAUUUCCUUCAUACAUGUUGACAUUGAUAAGCCUCAGUAGCUAGAUUUAGGUCUGGUUAUUGCUUUUUUCUCUAAACUUUAUGACAAUAAAAUGAUUGCUCUAGUUAUAUUAGUGGAUAACUUUUUCCUUGGAUAUUUUGAAAUUAACUUUUUUUUUUUUUUUAAGUUCAAGACAUCACAAUAUAUAUAAAAAAAACAACAGUAGGGAUUCAUCGAUCAAACUGUCGUUAGAAAUCCAUAUCAAGAUGUAUCCCACAAAAACAUUAACAUUCAACAACCUAAUUUAGUUAGAGAAAGAGAAUACCAGAGCCGCAUCGUUUCCUGACUUCCUCUCUCUCUCUCUCUCUCCAUGGCGGCGAUGUUUGCAACGGUGGCAUCUGCGGUCAUGCUCAUGGCCGACUUUGCUAAAUUUCUUGAGGUUUUUAAUGAUUUGUGCCGGGGAAACCAGGAGUUGGAACGAUAUCUUCACGAGAUAGGCCUAGCAUUGAGGUUUUUUAGGACGGUUGUGAUGCGACUGGACCAAUGUGAGGUUCUUGAAGAUUUGAUCGAUCUUUUCAAACAAGACCUCGACCGCGGUACCACACUGUUGUAGGAGGUUUCUAGGGUUUCGUUCAGGUCUAGCUAAUAAGGUGAAAUGGAUGACGAUGUAUUUAGGAAAAAUUUGGCAUUUUGAGGCAGAUCUAUUCAAGCGCCUAAAAAGAUUUAAGCCCUUUACUAGCGUGCACUAUCAAAUCCGAUACCUUGCGGAUCAAGGCUGUCAGCGGGGAGAUCAAGACUGAUACAAGCGAGAUCAAGGCCUUUAGCAGGGAGAUCAAGGCGGACACCAAGGAGCUCAAGGCGAACAUCGGGGAGCUUAAGGUGGUUACUGGGGACAUCAAGGCCGAGAUGACCGAGCUUAAAGCCUUUAACGGGUUGGUACUUUUGAGAUUGGAAGAAUUAAGCCGUGAUAUGAAAGAAUUGUCCAAGAUUCCUCAGUAUGUUCCUGUUGCAAUUGAAGAAUCGUCGAAGAUCCUUCCCCAGCAUCUUCCUUCUACAAUUGAAGAAUUGUUGGAGACUGUUCCUGCUGCAAUGGAAGAUGCUCUUGAAGAUGCUCAAAAGUAUGAAGACGCUACGGCUGUUGUCUUCGAAAAUGAUGAUGAAGAUGGCGAAGCUGAAGCUUUAAUUCCAUAGGUCUUGUGAAGCUGCAAUUCAGAGGUAGUGUUGUUAAUAAUUGGUUUGGUUUAGGGUUCUUGGAUCUCUGUUUAUGGGCAAUAGAUGAAAGUUUCUUGGACUUGGCUUGUUCAUAUUCAACUGUUAAUCCCUUUUGAGCUGGUAGACUUUAAAAAAUUGAAUUUCAGCGUUUCAGAUAGCGUGAAUUUUAGUAAAUGAUCACCAACUUAGCAGGGUGCUAAAAUAUAUUUAUUAUAAUCUUUUUUGUUUCAGUGCACUGCAACCUCAUUUAUAUCAUUAAAAAAAACAACAACAACCUAACUUAGUGCGUUGAUUCAAUAGCCUGGCCAAGCCAAUGUCAAGUGCCUCUCCAAGACCUACAAGGCCAAGCUUGUAAUAACCACGAGUUCUGAUACUUGAAAUUGGAGGACCAACUAGAGGACCAACUAGAGGACAAACUGGAGGAGUAACUUGAACGGCUAGAUGAGCAACUUGGCUGUGCUGAUCACCUAGAGAAUUAUUCAAAAGUUUCUUAACACAACAUCUCAAGAGAAUUAAAAAGACAGUGCCGAAAGAACCAAAGCCAAUUGUACCUCAUAAAACCCAAAACAUAUUGUCUGCCCCUCUCCAACAACACCAAAAUAUACUCCCAGUCCCUCUCGAAAACUUCAAAAAAUACUCCCUGCCCUCCUCGAACAAAUCCACAACAAACUCCCAGCCCAACAAAAUUUCGCAUCGAACUUACCCUAAUACUUUGGAUUAAAAAUACCACUCUUAGCAAAAAUUAAAGUUGUUUGACUUCUUAGUAUGUCUUCACUAUCUACUUAAUUGCCUUGUGUAUGUAUACGCUUUCUCAAUAAAGCAAUCUCUCUUGAAUUAUAACGUGUAUAAAAAAAAAAUCUGGAGGGGGUUCUAGCUGAUAACCAAGGAAACUUACAACAUGAGGAGAAUGAAGACGCCAGUCCUUGGCCAGUAUCUUCGGAUUUUGAAACCAUCAAUCGAACUAUCUUUCUCAUAAUCUCUGAUAUUGAAGCUUUAUAACAAUGCAUGCAAUAAAAUCACAAUAUGCUCUACUGUAGAAAACUUUCAACAACAUGCAGAGCGUGUUGUCAAUAACAACGCACCUGCGUGUUAUUGAAAAUCUAUAACAACAAGCAUAGUGUGUUGCGGUAUAAUUACAACAACGUGCAUCAUACCCUUUCUAGAAAACAUAAUGUACAUUAGUAAACAAUCUUGGACUUCUAACGACUCUGGCAUCUACAACAUGCGCCGAAUGUUGUCAAAAACGAUGCAUUGCAUGUUGUUAAACCUGUUUUUUCUUGUAGUGAAUCUAAUUGAGAUUUCAUUAAAAAAUUUCAAAACAGCCACGAUAACCAAUAUCAACAAUUCAACUAGAGCAGCCUUUUUGGUCUCGUUCUCUUGGUAUCGUUUGCGCCAUUGAUUUACUUGGUCGGAAUGAGAUGUAAGAGUUUCACCAGAUGCAAUAACCAGCCUGAAUAAGCCAACAAAUCAUUACUUGAGUUGAGAGUUGAGACACGAGAGAGAACGAGAUACAGAAAUGGCAAAAGAUACUGGUGUGUAAGUCAAAUCUUUUCAGAGACGAGAGAUAAAAAAAAAUAUUUCAGCUCUGGAACAGUCCUGUCUCCAGUGGGAUUCAACUCUAAAAUUUCAAUUGAGGAAGGAGAAAAGAUUUGGUUAGGAAGUUGCAACAACAAAGACAGAGAUCGGCGUACCAUUUUCUGAGGUUGAGUGUCCAUGUUCGACAACAUUCGGGAUGGUUUGAAAGCAAAUGCACGUAUCCUGCAACUGUGGUUGUAGGGGUUCUUAGCUCAUUAUAUAUUUCUUUAAGACAAUUCAUCAAACAUCUCUCGUCUAUUGACUUGAAGACCUAUGUUUGCUUCUAGAAGAGGAAAUGUUAAAGUCAGAGUAUUGCAUGGACGAUGGAUUUGAGAUUUCCCUCCGUACUAAGCUGACUUUGUGUAAGUUGCUCUUCUAGAAGUUCUUGAUUUUUCAGUUUACAGAACAUAAUGGUAUCCUAGUCAAGUGAAAAUAAUGUCUAGUAUGAUCGGUUUUGCAGCAUUCCUAUCAAUGGUCUUGACUUCUAUCUUAUUAGAAGUAAACCCUCAGUCACUUAAGACCAUUGAUUUUGUCAUGAUGCACCCUUCUCUCUCCCAGUGCAUACUAUUAGUAGUAAAAAUCUAGUCUUUCUUUCUCAUGUCCAAUUCAGAGAAGGACUGGAAUUGCCAGAAGAAUCAAACUGGGGACCAAACUGCAAGAUGUGCCUCAAGAACUUCCUGUGUGAGUGAGUGAGCACAGAAUCCCUGAGCUUCAAGCUCUAUUCCAUACUCAAACUGCAGCCCUCUGCCUAGGGUUGUUUUGAGUGGCAAGGAAAAUGGUUUGGAGCUUAAACAGGUUACCAGUUUGAUGCUAUCUGAUCAACAUCACUCUAAUGCAUCCAUGUGAACGAGUUCCUGUGAACCCAGAAUUAUUAGAUUAUCAGUAUGCAUAGCUGAGAUCUGUUACUGUUUCAAGCAUAAAUUUUACACACUUGUUAUUCUGGGUCCAGCCAAUUAAAGGCAGGAGUAGCGCUAUUACUACUUUUCUCCUUUUGCUGGGAAGUAAACCUAGCUAGAACAGAUCAAAACCCUUCCACCAAAGCUGAUAAAUGCAAAACUGAGGCCUCGAGGGAUUGAGUUGAGGCUCGGUAGAGCUACCACCAUUAACAGCAACAGCUAAUAAAGGAGUAGUAAUGAAGGAAACAAUUAGCUAGCUCUGGUACCAAGUAGUGUACCAUGUAGGGUAGAUUUACAUUAGACUGGACCUCUACCACAUAUUCAUAAAAAUCAACCGUCCUUGCACAAAUAUUGUUCAAUACAACCACGUUGCACAUUAAAUCCAUCCCGCAAAAGACAAAAACAGCUUUUGGGAUUUAAAGUCCACAUUUAACAACAGCUAACAAUGAGUUUUGCAAUGGGGGGAUGGGGGUCAACUUUCAUGGCAGCCUCACAUUUCUACGAGGUAGGUAUUAGAGCGAAGGCUAAGCUACAGUCGUGAUGUUAUAAGCUACCAACUAUAUUAUUCACCAAAUUAAGGAUAAGAAAGCGAUGGAUGAACCAAAAAUCCCAUUGUAUAUCUAACAGACAUGUUAAACAAAGCUAUAGCAAAUCUUCAUUGACCAAUUCCAAAAGGAUCAGAUCAUGCACAAGACUAGUCAUUGAUAUCUAUUAUAAGUCAUAGUAAGUGGCAUACAAGUUAUUAGAGGUACCUGAUAUGUUUCCAGCUACUUUAGAAUGACUGCUUCAACGUAUUAAAGCUGCAUUGUGUUGAGUUGUGGUUUAGGAUAUCCGUUUAACUCCUACACCUGCCUUGGACCACUAUCUGUGCAUAAUAUCUGUAGGAAGAAAUCAAAUAGAACCAUCUACACCAAUCGACAUCAGUAGGAACAGCCUAUUUAACAAAGGAAAACGAGAUAAAUGAAAGAUAGAGGGAAUAGGCUAUAGAAGAACAACAAAGCAAAGAGAAAAAGGAAAACAGAAGACUGUUAAGACUGAGAGAAACAUUAUAAACUAAUGAUUCUGGUAUCCUUUGAAGGCUGAGAAAAGUUUGAACUUUAUAAAUGUUUAACCUUCUGGGGCAAAUCAUAGUUAUGUUCUGCAAUAAAGCACGGGGGCUAGCAAAAAUAAUACAAAAACAUGAAACUUAAGUAGCUAUACUGGACACUGGACAUGACCAAGGGUCAGAAACUCAGAAUACAUAAAGCCUAACAUCACCAAGCAAUAAAUCUUGAUAGGCCAAAGCUUGAUUAUAAGUUUCAAGCUAGAUAUUCUAAUAUUGCAGGCAGAAAAUUUCAAGAACAAUUACCAUGAGAUUUGAUUUGUUUGUGAUUCUAAUCUGACAACAAGCACUCCAUUUACAGUAAGUUGAAGAUAGCAAUUGUAAUAAACAAGGCAAGUAGAAAAUGCCAAGAACAAUAACCAAUUUAGCAUAACUUUGUUUUGUCUUUUCACUUUGCAUGAUUGAUGACUUAAAAGAUAAGCAAUUGAAACACAACAAUGAGAAAGAAAAGGGCUCUUUCCUUGGAGAGGGCAGAUAGAAUGGCUUUUCCCCCAAAUUAUGGAUCUUAGUUUCUAACUUUAGAUGAUUUGGCUAAUCCUCAUCAUAUCUUUAUCUGGGGAUUCUGGAUGAAAAGACAGCUGAGUCAUUAUCAUACACUGUACUCAAGGAUGAACAACAAGAACUCAAGAAAUGAAUCACAGCUUUUUCAUCUGGAUGACUUCAUUUGGCAUAUUGGUUUUGGGGUCAUACACAAUUGUCCUAACUCCUAUAUAGUAAUGGGUAGCAUGAUCAGGGAUCACAGAGAAAACGCUAUGAAAUGAUGAAACACAAAAUCAAAAACAGCAGCCAGAAGCUUGCUGAGAAUUUCCAUUAUACAAUAUAAAUACCCAACAAAAAAGGCGAAACCAACAAAAAAACAAGAGCAAGAUAGACCAGGAAGAUCCAUGCUUUGCACAUCCUAAUUUCUUCUUCUUUACACAUAUAUGGUGAUUAACUGAUUAAAUACAAGAGAAGGGUCAUAUCUCCUCCCUUACCCCAAUUUUGCAAUUCUGCAGAAGCCCUUUCAAAAUUAAUCAUCUUCAUCAGCAACAAGAGCCGGUUGGACUUGAUCAUUCACAAUUCAUGAAUAAAUUCGCUUCAUUCAUUCAUUGGUCUUUCCCAAAGAGUCCAUCCCUUCUGUUCUGCUCCGCACAAUCCCAUGGAAGACCUCCCUGACCUGUCUUUCCAGAGGGUCCAAACCCUCCUUCAUGCCCUCGCAGAGCUCCGAAAGCUCCUGAACUCUCUGCCGGACCUCCCCUUCUUUAUCCUCACUCAACGGAAACUGAACGGAAUCAGCCAAUUCGCUGAUGAGCCGGGAGCAUUUCUCGAUCUGAUGAAUCUCCUUCAAAAGCGCACAGGCGUUCCUCCGGUCCCGGCGCUUCGACUCCUCCAUAAUCCUCUCGUGCAGCGAAAGCAGCGGCGCCGCCCACCCGAAGGUCCUCGGAAUGGUGAAGUGGACCUGCAGGCCGCGGUCCUGGCACGGAAUCGCCGCCACCAGGGCCCACAUUACAAACAGCAGAACCGAAUUGACCGUAAACACCGCCGUGGCCAGCCCGUUGGUGGCGGCGAUUUCGUUGGGCCUCGGCGCGCAGAGGUUGUUCCCAAUCGCCUGGAGCUGCCUGGCCGCCGACCACGACCGCGAGACGCUCCACGACAGAGAUCGGAAGUGUCCGACAGACCGGUAGUCCUUGGCCGGCGUGUUGCUCCGGCCGAAGGAGCGGUUGCGGUGGGCGAGGGUGGUGUUGUUGGAGGCGUUGUCCUUGUCGUCAAGCAUCGCAAUAGCCAAGUCAAUGAGAGCUUUCUUGGCUCGCCGGAACUGGCCUUCGCCGAGAGUCCGGUCACGAUCCAAAGCACAUAGAACAAUCUCUAACAGCUUGUGCCAUUGGCGCAUCUGCUCAAUCCCGUCGCGGAUGGCAUUACAGACGUCGAGGCCCUUGACGCUGCGCUCGAAGUAGUCGGAGAGGAGGCGGUCGACGGUGGGCUUGGAGAGGUGGGACUUGGGGGUGGAGAGGAUGAGGAGCUUGAACUGGUGGUGGAUGCGGAGGAAAGAGUCGAGGAGGUCGCGGAGCCAUGAAAGAGAGAGGAGGUCGUGCGAGGAGGAGGAGAGCUGUUGGAAGCAAUCGGACACGUGGCUCUGGAAGGUGUCGAGGUCGAGGGAUUGGCCGCCGUCCAUCACGACUGGGGUGACGUGGCUGUGGCGCUUGAGGCUGAACACGGAGCGGCCGAAUUGAGCUGCUGCGGAGCCUUGGAAUUCCGUCGCUGGCAUUAUUCUCUCUCUCACAUGAAAAUUGAAAAUGGAGAGAGAAAUUGUUGGAGUUUAGAGAGAGAGAGAGACUGGUGGUGGGAGAGAGAGGGGUGUUUGGGUUAUAUGGAGGUUUUGGGGGAAAGCGAAGGAGAUGAAAAAGGAAUUAGUUACCGGAAAUAGGAAAGUGUUUUAACCGCGGUGGAUUUGAAUUUUACUACGCGCCCCGAACACGGACCAAACACGGCUGGGAAUGGGAAGUGAGGCCUCCCGCUUCAGUUAAAAGGGGAAGCGCGGAGGGGCCACGUAGAGGGACGGAGUCUUUGUUGCUGGGGGAGUACACGUGGACGGUACAGGCUGGGUCUCCGUUGGCGCGUAGAAGAGAAUUCUGGAGUCAGUCACUUCUAGAAAGGCGAGUGAGGGAGAAGGGGGACAGUGAUGACGUGUGUGGGUUUGUUCGCGGGGUUCGGGGGAAUGUACGGAAAUGCCCCUCGGAGAAGAGGGAAGAACAGAGAGAUAGAAAACUGUCAAUUCCUGCGUGGACGCGCACCCAGGGGGUUGAACUUUGACCCGUUCGUGCUUUGGGGCUCUUUCCGUUUGUUCAGUACUUCAGCUUCAACUUCAACUUCAACGUCUAUGGUGUAAAUACAAAAACCCUAACUGUAAUUGAAGUAAUUAAACUGAUACUAGUGACAUAAAUGUUUUCUUCUUUUUGUUUGGAUAACUGCAUAUUAAAGAGAAAGAAUGCUAAAGAGAGAGGGAAGAAUUUCUAAACAAAAAAUCUAAGAAUAGUCUCUUUUACGAAUAAAUGUAACCAAGUAACUUUUUUGUCGAGCAUAGUGCAAUAGAUCCUUGUUACCUCUUUAGCAGCCGGGAACCACAACUCAACUAGGGUACUUAGUUGCCAAGUAAACUAAAAGUGCACAACAUAUCAUUUUUAGCUCUUCAGCAAUUUGGAUAACGUCAACUCAACCGAGGUGUUGCUGCUGAGUACAACACAACAAAUUAAUGUCACCUCAAAACCAGUCGUAAAAUGGACAAAAAUGUGGUCUUGUUCUACUUAUUGAUUCACUUUUUCAGAUCGAAGAAAUAGUUACUAUAGUGUUUACACUCGCUGCUCUUGGUACAUUCUUCAUAAAAUUUGAUGGAACAUAUCGAGGACUGUGGAGUUGAAACUAAACUAUUUUUUUCACGAUUAGAUUUUGAAAAUAAUAUAUAUUUUCUAGUAAUAUUUCUCCUCAAAUUUUUUAUUUUAUCAAAUAAACAAGUCAAAUGUAACCACUAAAUUUCUGGAAGUUUAACUCAUGACCUCCUAUUUUACAAACGGAAAACUAAUUACACCGGAUCAAUGGUACUAGAUGUUUCUCAAAUUAUUUUCCCUAUAAUUUUUAUAAAAGUAUUUUGCUUGCAAUUGUAUAUAAAAAACAUCACGUGUGUGCUGCUCCCCGUAGCCCAAGGAGAGGGAGUAGGAGCUGUCGAUGAGUCUGACCAGGUCUUCUGGUUGAAUGAUCAGAUGGUCAGAAGAAGAAGAAGAGAAUGUAAUAAUUUUCCAAAUUUAAAGGAAAGCAAAGGGGGGACACCGCAAAAUCCUAUUUAUUUUUCCACCAUUAUUCAAUCGUCCAGAGCCAUGGAAUCUCUAAGCAAACAUAUUUCUUAUCAGUGACAAAUAUCCCCAUGUUUUUUUUUUUCUUUAUUAUUACCUCUUGGAUAUUGUGAAUUUUUAUUUUUUUUUAUUUUUCUUUGGGAAACUGAUUAUUUUUGGCUGAAGCUAGGCUGGCUCUUAGCAAAGCUUUGGAUAUUUCAAAGUGUUUGUUUUCUCCCUCCGUUUUCUGUUGGAUAGUGACAGUUGAAGUCAAACCCUGCAAACAAAAUGAUUUGCACAUCAUGAUAUGUUAAUUUACAAAACAAUAGGACAUGCACAUCAAUUUUUUUCCCAAUAAUGUAUUGUAGAAAUGUCUUUUUUUUUCUUUUUUUUUUUUCUGCAGAUAUAGAGAGGGUUUGGUCAGGAAAUAUUAGGGUUUCCAAGAGCUCUAAGUAGACCAUUUGUUGUUGCUACGGCUUUGUAUGGCAGAUUUGAUGAACGAAGAUAUCUUUUUUUUAUGGCAAGGCACGAAUUUGACACAAAGAUAAUUAGUUUUCAUGGUGAUCAAACAUUUAUGAAAACAUUCCUUGAUGAAUUUCGAGUUGAAAAUAACUCAACAAAACGGCUAAACUUUAAAACUACAACGACCUGAUAUAGUCAUUAGAUUAUUUAUCAUUAUAUAUAACCAAUCUUGUCACUUAAAUAUUGCUUGACUAUUGUACCUCAAUUUGGAUUAUUUACAUCCUUCAUAUCAAAGGUAACAAGGGUGCAUGUAAGGACGAUAGAAACAAUGAAAAUCAUCAUCAUACAUGUCUAAACUUUUCCAAUGAAAGGGACGGACGUCAAUUUUGCAUAUAUAAACAGAAAAUUGAUACACAUGUAAUAACUUAUCUAAAAACAAAGAAUCCCACUAAUUAUUCUUGGAUGAUAAUAACACAAUCAAGGGUAUUAUUUAUCGAUACCAUCUCUCUAUGAGAAAACUUAUGUGUAAAAACAGAUUCUACGCAUCAAGGUGCACUUACACCAUUAAUGUUUAAGUGCUCAAAUCAUCGUAUAAGAAGAUCGAAUGAAUAUUAUAGACCAUAAAUUCAUUAUUUUCAAUUUCAUUUUUGAUCUGAUCAAAUUAAACACUCAUAAUAAGAGUACAUCUUCUUCGACUUAGUGUUCUCACCUCCUUAGUUGGAAAUACUUGAAACUAUUUUUUUGGGUUUCAAUUUUGUUAACGGUAUUAGUAUAUAUGCAUGUAGUGCGACGUAGAUGACCGGAUCAAAAUACUGUAUAUUAGUUGCUUGGUUCACUUGCAUCUUGGUGGAUAGAAGAAUUUUCGAUCUCAUGAUUAAAAAGACCUUGGGAAUUUACUCAAACCGUAGCCGCUCAAGCUAAACUCCAAUUCCCAAAUUGCUUGUCCGGUGGCAAGCUCGAGUCGGCACCAACCUCUAGCUACGCAGAUUCCUAGACGAUUGUCUGAUGGGUGUUAUUAAUCUCCAACCGUGUGAGGAACUGUCUAGUAUGCUAUGAUUGCACUUUGGCGGCGAUCUUGGGUUGGCAUUGGUCUCUUGCCAUGCCAUGCAGAUUCUGAUAUGGCUGUUGGAUGGGUGAUCUCUAUGUCCAAUAGCUUAUCAGAGUUGCAAGUUUGGAAUCUUAGGAUUGCUAUUAGUUAGUUUUUUAUUGUUUUUUUUUUUUUAACAUUAAGAGUCUAGGAAAAAGGGGGGGGGGGGGGGAGGGGGGGGGAUAUUGAACCUAAACCCCAUUGUGCAAGAAACCUAAAAACAAUAUCAGGUGACCCUACACAACUUAUGCAUUCAAGCAAGAACCAUUUAGUAAAGAGUGUUUCAUUGGCAACUCCAUUUGUUUUGACUAAAACAUAGCUACAUAACGGAAAGUUACUGUUCAUGUGGAGACAUAAAACAUUAUGUAUCUCUGCUUUCCCAUUAUGUUGAGAUUUCAUCUUGUCAUAAGGAGGCUACGACUAUUUGACUAAGUAAGGAACUCGUUGCCCCAAAAAAACAAUCAUGACACUAUACGUGCACUUGCCAGGACAUAGCCCACGUUGCCCUACAAUAGAUGAGCUUAUUGACAGCAUAAAGCCACAAAAUAACCAACUAUAAUUUAAUAAACUAAAACCACAAUUAAAAAAGGGUGUUACUAAAUGUAUCCAGUAAAUUGCUAAAUGUACCCGGCAUUAAUUUUUUUACCAAUUAUAUCCCUAUUAAAAUUACAAGGAUGGCAGAUGAAACUGCAAUGUUUGAGGAACUCCUCCUUUGUCUCUAAUCAUUGUUCUGAUACCAAAAUCAAUUAUAUGGCAUAAAAACUUUUUCUUUCUUUGAUCAAGUAUGGUAUAUGAAUAUAAGAGCCGAACUACGAAAAACAUUGAUGGAUUAUAAUAUUAUAAGUUAACUUGAGGAGAAACAUGAAGUAAUGGGAGCACUCGGAUGUGCCCAAAAGCUUAAGAAAGAUAAUUGUUGUUGAUUGGGUUUUUUUUUUUUUUUUUUAACUUUUUUAUUAAAUAACUCACACACCCUACAUAUGUCAAUGAGAUUUGAACCCAUGACGUCAAAGUUGUUAGUUAACCACCUUAACCAACCACGCCACGGCUCACCGACAAAAAAUGUCCCGCUGAAAUUACAAUGCAAUCAUAUAAUUUGCGGUGAAGGUGGAUCGAACACCUGACCUUCUGUUGUUGAUGGGUUCAAAAUCCAAGCACUCUUGCUCGAAUUUGUGGUUGGUUACUUGGUGGUGCACUGGUGCUUCUCUAAGCCCCCAGUGUUAAGGUAAAGGAAAUCUGGAGAGUUGGAAUAAUCUUACAGUUUCAACGCUUCUGAUGUUUUCUGCGACAGCUUUCAAUUUGAUGAUAAGAUGGCAAUUUUCUAUGUCUACCUUAAUUGUUUUCUCUUGAUCUUUGUAUAUCUGUUAAUCGAAGAGAGCACAAGGUGCUGGGUAUAGUUUUUUAAUAUAUGUUGGGUGUAAAUAGACAUAUGGGUAAAAUCGACCAAAAUUAAAGUGCUAGGUCUAUUUAGUUAUUUGCUGGGUACAUCUAGCAACAUCCUUAAAAAAAACAUAAAAUAACCCACGUUGGCCCAGAAAUAAGGCCCAACCCUAAGUAACAGACCUAGGGGAGAGAAGAUCACAUGCAAUCGGCCACCAUCGUCCCAACCCUACUGUCGUUGCUGACGACCUUCCCCUUGAGCCACCACACCCCCAUAGCUGGACCACCGUCAUCCAGAGCCUUUCAGUCACAUCGCUCUUCAAGGAGGCCACAACAUAAGCUAGGCUCGUGUCUAGAUCAGAUGCAAAGGAACCAAUCCAGACCAAACCUGGUUUGAUCCGUGCCAAGCUGUCCUGAUCUCAUCCCAAUCUGUCUUCCUCCGGAUCUGUGGUAGCGUACCACCUUGUCGAUCAGCCAUGCACAUAGUGAGCGAACACCCAGUCACCGCUCCGCCAUCCUCCAAAUCGCGAAGGUGACUCCGCCACACUCGAUGGCCAACGCGAUCUCUCCCCCUCCUCGCCUCGCACAUUGAUGCCGCAAUAACCAACUAGGAGAACCCGGUGUCAUUCCAACCCCACACGGGAGUAAUCAAGCCCGCCCAACGACGACUAAGGAGCUCGCUGCCGGACAGGGGUGAAGAUCUCUCUUCAACCUUAGGCGUGUUCUAGGUCGUGAGUUUUUGUUUUAUUUUAUUUUCAUUUCCUAGUUUUAGGAGCUAUGAGUGAAAAUAAGUUUAAUCAGUGAGUCUAUCAUAUGUACUAGCGUGGGUGUUAUUCACAAAUUCUUGUUUAUUUGAAAAUGGUAGCGGAAAUAUAUAAUGGUUGCACUAACCCAAGUUCUAAUAUAUAAAAUCCAUUGAUUUGCCUUAAAAAAGAGUUGAGACUAGAAUUACUUUUAAGAAUUGAAAUUUGUUCAAUCCAUGUGGUUUGAAGUUGAUAUAUGUUUAGUCAUUAUAGUUUCAAUUUACUCUAAAUGGUCCUUAAAGUCACGGUUUUCUUUUCAAAUGGUUCUUCUAUCAAUUUUCAUCGUUAAAAAACUGACGUGCCCAUUAAAGACAUUAAAUAUUUUAACAGCCACAUCAACAAUCUAACUGAAAAAAUUGUCAAAAUAACCAUUGAGAAGGAAAAUCAUGACUUUAAGGACCAUUCAGAUUAAAAUGAAACCAUAAGAACUGAACAUAUGUCGAUUUCAAACCACAAGGACUAUACAAUAUUUAACCUUACUUUAAAUAGUUUAAAAGAAGUUAUUGUUUCUCAUGUGGAAUAUUUAUAUAGCAUGCACAGGAAAUAAAGAAUAAUAAUUUAUUAAAUAGAUUUUAAUUUGAUUUGUUUUUUAAAAUGAUAUUACGUCAAGACGGCAAAUCAUGUCAUAAUUUUUUACGCGUUACAGUAAGAGCUAUCAUUUAAGGACCAUCAACUGUUCUUUGAUACAACUACUAAAGUUUGCUUAUAUAACAUCUUGUAAGAGUAGAAGACUCGAAUAUUCGUAAUAUUAAUAAUAAAAGAACACUGUAAUAACGAUUAUGUAAUCUAAUAACUCACAUUUCAUUCUAAGAUCGAACAUGUGACUAAUUUUUUUAUUUUUUUAUUUUUUUUUAGAAUAAACAUGUGACAACUCGUAUAACAAAUACUAGAAAAAUCAGACGUACCAUUCAAAGCAAUAAGUGCAAACCACAAAGUUGCAUAUAUAGUAGUAAACCACAAUUUACCCCCAAAUUUAAAAUGGUUCUCACAAAUUGUUCUUUGAUGACACAAUUAUCCCUUAAUUUAUGAGAAUGAACGUGUAAACGUAGAGGGGAAUCAAUUCCAUGACAUGCUAGUUUGGACCUAAUGAUAUCCUUCAUCUGACGCAGCCACAAGUUGUGGACCAUUUUAUUAAAUUGCUCAUCCCCCAUGCCAACUUGUUGCCCUUGAAAUCUCAAUUUGCAGACUGAAUUAUAUGGUAGAGGCCACAAUCAUAGAUUGGUAGCAUUAUUAUCAUACUACUACGUGGGGACUGAUGUGAAAUCUUCAUACUUGGUUCCUCUCAGUCUCUCACACGUCUGCCUUUCACAAUAAAACUGGGAUGUGUCACUAUCCUUAGAACCAAUGAACCAUUCUUUUGUACAAACUAAGAAAAAGGGUAUGAAUCAAAUCAUCAGUGUGUAGAACUUGUACACAAAAGAUGAGAGAUCUCUCUCAACCGUAGACGACAAGCUCUUUUUUGGUUUCGUCCAAAAUAUUUAUCAUGGUUGAAAGUUCUCUAGGCGUAUUUGACAAGUGCUUUUUUUAUUUUAUUUUUAGAUUUGGAACCCAUGAUUAUAUCCUUUGGUAAUUAGAUGACGUUCGGUAACAUUUCAUGCUUAUAUUUUCAUUGUUGAAAUUGAAAUGAGAUAAAAAUAUGUUUGGUGAGACAUUUUUUAAAUCAUGAAAAAUAAAAAUGAAAUUAUUUUCAAAGUUUAUAAAGAAAAACUAAAAACAUCAGUUUGAUUUUUCGGGAACAAAAAAGAAAUAGUAAGCAGAAAACCCUAGGAGCUUCCGCUCAUCCUUAGCGCACCUCUGCGACUCCUACUAUCUCCCUUCAAACCUCGACCUCUCUCACCAAUUUUGAACUUCCUCUACCAAUCUCCUUCACUAAUCCAUAACUCAUGGCCUUUGAUGUCGUAACUGCCAGUUUUGCAACCUCUUUGUCUCUCGCUGACAGAGGAAAAGCUUCAGAUCUUAAAAAGAUCGGUGGGGGACCUGUCCAACGAUCACCAUAUGCCUUCCUACUAGGCAAACGUCUCACUCGUCACCUUGUGGAUAUGGCUGCUUUCAAGUCUCAUUUCCUCCAAACCUGGUUGGUGGAUCGUCAGUUUAGGGUUCAGGAGAGGGAUGAAAACUUGUUCCUCUUCUCCUUCGACUCUGUCUACGAUCGACAUAAGGUGCUUCAAGGGGGAAUAGUCUUAUGAUCAAGCACUUGUGGCUUUAGAGGAGUAUGAUGACAUACAUCCGUUCGAUCAGAUUUAUAUGAAAUAAGUCUUUAUGUGGGCUAGGGUUUCUGCAAUCCCUCUUUUGUAUGAAGUGCCGAAACAUUUUGAAUUGAUCGACAACUUGUUGGGCGAAUUUAUUGACUAUGACAAGACUGAAUUUAAGAAAGGAAAAGUUCACAUUUUGUUCUCUCAUGAUGUCUCAAAGCUGAUCCUUCAGGAACAUUAUGUUUUUUGGAGGAUGGUGUGGAUCAUUUUCUGAAAUUCUCCUACGAUCAUUUGAAAGGUCAUUGCUAUCUCUAUGGUCUUAUUACCCAUGCAGGUGUUUGCUGUGAAGAACCACCUUUGGUGAAUCAAACAAGGGCUAGAGUUUUGGGGUAUGCUAGAUAUCACAACUCUGUUUUUUCUGCUAGGGCUUCAUUUGAACCAUUACUGCAGUCUCCUGGUCCUUCAUCUUCUCUGGCUCCCAAGAAGAAGAAAUCAGUGGUUAUCAAGAAGAGAUCAACAUCUGAAGAUUUUGUACUCGACUUGGUCAUAUCUGACAGUGGUGCAAAGGAUCUGGAGCACAACUUUAUAGUUUCUGCUAAAGAUGAAGAACAUGGUUCUACUUCUGACCCAAUUGUGCCAACGCUACCGGAACUAGAGGUGGCUCCACAAAGUGAGGAAGUUGUGUCAACUCCUUCUCGGAAACGAGGACGUGAUAGAGGUAUGACUCCCUCCCCAGAAAAAUUCAAGACUAUUUUGGGAUGAAAGAUCCAAACUUCAACCAGAAUCUCUAGGGUUGGUGGAAGAAGCAAAGGAUGACGUGCCAAUAACCUACAAAAGAAACUUGGUCGUCCUUUGGGUAGUGAGAAUAAGAACCCAAAGUCGGAAAAGAAGUUUGCGGCUCCCCUGGUGCGUACGAUAGAAUUUCUUUGUCGGCUAACCUUGGUAAGGAUAUCAGCCCUUCAGACAAGGGCAAAGGAAAGUUGUAGUCUUCCUUGCUUUUUUGCCUACGAAAGAACUUAAGUUCUAAAUCGUCUAGUUCCUUAGUAUCCCUUGAUGUACACCAAUUACGGUCUCUGCUCUCUAGGCAACAUAUUUACUUUUCAAAGAGGGUAAGGGUGUUUAGUUCCUAGCUUCUAUUGCUCAGGCUCUUUCGAGUUUAUAAGUUUGCAAUGUGGGUACAUGUCAAUUAGUCUGUUAGAUUGGGUUAGAGUUAUUUUGGCGCAAGACUCUAAUUAAUGUACGUGCCUUAUGACCAUGGAUAAGUAAUAAAAUUAUCUAUUUAUAUUAAAAAAAAUCAGUUUGACGUUUUCGGUUUUUCAUUCUCCUAGUUUAUAAAAUAUAGAAAAUAUUUUUCGUAAUAAAUUACCGAGUGUGGCUAUUGUGACCUCCAUAUUUGCUCACUUAACCUCACUCUAUUGUGCGUUAUUGCAAUGACAGAUAUAUCCUCUUACAUAAUGACUAUUAAAGACAAUAAUUAUACAAAAACAAGCAAUAUAUUUAUUCUUUCUAGAUUUUUCAAUUCAAUAAUAGAUUAUAUUCUUUAUUAUUUUCAUUUUCUAAUUUUACUAGAUAUCAUUAAAUCAUUUACAUAUUUAAUAAGAGCUGGUUUUAAAUACACACCCCAAAUAACUUAAUACACAUCCUUAUUAUUUGAUAUUUCAAAUCACAUUUGAUUGGUAUGUUAAAUGACAAAAAGAGACAUGUGUAAUACAAUUUAAAUAUUAAAAAAAACUUAUAUUUGGAAACUAAUAAUGUGAAAUAUAAACCAAAUUUAAAAAACAAAAACUUAUUUUUGGAAACUUAUAAAGUGAAUUAGAACAAAUUAAAUUUUUAAGAUCGAGAACUUAUUUAGGGAAUUGAAACUAUUAAAGUAAACAAAAAAUUUGCAAGGAAAUUUGGAUAAUCAAUUGAUUUCUUUUUUGUCCUUAAAGAUUCAUAAUUUCAAAGUUUAAAGUGUCAAAGUGUCAAACGAUAUAAUUGUUAUGCAUAUGAACACCUAUUUCGUUAUAUUUCACAUAUUUUUCUUUUCACCCAAACACACUAUUCAGAUAUGUAUUUUUCAUCUUAUUUAUCAUUUUCAUGUUUAAGAAUUUGAAAUGAACAAUGAAUUUGUAAGGAUUUCUCAAUAACUAACACAAAUAAUACAUAUGAACAUCUAUAAAAUGUUAAUUUAUAUAAAUAUAUACUAAUUAUACAAUAAUAAUAGUGUUAAUAUAGUCACAUUAAUUAUAUGAUAUUUCAUGUUUUUUUAGAUUAAGGGUAUUUUAGGUACUUUGGGGUUGUGCAUUUAGUAAAAUAUCUGAAUGAGAAAUUAAAUAAAUGGUGUAUUGAGAAGGGGAUGUGUAUUAAGUUAUUUCGGGUAUGUAUAUAAAAUUUCUCAUAAACUAAUAUCAAAGCAUAUAUAGGUGAAAGAGAUGGGUGGGACCCACAGAGAAUGCACUAAAUUCUGUUGCCGACGCGUGUCCAUGCGCACUUUAAUGAUUUUACGGACGUGCGCCUCUGAACGGGGCUGUAUAUAUAUAUAUAUAUAUAUAUAUAUAUAUCAAUAGAGGCUCUACCCCAAUGGGUUUCUUAUAUGGGAUCUCGAAGGAAUGACUCCGCAAAACAGAUGUUGUUCGCUUUGGUUUUUAGGGUGGGUCAAUGUACUAUGUCAUAGUUUUAGAGGCUAACUCUUGAAUAAGUGAGUGAUCAUUGUACUACUGAGUGGUGUUAGCAUACCACGUCCUAGGUUUGAAUAUUUCUUUCUCUAUACUUGAUAAUUGAAAAAGUAAAGGAAUGUAUGUAUCUGUGUCAUUGUGGCUUGCGCACUAAAUGAAUUGACUUUAUUAUUUGAAAAAAAAAAGAAAAAAAAAGUCUCAUAGAACCAAAGGGAGAAUAUAUAUAGAUUCUUUAGAAUAAUUAGAGAGUAAGGUGCUCUCCCUCUCUACCAAACCCUAGCCAUCACGACUUUGGUCUCUAUCAAUGGUGCAAAUCACCAUCACCAUGCAAAUCAUCAUCCUCUACCUCUUGCUGUCUCCGUGCGGCAAUCAAUCAUUGGUCAUCACCAAGAAGAUAAACCUCUAGUGUCUCUCACCUCUGCUCAUUAAGCAUGCUUUCGGCGAACUUCCAAAUGAAGACAUCCUCCUUCUCUUACGGAGGCAUCUAUGGUGUCUUCUUAUCUGGGUCAACGGCAAUGACGGCGGCAAGGGAAGCAACGACUAUGGCGACGACAGCAGUGGCGUUGAGUGCGUCAACAACGACCUAGGGUUUGCUCAUUGGUUUAGUUGGGCUCGGGCAAAUUAUGUUAGGGUUUCCUUUUGGGCCUUAUCAGAUUGGGGUGGGUUUUACUGAGAUUUUUCAAUUUGAUGCUUUUGUUAUUUAGUCUUAGCCUAUUUCUAUGCUUAUGAUCUAUAGACAAUAGGUUUAUAGAAUCAAUGAAUAAAUAAGAUUAAAAAAUAGUUUAUCUUAUGUACUAGUAUGAAUCUCGACUCACAACUUGACUAUCUAGAGAUGAUAAUGAUAGAGUAUGUAAUGGUUGUUUUUUUUUUUUUGUAUCGGAUAAACAACUCAAAUGCUACAACGAAUCUAUCGUGAGUCAAACUCAUAACUUCCCACUUAUAAAGAGGAGACUAUGUUAUUAGACCAAUUGAUAUUGGGCUAUGUAAUGGUUGCUUUUAGCUUUCGUUUUUUUUUUAACCUUAAAAUAUUAAGUCGUAAUUGAAUUUUUUUUUUAAAAAGAGAGAGAACAUAUAUAUUUGAGUUAAUCAAUAUAUCCAAAUAGAUCAUCAAUUACACUUGUAUUCUAAUUUAAUUAAUGGAGCUAUUUACGCACAUGUAAAAGCAAGGAAAAGAAUAUAAUGAAUAAAAAAAAAAAAAAGAUAACUUGCAACUUUCAUCUUCAUGCAUUCAUACUACUUAGUUAUGGUCACGUCUAAACGUUCCAUAGUAUAAGAUUGAUUCCAAUAGGAAUUAUAGAAUUGGUCUUCGGAUAAUUUGGGAUAUAAUUCACUGGAUGUGUGUGGGGGAGAGAGGGAAUGGGACGUGUGUGCUACUGUCGCUUAAGGGCGAACCAAGUCAAAAUUAUAUAAAAAUUAUAUAUAUGAUUGAAGCAGUCUUCUUCAACUCCUCUUAGUCUGACAAUUUGCACUUCUUCCUCUUGUUUUGUUUUAAAAUUCUUGAUGAUGCCAUUCAGUUGAAUUAUUCUGUUGAUGAUGUCAUUCAUUAGCAUUCUAUUUAUAAAAUCGUUAUGAAGCUACCCACAACUACAAUCAUUCAUUUAGGAGGGAGUUUGACACACCAAUUCUUGCCUAUUUACAAAAGAGAAACUAAUGCCACUCAACCAAACCAAUGCUAGUCAGCAAGUUAUUCUUUGUAAUGAUAGAACUGGACAAUGUUUAAUCUUAUUGCUGAUCUACAUAAAGGACUCGGCUAAAUCCUACUUACCGAGGAGAGUUAUGGCAAACUAUUUGAUGAGUUUCUCGUAAAUGUGCGUAGGACUUGCAGCCAAAAAUGUCAAUUCCCUCCUUCCGUAUCUUUAACUCAUCCAAAGAUGUCAAUUUGUGAAACAACGAAAAUUAUACAGCGCACCCAUCUCGUGAAACAAAUAGUCAAUUUCUGACGGACGCUCUAGCCAUUUGUCAUUUUUUUGAACGUUUCUAGUUGGCUGAAUGGAGGCAAUCGAAGCAUUUCAAAGCUCAAUAUUUGGGGUAGUUUAGGUGUGUAGGUUAUUGUAGGGGAGGCUGUUUGUAGCCUUAUACUAUCCUUUGUAAUCGAAAAAGGAAAUAGACAGCUUAAUUCUUAAACCUAUCCACAAACCUCGAGAAAUCAAAAUAGCAGAUCUCAUUUGAGAUCACUCAAUUUGGAGUUGACUUCUCUUUGGCUGGUAUCUCUCCUAACCAGACAACAGCACAGUCAACUAGCCAUACUAUAUAACAAUCAACCUAGCCAGGUAUAUUGACCCUUGACUUCUAGAUCAAGUUCCUAAGACUUCAAAGUCAGGAUAACACCACAAGUUCCUUAGCCACUAACUGGUCAAACAGAUAAAAACCCAAAUCUUAAUAUGCCCAAAGUAGCUCCAAGCUUGUAGACAUGGAGUCCUGUAGAUAUGGAGCCUUUGCCCCCAGCAAUACAGAAGUUAAGCAUCUAGCAAUUACUUCCAAGAGGGAAUCCAGAUAUUAGCACAGGAAGACCCAUAUAUAUGUCUGCUGAUUAAUUGAACAGUCAUAUAAUGCUCCUUGGGUGGAAGAACCAAAAUAGUAAUACCAUAAUAAGACUAAUAAUAUUAAAUCUGUUCAACUAUUGUCAUGUCAAAGUAUUAUACAAAGAGUUCUGUAGUGUAAUACUGCAAGGUAGUGAAACUUAUCUUACAUAGAUGAGAGAUGCUUGAACAAGCGCUAGGGAAAUUCAUUAGCUACAAGUCUACAACAUCAGCUACAAAGAUGCUACCCGAGUCGCACCAUCCACCGACAACAUCCCUGUUCUGGCACUGUAAGAACAUGAAAAAUUUAGCAAUUUGCUCUGUCAAUUUUGUCGAGCUGUCACUGUAUAAAAUAGAAGAGCACCUAAUAGGUAAGUUAAAAGAAAUAUCUUGGUUCGCCAAGGUCAGAAAACUUAACAAGUUUAAUAAUUUGCACUUUGCUCCAUGCUUAUACAGACUUCAAAUACUAUGUGAAACUCAAAUCUGAUAUCCAACAAUGAGUGUCUAAAUUUAAAUAACAGAAAUAAAAAUAACAAGGAUGACUAUUAAAUGCAAGUAGAAACCAAUUCCAUCAAACUGAUUUGUUUGAUUAGUCCACAUGCAAUGUUAAACCAGAGAUAAAGCAUAAUUAAUAAAGCCAAUUUUCGCAUUAAAGGACAGUCAAAUUAGACUAAGAGAGAGCAGCCUAUAAGCGUCAUCUUGCAUAUUAUAGAAGAAAGUAAUACCUUGCUAAAACCAAGCCAGUUUGAAUCUCCUCUAAAGGAAAUCACCUUGCUAUUCUCUUUCCAGUCUCCACAGAAGACCUGCAGACACGGCCAUAAGGUGAUGUGAGGAGAAUCGAGAGUAACAAGUCAAGAAAGAAAAGGGUGUCUAAUGAUGAUAAUGGUAAAUCAGUACAACAAGAGAGCCAAAGUAACAUCAGUCAUGCUUCUAUUUAAAAUUAAAAGCAUUUGCUGAAAAACGAACAAAACUUUUGAAGAGCAAUGCUUCAUAUGUGUAUUUUUGCAAAUAUUACAUGAAGCUUGUAGCAAUCAAACUGCAUAGAACAGAUUGAGUUUCAUAUGAAUCUGGGGCUAGGUGUUGAUUUCCUACCAUAUCUGUAACUUUUAUUUUACUACAUAAUAAUACUGUAUCUAUAGAACAUGCUACAAGUCAUGACACUGUUGAGCCUGGACAAGCAGAUGCAUGAGGUCAUUUCGACACAACCAAUAUUAUGACAGGCUUAGAGCAAGUACACUAUUUCAUCUAGGCAGCCUCUUCAACACUAAUAAACUACUGAGUGCAGAGCAUUUAUAAAAGCAUUACCUUGUUAUCAAUCUUAUGCUAAAGAGCCAGAAUUAAUACUGCAGUAUAAACAACUUCGUUGAGGUCAAAUUAGGAAGGUAGGGCAAGCUGAUUGUAUCCUCAAAUCCCCAAGAAUAAACGAUUUAGCAUCUAUUACUUAAACAGAUCUCUGGACAGCAUAAAAAAUAAAAAAUAAAAACAAUCACUGGCUUAUGUUGAUCCAUAAUAUUGCAAUAUGAAACAUGAUUCCUCAUGAGGCUGUAAGAUCAAUAGCAAACCAAUUUAAGAACCAUAUGAGCAGCAGGUUGAAAUUUAGUCAUGUUCAGAUCAAAGUACGACAGAAAGUUUUCCUCUGAAAAUAAUUUAACCUCUGUGUAUCAAGUGGGUUAUUAUGAAAAUAAAUUUCCUGAAUAAUGAAGUUACCAUUUAAAAGAAGCAAUCAAGAGAAAAAGGACAUCAUUAUCAUGACUUCACAAGUUACCAAAAAAGAAAGAAAAAGAGACAAGUAAUCACCUCGUAAUCAACCCCUUGUAUAUAGAUAUGGUUGGAGUCAACUGAAGAGAAUGCAAGUCCAGUUAUCUGCACAAUGAAUGAAACAGCAAAGAAAAUUCAGUAGGUUGAGCAAAAACAAUGGCAGUUCAUUAUAUCUAAGCAUUUUGCCAACUAUUAAAUUUGUUUUGACCUUCUUAUGACACACCCCACUUUGAAACAAUGAUUGCAUCAAUUUCUUAAAUUAGACUGUCAGAUAACAUGAGAAUGGACUGGGGAAAUCUCUAGUUCUCUACAGCAUGAGGUGGUAGUCAAAAUACCUGUGGUAAGGUCUGUAGGCAAGACCACUAAUGAGAUUUACAAAUGAAGAAUUAGUUUUCAAAAGUUCCGGACAUAGACAUCCAGUAAUUAUCAUUAUCAACUUCAAAUUCAAAAUGACAGUCUAUUUUAUGCAGCAGGUGUUGUAGCAACUGAUGGCACAAUGACAUAGGAUAGCUCAAAGUCUCAAACAAACCCUAAAAUCUGUUUCAAGAAUCAACAUUUCUUUUACAAUGUGUUUGGAUGAGGGAAAAAGUGAGGGAAUUUAAAUAAAAGUAGGGAUUUCCCAAUUCCUUAGGUCUCUUUCUGGCGUUUGGACUCUUAUCCCAUGGAAUUAGCAAUUUCCACGGGAAAAUAAUUGUGGAAUUUGGGAGCUUAAAUUCCCGACUUGAAUUCCUCACAAAUAGCCGUCAUUUAUCAGUUCUCUCAACUGAGGUUAGUCUAAAUACAAAUUCUUGUUAUUUUAAAACUCUACAUCAUGAAAUCCAAACAAUGGAAUUCUCAAUUAAUGGAAUUUAAAUUCAUGGAAUUGUAAUUCCCAUGAUUUUAAAAUUUCUAUGGAAAUUGAAAUUACUUUAUCCAAACACAAUGUUAUUGCAAAAUCAAUUUAUUCAGGUUGCACCUAGAGGCUUUCCACAUAGCCUACAAUUUGGCAGGUGAAUGGCUGGGUUCUGGGAUAUUUUUCUUUGGCAGACAGCAAAAAAACUGGGUCUGAAUUUCUGUAGUUGCAAGCCAGAUGUUGAAACGUGAAUGCACAUUAACAAACAUGAUACUGCCACCUAUUGCCAUUGACAGUAAAAGAAGAAUGAACAGAGUUCUAUGGCAACAUAAAGUGCCAAAUGAAUUACUUUAAAGUUAUGGUGAAAUAACUUUGAUUAUGCUUGAAACCGUUCCAAAGCAGUAUAAUAGUUUCUGAGGAGAAGUAUUUAACUGAAAAAAGGAGUGUAAACAAAGACUAGUGUGUUUUAACAAUAACCUCAUAUUUCGAGCAGUGCACCCAUCUUGAUAGCGUGGCCCAUCUGCAUCAUAUAUCAGUCACCAGUUUUAGUCAAGUUAAACAAAAUAAAAAAAUAACUAGUUUCCUCAACUUCAGAAUACCAAAUGGAGCCAAACAAAAUCAUAAUCCUAAAUAUCAGUGUAUAAUUGCAUUGUAUAUCUUAAACAUAACUAAAAAUAAUCACAUACUAACAAAAGCAAGUGUGAUGACCUGACAUGAUUAUUGAACCAAAUGAUACCAACCUGCGAGGAUCAUAGAUCGUCACAGUACGAUCAGCUCCACCGACCGCAAUGUUCCCAGUUGAGGAACUGCAAACAGUGUAGAAGUCAUCACCAAGUGAUCCACAUAUUCGUUGUAGACAGCCGCCCUUUUCUUUCAUUCUCAAGUCCCAUAUACUCAGCUGCACUUAUUCCACAGACAAAGAUGAGAAAUUUAAGCAUAUAACUGAAGAAUACAGCUUUGCAAUAGUAUACAAUAAAAGUAGGCUCAACCUGGCAACCUUCUGUAACAGCUAGUAUAGAGCUUUCAUUUCCAUAACGCGAACUUUGCAUGAAGCACAGUGAUGUUGGAUACAAGAGUCUGUGAUUGCAACAUUAGCAACAGCAAAGGUUUCAGAAUGAUAGUCUCACAGUAUCACACAUGUAGUUGCAAGGCAACUUUACUGAAAGCUCGAUAAAAAUCUUAGGUGACACAUAUAGGUAUUCUAAAUCAUCAAUGAUCGAGAAGAUUGAGAAUAAGAGCAAAGGAUAACAAAUGCAGAAGGAAAGCAUAUUGCACAAUCAGUGAUUAUAGUGAAGUCUGUAGUCAACUUUAACAUUUAAACAUUUUAUCACUAAGGAAGCAUUAUGCAGUGAGAAAGACACCAUUAAUAUUUGGUCUUAGAUUAUGUGAAAACAGUACCUAUCAUAUAGAUAUUGCUCUUUAUUGAUUAGUUCAUAUUGUAUUAUGCUGAACAAAAUCGUCUAAAAUAUGUGAUCAACAAGCAGGAAUCAGGAUACCAUUUUGUUGUGAGAUGGUAUGCCUUAAACUGAAGUUUUGAACUGCCUCAGAACAUGACAUUUACAAAUUUCAAGUGAUUUAUUUAAAUCUUCCAGGUUUUGACUAUUACAGAUAAGAGUAAAACAAAUGAAAUUUAAUUUAUAUAAACUCAUGGUAAUUUCCUCAAGAAUUAACAGAAAUACUAUUCAGGCACCACAUCUAACAUGUAAUACUUACGUACAUAAUGUCCUAAUGUGAAUAUCCUGGUCAUAAACAUCAACGGUUUUGCAGAAGCUACGUGCAACAGCUGCCUGCAAUAAAACACCGUACAGAAAUAUAAGGUAGUAAAAACAAACUGGAGAACAAAUCAUGGGCUAUCAACCCUUAUUGAAUUAAAUGCUCAGAAAGGACGGAACAAAAGGAAGCACAUUUGUUCUGUUCAUUCAUUCUUAAUACAGGAAUGACAUCUCCAUACACAUACCUCUUUUCAUGUUUUAUGUACUAUGUAAUAUUCUACAAGUGUUCAGCUCUUCAGUUUAUUUCUCUUUUAUACCCAGCUUCCGUGAAUAAUAGUAGGCACUUGAGCCUACAAUUCCAAAUCUUUUCUUUUUCUUUAAAUAUUGUAACAUUGAAUUUACACCGGUUUGGGUAUGUACCUCAGAGAUUAAUGAAGGUGGAAGUCUGAAUUUUUAUUGACAUGAAAUAACAAUAAAAAGCCCUCCUGAACAAAAAGGUAUUACGAAAAUGAAAGGUUACUGAUUAACUCAUUACGCAGUAUACUUUCAAAAACAAGGUUUUACUAGAUAAGAAAAUACUCAAAGAAAACCUUACGUAUGAUUAUCAAUUGAUAGUAAAUGUCAAGCAACUGAAACAAAACGAAAAACACUUGGGGCUAUCUAAUUUCUGCACCUCCAAGCAAAUGCUUUUCAUAGCUUUAUCUUUUUUGGUAGGAAACGAACUUUCGUCAGAAUGAACAAGAGAACCAAUACAAUACGGGGGGGGGACUUGUCCGGGGGAAAAGUUAGAACUUAACAGCAACCAGCUACCUAAACCAAAAAUAAUUAAAGACAAGAUAAACACUACAGCAAUCAAAAGAAACUUAGAAGAAAAUUUGAAUGCCCAACAGCAGCCUCCAGAUAUAGACUUUAUACCACACAAAAAAUAACCGCUUCAUAACUUGUAUCCUUAAAAACCAACGAUUCUUGCUCAAAAAUAAUAAAAAGAUAAAGAUAUCUUCUAUGCAUCCGCCGCCUGCCAAACAUUGCAACCAAAGCACAUCUCCCUAGCACUGUAACCCCUCCUUCCUCCACCAGAGAAUUUAUUUAACUGAAAAUGAGGCUUGUUCCGGUGGACUUGUGUCUCCCUACACAAUCUUCCAACAGAGUUACAGCAAGUGAUAUGAACUUUUAGCACCUUGUUUACACAUCAUGUACCAGGGGCGAGAGAAACACCAAGAAAGCAGUCUCUUUUGAACCAUAUAACAAGACAGAAAUUUGAUUGAAUAAGAUUUAAAGAAUUGUAUGAAAAAUGUCCACAUUGCUUUAACGUACUAGGGAUUUGAAAAGGAAUUGAUCGUGAUUUUCAGCCUGCUCUUUCCAUGAAUCCUCUUAACUGAGAUAGAGAUAGGAACCAACAUAACAAUGCCAAAGCAGCCAGUACUCCACUAACCUCUCUCUCUCUCCUCCCUCCCCCCCCCNNNNNNNNNNNNNNNNNNNNNCCCCCCCCCCCCCCCAGAUCAUUUAAAUUUUUAAGAGACCUGAAGUUCCAACUCAAUGGAGAAGGUGAAUCUGCCCACAAGUUUGCAAUAUGGCUUUCAAAUGAAAUAUUAAUUAUAUGCAAGCAAAACAAUACAGAAAGCUGCUUAGCCAAAGGUUCAAUCUACCAGCUACCACAGAUGUUUAUCAGGACUUGAUGACAGAUAUAUCUGAUAUAUAUCGAUUGCUGGGGAGAGAAGAUAUAUAAUUGUCUAAUUUUCAUAAGAUUGGACUGCUAGCUGAAUUCAAACACCCCUUAUCUAAUUUUCCUAACACCAAAAACUUAUGCUCCAAAACAAAAGCCAAAAAUCUCCUUCAACACUGUCACGGCCUUCUCAAAAUCAAUUGUGAAAGCUAAUCCUUCUUCUUUCUUUUUUGUAACUUUCUCAAACCUCAAUUUCAAUUAAAAUCACUGCUAAAUGCCUCUCUUUUAUAAAUGCCCCUUGAGCUUGUGAAAUAGUACCUUCCAGCACUUCCCUAAAUCUUGAAACAAACUUUUGAACUAAUUUUGAGCAAGCUUGAAACUAAGCUGAUAGGGCUAAACAACCCCACCUCCGUAACUUCCACAUAUUUCAGGACUGAGCAAACAUAUGCUUCACUAUUAGUUAUAAAUUCCUGUAAAACUCCCCAUACAUCAAACUUGCUUUCAAAAUAUCCCAUCUGUGCUGAACCCAAAUCGCAACACUGCUGAUACAUUCCAAGGUGUUCCAACAAGACCAACAGUGCUUUACACAUUAUCUCAUGCUGUACCAAAAAGUCCCAAGUAACCUAUUAACACAAUUGCAGGACUUGAAAUGCUUCUUAUGUCUUGCCAAUUGACACGUAAAUUUGCCGCCUCACUUUGAUACUUAGUUAAAGAAGCCAUGACAUGUGGGUGUGAGCAAUCGUCUUUAUAUUUUGUUAUACUCAUUUAAGAAUGGAAGACCGACCACUUGAUGUUAUAUUUCCCAUUUUUGUCCCGAUUCCAUAUUUCAGCUGAUUUUCUCACAGGUGCAGAGUGUAAAAACCAGAGAGGUGUCAAAAGGAAAAGUAAACCAUACCAUGGACAAUUGUAUUGGAUUGAAGCAAAGACCAGCCCAUCCACUCUCUCCAAGGCCACAAUCUCGAGGCAGUACUGAAUAACUAAGCUUCUCUACAUCUGAAAGUUUAAUAGGUUACCACCACAAUUCAAAAGGCAAACACAAAACAGAGCAGAAAGGAAAAGGGUGAUAAACACAAACUUCAAACAAUAUGCCUUAAUUUAUUGACAUUCAUGCAUAUUGCUGAUGUUAAGGUGAUGGAUCAAAUGUGUAAAAUCAAUACAAGGGUAGACAAUCGGAUGCAUUUGGCAAAGCAUGGUUGCUUACUAAUAGCUGUCUACAGUACUCCCACAUGCUCCAAGUUUGCAUGACACUCAAGCUCCAGACAAGACAUCUAAAUUGGUAGAUAUUCAUUUCUUUUUUAUUUGGUUAAAAAGUUAGGUAGUUAUGCAGGAGUAGGGAUGUUUGAUGGGAAGAUCUUUUCCCCUGAAAAAUGUAGUUACUGCACCAUAGUUGCUUAUGGUUUCAAAUUGCCCGUUGUUUGAUAAUUAAUAUUAAUUAGAAAAGGGAAAUGAACCAGAGUUGUUCAAGAGUAGUCUAGUGUAGUUAAUAGUCUUUAUGAUACCUAAUUCCAUUAUAAGAUAAUAGAGCAGAGAAAAAAUUUUUCGUUUUCGUUUUCUUUUUCUUUUUCUUUUUGAUAAGAAACAAAUUUUAUUGAUCACAGUGAAUGAUAAAUAAAUAGUAACAGUGGACAAGUGACACAUCAAAGAGAAACAAACAGCAUAGACCAGAAUUCAACAAAAAAAUACUAUUAGUGAGAUGCAGACAAGCACCUUAACGAAUAUAUGCCUAGAUUACUGCUCUACAGUCGAGCAAUAUAUUAUAUAUGCUAGAAUUUCUGAUCUGCUGAAACAGAAGCCCACGAAGCUGCCAAAAGCUUCACUCUAACCCAAAGCUCUAUAAUCCCCGCACCUCUAUAAUCUUAAAAAUCCUUCAACUUUCUUUGCAUAAAAAGCACCCAAAUGCAAACUAAUACACCGCCGGCCAAGAGUUAGAGAGUGGCUUAUUUCUACUUCAGUCUUCUUCCAGUUCGCAGAACCCCACAACACCCUUGAUAUAAACAGAACUGUAUACUAAAACCUCACCCAGCAACUUGACUUUAAGUUGAUAGUGCAGGAUUCCAAAUGAUUUUUUUUUAGGGGAACAGGAUUCCAAAUGAUAAUUCUUUAGUUACUGCUUAAAAUACCAGCAGGAUCCUCGGUACAGUUUUGAAAUUAGUUUACAGACUGGUCUGCUAGUAGCAUCUCAAUGGGGUUUAGGCAACGCUAACAAAACUUUGGAAUAGAGUAAAGUUUUUUUUAGCUCUAUGGGCUACUGUCUUGGUACAUUUCAGAUCGUAGUUUUUCUAAUAUUUUGUUCGACAGGAAGACAGUUGUAGUCUUAGAUUUAUUUGGGAUGUCUUUUCAGCAGUUUACUGGUUUAGUCUGGUUUUUUCUGUUGUUUCACCCUGUUCUGGAGCUGUUGUCCUCUUUAAUUGUAUUUUGUGGUGAUAAAAAAAAGUAAAAAGAAAUUGAUGAUAAUAAUACUAACUCUAAACGAAUAAAGGGUUGAAAAAUUAGACUAAGAAGGUUGUCUUCCUCAAGGCAGCCAACAAAGUUAACAGAGAUUACAAGAAAGACGAAGAAUUGAUGUGUGUGGAACUGUGUAUCAUUUAUUUUGGCAUUGUCCUUUUUCACUUUAAAAUGAAAACGCAGAAAGGAAAGACAACUAGAAAAAACCCAAUAACCUUUACAGUUUUCAUAGUUAAAAAAAAUAAAAAAUAAAAACCUGUCUCCAAAAUAUGCAAAAAUUCCAGGCAAAAAUUUAGUUAAGUAUGACUCCAAAUAAUUCAACUCCCUGAAAACAUUUGAAAAAAGCCCAUCAAUGUCGUUAUCCUUUCUAUUUAUUUACAUAAAUUCUGCUAAGUCUCCACAUUAUCCAGAACAAGGAUAGCACAAAAAAAAAAAUCUAAAAGAAAACGUGUACCUUUACCAUCAGUGUCUAGUUUAGUUACAAUAAGGUGACCAUAAGAAUCCACAGUUCCCAACAUUGAAUAGCCAGUGCCUGCAUUUUGUAUCCAAAACAAUAAGCUUUUUGUCGAAAAGACAGAUACUGAACUGCUAGUAAAUUACAUACAUAUCAAAUACCAUUCUGAAUGAUUUCCAUGCAAUUUCUUAAGAAAUCUCUACAUUAUCUGAAAUGUUAUAUCAGCUUCUAAAUCAAAUCUCCUGCAUUAAAAGACUUUUGUGAAUUAUGAUAAAACAUGUUGGGGACACUGUCAUUAAAUUUGGAGUUUGAUGGUACAUUCCUAAAACCUAAUUCAGUGAAAAACUAUUUCUGGUCUUCCUUCAACUGAGAUGAGAAGAAAGUACAGAAUGCCCCUUAGAUUUGCAUGUUUCCCUUCUUGCCGGUUUUACCUUUACUCAAUUUCUCUCACAUCAUCAAUUUUACUGUCCCUAAUACUUAUUCCUAUUAAUUCACAUCUAUAUUUGGGCAUGGUACAGUUCACUUCUAUCUUCCAACAAUCCUAUUUCCCUUCAUACCAUACUUUGGGAAUGUACCGUGCACCCUCCAUGCUCUCUACUGCAUAAGACGUAAACAAGCCCUAGCACCCAAUAAUUGACACUGAUGGUAUGGAAAACAAUAAGACAUGUGAUAAAGAUAAUCUUCAAAAUGUAAACGAUAAAUGAGUCCAGAAUACACUCACUCUCAGUUUCAGCAAGCACAAUACUCUGUAUUUCUGAACGAUGCGGGCACCGAUUAACCAUAAAUGAGUUCAUAACCUUCAAGAAAUCAGAGCAUUGAUGAUAACAGAAUUAACAGAAAAUGUACCAAUUAGCAAACAGCCAUGAUUCAUUUCAUUAGAUCACAUACCUGCCUGUGAACAGGAAUCAGAAGGCUAUCUUUCCCUUCACUGACCAGAGAAUCGUCCAACGCAACCUUAAUUUAUAAACCAAAAAUGAAAAAGACACAGAAAGAAAAGACUAAACAAGAUCCUAGCUUUUCCACCAUACACUCGGACCAUUAACAUCAGUAGAGUAUAUCACAAAUACAUUUUGAUUUUGACAAAUGCUCAAGCAUUAUCCAUUCUAGUUUUCUAAGCUAUAAUCUUGUUUUUCUAUUGUAGACGGUUCAAAUUCAAUGAUAAAGGAAACAUUUCGCACUCGAACAUAGCUAAUCUAAUUCAUGUUUCCUUCGAUUUGUUAAAAGUCUCAGUGAAUCGAAGACCAGCAAAAUCACAUAGACCCAGUAAUCGGUGUAGUUUUCAUUCGGUAAUACAACAAAAAAACACUUAAUCAAUUAAGCAUGAACUGAGACACAAUCCAAGCUUAACUUUAACAUGCAUCAAUUUCGUAAAAUUGAAUCGAAUGUGAAAGAAAUAGAGAGAGAGAGAGAUGUACCUGGAGCUUGUAAAUUUGGCAACCGGAGGCGAUGUAGACCCAGCAAGAAGAGCCGUCCUGGCUGACCUGACAAAGAAUUGAAUUGAGCAUCAGACAAGCCAAAAGCCGUUAGGGUUAGGGUUUGGGAAGAAGUGGAGAGUAAGAAAUAUAUACAUGGAGAGCGAGGCGAGUGGAUUGGAGGUUAGCCGGAGAAGGAUGGUCUAUAAGAGAAGGCGGCACCGCCACUUUGGUCAAGCUCUUGGCUCUCAGCAUAUCUCUCUUAUCUACUUCUGCGAAUCGCAACAAGGAUUUGGAGUGCGCGGGAAUUGGAAUAACGGCUACAACGCUAUGGGGGGUUUUAGAGGCUGUUUAGGCUUUCUGAUUGUGCUCGAGUCAGAUUCAUUUCCUUUUUAUUUAUUUAUUUAGUUUUUCUUUUUUUUCUUUUUUGGUUUUUACCCGGCAUAUUUACACUUUGUUAUUUUUUUUUUUUAAACAUGGACUUGAACCCUUUUAUAUUCAGACGAAAAAUAACAGUUAUAACAUGACUUACUCGAUAGGGUAACGAUAGAAAAAAUCAUGUUAGAUAGCUCGAGAGCAAUCUAAAUUAAACUAUUAUGGAGUUUAACCAAACAAGAACAAAAACCAAAGUUAAAAGAACAUAAACAAAGUUUAGCAAUAGCCACAGGAAUGGCAUGCUCUAAACCUGUAAAAACGACCAUCUUGGAACCUUCCUACGUAGAGAAGGUUUUCCCGGGUUCCUUCAUCACCGCCAUGGUCGUCGGCAUCAUCUCUGGUACCCGGAUCUUUGGCUUAUGUCGUGCACCCAUCAGCACAGCAUAAUUGAAGCGUACUUCCAAAGCCCAUGGCAGCAAGUCCCAAUAAGCCUACAACCAAACUAUAUGGGCACCUAAUGACACUCCAUCUAGGACAACGUCGCUGCCACCGAGCUCCCCACCGUUUUUGUGAACCGCGACUGAACCUCCCGCGUCAGCGUCGGGACAUAGCGAGCUCAGAAACUUGCCAACUGUCUUAGCCAGCCCUCCACCUUCACAACCGCCACCACCAACGACCAACCAUGAACCAAGGGAACGUAAAACUAAUCGAGACCGCCACAUAUCAGGAUCUCCGAGCCCCUCCCCCGACCAGCACAGCUUGAAACGAACGCUCCCAGAUGCAUCAUUGUUUGUGAGAUUAGGAACCCCAUAGAAGAAGCUAUUAUUCUUUGAGAUUUUGUACCCUCCAAUGUGAACUCUAAGGAGUCCGACCUAGAAGACAAUGAGAGCAGUGAACCAAAGACUUUGAUUGCUCUUAUCCCAAAAGGGAAUACCCUUGUAGUGUUACCGACUUCAGGCCAAUAUCAUUGUGCAAAGUGGUGUAUAAAUUAAUUUUCAAGUCUAUUAUGAAUUGACUAAAGAGCAUGAUGUUGCAAAUCAUAUCUCCUUUUCAAAGUGCUUUUGUCAAGGGGCGACAAAUUCAUGACAACGUGAUUACUACCUUUGAACUAGUUUCACACGAUUCGGGCCAACAAAAACCCAAGUAUUGAUAAUCUUUUUGGUAUGUUUUGUGUGAGGAGCGUACCAGAAUAGUUGUUCUGCAUAAUGACGUUUUCUAACGGCUCUUUCACUGAGCUUUAUUAAUGGACGACCUAUCUUUCAAAAAAAAAUCCCAAGUGUUCCUAAGAUGGUGCUCAAGUUGGACAUUAGCAAAGCGUAUGACCAGGUCAAGUGGGGUUUCCUAGAGAAAAUGAUGUUGAAACUGGGGUUUGACAAUCAGUGGGUUGAUCUCAUCAUGCGUUGCAUCUGGUCCGUGAGAUUUUCUGUGCUUUGGCAAGGACAAGCUUUGGGGAAUUUCUCACCUUCUCGUGGAUUUCGCCAAGGGGAUCCUCUAUCUUCUUUCCUCUUCCUCUUAUGUUCUGAAAGGGUUGUCCAAUUUAUCUCAAAGAGCAAGUCGAGACGGUCAAAUUCAUGGUAUAAGUGUGGGGAAUGGACUGUCGGAUAUAACACAUAUGCUUUUUGUAGAUGAUAGCUUGGUGUUCUUAAAUGCCAGUUUGGAGGAUGUCACCGUAGUUAAUUAAGCAAUGUUUAUUACUAUGUUGCACGUACACGAACACUAACACGGCUACACGACACAGCGCGACACCCCGACACGAAAAAUCCAAAAAAUCUAAGAUCCGACACGGCUUAGACACGACAAAUAAUUAAUAUAUUUAUGUAUUUUAAUAUAUAAAUGAAAUACUAAAAACAUAAGUUUUGAGACCAUAUGCGGUUAUCAGCAAAGAGAUGUUAUAAUUGAAUGGAGAUUAAGAAACUUGGUGACUAAUUUGAAGUGGAAAAGGGAGAUGAAGGAAGAGGGGAAAAGUGAUAAAGGGAGAUUAAGUUGGAGUUUACAAACUAGAUCAAACUAUUAGAGUUUAAACAUUGGCUAGAAGGGAUAUAUCAUAUAUCAGCACUCAUUAUUAUUAUUAUUAUUAUUUUGCUGUUUAGAGGUUGUGAUAGUUUUUUUUUUGGNNNNNNNNNNNNNNNNNNNNUGGCGUGUCAGAUGAUUACAUGACGUGUCGGUCAAAGUGUCGGGCCGUGUCGAAAAAGUCAACUUUUUCUGACACGCCACGUGGCGCGUCGGACAACGCAUCAAGGCAUGUCGGACACCGCGUCAAGACGUGUCGUGUCAUGUUGGCGUGUCAGACACUCCGACACUCCGCCCUCAGAAGUGUCCAUGCAACAUAAGUUUAUUACUUUAUGAGCGAGCAGCUGGUCAGAAAAUUAAUUUCCAAAAGUCUGUGACUUCCUUUGGGCCAGGAGUUUCGAAUGAGACGAAGAAUGAGAUUUUGAAUUUUUUAGGAGUUUCAAGUGUCUUUCCAUGAGCGCUACUUGGGCCUUACGAUAGUAGCAAGAAAAAGUAAAAAGCAAAUGUUCAAGAGUAUUAAUGAUAAAUUAGAUUUGCAUAUGAAUGGCUGGAAGAGCAAGUUUCUGUAGAAAGGUGAUAAAAUGGUACCUAUUAAGGCAGUGGCUCAAGCGAUCCCUACAUAUACUAUAUAUGAUAGUGUUCUAACUUCCUAAAGGGGUUUGUAAAAUCUUUUCAGUCAAAAAUUUCUAGGUACUGGUGGGGUGAUAGCAAAGAAAGAAAGAGUACAUAUUCAUUGGGGCAGGUGGAGUCUUUUGUGUCAAAAAAACAAAUACGGAGACUUGGAGUUUAUAGAUUUCGAAGACUUUAAUCAAGCAUGGUUGGCUAACACGGUGUGGCGUUUAGCUACCAAUCCGAGCUCAUUGGUUCAUGGAAAUAUGCAAGCAAAUUACUUUUCUGAUGGAAAUUGGGUGAGGAAAUCGGCAGAUCGGAAAUCAUCCAUGAUUUGGAGCGCUAUUAGUCUGAUUUAGGGUUGUGACUUAUUAUGUCAAUGGCUUAGAUGAAGGGUUGGCAAUGAGAACAAUAUAAAGGUGUGCGAGGCUAGGUGGUUACCGGUUCCAUGGAGCUUCGAAGUUACUUCCCCAAGAUCUGGGGACCUAAACCUAAAUGUUAGUGAUCUUUUUACUCAACAUGGGAUGUGUAAUGUGGCUUUGCUUCAUAAUCUCUUUCUUCCUCAUGAAGUGGAAAUUAUAUUAUCCAUUCCUUUAGCUGGGUUGUGUGGACUUACGCCAUUUUGGUGUCAUGUCCCGUGUCAGAUGCGGACACAGACACGACUGGACACGACAAAAAAUGGUCGGACACGCAGGGGACACGCGCGUAUCUGAAGUGGACACGUGCAUAUCCGGAUAGGAUACACAAUAAGCAUGACACGGGGUAAAAUUGACGUUUAUACAAAAAAAAAAAAAAACAAUUAGGUCAACCUUUACUCUCAGCUGCAUAGCGUGUUCAUUCCUUCUCUAAUUCUCUUUAGGACAACGCAGAGACACAUCGUUGGGGAUCUUCUUCGAUUGAUUGAUUGGUGGCUUGGUGCUCCAGCUAGUGUACGGAUACGUUCUCGACUUCUCUUACUUCUCUAAUUUCUCCAAGCUAUGUUUGCUUCUGUAUUAACCUAUUUGCUAUGUUUCUGAUUCCUUUGCUUUCGAUCAACUCCUAGUAGUAGAUGAUAUAGCUCUGCAAUAUUGACUAAGUUUUAAUUUAAGAAACCAUAUUUUUAUUAUAUAUAUUACAUUAAAAAUAAAAAAUUAAAUAACGUGUCCAUCACGUGUUCAUUCUAAAAAAAUAAAAAAUUUAGCGUGUCCGCGUAUUAUAUUGUGUCGGAUUCGGACAGGCUUACUCGUAUCCGUGCUUCAUAUGGAACAACACUAAAGAUGGUGUCUUUUGGUGAAGUUUAAGGUUUGGUACUGUUAGCAUCUCGCUUUUCGACUGUGAUCCAGCAGGUAUCAGAAUGUAUUCAUAUUAUUUUGUUAAGACGUAUAACAAGGUCUUCAAUAGUGUAAACUUAACUUGCCCUUAUGGGUGGCUCUUCUCAAUCAAAUUGUCAAGGUAUAGAUGGUCAUUUUCGAAUCAUACCCAAAAAAAAGGUCAUUUUCGAAGCUCACCACACACAGUGUAGACGACGGCUUGUUCAAAAACAGAGCAAAUAGAUCACAAAACCAAUGAGCCUAAUCAACUCCCAACUUAAGCAGCUAAAAGGUGGGCCCUCAUGUUGGGGUCAGCUCAGCCUGUAACGUCAUGUUUACAGUCAAACUCGAAAUUUAGAGAAGAUUGAUGAAAAUUGUAAGUUCAGGGAUUAAACUGAUUUUAGCCUCAAAGUUUAAGGAGGUAAACUGAAUUUAAUCCUAGUAUAAAUUUGCAAAAGUGUCUAGUAGUAUUGCAACUUUUUUUUUUUCCAUCUAUUUUGAUUUCACAAUAAUCGAUGCAAUUUUGCAUUACAUUUUGGUUAAUUUGAUUCAAAUAGGUUGAAAUAACUGGCUUUUUCUUCUGCUUCAAAAUCUUGUUUCAUUAUCAUAAUGGAAACAGUGGUAACAAUCUACAGGUUGAUUUUGUAUCUCUGAAAUGAAGAAAAUGACCGGAAUUAUAAUGGAACAAGAAGUCAAGAACUGCUAUAUCAUAGGGACCAAAACUGCAAUCCAAUCAAAACACAAUCCCUCAAACCGAGUAUCACUAGAGUGCAUCGGUUGCAACUCUUUUUUGGACAAUAAUAUAGAUUGUAACUUCUUUUUUUUUUUAGUAAGAAUAUAGAUUGUAACUAAAACGAUGAUCCUGGAGCUCUCUCUAUAUACAUUUUCUUCCCUUGAGUAAUGAUAUCUCUCUUUCUCGUUUGUGAAAAUAAAAUGUCAAUUCAGUGCUAUUUUAAAUUAGAAAAAAUAAGACAAAUGAAAUAAAAGGUGUGUUAUUAGAACACUUGAGCAGCAAGGCUGAAUGUUGAAUGCACCUCCAGUCAUAUGGUGAAGCAUUAAAGGCUAUGCUUUUUGUUAAUAUCAUGAAACACACAGACGUUGCUACAAAGUCUUUGCAAUGAUUCAACUUGAAGCUGAUCAGCUACAUGCAGGCGAAUAUUUGGUAGACAAGCUGCAAAGAAACCUCUUAUAGGGGUUGCAAGGGUUGUUAUUAACUUAUUAUUGUGUAACAAAUAAGAGUUAGGCAUCCAUGGUCUAGAUAAAAAUCCUUGAAAUCUUAAUACUACUCAUAAUCUGGAAGAAUUUGUAAACUUGAUGUCCUUUCCCAACAGGAAAGAUGAACUGCAAAACAUGAAUUUUGAAGACUAUCAUAAGGGUUAAACUAGGGGAAAAUUGAGGAAGAGAUGAUCAUAGGAGACCUCUAAAACCCAAAUCAAUUGUCAUAAAAUACGUAGCGAUCAAAGGGUGUUUGUUCUUUGAGACGAUAUCAGUAUAGUAGGAAUGGAAUGGUUCAUUGAUUUGGGAAGAAUAGCGGGGUAUAUAAGUGAAAGAAUAAACGUGAAGACAUUUUGGCCAUAGACAUUUACCUACAUCCAUUGUUGUGCUAUAUGUUAUUCAGGCAGAUUUAUUUUGUUGCACCAGAUAUUGCAACUUUGCAACCUUGGUUUCUUCUAUUUGAAUUUGGCAAACAUUAUCAGUUUCCAUUAAAUUAUGGCUGAUUCAAGAUUUUGUAUUUUGUUCAACUUGAAUGUCUAGUUUCACCAUCGGAAUGUCUAACAAUCAACACAUCCAUUUAUAAAUUCAGAUUGAAGAAAAUGAUCGCAUCCCAAGAAUUUGAACUAAAGUUGGGAUAACAGACCAAAACUGCAACCUCAUCCAAAAUGCAAUCCCUCAACUGAGUUUUGCUUUAGUGAAUAUAUGGCAAUUGAAACCAUAGUCCUGGAGCUCUCUCUCUAGGUGCAUUGUGUUCUGUUAGCAAGAGAUAUUUUUGUUCUGAGGUUGAAAAUAAGUCACCAUAUUCAACCUAGUGCUCUCUCAAUCCGAAAGAAUAAAACCAAUGAGAAAGGUGUCAUAAAUUUUUCAUCAGUGUGUCUCACAAGAAUAAAGCAAACCCAUCUGCUAAUGUUUACAUAUUUGAAUUAGAACUGAGCAGCAAGGCUGACUGUAGAAUGCUCCUCCAGUCGUAUUUGCUAAGCAUUAUGAGCUGUGCUUCUUGUUGAUAUCAUGAAGCACACACACGUCUGCUGCUGUCUUCAACUGAACUCAUGAAAUCCACAUACAAAGAAUUAGAAGACAAACUUGAAUCUGAUCAGAUACACCAAUGACAAUAUUUGGUAGACAAGCUACAAAGAAACCUCAAAUGUGGAUAACUACGGUUUUUAUUGAGUGAACCAAAAUAAGAGUUAAGCAUCCAUGGUCAAGAAUAAAGUCUUGGAAACUUAUGCUGUCAUAAACUGUAAACCCUAAUUUGUAAACUUAUGUUAAAUUCAAAAUCUUUUCAACCAUCUUGAUGUCAUUCCCCAACAAAUAUGAUAUUAGUGAUGGUCAUAGAACAAGGAACAUCACUACCACUACAUUAGAGCUAUUAAAAUAAUCAAGUAUCACCUCACUGUCACCUGAAGUCUUCAACGCUUAUGUAGCACACUAGUCUAAUCCAUAAACUAUACCAGAUUAAAUUAAGCAUUAAGAUCGUCAUGAUGUGAAUGGAUGAUUUCUUAACGAAUGGUGAACUUCAGAAAACCAUAACAUUAAUAAGCAAAUAUGUUGAUUUACUGUUUGAGGUUGGACCUCAAGUACUCUGCAUUCAUUUUCAGGCAGAUUACACACUUCUAUAAUGUCCAAUUUAAAUCAAGGAGUCGCUAUUCAUUACCUGUAUACAAUUGACUGCUUGUUUGACAGCCCAUCCAAAUAAACUCAAACCAACUAGAACAGAAAGAGGUGUAAUAUGGUGUGCAAGACACAAUAAAACCUGAGAAGAAAACGUUCAGAAACCAUAAUAAUCUGGAACUAUCUCUUUUUAUCCAAACAAAAACCACACCACUUACAUCAAUCAAAUUCUCAGAUUCGUUCUUUGCAACAAGAAAUAGAAUGAUAUAAAGCACCUGUGAAGUGAAAAGUUAAAUCACGAGAAGUGGCAACUGCACCUAUUGAAAAGAAGAAAAAAAAAAAAAAAAAAAAACAAAAAAAACAAAGAGAAUACAGACAAAAGUUAUAAUUACCUCGCAUGCCACACAACAGUAAGCCAUAAACAUCCGAUUCCCGUAGUAUGCUCUGAAAAGCCAAUUAGUGCUGUCUUUCACAUCUUUGUGACUAGCCUUGCCAAGUAGAAAUGUACUGGAAAUAAAGGAUUUGCACUAUUAGUAAACUAAAUUUUUGUAGACAAUCUAAUGACCAAAAUUAUACAUUUGAUAAAAUGACAACAAGGAUGGAGAAUAACCUGUACAUCUGCAGCCAGUGGCUACCAAUAUCUAAAGCAAGCAACGACAGGAAAAUCAAUCCAGGCCUACAUUGACAGCCACUAGAAGCUAAGAUAAACAUGCAUAUAUAGUUACAGCAACAUAUAAAGAAAAUGUCUCACCGAUAGACUUGUGACAGAAUUACCAAGAGACAUGCAGUGCUUAUCCUGAGACGCAACAUAAGAAUCAAUAUCGUCGGUGUAGAAAAUUACACAAGAAAUACAUGAGGGUGGGAGGGAGGGAGGGAGGGAGAGAACCUGUCUGUUACCAUGUCCAAAACGGCUCCAAAUGUUGAAACUGCAUCAGGAAGAUGAAUCAAAUGAAAUUCUUUGUGAUCAAUUAAAAUUUACAAAUCACUGUUGCAGAAAAUAAAUCUCAUCAUAUGUGCCAGCAAAAAACUCUUAUUUUACCAGUUACCGGACAGUAAACAAUGACAGCACUUAAGUAGUGGAAUUAUGUAAGCCUCAGUAGAGUAAGAAGGCUAUUAUACAUUGCGAUAACCAAAAAAAGAACAAGGCCACAACCUGUGAAUCAAUGUUUAGAUAUCUAUGAACAGAUAUGCUUGAAAACCUCUAUUAACUAGCUAGCAGUUCAAGCCUAAGUAACAUGUAUGGUGAAAAAGGCAUGGCAGAGUCGAGAAGUGUAACCACCUAUGGAACUAAAAGCAAAUAGAGUUGGCAAGACUAAAUGACUUGAAAAACUUGUGUUGAACGGAUUAUGUGCUAGCACAGUUUGCAUUACUGUAGUUAUACUUGGUAUUUGUAAGAUGAUAGCAGGAUUUUGAGUUCAAUCACAUUCUAGUUUCGCAGAAGUUUAAUUGUCUGAAACUCUCAAUCACCUCGGCUCGUGUUCUUAUCUGUUUGUUAACCUGAGAGUCUACCAUUCAAUUUACAGUUCUUAUUAAAAAAAAAAUAAUAAUAAUAAUACAUUAAAAAAAAAACAACAGUAAGGUUCUCAAUGUCAGGGUUGCAAGCAGAUACCAAAACACAGCAUCAGCUAAGUUGUUUGUACAAAAGCAUGUAAUGCACACACCAAAUAAUUCAUACCUUGAUUGAAUUUGCGAGCACACCAACCAUCUACUCCAUCACAGACAAAGCUGGAACAACACAUUUUAAUCAUAUCUUUUUAACUAACAUACACAUUGAAUAAAACAAAGCUCAAAAUUAUGGUUGCAUAUGUACAAUGGUUUUGAAAUAAGAGGUUAAGAAAUUAUUUAUUUACUUGCCUUUUUUUUUGGAACAGAUGUUUAGUAUGAAAAUACCUUUUUUUUUCUAAGUUCUCUGGUGGAAUCAAAGGGAAAGCUCGACAUUCUAGUGAUAUACAGUAUAGAUUAUUAUUAUUAUUAUUUGUUUUUGCCUUGAGUAUCUAAACUCCACCCUACCCUCUUUUUCAAAUCAUGGAUUCUCAUUUCUCCAACACUAAAACAACUUGCAUUCAAACCUUUAAGAAUCCAAGUUCAAACACAACAUAAUAUUUCUUCAAAAGCACAUAUACAGUACUUCAUCAUUUUUUCCAAAACAAAUCAAUAAAAAGAAUAUAUUCUAACCUGACAAAAUAGAGAAUGGAGAAAAGUGAUUUGUUGGAGAAGCAUAUGGCAAAAGCAUAACAGUUCAUAAGAACCCUAAUGUACCCUGCAUUUCCAGAAGAAUAGAAAGAGAGCUUUUGGGUUAACCUCAACAAGUAUUUUGAAAGUAACAUGUAACCAACACAAGAAUGUCAAGAACAUUUACUCACCAAUUAUAUUAGGUAUGUAAAGGUAGACGGAAAGCUUUGUUAGCUUUUGUUGUGGUACUGAUUUCUUGGCCAUUGAAACUUGUUUUUUAAACUUAAAAUUAUAAAAAACGCAUCGGAUUUAGCAAAAUAUUGGUAGCUCCUGCACACACCCAAGAAACUUUCUUUAUCACAACCCAUUUAUUCCAGCAUUUCUAUAACAAAUAUAGAAACGGCAACACUACAUACAUCAAAAGAAAACAAUAAUCACAGAAAAUCAUCUAAACUAAACAGGAACAUCUGACGCAUUAAAUGAAUUCAAUGCUGAGGAAAAGUAGUUUGUACUAAAUCAACUUCAAACCCAGAACCAAGUCUACCAGACAGACAGGUAUUCACUGCAAGACUAACCUCGGAAUCAAAAGGCCAAUUCCCCUAUGUUUCUCCAAAAAUUGCAAAAAUGUAUGGGACGAAGUCUCGGUAGCUUCUGUAUUUCAACUUGGGAUCCCUUCAAUUCAAACAACACACAAUGAUUCACUGCUCUAUCAUUCUUUAACUAAACUAGUAAAACAGCAUCUAACAAGUUUUCAAUAUUCUCAAAACCUCACACACACUUUUCUUCUCAAACACAUACCCAUAACACACACUCCAUUCUCAAAUCUGAUACUACCGAAAGACCAGAGUCAAGUCCUAAUCUUGAAAAUAUUUCGAACAACGGUAAUUUCUAAGCGAAACCUGGAAAAUGAUCGGCUGGUAACGUAAUCAAAUGGGGAAUCGAAAGAAAGAGAGAAACCUGAAUAGAAGAGGAAACCCGAAAUGGGAUGAGCGCCGAGGGCUGUGUUUGAAGUAGUGGUGACUAAUACAGCACAAAUGAUAGAAAAGACUCGUAGCCCAGAAAUGAGUUAUCCAUCACAAGGCUUAUAAAUGGAAUCAGAAAUAUUAAUCUAAAUCACAACAUAAAAUCAGAUGCAAAUUGCAUUCUCGACUAAUACCAUACAAGAUGUAAGGAUCUAAUAAACAAAGAACAACUAAACUGACCAUGCAAAUGAGUUUCAACUUUCAAGGAAAGGUUUCGGGGGAGAGACAUGUUCUUCCGUCUCUUAACUAUUGAGAGAGGGAUGAAAGGUCGAAAGUACCCUUCAGAACUAAAUACGACACUGAAGCAUAACUUUCGACCUAAGUCAGACAUAUUUGACCAGUACCAGAGGAUUUUUUUUUUUUGAGAGGAAAAAGAAAUUAUAACAAAGAGCCUUUCAGGUGACCAAUAGUCUAAUACAAGAAGAAUUCAUAAGAAGAGCUAUCUCAGCUUGGGGAGGGAUCCCAUCAAACCAACACAUCGGUGAGAAAAGAGAAUGACCAACCGAAGCAAGAGCGUUCACAAGAAAAUUCAUCUCUCUGUACGUACGAGAGAAAGUGAUGCUGACAAAAGAAUCCGCAAAAGCUAAUACAUCUCGGAUCAAAGACUUGAGCUUCCAAGGAAUAGCACAAACCCUUUUGACACAGUUGAUGAUAAGGGAAGAGUCUCCUUCAACUUCGAUUUGGUUACAGUUGCGUCUUUUAGCGGCAAGAGCCCUUCUUUUAAAAUAGAUAUUGCUCAAGUCAUAUUUGGCACUCUUUGCUUUGUGACUGCACUAGGAAUGCAGAUCAAUCGAAACAAGGUGCUUAGAUGGGUCUUGCUCUUCCCUAUUAGUGAGUUUAGGUUCCGCUAUCACCAACCUUCAUCUCGAUUCGUGGAGUAGUUUCGGCACUACCAGUUGUGAUACUUCGUUCACUCUACUUCUUCGUCCCCGACACCAAUUUCUCUUAAUCAAUCAAAACCAUGAUUAGUAAUACGUCUUCACAUUUGCAUUGUAGGUGGGAAAUCUCCUGACCAGCCCUGCUACUCUUCAUACUCCAUACACCUUCCACCAUAGUAUAGAUAAGGAAAACCAUGUUGCUUCGGGAGACAAUAGCCAUCUUUCUGUUUGGUUUAACAAAUUUCCAUGAGGGUACCCUUGUUCUUUUCAGUUUUCAGAAAGAAAUAAAAGGUCCCAUGAGGCCAUGAGGCCAUGAUCCCAUCUGUUCCUCUAAUCAGCUAAUCCUAGGGUCUACACAGUUUUAUAUCAUUCUUUUCAAGGCACAUAAUAGAACAAUGAAGCCGAUACAGGAGAGGAAAUAACAAAAUAAAAUAAGAAGAAAAAAAACAACAGGGAGAGACGGGCCCCCUCUCACUAGUGUGCACUGAUGUUGUUCUGCAGUGACUUUUGAUACAACACACAACCUAUAUGAAAGGUCCUAGAAAGGAUUACAAAGAGAACAAUUACUACAAUCUCUAGUUAUUGCCAUAAUCUCUUCUAUUCACAUGCUAAUUUGGUGUCAAAGCUACUCAGGCAGAUAGCAAAGGCCUGAAAUGCAGACAAAGGAUACCGGUAAUCCAUAGUAAACAUAUCCUUGCCAACUUUACCAAACUGAAGUAUGAUCUUGUCGUGGUCUGAUGGAGCUGGCUGCGGGGGCUGUGAAGGUGUUGGUGCACCAGCUGCAGAUUGAGUCGUAGCAGCUAUCAAUUGAAAGUUUUUUACUGAGGCCACAGUCACCCGUCCCCGGAAGUUUAGGCACCAACACUGCAACUGUUCAUGCCAUCUCGGUGCCUUGUUCCGAAGAACCAAUGGCCUCUCUUUUCCCUCCUCUUCAAAACGGGAGGACCCCCCAACAAUAUCAGAGAAUCGAGCACUGCUAAACUCAGUUGAAGUAUCAAUUGAUUUUGAGAAUGAAAUGCUCCGGAAUGAGUCCUCAAGAGAGCGCUGGAGAAGCUCGGGCUGGCCAGGGACAGAGCCACCAGGCUCAAGGGAUGAGGCAGGGAUUGAGUGCAUGCUACAGUGCAUCCUGCGUGGACCCCUAGUGCCGAGCACAUUUAACUCAUAUGUCACUUGCGCUAUGUUGUAGCUGCCAGUAGGAACCUUAGGAGAAACCUUUUUUGAGUUAAAUCGACGGCUUCGGCCAGGUGGGGAAAGCUGAGCAUUGUUGUAUGGAGGCUGGGUAUCAUAAAUAAUGAACUUGGUGCCUAGAAAAUUGGAUCUGAAACAAAGAGAAGAAUGGGAGAUACAAAUCAGUAUAAACAAGAUGGAAACUACAGAAACUCUGAGUGAAAACAAUAGAGAAGCUCUGAGUGAAAACAAUAGAGCUUCCAAUAGUAUUAACUACCAAAACAUAUAUAUAGCUAAACAUAAAUUGUUAAGCUGAGUUUCCAAUAGUAUUAACUACCAAAAUUCACUACAAGACAGCUUCCAGCAAUAUAAUAUUACUAGCACAAAAUCAAGUCCAAGUCUCCCACAAAAUUUCAUUAAAAUUUCAUGUAGAGUUCACUUAAUGUUGCAGCAUGGCACAUGUUUGAACAUUUCAGUUUAUUAUGGUCUUUUCUGGAAUAACUUAAUUAUAAAUUUCAAGCAUACAAUAAAAUCACUGAAAAGACAAUUGACAAAACCCACCUCAGUUUCCCAAUGUAUUUGUUACUUGAUCGUGAUAUGUUAUCUGCAUCCAUGGAGAUCACAUACUCUGUGCAUGUAGUUCUUCGUGUUCGCUUGGCAGACAGAAGAAAUUUUCCAUUUUCAACAAGCAAAGCUGCAAAGAAUAUGCCAAUGGUCAACAGGAGAUCUAACAUAAAAUCGUAUGCAGCAAGUGCAUCAAGAUGCAAAUCAUGUUCUAGAAAGUUCAUAGACAAGUUAUUGUCAUACAACCGGAUUCAAGCAUAGACGGCAGAAUUAACUAUAGGUUCAAUAAUGGGCAGGUACAGUUGGCACUUAACUGCACUAACUAAGAAUUACCAAGUUCAACUAGGCCUAUCUAGCUGGUGCAAUUUUCACCAGCUGAACCAAGUGCAUUGGGCACUGAAAAAAGGUUUGCACGAACAGACACAAGUGGAAAUACAUAGCAGGAACAGUAUUGGCAAGUUAGCACAGUUUACAUCCAUGGAAUACGUGAGCUGGAUAUCAAAUCUACGCAGCUGGGCUCUAUAGGGUACAUCUGACCAAUCAAAAAUGGUCUUAGACCUUAAUAGAAUGUCAACAAAUAAAAUACAAUUCAACAGUGUUCAUAAUAACCUGCCAAAAUAGGACCUAUAGGAUCCAUGCCAAUUUUUGACAACAUGACAAUAUACUCAUCAUGUAUAGAGUGAAUUAACUAUACAUUUACCAGAAACCACUCUUACAGUAGAGAGCGUCUCUAGUUUUGGCAUAGACAUUCACAAAACUUACAAUUCCAAACCUUUCUAACAUUGUUUAUCAUGUCAACAGACAAAGCACAACGCAAAUUUAAUGCUGGAUUAAUUGCUCUCAUGAAAGGUUACAAGCUGUUGGAGGCUCUGGGAAAUAGGCAGGUUAUCAUUCAAACAGAACGUCUACUAUUGGUACAAUCAUUAACACAAGGCGACACACAUUUGUCAAGCAUGGAUCUGGUUGUAGGUGAAGCUCGAGAGUUUUUGGAUAGAAACUUAGAGUUUAAGGUACGCCACACCCCUCAUGAAGCUAACAAGUCCAUGUACUCACAAAUCAUGCUUUACAAUGAGGGUCAAGCAUGGUAUGUUGUUAUUAUAAGGGAUGUCAUUCUAAGUGAUUGUUAGCACUAAUUAUUUCAAUGAAAUCCUCUUUAAAAAAAACAAAUAAAAAAAACUAAAUAAUAAUAAUAAUAAUGAAAACAAAUUUUAUAGAUGAUCAUAAUUAUACUUUAAAUUCCUACCAAUCAUCAGUAUCUCAUUGAACUCCAAAAUACAAUUGUCUUAGAGACUUACCAGGGCUAAGGCACAGGUAAAGGUGGUAAGUUAAAUUCGAUUUGUCCCUCUUGAUGAAGCACUGGAUUGUUCCAUCCCGAGACCCAGGCUGUAAAAGACAUAAUUUAACAAUUUGUCAGCUGCCAAGUAAUCAAACCAACCUCUCAUUUAAAGAAACAAGUAAGCACAGACGGAAUGAUACAAAUGAUAAAGGCAGGUUAAGACAUUAAAAGACAUAGUCAUGUUCAUUUUUUUUCUUUUAUCUUUCUCAAGUGCAUCAUAAACAAGGCAGGCUCUCACCUGCUUCAGGGAAACUGGGAAAGUAAUCUUCCCAGAAAAUUCAGGACUUUUGACAAUUUCUUUGCACAUUUCCCUCCAUGACCUGCAUACGGAAGCACAAGAAACAACAUGCUUGCGAGCAGGCCAUGUACUCUCACUAGCCUCCAACCUUUUUAUUACAUCACGAAGUAGUUCAGGUGGGAGGCUAGCCCAGCGGCUAUUCUGGAUUACAAGAGGUUGGUCAUGCAGCUCAUGGACUGAACCGUGCGAUUUUCCCCUGUGAUGGCCAGGCAGUCUCACCUCAAAACUUCUUCUCGAUAAACUUCCAAACCCAUCUCUUACAUCUCGAACUAUACUGCGAAACGACAUUUACUCUGGCAUGCAAAUAUCACCAGAUGUUUACUAUGUCUUCAAUACAAGAGCUUAAGUUAUACUCCACUGGGUACAGCUGCAAAUCAACGAAACUGGAUUCAAAUUCCUGUUAUAAUCCUUAAUAAACAAGGGGAAAAAAGGAAGAAGACUGGUUCAGAAAAAGCACAAAGCAAGAAAGAGAUUCUUGUUAAAGAAAGCCUCAUUCACACAUGGACCUAAAGCAGCCUAAAGUAUCAGGCUUUAUCCAGAUACAACUUUCACUGGAUUUUAAAGCUGAAGAACUAGCCAGAAUACAAUUAAUUCAAACUAAAAUUCUUAUUCUGUAGAAUUACAAUGACCACCCUUCAAAAAAGAUAGACCUAACGACCAGAAAUGUCAUCCUUACGAAACUGAAUUUAGAAUGCCUACAAGUUGUUACUCUAAAAUUUGAUAUUCAAAAGCCUCGCAAGACAAAAGGAAUGUCAAUAAAAGCCAAAAUUGCUUUCCUUUUUCCUAUCCUUCGUUAUUUUUGAACUACGAAUGCAAGUAAGUUGUAAAAGUUUAUGGCUCUUCUACGACUCCAAUCAAUUAACAGAGAAACAGGAGGAGAGAGAGCGAACCCAGAAAUUAAGUUAAUGAAACAUUGCUUCACCCACUGAAGCCUUCAGAUAUCCGUGACCAAUAGCCUCCUGCAAUUAUAACUAUUGGAAUGUUAAAAAUGUUUACAACUUAACAAAUUCAGUCCGCAAAUCCUGAAAUCUAAGUAGGACAACCACCAGAAAAGUUCAAUUCUUUUCCAUCCCCAAUCACAUAUAUCAAAAAUAUAUGAAAACAACCUGACGUAACAAAACAACAUGAAAACACUUUAGAUCUCCUUAUCUUCUUUAAACUGGAAAGCACUCAUAGUAAAAACCCCAAAAACUCUAAAAACUCAUGAAACUAUGCAAAUCAGAGCACAACCCACAUCAAAAUGUGGAGCUUAAAACCCCAUAAACAAACUCACCUCAAAAAUUCAGAUAUAACCCAUCAAAAAUUCAAACCCAAAAACCAUAUACAACCCAUCAAACGCUUCAAGAACCAAACUUUCCAACACCCUUUAGAGCAGCAAAGAAAAAACUUACCAAUCAGAUGACCCAAUCCCAGGUGGGGGCCAAACAGAGGGAAAAAGCCCAGAACUUCACAAAAGUCGCGAUCCAAACACGGCCUUAAGAUUAAGAUCAGAACCAGCUCUUCUUCUGCUCUGUCUCUCUGUCUCUCUAAGUGUGAGAGAAGACCCGGACUUGAACUCUUUAUUCAAUCCACUUCACGAACUAAUAUGCUUUUUUAACUUAAUCCCCCGCAUUAAUUUAAUCCAUCUCCUCCUUGUCUUAAGUUUUAUUUAAACGCCCACUUGAGCAUGGUCGAGAUUACGAUCUCGCCCCUAACGGUUGACUUUUACCGUUUCCGUUCAACUCCCUCCGCUUCCGUAACCCGACCAACCGCGUUUCUUAUGGCGAGAUUCCAACGCAAAGGCCGCUAAACGUGGGCACCGUGCUCCGCGGUGCUCGGCCUUAUCCUGUGGAUGCAGACGUGGCGAUGAUGAUGACCGUUGAUUUGGUGGAAGGUUGGGAUUUGGGACGGGGUGGGGAGAUUAUGACAUGAGGCACGCUGUUAUGAUGGAAGCUUGUGGGAGGAUGGUGGAAUAGACGAAUUUGGACAUGGUAGGUUAGGGGUAUGGACUUGUGUGUCCCGUGUAGUUGGGUCUCUACGAGGAGGCCCCGUGUGCUGCCACGUGGGCUUUUUUAUGCGUCCCCAUGCAUGUGUUUUGGUGGAGAAAAUUUUACGUGUCACGUGUUCUGUGUGACUCACCAGUCACACAACAACACGUGCUUUUUUUUUUUUCACAACUCUUCUUCUUCCUUCCUCUCUCUUCUCCGACGAAACCGAUCCCCUCUGGCGAAGCUUGGGAGGUCUUGGAGGAAGGAUUGUCCUUCUUUAGGCAACCUUUAGGUUAAAGGUACUUUGAUCCUUGUUGAGAAUUUACUAAGGGUUAUUAAUUGUGUAAUUCUAGGUGAUUGUGAAGUGUGAAUGGCUUGGCUCUUUUGUUGUGUUUUGUUGUGUUGAAGACGCAGCAAGAAUAUGUAGAUGAGUAAAUCUCACCAAGGUUCACUUUGGGACCAAUUAAUUAUGGUCAAUAUGAUGAUGAUUAUGAUGAUAAUUGUGAUGAUGAUGAUGAUGAUUAUAAUGAUUAUUAUUAAAAAAAAUUAUGUUUUUUGUUUGUUUUAAAAUAUAUAAGCUUGAUCGCCAAUGGCUCAUAGGUAAGUUAAAACAAGUUUUCCUACUAUAUGAUUAUUAUUAAGGUUCAUGUGAUCAUAAUGUUUUUGGCUAUUGAUAGAUUAUUCUUGUGGGGAUAUCUAUGUUUGUUCGUAUAAAUAUAUCUAUGUGGAAUGAUAUAAUUUUAUGAUGUGCUCCUUGUGUUGAUUGAUGAUGAUUUUAUUAUAUUGUGAUUUGUGAUUUAGAUAGUCAAACUGGGUUCCAAGCCUUUAAUCGGGUGAUUGGUUACGGUUAUGAUGAUUCUACUCUAUUGUGAUUUGUUAUUUAAAUAGUCAAACCGGGUUCCAAGUCUUCAAUCAGGUGAUUGGUUACUGUUAUGAUGCUAUUAUUAUUUUGUGAUGUGAUAUGAGACAGUCAAACUGGGUUCCAAGCCUUUGGCAGGGUGAUUGGUUACGGUUAGGAAUAGAGCUCUAGUCCGUCUGUCGGUGUAGGUCAUGAGAGGUACCUGAAGGUAUCUGGGACCCAUGGGUACAUAAAUUGUUGUUAUAGGUCAUGAGAUGUAUUUAUUAAUAUUUGGGACUCAUGUGUACAUGUGUUUGUUGUAGAUCAUGGGAAAUACCUUAUUGGUAUCUGGGACUCAUGGGUACAUGUAUAUUUGUAAAAGUAUUAGUUAUGUGGUUUUAACAUUGUUGUCAAUUAAAUUCUUUGUUUUAAGUAUCUCUUGAACUAUGCUUAAUGCAUGAGAUUCUUCAAUCUUAUCUGUGUGAUUUUUAGUAGAAUUCCUAAACUAUCCUUUUUGUAGGAUUCACUUAUGAUUUUGAUUGUUUUGGGAAUUGUUAUGUUUUUUUAUUUACUCUCUUUUGAAUUUUUUUGUUUGAGGCGAUUCCUAAACUAAGUUCCUAAAGCAGGAAUUACCGGUUUUAUCUUAUGUGAUGUUGGGUUGAGUUAUUUUUGGGAGUUACUCAUACGGGCUUUUUUGCUUACCGGGUUUGUUGUUUACAACCCGGUGCACCAAUUCAUGGUGUAGGGGUUAGACCUGCAGGUGAUGAUCAUCAUGGUUGAGGCGAAUGCAUAGUGGUAGGGUUUGGUAGACAACAUUAAACUCAUUCGAGUGUUUUCUUUUUUUUGGUUACACUCAUUUGAGUAUUUUCAUUUCUUGACUUUCAAGUUUAUGUAAACAAGGAAAUGUAAUAUUUAACUCGAUGUUGAGUUGUGUUGACAUUACAAUUCUGCAAUUGAGUUUAGUUUUCUUUAAGUUUGUUGAACAUGUCUUGAGAAUUAUGUUAUUGUGAGUUAUAUCAUGCCUAAAUUUUGAAAUUUAUCCUUUGAAAAUUGGGGUGUGACAUUAAGUACAAUAAUUUGUAUCAAUUUGAAAACAACAUUUUUCCAUUAUUGCUCUACGUUAUUUGAUACUUUUUUUUAUGGUAUGUUAUUGAUGCGAUUUUGCAUGAUUGCAUCGUAUCAUUGUAAUUCUUUUUUUAUUUCAAUAAAGUUUCUAACCUUCUUUCACUAUAUAAACAAAUCAUAUUAAUUAGUUUUGUCUUGCACUAAAGAUGUGCAUGUUUAGGAAGCAAAGAAAGGGGUAUUUUGGUCUAUUACUUAACACUUUUACCGUAAUACCUUGAGACGACUAUAUAAGAAUUUGCUAAAUGAAUUUUCUUUCAAAAUAUUAUCUAACAUAUAAGUCGUUCCAAUUGUUUACUACGUGUGAGUAGUGAUAAUGUCACUAUCAUAUGAAAAUAUAAAACAAAUUAAAUAAUUUUCAAUGCGUUUAGCUAAAAUGGCGAGGAAGUGUAUGAUGCUAUUAAGUUAUAAAAAUUCAAAUCAUUGACUCCAGCUAGCUAAGAGGGGCUUGGACGUUGCCAAUCCUGAAGGGGCAAAAGAUAUUAAUGGCGGCAUGUGUUGGUUAUUUGUUUUGUAUUUAUCUUAAAAUAGGCAGGUUGUAAGCAUCACAAUUCACAAGUGGGGAGCAUUAGAAAUGGAUGCGAUGCAUGAAGCAUGACUAAAACCACAAUUGUUAGGACUUAGGAAAGCGGGAUCAUAUCAAGCAUCACGAUUCCCCCAAUACCAAUAGGAAAUGAAACAAAAGGUUUGCCUUAGCUUAGCUUCUAAUUCCUGCAUUGGCAUAACGUUUAUGAAAGGUCAUCAUCAUCCACACCUAAUAUCAACUUUAUAUUUCUUGGUAAUUAUUUUGGUUAGUCUUUUGCUUCUGAAAGGAAUAAAAUCGACAAUAGAAGAAUGUCACCUGUGCUAGAAUUUGAUCCACAUGUGGCCAUACAAUAGCAAGGCCGCUGAGUAUAGUUUAUAUGAAGUAGUAAUUGACUUUCGUCAUUACACUCAUAAUAUUACUAAUUUUAUGUUUAAUAGACUCAAACAGUGAAGACCAAGUCGACAGUGGAUGCAAACGUAUUCGGGAAGAUAACCAUUAAUAUUGUACAAUCAUUUAAAGAUUACUCAAAUUUUGGUUAUUAUAACAAAUAAGUAUACUCUCGUGGAGGUCUCUAUGGUUUUUCUAUUCUGGGGUGAGUGACCUAAUAUCUUUAGUGAGGCUACUAAAUUAUUGUUGAAGAUUCAUUAUGGGAGAUAUUGAGAAGUCUGAAAUGAUUUUAGAUUUUUUAUUUUUAAUUUUGAAAUAGUCAGUUACGACUUUUAUAUAUUUUAGGUAAAACGAAGACCAGAAGUAACUAUUACACUAUCAUCUAUAAUAGACAAAUAGUUGUAAGGAUAUGAUAGAUUACUCUUUAAUCGUAUUCACUCAUAGGGCCCUCUUUAAUUGUAUUCACUCGUAUCCUAAAAGAUGAACCUACAGAAAAUAGAACAAAUUGAAACAAAACUAGAAACAAAACAAGACUAAAAAUAGUUAAUAAACUAGAGCCAAAAAACCCAAACCCAAAAGAUAGAGACCCUAUAAAACAGCACCCAGGGGAGAUCCACUUCUCCUCAACACCAGAUCGCCUCCAAACAUGGUUGUACCUCGUUCCAAAGCAAACCCCAAUCCAGCCCCAGCAACAAGAGACACCACCGAUUUAGACCGCUGGCCUCGCCGUCUAAGACAUUUCCUCAGGGAUCGACAUCGCAUCUGCAUAGCACACCCAUCACCGAACACUGCCCAACCAAAAACAACUGACAAAACCAAAACAAAACUCUCCUCAAACCACCCCAUUGAGCGAUAGAAGUCGACAAACCUCAAAUUAUUGAAGGAUAGAAUCGAAUCUGAUCAAAUCUGAUCCUCCUAACCCUUGUGCAUAGAACCACACCAAGGAAAGUCCAAGGGCAAUUGCACCGAUGCUCCCGUCCGACAGCAACCGAAAAGCCAGGCUGGAGGCCUGCUCCAGUCGCUGCCGGAUGAGACCCGAAUAGAUGAGUUGAGCUGCCGCCUUCUAUGGUUUAGGUGAUGUUAUUGAAAGGAUUCAAGAUUAAGCUAACAGCAAAGCAGGAAAUUCAACUCAACCUUGAGAAGCCUGCCACCAAAUAAACCAUAUUUCAGCAUCUAUUAUUUACCCAGAACCCAAGUUGUGGGAGAAAAACCAUGCACCAGAACUCAUAAUUCCUGUGUCACUUGAUCGCUUCUAAGACUACAAUCAGUAUUUUAGUUUACACCACCCUUUGGGACAAAUCGAGCUCAAUUGAAUCCUGAUAUUCAAAUUAAUCAUAAGCUUGACCUCGGAACAUUCUAACCUGGUUUAAAAGUUAAAAUCUUGUUUAAAAAUGUAACAGCAUCUCCAAUUCCAGUGUACAGUAACAACAUAGUAGAUGUUGCAACAGUAUCUUCGACUUCAAAUUGCAAAAACCAACCUUUCCGACCGUACAUAUCAGCCUGAAAACUUACUGAGCACCUAAACCCUAAAACAAGAUAAUAAUCAUUACCCACUAACUCCCUUCUUCUAAGUUCGAUAAUCACUGCCUCUCACGAACUGAGGCAACUAGAUUCCAAAUAGAACUCGUUUUCCACCAGCAUAAGCCUCAACAUCAAAGUUGAUGUGAUAACUAAGAUCUACAAUUAGUGCUCAAACACCAUAGGACUUCCCCUGCAUGCGCAAGGCCUAAGCAAACGUAUCCAGGAAGACAACCAUUUAUACUGUAGAAUCAUCUGAAGUUGCUCAAAUUUUGGUUAUAAUAUAUCUAUCUGAUUAACAAACAAGUAUACUCUUUAUGGUUUCUCUAAUCUGGGGGGAGUGACCUAACACCUUCUGUAAGGCUAGUGAAUUAUUAUAGUAAAUGUUUUUAUUUUUUAUUUAACACCACAAUCACCAAGAUCCAAACUAAAUUCAUUCUUUCUCUGAAUCCCAUUUUCGGAAGAUAUCUAAUCCCAUCAAGGAUCAGAAAAUAAUUGCACCCAGAUCACAACCAGAACAUCAUUGAUGGGAAAUGCCAACAAUCGUAUGCCAUUCAAAGUAAACACUCCCAAGUAAAAAGACCUUAGUAAGAAAUACCCACGAUAUCAGUUUCAUUGCCACAACGAGGUCACAAUUCACAAAAUAGCAUUCAUCUCCCCUGUUAGCCGUUGAACCUUUCUCUCUGCACACAUGCUUCAGAAAAACAGUUCAAUUCUGCUCAUCAGUUUUUGUCAACAAAUAACUAAACCAAACAGAAGGGGUACAAUCAUUGUAAGGGUACAUGAUUAACCUAAACCCUAAAUCCAACUCAACCUUGAGAACGUCUGCCAACAGAAUUCCAAAAUCAUGGCAACCCCCAAAAGAGAACCCAUAUUUCAGCAUCUGUUAUCUACCCACAACCGAGGUUGGCAGAAAAACCCUGCAUCAGAACUCAUAAUUCCUGCGUCACUUGAUCUCUUCUAAGACUACAAUCAAUAUUUAUGUUAGACCACCCUUUAGGACAAAUCCAGCUCAACUGCACCAUGAUAUUAGCUGUAGCAAGUUCAUAUUCUUAAUGGAUUCAUAUUAUUCAUAAGCUUGACCUCAUAGAACAUUCAAACCUUAUUAAAAAAUGUAACAGCAUCCCCAAUUCCAAUGUACCAUAAUAAAUCUCGUUUUCCAGUGGCAUAAGCCUCAACUUUAAAGUUGAUGUCAUAAGCAGACUAAAACUGAGAUCUACAAUUAGGGCUGAAACACCAUAGAGCUGCCACUGCAUGUAUUCCCAAGAAUUUAGCAAUCACAUCAGAAAACUCUUGAAGAAGUGAAAAUCACCCAUUACAAGAGAAACAAUCAGAGGGCAAGAAAAUGUUACAAAGGUGUAAAUCACCAUUGUUAGUGAAACAAGUAGAUGCAAGCUAUCUUGAUUAAGCAGAUGCAAGAGCAGGGGAUACAUAGGACACACUAUGAUGGAGGAUGAUAACUACGAGUCCAGAAAUUGCUUAGGCUGUUUGAGCUUACCAUAUUAAGCAAUUAAUAUGUUAUUUUCUAUUGAUCAUUCUAUCUACUAAACAAAACCUCAUCACAAUAGUAUAAUCAACUUUGGCAUCCUACCAGUUAUAGUACUAAAUUUUCAUCUCCAUGAGGUUGUAAUCUUGGAAAAUAAAAGAACUCAUAUGAACUAAGCAUCCUUCUAAAUCUAAUUAAAAUAAUUUCCCUUUAAUUUCCCUUCUAAACCCUAAACCCUAAUAUCAGCUACGGUAUACAGGAAAGGGCAACUUCAAAACACAUAACCAAAAUGACACUAAACUCGAAUAUCCAAACAAAUGAAGUAAAUAAGGGGAUAGAAAACACACUAUAAAUCCAACGAACUGAUAGAUUGUAUUCUUACUGAACUUCUUUUGUGUAGAUGCAAAAAACUAUAUCAAAUUUGUAAUAAGUAUUUGAAUUACAAGAACCAAGUAAUGCUAAUCCACUUGAGCUUUGUAAAUUUACUAUCUGUGACUUAAAUGCCGAGCUUUUAUAUCUAUCAACGAAUAUCAUGUGGGUCGUACAAGACGUGUUAAUUAACACUUUUCGCAUGCCAUUGAUUGAAUAUAUUGCACACAGGUAUCAUAACAGACACAUAAAUAAUAACAUAUGCAGGUUCACCUGAAAAUCAGUUUGGCUCCCUUCCUCAGUUGACCACAUAGGGACUGAAUCACAUGAAAAUCAAAACGAGAUAACAAUUCUCAUCAACAAUUGUCUCAGUAAUUAAACAGAAAAUGAAAAGCAAGAAGUAUAAAGAGCAACUAAGCUACCAUAGAGUAAACGGCAUUGCAUUAUCAGUUGUCCUCAGCAAUCUUUCAGAGAUGCCUAACUGAUGCUACACUGCUGCCUGGCAAGGUGGAUAAGCAGGCUUCUGUUACCAGGAACCACUAUGAUGGAGGUGACCCAGACACUGUAUACAUAAUACAGAUAGAAUAUAUAAAAGUAUGCAGCAGUGGCUUUAAAAAAUCUAUUUCUGCAUUAAAAUCUGAUUGAUAGCCAUGUUCUAACACAUAGCAAAAAGGAAAAAUAAAAAAGAAAUAACAAAAGCAAAAGAAGAAAUGAACAGGUAUCAGAAUAUCUUACAAAACCAAUAAACAGAAUAAACAUUCCAAACUAAUAUCAUCAUGAACAUCUUACUAAUUAUAAAUGGGCCUCAGAACUAAGCAAUAUUUAGAAACAAAAGACGACAGUAAAAAAAUUAAUUGUUCAGUACAGCAGGAUCCCUAUUAAAAUUUAGAUGAGCAUAAUCCUAUUCAAAGAAACUCACUUCCUUAGUUCCAGCUGAAGCAAAGAUAUCCGGGCCACUAAACCACCGUCAUGAGAAACAGUAUGUUGGGCAUUCUUUAAAGGAGUCUGUUGAGCUCCAAAUUUCUCAAUGCGUAAAGAUAGUGUCAUUACGUCUAGGUGGCCUAUCAGGAAUUGAACCAGGCUUGAACUUCGAGGCUUCAUGUUUUGCCAGUUCAGGAGGAACAUGACUGUUACUCUGAAUGAGCAUCUGCUUGAGAUCAUAAAAGACAUCAGUGUCGUGAAUUGUUAACAGUGAUGUGGCAAUACCAGUCUUCCCUGCACGUCCAGUACGUCCAAUACGAUGGGUGUAUGUUUCAAUACUCGAGGGCAUAUCAUAAUUAAUCACAUGGGCCACAUCAGGUAUAUCAAUACCACGGCCUGCAACAUCAGUUGCAACAAGGACAUUGUAUCUCCUGGUCCUGAAACCCUCAAGGCUAAUUUCUCUCUGGUCUUGUGAUUUCCCCCCAUGCAAAGUGGUCACACGAUAUCCGUUCUUAUCCAAACUCUUGGCUACAUAAUCAGCAGUUUUCUUAGUGUUAACAAACACAAUAGCAGUCUUAUCACCAAGUUCAUCAAGCAAUCUCUUUAGCCUCUCAAACUUCUCUGCAUCCUUACUCCAGACCACAUUCUGAGUGAUCAAAUCAGUAGUCUUUCCAGCUGUGCCAAUUGUGACCACAACAGGAUUCCUCAAAUACUUCCGAGCAAGGCGUUCCACCGCAGGAGGCAUGGUGGCACUAAACAUAUAAGUGGUUCUGUAAAUCUUCUUGUCAUCAAGCUCUUCAUCCUCAUUCUCAGGUUUGAAAUUGCUGGAAGGCAUUGCAUCCAAAACACCCACAACCUGUGGCUCAAACCCCAUAUCAAUCAUCCUAUCAGCCUCAUCAAGAACAACAUAAUUGCACUGAUUCAAAACAGCAUAACGCCUCUCCAAACAAUCAAUCAACCGCCCAGGUGUAGCAAUAACAACCUCACACCCUUGCCUAAUUUUAAAACCCUGUUCCUCAAUUGACUGUCCACCAACAAUAGAAACAACUUUAAUACCCAAGUAAUGCGCAAACUUCACAGUCUCUUCCUCAAUCUGCUGUGCAAGCUCACGAGUAGGUGCCAUAACAACAGCAUAAGGCCCUUCAGCCUCAUUCUCUUCGCUAAUAGGAGGCAACCUAGAAAUAUAUGUCAACAUCGGAAGAACAAACGCAGCAGUCUUACCAGAACCAGUCUCCGCAAUGCCAAUAACAUCACGCUGCUGCAGACCCAGAGGAAUAGCCGCCAUCUGGAUCGGAGAAGGUUUCUUAUAACCAGCCCUCUCCACAGCCUUGAGCAGCUCCGUACUCAGUCUACUCUCACCCCAACUCCUCAUAGGGCGAGGAAUCCUAGACCCUUUGUAGGAAAUAUUGAAAUCCUCUCGGAAUAUCCUCCAGUCCCUCUCAGUCAUCUCCUCCAGCUUCUUAUCAGUCCAAUGCCGAUCCACUCUCAUAUCGAAAGUAUCAUACAGCUCCGCAGCCUCCUCCUUCAGCCUCUGAGCCGCAGCCUCCUCCGGCCUCUCCUCUACGCCAUCCUUCUUCCUAAUCUCAUCCCUCAGCUCCCUCUCCUGCUUCACCGCAAGCUUCUUCUGCUCCCUGCGGUCCAUUCCAGCACGAAACCCUCGCCCGAACAGGAGCUGAGCCUCAUGAGGAUUCUGAUACAAAGCAUUCAUAUCACGCGAAGUGUCCUCUGUGUUCUCCCAAUCGAAAGAGAAUCGGAACUUCUCGCUAGGCUUAAUCACGCGCUUCUUCGGCUUCUUCGAGCCAAGGUACUGCUCUUUAAUGGCCUCAAGCUCCUUAUCACGCUCCCGGUCAGCUAGCUUGUCCAAUCGGGCCCGCUCUCUCGCUUUGGCCUCCUCUUCGCGCUCCCUCUCGCGGUUGUCACGGUCACGGUUGCGCCGCUCCGUUUCGCGCUCCCGGUCUCUCUCCCGGUCGCGAUCUCGAUCGCUUCGGGAGUACCGGUCCCGGUCCCGGUCCCGGUCUCUGUCUCUGUCUCUGUCUCGGUCCCUAUCGCGGUCCCGGUCGGAAUUGGAGUUGUUGGGGACGGAAUCGGAGGAGCGGAGAUUGGAGAGGAGCUGGUGCUGGCGGCGUUUCUGUUCCUCGUGUUCUUCUUGGCGGCGUUGUAGGGCUAGCUUCUCGCGCUCGGCUUUGGUUAAGAAGACGGGUUUCUUCGGCGGCAAGGAUGAAGAGACGGCGGCGAGGCCAUCGCCGGAGCGUUUCAUUGUACAGAAAAGGUUUAGGGUUUCGGGAUAAAAUUAAAUUUCUGAUGUUGUUUCGAUGCCUUCGGGAGCCUUGAAGAAAAUUGAAGAGGAUCGGAGUUUAAGUUUAUAUAGUGCGACACUGGGCUGCAUCAAAAUGGGCCGCCAAAAUGGAAAAUGGGCCUGGGCCUCACAACAGUUUUUGCAGCAACACAAGUAAAAUGCUCCAUACUCGUAAUCGGAAUAAAAAUAUAAAGGAUGCUGCUAAAUGUAUCAAACAAAUUAAGAUAGAGGAGAGGUCGAGAAGAGAGGAGCUCCAAAAAAUCUGGGCUUCAACAACAUCUAGGGCUUGUGAGUUCGAUGCUCGUUCGGCGGCUCCCGUCUUAAUUUGGGCUUGCUACUGGAUGGGUGAUGGAAUUAUAAGGGCUUCUGGGGAUCGUGGAUGCUGUUUGCUCGAGGUUCCAUUGUUGUUUUAGCAUCAAGUUUUGUGAUGGCAGCUCAUGGAAUGGAGGGUGGAGGUUGUACAAUGGCGGCGUUCUCCUCGUGGCCUCCCAAUUUCGGCAACGGAGAGAGCCUUGGUUCUCUGUGGCGGCAGCUUGGAGUUUGGCGGUGCGGGUUCGGUGGUACGCGUCAUCGAGUUAUUGUGUUCUCUACUGACGGCGUGGAUCUCAUAAGGCUCGACUGACUACGAGCAACGGUGGAUUGCGGUAAAGCGCGUGGUCAAAGGCGACGACGAGGCUCGUGGACGGAGAAGACGGCGGAGCUCGUGAUCGGUGGAGUUGGCGGUGUUGUAUAGUGGGAGAUGUAUCCAGGCCUGAGUCAACAACAUUGGGCUUUGAGCUCGGCCUUAUUCAUGUGUCCUUGGGCUACUAUGGUGGGCUAGGGUUUCUCUUAGUCCAAUUCUUUAUUUCUUAGUGCUUUGGGUGGGGUCUUGUUGUAGGCCCACUUUUAUUUCUUUUUUCUUUUUAGAUAGUUUGUUUGUCUAAUAAUGCUCAACAUUUGGGUGAGUGUAGUGGGUCUUGGCCCUGUAUCCCUUGUUCAAUAGUUAAUAUAUAGUCUAAACCAAUUUCACCAGUAUUGAUGUACACCAUAAAAGUCUCUAAGCGGAUACACUGCUGGGUUAAAUUAUGUGCUAUCUUUGUUCAAGGUUUAAGAGUCAUUGUCAAAUGUGCAGUCGGUGCACUAGUUACAUGAGUACGUAGUGGAUGUAAUAUGUGAUCUUCGGAUCCCUUAGAUUGAACGAGAGAGCUCAUUGAUUUGUAUGAUCUUUUUCAAUUAAUGAAGUUAUCAAUUUCCUUCACACACAAAAAUGUACCCAGAAAAUUUGUAAAUAGACCCAACAACAUAAUUUUUGGCUUUUAUUUUGAAUUAAUUACUGCUCACUCCAUUAACUUUCAUGCACUCGACAGUUUACUCCAUUAACUUUCAAUUUCAAUCGAUUACUCCAUUAACUAUCCAAUGUCACACAAUUUGGUCCAUCCGUUAAGUCGCCGUCCAAAUCAGUGGUUAAGUUGCUGACUGGACAUAUUUUUUAACUGAAAAUUCCAUUUAACACCCCAUCUCUCUCUCUCUCUCUCUCUCUCUGGCCAGCCAUGGCUUCCCAAACAGUAAGUAAGCUGUGGUUUUUGGCUUCACUUUCCACUCACUCAAAUCCAACAAAAGUUUAUGAACCAAAGUCUAUUAUAAAGAUAGGAUUACAAGCUUUAAGUACAUAGCUUAAGUUUUGAAAACAAAGCCGUGGAUAGGAAGUUAUGCUCUCUCAAAGUUGAAGUAAAAAUCUGAAAACCCAGAAAAUUUCAGCUUUUGGCUGAAUCUGCUACUGUUUUUGGCAAGCAAUUUGACAAACCAAAUGUUAACAAAAUCCUCUGAAAUUUUACACACAUAAAUAUGGAUAUAUGAGCUUUACAAAGGUACUUUCGGAUUUUAAAACAAAGGCCUGAGCUGAAAGAUAUCAAGACGCAAAGUAGGCAAGAAAAUCAGCUUUUCUGCAAAAUUUGGCUGAAUCUGCUACUGUUUUUGGCAAGCAAUUUGACAAAAAAAAUGUUAACCAAAUCCUCUGAAAUUUAACACACAUAAAGAUGGAUAUAUUAGCUUUACAAAAGUACUUUCGGAUUUUAAAACAAAGGCCUGAGCUGAAAGAUAUCAAGACGCAAAGUAAAUCAGCUUUUCUGCAGAAUUCUGGAAAUUUGCAGCAACUAAUAAACUUGAUUUUGGAAGCUUUAAUUCGACUUUUGAAGUAACAAAACAAGUUCUAAAACUUCAGAAUGGAAAGGAACAGAUUUCCAGAGUACGAAAUCAUUUUAAACACAACAGACAGUUGAAUCAAAAGGAUCCAAAAUCUACUUUGGACACCCAAACUCAAGAACAUAGUCCUUGAGCUACAACCACAAUGAUUCUUCGUUGUUAGGUUUCAAUUAGAAUCAUUGUGGUUGUAGCUCAAGAACUAUGUUCUUGAGUUUGGGUGUCCAAAGUAGAUUUUGGAUCCUUUUAGGUGUCCAGAAUUCUGCAGGAAAGCUGAUUUUCUUGCCUACUUUGCGUCUUGAUAUCUUUCCGCUCAGGCCUUUGUUUAAAAUCCGAAAGUACUUUUGUAAAGCUCAUAUAUCCAUCUUUAUGUGUGUUAAAUUUCAGAGGAUUUGGUUAACAUUUUGUUUGUCAAAUUGCUUGCCAAAAACAGUAACAGAUUCAGCCAAAUUCUGCAGAAAAGCUGAUUUUCUUGCCUACUUUGCAUCCUGAUAUCUUUCAGCUCAGGCCUUUGUUUUAAAACCCGAAAGUACCUUUGUAAAGCUCAUAUAUCCAUAUUUAUGUGUGUAAAAUUUCAGAGGAUUUGGUUAACAUUUGGUUUGUCAAAUUGCUUGCCAAAAACAGUAGCAGAUUCAGCCAAAAGCUGAAAUUUUCUGGGUUUUCAGAUUUUUNNNNNNNNNNNNNNNNNNNNUUUGUAGUGAGUGGAAAGUGAAGCCAAAAACCAACAGCUUACUUACUGUUUUGGGUAAGGCCAUGGCUAGAGAGAGAGAGAGAGAGAGAGAGAGGUGGGGUGUUAAAUGGAAUUUCCAGUUGAAAAAUAUGUCCAGUCAGCAACUUAACCACUGGUUUGGACGGCGACUUAACGGAUGGACCAAAUUGUGUGACAUUGGAUAGUUAAUGGAGUAAUCGAUUGAAAUUAAAAGUUAAUGGAGUAAACUGUCGAGCGCAUGAAAGCUAAUGGAGUGACCAAUAAUUUCUCCUUUUAUUUUCGAUAUUACCCCUCAAACAAUCAUCAUUUAGUAUUUUAAAUCCUAUUUUAAUUACAAAAAUAAAAAAACAAUUAAGAAGGUAACUGCAACACAGAGUGCUUCUGCAUCUUCUACCUCUUCCAUCAUCAAUUCAACACGAGUUCUUCGUCAUUAUCUUAUCUAUCCUCUCAACUUCGUUUCUUUUAAGAUGAAGACUAUGAAGAUGAAAGAAAGAAAACAACAAAAAUUCUGGAGCAAGCAAGUUAACUUCAAUUCCUGCACCUUCAUCUGGAUCAGUUCUACUUUCAUACGAUAACAUAUCGAUUAAUUCUUUUAAGUGAUAAUUCAUAUAUAUAGUCCAACUAAUUAGUAAGAUGAUUCUUGUAAGUUCAGAGGUUUACAGUAUCUAAAACAAAGAACAAGUUUCAGUCAAUACAAGACAUAUAUAAGCUUUUAUUUAGAGGCGGUUGAUCACCUCCACCCUGAUAAGAAACCCAAUCCAUCUUUGAGAAGAUUAAAGAAGGUUCUGUAAACAAAAAGGUUGAGUAUGAGUUCUAACUAGAGGUGAGCCAAUGAGAAGUUCUGUGGAGGAAAUUAUGGAACGACAAUCUGUGAAUAUUUUGUUCUUCUUUCUAUUUUAUAUGUUUUUUCUUUUCUGUUGCUGGGUGUACUAAAGGGGUGAGCCAAUGAGAAGUUCUGAGCCAAUGACAAGUUCUGGGGAGGAAAUUAUGGAACGACAAUCUGUGAAUAUUUUGUUCUUCUUUCUAUUUUAUAUGUUUUUUUUUCUGUUGCUGGGUAUACUAAAAGGGUAUAAUUGGAAGGUCAUGAAUAAAAACUAUGUUACUUAGAUUUUGGCUGGGUACAUUUAGCAGCACUCAAGUAUAAAAUUUGACCAAUGAAUGAUCAUAGUUUUUUAGGGUGCAUGUGUCCUUGGCUAAACGAGCAAACCCUAACCAUGGCUAAACCCUUAAACAAAACAUUGCUGCAAGAUGGAAAUGAAAACCCCCGGAGCUGGAUCAACUUUCCAGACAACGUCAUCGCUUCAAUAUUGUCACGAUUGGAAGCGAUCGAGAUUCUGGUGACCGCUCUGAACGUCUGUACGACAUGGCAAAUAAUCUACAAGUACCCUACAAACUGGCGCACCAUUGACAUGUGCGAUGAUUCAGUUUAUGACUAAAUCGCCACCGCACUACCACUUCGACAAGUUGUGUAGGAAAGUCAUUUAUCUCAGCUGUGGCAACCUCGUCGAUGAUCUCCUUAAGCAUAUCACUGAUAAUAUGAUAAUUCUUUACGAGUAUAUAUGCAUAUAUGUUCAUGUUUUUCAUAUAUUAUAUAUAUGAUGAUCAAUGAUUGUUUAUGUUCAAGUUGGAUCUGCUAACAUGUUCAUACAUAACCUUUUUUUCAAUAGUUGUAUGGGAAUCAGACGACUUUGUUUUGUGUAUUUUGAUGUAACUAGUGAUGGACUGAUUAAAGCAGCUUCGAAGCUUCCACUGUUGGAGGACCUUGAACUUAAUUUCAUACUGCAACUACAGACUUGAUUUUCCUCCCUACAAAUGCAUACAUGACUAUCUUGAAGUUAUUGGCCGUUGUUGCCCUCGUUUGAAAUCACUGAAAUUGAACAAGUUCAAUAACUAUCAACACUUCAUGGGUGAAUCCAAUGGUGAUGCACUUGCUAUAGGAGGAACAAUGCAUAGUUUACACCACUUGCAAUUGUAUGGAAAUAAACUCACUAGUCACUAGCAAGGGGUUGCGCGCCAUUUUUGAUGGAUGUUCACUUCUUGAGUCACUUGAUCUGCUUAAUUGUGGCAAUAUUAAUCUCAAUCCUCUGUUUCGACAUUGUUUUGGUCUGAAAUUGGAAGAAGAAUUGAGAACAAGAUGCAUUGACCGUAUUAAAAACUUGUGGCUUCCUCGUGAUUCUACACCACAGACCAACUUGUUAACAAAAAGUGGGAUGUUGAAUCUAUGUGCUGGGAAAUUUGAUUUACGGAAAUUUGGCGUCUUGGAACCCUAGCUUCUUGCUUCCCGCUUCCCAGUGUGCGCUGCUGCAAUGUUUUGCAUGUGACUGUCUCUCACUGUACUUUUCAUCUUUUACAUCAGGGAAUCUGUGUCUAUUUCAGUGUGUACUACUUGUUUAAGUAUAUAGGUAUUGAUGUCAUAAUUUGCUUCUUCUUGAACUAAACUAAUCAUGGGAAAGUAGGUUAUCAUUGUAUUAUGGUUGCCAAAUGAAGAUUGAUAGUUGCUAUAAUCUUUCUUUGAUCAGAGACAUUGGCCAAAUGUUAAGCAUCUUCAAAGAAAUGCAUAAUAUUGCCUAAAACUUUUUUUUAGAUUUUUUUUUCCUCCUUGCCUACUUACUCACUGACUUUGAUAAUUUAUACUCUGACUCUUUGUUACUUCCAAUCCCUUUUUGUUACUCUUUACCUAAUCUUGUUCUCGUAAUAAAUUACAAAUCCAACCUAUUAUCUUCAAUCAAAUUAACCACUCUGGGAAGAAAAUUCAGAACUAGUUGACUUGAGAUCCUGAAUAACUUGCAGACUAUUAGCUGGGAAGAACCGACACCCCAGCUAUUUCUUUGAAGCAGGCAGAACUAGGAUUUAAAAAGGAUAAUCGUUUUGUUUCAAAACAUGUAAUGCCUCUGUGUCUUUAACGGUUUUAUCAUGUUACAAUAGUAUCGAUGUUGACAAACCAAUUGAACAAGCAAUUGACAAGGCACCAAUAGGCUUUGUAUUGAAAAGUUUUGUGGAAAUCAAAUGCAUAAAAAAGGGAGGAUCGUUUUGUUUCAAUCUUUUCAAUAUUUUCUCUCAUCAACAUCACUCAUAAUCAUAAUGUACAAAUUUGUAUAAUACAAAUCAAAUACAAAAGGGCUCUCCUAGUGAACCACUAAAUUCUCAAAGUGCUACAACCAUGAAAUAGACAUAAAUUCUUUUUGCUAAGAAGACUGCACCUUACAAUGCUCACCCUCACACAACCAAAGAAGGAAAAUAGCAUGAACGUUGUACAAAUCAUCCAUCAGUUGUACAUGAGAAUCGAAAGGAAACAAAAAGAGAGUUAGUGAUAUGUAUAUACCAAGUCCUCUCAACAAGCAUAUUAGUUUCUCCGCCAAAAGAUCCUGUAAAACUAGCUAAAAUUUAGCAAAGGUUGUACAUGUCAAAAAUGUCAUAAGUUGAUAAUUUCACAAUAUAAAUACCAUAGAUUGUGAAAUACAGUUGGUUUUUAAAUGUGCAACUCAGACUUCCUACAAUACUUCACUAAGAAAUCUCUUAUUGACACAAACGGGUGUACUUUUUCAUGUUAACCUAAGUGGAAAUGCAUGCAGACCAUGUCUCAAAGAUACCCAACCAAGAAGCGAAAUUAACAUUUGUUCACAUACUAGAGCAUAUAAAUUGUUACUGCUUAAUGAACUAGAUCAUAUCAUUGUUCAAGUCCAGUCCCGUUCACCUGGUCACCUAUUGACCGGGGGGAUUUGGUCACCCACCAUUAGAUCAUGACUCAUUUAAAUCCUAGGGUGGAGAAAUAAACAAGUUUAAUUGAACUAAAAUAUGUAUUUUGUAUUUUUAAAUCACUCUCAAUUAUAAACUUUUACCCAAACCAAGACAUCGUCUUCUGUGAGACGUUUUCUCCACUUCUUUCUCAUUGUCCCUCUCCUCAGUCCUCACAACAGCUCCUCACAAACCUAGAAAAAAAAAAUUGCUGGAGACGAAGAUUGUUUUUUGUCGGUGACGGAAGAGCUUCCUUGCCCCAAUCUCCUCCUUUUCUCCCUUUUUCAGACACAACCUUCUUCUAUUCUCAUCGUCCGUCUUCUCCUCUUCUCCCAAAACUCAUCAGAUUUGCUGAAACCCAGAGAGGAUACGAGUCGGACACGGAGACGCAACGUCGAAUAAAGUUGGUUCUCUAUUUUUUUCGAUAAACUCCUAUAUGCAAAAGGUGAUGUUGUGUGAUAAUGAAUUAUUCCUUGUUCAGAAAUCCCAACUUCAAGAAAAGAAUUUCGGGCUUUUGGAUUUGUAUGUUUAUCAAUCAUGGUUUAUUUAAUAUUAUGUUUGUUUUUGGAUUCUAGAUAUGGAUUUCCCAGUAUGCAUGGCCUGAAAAUGCUAAUGACAAUUGGUAUUUGUGAUUGACAUAUCUAUAGUUUAUUGAACUUGCAGAUUUAUCUGUUUUUAGGUGAAGAAGAUGACAUUGUACGCAGCAAGUGAUACCAUAAGCGAACAUGCAACUUUCUGGUUUGUGGCAAUUUGCAUUAUAUAAAUGCCAAAGUUCUGCUAUCAAUUUUUUAGUCAAGUACUGAUGUAUGAACAUUUCAAUUUUUAGGUUCUGCUGGAACAGUUAACUUCAUCUCCUUGGAACAACUUGUUUUUCAUGCUGUACUAUGGCUUGGUGGCAGAAGGUAUGCACUUAUCUCAUGCGUUUUCUUGUAUGUAUUUCUGGAGCAGAUUGAAGUAUGUUGGGCAACUUAUAUAGUAUGCCUGACAGUAUCUCAGUAACUGAUAUCCUCGUGACUUGGUUGNNNNNNNNNNNNNNNNNNNNUUUUUUUUUUUUUUUUUUUUUUUUCUGUUGUGAAAAAAAAGGGGAUAAGGGGAUGUCCACGAGCGUGGUAAGGUGUAGGGUAAUCUCAUUUUUGUUGUUCCUGGUUCUAGAGGUUUUUUAGAAUAUUUGUGGUCUUGAUUAUAAAAUUGUUUAUCCUUUAUUAGGAAGUGCAUCUUUGCAAGUGUGGAUGGCUUUGUAGUUAAAAAUUUAGUACUUUGCUAAGGAUGCUCAUGGCAUAAAACUGCAAAUCAAGAAACUAGGAUUGAUGCGCUCUUAUUUUUACUCUGGCACCUCUGUUCAAAGAUCAAUGUAUAUAUUUUCUUUAAAAAAAAUUAAUGUAUAUACUUGAAGAGUUGUUAUGAACAAACAUGUUGUAGCAAACUGUAAAUUAUUUCUAUCUCAUUAUUAUUAGCAAAUAAUUUCUGCUUAUUGGCUUCUGAUAAUUUUCAUUUAUUUUCAUGCAGUUCACUAAAUAAGACAUCGAAGAGCUGAGGCAGUAGGCGAUUUGUCAGUUUGCAUUUGGCCGAUAUUGAUGAUGUUUUGGCUUUGGCUAAUACGAGUGGCUUGAAUAGUGAUGAUGAGCUUCAUGCAGGGUCGGUACAUAGUAAUAUCAAAAAUGAGGAGGAUCAGGCUUAAUUUAGCAUGGAUUUGUUGGGAUUGAUUAAAACCCUGAUCACAGUAUUUGUAGUGUUGUAUUGAAGUGUAGUUGUAUCUAGAAUUAAAUUCAUUUUACCCCAUGAGGUUUGGGAGUAACUUCAUGUUAAUCCCUAUACUUUCAAUUUCAUCAGUUUGCCCCUCAAACUUUUAAAUUUUCCUCAAGCGUGACCAAUGUCCUAUAUUUUGUCCAAAUCGAACGUUAACUACUGAUAAUUUUAACCUUAACGUUGUGUUUGGAUGUAGUAUUUUAAGUUUUCACAAAAAUCUUGAAAUCAAUAGAAUUACAAUAUCUUGAUUUUAAAUUUCAUUAAUUAAGAAUUCACAUGUUUGGAUGAAAUAACAUAGAAUUUUUAAAAUGACUAGAAUUACGAAUUCUAUUGUUUGGAUAACUUUUUAUUUAAUGGAAUUCAAAUCAAAUUCGAUUGUAAAUAUUUAGAACUCAAAACUAGUGACCAAAAGCAUAAGUCUAAACCAAAUAAAGAAAAAUACCAGCUCCUACCAAACUAAGAAGAAAUCCUAUGCAUAUACAUUUGAAAUAAACAUCAAUGCCAUGUCUUUUUUCAUCUGCAUUGGGACUUCCUUCAACAUGAGAAAUUGUUUGUUGUUCUCUAUGAACCAAGCACAUGCUUUUAUUUGUUCUUCUCUGGAGAGAUCUGGUAUUGUCAUAAUUUCCUUCCAUACAUCUUUUGGUGCAAGACUUUUAGUAGUUACACGAAUAAAUUCUUCAAAUGACGAAGCCAUUCUAUCCACCGAAGUACCCAAAACAUCUUUAGUUGUAACUCUUUUCUUUUAAGGAGGGACGUUAGAAGAAGGUGUUGUUUCAUUUCUCUUUUUCUUUGCAAUUGCUUGGUCGGGUGAAUUGUCUUCAAUAAUGUGAAUAUCUCCAAAAACUUGGUCAUCAUUUUCCAAAUCGACAUGAUUAUGCUCACUAGCAAGAGGAGUCAUUACUUCAGUGGCUUCAAAACCAGUUUUAGCUCCCUCUCCAGUAGCUCUAUCUUUGCCACACAGAUCAACUAUAUCAUCCCAAUUUGGGAUUCUCUUAUAUCGAAAGCUUACAACAUCAUUAUGGGACUGCAAACAAAUUAAAGUCGUAUAAGAAAAUUUUAGUAGAAUAGACAAGCAAUGAUGGGAAAAAAAAGUUAAUAAAAAUUUCAUACAUUUACAUAUUCUUCCCAUACACUAUUUUCAUCAACGUUUAUCAUCUGUGUCGAGGAAUCCCAACUAAAUCCACUUUGGCUCAAGAUAUCACUCACGACUACAUAAUACUUUUUCCACAACUUGACCCGAUUUUUUAUAUUAUCUGCAGUUAUUUGAAUUGCAAAUUGUGCAGAUAAAAUAUUAGCAGCUGUAGUAUAAACUACACCUUUCCAACCGUUAUCUCCUUUAUAUCCCAAACUGCGCUCCUCACGAAGUGCUUCAGCCAAAACACGCUCCAUAGCUAAAUUCCACUGCAAAUAGUUCUUGCCUUCAGUCUUUCCUUUGCCCUUCACUCUUGACAUUGGUUAGUUUUUGAUCUUUGAUCCCAUUUCCUCCAGGAUUACUCAUUUCUGCAACACAAAUAGUCACAAUUGCAAAGAGAAAAUAAUCAAUAUAUUAAUACAACAAUCACUAACAUCCCUGUGUCAGUUCCUCUUUUGUUAUAAUACAUGACAUGUGGAUAUUUGCAAAAGAAACAAAAAACAUCAUUUUUUGGCAGAAGAACAGAGAAGGCGCAUAUCCAUAUCCAACCUCACUAAAUAUUCCUUUCAGUUUAGUUGUGAAUUGGGUUUUUGUAAGUCAAUUCAGGCCAAAACAAAAAUAGGUGCAGCAUGAAGACCAUAAGCCAAGUCCUAAAUGAAAGAAAAAUGAUAUAGCCAAUUUGCACUGGCAUCCAGUUUUAGUAACCUGCCAAGGAAGCUAGCUAUUGAUUAUUAAUACUUGAGUCACAAUAUCCAAUUUCAGUAACCUGCCAAGGAAGUUAGCUUAUCUAAAGACCAAAACAACGUUGAUAUUACUGUCAUAUUUCUGAUCCUUCAGCAUUAGCUCGUAACUAAUGAGGAAUCAUACUCGUGUAUCAAAUAAUGAUUUGUUUUUGCAUUAAGUCCAUAUAAAUGAGGCCAUCUGGAUUCAAUACUAAGUUAUAAACACCAAUAUCUUGAAUUAAUACAGUAUCAGAGAUGCAAAGCAAACCCAGUUGUCAAAUUAAUCAAUGAAAAGAAUCAUUAUAUAUUCUGUAAUCUUUUCCUUUGAUCAGUAUAUAUUCUAUCAUCUUUCUUCUUCAACUUGCUGUAUUAGUAUGUCAUCAAAAAAUUUGCAGAUAAACUGUAAGUGGAAGAAGAAAGUUUAUCUGCAGAUUCAAACAAAUACGCAGCUGCUCUCUCUUUGCAUAAUUAACCUGAAUAUUAUGAUUCAUUUGCAAGAUGUCAUCUACCACACAAUCACUAAAAUCUAAUAAACAUGCUAUCACCCUUUUAUUUAAGGAAUCAGAUUGAAUUAUCAAUACUAUAAAUGCAGCUACAUCUGCUAAUCAUAAACCUGUCAAGUGCCCUACCAUAAAAACUAACCCAAGUAAAAUUUCUUCCACUCCUUGUUUUAGCCUAAGCAAAGAAAUACAAGCAAAGCCCCCCAUGCUUUUGUUUUUAAUACAGCGAUCCACUUUCAUUUGUUUCUUCUUCAGUACAGUUACAACCAAAAGCUUAUGUUUCUCAUUCAAACAACCAUCAAAUCACAAAAGCCAUUCCUAAUAGCAACAUAAUUACAUAAUACAUUCUUGAUAGCAUCAAAAUCACAAAACGCAAUUGUAGUAUCAUCAAAAUCAAAAUAGCAUUGCAUAACAAUAUUCAUUCUCAACUAAUACAGACUUAUAUAAUUAAAUCGUAAUAUAUAGAAGAUCACAAAGCUGUUGAAAUCUAACCUUAAAGAAAACUGCAGAAACGAGCUUCUCUGAGUAGACAAAGAAUCGUCAAGGAACUACCUUGUAAGAAACAAUGGCAGAUCUAAAAACGUGGCAGAAUACUUUGGGAGAUAAAAAACUAAUGAUAAUCGACUUACCAGUGAUAUUCACAGAACAUAAUAGAGCAAUUUUUAGGGUUCAACGUUGGAAGGGUCUUCUGUAGUUGCAGCUCUGUAUAUACUGAUAUGGGAUGAAAUUUUACCGCCAUGUUUGAGGGUUUUGGCGCGAUGGAAAAGCUGAUCUCCCACUUACAAGGAAUUGAGAAAAAACACAUAUUUUUGAUGGAAUUGAAGUCGGGGAAUCUCCACCUCCAAUUCCUCUGAUUUUUUCCCUCAAGAAUUGCAGAUUUCACGAAAGAGUUAUCCAAACAGGAGACUUUGAGGAAAGGAAUCGGGAAAUACCCAAUUUCUUUUAAAUUCCACGGUAUUUGGGUCUAUCCAAACACACGGGUAACUGUGAGGCCCAUAUCUAGAAUUAACGGUCAAUUCAAGCGGAAUAUGAGAAUUUGGGCACAGUAGACAGAAAUUGAAGAGUUCAGGGGGUAAACUGAUGAAAUUAAAAGUGUAGGGACUAAUAUGAAGUCACCCCCAAACCAUAAGGGGGUAAACUGAAUUUAAUUCUUGUAUCUAUAAUCCUAACUCACAAAGCCAAGAAUUUUGUAGAAGUGCAAUUUGUAUAGGGUUUCCUUUGUAUAAAUUAAUAACUGUUAGUUUUGUAGUUAGACUUUGAAAUACAAGAUGCCAUGAUCAAUCAUUCAUUUAUAAAAAGCUGUUAGUAUGCAAGGAGCUAUGAUUCUAUAACAAAAAAGUCAUUUAGCAGACAUUCAGCAAGAAUUUUUUUUUUGGUCAUUGUGAAUUCUUUUAAGCCACCGGGGCAAGAAAGCCAAAAGGCAAAAAAAAGGAAGAAGCACAACAACAUCAAAUUACAUUCUGUUUGACUUUUAAAUCACAUUCUGUGUCUCUGGAAAUCAUAUUGAAUCAUUAUGAAGAAAACAACAGCAAAUCUGAUCUCUGUGUUGGAGUAAAAGGAAUUCUAAGAUUCAAUCAUCAUUCCACCUACUGAUCAAAACUCACAAAGACCAGAACUUGUUUGUCAAAAAUUUAGAAACAAGAAUGAUCGAUAAAACUUCACAUAUGCUUCAAAACACUCUUCACUGAACCAAGAUCCAAAAUGCAUUGAAAAUCCCAAAACACAACCAUGUUGCUGAAGUCACUGUUAAGCCAUCAACAUCAUAAUUCCAGAAACAUGUAUCCUUCUGUUACCUGUAAAAAAUCAAUCUAUGAAUUUAGUUCUCAACAAGAAGCAACACUAUGAUUAGGCAUCAAUUUGAUCAACUUUUAGAAAAUUUUCAUUAGAGUGCAAACCAUUCAAGCAUCAAGUGGAACAACUUACAAGUUAUAGUUCAUCAACCAAAUGAUCUUGUUCACCCAUUGCUUUGUCGACAUCAUGUUCUACAACCUUUGACCUAGCAAACAAAAGAUAUAUUUUAACUAAACAAGCUAACCAAAGGUAUAAAGUAUAAAUUUUGAAUAUAUAUGUAUCAAUACGCACCUAAUAGAUGUGCAUGUUUUUUUAGUAUGUUUAGUACUUCGACAUAUAGAGCAACGUCUAACUUUUCCUUUCCUAUCCUUCUAUGAUGUUAGACAUUUUCCACUGCCUUUCAGUCACAUAUACUUCGAUAACCCUGUGUUGAUUCAUCCAUGCUUAUUUGUUUCUAAACGAAUGCGAGUCUCUAACCUGACAAACUCUCUCUCAAUCCAGUCCUUCUUAAUAUCCUCGUGCAGUUGUCUUGCUUUGUGUUCAAUCUCAACAACAAUAUGUCUCUCACCAAAUAAUUCUCUACCCUUUCUCGCAAAUCCCUAUAUUUUUCCUCAGUAAAGUCGCAAUCGAUAGCGAGAAAAUGGGAUCAUCUCUAGCAAGCAGAUGUAAAAGAAUUUCUCCAUUGUACUCUGCUUCCUAAUUACGUCUUUCACUUGUGUAAGUUCGUAUGAAGAAUUUCCCUAGAAAUAGUCAUCGGGGUCAUUUUUCACUCUUACAUAGCUUCCCACUACCUUUCUUUCCCAGUUAUCAGUCUGUGUUGACAUCAACUCCUCCACUAAGCUCCUCCGUAAGUAGACUCUUCACUUGAAAAGGAUCCAGGAAACGAUUUUCUUGAGAAGUUUCAACUGUGGAAUUUUUUGUAGAAGAUUGCACAACAGAAAUAUUUAAUUUCUUAAUUUGCUCCAAUAGCCUUUCAAAUGCCUUCAUCACAAGUUCAGUCCUCUCAAUUGAAAUUGCAACCUCAUCAAUUAAGUCGGAAGUAAUUUUGCACAUACCGUUGUGUCUCAUUAUCAAUGAACUAUCUGCACCAUCUUGGUCUUGACAUAUUUUUUUAUGAACUCUUGAAAACCUUGUCCAUCUUCUCAAUAUAUAGUCUUUUGGCAACUCCAUAAUUUGUUUUAGUCGUAACAAAGCCAAAACAUGUAUGCAAGGGAUACCUUCAAACUCAAAAUUCUACAACUGCAUGUCACUAUGUUUGAUACCUUAUCAUGUACAAGCAUCUGCAUUCUAUGGUUUUCAGCAAGCACCCCUUUAGUCUUGUAAACACAACGAAUAUCAUCCUCCAUUACGACAUCCACAAAAUAUCCAUUACCAUCAUGAAGUUGAACUUGAAAGUACUUUUUAGAAUACAAAUGAGCCAUUUGGACCUCCAUUGGCAUCCUUAACGUCAAAAUUGAUGUCUCAUUCAAAUUUUAUGGUCUUCAACCAAUUCUUCAUGUCUCUGAUGAACAAUUGCCCUAUAAAAACGUGUGACAAAAUUCAUCAAUCUAUUUUCUUUAUUACAAUAACGCUUAAAAAUGCAUGUUCAGAUAUUACUUUUUGGCUGCUUGACAUCCCUACUAAAAAGUACUUAUUGACAUAUGUUAGAAUCCACAUUUCACGCAACUCAUACAUCUUUCUCAACCAUUCAUUGUAUGUUUGUUUACUCUUUUCUAAUUCUUCAAACCAUCUCUUCUCAAAUUCUUCUGGACACUCUGAAUCCCAUAUGCAUGUCUUAAAAAACUCAUAGUAAUUUUUCAUAAAAUCUGUAUUGGUCUUAUCUAAAAAUUUCUUUAAAAUAUGUCAUAUAUAAUACCUGUGAAAUGUGUUUGGCAAAACAUGAGCAAUUUCCUUGGACAUUGCUCGAUCUUGAUCGGUGAUAAUAACAUUCGGGGCACUUCUAGGCAUUGCUGCAGCCACGUGUUUAACAACCAAACAAAUGAAUCAAAAGUCUCAUCACUUAAAAAUGCACAUCCAAAAACAGUGGUCUGCCCAUGGUGAUUCACGCCCUACAAUUGGAGCAAAAAUCAACUUGUAACGAUUGGUAUUGUAUGUUGUAUCAAAUACAACCACAUCACCAAAAUGUGAAUAUGUUGUUUUUGCAGUUGAACAUUUGACAAGUCUCUGUUCUUCAUCAAUGUCAAAUUCAAAAAAGAAAUUAGGAUCUUUCUCUAGCUCAACUUUGAAGUGUUCAUACAAAAUGUCUACAUCAUGCCCCUUAACUUUUUCUGUCUUAUCUCGCACCGCAUUUCUUAAAUCCAUUUCAAUGCAGCCAACGUUUUCAUGCCCACCAGCUUGUGUCUCAAAUAGUGCGAAUUGCUGGUAUAUAGGAAUGUCCACCUUUUUGAAGUCUUGUAUUAGAUUCUUUUUUGCAACGGACAUAUUACAGUGUGAUGGUAAUAUGUGAACUCUGCUUGGUGUUAUAGGCGGAUGAUUGUGUUCCUCUAUGAAAGUCUUGACAAUAUAAUUACUUCCAUCAUGGCUUACGGUUAAUUUUGCAUUGCACCCUGUUCGAGUAUUCCUGCGGUCUCUUUCCUCAACUUCAUUGUUGCUUCUCCAUGUCUCAUCGGUCUCACCUUCUUUAAAACAUACAUAUCUUUUCUAAAUUACUAUUCCAUUCUUCUUCGUCUCCUUGCUUUUCCUAACACUAAAUCUAGCCUUAAAUACAUAAUCAUUGUAGAACUUGUACACCGCAUCUAAUAAAUCGAAUUGUUGCUCGGCUUUUGGUUUUAUACCAUCUUCAACAUCAGGUAUAUAUGCCAUCUGGGUUUCUCCUCGGUAUAGCAUCAGUUCCUCUAGUAUAAUUUCCAUUUUUCCAUGGUUUGAAACUAGUAAAAGAUUUGGAAAGAUCAAUUAUAAACAAUAAUCAAUGAAUUAAACAAUGAUAAUUAUAUAUAGUAUAAGAACAAAGAACGUAACUUUGUUACCUUUUAAACAAAGCAAAACAAAGUACAUGAAAAAACAACAACUUUGAAUAUAUAUGCGACUUCGACGUCAAUAGCUACUAGUCUGCUAACAGACCCUUCUUUGAGAUGCUGCCAAUAGAUGUAACGUUAAAUAGAUAAUGCUUUGAUCAUGUGGGUUUGUCUUACUCUUAAAUAUGACAAGAGAGAAAAAAGCUUAAAUAUGACAAGAGAGAAAAAAGAGAGAAACCACACGAGUUUGGUUUAAUUUGCAGAAUGAGAAGAUGAGAAGGAGAUUGGGGCAACGAAGCUCUUUCAUCUCCAGCGAAAAACAUUCUUCGUCUCCAGCAUUUUUUUUCUUCUGGGUUUGUGAGGAGCUGUUGUGAGAACUGAGGAGACUACUCUUGAGUAGAGGGACGAUGAGAAAGAAGUGGAGAAGACGAUGUCUUGGUUUGAGAAAAAGUUAAUAAUUGAGAGUGAUUUAAAAAUAUAAAAAUAUAAAAAUAUAUAUUUUAGUUCAAUUAAACUUGUUUAUUUCUCCACCCUAGGAUUUAAAUGAGCUACGAUCUAAUGAUGAGUGACCAAAUCCCCCUGGUCAGUAGGUGACCAGGUGAACGGGACUGUGUUAAAGUAAUCUUCCCAAAUCAGAAAACAGUAUCCAUUAGGAUUAUGUGAAGGCUAGAGAUGCAUUUAUAAAUUCCACAAAUGAAUCAUCCCAACCACGUAUAAACUUGUUCACGGCACAUCAUGAGUAACAUCCUCUUAUGUAAGUGUCAUUGAGGUCAUAUUGGAGCUCCUUGACAACAGCAGCCAAAGCCUCAGGGUUGAGACCCAAAUCACAGAGUGCAAUGAGGAUGGAAAUGGUGUGACGAUCAUGCCCUGUGUCAAGAAUGCUCAACAUCUGAGAUGCUAGAACCAGAGACUCCCAUGCCAUUUUUACAGCAUCCGCGUCCAUAUGAAAAUGAAGAGAAAGUAAGCAAAAACAUAAAUUUAGAAAAUAUCCAUAGCCAUGUCAGACUUGUCAUGCAAGCACAUUGUGAAAUACACUAUGAACAUGAACACCUCUAUAUAACUUGGUUUCUGGCAGUAAAGUGCACAUUUCAUGGAUCAACACACAUAUCUCACAUAUUGACUCUAGUGUAGCCAACGAGCCAAGACAUAGCUAAAAAGUUUGCAGUGGCAUCAAGUGAUUGAUAAGUUUGCAGCAACAACUUAGUUCUUUUAAGUGUGUGUGUGUGGGGGGAGGGGGUGGUUUCCUCAUACGUUCACCUAAAUCACAAAAUUUUCUUCCAAAAGAAUCUCUCUACGGUCUUUAUAAGUUUAUAUCGUCUUAACUCAAAUUCUCGCAGGGUAUAUCACUCGGUCAAACAUCUAACCAUGUCAUAUACAAGUAGGGCCGACCUUGUGUGUCUGGAGGCUAUAUGCGAAAUAUUAUUUGAGGCCCCAUAAUAAAUGCUCGGAAAAAAAAAUCAACAUAAUAUACAAGGACCAUUUUCAUUAACUCAUUAUAUAUAUAUAUAUUUAAUGAUUAUGAAAAUAGUUAUUACUUGAUUUGAAUGAAAAUAGCUUGAUGAACUACGUUACGGUAAAGUAUAUAAUCAAAAUAUAUAAAAUGAAUCUUAUAAAAUUAAGGUACUAAAAAAAUAAAAUCUAAGAAAGAAAUAGGGUGUCAAAUACCCAAAAAGUUUAAAGUGCAAAUGGUAUGAAAUAGUAAAUAAAAAGUCUACAAUGAAACAUGUAAAAAGAUAUGAAUGACUAAAUAAAAGAAAGACAAAAAAAGUAAGAAACUAAAAACUGAAACUUGUGUAAUUUAAACACAGGUAUUCUAGGACAUGAUACAACUACUUACCACUAAACUAGAUUUAUUCUCAUAGCAUAUGUUUACAGCAUACAAUAUAUAAAAAGGUCCCCUUGAAUUGGAGGCCCUAGACCUGGGCCUUGCUUGUCUUGGCCCAAGGCCGGCCUUGUAUACGGGCAAGUUAAGUUUACACUAUCAAAGACCAUGUUUUUCGUCCCAACAAUAUAAUUUGUAAACUUUUUGAUGCCUGCUGGAUCACAGUUGAAAAACCCAUAAGUUGGAAGCCCAAAGUUGUCUCAUAAUAGUUUUAAGAAUCUUUGAUCGUCAUGUCGGGCGUUCCCAUUCUAGUGAUGAUUAUGUAUGGAUAAUUAAAACUUACUUUGCAUGAGAUCAUAAAACUUCCUUCAUAAUCAUCUCAUGAAAAAUGAGUUUUAUAUAGUUUAUCCAUGCAUAAUCAUCACUAUAAACGGAAUAUCGAACGUGGCGACCAAAAACUUCUUAAAGCUAUUGUGGGAUAAUUUGGCCUUUAAACGUAUGGGCUCUUCGACUGUGAUCCAACAGACAUCAGAAUGUUUACAAAUUAUUCUGUUGGGACGUAUAACAAGGCCUUCGAUAGUGUAAACUUAACUUACCCUUAUCUGACAUGGUUGACUGUUUGAUAUACGGUAUACCUUGCGAGAACUUAAGUCAAGACAUAUUAAGAACGUGAACUUGAACCUCUCAUUUAUAAAGCUAGGUUCGUUGUUACUUGUGUAUUAGGAAUAUCAUAUUUCUAUUCGGAUUAGGACAAGAUUCUCCUAAUAACCAGAUAAUAAAAUCGAUUCCUUAUGUGAUCUUGAAAUCAAGAAUAUCAGAUUUCUAUUCGGAUUAGGACAAGAUUCUCCUAACUGAAUAACGAAAUCGAUUCCUUAUGUGAUCUGAAAUCUUUAGCCAUAAAUUACCCAAUAGGAAAGUGAAAGAUAUUUUAGACCGCAUGUAUCGGUCCGCGUAUCAAACAUUCAUAAUAAACUUAGAUACCAUAUUUAGGCAAAAUCACUAGCUUUACUUCAUCUAAUGGUCCGUUUCAAAUUGUUCAAAUCUAUUUUUUUUUUUGUGGGAAAAUGGAGUUGAGCUCCUUUGAUUUUUUAUUUCAAUCAUACGACUGUACUAGAUCAAGCUAGGAGAGCGUCCGAGGAACAAAAUCCAUAAUAUAAUACGAUGUACAUAUUAAUGUCUGCAAUUCCAAAGAAACUACUAAAAAAAUAAACUACUUAAAAGUCUAAUGCUCAAAUGAACUUAUUGAAGCCUAGAAAGUAUGUAACCUACCUCACUAAACCAAAGUACCCUAAGUUCAUACAUCGAGGCCUAAAACUAUUUCAGUGUACCUUUCUAGACACAAAGGGAGGUAUGUUCUAUAGUCAAGUGAAGUAGGGAUCUAUCCCAGCAAGGGCUCGGGACUAUUCGCCACCGGUUUCUUCAGUAGAAAGAGGCUCAUGUAUGACAGUGUCUGCCAUGGAGCUCGACGACUCACCAGUAUAUAGUUGCUUCUUGUUCUUACUUCCUCGAGGCUUGCCUCUCUUCUUCGGGGAUUUCCCCGUCUUCUUGAUCCCUAACUCCCCACUCACAGCCAUGGAGAAACCAAGAUCUUCCAGAUUUAGGUCCAGUGACACAUAGCCAGCGAGUGCUUCAAUCUCUUCCCACUCUCAGUUUCAUCUUCCUUCCGAUUGCGGAUAAUGCCAGUAACCUUAGCCACAUCCCUAAUCUGAACCGGCUUCUUCUCUCUAAGCAGUGUCGGCAUAGUCGACACCACUAGGGCAGCUUGUGAGUUUGCCCUAAAAACCAUGGGAGGAGCUGCCAGUGCUACAACUGGUCCAAUCAGAGCUUUGGUCCCUUCUUUAGCAUGUUGGGCAUUAGGGCAAGGCACUCUACCAUGGUUUAGCAUCAUGUAAUCCCUGUAUAGACCAACAAGCCUUUCAUACUUGUAUUGCACCCAUCCUCCGGUGACACGCGCAGUCUCCUAUCCAUCCUCAUCGGGCUGUUUAGAGGAGGCGUGACACGCACGCGAGUGGAUCCCCUCCUCAGUCCCACCUAGUCGACGUUGAGAACAAGUCCGAUGGUCUCCCCUACCAGCCAAAGUGCGGCAUAUGUGGUGAGUGCCGCCGGUAAGUCAUAGACCUCCACCCAAAUCCAAAAGAAGUCGAGUGGCACUGUCAUAAUGUCGGAGAAGUUGUCGUAAUCAUUCAACAAGAUCAUGGUCCUCUGGUAACUCUAAAGGCCUCUUUUCUUCACUCGGCCAAGAUCUCAUUGAUUAUUGAACGUAAACAAAAAGCGAUCCCCAUGCUGCUGCACCUCCACCGACACAGAUAGUCUUCACAUCGCUCGGACGACACUUCGAAAGGAAUCGAAUUGCACCGCCCAUGCGAAGUUCAGUUUACCCACCAGAUAAAACCUUGGAGCAAUGAAACCUAUUCCCAGACUUUUUAGGUUUCCGAGAUCCACAAGUUCGUCCUCUUGAUAAAGAGAGAGCUUUGAGAUCAAGCGAGCAGUCGUGGACGCCAUCGCCACACCUCCAUCGAGAACCCUAGCCGCUGCUAUACCGAGAUCACACCGCACAACUUGUUUUCUCUCACCAAAACCCUAACCCUAGCCUAGAGAAAGAGAGAAGCGAGAGGAAGUCGCGGUAUUUUUAAUGAAGCUUCAUCAUCAGUUACUUCUUAAUAAUCGUUCAAAUCAUAUUCAUUAUUCAUUAUGUGAAAUGCUUAUUGCUAUAGACUAUGGUAAAAGGUGCGUAAAGCCGUAAAUUUCAUUUUGAUAAAAUAUAAAGAGACGAAAUUUUACUAGGAUAUUUCUGUCGUCGCUGAAUCGAUGUGGCUUGAGGAUCUUGUUCUUCUACUCCUCGGUCUUCUUCCAAGUGCUGAGCGGCAUCAAAAUGUACUGUUUUGCCCCCGUUUUGUUUUCUUAUUUAAUGGUCUCAACUCCAAUUUCGAUUUUGUUGAUCUCAGUCUCAACUCCACAAUGUAGAAACCUUCUUCAAAAACAGAGCAGAUAGAUCAGAAAACUCAUGAGGUUAAUCCCCGAACUCAACUCCCAACUGAAGCAGCUCGUGAAACUUGGUCAUGUGAAACACGCCCGUAAGGUGUUCGAUGAAAUGCGCAUGAGAGAUGAGGUCUCAUGGACCAAUAUGAUCUCUGGCUAUGUUGGAGUCUCUGAUUCGUCUCAAGCAUUGGCCUUGUUUUCAGACAUGUGGGUGCAGCACCCGGGUUUCAGCAUGGACCCUUUUCUUCUCUGCGUGGCGCUCAAGGCUUGCGGACUUGGUGGGGAGUUGACUUAUGGGGGAGCUCUACAUGGCUGCUCGGUCAAAUCGGGUUUUGUCAACUCGGUGUUUGUGGGGAGUGCUCUUGUUGAUAUGUAUAUGAAGACUGGCGAGAUAAACAUGGGUUGUGGAGUUUUCGAUGAAAUGCCGCUGAGAAAUGUGCUGUCGUGGACUAGUAUUCACUGGUCUUGUUCGAGCGGGUUAUGGUGUGGAGGGGUUGGCUUGUUUUGCUGAAAUGUGCAGGUGUAGGGUGCAAUGUGAUGGGUAUGCGUUUGCUAUCCGCGUGUGCUGAUUUGGGUGCUUUGAAGUUUGGGAGAGAAGUUCAUGCACAAGCUAUGAAGAAAGGGUUUGAUAACAACUCUUUUGUUGCCAACUCUCUUGCUACCUUGUAUAACAAGUGUGGGAAAUUGGACUAUGGGGUGCGGUUGUUUGUGAAAAUGAGGACGCAGGAUGUUGUUUCGUGGACAUCCAUCAUUACUUCGUAUUUUUGGACAGGUCAAGAGGACCGUGCAAUGAAAGCAUUUAUGCGCAUGCAGGAAUCUGGUGUGAGUCCUAAUGAGUACACUUUCGCAGCUGUUAUCUCUGGAUGUGCUAAUCUCGCUAGAGUUGAAUGGGGUGAACAAUUGCAUGCCGACGUUUUACACUUGGGUCUUGUGGAUUAUCUGUCAGUAGGAAAUUCAAUCAUAACCAUGUAUGCCAAAUGUGGGCGUUUGGCUUCAGCUUCUGUUGUGUUUCAUGAGAUGGGCAGAAAAGAUAUUAUUUCAUGGACCACUGUCAUUGCAGGGUAUUCUCAAGCAGGUUAUGGGGAAGAAGCUUUCAAGUAUUUGUCGUGGAUGAGAAGGGAAGGACCAAAACCAAACGAGUGUGCUUUUUCUAGUGUCUUAAGUGUUUGUGGAAGCAUGGUAAUGCUUGAGCAAGGCAAGCAAUUGCAUGCUCAUGUUCUAACGGUUGGUCUAGAUUCUGAAGCUAUGGUACAAAGUGCCUUAAUCAAUCUUUACUCGAAAUGUGGAAGUAUACAAGAGGCUGCAAAAAACUUUUAUGUGACAAAAGAUGGUGAUGUUAUUUUAUGGACGUCCAUGAUUAAUGGAUAUGCCCAACAUGGGUACUACCAAGAUGCCAUUGAUCUGUUUGAGAAGAUUCCUAAGGUUGGUCCGAAACCGGACUCAGUGACCUUCGUUGGUGUUCUUGCUCCGUGUAGCCAUGCUGGACUAGUUGAUCUUGGUUUCCACUACUUCAAUUCAAUGAGCAAUGACUUUAAGAUUAGUCCUUCAAAAGAACACUACGGCUGCAUGAUUGAUCUCCUUUGUCGAGCCGGACGGUUAAGUGAGGCAGAGCACAUGAUCAAAAGUAUGCCAAUUCAACAGGAUGAUGUUGUCUGGUCUACUCUACUUACAGCAUGUAGGCUCCAUGGUGAUGCUGACUGCGGAAGAUGCGCUGAAGAGGAGAUUCUUAAAUUAAAUCCUAAUUGUGCAGUGACUCACAUAACGCUAGCUAGUAUUUAUGCUGCCAAAGGAAUGUGGAGGGAAGCAGCAGAGGUAAGGAAAAUGAUGAGAUCAAAGGGCAUAAUUAAGGAACCAGGAUGGUCUGGGAUAGAGGCCAAGGAUGGGACUUCUGUAUUUGUUGCUGGAGAUAGGUCUCAUCCACAAGGUGAUGAGAUAUACUGUGUGCUGGAAUUACUAGAUUCAAAGGCAGAGAUUUCUAUUCCGGAAACAGUUCUUCAGUAGUUGAUGUUGAAGAUCAAGAUUUACUGUUCCAACUCACAAGGCAUAAACGUUUGAUCUUCUCAUCUUCUGUCUCGAGGCAAUCUAUGGAACCAAAUCAAAUCACCUAAAACUAUCGUAUUUCUUGGACUCAAUGAUAUGAUGUUUGCGAAGGUGAAGCAUUGCUGAGGACAUGAAAAGGCAUCACCGCAUUAUUCAAUGGUUUUGAGAAAAUGAUCUAUAGUUGACGUCUGUGAACUACUGAUGUUGAAAGUGGAGCGGAAUAAGACAAUAUAUCACCAGAAUUCUUGAGGAAAGUUUCAGCAGAAAAAAAAAAUUGUCAAGGUAUAGACUUCGCUCUGCUGUUCACUCUUUUGCCUUGAAUCUGAGCAUAUAAGCAUGAAACAUUAAGCGUGUAUUCUCACUUUGCAGGCAAGAAUGACUGUUUAAUAUACACUACAUUGUUUGCAGGAAACUGCAUAUAUUGGUUUCAGUGUAAAUUUGAAACCAAUUAACAGAAAUGUUGCAGUUCAUAGUACUGAUCCUAACACUCUUUUUAUCAAUGUUAGCUUACAUGCUUGCCCGAGAUGUAAGAAACCUUUAGGACUAUACAAUACUUCUUAUUCUUUUUGCAUGUACAGUUAUGGGUUUAAUGUCCUCAUUUAUAACUACUUACAGAAUUGGUUAGCUUAAUCAGCUGAAGGUCCUUUCAAAAUAAAAGAAUCUGGUAUCAGAUCUUAUUGAACAUGGUUUUGGAUAUAAUUGGAUUUCUGUGACGGUUCAAUUUAUAUGCACAAGGACUUUGUCGUUAGAAACGAAAACUGUGAGCUAAUAGCUUUUUGGGUAGAUUUUUGCUAGCUUUAUGGAUCAUUAAGUAUUUCUUAAGAGGUAAGGGCAGUGAGAUUUUAGGAAAAUUCUUGAUACAUAAAAAAGAAAGAGAGAAUGAAAGAACUUAUGCCCUUUUUGAUGUGAGGAGUAAAUUAUUGUGUACUGCUUUCCCAUUUUCUGGAUUUGCCGUAAAUUUUGAUGCUCCUUUUCAGCUAAAAUUUUUUUGAUUCAUGAAAUUUAAUGAAUUUUCUGGACAAAUAUGUUUUCUUUUGUUGGAUGAGAAAUUGUUCGUACUUGCUUUGCCUCCAAUAUUAGCAAUUACUGAUAGUUAAAAAAAAUGAUUGGAUAAAAAGAAUGUUUGUAUUUUCAUAUCUAUUGUGACUUUGUUUUGAUGUAUCAAAAUAUGAACCAUGUUGCUUGCAUUGAUAUAGUUAUAGCAAACAGUAUCUUCGACUGUGAGUUUACCGUAGGUUAAGUUGUUAAUCUCAUUCAUCAUACCCAAAUUCAAAUUUACAUUUUGAAGGAAAGAAUUUUCUUUGGAAGCUGAUCAUUUUUACUGAUCAGAAAGAUCUUCAAUUUCUUAGAGCCACAUGAGUUUUAGAUGACUCUAAGGAGCAUUUUUUUGUUUUGGUAUUCCCUUCUACAAUUUAGUAACUGGGAAUGCUUUCAUGAAAGACACAAACUGGACUCGAUCAAUAUGUUCUUUUACGGUGAAAGUAGCAAUUUUGUAGUACAAAUAAUCAGAAUUUCUGUUUUUUUUCAGAUAUAUGCUAGUUUUAGAGAACUGAGAAGAAUCAUAUAUCUGGUGUGACAGUUCCAGCUUUAUUUGGUGGAAUCAAAUUGUUGCUACAAACAUAUAUCCAUGGAUAUUCUUGAUGCUACAAUUAAAUCUUUAGACUUUUAGUCUCCAAUCCAGGUUAGCAAUCAUUGCCUAUGGUAAUAUCAUUCAUUUAUUGCGGAAUUUUUUUUAGGCUUAUAGUUUGAAAUAUCUUCUUGGACUCCUGAGUUUCGAGGUUGAAACAGCACAUAUGCAUUCUCUGCAAUUGCAGAUAUCAUACAUGCAAAUAUGAUGUCUGGACGUGAUGUUAACUGUUUUAAUGAUCUCAUUUGGAUUUAGGGGGAGCUUUGAAUAGUUUAAUGCUCCUCAAGGCCUCCUCAGUUGUGUUUUGCUACAUGCACCUCACGUUUUUGUCGUUUUUCUAUCAGAUCUCUUAACUGCAGCACUUCCUUUCCCGUCAUUUCUUUUUCUCUUUGAUUAACCUUAUAAAUAAAUUUCAGGAGGAGUCCCUAAUUGUACCUGCUGUUGACCAACUACUCUCUGAUUAUGCAAAGAGAUUUAAUAAAACCAAGCUAUGGUGGAAGAAGAAUCUUGGUACUGCCAAGGUAAAAGAGUUCAAGUAUUUCUAUUUUUCAUGACUCACUACUGAUAAUAUGAGCUUGACAUAUAUAUUAAUGGUUGAUGCUCUCUCAGUUGGAAUUGCAGUUUGAAGAUAGGGAAAGGCAGUUCAUGGGUGCUCCACUUCAUGCAGCAAUUGUUAAACAUGGUAAUAAGCUUAACAAGGUACUUGAGAAAUCAAAUUGUAACAAACUAAGAGAGAGAAGCACACGUUUUCUUGUCCUUAUCUCAAUCGUCAAUCCUAUGUAUUUAUCAGUGGAUGGCGUCUCUAAAAUCUCUAAACUUUAUUCAUCAAAUUUGAAUAAAGUUUUCAUUAUGAAUACUUUGAUUUUUCCAUUUUGUUUGUUGGACACAGUAAGAAAAUUAAAUAAAUGUGGCAUGAAACCCAAUCAAAGGUGAGCUAAUUCUAGUGGGAGAAAGGGAGGGGGGAACAAGAGUAAUUCAUUGGUGUAGUUGGGAAAGACUUUAAAAAGAAUGAGAAAGGAGGGGUUAGGCUUUCGGGAUUUGAGGGCUUUCUGACUUUAUGGGGGAAGCCUUUUUUUAUUUUUAAUUUUUUUUUUGAAUGCUAGCAUAUAGCUAACGCCUUCUGCAAUUUGGAGGGGUUUAUUGUGGGGUAAGAAGGUUACUGAUAGUGGUAAUCAAUCGUUGGCAUAUUGGAAUUGGUAAAAGGGUGCGUAUUCUGAAGGACAUAUAUACUUCUUUCAAAGUUGUAUUCUGAGGGACUAGAGUUGCAGAAAAAAGUAAUUGGAGCCUUCUUUAGCUAGCUUGAGUAGUCGGACGUAUGUGAUGUUGAGGAACUUUGGGGACUAAAUGUACCUUACAAGAUUAGAAAAAUUUGUUGGAGAGCAGUCAAUGUUUUUCUUCCUUGUGCUCAGGAUUUAAUGAGAGAUAGGAUAACGUCAUGUGCGUCAUGCUGGCAAUGUGGAGCUCCCUUUUGGAUCUGCAAUUCAAGUUUUUUGGGAGUGCCACAAACAAGAUAAGGUUGGAGUCUUUCUUUUUUGAGUGAGGUGUGCAGAGUGGAAAUAGCGUUCUGUUUCUGAUCUUCUUUCCAUUGUUAUAGGUACACUGGCUUAGAGUCGUUUGCUCUCAUAAUUUGAUCGAUGAGAAGAAACAGAAACCUGCAUAGGCACGGAGAAAUGAUUCUAAACCCAGUUGAGUUGGUUAGCAUGGCACGGGAUUUUGGCAACUGGAAUUUGAAAGGUGCACUGCCAGACCAGCUACUGCUCCAGCACCGGCGGCUAGUACUGUUGUUUGGCGGCCUCCUCGUCAGAGCUAACUGGAACUAAAUUUCGUUGAAGCAUAUAACAGAAAGCUUGGAGUAUGUGGACUGGGUGUGAUUUUUAGGGAUGAUCAAGGAGUUUUGAAGGGAGCCAUUGUUAUCCCUCAAGUUAAGAGUCUUUCUCCAAGAUCUAUGGAAGCAUUAGCACUAGUACUACAUGUUGCCUUCAGGAACCUGGAAAUUGAAGGCUUUGCAUGAUGAGAGUGAUUUGAUGAAGUUAAUUCAGUAGUUAAGUCUUUUCAUGCUAAUAGUUGGCGUUUUUGUGAGGAUGAUGGUAAUAAAGUUGGUCGAUUGCUUGCAGAAAAAAGUCUUGAAACUUGGUCAUUAUUUUCUUUGUUUAGAGUCCGGGCAAUCUUAGCUCAAUGAUUGUUCCUGCAUAGAAUUUGAGUAAUAAGGAGAGCAAGGUUGCCUCCAUAUCUUUCUUGUUGAAAGUUGGUAGUGGAAUCUCUGCACUCUUCUCAUUGUGAUAAAGUUGGUAGUGGAAUCCUUGCACUCUUCUCAUUGUGAUAUUUCAUUACGAAUGAAAUCAACUUCUGAUAAAAAGUUUGCCAUGAAAAGCAAAUGACAAAGCGAUCAUAGAAAGAGGGAAACUUUACAAGUCGAAAUCUGCUCCACUAUUUUAGCUUGCAUCAAUUAAUUUACAGAUGAACUUUGGCACAGCAUUUCUAUAUAUACAGAAAACUGCACUACAAACUUAGAAAGACCCAAAAGAUAAAUAUGAAUGGAGAGUCACAUUGAGAUAUGGCUAUCACUAGCAGCUCUAAAAUUGGUCACAAUGAGAUCCUAAUCUCACUGUGGGAUUAAUAAUCCGUUUAUUGAUUACUAGCUGCUCCAUCACUUAUACGAGGAGUACUUCCUCCUUGUGUUCUUGUUUUUGAUCAUUGUCUCUAAUUUCCUGGUUCUCCUUUUCCUUUCCCCACAAAACGCUAUAGAGACCAGCAACCAGCAAUAGACCUCCACCAAUACUGAAAUAAAAUGAAGUCGUUAACGAAAACGAACAAUGAUAUACCACAAAUACGCCGUGUACAACUGAUUUUUCGUAUCUGUAAUGCUGAACUGUAUGCCAAAUGUUUUAAAGAAAAUAUUAAAGAAAAAGUUGGAAUAUAUGAUAAGAGUAGCAAAAGUAAGAAAGGUGAUGGAUGAAGGUAUGGAGUAUGGACCUUCCCCAGUAGAUUGCUUCUUUCCACAUGAUUGCUGAGAAUAUUGCUGUUAUAAUUAGUGCUAAAGGAGUGAACAUUGCUGUGAAAACUGAACCUUUCUUCUCUAUGACCCAAACUUGUAGCCAGUAAGUAAUCCCAGUUACAAUUACACCCUGCCAGAUCCAUAUAUGGUUAAAAAUUAGUCAUUUCAAGGAAGAACAUGUACCUAGUUGCAUCUCUUCUGUAAUUUCAUACACAUACAUCAGGACAUUUUUUGCACAUUUCUUUCUUUUGUGGCCAGUAGGCAACGCAAUUCAAUGACAUGUGAUACAAAUCGACAGGUUACAUGUAUAGGUAAGACAAGAACCAAUCAUGUCGAAUCUACGAAAAUUUGAGAAAUCUUUCAAGUAGUGUUAUCAAUGAUGUGAUGCAGGAGAACAUGUUUGAUAUCUAUCUGAGAAUAUCACUGGAAGAUGCACCACUCUAUUAUGGUAGAAGUCAAAAAGUGAGUCAUUGUCCUAUCUCUUUGGAGGAGAUAGGCACCAUAUAUGUAUAUGAACAGCCAAUACAUGUUUACAAAUAACUUAAAUAGCUUUAUAAUUACCAGUCCCUCUAGCGACAUUUAUUAGUAGGGCAUGAAGAUCUCAUGGUCUAACUCUAUGCAACAUCAGUGGCCUAUCUGCUUCUGAAGAGACAGUACAUUACUAUUGCAGAUUAACUUUUCAUUUGUUUUCUUCUUUCAAAGCUGCAAGUUUGAGAUCAAAUUGUUGUUGAACAGAGAAUAAUAGUUUGCGCACGACGAAUGAAUGAAAUGACUUGUGAGAUGAAUGUUGUAUACCUCGGUUGUAUGCAAGACUAGAAAAUUUUAAAUGACUUACACAGUAGACCACAGCUAGAAGAUGAAUGUCCCAUCCAAUCUUCCAAGCUGAAGGCCUUCUCUCAAUCGCAAUUGUCCAGAAAGCAGACUGCAUGCAGCUAAAGAAACACUGCAGAGCAGUAAGCCUCAACUUUGCAGGAUAUUCCUUCACAAUUGGACCCUAGAACAUUAUAGACAUACAAGAGUAAGUGAUAAUAUAUAUAUAUGUGUGUGUGUGUGUUAUUAAUAAAUUUACAGAAACUAAGAAAUUGGUACAAUUUGAUGAAAUUAUAACCUGCAAAAUUAGCCACAUAGACCAAGCAGUGUUGGCUGAGAGCAUAAUGAGGGAACCUUUAAUCCACUCCCCUUUGCUGGAACUCUGUGGAUGGAUUUGGUGGUCUAGAUUUUCUGGAAACCAGUUCAUGAACUUUAAUGGAGGCCCCUUGAUUAAAGCAUACACCAAAGCCCCUGAAAGGCUGCUAACAGAACCCAACACCUUGGCCAAACCAUGCAUUUUCUUUAUUGAAAUGCUUUCCAUCCUUAAAAAACAAAAACAAAACCCAACUCAGGUAUCACAUUCACUGCUUGAACAAUAAGAAGAAAAUGGUCCUUAACAUUGAUUUCACAAAAGUCAACAUAUGUCAAAUUCAAAUCAGUACUAAGUACCUUAAUAAAACUGCCAUAACAAAAGUGAUUGCAGGAAUUGCAGUGGUGGUGGCUGCAGCAAAGGUUGCAGAGGUGUAGUUGAUAGCAACAUAGUACAGAUUUAAACUCAGGGUAAUCCUGCAAAUUUCUCAUAAGUGAAUCAUAUAUGAUUAGAACUGAAAUUAUAUAUUUGUAUGAGAAGCACAGAUAUGAUCAUUACCCGAAUAGCGAAAUAAAGAAAAUCUUGAUGAGUAAGGUAUAGGAAAGAGGAACUUCUUUCGAACUGCAGAGUGAGUAGAAAAUUUGAAUUAAAUUUAAUAAACUAAACCAGGUAAGCUAGAUAAAAGUUCUUGAAAUGAAAUAUCGAUGUUCAACCUUUCAAAGAAGAAAGCAAAUGGAGCCAAGGCUAGGAAGGCGAAAGCUUGGCGAUAGACCACAAAGACAAAAGGGUUCAUUCCUUUAGAUAUUGCUGCCUUAGAGAACAAGGCCAUACCUGCAUACACACAAUGUAUGAAGAGCAUUGCAAUAUAGACCUUACGCUUCUCUGCUGCCACAGAUAUUGCAUAGCUUAAACUCUUCAUGAUGUGGUAUAUAUUUUUGAAAGUUUUAGCCUUUCAUCUGUGGACUCUAAGUUGAGAAACUGGGUGUUCUAUAUAUAGAGGACAAUUUGCUCUGAAACUUCAGUUUGCACAGAAGCUUUGUGUCAGCUUUCACUCACAUUGAUACUAUAUAUACAUACGGGGAAACCAUGAAAUCAGGUGCCCAGAAUUUUGAGAAAAUAAUGGGGACAAGUGGGGUUUACUACAUGAUCAUACAAUAUAUGCUCCGCAUCUGUAUCUUUGUAAUUUAGUUUACUCAUCUAAUUGAUCAAAUAUUAACAGUGCUUCACUUUAGACUUAAUACUAAAGUAACUAAACUGGUAAAUCACUUUCUUUUUUUUUUGGAUACAAAACUGGUAAAUCACUUUAUUGUCUCGUUUUCCAAUUUCCAUAGGUGAUGUGUAAUUCAAUAAUCCGGACAUGAAAGUUUGAUGUCCUUGUAACCAAAAAAAAAAAGUUUGAUGUCCUUGUAACCCAAAAAAAACGCUUGUUGUCCGUGUUUUGGACCACACCAGUCCCAACUAUGUGGCUCUCUCUCUCUCUCNNNNNNNNNNNNNNNNNNNNNNNNNNNNNNNNNNNNNNNNNNNNNNNNNNNNNNNNNNNNNNNNNNNNNNNNNNNNNNNNNNNNNNNNNNNNNNNNNNNNNNNNNNNNNNNNNNNNNNNNNNNNNNNNNNNNNNNNNNNNNNNNNNNNNNNNNNNNNNNNNNNNNNNNNNNNNNNNNNNNNNNNNNNNNNNNNNNNNNNNNNNNNNNNNNNNNNNNNNNNNNNNNNNNNNNNNNNNNNNNNNNNNNNNNNNNNNNNNNNNNNNNNNNNNNNNNNNNNNNNNNNNNNNNNNNNNNNNNNNNNNNNNNNNNNNNNNNNNNNNNNNNNNNNNNNNNNNNNNNNNNNNNNNNNNNNNNNNNNNNNNNNNNNNNNNNNNNNNNNNNNNNNNNNNNNNNNNNNNNNNNNNNNNNNNNNNNNNNNNNNNNNNNNNNNNNNNNNNNNNNNNNNNNNNNNNUACGUCGUCGUCUCUCUCUCUCUCUCUCUCUCUCUCUCUCUCUCUCUCUCUCUCUCUCUCUCUCUCUCGGAAGAUCCAUGACGCAUUAGUGAACCUCUCUGGAGCACGGAGCAAUUUGGUUUGGCCCUUUCCAAAUUAAUGGUUUUCACAAGUUGAUGUUCGAAUAAGAGAUUUCAUAUUACUAGGAGAAUCACUGCAGCAUCUGCCCCCAUUUGCAGCAUAAUAUACUUUCAUUGGACCAACCACAUUGGGUUACCAAGGGAUAUAAUUUAGUAGUGCAGUGGAGUUUUACAGUGAGAGUUUUAAGUUAAACUAGAGAAAAUAUGUAAAUGUGUGAUUCAUACUCAAAAGUGAACCAAAGUUGAUGAUGAGUGUGUAGUCAUUGAUCUUGAUGUUGGAAAUGGUUAAUUUGAUUCAAAUCGAAACAAACUAAAGCAAGUAAUCAAAACUAAGUUGUUCAAUGAAAUGCAUACUUAACAAUUAAUAAUGUUCAUUCCAUAAAACAAUAAAGAAUUGAAAUUUGUGUAGUCCUUAUGGUUUGAAGUCAACAUUUGUUUAGUUCUUGUAGUUUAUUUUAAUCUGAAUGGUCCUUAAAGUCACAAUUUUUCAUCCAAAUAGUUAUUCCGUUAAUUUUCUCAGUCAAAUUGCUGACAUGGCCGUUAAAUUGUUGAAGUGGCCUUUAACUGAGAAAAUUGACGAAUGAUCAUUUAGAUGAAAAAUCGUGACUUUAAAAACUAUUCAGAUUAAAAUAAAACCAUAAGGACUAAACAGAUGUCGAUUUCAAACUACAAGGACUAUACAGUAUUUUACCCAAUAAUCAAUAAUGUGAUGAAGACUAAUGAGAAGUGAUUGGAGAUAUUUAAGGUGCAGAACUUGCGCGCCUUGUGAUUGGGAAGGAAAAAAGUGGAAGAGGAACAUGCUUAGGCCCUCUACAUUUCCACUUUGUUGAUCAUUCAGAGGCUGCUUAGAUUCUGGCCUGUGAAUAGAGAUAUUUAUCUAUCUAGUUCGUCCAAUCUCAACUUUUCCACGAGUUUAAGUAUUUUCUUUUCUGUAAUUAUUUUCUUAUCUGGGGAUGUUGAAGCUACCAAGAUCGUUUUCAUUUGGUUCUAAUGAGAAGUGAGAAUCCACUGAGACCAAGAUGGUUGAGUUGGAUAUGCACUGCACAAAGAUCAGCAAGAUGGUUUAUAUCAUAUGCACACAACACACCUAUGCUCUUAUGCUCUGUACCUGAACCAAAGAAACAAAUUCGUUCUGUUUUUGGCAAUCGAGUGGUUCUAAAUCAUUAACAAGAGUGGCAAAACAAAUAUAUAUAUAUAUAGAACUUUUUUCUCAGUUGCGGACGUCCUCACCGUUUUACGGUGCGGAUUUUUAUCUGUUCACCACCGUACGGCGCCGGCGAGGGCGUGCCUCCACCCCAGUCGACUCCAGCAGCUUCCCCGACCAUUUUCCAUCCCUGGUGAGUCCUCUGAAUUCUAGUUUUCCGGCCAGAUUGACUUUGUUUGAAGUUUUGGGUGAUCUGGUCGGAAAACUGGAAUUCGGCGGACUAGCCGGGGAUGGAAAGUGGUCGAGGAAGCUGCUGGAGUCCGCUGGGGUGAGGCGCNNNNNNNNNNNNNNNNNNNNUUGGUCAUUCAACAUGCCUAAAAAUAUUUGAUGUGAAACAUAAAUUAAUGAGAAAUUCGUCUGAAUAGUAUACGAAUUUUUGCUCCUUAUAACUUUGGUAUAUCAAGUUUUAAAAUAUCAUAUUGGUAUCUCAUGUUUCCAUCCCGACAUAAGAUUUGUAUAUAUAGUCAUUAAGAUGACUAAUUUACCCUUAAAUUCUCUUCUUCUUUUUUUCUUAGUUUUUAUUCUUUGUUUUCAUAUUCCAAUUUUCUUUUUUUGUCUUUUUAUAUUUUUAGGAACGUAAAGAAAAAAUUCAUCAACAUUUUCUCCUUGCUAAUAAUCAGUUUUUCAUCUUAAACAUCAUUGAGUAUCAACGGCAACAACAAAAUCAUUGAGUGUUAGCGGCAACAACAAGAAUUGAACUUUUGUAUGUUUCUUCUCUUCAAUCUUCUUCAAUGUUAUGAAAUCAGUCUUAUUUACUUUUCCAGAUCAUUUACAGUUAACGCUUACAUUAAGCUUAUGUUAAUUAAUCAACAAUUAGGGUAAUCAUGAUUUAGUCUCUACAUGAAUGACACGUGUCUUUCAUGAUAAGGCUAUAUAUUGUACACCCUGCUUUUUUUGGGAUCAUGGAAAUAUAUCAGUAACUUUCUUCCUCUUUCUUUUUUCGUCCCUUUGUUUCUCUCUUCCUUCCCUUUACUGAUUUUAGGGGGCUAAAACCCUAACAAUUGGUAUUCAGAGCUUUGUCGAUCAUGGCUGGGAAAUCGACGAAGGCAGCUAGAAAGUCGUCUUCCAUUGAUCCUCCAGUUUUGGGUGAAUUAUCAAACCUGGAAGUCGAGUUUCAAGCUCAUAGAGAGGCUACUGCAGCUCGUUUUGAGGAGAUGCAAGCUUCUUUUCAGAAAUCACUUGAUGCUAAUCUGUUGAGUUAUCAGGGUAUGCUUGCAGAGCAAUUUCAGAAGCUUUUCGGAAACCAUCUUGUGUUAACAACAUCUGGAGCUGCUGCUAUUAUACAACCAGAUGGUUCAGUACGUUUUGGAUCUGUGCCAGCGCCCACUCAUGGCUUGCUUCCUAUGUCAGAGAGCUCUUCCUAUAUAGUUUUAGUUAGAUAUGAGGGUAAUAGCAAUUCCUAUGUCCUUGCCUCCUUUAUCUGCUAGGCAAAACCCUAUUAGGUGCAGGUGUUAGUACUGUGAUGGUUAGUGGUGCUAAUUCCUCUGUGGACAUGUCUACGGUUUUGGGAGCUAAAGGUGGUAGUGGUAUUGCUGGAUUUCAACAUAUUGAUAGGUCACAACCACAGAUGGGUGUGAGUAGUUCUGUGUUGGGAGCUCCACCAUCCCUUGGAUUGACACAAUCAUUUCCUCUAUAUCACACUCAUGGUGUCCCAAAUGUUGUUCAUAACUCACAUGACAUGUUUUCCAUGAACUAUUCUGGUCCAUACACUGCUAGCGGUACCAAUUUUAGCUCGAGUUUUCCAUCUUGCUCCUCUACUCCAUACAUCCACCAGCACACAUUUGUCACCACCAUUGCAGCUCGGAAUUUCAGUAUCGACCCAACUUUUGCUACCACAAUCACCUCUCAUCCCUUGUCACCAAAAGCUAGCAUUAACACCUCUUCUCAGUCUUAUUUUCAAAUCCCUCCUACUCAGAACCAAUAUCAUUCCUACAACUCCAGUCAGUCUUAUUUAGAUCCCAACCUACCUACAAUGAAACAAAUGCGACUUGAUUUUGGGAAUUAUGGAGGAGGAGAUCCAGUGGAAUGGCUCAACAAAUGUGAGCAGUUUUUUGAGUUUUACCAAAUUCCUGAGGAGAGGAAAUUAUCAAUAGCCUCAAUGUAUUUGACUGACAAGGCCUCAGAUCGAUGGUAUAUGUUUAGACAUGAAUUCCCACCUACUUGGCAAGGUUUAGCUGAUUUGUUGAUGAGGGAAUUUAGCAGUUACAAUAGGGCUGCGUGUCAUGCAGCUUUAGCUAGAAUGAAUCAAACUGGAAGUGUUGAGCAAGUUGAGCAAUUUAUGGAACAGUUCACCAAGCUGUCCAGAAGAACACCUGGUAUAUCUCAAGAAGUUUUGGUGUAUUUUUUUAUUGGAGGUUUAAGGGAGGAUAUAAGAGCCGAUGUUCAGGCUUUUAAACCUCGAUCUCUUUAUGAAGCUUGUGAGCUGGCCAGGGUUUAUGAAACUCGAAAUUGGAACCUCAGACACGCUUCAAGGUAUAAUAUGGCACCAAGGACAGAAGGGAGUCACCCUGUUACUCAUAUUAAACCUCCAAUCAGUUCAAUGGCUAAAGUGUCAACAGGAGCUUCUUACCAAGGUAGAAAUGUUCAAGCAGUUCCCUCUAGCAACUCUAAUAUUAAAUUCAAACUUACUGAUUCUGAGUUUGAGGCUAGGAGAGCUAGGAAGCAACGCUACUUCUGCGAUUCACCUUAUGUACCUGGUCAUAACUAUCGAAAGAAAGGCCAGUUAAUGAGUUUAGAGAUUGUUCCAGAUGAAGAUGAACUCAUGAUGCUUGAUUCAAGUGAGUCACAGAGAGAAGUACCACCCAUUACAGACUUAGAUGAACCACUGAUUAGACUGCAAGUGAUGGGAGAUGAUAGUGCCACAACUGAGACCAUGCAGUUAAAGGGACGACUAGGGAAUAAGUCGGUUCAUGUUCUCAUUGACUUUGGUGCCACUCAUAACUUUAUACACCCUCAGUUGCUUAAGGGCACAAAGUUUCCAGUCCAAUAUUUCUCUCCAUUGAAUGUGAGACUAGCUAGUGGAGCUAAAAUGAAAACUCGAGGCGAGGUACAUGCUCAACUGAGUUUACAGGAUUUUAAUUUUGCAGCUGAUUUUUAUAUUUUACCUGUGACUGGCUGUGAAAUAGAGUUGGGAGCCGGGUGGUUGAAAUCUUUAGGUGAUAUCCUAUGGAAUUUUGAGACUAUGAGGAUGAAGUUCAAGGUGUCGGAACUUGAGUAUAUGCUACAGGGUAUCGUUGCACCUUCUGCAUCUGUCAUCAGCUGCAAGGCUAUGACUAGGUUAUUAAAAAAAGAGAAAGAGGCAAUGUUGGUUCAAGUUCAGUCACUGACCACCAUAGAGCCAGCCCAAAGUCCACCAAAAGACAUUCAAGUGCUCUUUGACAAAUAUGCAGCAUUGUUUGAAGUCCCUACCUCACUUCCACCAGCUAGGAAACAAGAUCACACUAUUGAACUGCUGCCAAACACCCCUCCGGUUAGUGUGAGACCAUACAGAUACCCCCAUUUUCAGAAAACUGAAAUUGAGAAAAUUGUGCAGGAGUUGUUGGAUAAUGGAGUUAUCAGGCCUAGCAAAAGCCCUUUUUCUUCUCCUGUUUUGCUUGUUAAAAAAAAAGAUGGCACAUGGAGGAUGUGUGUUGAUUAUAGAGCUCUCAAUUCUGUUACAGUUAAAGAUAAAUAUCCUAUCCCAGUUGUUGAUGAACUGCUUGAUGAAGUACAAGGUUCCACAAUCUUCACUAAGUUGGACUUGAGGUCUGGUUACCAUCAGAUUCAGAUGAGUGUUUCAGAUGUGAGCAAAACUGCUUUUAGAACUCAUAAUGGACACUAUGAGUUCUUAGUGAUGCCAUUUGGGCUAACCAAUAUAUGCUCCAUCUACUUUUCAAUCUAUUAUGAAUGAUGUGCUCAGAAAAUACUUGAGAAAAAUUUGCUUAGUAUUUUUUGAUGAUAUUUUGAUCUUCAGCCCUGAUUUGCCUUCUCAUUUGGAGCAUCUGGAAAUGAUUUUCAGACAAUUGCAGCAGCAUAAAUUAAAGGUUAAGCAAAGCAAAUGCAGCUUUGGAGUUCGCCAGGUUGAGUAUCUUGGCCAUGUUAUAAGUGCAAAGGGAGUUUCUGUGGAUCCAAAGAAAGUUGAGUGCAUCAGAACUUGGGAAAAGCCAAAGACUGUGAAAGGACUACGGGGUUUUUUGGGUCUUGCAGGGUAUUACAGGAAGUAUGUCAAAAAUUUUGGGAUCAUUGCUAAACCACUUACAGAUAUGCUGAGAAUUGGGGGCUUUCAGUGGUCACCAUUAGCUGAAAUAGCAUUUGAAGAGCUGAAGCAUGCUUUAAUGACAACUCCUGUGUUGGCCUUCCUGAUUUUACUAAACAGUUUAUAAUUGAGUGUGAUGCCUCUGGUGUGGGAAUUGGUGUUGUUUUAUCUCAAGAUGGUCAUCCUAUUGCUUUCUUAAGCAAAGCUUUAGCACCAAAGCACAUGGCACUAUUUGUGUAUGACAAGGAGAUGUUGGCAGUGGUAUUUGCAGUUCAACAUUGGAGAUCUUAUUUGCUUGGCAAUCAUUUCAAAAUAUAUACUGAUCAUAGAACCAUCCAGUAUUUUUUGGAUCAGAAGAUUACCACCCCAUCACAACAAAAAUGGAUGUUGAAAUUGGCUGGCUAUGAUUACUCUAUUCAUUACAAAGCUGGCAAAAAUAAUUCUGCCGAUGCACUUUCAAGGAUGGAGGAGUUUGGUUCUCACACUUCUAAUGUUGUUACUAAGUAUGGCUCAAUCUGUGCUCUCAGUGGUUUUUCUGCUCCAUUACAUGACUAUAUUUUGGAGAUUCAAAAAGCUUGUGAGGUUGAUACUGAAGCUGCUAGCAUUUUGCAGAAAAUGGAACAGGGAGAAGCUGUAGACCCCAAGUAUACCUUGGUGCACUCUCGGCUAUAUUACAAGAACAAAAUAUUUGUUCCCACAACUGAUGAUUGGAGAUUGAAGAUCAUUGCUGAAUUCCAUAAUGGGUACAGUGGAGGGCAUGCAGGUGUGCAUAGGACUGAAAAACGAGUGAAACUCUCCUUUGCUUGGCCGGGUAUGCAUGGUGACAUCAAGGCGUUUGUUGCAGCUUGUCAUGUGUGCCAACAGAAUCAUUAUGAAACUAUACACCCUCCAGGAUUGUUGCAGCCAAAUUCCAUUCCUGAGAAAGCUUGGAGUGAUAUUUCUAUGGAUUUCAUUGAAGGAUUGCCAUCUUCUGCUAGCAAGAUUGUCACACUGGUGGUAAUUGACAAGUUGACGAAGUAUGGUCAUUUCAUUGCUUUGUCUCAUCCUUACACUGCUUCUAUGGUGGUUCAACAAUUCAUUCAGCAUGUCUUUAAGUUACAUGGUCUACCAGAAGUGAUAAUUUCAGAUAGGGAUCUUGUUUUCAUGAGUCUUUUUUGCGAGGCAUUCUUUAAAGAGCAAGGUACUCAGCUGCACAAAAGCUCUUCUUAUCAUCCUCAAUCAGAUGGACAGACUGAGAAUUUAAAUCGUACCCUUGAGUAGUAUUUGAGGUGUGUGGUUGGUGAAACACCUCACUCUUGGACUGAAGCACUUCCUUGGGCAGAACAUUGGUAUAACACUGCAUUCCAUUCAGCUAUUGGCAUGUCUCCUUUCAAAGCAUUAUAUGGUUAUGAUCCUAAACAAGUGCAGACUUAUACUCCUGGUUCUACAGCGGUCCAAUCUGUUGAUGAACAAUUACAAUCUAGAGAUGCACUCUUAGCCCUACUGAAAAGAAAUUUGCAGGUGGCAGAGGCUAGGAUGAAACAAGUCUAUGAUAAGAAGCAUACUGAAAGGUCAUUUGCAGUAGGAGAUUGGGUGUAUUUGAAGUUACAGCCCUAUAGACAACAGUCUGUAAAAAAAAGAAGCUGCCACAAACUAUCUCCAAGGUACUAUGGCCCUUAUCAGAUUGUUGAACGCAUUGGAACUGUGGCUUAUAAAUUGAAGUUACCUGCUACUGCUCGAGUCCACCCUGUCUUUCAUGUUUCAUUGCUGAAAAAGAAGGUUGGCAACAAUGUGGUGACAGCUGCACAUUUUCCUCCAUAUAUAGAUCUUCACAACCCUAGGUGGUACCCAGCUUGUGUUUUGGAUAGAAGAAUUUUCAAAAAAGGAAACUCUCCAGUUACUAAAUGGUUGAUUCAGUGGAUUGGGGCUGCAACUGAGGAGGCCACAUGGGAGGAUGCUGAAGAAAUUCUACAUAGAUUCCCUGAUUUUCAAGCUUGAGGACAAACUUCUUCUAUAGGGGCAGGAUUGUUAUGAAAUCAGUGUUAUUUACUUUUCCAGAUCAUUUACAGUUAACUAGCUACUUACAUUAAGCUUAUGUUAAUUAAUCAACAAUUAGGGUAAUCAUGAUUUAGUCUCUACAUGAAUGGCACGUGUCUUUCAUGAUAAGGCUAUAUAUUGUACACCCUGCUUUUUUUGGGAUCAUGGAAAUAUAUCAGUAACUUUCUUCCUCUUUCUUCUUUCUUUCGUCCCUCUGUUCCUCUCUUCCUUCCCUUUACUGAUUUUAGGGGGGUAAAACCCUAACAUUCAAAUUUAUAAAGGCCAACCCAAAUCAUCAAAUUCCAAAACCUCUUCUAAUAUUUUUGGAACAUGAAAACAAAUAAAAAAAAACUAAGAAAAAAGAGAACUUAAGGGUAAAUUGGUCAUCUUAAUAGCUAUAUAUAUCAAUCUUAGGUCGGGAUGGAAACAUGAGAUACCGUUAUGAUAUUUUCAAAACUUGAUAUACCAAAGUUUAUAAGGAACAAAAGUUCGUAUAUCAUUCGGACGAAUUUCUCUAAAUUAAUACGAGUGUGUAUUAAGAGAUUAGAGGUGUGUAUUUAAAAUUACUCAUAUAUAUAUAUAUAUAUAUAAUUCGUCCAAAAUAAAGUAUAUAUAUACGUAAUCAUCCAAAAAGAAAUUCGAUAGAGAGUUUUUUUUUUUUUUAAAUUCAAUACAGAAUAUGGCUUAUAUAUAGAUAUCAUAAUAAACUGCAAAAAUAAAAUAUUAAAAUGGAACUAAAUUUCGAUUCACAAAUAUAGAAGGAAAUUUUAAUAAAUUUACGAAAUUGAUUUAUGAUAUAAAAGCCUAAUUUGGUAUGAUUAUUAACUUGGUCAUUAUUAUUAAUAAAUUAAUUACAUUUGGUAUAUACGCAUCCAUAUUAAAAGGGUAAAAAAAUAUUUCAUAUUAAUAUGUAGCAUCUAUUAAUUAUUAAGGUUAAAAUUGUAUUUUUACCUAAGAAUGAAAUGAUAUGAUUUAUUAAAUUGAUGAUGUGUCUAUCUGACAUGACAUGCCACAUAGGAUUAAAACUAUAAAUCUUAGACCUUGUUAAGGGCUUCUAGCACUACCCACAAUUUAAAUAUAAAAGCCUUUAGGACACCCGGAAUCAAUAUAAGAGCAUGAGAAGCCUCAUUAGGAAUCAUGUUUACCCAAAUAUUACCGUUAGACAAAGAGUGACCUAAGUGCUAUAUUGUUUUUCUACGAGGUUGAAAACGGUAAACUAUAUGUAGAUGGGAUUAUGAAGACUCAAGACUCAAGAGUUUGAGAAUUACGUGAUAAUGUCUGGUCUUGUCUAAUCGAUCAGUUUUGUUGCCAAGUUAUUGUAAUACCUCGGAAAUUUGAUAUUAGUUUCUAAUAUUAUUUGGGAGUUUUCGAGUUAGAAGUAAGUGUGUUUUUGAGGUUCGAAGAAAGAGCGGAAGUGUUCGGACGCGUAAAUUUCCUGAAAGGGUUCUUUUUGUUUCUUUAAGGGUCAUAGAGUUGACUUUUUAUUCGUUGGGUUUCUCGAGAAACUUCCUUCACGAAAGUUGUAGAGCUUGGCGAUACGAGUUUGUAGACAUGCGGCACGCGUAAAACGGACUUUGUAAGAAGAAGUUUUGGCAGCGAAAGUUUUGUGGUUUUCGGGAUUAUUAGUAUAAUAGGAAAAGUUGGGGGNNNNNNNNNNNNNNNNNNNNCCUCUCUCUCUCUCUCUCUCUCUCUCUCUCUCUCUCUCUCUCUCUCUCUCUCUCUCCAUUUUCACCUCAAACUUCUUCCGGCCAUAACUCGGCCAUCCGGCGACUGAUUUGGGCGUGUUUGGUAUCGUUGGAAAGCUCUCACUCCCCUCUAUCUAUUCAUACCAGCCUCACACCCUAUGGAGCACUGUGAAUGGCGCAGCAAGGCCCGCAAGUUGCUGCUGCCACCGGCGGUGAAGCUCCGACCGAACUCCGGCGACAUCGAGGUUUGAGGCUACCCAUUUCUAGAAGUUCUUGUCCUUCUGAGCAUGAUGAUACCAGCCUUGAAGCCUAAUUCGAAGCGUGGAGCUUUGAAGUUCGAAAUGCUCCUUGUUUCUUUCCAGCGACGUUUCCGGCCAAAUUGGCUUUGGCCACAGGUAUGAAAAGUGUUCCUUUUGGUGUGACCUACAAGUUUGCUGUUGGGAGCUUGCUUAGAUUUUGAAGUUGAUGGGGUGGCGCGUGGCAGCGCGUCCGGCAGGGUUCCUAGCUCUACGUUUCGGUGGUUAGCUAGCUCUUGCUAUUAUGAGCUUGUCGAGAUGUGGAAAUUCUAGGUUUGGUGUAUGGUUUGCAUGUUAGGACAUUAAGUUUAAUUUUAGGCUUGUGUGAGGUUUGAGUUUAGGUUUUGAGGAUUAGAGGCAGCUAUAUUGAGUCGUUAAUUAUGACGACCUUGGAAAGUUGUCCUCUCGUGGGUUAAGGUUUGUUAAGGGUGCAAUAUUCUCUUUAGUUGUUUGGUUACUAAGGUUAGGAUUUGUGUUGUUUAGGUAGCUUGUGGAGUUGUUUUUUAGCUUGGUUCUUGAGUUCUUUUGUGAAGAUGCAGCGGGAUUUUUAAGUGAGUAACAUCUCACUAAGGUUCACUUUGUGACCUAUUUAUUUAUGGUUAUUGUGUUGAUAAUGAUGAUUAUGAUUGGUGAAAAUGUUGAUGAUGAUGAGGAUGAUUAUUGUUGAUGAUAUGAUAAUUAUUGUGUUGAUGAUGAUGAUAAUUAUUAUUGAUGAUUGAUUUUUGAUAAUGAAUUUAAUGAUGAGGAUGAUGAUGAUGAUAAUGAUUAUGAUGAUAAUAAUUAUUAUGAUUAUUGAUUUUUGAUAAUGAUUUUGAUGAUGAUUAUAAUGAUUUUAAUUUAAAAUAUUUCAUUUCUUUUGGUUGUUUUAAAAUAAAUGAGCUUGAUCGCCAACGGCUCAUAGGUAAGAUAAAACAAGUUUUCCAAGUAUAUGAUUAUUUUUAAGGUUCAUAAGAUUAUAGUAUUUUUGGUUGUUGAUAAGUUAUUCUUGUGGGAAUAACCAUAUCUUGUGCAUAUAAAUAUAUCUAUGUGGAAAGAUAUAAUUUUUAUGAUGUGCUUUUUAUGUUGUUGAUGAUGUUGAAUUAAAGAAUAUGUUAUUGUUUGUUUUUAAAAAUAAAUGAGCUUGAUCGCCAACUGCUCAUAGGUGAGAUAAAACAAGUAGAUAGUCAAACUGGGUUCCAAACCUUUAAUCGGGUGAUUGGUUGCGGUUAUGAUGAUUCUACUCUUUUUGAGAAUUGUGGUGUAGAUAGUCAAACUGGGUUCUAAGCCUUUAGUCGGGUGAUUGGUUACGGUUAUGACGCUAUUAUUAUUAUUUUGUGAUGUGAUAUUGGACAGUCAAACUGGGUUCCAAGCCUUUGGCCGAGUGAUUGGUUACGGUUAGGAAUAGAGCUCUAGUCCGUCUGUCGGUGUAGGUCAUGGGAGAUACCUUAUGGUAUCUGGGACCCAUGGGUGCACAAAUUGUUGUUGUAGGUCAUGAGAGGUAUUUUUUUAAUAUCUGGGACUCAUAGGUACAAGUUAUUUGUGAAAGUGUUGAAAAUGUUGUUUUAACUUUGUUCUUAAUUGUUGUCAUUGAACUUGUUUUGAGUAUCUCCUGAACUAUGCUUAAUGCAGGAGAUUCUUCCAUUUUUAUUGUGUGAAUUUUGAGUGGAAUUUCCUGAACUAUCUUUAUUUGCAGGAUUCUCUUAUGAUUGAUUGUUUUGUGAAUUGUUAUGUUUUCUUAAUUACUUUCUUUGAAUUUUUUAUUGUUGAGGAAAUUCCUGAACUAAGUUUUAAGCAGGAAUUUCCGGUUUUAUUUUUGUGUAUGUUGGGUUGAGAUAUAUUUUGAGAGUUACUCAUACGGGCUUUUUAGCUUACCGGGUUUGUUGUUUACAACCUGGUGCACCUAUUUUUGGUGUAGGGAUUAGACCUGCAGGUGAUAAUCAGCAGGGUUGAGGCGGUGACUUAGGAGCUGGGUUUUAGACAAUGUGCAAUUUUUGUAUAUUUUGUUAAUUUGUCUAUAAGCUCAUGUGAGCGACGUUAUUAUUACUAGACUUUUGAAGUUUAUGUAAUUAAGGAGAUAUAAUGUUUUAACUCAAUUGUUGAGUUUGUUGACAUUUACAUUUCCAGUAUUUGUUUUUAGUUUGUUAGUUGUUGAGCAGGUUUUGGGAUAUUAAGAUAUUAAGUUAUAUGAUGCCCAAAUUUUUGAAAAUUUAUCCUUCGAAAAUUGGGGUGUGACAGUUAUAUUCAUUAGCCUCUUAACGUAUGCUACGCGUACGUCAAUUUGCUUUUCGAAAUUUUCUCUUAUAAUUUUUAUUAUUAUUUUACUAUUGCAGUUUUUUUUAUGUCAAUUACCAAUUUAACCUUUGCAGAUAAUAUUUCUUUCACACUAUUUUGUCUCUAGCAUGGGCAGUUUAGAGAGUUCAAUUUGUUGAUAAGCUUUGACACCAGAACUUACACCUCCCAUUAUAGGAGUUGAGAUAGCCUAACUGCUUGCUACUGUUACAUCCAUUUUUGUAUAUCGAAGGCAGUAUGCCGGCGCGCUGCAGCGAGGACUUUUGACACCGUUUUUUUUCAGUGUUACGUAUCACUUUUCUUUCUUUCGAGAACAUGGUUGCAUAUCACUAAGAUGAUUAAAGAACCUCACAAGAAUAAUUGUUCAAAUAUUGAAUAAACUAUCACAGUCAAUAUGAAAGAAAUGGUUUUUCAGUAUCCAACAUUCCAAACUGUCACACUUUUAUUGACAUCAAACAGGGUAACCAUCAUUUUGGUAAUGGUGUAAGACUCCUGUUGUAUGGUACAUAAGUUUCUUGUUUCUUCAAUUUCCGUAUCUUCAAAGAAUCAAAGAAGUUUUUUCUUCUCAUCGUUAUGUAUAUAGGAUCCCUCCAUCAUUUCUUUAGCCAAGCUCUUACAAUCCUUCUGCACAUUCAUCUUCAAAAGGUUGCAAAUCUGUUGCUGCUUCAGAACUGAAAUCUUCAUGGCAAGUCUUGUUUAUCUCCUGAUGUUCCUUGAUACGCCAAAUUUUCAAAGAAACUCCUUAUGCUCAUUCUUUGAUCAAAUUGCUGUUAUAUAUUUGCAUAUUGAGCUUCUAAAAUUUGAGAACCUGUGACUACUUCAGUUUUGAGCUCCUCAUGGUGAGAAGUUCAGAAAUAUGCUGAAUCUUAUUUGAUCCAAGAUAGUUUCAAGUAUUACUGCACAAUAUCAGGAAAGCUUUGAUUUUGUAUAAAACUAAGAACUAUAGUUCUAAUUUUAACCAAAUCCACAAUAUAUGAGUUUCAAUACUAAACCAUUCUACAACAUGGAAACCUUCGAUUGAACAACAAAAAGGUAGUGAGUAAUAUCUUACUGUUGGCUUGGCUCUUAUGUUAAUGAGUGGAAACCGCCAAGUUCCAGCACCUCCACCCAAGAUAGAAACAACUUUCUUUGAAUCAGUUUUUGGAGUCUCAAAUAAUGAUGCUUGAAAAGUCUGAAAUCAAAACGAACAAAAAACGCACAUAGGGAAUCUUAAAAUUUAUUCAUACUAUAAAAUCCAAGGACUAUGAUGCUCACUGAGCUCAAAUAUUAACACUCAAAACCAUGGAUCAAGUUUACCAUAAUACCUUAGCACACAUCAGGAGCGGUAAGACAGUGUGCCACACCAGGCUUCAUCUAUUUACUUUUCUAGUAAUGAAGCUCAGUUGUUCCACUGGAUUCGCUCUUCAAAUAUGUGAAUGGACACUUUAUGUUCUGUCAUGUAAUUUAGAACCAAAAAAUUAAAGAAAGGACAUGAUGAUGUCCACGAUGAUGUCCACAAGUGAGUCCCAAAGAUUUAGAAAUCAAUGUUCAGAGGAAUAUGAAAAUUAUGAAAUAAUACAAAGACCAUAAAUCUUUUAUCUAGCAUUAAUUAUCCAAUCUUUUUUUAUCCCAUUUGACAAACUCAGUAAGUAUUGAACUUCAAUAUAUUAAGUUAUUAACCACAUAACUAACAAACAUUCUUCUUCUUCAAUCAAAAACAAAAGAACACAAACCUUUUUCUUUAGCAAAGGCAACUAAAAUAGAAAUAAGUCCUUUAUUUCUUUUGCAAAGUAUUCAUUUAAUCACAAUAAAUUGAAGAGCAAAGCAGACUAAAAUGGAUUCAUUUAACAAAUCGUAAAAUGGAUUCAUUUAACAAACCGUAAAAUGGAUUCGUUCUGUACAACAUGUAGACCUAGAAUAGCAUUCUUCUUUAUCUCUUGUUCUAGCAAACAAAAAGGCAAUGCUUCUAAGCUAAUCAACAUGUUUUCCUCUUCCUAUUCUCUUUACUGUUCCACUUAUUUUUAUGAUUUUGUCCUAAGCUAAUUCACCAAGAUAAUCCUUUCUUCCUUUCUAUGCUUCACCAGUAGUGUCGGUAAUCGGGGAUUUCAUGACAAACCCAAUAUGAGAAUAAGAAAAUUGCAAAUGCUGGGAUGAUCAAAACCAACUGAAGUAUGAAAAAGUUAAAAACGAAAUUAAAGGCCUAACAUGUAAAGCUCUCCAUCACCUUUACCACUAACAUGUGUUCUUCUAGCUCUUUGUGAGUUGUGAGCAAACCAAUUGAGACCCAAAAUGAUAUACAGAAAGAAGGAAGAGAUAGGAACGAAAGAAGUUCCAAGUCGGUGGAGUUCUAGGAUCCAAACACGUGAAGACCAUAGGUUGGGUGGAGCUAUGGGUUUGAAACACGCCAAGAUCAUUCAUGCAAAAGCAAUGAAAAAAAAAAAAGAAAUCGCAGCCCAGAUCGCAAAUCAAAAGCAAGGAAUCAAAAACAAAUGCAGAAGUAAAAAUCGGGAAAUCAAUUUGGAGAUUAAGAUAAAAGAAGAUUACCCAAAAUUUUUAGGUCUCCGACGAAGUAGAUCGCAAUCCAAAUCGCUUGAGAAGGCAAUCUAGAUCACUCUGAUAGAGAAGGAAGCGGUCGAGAGGGAGAGGAAAGAAGGGCUAGCGUCGAAUGGCAAAGUCGUGAAUAAAAGAGAAAUAGGGACGAAAUUUUAUCAGAAUUUUUAAGUCUUGUGAUUGGUCGUUCCUUUUUUUUUUUUUAAGCCAAAUUGCUACCCUAGCUUUCAUCUUUCUGUCAAUUUACUACCUUAGCUUUCAUUUCAACCAAUUUGCUACCCUAGGUUUUCAUAAUUAGCCAAUUUGCUACCCUAGGUAUUAUUUAUGCCGAUUUGCUACCUUUUUGUCAUUUUAAUUUAUUUAUGCCGAUUUCUUCAUCUAAACAUGAAUUAAUUCUGAAAAUCAAAGCUUAAAGUUGAUCGAUAUUGAAAUUUCGAUAAGUAAAUUGGUUAAUCUUGAAACUCUAAGAUAGCAAAUUUGAUGGAAUGGUAGCAAAUUGGCCGAAAUAAAACCUAGGGUAACAAAUUGGCUAAUUUAGAAAAACUAGGGUAACAAAUUGAUUGAAAUGGAAGCUAGGGUAGCAAAUUGACACCAAUAUAAACCCUAGGGUAACAAGGACAUAUUAGUCACUCUUUCACGAUGCGGCAAUCUAUCAUAAUAAUGAAAACAGUUUUGAUACUUCAAAUAUAAAUAGAUGAUGUUGAAAGGAAUAUUUCGACAGUUUUAGGGUAAAAGAUGUUGAAAGGAAUACUUUUAACACAAUUUAAAAAAAAAAAAAAAAAAAUAGAUGUCUGUUUUGGUCAUUUAGCUUACCUAUAAAAUCUCAAUAGAAACAUAAAAUAAUAAGGGUGUGUAUUAAGAGAUUAGAGGUGUGUAUUUAAAAUUUCUCUUUUGUGUGGUAUUCAAAAGAUGGGCUUAGUUGACUCCUUCGUGUAGCCGUCCGCAUAUAUAACAAUAACAAUGGUGUAGAGAAUUGUCAUAAAAUAAGUUGCAUCAUAUUAGUUAGUUUUUGUAAUCCUCCUCUUUGUGUUACUCAUCAUCUUCAUUCUUUUAGAUUUCCCGUGGGAUCAUCAUUCUUUUAGUUUUUGUGUUCAUUAUAAUACAAAAAGAUAAAAGAAGGGUAUGGAAUAUAUCUUGAUCAACUGAGUGGAUCUACCGAUAAUUCUAUUCAGUUGCUCUCAUGACAUCUGUCCACUUGCGCUCUGGUUUUAUUGCCUUUAUUGGCAUAAUAAUAUGAAUAUACUAGGAAAGAAAAGAAAAGCUUCGAAACCAUCUUUUAAAAAUUUUAAAAUUUUUUUUUAUUUAUUUUAUGAAUGCUUCAAAUUUGCUUCCCCAUUAAACUUUGUUAUCCAGUUCCUUUCUGAACUAAUUUAUUACUUGAUAUUUUUAAAGAAUGAUAUUGUUCGAUCUGUUUUUACUUUGGUUUGAGUGGGCGGAAAGAAGAUUACGUUCAUGCUUAUAUAUUUAUGAAUCAGAACAUUUCAGUGUGCAUUCUCUCUUCUAAAAUAAACACGUACACUUGUUUCUGGUUGUUUAAUUUGACAGACAAAUCCAAAGUUCCAAACAGUUGUGUAUGUGUGUCGGCGAUCGAUGCAUAUAAGAAUUAUAGCGAACGAGACAUGAUCGAGCCACUACAAUCACAUCGAUCACAGCUAGUGGUGGUGACCACAGUACUAAGAACACUAUUUCUUCAAAAACAAAAAGAAUUGCAGCUUUCAUGAAAAGAGAGACAUUGUAAGAUAUUUCUAAAGCAUAUAUAAUAUAUAUCUCACCCUUUAAUUUGGUGACAUCGAUCUCUUCUACCAGUUCUACGUACAAGUUAGAAUGACCUUACUGGACUCCUCUAUAUAUAUGAAGGUUUCUGUAUGUGAGAAUGAAGUUCCGCGUCAGCCAAUUUGACAGUUCGAUCAAGUUUUUGUCGGAAUAAAUUAUCACUUCUGGAGAGACUUCUAGUUGAACUAUAUACUGUCUUUAGUUUUUCAUGUUUUGGUAAUUCUGUGAGCAAAUUUCCAUGGAAUCACUGCGUAACAGCAAUGCAGCUGAAUUUGAGGUUGAGACAGCAGAUAGGAAAAAGAGUGAUAUGUUUUAAUCGAUCAGAUAGAGUUCAAUUUUUUGAAAUUGAAGUAAAUUCACACACAUUCCUCCUAUAGAGGAACUGAAUUCGUAUGAAUAUUUUUGUAUUAUUAUCAUGAUCGAUUAUAUAUUUCUCGUAUAUAAUUAAGGAAAAUACUUGCGUCCGGACUAAUAUAUACGUGUGUGUGCAGACUCUCUCUUAUUCACAUACAUUUGCCAAUAUAAAUCAUAAUCUUAACCGUUUAAAAGUUGAAUUAACCAAUAAAGAUCACCUCUGUAAAAAAUCAACGUAAACAAAAAUUUGUUUUCUCAGCCGAAUGAAUUUGGACGCACACGUUCAUACUAGUCCGGACGCAAGUAUUCCUACAAUUAGUUGUCUUUGAGUUGAAUUUAGGACUAUCUACACGAUAAAAAAUUACGCCAAUGUCUAAAAUUUAAACAAAGAAACCAAGUCCAGCCAAGUGACCGGAAAAUGUGUUGUUCUCCGUUUGUAAGAAAUCAUGCAGUUUUAUUUUCUUUUUGUUGCUAAUUGCUUCUUCUUUUUUCUAGUAAUAAUGGUUGUGUAACCAAUUAUUUCAUUCUGAUCUAUAACUUUGUCGUAAGUUAGGAUAAUAUAACAGUGUGCUCCUCUCGAUCAUAAUUAUAUAUAUAUAUAUACGGAUUUUCUCAGCUGCGGACGUCCGCACCAAUUUUUUUGUGUGGAUUUCCAUUUUUGCACCACUUUUCGAUUGAAUUUCCUCAUCUCUACCGUGUAGUAUCUAGAUAAUAUUGUGUAGAUCAUCUCUGCAAAAUUUCAGCCAAUUUGAUGAUCGUUAAGGCCCUCAAACUCGAAAAACAAAUGGACGAACUGAAUUAUGUCCGGUUGUGUUCAUACCAGAAAAACUCGAGUUUGAGGGUGUUAAACGAUCACCAAAUUGGCUGAAAUUUUGCAAAGAUGAUCUACACAAUAUUAUCUAGAUACUAGAUGGUGGAGAUGAGGAAAUUCGAUCGGAAAGUGGUGCAAAAAUAGAAAUCCGCACCAAAACCGUUGGUGCGGACGUCUGCAGCCGAGAAGGGUUGUAUAUAUAUAUAUAUAUAUAUAUAUAUAUAGCAUGCUCACAUUGAAAAUCCCAUUAUGAUGAACAACUUGAAAUGCAUUGCAUAUAUCACAAAUGAGAUGAGUGGAAAACAAAAUUCUAACUUUUCCACUAUGAAAAGUUCUCCAACCAAAUUAAUGUAUGUACAUUCAAAUCUUUCUCCCCCUCCGGACUCCAUAAGAUCGACAAGAGUACGUAGUGUUGGUUCUGUAGGGUUCCUUUUGACGCAUCUUUUGCUGCUUCUCCACCGGAAAAUCUCAUGGCCGUCCAUUUGUUCGCAAGAACAAUUCCCUGAUGGCUACAAUGGAGAUUAAACCCUAAAGGAUUCGGUUAGUGAAUCAAAAGAACUAGAUCGAAGAAGGCAAUAAGAAGGGGGUGCCGGCCUUAGCUUCAUGCAUCUGGUUAGCAAGCUAAUUUCAGUUCCCCUGUCACGUACAUAUCAGCAUGCAUUGAGAUUUUGUGACCAGCAGCUGGCUGCUCCUUGAUUGAGUUUUCAUGAUGAAAUCUCCCCACGCACGUGCAUAAAUAAGUAGUGAAACAUCUAUACUGCUGUAUACUGUUGUUUACAGUAAUCAGCAUGAACCAUAUAUGAUGUCGAUCCAGAAAAAGGAACCGAUCGAGCACAUAAAACAUAACACACUAAAACAUAGGAGGAAAUGAGAAAAGCACCAUGCUCGUCGAUCUUAUCCAUUCGUCACCUCUCUGUCUCUGGGUUUCUGAUGAAACAUAUGAGGAAUUCUUCUAUGGGACACUCGCGCAACGUUGUGCUCUUACGACCAACCAUUCGAAAGCUGACACGUAUUAUUUGUUUCUACGUCAGCAUUCUUUCUUUUUUUUUGUCACACAACAGUAUAUAUUAUUUAGGGAAAAUGCCCAUUUAGUAUUAAUUUAAACCUCACAUUUUUCAUUCCAAUGACAAUCUUUUUCAUUAGCCUAUUUCAAUAUAAGGUAACCUUUUUUAUGCCCAAAUGCGUAAAUCUUUAUGCCCAAAUGCACAAAUCUUUACUAAAAUCUUUAUAAACCAUAUUAUUUUAAGAUUAUUUUACCCUCACCCUUUAAACAUGCAUAGAGAGAGAAAGUGGAAGAGAGAGAAUAAUUGGCCGGAACCUCACUGAACUCCGGUCACCAGCCGUCGGACUCUGGACAACGGCCGCCGGACUCUGGUCACCGGAUUUUGAUUGCCGGAUUUCCUCGGUCGCCGGAUUUCGGUCAUCGGUAACUCGGUUACUGACCCCCAGUAACUCAAUUUUUCUCCGGUCGCCGGAUUCUGGUCACCGAUAACUCGGUUACUGACCCCCAGUAACUCAAUAACCAAUAACUUGGUUACUGACCCCCAAUAAUCAGUUACUGACCCCAAUAAUUUAGUUACUGACUCCCAGUAAUCAGUUACUGACCCCUAAUAAUCAACUUAUUUCAGCUUAAUGUAAUAGAAAAAAAGAUUUACCAGAAAAUAAUCGAAUUACUGACCUUAAUAAUCGAGUUAUUGAUCUCAAUAACCUUUAGUUUUCAGUUACUGACACCUAAUAAUCACCUAAUUUUCAGUUACUAACACCCAAUAAUCACUUAGUGACCCUCAGUAAUCCCUAAUAAUUAGUUACCGACCCCUCAUAAUCAAUUAUUGAUCUAUUGAAGAAUAACAGCGCUUUGUAUCCUCAUAGUGCCUAACAGCGUGUUGGCCUCAUAGUGCUUUGUAUCCUGAACACUGUACCGAUCUUCCAUCACAUCGUUUCGUUCCUAAUCCAAUUGAACACACACUAAGUUUGUCUAUCUACUCCAUUGUGAAGAAAACACAGCCACAUAUAUCAAUAAAACCCUAAUUUCAAACACGCAUUCAUCUAGCUUAAUUUCAAUUCCAAAACUCCAAAAGGUUCAGAUUCUCUGAUUGAAACAAAGAAAACGCUACCUGAUGAAUACGAGUUCGGCGACAUGGUCGAGGCGGGACUCGCAGAAGUAGAUAAAGUCGUUGAACGACAGGUAGUUCGGGACGGCGACGAUGAAGAGGAGAGAGGACUCGGCGCCGUGGCUUGGCAGCGACAAGGAGCUUCCUCUUCUUCUUCGGAACAAAUGCACGAUUCCUCGCCGCUCACUGAACCUAGAGUUUGAUUGCGCGGCGGCGGAGAUGGUGGUGAACUCGGCGUCUUCGAGGCUGAUAGGGUGGUUGGUGUCCACUGAGUGGAUUCAGAGGAAGAACAUUGUGACUCGCUAAGUCGACUCAACCGGAGAAGGGAGAGAGAGAGAGAGAGAGAGAGAGAGAGAGAGAGAGAGAGAGAGAGAGAGAGAGAGAGAGAGAGAGAGAGAGAGAGAGCACUCUAAAAAAAAGUUACAAUGACAGUAAAUUUAUGACGUUUGUCCGAAAACGUCAUUGUAUACUUUUUCUAUGAUGUUUUCAGAACCAAACGUUAUGAAUCUAAAAUUGACCUGAAAUUUAUGACGUUUAACAAACGUCAUUGUAUGACUUGCUAUUUGAUGACGUUUUUCAACUGUCAUCAUUUUUAUGACUACUUUUAAAUGUCAUGAAUAAUUUUUCCAUGACCUUUGAUAAAUAUCGUGAAUGAAAAACGUCAUACAUAAUAUUUCAACGAUGUUUAUCAAACGUCGUGAUUGGAAUGUGCCAUGACAUUUUAAAAACGUCAUAAAAUUUUUGACCUAGCCCGUAAAGUCUAAUAAAAUCAUGGUAUAUGAAUGAAAAAAGACCUAGCCCUUCACUCAAUUUUCACUUUUUCUCUCCCAGCAACCGCACACUAUUUCUCUUCUUGUCCUCACCCUCUCGAACUCUCGCCCAAAUACUGCAAAUCCUACCACCUCCGCUCUGAACUCAAUGUCACCGGAGUAGUGCACCACCAGCGCCAUCGACCACCUCACAGUGCUGCCGACCUCAGUUUCUCCUUCGUCGAUUCUUCAAUUUCAUGGAGGAGGUGAGUGAGGCUGAGAAGGCCGAACCUUGGUUCGACUCCGGUCUCACCUACGCCUCAACUUCUUCAGUGCAGGUAUUUUUCAAUCUCCCAAAUCCCUUUCGCUGGUCUAGGGUUGGAGAAUUGAAGAUAAGAUUUGGGUGAAUCAUUUUGAAGAUUAGAUUAGGCUUGUUAAAGUUUUAAUUAAGCUUAUUUUGGUUGAUUUAACAUCUAUAGCUGCUAGCUUCACGUACUUUGGAAACCUAGAGGCCACCUAACUCAAAGUCUUAUCUCUUCCUCCGUUUGCCUUCCCUUUCUUUUUUUUUUUUUUUUUUUUUCUUUCUUUCAUUGUUCUAUAGUUUGUUCCCGAUCGAGAUACUUACAUGGGAAGGGUACUACUUAGUUCUUUUGGGUAUUUACUUUAAGAUUGGAAAUUGAAGUGAAAACACGGAGAAGAACUAGGCUUGUUUCCGAUUUGAGCUUUAAGAAGCUCGGAUAUUAAAUAAGGGUGAGGUUUCCAGGUUUAUGCUUUUUUUACUGCAUCAAUUUUCUUACUUUGAUAAUAUCCUUAUUGAUUAUUACUUUGGAGUAUUGGUCAAAAUUUCUAGUAGUGUAUAUAACUAUAUAUGAUAUGUUUUUGGUCAAUUCAGUGGUAUAUGAAUUAUAAAUUUGAUCGGUUUAUACCUUUAUGGUUUGUCAAUUAGUUUGGUUCAAGAUUUGAGAAUCAUCUUUUUGUGUUUAUGUUCGAGUGUUAGGAAUUCAAGAGGGGCAUGAAAGAUUUGAUUGGCUUCUGCAUCAGCGGGGAACUCUGGUUUCCCUAGUACUGCAUGCAAUGUUGCUCCCUGGAUCCUCACUGUUGCUGCAAGCACUUUGGAUAGAGAAUUCCAUUCAAACGUACGUAUGCUGGUAUGGUUCUACUUAAUUUGAUCAAUUACUCAAACGCAAUGCUAUGUAAGUCUUCAUUUCAUUGUUUUGAGUUUAGUAGUUUUGGUGAAGUCUCUAUUGGCCAUAAGAAUCAGUGAAGUACUGGAUUGGGAGAGCAAAGAGAGAAUCUAUCCAGCUGCGGUGUUGUUCAAAAGGGAGCAGCUGCAACUCGGUCAUGAUCGGAUCAUAAGGUUAGUUUGAAAACUUUAGGUGUUGGGUUGUGAAAUUAGUUUCUAGAGAUUAGUAGGCAUGUUGCCUUCUACUGUGAUUUGAUCUUCGAUUUGUUUACAAACAGAAAAGUUGAGUAAUUGGAUGGACAACUAAGGAUUUGGUGAUUCUGUUUAAGGAAGGGAAGCCAUCUGGUCCUUGUGCCACACUCGUCAAUUGCUAGAAGGGGUGCAGACUUGGCUCAUAAUUGAUUCAUGCAUUAUGAUCAGAGGUAUAAUUUCUUGUCCUUGAUUAUGGGAGUGUGUUUGGAAUUUGCGGUCUUGUUUCUUUGUAAGUUUUUUUUUUUUUUUUGGGUUUCUUAUUUUGGGUCUUUUUGAUGCAGCAAAACUGAUAUAAAGACCUUGAAAGUGAGGCUUGAGGGGAUUAAGAAGAAGAGGAACUCUGUGCUCAAGUAUUUGAAGAAUGUUGUUGUUGAUCUUCUCAAGAAUGGCCUUGACAUUAAUGCAUAUGGAAGGGUAAGUUUUAUUGUUCAUUAGCUUUUUUGCCCAAAAAAGAUUUGAUCUUUAUCUUGUUUUUUGAUUACUACACAUCCAUGAAUGUAUUACCUUUUGUUCAUGAUUCUUUGUUCGGUGUAUUUGUUUCUUAGUUGCUCAUGAGUCAUUGAUUAUGUAUGAAUUGGUAACAUAUGUGUAUUGGGCAUGUUAUCCAAUUUGUGGCUUCAUAAAAAGGGUUUGCUUUACCAGUUGAUGAUUCCAACUUCUUGUAGUGGUAAACGUUAGAUAGAUGGAGAUGUCAGGUCAUGAGUAUUUGUGUUGGCACAUAGAUGAAAUUAUGUUCUUUACUGUCUUUUGUACAUGUCUUUUUUUGUAUUUUUGGAUGAUAAUGUUUUUAUAUUUGUUCACUAAUUUCAUAAUACAUGUUUUCAUGCAUUGAUGGUUAUUCAAUUUCACUAUAAAAAAUAUAAAAGGAUUAAAAUUUGAUUGAUAACUAACUUUAUAUUUUUGAGAUACUGGAAUAUGCUCCUUCUUAACCCUGCAAAAGCUAAAUUCACCUGUCUUUCUAAAGAUGGUUGAGGUACUUAUAUAUAUCAGCUUCUUAUGUUUCCCCUUGGCUUGUAUGUGUGGAAUUUGGUUUUGUUCUAUUUGAUGGUUACCUACCUAUGUCUAGAUGGGAUGUAAUAAGCAUUUUAGGGGCGGUUCCUUUUUGGUUUUUUUUAUGGAGACCCCCUAUGAGUUAUUAUCAUUUAUCUUCUGUUAGUUGUUUUUAUGUUGCAACUGCCUAAAACCGUUGCUUAAAGGGAGGAUUGAGAAAACAGAGAUUAUUGAGAAAAAUAAAUUUUAGAUUUCAAACAUGCAGUGUGGCUUAUUCCUUGGCUAAUAUUUACUACUGGGUAUUGUUUGAGUUUUGAAUUUAAGUUUAGAUAUUUUAUCAUUUCACCCUAUUACAUGAAGAUUCAUAUACUAGUAUUGCUCAUGUCUAUUACUUUCUGCUGUAACUUUGAGAACAUUAUUGAUUUUAGAAUACCCUUUAUAUGCAGGAAAACAAGGCAAGCAGCAGCUGCAGUAGCACUUUAAGCUGGUUUCUUUUGUGUUCUUUGUACUUGUUUUGUGUUAAGUGCAUAUUAAAUUUUUGCUAUAUUGUUAUUUUCAUUUUGUAAUGUAACUUGGAUACUCACUUUAAGCUGGUUUCUUUUGUGUUCUUUGUACUUGUUUUGUGUUAAGUGCAUAUUAAAUUUUUGCUGCAUUGUUAUUUUUCGUUUUGUAAUGUAACUUAGAUACUCACUUUGAUGUGUAGAACUAAGGGUAGAUAUCUUAAUGAAACUAGUAGUAUAUUGUCUCCAUUGUGAUGUGAAAACAAAGAGAUAUUUGAUUUCUGAAUUUAAUUAGAAAUCAAAUAUUAUUUUUUUAAAUAUGGAAAACUAUUAAUGACGUUUGGAAAUUGUCAUGAAAGAUGUUCAACGACGGUUGAAAAACGUUAUGAAUGAUUUUUUAUGACAUUUAAAAAAUGUCAUAGAAGAAUGUUUCAUGACAUUUAGGAACCGUCAUUGAAAUAGAUUCAAUAACGCUUAUCAAACGUCAUUAAAUAUAUUUCACGACGUUUUACAAACGUCAUUAAAAGAAUGGGGAAACCAUCACUACGGUUAAGACGGCGAAGUAGAUGACGUUUGAUAAAUGUCAUGAAACCCUUAUAAUGACGUUUAGAUGGAAACUUUUUCUGUACUAGUGGAGAGAGAGAGAGAGAGAGAGAGAGAGAGAGAGAGAGAGAGNNNNNNNNNNNNNNNNNNNNNNNNNNNNNNNNNNNNNNNNNNNNNNNNNNNNNNNNNNNNNNNNNNNNNNNNNNNNNNNNNNNNNNNNNNNNNNNNNNNNNNNNNNNNNNNNNNNNNNNNNNNNNNNNNNNNNNNNNNNNNNNGAGAGAGAGAGAGACGAGGAAAACCAGAUUGGGAAUAAGAGGAGGAGAAAGAGAUAAGAUUUGUGUGGUUUAGUUACACAGGGUAAUAACGUCUUUUUCUUAAGAAUGUUUGGAAUGGGCACAAGAAGAAGACUUUAAUUGGAAUAGGCUUUAGUUUUCAAAUAUUUGGACAUUAGGGCAUUUUCCCUAUUAUUUAUGCGACGAAGAAAGAGGAAGAAUGUUGAGGUGGAAAAAAAGCCUAGGUUUGUAGCAUGUAUUUUAAUUUUAAUUCAUUUAAUUAAUUAGAAUAAGUGGAUCUUAAAAAUAACAGAAUUUAGUAGGUUGAACAUAUGGUGCAUUACACGAGUUUUUUCUUACAAUUGAGCACUUUACAUGAUGAGAGAUUGAAAAAGAGCCUCUAUCCUAAGGUCUUUUUCUCACAUUUAACCAUGUGUUCUUUAUCCAAUACUAUUGAUUUAUAGCAACUGCAUGCCCAUUAAGAGUGCUCAUUUGAAAGCCCUACCACUAACCAAAUAAAAACGACUAGACAUUGCUACUUACACUAUCCAAGCAAAGCAAGGAAAAAUAUCUCGUUAAUUACAAUAUAGUUCUCUCAAACAAUAUCUGUUUGAACAAAUAGGGGAACUUAAUUCAUCAUAUGUCUUUUCAAAAACAUUCAUCAUAUAUGCUGUUAACUUUAACCAACCAUUCUAGGAACUAAAAUGUACUAAGGUUUUUCUAUCUGACUUGAACUUUCAUGUAUGUAGACAAACAAACUUUGAAAUCGUAAGCUUUUAUGCAUUCACAGGAAAAAAAGGUAUCAAAUUAAAGGUGCCACCAACCUUAGAGAUGCUUGGGAGGGCUAGCUUCUUCUUCUUCUUCUUCUUCUUCUUUUAUUUUGUUUUCCUUUAAGGCUUUGAUUGUAAGCGGUUCAAUUAGUUCAUAGUGGAAUAUCUCUAUGCUAUCGAAUAAAUUGAAGAAGUUUGAUAGACUACACAUGAAGAGGUUUUCUAUUUACAUGAUACUUCAAAGUUAGCUUUUAAGAAAAGAGAUCUGCGAUUGAUGAUGGGGAUUUGCUAGCUUGGUCUGGUUUUUUGGAGGAGGCUAGGACUAGCCUAAUUGGGGGGGAAAAAAAAAGGUGAUAUGACCUUUCACCUUUGUAAGCUGCCGAUAUCAGCGGCGGAGCUGUGUACGGGCCAAAAGGUGUCAUGGCACCCCCUCAGCCUUUUAGCUUCUUUGUAAAUUCAAUUCAGUCUAUUCAUUUAGAAUAUAGUUUAGAUUAUUACACGGGCUGGCACCCCAAACAUAUAUUCAAGAACUUAAUCAUGAAGUUAUCAAAUAGAGAAGAGCAACGUGGCACUAACUUUGUAAUAGUUUACUUGUAUUCAAGUUUGCUCUUUUUAGAAAGAAUGAUAUAAAUUAAGCAUAAUAAUGGAAAUUAUGUGGUUUAUCUUCAUUUUCAAUAUAUUUUUUAUCACUAAAUUGUACCAGUUCAUUACCUAAUUCAGCUAUAAGUUUCUAAGAAACUUAUUUAAUGUAUAUAUUUGACAAACUAGNCUNUUUAGUAAAGCACUAUAUUAUGUAUUUCAUUGUUUUUUUUUUUUUUUUUUUGAAGACAUGAUUUCUAUACUUUUU
rnacentral:lncRNA from 1 species